rnacentral:lncRNA from 1 species
AAAAUUCAACAAGCAAUCCAACCCGAGGAGAUCGACCGAGCUCGAGAUCAGCGAGCGAGAAUGGCGGGCAUGGUGUUCGGCUUGGAGAACCCAAUGAUGACGGCGCUGCAACACCUGCUGGACAUCCCAGACGGCGAGGCCGGUGCAGCCGGUGGAGAGAAGCAGGGCCCGACGCGCGCCUACGUCCGCGACGCGCGCGCCAUGGCGGCCACCCCGGCCGACGUGAAGGAGCUGCCGGGCGCGUACGCGUUCGUGGUGGACAUGCCGGGGCUGGGGUCCGGCGACAUCAAGGUGCAGGUGGAGGACGAGCGGGUGCUGGUCAUCAGCGGCGAGCGGAGCAGGGAGGAGAAGGAGGACGCCAAGUACCUGCGGAUGGAGCGCCGCAUGGGCAAGCUGAUGCGCAAGUUCGUGCUGCCAGAGAACGCCGACAUGGAGAAGAUCUCCGCCGCGUGCCGCGACGGCGUGCUCACCGUCACCGUCGAGAAGCUGCCGCCGCCCGAGCCCAAGAAGCCCAAGACCAUCCAGGUCCAGGUCGCCUGAGAUGCGUCUGCGUGCGCGUCGAAUCGAAGCAGAGUGCGAGUGGGAGCGAGUUUCCUGUGAUGAGUAAUGGAGUGUGUGUCUUUUGAUCUCAUCUGCUAGAGUGUGUGUGUGUGUGUGUGUCGUAUCGAUUCCUGCGCACUGGUGAAGGUUUGAUGUUUCCUUAAUGGAAAUGGGGAUGUUCUCCGGCUUCGCCUGAAUAAAACAUGCGAUUCUCUUGGCCACAUUUUAGAUUGAAAAAUCCAAGAUGCCCGUGUUCUGAAAAUUCAGAAAACUGCCUUUGUAAUUCAAAGGAAAACUGGAUAAGACCAGAACAUGUGGAAUAGUAAAGCUAGGUGGAAAACGAACUAGCUCUUGGCAUUCUCAUCUUGAGAAAUGGCUGACUUUUGGGAAGAUAGAAAAAAGAAAUUCUAAUUAGAAUUGAGAAUUCAGAAAUGUUAUUCUGCUUUGCCUUAAAGAAACAUGUGAGAAUCUCCAAAUUCGAUUGAUCGAGGUAUGAGGACAUUUGAGAUAACCGAUUCAGUGUAUUAUGAAUUGAUUUCCAAAUACAUUUAUUUUGACACAACGAAAAAAUAAAGCAGCCAUGAUUGUGUAGGGACUAUCUCGACAGAGAAAUGCCAUGGUACUCUCGGGUGUGAGUACAUAUGCGGGAAGUAAUUCCAAAAAAAAUAAAAAAUUCUGAACAUUUUCAGAAAUAAAUUUGGCCUUCUAUUAUGCCAAGAAAAAAAAGUCCCGUCAACUUCGGAAAAUAAAAAUCAGACGAAAAAGUGAAUGAUAACUUGUAUAUAUUGUUGAUCUUUUUCACCAAAAAUACCGUGAAAGUCAUUUCUCGACCAAAGUUUUUAUACAAAUACAACAGAGAGUAGGGCAUUUUGGAGACCGAAUUCGAUAGAGGCUUUAAUUUCAAAAUUUAAAAAAUCUAAAAAAUCAAUAUACUUGUAGAACGAUAUAAUGUGUAUGUGUGUAAAAAUAUAGGAUGAAAUACCUUAAAAUUCGAGCUGCACAAAAAAAUUAUGAACUUUGAGGAUCAACAAUACAUAUGCUUAAAAAUGCACAAAAUUGUCUUUUUUGUCGCCCUCGUAUUUUGACCUGAAAACUUACACAAAUGUACAAUAUCUCUCUUGGUAUAUUUUUAUUUUUUUUAGAAUUUUUUAAAACUGGAAAGUUUGAAUUUCAAAGUUUUUAAAUUAAGGCCUCCAUGAAGCUCGGGCUCCAUUUGACAUUUUCAUACAACAGAAGGUCAACUUUGUUUACCAAAAUGUUUCAUCGUUUUUUGACUCUUUUUGAAAUUGCAAAAAAUAUAUCAUAUCAGGUGCACUUGCACCCCAGAGCCGGGACAAGCACCUUUGGCUCUCGGGUGUAGGUGCACCCUUUAUGGGAAGAAAAAUAGCAUUUUUUUAAAAAAAGUGAUAAAAUUAUGAAUUUUUUGUUAAUGAAUGACUUUCAUGCUAUUCUAGGUGGAAAAAAAUCAGCACUAUAUACAAGUUAAAAUUCAUACUUUUUGUCCUUGAUUUUUUUUUUGCACUAAAGGCGACAGGAGUUUUUUCUUAAUGAAACUUUUUAUACGAGUACAAUUGAACUUCAAGUUUGUUUCUAAAAUUUUUUCAAAACUUUUUGACCAUUCUUGGAAUUAAUUUUUUUUCCCCAUAUAGGUUGCACCUACACCGAGAGCCAAAAGGUAUUCUCCGGAUUGAAUAUGAUAUUUACAGAAUUAAGGAGUUUAUGCAUGUCCGAGCUAGCUUUUGCUAGGGUAGUCCAAUAUAGUGGUGACUGAUGGGUUUUUUCAUCUCUCGCCACAAAAGGCAAAGCCUUUUGUAAUUAGAGCUUAGCCUCAAACUACUUUACCUUUUUUUCUGCUAAUACUCCUUCCGUUCCUAAAUAUAAGUCUUUGUAACAAAGACUUAUGUUUAGGAAUGGAGGGAGUAAAACCCAGAAUGGUCCUCACAGUUUGGAAACAAGACUGGUCUUAUUAAUAGCAAGGUGUACCUUAAGAAAAUUGUUUUAAUUCAUUUAUCUUUUCUUAGUGGACGUGAAAUCUUUUCAUGGCCUUUUACUGAGUGGCUUUAUUUGAUUUAAUCCCUUUUUGCCUAAUAUGUAUAACUCUAUAGUUUUGUGUGCAUCCUAAGCCGAAGGAUGUAACGAGGAACUUGGUAAUUUGACAUCUCCCCAAAAGGGCAGAAGUUGUACAAUUUGUGCAAAAACAAAAAUUCAUCUGGAGAGGUGUGGUGUGAUAGCUUCCUUGUAUGCUCUUUUUUCUUGGUUCUUAUUUGUAGUCUCCUAUUUCUAUAUGAAUUUGUUGGUUCAUAAUCAACCCUUGAAGAGUCAACAUCCCGAUCGACAAAUUUUAUAGCAAGGGUGUCAUUAAAUUCUUUUGAGACCCUUCCCCUAUAAAAGUGAAGUUAUUUCCUGUAAUUAUAAUUGUGUUUGCUAUUUAUCAACUGACUGGAAUUUUCAGCCACGUCAGUCGACAUGUGACUGGGAAGUAGCUGAGACGGCGCUAAGGCCGAGAUGGAGGUGACACUGCCUGUCGCGGUGUCUCCAAGAUACAGAGCCAGGACCUAGACGGAGGCAGGGACGACGGAGGACAUGUAGGAUGCGACGGGUUGUGGGGUUCGUGGGAGGUGGGUUAGAGGAAUGACCAGCGACGGUGGUGGCAGCUCGGGCUUGUUAGGGCGGCGAGGCUGCAGUGCGGGCGUUUGUGUGUGAUGGCAUUGGACCUGGAGGAAGAAGAAGGUUACGGGCCUGUUGGAUGCAUAUAGAACGGUGGAGGGAAAACAGACUAAAGAGAAAUCUUUUCGAACCUGAUAGUCACUCUCAAUUGUAACUAUAGAAACUUGGCACGGUUUUGAAGAACCGGAGUUGCAUGUGUGUUGUAUGACUAAGUUUUUUCUGGCAAUUUCAAGGCCUUUGUUUACUCUAUCUUGAAGACCUUCGUUCUACACGUCUUCGUAUGGAUUUUGAAGAAAUAGAGUUCCAUUGUAUGACAUGAGAAAAAGAAAUGGUGCACAUGAUGAGAUAGAAUCGCACUAUGUGUUUUUUUUAUCGUGGUCCAUAAACCUAUAUCCAGUAUAUCUAUGUGGUAAUUCAAAUUGCAAUAUCACACCUUGGAAAUUCAACUCGGCUCCCGGGAGCACAUGCUCCCAGGCCCAAAAAUAAUUUUUUAAAUGUCAAAUAAGUGAAUACAAAAAAAUUAUGUGUUCUUAGUCACAUCCAAAUGCUACCUGUAAAUUUUGAGGCAAAAGGGUUAAGCAUUUUGGCCUGUGCAAAAAAAGAAACAAAUUGAACACCAAAUGUUACCCCUAAAUGUCACCUCAAUUUUUUCUCCACCGACGAAAUAUUGAUACUCCAUUUCGCAUGAAAAUAGUCAAGUAUGCUUGCGACACUAACCCAGACAUCCAUAAAAGAAUUCAGAAUUUUUGAAAGCAUUUACUAUUUUUUUCGCGUUACUAUUCAUGCGGAAGCCAAAAUGCCUCUCACAUCUUUUCUUCUAUCUGUAAGUGGCUACUACCUUCAUUCCAAAAUAUAAGAAAUAUAAGACAUUUUGGUAGGCUGGUGUAACCUACCAAAAUGUCUUAGAUUUCAAAAUGGAGGUAGUACUAGGUAGUUUAAUUAUUUGUGUAUCACUACAUUGUCCGAACCAUCACAUUGUUAUCGCUAAGUCUCAAUGGUUUAAGACUUGAUUAUAUCUCAGUCAAUGCUAUAUUCGUUCGAUCUUACGUGAAGAUUUAUGCAAAAAAAAAAAGAAUUAGCCUUUUCUUGUUCUUAUAUACUAGGAAAAAGUCCAAAACAUACCUUGAACUUGUAGAUGAAAGCUAAAUCAAACUCUGAACUUGUAAUUCUGAAAAUCAGCACAUCGAACUCAUUGAUCCUCGUCUAUUUUAAACCUUCAAGGCGUUCCCAAACAGGGAUUGAUGACGUGGCAGAUCAAUUCCCGGGAUUGUCGGCUGCAAACGCGAUUGGGGCGGCCCAUCAGGCACAAAGGGAGUUUUUUUUUUCUUUUUGGUAAGCGCGACGAUAAAAUAACCCAAAAAAAACACACUUAAGUGAGUCAGCACAUCGAACUCAUUGAUCCUCGUCUAUUUUAAACCUUCAAGGCGUUCCCAAACAGGGAUUGAUGACGUGGCAGAUCAACUCCCGGGAUUGUCGGCUGCAAACGCGAUUGGGGCGGCCCAUCAGGCACAAAGGGAGUUUUUUUUUAUUUUUGGUAAGUGCGACGAUAAAAUAACCCAAAAAAACACACUUAGGCGAGUCGAACUGUGACUUGGCGUCGUCGAUCUCCACUUGCUAGCCGUCAGAGUAGAUAAAUAUUAGUGGAAUAUGUUGAAGACUAAAAGUAGUUAAUCAGACACCAACAUCGAGAUUUGAAAACAUUUUUGAGAGCAAACAAUUUUUUUUUGAAAUGCCCAAGCAUUUUCUAAGGUGCGAACAGUUAUUUAAAUUCCGAAUACUUUUGAAAAAAGGAACAAUUUUUGAAAACACAAUCAGUUUUUACAAAGCGAGCACUCUUCGAAAUAUAUCUUUUUUUAAGGGAACAAAUUUUUAAUCCUGAAGAAUAUGCACAAACUUUCAAAAAAUUGCUUUCUAAAAUUUUGUUCAUAAAUUAAAACAUGUUCACACAUUUAAUAAAUUGUUCAGAAGUUAAAAAAUGUUCAUGUUUUCUAUUUUUUGUCACAAACUAAAAAAAUGUUUAGUGUUUUUCAAAAAAUGUUUGGAGUUCUCAAGUUCUUUCUAAAAUUUUAAAACUGUUCGUGAUUUCAAAAAUUGUUUACGUCAAAAGAUGUUUGGAAUUCCAAAAGUUGUUCACAUGUUUCCGAAAAAUGUUUGGAUUUUCAAAAAUUGUGUCACGUUUUCCUUAUAGUUUCUGGAAUUUCAUAAAUUAUUUGCGUUAAAAGCGGCAUUUCAAAAUUGUUGAAAAAAAGUUCAAGAAAUAUUCGAUUUUCUAAAAUGUUUACAUAUAUGUACGGCUCUGUCCGUACUUACAAAUGUGCACGUCAUGAGCAGCCUUCUGGUCCAGUGGCUAGCUGGAGUUGCUCUCUCAAUGUGAGAACCAGAGAUCGAGUGCUGUGAAGUACUCUGGACAGCGAAUUUUUCUUUUGUCGCCCAGUAAUUUUUCAUCGCUCCUUAUAAAAGACGAGUGGCUUUGUGUAGUUUUAAAAAAGUUUGUUCUUAUUAUGAAAGUACUAAAGUUUUAUUAUCAUUACGAAUAAAUAACAAAAAAAGAAAAUGAAAAUAAGAAGAAAAAAACAUAGCAGCUCGAGUGACUGCGCUAAUGGCCGGCCUGUUUCGUCUUAAUGCCAAGCCAGUCAACAAUCCUAGGAUUUGACUUUCCAUGUCAGCGAAUACCAGCUAAACGUGGUCAAGGUUCAAAAUAGACCCGUAUCGAGAAAGUUCGAUGUGCUCAUUUUCGGAAUUAAAUGUUUAUGGUUUGAUUUAGCUUUCAUCUAUAAGUUUAAGGUUUAUUUUGAACUUAUAUACUACUCCCUCCGUCCCAUAAUAUAAGAGCGUUUUUUGACACAAUAACCAAUAGCGGAACCUGGAUGCUCAUAUUGGCUCCUACAUAUUCUACGAAGAUCUUUAUCGGUCAAACCGCAUAACAACAUACGUUGUUCCCUUUGUCAUCGGUAUGUUAUUUGCCCGAGAUUCGAUCGUCGGUAUCUCAAUACCUAGUUCAAUCUCGUUACCGGCAAGUCUCUUUACUCGUUCCAUAAUGCAUCAUCCCGCAACUAACUCAUUAGUUACAUUGCUUGCAAGGCUUAUAGUGAUGUGCAUUACCGAGAGGGCCCAGAGAUACCUCUCCGACAAUCGGAGUGACAAAUCCUAAUCUCGAUCUAUGCCAACUCAACAAGUACCAUCGAAGAGACCUGUAGAGCACCUUUAUAAUCACCCAGUUACGUUGUGAUGUUUGGUAGCACACAAGGUGUUCCUCCUGUAUUCGGGAGUUGCAUAAUCUCAUAGUCAUAGGAACAUGUAUAAGUCAUGAAGAAAGCAAUAUCAAUAUACUAAACGAUCAAAUGCUAAGCUAACGGAAUGGGUCAAGCCAAUCACAUCAUUCUCUAAUGAUGUGAUCCCGUUAAUCAAAUGACAACUCAUGUCUAUGGUUAGGAAACAUAACUAUCUUUGAUUCAACGAGCUAGUCAAGUAGUGACACUCUGUUUGUGUAUGUAUUCACACAUGUACUAAGGUUUUGGUUAAUACAAUUCUAGCAUGAAUAAUAAACAUUUAUCACGAUAUAAGGAAAUAUAAAUAACAACUUUAUUAUUGCCUCUAGGGCAUAUUUCCUUCAGUCUCUCACUUGCACUAGAGUCAAUAAUCUUCAUUACACAGUAAUGAUUCUAACACACAUGGAGUCUUGGUGCUGAUCAUGUUUUGCUCGUGAGAGAGGCUUAGUCAAUGGGUCUGCAACAUUCAGAUCCGUAUGUAUUUUGCAAAUCUCUGUCUCCCUCCUUGACUUGAUCGCGGAUGGAAUCGAAGCGUCUCUUGAUGUGCUUGGUUCUCUUGUGAAAUCUGGAUUCCUUUGCCAAGGCAAUUGCACCAGUAUUGUCACAAAAGAUUUUCAUUGGACCCGAUGCACUAGGUAUGACACCUAGAUCGGAUAUGAACUCCUUCAUCCAGACUCCUUCAUUUGCUGCUUCUGAAGUAGCUAUGUACUCCGCUUCACACGUAGAUCCCACCACGACGCUUUGCUUAGAACUGCACCAACUGACAGCUCCACCGUUCAAUAUAAACACGUAUCCAGUUUGUGACUUAGAGUCAUCUGGUUUAGUGUUAAAGCUUGCAUCGACGUAACCAUUUAUGACAAGCUCUUUGUCACCUCCAUAAAUGAGAAACAUAUCCUUAGUCCUUUUCAGGUAUUUCAGGAUGUUCUUGACCGCUACCCAGUGAUCCACUCCUGGAUUAGUUUGGUACCUCCCUGCUAAACUAAUAGCAAGGCACACAUCAGGUCUGGUACACAGCAUUGCAUACAUGAUAGAGCCUAUGGCUGAAGCAUAGGGAACACCUUUCAUUUUCUCUCUAUCUUCUGCAGUGGUCAGGCAUUGAGUCAGACUCAACUUCACGCCUUGUAACACAGGCAAGAACCCUUUCUUUGCUUGAUCCAUUUUGAAAUUUUUCAAAACUUUAUCAAGGUAUGUGCUUUGUGAAAGUCCAAUUAAGCGACUUGAUCUAUCUCUAUAGAUCUUGAUGCCCAAUAUAUAAGCAGCUUCACCGAGGUCUUUCAUUGAAAAACUCUUAUUCAAGUAUCCUUUUAUGCUAUCCAGAAAUUCUAUAUCAUUUCCAAUCAACAAUAUGUCAUCCACAUAUAAUAUUAGAAAUGCUACAGAGCUCCCACUCACUUUCUUGUAAAUACAGGCUUCUCCAAAAGUCUGUAUAAAACCAUAUGCUUUGAUCACACUAUCAAAACGUUUAUUCCAACUCCGAGAUGCUUGCACCAGUCCAUAAAUGGAUCGCUGGAGCUUGCACACUUUGUUAGCAUCCUUUGGAUCGAUAAAACCUUCAGGUUGCAUCAUAUACAACUCUUCUUCCAGAAAUCCAUGCAGGAAUGCAGUCUUUACAUCCGUUUGCCAAAUUUCAUAAUCAUAAAAUGCAGCAAUUGCUAACAUGAUUCGGACGGACUUAAGCAUCGCUACGGGUGAGAAAGUCUCAUCGUAGUCAACUCCUUGAACUUGUCGAAAACCUUUCGCAACAAGUCGAGCUUUGUAGACAGUAACAUUACCGUCAGUGUCAGUCUUCUUCUUGAAGAUCCAUUUAUUCUCGAUGGCUUGCCGAUCAUCGGGCAAGUCAACCAAAGUCCACACUUUGUUCUCAUACAUGGAUCCCAUCUCAGAUUUCAUGGCCUCAAGCCAUUUCGUGGAAUCUGGGCUAAUCAUCGCUUCCUCAUAGUUCAUAGGUUCGUCAUGGUCAAGUAACAUGACCUCCAAAACAGGAUUACCGUACCACUCUGGUGCGGAUCUUACUCCGACUGACCUACGAGGUUCAGUAGUAACUUGAUCUGAAGUUACAUGAUCAUCAUAAUUAGCUUCCUCACUAAUUGGUGUAGGAGUCACAGGAACAGAUUUCUGUGAUGAACUACUUUCCAAUAAGGGAGUAGGUAUACUUACCUCAUCAAGUUCUACUUUCCUCCCACUCACUUCUUUCGAGAGAAAUUCCUUCUCUAGAAAGGAUCCAUUCUUAGCAACAAAUAUCUUUCCUUCGGAUCUGUGAUAGAAGCUGUACCCAACAGUCUCCUUUGGGUAUCCUAUGAACACACAUGGUUCGAGCUUAUCAGGUUGAAGCUUUUUCACAUAAGCAUCGCAACCCCAAACUUUAAGAAACGACAACUUUGGUUUCUUGCCAAAUCACAGUUCAUAAGGUGUCGUCUCAACGGAUUUAGAUGGUGCCCUAUUUAACGUGAAUGCAGCCGUCUCUAAAGCAUAACCCCAAAACGAUAGCGGUAAAUCAGUAAGAGACAUCAUAGAUCGCACUAUAUCUAGUAAAGUACGAUUACGACGUUCGGACACACCAUUACGCUAUGGUGUUCCGGGUGGCGUGAGUUGCGAAACUAUUCCGCAUUGUUUCAAAUGAAGACCAAACUCGUAACUCAAAUAUUCUCCUCCAUGAUCAGAUCAUAGAAACUUUAUUUUCUUGUUACGAUGAUUUUCCACUUCACUCUGAAAUUCUUUGAACUUUUCAAAUGUUUUAGACUUAUGUUUCAUCAAGUAGAUAUACCCAUAUCUGCUCAAAUCAUCUGUGAAGGUGAGAAAAUAACGAUACCCGCCGCGAGCCUCAACAUUCAUCGGACCACAUACAUCAGUAUGUAUGAUUUCCAAUAAAUCUGUUGCUCGCUCCAUUGUUCCGGAGAACGGCAUUUUAGUCAUCUUGCCCAUGAGGCAUGGUUCGCAAGUACCAAGUGAUUCCAAAAGUCCAUUAGAAUGGAGUUUCUUCAUGCGUUUUACACCAAUAUGACCUAAACGGUAGUGCCACAAAUAAGUUGCACUAUCAUUAUCAACUCUGCAUCUUUUGGCUUCAAUAUUAUGAAUAUGUGUAUCACUACUAUCGAGAUUCAAUAUAAAUAGACCACUCUUCAAGGGUGCAUGCCCAUAAAAGAUAUUACUCAUAUAAAUAGAACAACCAUUAUUCUCUGAUUUAAAUGAAUAACCAUCUCGCAUCAAACAAGAUCCAGAUAUAAUGUUCAUGCUCAACGCUGGCACCAAAUAACAAUUAUUCAGGUCUAAAACUAAUCCCGAAGGUAGAUGUAGAGGUAGUGUGUCGACCGCGAUCACAUCGACUUUGGAACCAUUUCCCACGCGCAUCGUCACCUCGUCCUUAGCGAAUCUUCGCUUAAUUCGUAGUCCUUGUUCGAGUUGCAAAUAUUAGCAACAGAACCAGUAUAAAAUACCCAGGCACUACUGCGAGCAUUAGUAAGGUACACAUCAAUAACAUGUAGAUCUGCUACCUCUUGAGCACUGCGUUGGUUUUCCCUUGAAGAGGAAAGGGUGCUGCAGUAAAGUAGCGUAAGUAUUUACCUCAGUUUUUGAGAAACAAGGUAUCAAUCCAGUAGGAGACCACACUCAAGUCCCACGCACCUACACAAACAAAUAAGAACCUUGUGUUGGGGAACGUAGUAAUUUCAAAAAAAUUCCUACGCACACGCAAGAUCAUGGUGAUGCAUAGCAACGAGAGGGGAGAGUGUUGCCACGUACCCUCGUAGACCGACAGCGGAAGCGUUAUCACAACGCGGUUGAUGUAGUCGUACGUCUUCACGAUCCGACCGAUCAAGUACCGAACGCACGGCACCUCCGAGUUCUACACACGUUCAGCUCGAUAACGUCCCUCGAACUCUGAUCCAGCCGAGUGUUGAGGGAGAGUUUCGUCAGCACGACGGUGUGGUGACGAUGAUGAUGUUCCACCGACGCAGGGCUUCGCCUAAGCUCCGCAACAGUAUUAUCGAGGUGUAAUAUGGUGGAGGGCGGCACCGCACACAGCUAAGAGAUCUCAAGGAUCAAUUGUUGUGUCUCUGGGGUGCCCCCUUGCCCCCGUAUAUAAAGGAGCAAGGGGGAGGCAGCCGGCCAAGGGGAGAGGCGCGCCAUAGGGGGGAGUCCUACUCCCACCGGGAGUAGGACUCCUCCUUUCCUUGUGGGAGUAGGAGAAGGGAAGGGGGAAGUAGAAAGAAGGAAGGGUGCGCCCCCCUUCCCUAGUCCAAUUCGGACCAGACCAUGGGGAGGGGUGCGGCCACCUUUUGAGGCCUUUCUCUCCUUUCCCGUAUGGCCAUUAAGGCCCAAUACGAAUUCCCGUAACUCUCCGGUACUCCGAAAAAUACCCGAAUCACUCGGAACCUUUCCGAAGUCCGAAUAUAGUCGUCCAAUAUAUUGAUUUUUACGUCUCGACCAUUUCGAGACUCCUCGUCAUAUCCCCGAUCUCAUCCGGGACUCCGAACUCCUUCGGUACAUCAAAACUCAAUAAAACUGUCAUCGUAACGUUAAGCGUGCGGACCCUUCGGGUUCGAGAACUAUGUAGACAUGACCGAGACACCUCUCCGGUCAAUAACCAAUAGCGGGACCUGGAUGCCCAUAUUGGCUCCCACAUAUUCUACGAAGAUCUUUAUCGGUCAGACCGCAUAACAACAUACGUUGUUCCCUUUCUCAUCGGUAUGUUACUUGCCCGAGAUUCGAUCGUCGGUAUCUCGAUACCUAGUUCAAUCUCGUUACCGGCCAGUCUCUUUACUCGUUCCGUAAUACAUCAUCCCGCAACUAACUCAUUAGUCACAAUGCUUGCUAGGCUUUAUAGUGAUGUGCAUUACCGAGUGGGCCCAGAGAUACCUCUCCGACAAUCGGAGUGACAAAUCCUAAUCUCGAAAUACGCCAACCCAACAAGUACCUUUGGAGACACCUGUAGAGCACCUUUAUAAUCACCCAGUUACGUUGUGACGUUUGGUAGCACACAAAGUGUUCCUCCGGUAAACGGGAGUUGCAUAAUCUCAUAGUCAUAGGAACAUGUAUAAGUCAUGAAGAAAGCAAUAGCAACAUACUAAACGAUCGGGUGCUAAGCUAACGUAAUGGGUCAUGUCAAUCACGUCAUUCUCCUAAUGAGGUGAUCCCGUUAAUCAAAUGACAACUCAUGUCUAUGGCUAGGAAACAUAACCAUCUUUGAUUAACGAGUUAGUCAAGUAGAGGCAUACUAGUGACACUCUGUUUGUCUAUGUAUUCACACAUGUAUUAUGUUUCCGGUUAAUACAAUUCUAGCAUGAAUAAUAAACAUUUAUCAUGAUAUAAGGAAAUAUAUAAUACUUUAUUAUUGCCUCUAGGGCAUAUUUCCUUCACCUUGCAACCAACGCGAUAAAGGGGCUGUCAAUCCCUUCACGGCCACUUGCAAAAGUGAGACCUGAUAGAGAUGAUAAGAUAAUAUUUUUGGUAUUUUAUGAUAAAGAGUAAAAGUAAAGAAUGCAAAGUAAAAUAAAUGACGACAGAAAUAGCUAGUUGACAGGAGAUUAAUAUGAUAGAAAAUAGACCCGGGGGCCAUAGGUUUCACUACUGGCUUCUCUCAAGUGUUGGGAAUCGUAGCAUAAUUUAAAAUUUUCCUACGCUCACCAAGAUGCAUCUAUGGAGUCUACUAGCAACGAGGGGAAAGGAGUGCAUCUACAUACCCUUGUAGAUCGCGAGCGGAAGCGUUCCAAUGAACGUGGAUGACGGAGUCGUACUCGCCGUGAUCCAAAUCACCGAUGACCGAGUGCCGAACGUACGGCACCUCCGCGUUCAACACACGUACGGUGCAGCGACGUCUCCUCCUUCUUGAUCCAGCAAGGGGGGAGGAGAGGUUGAUGGAGAUCCAACAGCACGACGGCGUGGUGGUGGAUGUAGCGGGUCUCCGGCAGGGCUUCGCCGAGCUUCUGCGAGAGAGAGAGGUGUUGCAGGGGAGGAGGGAGGCGCCCAAGGCUGUUAUUUGCUGCCCUCCCUCCCCCCCACUAUUUAUAGGACCCCUGGGGGGGCGCCAGCCCUUGGGAGAUCAGAUCUCCAAGGGGGGCGGCGGCCAAGUGGGGAGGAAGGGGUGCCUUGCCCCCCAAGGCAAGGGGGAAGCUCCCCCUAGGAUUCCCAACCCUAGGCGCAUGGGGGGAGGCCCAAGGGGGCGCCCCAGCCCACUAAGGGCUGGUUCCCUUCCACUUUCAGCCCACGGGGCCCUCCGGGAUAGGUGGCCCCACCCGGUGGACCCCCGGGACCCUUCCGGUGGUCCCGGUACAAUACCGGUAACCCCCGAAACUUUCCCGGUGGCCGAAACUUGACUUCCUAUAUAUAAUUCUUCACCUCCGGACCAUUCCGGAACCUCUCGUGACGUCCGGGAUCUCAUCCGGGACUCCGAACAACUUUCGGGUUUCCGCAUACAUAUAUCUCUACAACCCUAGCGUCACCGGACCUUAAGUGUGUAGACCCUACGGGUUCGGGAGACAUGCAGACAUGACCGAGACGCCUCUCCGGUCAAUAACCAACAGCGGGAUCUGAAUACCCAUGUUGGCUCCCACAUGUUCCACGAUGAUCUCAUCGGAUGAACCACGGUGUCGAGGAUUCAAUCAAUCCGUAUGCAAUUCCCUUUGUCAAACGGUAUGUUACUUGCCCGAGAUUCGAUCGUCGGUAUCCCAAUACCUUGUUCAAUCUCGUUACCGGCAAGUCUCUUUACUCGUACCGCAAUGCAUGAUCUCGUGACUAACGCCUUAGUCACAUUGAGCUCAUUAUGAUGAUGCAUUACCGAGUGGGCCCAGAGAUACCUCUCCGUCACACGGAGUGACAAAUCCCAGUCUCGAUCCGUGCCAACCCAACAGACACUUUCGGAGAUACCCGUAGUGCACCUUUAUAGUCACCCAGUUACGUUGUGACGUUUGGCACACCCAAAGCACUCCUACGGUAUCCGGGAGUUGCACGAUCUCAUGGUCUAAGGAAAAGAUACUUGACAUUGGAAAAGCUCUAGGAAACGAAACUACACGAUCUUUUAUGCUAUGCUUAGGAUUGGGUCUUGUCCAUCACAUCAUUCUCCUAAUGAUGUGAUCCCGUUAUCAAUGACAUACAAUGUCCAUAGUCAGGAAACCAUGACUAUCAGUUGAUCAACGAGCUAGUCAACUAGAGGCUUACUAGGGACACGUUGUGGUCUAUGUAUUCACACAUGUAUUACGAUUUCCGGACAAUACAAUUAUAGCAUGAAUAAUAGACAAUUAUCAUGAACAAAGAAAUAUAAUAAUAACCAUUUAUUAUUGCCUCUAGGGCAUAUUUCCAACAGUCUCCCACUUGCACUAGAGUCAAUAAUCUAGUUCACAUCACCAUGUGAUUAACACUCACUGGUCACAUCACCAUGUGACCAACAUCUAAAGAGUUUACUAGAGUCAUCAAUCUAGUUCACAUCACUAUGUGAUUAUCACUCAAUGUGUUCUGGUUUGGUCAUGUUAUGCUUGUGAGAGAGGUUAUUAGUCAACGGGUCUGAACCUUUCAGAACCGUGUGCUUUACGAAUAUCUAUGUCAUCUUGUGGAUGCUACCACGCGCUAUUUGGAGCCAUUUCAAAUAAUUGCUCUACUAUACGAAUCCGGUUUACUCCUCAGUGUCAUCCGGAUUAGUGUCAAAGUUCGCAUCGACGUAACCCUUUACGACGAACUCCUUUCCACCUCCAUAAUCGAGAAAAUUCCUUAAUCCACUAGGUACUAAGGAUAAGUUCGACCGCUGUCAUGAGAUCCUUUCCGGAUCACCAUUGUACCCUCUUGACCAACUCAUGGCAAGGCACACUACAUGUGCGGUACACAGCAUAGCAUACUAUAGAGCCUACGUCUAAAGCAUAGGGGACGACCUUCGUCCUUUCUCUAUGUUCUGCUAUGGUCAGGUCUUGAGUCUCACUCAAUACUCACACCUUGUAACACAGCCAAGAACUCCUUCUUUGCUGAUCUAUUUUGAACUCUUUCAAAAUCAUGUCAAGGUGUGCUGUCUUUUGAAAGUAUCAUCAGGCGUCUUGAUCUAUCUCUAUGGAUCUUGAUGCCCAAUAUGUAAGCAGCUUUAUCCAGGUCUUCCUUUAAAAAACUCCUUUCAAACAACCCUUUAUGCUUUCCAGAAAUUUUACAUCAUUUCGGAUCAACAAUAUGUCAUUCACAUAUACUUAUCAGAAAUGUUGUAGCGCUCCCACUCACUUUAUUGUAAAUACAAGUUUCUAACAAACUUUGUAUAAAACCAAAAAACUUUGAUCACUCCAUCAAAGCGUAUAUUCUGACUCCGAGAUGCUUGCUCUAAUCCAUGGAAGGAUCGCUGGAGCUAGCAUACCUUUUAGCAUCCUUAGGAUCGACAAAACCUUUCUGAUUGUAUCACAUACAACCUUUCCUUACGAAAACUGGUAAGGAAACUUGUUUUGACAUCCAUCUGCCAGAUUUCAUAAAUGUAGCUAAUGCUAACAUGAUUCCGACGGACCUAAGCAUCGCUACGGAUGAGAAAAAAACUCAUCGUAGUUAACUCCUUGAACUUGUGAAAAUACUCUUUGCCACAAGUCGAGCUUCAUAGAUGGUAACAUUACCUUCCAUGUCCGUCUUCUUCUUAAAGAUCCAUUUAUCUCAAUGGCUUGCCGAUCAUCGGGCAAGUUCACCAAAGUCCAUGCUUUGUUCUGAUACAUGGAUUCUAUCUCGGAUUUCAUGGCCUCGAGCCAUUCGUCGGAAUAUGGGUCCACCAUCGCUUCUCCAUAGCUCGUAGGUUCAUUGUUGUCUAGCAACAUGACUUUCAAGACAGGAUCACGCAUUACUCUGAAGUAGUGCGCAUCCUCGUCGUCCUACGAGGUUUGGUAGUGACUUGAUCCGAAGUUCAUGAUCACUAUCAUAAGCUUCCACUUCAAUUGGUGUAGGUGCCACAGGAACAACUUCCUGUGCCCUGCUACAUACUAGUUGAAGCGACGGUUCAAUAACCUUAUCAAGUCUCCACCAUCCUCCCACUCAAUUCUUUCGAGAGAAACUUUUCCUCGAGAAAGGACUCGUUUCUAGAAGCAAUUACUUUUGCUUCCAGAUCUGAAAUAGGAGGUAUACCCAACUGUUUUUGGGUAUUCUAUGAAGAUGCAUUUAUCCGCUUUGGGUUCGAGCUUAUCAGCCUGAAACUUUUUCACAUAAGCAUCGCAGCCCCAAACUUUUAAGAAACGACAACUUAGGUUUCUAUAAACGGUGUCGUCUCAACGGAAUUGCGUGGUGCCCCUUUUAAAGUGAAUGCGGUUGUCUCUAAUGCCUAACCCAUAAAUGAUAGUGGUAAUUUGAUAAGAAACAUCAUGGUAUGUACCAUAUCCAAUAGGGUGCAGUUAUGAUGUUCGGACACACCAUCACACUAUGGUGUUCCAGGCGGUAUUAAUUGUGAAACACUUUCCACAAUGUCUCAAUUAUGUGCCAAACUCGUAUCUCAGAUACGCAUCUCUAUGAUCAUAUCACAGACAUUUUAUCCUCUUGUCACGACGAUCUUCAACUUCACUCUGAAAUUACUUGAACCUUUCAAUAAUUCAGACUAGUGUUUCAUCAAGUAAAUACACUCAGCAUCUACUCAAAUCAUCUGUGAAGUAAGAACAUAACGAUGUCCACUGCAUGCCUCAGCACUCAUUGGACCGCGUACAUCAAAAUGUAUUACUUCCAAUAAGUUGCUCUCUUGUUCCAUCUCACUGAAAACGAGGACUUUCAGUCAUUUUGCCCAUGUGGUAUGAUUUGCAUGUCUCAAGUGAUUCAUAAUCAAGUGAGUCCAAACGAUCCAUCUGUAUGGAGUUUCUUCAUGCAUAUAUACCAAUAGACAUGGUUCGCAUGUCUCAAUCUUUUCAAAAAUGAGUGAGUCCAAAGAUCCACCUACAUGGAGCUUCCUCAUGCGUUCUACACCAAUAUGACUCAAGUGGCAGUGCCACAAGUAUGUGGUACUAUCAUUACUAUCUUAUAUCUUUUUGGCAUGAACAUGUGUAUCACUACGAUCGAGAUUCAUUUUAGGUGCAAGACCAUUGAAGGUAUUAUUCAAAUAAACAGAGUAACCAUUAUUCUCCUUAAAUGAAUAACCGUUUUGCGGUAAACAUAAUCCAAUCAUGUUCAACGCAAACACCAAAUCUCGAUGGUAGAGGGAGCAUGCGAUGCUUGAUCACAUCAACCUUGGAAACACUUCCAACACAUAUCGUCAUCUCACCUUUAGCUAGUCUCCAUUUAUUCCGCAGCUUUUAUUCCGAGUUACUAACACUUAGCAACCGAACCAGUAUCUAAUACCCUGGUGCUGCUAGGAGUACUAGUAAAGUACACAUUCAUAUAACGUAUAUCCAAUAUACUUCUGUCGACCUUGCCUGCCUUCUCAUCUACCAAGUAUCUAGGGUAGUACUGCUUCAGUGACCGUUCCUCUCAUUACAGAAGCACUUAGUCUUGGGUUUGGGUUCAACCUUGGGAUUCUUCACUAGAGCAGCAAACGACUUGCUGUUUCAUGAAGUAUCCCUUUUGCCCUUGCCCUUCUUAAACUAGUGGUUUUACUAACCAUCAACAAUUGAUGCUCCUUCUUAAUUUCUACUCUCGCGGUGUCAAACAUCGCGAAUAGCUCAAGGAUCAUCAUAACUAUCCUUGAUAUGUUAUAGUUCAUCACGAAGCUCUACUAGCUUGGUGGCAGUGACUAUGGAGAACUAUCACUAUCUCAUCUGGGAGAUUAACUCCCACUCGAUUCAAGCGAUUGUGGCACUCAGACAAUCUGAGCACACGCUCAACGAUUGAGCUUUUCUCCCUUAGUUUGCAGGCUUAAGAAACUUGUCAGAGGUCUCAUACCUAUUGACGUGGGCACUAGUCUGAAAUCCCAAUUUCAGUCUUCGGAACAUCUCACAUGUUCUGCGACGUUUCAAAAACGUCUUUGGUGCCACAAUUCUAAACCGCACUGUACUAUCACGUAGUCAUCAAAACGUGUAUGUCAAAUGUUUCUUAACAUCUACAGACGACGCUGAGGUUCAGCACACCGAGCGGUGCAUUAAGGACAUAAGCCUUCUGUGCAGCAAUGAGGACAAUCCUUAGUUUACGGACCCAGUCCGCAUAAUUGCUACUACCAACUUUCAACUAAAUUUUCUCUAGGAACAUAUCUUAACCAGUAGAACUAAAGCGCAAGCUAUGACAUAAUUUGCAAAUACCUUUUUGACUAUGUUCAUGAUAAUGAAGUUCAUCUGAUUAUGAACUUCCACUCAGAUAGACAUCCCUCUAGUCAUCUAAGUGAAACAUGAUCCGAGUUUAACUAGGCCGUGUCCGAUCAUCACGUGAGACGAACUAGUCAAGAUUGGUGAACAUCUCCAUGUUGAUCGUAUCUUCUAUACGACUCAUGCUCGACCUUUCGGUCCUCCGUGUUCCGAGGCCAUGUCUGUACAUGCUAGGCUCGUCAAGUCAACCUAAGUGUAUUGCGUGUGUUCCGAGGCCAUGUAUGUACAUGCUAGGCUCGUCAACACCCAUUGUAUUCGAACGUUAGAAUCUAUCACACCCGAUCAUCACGUGGUGCUUCGAAACAACGAACCUUCGCAACAGUGCACAGUUAGGGUGAACACUUUCUUGAAAUUAUUAUAAGGGAUCAUCCUACUUGCUACCGUCGUUCUAAGCAAAUAAGAUGCAAAAACAUGAUAAACAUCACAUGCAAUCAAAUAGUGACAUGAUAUGGCCAAUAUCAUCAUGCUCCUUUGAUCUCCAUCUUCGGGGCACCAUGAUCAUCUUUGUCACCGGCAUGACACCAUGAUCUCCAUCAUCAUGAUCUCCAUCAUUGUGUCUUCAUGAAGUCGUCACGCCAACGAUUACUUCUACUUCUAUGGCUAACGCGUUUAGCAACAAAGUAAAGUAAUUUACAUGGCGUUAUUCAAUGACACGCAGGUCAUGCAAAAUAAUAAAGACAACUCCUAUGGCUCCUGCCGGUUGUCAUACUCAUCGACAUGCAAGUCGUGAUUCCUAUUACAAGAAUAUGAUCAAUCUCAUACAUCACAUAUAUCAUUCAUCACAUCUUCUGGCCAUAUCACAUCACAUAGCACUUCCUGCAAAAACAAGUUAGACGUCCUCUAAUUGUUGUUGCAAGUUUUUUUUACGUGGUUUGUAGGUUUCUAGCAAGAACGUUUCUUACCUACGUAUGACCACAACGUGAUUUGCCAAUUUCUAUUUACCCUUCAUAAGCACCCUUUUCAUCGAAUCCGUUCCGACUAAAGUAGGAGAGACAGACACCCGCUAGCCACCUUAUGCAACUUGCGCAUGUCAGUCGGUGGAACCUGUCUCACGUAAGUGUACGUGUAAGGUCGGUCCGGGCCGCUUCAUCCUACAAUGCCGCCGAAACAAGAAAAUACUAGUAGCGGCAAGAAGAAUUGGCAAACUCAACGCCCACAACUGCUUUGUGUUCUACUCGUGCAUAGUAACUACGCAUAGACCUGGCUCUGAUACCACUGUUGGGAAUCGUAGCAUAAUAUAAAAUUUUUCUACGCUCACCAAGAUGCAUCUAUGGAGUCUACUAGCAACGAGGGGAAAGGAGUGCAUCUACAUACCCUUGUAGAUCGCGAGCGGAAGCGUUCCAAUGAACGUGGAUGACGGAGUCGUACUCGCCGUGAUCAAAAUCACCGAUGACCGAGUGCCGAACGUACGGCACCUCCGCGUUCAACACACGUACGGUGCAGCGACGUCUCCUCCUUCUUGAUCCAGCAAGGGGGGAGGAGAGGUUGAUGGAGAUCCAACAGCACGACGGCGUGGUGGUGGAUGUAGCGGGUCUCCGGCAGGGCUUCGCCGAGCUUCUGCGAGAGAGAGAGAGGUGUUGCAGGGGAGGAGGGAGGCGCCCAAGGCUGUUAUUUGCUGCCCUCCCUCCCCCCCACUAUUUAUAGGACCCCUGGGGGGGGCGCCAGCCCUUGGGAGAUCAGAUCUCCAAGGGGGGCGGCGGCCAAGUGGGGAGGAAGGGGUGCCUUGCCCCCCAAGGCAAGGGGGAAGCUCUCCCCUAGGAUUCCCAACCCUAGGCGCAUGGAGGGAGGCCCAAGGGGGCGCCCCAGCCCACUAAGGGCUGGUUCCCUUCCACUUUCAGCCCACGGGGCCCUCCGGGAUAGGUGGCCCCACCCGGUGGACCCCCGGGACCCUUCCGGUGGUCCCGGUACAAUACCGGUAACCCCCGAAACUUUCCCGGUGGCCGAAACUUGACUUCCUAUAUAUAAUUCUUCACCUCCGGACCAUUCCGGAACCUCUCGUGACGUCCGGGAUCUCAUCCGGGACUCCGAACAACUUUCGGGUUUCCGCAUACAUAUAUCUCUACAACCCUAGCGUCACCGGACCUUAAGUGUGUAGACCCUACGGGUUCGGGAGACAUGCAGACAUGACCGAGAGGCCUCUCCGGUCAAUAACCAACAGCGGGAUCUGGAUACCCAUGUUGGCUCCCACAUGUUCCAUGAUGAUCUCAUCGGAUGAACCACGGUGUCGAGGAUUCAAUCAAUCCGUAUGCAAUUCCCUUUGUCAAACGGUAUGUUACUUACCCGAGAUUCGAUCGUCGGUAUCCCAAUACCUUGUUCAAUCUCGUUACCGGCAAGUCUCUUUACUCGUACCGCAAUGCAUGAUCCCGUGACUAACGCCUUAGUCACAUUGAGCUCAUUAUGAUGAUGCAUUACCGAGUGGGCCCAGAGAUACCUCUCCGUCACACGGAGUGACAAAUCCCAGUCUCGAUCCGUGCCAACCCAACAGACACUUUCGGAGAUACCCGUAGUGCACCUUUAUAGUCACCCAGUUACGUUGUGACGUUUGGCACACCCAAAGCACUCCUACGGUAUCCGGGAGUUGCACGAUCUCAUGGUCUAAGGAAAAGAUACUUGACAUUAGAAAAGCUCUAGCGAACGAAACUACACGAUCUUUUAUGCUAUGCUUAGGAUUGGGUCUUGUCCAUCACAUCAUUCUCCUAAUGAUGUGAUCCCGUUAUCAAUGACAUCCAAUGUCCAUAGUCAGGAAACCAUGACUAUCAGUUGAUCAACGAGCUAGUCAACUAGAGGCUUACUAGGGACACGUUGUGGUCUAUAUAUUCACACAUGUAUUACGAUUUCCGGAUAACACAAUUAUAGCAUGAACAAUAGAAAAUUAUCAUGAACAAAGAAAUAUAAUAAUAACCAUUUAUUAUUGACUCUAGGGCAUAUUUCCAACAUCAAGAGCAUAAGUAUUACGGUGGGUAAACGAAUUACUGUCGAGCAAUUGAUAGAAUUGAGCAUAGUUAUGAGAAUAUCUAGGUAUGAUCAUGUAUAUAGGCAUCACGUCCGUGACAAGUAGACCGACUCCUGCCUGCAUCUACACUAUUACUCCACACAUCGACCACUAUCCAGCAUGCAUCUAGAGUAUUAAGUUCAUAAGAACGGAGUAACGCUUUUAAGCAAGAUGACAUGAUGUAGAGGGAUAAACUCAAGCAAUAUGAUAUAAACCCCAUCUUUUUAUCCUCGAUGGCAACAAUUCAAUACGUGUCGUUUCCCCUACUGUCACUGGGAUCGAGCACCGCAAGAUUGAACCCAAAGCUAAGCACUUCUCCCAUUGCAAGAAAGAUAAAUCUAGUAGGCCAAACCAAACUGAGAAUUCAAAGAGACUUGCAAAGAUAACCAAUCAUACAUAAAAGAAUUCAUAGGAGAUUCAAAUAUUGUUCAUAGAUAAUCUUGAUCAUAAACCCACAAUUCAUCGGAUCUCGACAAACACACCGCAAAAGAAGAUUACAUCGAAUAGAUCUCCAAGAAAAUCGAGGAGAACUUUGUAUUGAGAUCCAAAGAGAGAGAAGAUGUCGGAGAUAUGCCCUAGAGGCAAUAAUAAAAUGGUUAUUAUUAUAUUUCCUUGUUCAUGAUAAUUUUCUAUUGUUCAUGCUAUAAUUGUGUUAUCCGGAAAUCGUAAUACAUGUGUGAAUACAUAGACCACAACAUGUCCCUAGUGAGCCUCUAGUUGACUAGCUCGUUGAUCAACAGAUAGUCAUGGUUUCCUGACUAUGGACAUUGGAUGUCAUUGAUAACGGGAUCACAUCAUUAGGAGAAUGAUGUGAUGGACAAGACCCAAUCCUAAGCAUAGCACAAAGAUCCUGUAGUUCGUUUGCUAGAGCUUUUCCAAUGUCAAGUAUCAUUUCCUUAGACCAUGAGAUCGUGUAACUCCCAGAUGCCGUAGGAGUGCUUUGGGUGUACCAAACGUCACAACGUAACUGGGUGAAUAUAAAGGUACACUACAGGUAUCUCUGAAAGUGUCUGUUGGGUUGACACGGAUCGAGACUGCGAUUUGUCACUCCGUAUGACGGAGAGGUAUCUCUGGGCCCACUCGGUAAUGCAUCAUCAUAAUGAGCUCAAAGUGACCAAGUGGUUGGUCAUGGGAUCAUGCAUUACGGUACGAGUAAAGUGACUUGCCGGUAACGAGAUUGAACAAGGUAUUGGGAUACCGACGAUCGAAUCUCGGGCAAGUAACGUACCGAUUGACAAAGGGAAUUGUAUACGGGAUUGAUUGAAUCCUCGACAUCGUGGUUCAUCCGAUGAGAUCAUCGUGGAACAUGUGGGAGCCAACAUGGGUAUCCAGAUCCCGCUGUUGGUUAUUGACCGGAGAGUCGUCUCGGUCAUGUCUGCGUGUCUCCCGAACCCGUAGGGUCUACACACUUAAGGUUCAGUGACGCUAGGGUUGUAGAGAUAUUAGUAUGCGGUAACCCGAAAGUUGUUCGGAGUCCCGGAUGAGAUCCCGGACGUCACGAGAAGUUCCGGAAUGGUCCGGAGGUGAAGAAUUAUAUAUAGGAAGUCCAGUUUCGGCCACCGGGAAAGUUUCGGGGGGUACCGGUAUUGUACCAGGACCACCGGAAGGGUCCCGGGGGUCCACCGGGUGGGGCCACCUAUCCCGGAGGGCCCCAUGGGCUGAAGUGGGAGGGUAACCAGCCCCUGGUGGGCUGGUGCGCCCCCCUUGGGCCUCCCCCUGCGCCUAGGGUUGGAAACCCUAGGGGUGGGGGGCGCCCCACUUGGCUUGGGGGGGAAGCCACCCCCCUUGGCCGCCGCCCCCCUUGGAGAUUGCAUCUCCCAGGGCCGGCGCCCCCCAGGGGCCCUAUAUAUAGUGGGGGGGAGGGAGGGCAGCCGCACCACAGCCCCUGGCGCCUCCCUCUCCCUCCCGUGACACAUCUCCCUCCUCCCGCAGCGCUCGACGAAGCCCUGUCGGAAUCCCGCUACUUCCACCACCACACCGUCGUGCUGCUGGAUCUCCAUCAACUUCUCCUUCCCCCUUGCUAGAUCAAGAAGGAGGAGACGUCGCUGCUCCGUACGUGUGUUGAACGCAGAGGUGUCGUCCGUUCGGCGCUCGGUCAUCGGUGAUUUGGAUCACGACAACUACGACUCCAUCAACCCCGUUCACUUGAACGUUUCCGCUCGCGAUCUACAAGGGUAUGUAGAUGCACUCCUCUCUCUCGUUGCUAGAUGACUCCAUAGAUUGAUCUUGGUGAUGCGUAGAAAAUUUUAAAUUUAUGCUACGAUCCCCAACAGUGGUAUCAGAGCCAGGUUUAUGGGUAGUUUCUAUGCACGAAUAGAACACAAACUUGUUGUGGGCGUAGAUGUUGUCAAUUUUCUUGCCACUACUAGUCUUAUCUUAUUUCGGCGGCAUUGUGGGAUGAAGCGGCCCGGACCGACCUUACACGUACGCUUACAUGAGACAGGUUCCACCGACUGACAUGCACUAGUUGCAUAAGGUGGCUAGCGGGUGUCUGUCUCUCCCACUUUAGUCGGAACGGAUUCGAUGAAAAGGGUCCUUAUGAAGGGUAAAUAGAAAUUGGCAUAUCACGUUGUGGUUUUACGUAGGUAAGAAACGUUCUUGCUAGAAACCUAUAGAAGCCACGUAAAAACAUGCAACAACAAUUAGAGGACGUCUAACUUGUUUUUGCAGCAUAUGCCUUGUGAUGUGAUAUGGCCAAAAGGAUGUGAUGAAUGAGAUAUAUGUGAUGUAUGAGAUUGAUCAUGUUCUUGUAAUAGGAAUCACGACUUGCAUGUCGAUGAGUAUGACAACCGGCAGGAGCCAUAGGAGUUGUCUUUAUUUUUUGUAUGACCUGCGUGUCAUUGAAUAACGCCAUAUAAAUUAGUUUACUUUAUUGCUAAACACGUUAGCCAUAGAAGUAGAAGUAAUCGUUGGCGUGACAACUUCAUGAAGACACGAUGAUGGAGAUCAUGAUGAUGGAGAUCAUGGUGUCAUGCCGGUGACGAAGAUGAUCAUGGCACCCCGAAGAUGGAGAUCAAAGGAGCAAAAUGAUAUUGGCCAUAUCAUGUCACUAUUUGAUUGCAUGUGAUGUUUAUCAUGUUUUACAUCUUAUUUUCUUAGAACGACGAUAGCUUAAAUAAUAUGAUCCCUCACAAUAAUUUCAAGAAAGUGUUCCCCCUAACUGUGCACCGUUGCGAAGGUUCGCUGUUUUGAAGCACCACGUGAUGAUCGGGUGUGAUAGAUUCUAACGUUCGAAUACAACGGGUGUAAGCCAGAUUUACAAACGCAAUACACUUAGGUUGACUUGACGAGCCUAGCAUGUACAGACAUGGCCUCGGAACACGGAAGACCGAAAGGUCGAGCAUGAGUCGUAUAGAAGAUACGAUCAACAUGAAGAUGUUCACCGAUGUUGACUAGUCCGUCUCACGUGAUGAUCGGACACGGCCUAGUUGACUCGGAUCAUGUUUCACUUAGAUGACUAGAGGGAUGUCUAUCUGAGUGGGAGUUCAUUGAAUAAUUUGAUUAGAUGAACUUAAUUAUCAUGAACUUAGUCUAAGAUCUUUACAAUAUGUCUUGUAGAUCAAAUGGCCCACGUUGCCCUCAACUUCAACGCGUUCCAAGAGAAAACCAAGCUGAAAGAUGAUGGCAGCAACUAUGCGGACUGGGUCCGGAACCUGAGGAUCAUCCUCAUAGUUGCCAAGAAAGAUUAUGUCCUAGAAGCACCGCUAGGUGAAGCACCCAUCCCAGAGAACCAAGACGUUAUGAAUGCUUGGCAAUCACGUGCUGAUGAUUACUCCCUUGUUCAGUGUGGUAUGCUUUACAGCUUAGAACCGGGGCUCCAAAAGCGUUUUGAGCAACACGGAGCAUAUGAGAUGUUCGAAGAGCUGAAAAUGGUUUUCCAAGCUCAUGCCCGGGUCAAGAGAUAUGAAGUCUCCGACAAGUUCUUCAGUUGUAAGAUGGAGGAAAACAGUUCUGUCAGUGAGCACAUACUCAAAAUGUCUGGGUUGCACAACCGCUUGACUCAGCUGGGAGUUAAUCUCCCGGAUGACGCGGUCAUUGACAGAAUCCUUCAGUCGCUUCCACCAAGCUACAAGAGCUUUGUGAUGAACUUCAAUAUGCAGUGGAUGGAAAAGACCAUUCCUGAGGUAUAUUCAAUGCUGAAAUCAGCGGAGGUGGAGAUCAGAAAGGAACAUCAAGUGUUGAUGGUGAAUAAAACCACUAAGUUCAAGAAAGGCAAGGGUAAGAAGAACUUCAAGAAGGACGGCAAGGGAGUUGCCGCACCCGGUAAGCCAGUUGCCGGGAAGAAGCCAAAGAAUGGACCCAAGCCUGAGACUGAGUGCUUUUAUUGCAAGGGAAGUGGUCACUGGAAGCGGAACUGCCCCAAAUACUUAGCGGACAAGAAGGCCGGCAACACCAAAGGUAUAUGUGAUAUACAUGUAAUUGAUGUGUAGCUUACCAGUACUCGUAGUAGCUCCUGGGUAUUUGAUACCGGCGCGGUUGCUCAUAUUUGUAACUCAAAACAGGAGCUGCGGAAUAAGCGGAGACUUGCGAAGGACGAGGUGACGAUGCGCGUCGGGAAUGGUUCCAAGGUCGAUGUGAUCGCCGUCGGCACGCUACCUCUACAUUUACCUACGGGAUUAGUUUUAAACCACAAUAAUUGUUAUUUAGUGCCAGCUUUGAGCAUGAACAUUGUAUCAGGAUCUCGUUUAAUGCGAGAUGGCUACUCAUUUAAAUCCGAGAAUAAUGGUUGUUCUAUUUAUAUGAGAGAUAUGUUUUAUGGUCAUGCCCCGCUGGUCAAUGGUUUAUUCUUAAUGAAUCUCGAACGUGAUGUUACACAUAUUCAUAGUGUGAAUACCAAAAGAUGUAAAGUUGAUAACGAUAGUCCCACAUACUUGUGGCACUGCCGCCUUGGUCACAUUGGUGUCAAGCGCAUGAAAAGCUCCAUGCAGAUGGACUUUUGGAGUCUCUUGAUUACGAAUCAUUUGACACGUGCGAACCAUGCCUCAUGGGUAAGAUGACCAAGACUCCGUUCUCCGGAACAAUGGAGCGAGCAACCAACUUAUUGGAAAUCAUACAUACUGAUGUGUGCGGUCCAAUGAGUGUUGAGGCUCGCGGUGGCUAUCGUUAUGUUCUCACUCUCACUGAUGACUUGAGUAGAUAUGGGUAUGUCUACCUAAUGAAACACAAGUCUGAAACCUUUGAAAAGUUCAAGGAAUUUCAGAGUGAGGUUGAGAAUCAACGUGACAGGAAAAUAAAGUUCUUACGAUCAGAUCGUGGAGGAGAAUAUUUGAGUCACGAAUUUGGCACACACUUAAGGACAUGUGGAAUAGUUUCACAACUCACGCCGCCUGGAACACCUCAGCGAAAUGGUGUGUCCGAACGUCGUAAUCGCACUCUAUUGGAUAUGGUGCGAUCUAUGAUGUCUCUUACCGAUCUACCGCUCUCAUUUUGGGGCUAUGCUUUAGAGACUGCCGCAUUCACUUUAAAUAGGGCUCCGUCGAAAUCCGUUGAGACGACACCGUAUGAAUUAUGGUUUGGGAAGAAACCUAAGCUGUCGUUUCUAAAAGUUUGGGGAUGCAAUGCUUAUGUCAAGAAGCUUCAACCUGAAAAGCUCGAACCCAAGUCGGAAAAAUGCGUCUUCAUAGGAUACCCUAAGGAAACCAUUGGGUAUACCUUCUACCUCAGAUCCGAAGGCAAAAUCUUUGUUGCCAAGAACGGGUCCUUCCUGGAGAAAGAGUUUCUCUUGAAAGAAGUGAGUGGGAGGAAAGUGGAACUUGAUGAGGUGAUAGUCACCCCUUCUGAACCGGAAAGUAGCGCAACGCGGGAAGAUAUUCCUGUGGUGCUUGCACCGACUGGGGAGGAAGUUAAUGAUGAUGAUCAUGAAGCUUCAGAUCAAGUUACUGCUGAACUUCGUAGGUCCACAAGGACACGUUCCGCACCAGAGUGGUACGGCAACCCUGUCAUGGAAAUCAUGUUGUUAGACAACGGUGAACCUUCAAACUAUGAAGAAGCGAUGGCGGGCCCGGAUUCCAACAAAGGCUUGAAGCCAUGCAAUCCGAGAUAGGAUCCAUGUAUGAAAACGAAGUAUGGACUUUGACUGACUUGCCCGAUGAUCGGCGAGCCAUAGAAAAUAAAUGGAUCUUUAAGAAGAAGACAGACGCGGAUGGUAACGUGACCAUCUAUAAGGAUCGACUUGUCGCUAAGGGUUAUCGACAAGUUCAAGGGGUUAACUACGACGAGACUUUCUCACCCGUAGCGAAGCUGAAGUCCGUCCGAAUCAUGUUAGCAAUUGCCGCAUUCUAUGAUUAUGAGAUAUGGCAAAUGGACGUCAAAACGACAUUCCUUAACGGCUUUCUUAAGGAAGAAUUGUAUAUGAUGCAGCCGGAAGGUUUUGUCGAUCCUAAGAAUGCAAACAAGGUAUGCAAGCUCCAGCGCUCCAUCUAUGGGCUGUUGCAAGCAUCUCGGAGUUGGAACAUUUGAUUUGAUGAGAUGAUCAAAGCGUUUGGGUUUACACAGACUUAUGGAGAAGCCUGUGUUUACAAGAAAGUGAGUGGGAGCUCUGUAACAUUUCUCUUAUUAUAUGUGGAUGACAUACUAUUGAUGGGAAAUGAUAUAGAAUUCUUGGAAAGUAUAAAGGCCUAUUUGAAUAAGUGUUUUUCAAUGAAGGACCUUGGAGAAGCUGCUUAUAUAUUAGGCAUCAAGAUCUAUAGAGAUAGAUCAAGACGCCUCAUUGGUCUUUCACAGAGUACGUACCUUGACAAGAUAUUGAAGAAGUUCAAUAUGGAUCAGUCCAAGAAGGGGUUCUUGCCUGUAUUGCAAGGUGUGCAAUUGAGCACGGCUUAAUGCCCGACCACGGCAGAAGAUAGAGAAAAGAUGAGUGGCAUCCCCUAUGCUUCGGCCAUAGGGUUUAUUAUGUAUGCCAUGCUGUGUACCAGACCUGAUGUAAACCUUGCCGCAAGUUUGGUAGGAAGGUACCAAAGUAAUCCCGGCAUGGAACACUGGACAGCAGUCAAGAAUAUCCUGAAGUACCUGAAAAGGACUAAGGAUAUGUUUCUCGUAUAUGGAGGUGACGAAGAGCUCGUCGUAAAGGGUUACGUCGACGCUAGCUUCGACACAGAUCUGGAUGACUCGAAGUCACAAACCGGAUACGUGUAUAUUUUGAAUGGAGGGGCAGUAAGCUGGUGCAGUUGCAAGCAAAGCGUCGUGGCGGGAUCUACAUGUGAAGCGGAGUACAUGGCGGCCUCAGAGGCAGCGCAAGAAGCAAUCUGGAUGAAGGAGUUCAUUACUGACCUAGGGGUGAUUCCCAAUGCGUCGGGCCUGAUGACUCUCUUCUGCGACAACACUGGAGCUAUUGCCCUUGCCAAGGAGCCCAGGUUUCACAGGAAGACCAGGCAUAUCAAGCGUCGCUUCAACUCCAUUCGUGAAAGUGUUCAAAAUGGAGACAUAGAUAUUUGUAAAGUACAUACGGACCUGAAUGUAGCAGAUCCGUUGACUAAACCUCUCCCUAGAGCAAAACAUGAUCAACACCAGAACUCUAUGGGUGUUCGAUUCAUCACAAUGUAACUAGAUUAUUGACUCUAGUGCAAGUGGGAGACUGUUGGAGAUAUGCCCUAGAGGCAAUAAUAAAAUGGUUAUUAUUAUAUUUCCUUGUUCAUGAUAAUUGUCUAUUGUUCAUGCUAUAAUUGUGUUAUCCGGAAAUCGUAAUACAUGUGUGAAUACAUAGACCACAACAUGUCCCUAGUGAGCCUCUAGUUGACUAGCUCGUUGAUCAACAGAUAGUCAUGGUUUCCUGACUAUGGACAUUGGAUGUCAUUGAUAACGGGAUCACAUCAUUAGGAGAAUGAUGUGAUGGACAAGACCCAAUCCUAAGCAUAGCACAAAGAUCGUGUAGUUCGUUUGCUAGAGCUUUUCCAAUGUCAAGUAUCAUUUCCUUAGACCAUGAGAUCGUGUAACUCCCGGAUGCCGUAGGAGUGCUUUGGGUGUACCAAACGUCACAACGUAACUGGGUAACUAUAAAGGUACACUACAGGUAUCUCUGAAAGUGUCUGUUGGGUUGACACGGAUCGAGACUGCGAUUUGUCACUCCGUAUGACGGAGAGGUAUCUUUGGGCCCACUCGGUAAUGCAUCAUCAUAAUGAGCUCAAAGUGACCAAGUGGUUGGUCACGGGAUCAUGCAUUACGGUACGAGUAAAGUGACUUGCCGGUAACGAGAUUGAACAAGGUAUUGGGAUACCGACGAUCGAAUCUCGGGCAAUUAACGUACCGAUUGACAAAGGGAAUUGUAUACGGGAUUGAUUGAAUCCUCGACAUCGUGGUUCAUCCGAUGAGAUCAUCGUGGAACAUGUGGGAGCCAACAUGGGUAUCCAGAUCCUGCUGUUGGUUAUUGACCGGAGAGUCGUCUCGGUCAUGUCUGCGUGUCUCCCGAACCCGUAAGGUCUACACACUUAAGGUUCGGUGAUGCUAGGGUUGUAGAGAUAUUAGUAUGCGGUAACCUGAAAGUUGUUCGGAGUCCCAGAUGAGAUCCCGGACGUCACGAGGAGUUCAGGAAUGGUCCGGAGGUGAAGAAUUAUAUAUAGGAAGUCCAGUUUCGGCCACCGGGAAAGUUUCGGGGGUUACCGGUAUUGUACCGGGACCACCGGAAGGGUCCCGGGGGUCCAUCGGGUGGGGCCACCUAUCCCGAAGGGCCCCAUGGGCUGAAGUGGGAGGGGAACCAUCCCCUGGUGGGCUGGUGCGCCCCCCUUGGGCCUCCCCCUGCGCCUAGGGUUGGAAACCCUAGGGGUGGGGGGCGCCCUACUAGGCUUGGGGGGGGAAGCCACCCCCCUUGGCCGCCGCCCCCCUUGGAGAUUGCAUCUCCCAGGGCCGGCGGCCCCCCAGGGGCCCUAUAUAUAGUGGGGGGAGGGAGGGCAGCCGCACCACAGCCCCUGGCGCCUCCCUCUCCCUCCCGUGACACAUCUCCCUCCUCCCACAGCGCUCGGCAAAGCCCUGUCGGAAUCCCGCUACUUCCACCACCACGCCGUCGUGCUGCUGGAUCUCCAUCAACCUCUCCUUCCCCCUUGCUGGAUCAAGAAGGAGGAGACGUCGCUGCUCCGUACGUGUGUUGAACGUGGAGGUGCCGUCCGUUCGGCGCUCGGUCAUCGGUGAUUUGGAUCACGACUAGUACGACUCCAUCAACCCCGUUCACUUGAACGCUUCCGCUCGCGAUCAGAAGGUAUGUAGAUGCACUCCUCUCUCUCGUUGCUAGAUGACUCCAUAGAUUGAUCUUGGUGAUGCGUAGAAAAUUUUAAAUUAUGCUACGAUCCCCAACAGAAGAAGCCAUCUAGCUAAUAACUAUGGACCCAAAGGUCUGAAGUAAACUACUCACACUUCAUCGAAGAGGCUAUGGUGUUGAUGUAGAAGCCCUCCGUGAUCAAUGCCCCCUCCGGCAGAGCGCCGGAAAAGGCCCCAAGAUGGGAUCUCACGGGUACAGAGAGUUGCGGUAGAAAUAGGGUUUUCGCUCCGUAUCUGAUGUUUCCAGGGUAUAUGAGUAUAUAUAGGCGAAAGAGGUCGGUCAUGAGAGCUACGAGGGGCCCACGAGGGUGGGGGGCGCGCCUCCCUGCCUCGUGGCCUCCUCGUCGAUUGCUUACGUCCACUCCAAGUCCUCUGGAUCACGUUUGUUCCGAAAAUCACGUUCCCGAAGGUUUCAUUCCGUUUGGACUACGUUUGAUAUCCUUUUCCUUCGAAACACUGAAAUAGGCAAAAAAAAAUAGCAAUUUGGGUUGGGCCUCCGGUUAAUAGGUUAGUCCCAAAAAUAAUAUAAAAGUGUAUAAUAAAGCCCAUUAAACAUCCAAACAGAAUAUAUAAUAGCAUGGAACAAUAAAAAAUUAUAGAUACGUUGGAGACGUAUCAAGCAUCCCCAAGCUUAAUUCCCGCUCGUCCUCGAGUAGGUAAAUGAUAAAAACAUAAUUUUUGAUGUGGAGUGCUACUUAGCAUAAUUUUCAAUGUAAUUCUCUUAAUUGUGGCAUGAAUAUUCAGAUCCGAAAGAUUCAAGAUAAAAGUUUAAUAUUGACAUAAAAUAAUAAUACUUCAAGUAUACUAACUAAGCAAUUAUGUCUUCUCAAAAUAACAUGGCCAAAGAAAGUUCAUCCCUACAAAAUCAUAUAGUUUGGUCAUGCUCCAUUUUCGUCACACAAGAAUGCUCUCAUCAUGCACAACCCCGAUGACAAGCCAAGCAAUUGUUUCAUACUUUAGUAAUCUCAAACUUUUUCAACCUUCACGCAAUAUAUGAGCGUCAGCCAUGGAUAUAGCACUAUGGGUGGAAUAGAAUAUGAUGAUGGGGGUUAUGUGGAGAAGACAAAAAGGAGAAAGUCUCACAUUGACGCGACUAAUCAACGGGCUAGGGAGAUGCCCAUCAAAUGAUGUCAAUGCAAGGAGUAGGGAUUGCCAUGCAACGGAUGCACUAGAGCUAUAAAUGUAUGAAAGCUCAACAAAAGAAACUAAGUGGGUGUGCAUCCAACUUGCUUGCUCACGAAGACCUAGGGCAUUUGAGGAAGCCCAUUGUUGGAAUAUACAAGCCAAGUUCUAUAAUGAAAAAUUCCCACUAGUAUAUGAAAGUGACAAAACAAAAGACUUUCUAUCAUAAAGAUCAUGAUGCUACUUUGAAGCACAAGUGUGGAAAAAGGAUAGUAGCAUUGCCCCUUUUUAUUUUCUUUUUUUCUUUUUUUUGGGCCUUUCCCUUUUUUGGCCUUUUUUUUUGGGACAAUGCUCUAUGAAUGAUGAUCAUCACACUUCUAUUUAUUUACAACUCAAUGAUUACAACUCGAUACUAGAACAAAGUAUGACUCUAUAUAAAUGCCUCCGGCGGUGUAUCGGGAUGGGCAAUGAAUCAAGAGUGACAUGUAUGAAAUAAUAUGCAUGGUGGCUUUGCCACAAAUACGAUGUCAACUACAUGAUCAUGCAAGGCAAUAUGACAAUGAUGAAGCGUGUCAUGAUAAACGGAAUGGUGGAAAUUUGCAAGGUAAUAUAUCUCGGAAUGGCUAUGGAAAUGCCAUAAUAGGUAGGUAUGGUGGCUGUUUUGAGGAAGAUAUAAGGAAGUUUAUGUGUGAUAGAGCGUAUCAUAUCACGGGGUUUGGAUGCACCGGCGAAGUUUGCGCCAACUCUCAAGGUGAGAAAGGGCAAUGCACGGUACCGAAGAGGCUAGCAAUGAUGGAAGGGUGAGAGUGCGUAUAAUCCAUGGACUCAGCAUUAGUCAUAAAGAACUCACAUACUUAUUGCAAAAAUCUACAAGUCAUCAAAAACCAAGCACUGCACGCAUGCUCCUAGGGGGGUAGAUUGGUAGGAAAAGGCCAUCGCUCGUCCCCGACCGCCACUCAUAAGGAGGACAAUCAAAGAACACCUCAUGUUUCAAAUUUGUUACACAACGUUUACCAUACGUGCAUGCUACGGGACUUGCAAACUUCAACACAAGUAUUUAUCAAAUUCACAAUUACUCAACUAGCACAACUUUAAUAUCACUACCUCCAUAUCUCAAAACAAUCAUCAACCAUCAAACUUAUCUUAGUAUUCAACGCACUUAUAAGAAAGUUUUUACUAAUCUUGGAUGCCUAUCAUAUUAGGACUAAUUUCACAAUUUAAGCAAAUUAUCAUGCUGUUUUGUAGGACUCUCAAAAUAAUAUAAGUGAAGCAUGAGAGAACAAUAAUUUCUAUAAAACAAAACCACCACCGUGCUCUAAAAGAUAUAAGUGAAGCACUAGAGCAAAAACUAUAUAGCUCAAAAGAUAUAAGUGAAGCACAUAGAGUAUUCUAAUAAAUUCCGAUUCAUGUGUGUCUCUCCCAAAAGGUGUGUACAUCAAGGAAGAUUGUGCUAAACUAAAAAGCAAAGACUCAAAUCAUACAAGACGCUCCAAGCAAAACACAUAUCAUGUGGUGAAUAAAAUAUAGCAUCAAGUAAAGUUACCGAUGGACGAAGACGAAAGAGGGGAUGCCUUCCGGGGCAUCCCCAAGCUUAGGCUUUUGGUUGUCCUUUAAUUUUACCUUGGGGUGCCUUGGGCAUCUCCAAGCUUAGGCUCUUGCCAAUCCUUUUUCCAAAAUCCAUCAAAUCUUUACCCAAAACUUGAAAACUUCACAACACAAAACUCAACAGAAAAUCUCAUGAGCUCCGUUAGCGAAAGAAAACAAAACACCACUUCAAGGUACUGUAAUAAACUCAUUAUUUAUUUAUAUUGGUGUUAAACCCACUGUAUUCCAACUUCUCUAUGGUUUAUAGACUCUUUUACUAACCAUGGACUCAUCAAAAUAAGCAAACAACACAUGAAAAACAGAAUCUGUCAAAAACAGAACAGUCUGUAGUAAUCUGUAUCUAACGCAAACUUCUGUAACUCAGAAAAAUCUACCAAAAUAGGAAGUCCUAGAUAAUUUGUUUAUUGAUCUACUGCAAUUGGAAUCAGUAUUUUAUCACGUUCUGGUGAUUUUUAACAAUUGUUUUUGUGAACAGAAAGUUUCUGAAAUUUUGAGCAAGACCAAAUAACUAUCAUCCAAGAAGAUCCUAUAGGUUUAACUUGGCACAAACACGAAUUAAAACAUAAAAACACAUCUAACCAGAAGCUAGAUGGAUUAUUUAUUGCUAAAAAGCAAGUAAAAAUAUUGGGUUGUCUCCCAACAAGCGCUUUUCUUUAAAGCCUUUUUAGCUAGGCAUUGAGAUUUCAAUGAUGCUCACAAGAAAGACAAGAAUUGAAGCACAAAGAGAGCAUCAUAAAACACGUGACAAACACAUCUAAGUCUAACAUACUUCCUAUGCAUAGGCAUCUUAUAGGAAAACAAAUUAUCAAGGCAAGCAAAAACUAGCAUAUGCAAGGAAGCGGAAAGAAACAAAAGCAAUCUCAACAUAACGAGAGGUAAUUUAGUAACAUGAAAAUUUCUACAACCAUACUUUCCUCUCUCAUAAUAAUUACAUGUAGGAUCAUAAGCAAAUUCAACAAUAUAGCUAUCACAAAACAUAUGCUUACCACGAUCCACAUGUAUGCAAAGUUGACACUCUUCCAAAAUAGUGGGAUUAACAUUAGCUAAAGUCAUGACCUCUCCAAACCCACUUUUAUCAAAAACUUCAUAAGAUUGAUCAAAAUCCAAAUAUGUGGGAUCUAAAGUUGACACUCUUCCAAACCCACCUUCAAUACUAUUGUAAACAUUAUUAUCAAUCUCAUAUUCAUCAUGGGGCUUAAAUAAAUUUGCAAGAUCAUAAGAAGAAUCACCCCAAUCAUGAUCAUUGCAACAAGUAGUGGACCUAGCAAAACUAGCAUCCCCAAGCUUAGGGUUUUGCAUAUUAUUAGCACAAUUGACAUUAAUAGAAUUUAUAAUAACAUCAUUGCAAUCAUGCUUUUCAUCGAAGGAACUAUCAAGUAUGGGUGCAAUAGCAACGAUCUCAUGUUUAACAUAUGAGACUAUAGCAAAUUCAUCUUUAUAAAUAUUGGCAUCAUGGCCACAAGAAUAGAAAGCAUCAUGUUCAUCAGGGGAUAUUUCAAUCAAAUCAUCAGACUCAUAAUUAUCUAUAGAUUCAUGCAUAUCAUUAUUUUCUUCCUCCAUAGACUCCUGCAAAAUAUUAGUCUCUUCUAGGACAGCGGAGGAGUCCUCAAUAUAUGGUUUAACAUAGGCAUUGGAAGCAUAAUUAUCAUAACAAUAUUUAAGUAUGGCAAAAUUUUCAGAUUUGUAAAGAGUAGCAUCAUAUGUUUCAAUCAAAGAAGCAAUUUCAUAAGCACACUUAAAAGCAACAAAUUCUUCAAUUUGUUGAACAUCAUAGUAAUUAUAAACACCCUUAGCAUACGAAGGUACGAUUCCAUUAUCACUAAACUCACAUUGGUAGGGAAGGUGUUUCUUAAUGUUUUCAGAGCAACAAGUAAAAUCAUAAAUUUCACAAAGAUUCCAAGCAUAACAAAUCAAUCUGUUUAUUUGAUCCCAUAAGAGUCUCCCCUUUUCAGACAAACGAUGACGCACAAAAUGAGCAUGCUCAUCUAAAGAUUUCCCAUCAACUAAGCUAGUUGGGGUUUCAGUACGAGCGCAUAAGGAUCAAAGAUGAUCCAAGUAGAACACUUUAAGUGGAUCCAUAUCAAUAGAUUUUUAGCAAGCAAAGAUGCAAGCAAAUAGAAGGCACGUGGAAACACAAACAGAAAGGCAUACGGGAAGAAGGCGAAUAAAACGGCAAGGGUGAAGUGGGGGAGAUGAAAACGAGAGGCAAAUGGAAAAUAAUGUAAUGCGAGGGAUAAGAUUUUGUGAUGGGUACUUGGUAGUCUUGACUUGUGUGUAGACUCCCCGGCAACGUCGCCAGAAAUGGCUCGUUGACGGGAAAUCAAAUCUUGACUUGACUUGGUGUGCACCUCCCCGGCAACGGCGCCAGAAAUCCUUCUUGCUACCUCUUGAGCACUGCGUUGGUUUUCCCUUGAAGAGGAAAGGGUGCUGCAGUAAAGUAGCGUAAGUAUUUCCCUCAGUUUUUGAGAACCAAGGUAUCAAUCCAGUAGGAGACCACGCUCAAGUCCCACGCACCUACACAAACAAAUAAGAACCUUGCAACCAACGCGAUAAAGGGGUUGUCAAUCCCUACACGGCCACUUGCAAAAGUGAGAUCUGAUAGCGAUGAUAAGAUAAUAUUUUUGGUAUUUUUAUGAUAAAGAGUAAAAGUAAAGAAUGCAAAGUAAAAUAAAUGACGACAGAAAUAGCUAGUUGACAGGAGAUUAAUAUGAUAGAAAAUAGACUCGGGGGCCAUAGGUUUCACUAGUGGCUUCUCUCAAGAGCAUAAGUAUUACGGUGGGUAAACGAAUUACUGUCGAGCAAUUGAUAGAAUUGAGCAUAGUUAUGAGAAUAUCUAGGUAUGAUCAUGUAUAUAGGCAUCACGUCCGUGACAAGUAGACCGACUCCUACCUGCAUCUACUACUAUUACUGCACACAUCAACCGCUAUCCAGCAUGCAUCUAGAGUAUUAAGUUCAUAAGAACGGAGUAACGCUUUAAGCAAGAUGACAUGAUGUAGAGGGAUAAACUCAAGCAAUAUGAUAUAAACCCCAUCUUUUUAUCCUCGAUGGCAACAAUUCAAUACAUGUCGUUUCCCCUACUGUCACUGGGAUCGAGCACCGCAAGAUUGAACCCAAAGCUAAGCACUUCUCCCAUUGCAAGAAAGAUCAAUCUAGUAGGCCAAACCAAACUGAUAAUUCGAAGAGACUUGCAAAGAUAACCAAUCAUACAUAAAAGAAUUCAAAGGAGACUCAAAUAUUGUUCAUAGAUAAUCUUGAUCAUAAACCCACAAUUCAUCGGAUCUCGACAAACACACCGCAAAAGAAGAUUACAUCGAAUAGAUCUCCAAGAGAAUCGAGGAGAACUUUGUAUUGAGAUCCAAAGAGAGAGAAGAAGCCAUCUAGCUAAUAACUAUGGACCCGAAGGUCUAAGGUAAACUACUCACACAUCAUCGGAGAGGCUAUGGUGUUGAUGUAGAAGCCCUCCGUGAUCAAUGCCCCCUCCAGCAGAGCGCCGGAAAAGGCCCCAAGAUGGGAUCUCACGUGUACAGAGAGUUGCGGUGGUGGAAAUAGGGUUUUUGCUCCGUAUCUGAUGUUUCCAGGGUAUAUGAGUAUAUAUAGGCGAAAGAGGUCGGUCAGGAGAGCUAUGAGGGGCCCACGAGGGUGGGGGCGCGCCUCCCUGCCUCGUGGCCUCCUCAUCGAUUGCUUGACGUCCACUCCAAGUCCUCUGGAUCACGUUUGUUCCGAAAAUCACGUUCCCGAAGGUUUCAUUCCGUUUGGACUCCGUUUGAUAUCCUUUUCCUUCGAAACACUGAAAUAGGCAAAAAAAACAACAAUUUGGGCUGGGCCUCCGGUUAAUAGGUUAGUCCCAAAAAUAAUAUAAAAGUGUAUAAUAAAGCCCAUUAAACAUCCAAAACAGAAUAUAUAAUAGCAUGGAACAAUCAAAAAUUAUAGAUACGUUGGAGACGUAUCAAUAUCACAUAUACCUUUGUUCACCUUGCCAUCCUUCUUUAUCCGCCAAAUACUUGGGGCAGUUCCGCUUCCAGUGACCAGUGCCUUUGCAGUAGAAGCACUCAGUCUCAGGCUUAGGUCCAGACUUGGGCUUCUUCACUUGAGCAGCAACUUGCUUGCCGUUCUUCUUGAAGUUCCCCUUCUUCCCUUUACCUUUUUCUUGAAACGGGUGGUCUUGUUGACCAUCAACACUUGAUGCUCCUUCUUGAUUUCUACCUCCGCAGCCUUUAGCAUUGCGAAGAGCUCGGGAAUUAUCUUAUCCAUCCCUUGCAUGUUAUAGUUCAUCACAAAGCUCUUGUAGCUUGGUGGCAGUGAUUGAAGAAUUCUAUCAAUGAAACUAUCAUUAGGAAGAUUAACUCCCAGUUGAAUCAAGUGUUUGUUAUACCCAGACAUUUUGACUAUAUGCUCACUGACAGAACUAUUCUCCUCCAUCUUGCAGCUGUAGAACUUAUUGGAGACUUCAUAUCUCUCAAUCCGGGCAUUUGCUUGAAAUAUUAACUUCAACUCCUGGAACAUCUCAUAUGCUCCAUGACGUUCAAAACGUCGUUGAAGUCCCGGUUCUAAGCCGUAAAGCAUGGCACACUGAACUAUCGAGUAGUCAUCAGCUUUGCUCUGCCAGCCGUUCAUAACAUCUGGUGUUGCUCCUGCAGCGGGUUUGGCACCUAGCGGUGCUUCCAGGACGUAAUUCUUCUGUGCAACAAUGAGGAUAAUCCUCAAGUUAUGGACCCAGUCUGUGUAGUUGCUACCAUCAUCUUUCAACUUAGCUUUCUCUAGGAACGCAUUAAAAUUCAACGGAACAACAGCACGGGCCAUCUAUCUACAACAACAUAGACAUGUAAAAUACUAUCAGGUACUAAGUUCAUGAUAAAUUAAAGUUCAAUUGAUCAAAUUACUUCAGAACUCCCACUUAGAUAGACAUCCCUCUAAUCACCUAAGUGAUCACGUGAUCCAUAUCAACUAAACCAUGUCCGAUCAUCACGUGAGAUGGAGUAGUUUUAAAUGGUGAACAUCACUAUGUUGAUCAUAUCUACUAUAUGAUUCACGCUCGACCUUUCGGUCUCAGUGUUCCGAGGCCAUAUCUGCAUAUGCUAGGCUCGUCAAGUUUAACCCGAGUAUUCUGCGUGUGCAAAACUGGCUUGCACCCGUUGUAUGUGAACAUAGAGCUUAUCACACCCGAUCAUCACGUGGUGUCUCGGCACGACGAACUUUCGCAACGGUGCAUACUCAGGGAGAACACUUAUACCUUGAAAUUUAGUGAGAGAUCAUCUUAUAAUGCUACCAUCGAUCUAAGCAAAAUAAGAUGCAUAAGGAUAAACAUCACAUGCAAUCAAUAUAAGUGAUAUGAUAUGGCCAUAAUCAUCUUGUGCCUUUGAUCUCCAUCUCCAAAGCACCGUCAUGAUCACCAUCGUCACCGGCGCGACACCUUGAUCUUCAUCGUAGCAUCGUUGUCGUCUCGCCAACUAUUGCUUCUACGACUAUCGCUGCCGCUUAGUGAUAUAGUAAAGCAAUUACAUGGCGAUUGCAUUUCAUACAAUAAAGCGACAACCAUAUGGCUCAUGCCAGUUGCCGAUAACUUUGUUACAAAACAUGAUCAUCUCAUACAAUAAAAUUUAGCAUCACGUCUUGACCAUAUCACAUCACAACAUGCCCAGCAAAAACAAGUUAGACGUCCUCUACUUUGUUGUUGCAAGUUUUACGUGGCUGCUACGGGCUGAGCAAGAACCGUUCUUACCUACGCAUCAAAACCACAACGAUGUUUCGUCAAGUAUGUGUUGUUUUAACCUUCAACAAGGACCGGGCGUAGCCAUACUCGAUUCAACUAAAGUUGGAGAAACUGACACCCGCCAGCCACCUGUGUGCGAAGCACGUCGGUAGAACCAGUCGCGCGUAAGCGUACGCGUAAUGUCGGUUCGGGCCGCUUCAUCCAACAAUACCGCCGAAUCAAAGUAUGACAUGCUGGUAAGCAGUAUGACUAGUAUCACCCAUAACUCACUUGUGUUCUACUCAUGCAUAUAACAUCUACGCAUAAAUCUGGCUCGGAUGCCACUGUUGGGGAACGUAGUAAUUCAAAAAAAAUCCUACGCACACGCAGGAUCAUGGUGUUGCAUAGCAACGAGAGGGGAGAGUGUUGUCCACGUACCCUCGUAGACCGUAAGCGAAAGCGUUAUGACAACGCGGUUGACGUAGUCGUACGUCUUCACGAUCAACCGAUCCUAGUACCAAACGUAUGGCACUUCCGCGAUCUGCACACGUUCAUCUCGGUGAUGUCCCACGAACUCACGAUCCAGCAGACUGUCGAGGGAGAGUUUCGUCAGCACGACGGCGUGAUGACGGUGAUGAUGAAGCUACCGGCGCAGGGCUUCGCCUAAGCACUGCAACGAUAUGACUGAUGUCUACUACGCAACCUUCUUCUUGUAGACAUUGUUGGGCCUCCAAGUGCAGAGGUUUGUAGGACAGUAGCAAAUUUCCCUCAAGUGGAUGACCUAAGGUUUAUCAAUCCAUGGGAGGCGUAGGUUGAAGAUGGUCUCUCUCAAACAACCCUGCAACCGAAUAACAAAGAGUCUCUUGUGUCCCCAACACACCCAAUACAAUGGUAAAUUGUAUAGGUGCACUAGUUCCGCGAAGAGAUGGUGAUACAAGUGCAAUAUGGAUGGUAGAUAUAGGUUUUUGUAAUCUGAAAAUAUAAAAACAGCAAGGUAACUAAUGAUAAAAGUGAGCACAAACGGUAUUGCAAUGCUAGAAAACAAGGCCUAGGGUUCAUACUUUCACUAGUGCAAGUUCUUUCAACAAUAAUAACAUAAUUGGAUCAUAUAACUAUCCCUCAACAUGCAACAAAGAGUCACUCCAAAGUCACUAAUAGCGGAGAACAAAUGAAGAGAUUAUUGUAGGGUACGAAACCACCUCAAAGUUAUCCUUUCUGAUCGAUCUAUUCAAGAGUCCGUAGUAAAAUAACACGAAGCUAUUCUUUCCGUUCGAUCUAUCAUAGAGUUCGUACUAGAAUAACACCUUAAGACACAAAUCAACCAAAACCCUAAUGUCACCUAGAUACUCCAAUGUCACCUCAAGUAUCCGUGGGUAUGAUUAUACGAUAUGCAUCACACAAUCUCAGAUUCAUCUAUUCAACCAACACAAAGAACUUCAAAGAGUGCCCCAAAGUUUCUACCGGAGAGUCAAGACGAAAACGUGUGCCAACCCCUAUGCAUAGAUUCCCAAGGUCACGGAACCCGCAAGUUGAUCACCAAAACAUACAUCAAGUGAAUCAAUAGAAUACCCCAUUGUCACCACGGGUAUCCCACGCAAGACAUACAUCAAGUGUUCUCAAAUCCUUAAAGACUCAAUCCGAUAAGAUAACUUCAAAGGGAAAACUCAAUCCAUUACAAGAGAGUAGAGGGGGAGAAACAUCAUAAGAUCCAACUAUAAUAGCAAAGCUCGCGAUACAUCAAGAUCGUGCCAAAUCAAGAACACGAGAGAGAGAGAUCAAACACAUAGCUACUGGUACAUACCCUCAGCCCCGAUGGUGAACUACUCCCUCCUCGUCAUGGAGAUCACCGGGGUGAUGAAGAUGGCCACCAGAGAGGGAUUCCCCCCUCCAGCAGGGUGCCAUCUCCUCCGAUUGGGCGAUGGCGAACUUCGCCUUCGCCUGCUCCAUGUUGAAGCCCGACAACUCCUGCUCCGGCGACUCCGCCUCCUCCACCUCCAUCGGAGCCAACUCCUAUUCCUUUUCCCUCAGCUGCCCCUCCUCCUCCUCCGACUCCAGCGAGUCCAGAGGCAGCCUGGCAGCGAUACGGGCGGCGCGUGGCUUGUCUCGCCCGGAUCUCCUGCAGGAUCUCAUACCGGCGCUCCGGCGUGAGCAUUGCGUAGUAUCUGAUCUUUCUCCGGAACAUGGCGGAGCGCAAGAGCGUGGACAGAGCACCAGAGCGGGAGAGGAAGGAGGUAGAUGGGCUCUGGCGGCGCUGAGAGGGGGAGGUGAAUGGGCUAGGGUUGCGGGCGCCGGCCAGGUUAAAUAGACGGGUUUGGUCUCGGGCAGCGAGCCGGAGCGACGCCACGCGACGUUCACACCGCGGCGACGGAGGAGGCGUCUGUCGGACCGCCGGGUUUCCGGGCGAGUCCGCGUGGGACCCUUCGCCAGUCCUACAUGACGGGCGCGCCCGGACGCCGCCAUAUCCGCCUCAUAUUUGGGCUGGAUAUGAGGGGUGCCGGUCAGCCCGGGUGUCUGAGGCCCGUUUGGGGGGUCGUCUGGAUCAAAAAUUGUGACCGGUCAGUGCCCAGACGACCCGCCCGGGUGUAUGAGGCGGGUUUGGGGCGUCCGGCUAAAGAUGCUUUAUGAUGCGGUUUGAAUCAAACACACACAUCUAAGUUGGUCAAAUUUGCCUAACCUUAGGUGUGGCAAUCUUAGCCAAACUUAGUCUCAAACCAAACCAAUAGGUCUGAAUAAAAGCCUUUGCCCCUAAAAAAACAUCUCUGUAUGCGUUUUUUUUUCAAAAGGAAAAUCUCUAUGCCUAUCCUAGAAAAAAAAUAUCUCUCUGCUGCCCCGAAUGACAUGUGGGGCCAAGGCUACCGCGCAACAAUUCGGAAUGUCGAACCUCUAGAACUUUCUUCAUCGGUGCCCGAAGGACUCCCCACUGCUCCGCGCUUGUUCCACCACCUUUCAGAACUUUCCAUCACCUUCCAGACCCCCGCCCCCGGGGACCUACAUAAACUCCCUCCUCCUCGCCAUCGCAUCCCCACCAAAGCAUUCCACAAAAUUCAACAAGCAAUCCAACGCAGUCCAACCCGAGGAGAUCGACCGAGCUCGAGAUCAGCGAGCGAGAAUGGCGGGCAUGGUGUUCGGCUUGGAGAACCCAAUGAUGACGGCGCUGCAACACCUGCUGGACAUCCCAGACGGCGAGGCCGGUGCAGCCGGUGGAGAGAAGCAGGGCCCGACGCGCGCCUACGUCCGCGACGCGCGCGCCAUGGCGGCCACCCCGGCCGACGUGAAGGAGCUGCCGGGCGCGUACGCGUUCGUGGUGGACAUGCCGGGGCUGGGGUCCGGCGACAUCAAGGUGCAGGUGGAGGACGAGCGGGUGCUGGUCAUCAGCGGCGAGCGGAGCAGGGAGGAGAAGGAGGACGCCAAGUACCUGCGGAUGGAGCGCCGCAUGGGCAAGCUGAUGCGCAAGUUCGUGCUGCCAGAGAACGCCGACAUGGAGAAGAUCUCCGCCGCGUGCCGCGACGGCGUGCUCACCGUCACCGUCGAGAAGCUGCCGCCGCCCGAGCCCAAGAAGCCCAAGACCAUCCAGGUCCAGGUCGCCUGAGAUGCGUCUGCGUGCGCGUCGAAUCGAAGCAGAGCGUGAGUGGGAGCGAGUUUCCUGUGAUGAGUAAUGGAGUGUGUGUGUGUGUUUUGAUCUCAUCUGCUAGAGAGUGUGUGUGUCGUAUCGAUUCCUGCGCACUGGUGAUGGUUCGAUGUUUCGUUAAUGGAAAUGGGGAUGAUCUCCGGCUUCGCCUGAAUAAAACAUGCGAUUCUCUUGGCCACAUUUUCUAUUGAAAAAUCCAAGAUGUUCGUUUCUACUCAGUGUUCUGAAAAUUCAGAAAGCUGUGUUUGUAGCUUAACGGAAAACUGGAUAAGAGCAGAACAUGUGGAAUAGCAAAAUUAGGUGGAAAACGAACUAGUUCUGAAGUGCUUCUCUCACCAGGGAGAAAAAUCCUGGAUGUCUUGGCAUUUUCAUCUUAACAAUUGUCUGCCUUUUGGGGAGAUAGAAAAGGCAAAUUCCAGUAAGAAUUGAGAAUUCAGAAAUGUUAUUCUGCUUUGCCUGAAUGAAACAUGUGAGAAUCUCCAAAUUCGAUUGAUCGAGGUAUGAGGAUAUAUGAGAUUAUUCGCAAAAAAAAAAGAGGAUAUAUGAGAUAAUAGAUUCAUUGUAUUAUGAACCGAUUUUCAAAUACAUUGUAUUAUGAACCGAUUUUCAAAUACAUAUAUUUUGAUACAACGAAAAAUAAAACAGCCAUGAUUGUGUGGGGGCUAAAAGAGUGAUGUGUUUUAUGCACAAACCUCUUUUAUCUCGACAGAACUUGGGAAAUGCCAUGGUACUCUCGGGUGUAUGUACAUAUAUGCGAAGUAAUUCCAAAAAAACUUAAAAAUUUCAGAAAAAUUUUCAAAAACAAAUUUGAUCUUCUGUUGUGCUCAUAUAAAAGUUAUGCAAGAAAAGAAGUCCAGUCGACUUCAGAAAAUAAAAAUCCGACGAGAAAAAGCAUGAAUAUAACUUGUAUAUAGUGUCCAUUUUUUCAACCAAAAAUACCAUGAAAGUCACUUCUUGGCCAAUCUAUACAAUACAAAAAAGAGUAGGACAUUUUGAAAACCAAGCUCCAUAGAGGCCUUAAUUUUAAACAAUUCAAAAUUUAAACUUUUUAAUUUCAAAAAAUCUAAAAAAUAUAUACAUGUAUACAAGGAUGUAAUGUGUAUGUGUGUAAAAAUAUAGGAUGAAAUGCCUUAAAAUUUGAUCUGCACAAAAAAUAAUUAUGGACUUUGAGUAUGAAGAACACAUAUACUAAAAAGGCACAAAUUUGUCUUUUUUGUGUAGCCCUUGGUUUAACAUAUUUUGACUUGAAAAUUUACAUAUGUACAUUAUGUCUCUAGAUAUAUGUGUAUUAUUUUAGAAGUUUUUAAAACUGGAAAGUUUGAAUUUCAAAGUUUUAAAAUUAAGCCCUCCAUGAAGCUCGGCCUUCAUUGGGCAUUUUCAUACAACAGAAGGUCAACUUUGUUUACCAAAAUGUUUCAUGCCUUUUUGACUGUUUUUGGAAUUACUAAGAAAAUCAUAUCAGGUGCACUUGCACAUAGAGCCCGACAAGCACCUUUGGCUCUUUAGUCUAGGUGCACCCUAUAUGGGAAGAUUAUUUUGAAAAAGUCAUAAAAUUAUGGGCUUUUUUUGCCAAUGAAUGACUUUCAUGCUAUUUUAGGUGGGGAAAAAUUAGUACUAUACACAAGUUAAUAUUCAUGCCUUUUGUCCUUGAAAUUAUUUUUUUGCACUAAAGUCUAUGGGAGUUUUUCUUAACGAAACUUUUUAUAGGAGUACAAUUGAAGGUCAAGUUUGUUUCCAAAAAAGUUCUGUCUUUUUUGAAUUACUAUUUUUUUCCAUAUAGGUUGCACCUACACUUGAGAGCCAACAGGUAUUUCUUCGGAUUGAAAACACUAUUUUCAUAUUAGGGAAUUUAUGCGCGCGAGAGCUAGCUUUUACUAGGGAGUCCAUGAUGAUGUUGACUGGUGGGUUUUUUUCAACUCUCCCCACAAAAGGCAAAGGCUUUUGUAAUUAGCGCUUAGGCUCAAACUAUGUCACCUUUAUUUUCUCUACUAAUAAAAACAAGAGUGGUCCUCUCAAUUUGGAAACAAAGAGUGGUCUUAUUAAUAGCAAGAUAUACCUUAAGAAAAUUGUUUUAAUUCAGUUAUCUUUUCUUAGUGGACGUGAAAUCUUUUAGUCGCCUUUUUCGUGAGCGACUACAUUAUUUGUUUUAAUUCCUUUUUGCCUAAAAUGCAUAAUUCUAUAGUUUUGUAUGCUGCCUAAGCCGGAGGAUGCAAUGUGGGACUUCACCUGGUAAUUUUAUAUCUCCCCAAAAGGGUAAAAGUUGCACAAUUUGUGCAAAACCAAAAUUCAACUAGAGAGGUAUGGUGUGGUUGCUUCCUUGUAUGCUCUUUUUCUUGGUUCUUGUUUGUAAUCUCCAAUUUGUAUAUGAAAUUGUUGGUUCACAAUCAACCCUUGGAAGUGUCAACAUCCUAAUCGACAAAUUUACAGCAAGGACGCCAUUAAAUUCUUUUGAGGCCCUUCCCUAUUUAGUAAUGUAUUUUAUAUCAUUUAUUGGAGAUGUUAUUAGAAUCUCACUUGAAGUUAACGAUAUCUGUUUUGUAUUGCUUCAGCAUCGACGUUUUAUUAGAAUCUCGCCAGAGUUGCUCCAACGACGGAACCAUCCAUCACAAUAGAGCAGUACCCUGGAAGCCGUCUAUAGACACCUCAAAUCUUCCUCCACACCUCCGACAGCCACCUCUGUUGCAACUUCUUCAGCGACCAACCCAAUGAUGCUGAGGUCGGCACGGCUACGCCAAAGAGGUUAUACACUUGUCACAUCACUUAUUACUCUACAUUCAUGUCAAUCCAUCAGGGCUAUUUUGGUUCAAAGGAAAAGGGGCGCACGAGGCGGCGGACGUCGGCGAGGCGGAGUCGCAUUCUCCGGCGCCGCGUAUGGCGCAUCAGUCCGGGCGCCGCAACCGCAUCGUGGUGGACGUUAGCGGCUCGUCCCCGGACGGAUCCAUCAUUGAUCUGACGUCCACCGGCACCGUUCGGAUUCCGGUCUCCGACGAGAAGGAGUAGGGCAUGGGAGACGGCGGUGCCUUGAGUCCCGUGAGCCAACUCGUGUCCCAUGCCCUACCCUACCUUGCCGGCGACCGGACCAACACUAUGAGGAGCGCAGCCGGCCGCCGGGCAUGGCCGGGGGGGGGGGGGAACCGGGCGAGCGCGGAGCGGAACCGGACAUGCUCCACAUAGAUUAGGUUUCACGUUGCAUGUCUAUACUUACUUUUCCUAUACCCCUAUAUAGUGCGCGAAUAACUUUGAAAGUUGGUCGUUGGAUGAAGCCAAUCCAACGGUAUAGAGAUGGCAAAUCCGAGCACUGCUGGCCGUUGGAUAUCAUCUACAUUCCACCAGAUCUUGCCCAUGUACAAUCUAGAAGACUCCAUGGUUGAACUUAAGCAUAAUGCACAAACCUCAAAACACAAAAUCACUUCUCCUUUGUUCUCUAAAAUCUUCCAUAUCUUAGUUGCCCAAACUUUUUUUUCUAAAUGAAUUGUCACCUUUUAUUUUUACUUUAUGUUUUACAAUGCACAAUUCCAUGAAUCUUAAAAUAGAUUUUUUUAAUAAAACUAAUUGAUUUUGGAUGAGAUGAACUAUAAGAAUUAAACGAACAUCUACAUUAUGCAUAUAUGACUCAAAGCUUAUAUGCUAUAGUGUGGUAUUUAUUCAUAAUUUGGUUACCAAAUCUCAUACCUGCAAUGCAUGUGUACCUUACUAGUCCUAUAUACUAUACCAAUAUUGACUCAUACGGACCAUUGGAUCUGUGUAAUCAGACGGCUCACAUUCAAUAGCUAUAACUAGAGGACCAUGUGGCCAAAUAUGCACCAUUGGAUAGGACAAUCUGACGGACCACAGAGCUAGGAUUCGCGCUGGGAGGCAUUAGAGCAACUCCAAUGGUGCGACCCAUUUAGUCCGCCGCUGUCCGUUUGGGUCGGCGCGGACAGAAAAGUCGGCCCAACGCGCCGACCCAAACGGACGCGCGUCCGCUUUUCUGCGGGCGACCCAUUCCCGGCCCAUUUUUGGGCCGGAUUUGCGGGCGCGGACACGCGGCGGACGCGCACACGCUCGCCUUCUCCUCUUCCCGGACCCGCUGGUCGGUGGCUCAUUGGCCUCCCCCACCCCCUAGCCAACAACAACCCUCGCCCACCUCCUUCGUCGUCGCCGCUGCCGCCGCCCUUUUUUGCCGGCGACUCUGCCAGCUGCCGCCGCCUCCACAUCCGCCCAGCAACGCCGCUCACUCCCCCCGUCACCCCGCCACCGCCGUCUUGCCGCCGAGGAGCAAACUGUUUCCCACCGCUGCUCCCCAACCGCACAGCCGCCCGCGACCAAGAGGCCGCCUCGCCGCCCCGGCCAGAUCCUCACCGUCACGCUCGUCGGACGCCGGCCCACUCGUCGGACGUCGGCAGGGCAGCUAGCUCGUCCGUGCACGCCGAGACUCCCCUCGCCAGCCGUCUCCUUGUUCGACGCCCGCAAGCUGUUCGACAGUUUGCCAAGGUACGAAAAUGGACUCCGCCGACGAGUUCUUUUCCACAAUUUCCUUUGGGACUCCGACGAGUGGGGCAUCGUCCGGUAUCCUGCUAAUACCUGGAGCAUGCAGAAACUGUGGGAGGUGAUGACUGCUUGUGUGAUUAUGCACAAUAUGAUCGUAGAAGACGAGCGCCCGGAACGUCUGUACGAUCAAGGGUUUCAGUUUCAGGGUGAGAAUGUUGUGCCUGACCAUGGAGUAGCGGCAACAUUUGAACAGUUCAUCCAAUUUCAUGAAGACAUGCGUGAUUGGGAAACUCACGUGCAGCUGCAAAAUGAUUUGGUUGAGUAUAUGUGGGCUCAUGUUGGCAACCAAUAGAUGUAUCUUUUUUUAUUCGUUUGCAAAACUAUGUGAAACAUUUUUAUUUGUAUCCGGCUUGUAAAACUAUAAUAUUUUUAUUCGGUAAAACUAUGUUAUUUGACAAUAUGUUUGAAUGCAAAUCAAUGUAAAUAUAGUGCGGCCAGCUGGCCACGCCGGCACAUAUGGGUCGGCGCGUUGGGCGCGCUGCCGACCCAAAUCUAAAAAAGGGCGGACGCAGGGCGGGCGACCGACCCAAACGGACAAAAAGCGGACGAAAUCGCUGUCCAUUUGGAUAGUGUUGCUCUUACUACCGUGCCAGCCCGCCGACCACACGCGGUGAUUCUAUUCUUACUAGAAAAUUCUAGCAUGCCCAUGUCACAUGAGUACUGUAGUACAUGCAGCCUAGAGUUGUUUAGAGAGCCCUACAGCCCUACAGCAAGUCUAUACCACUGUAUAGUGUGGGAAUAACAAUGAAUGUGAGCCAUUCGAUCUACACAUCCGAUGGCUAGGAUGUGGCAAAUCCCUACAGCGUGAGCCGUUGAUUUCGGCAUCCAACGGCUGAAAAUCACAGCCCCUGUCUAGCUUUGACAGCAUGCUCGCCUUUCCCCUGCUCUGCUGCCUCGCUUCCCCGGCCCCUGGCCACCGCCUUUCUACCUCCAUCGCAUCGUCGUCUCUCCCACCCGCCCCGGCUCUAUCCCACGUUCGUUCGAUUAAAUGAACCAUCAUGGCACAUAUGAUUCGCUCUCUCAUGAUCCACCUAUUCGGCAUUACCUUGUUUUGUUGCUCCAAAAAUUUCACGCCGCCACAGCCGUCCGCUUCCCCACCCGCGCAUGUCGCCAAGUCGUUCGGGAAGAAAGCGCGUGAAACCGCGGGAGCGACAAAGCUAUGGUGGCCGCCCGGGAGGAGGCCGGAGACCACGGGAUCAGCCAAAGCCUUGGUGGUCGGGAGGAGGCCGGAGACCGCUGGAUCAGCCAGAGCCAUGGUGGCCGGGAGGAGGCCGGAGACGGCUUCCUCGGAGGCCCGCGAAGCUAUAGUCCUUUGAGUGGCGGCCGGUGACAUCGACGAGGCGAGGAACAACGGCGAUGGGGUAGAGAAGAUGUCAAGAACUAUGUGCGACGGAUGUAAGACACAGAACUGGUCAACUCGAGACGAGAAGAAGCGACGACAGAAGAGACGGGACAGUUCGAGAGAAGCGUAGCUGGGCAUUCACGGGCCUGCUCGGGUGGGCAAGUGGGCCAUAUUGGAAUUUCUUCUUCCCAAUGAUGAUGACGUGGUACAAUAGCCCUGAAUGAAUGGCCUAAAUGAAUGCUCACGGACACCUAAAAGGAAAUCUCACCGUAGGCUAACAUACAGUCUAAGAUAAAUGUGACAUGAACCCCUAGAAAAAACAUAAGGUGACAUGAUUCAUUUCAAAAGAAAAAAGAACGUGACAAGGUUAGCUCCAAUACAAAACGUGAGAUAAUUGUGGAAAUAGCCCGUGGGUCUCGGGUCCCAUUGCACCUGAAUUUCAUCUUUUUUUUUAUAUAAAAAAUAGUCAAAAUUCUGAAACAUUUGUGUCACAAAUAUGACUUAGUGUAAUAAUCGCAUGAAAAUUUUCGCGGAGGAAUGACUACCAUGAUAUUCUGGACGGGAAAAAGAUCAAUACUAUAUAAAAGUUACUGUUCAUAAUUUUUUGGAUUUGCGAUUUUUUUGCGGAGGAUACCAUGAAACUCUUUACAUGAGUAUUUUCCCACUAGGCCAUGCUUGUUACAAAAAAGUUUGAGAAAGUUUUGACUCUUUUUGACUUUUUAAAAAUGUUUCUCCAAUUCGGAUGCAUUGGCACCCAUGUUCCAAAGAUCCGCACCGACAUAAUAGCUCUCACAAAUAUACACUAAAAAAGGAAAAUGCGACAUAAGAAAGUGUAUAUAAGCAGAAAUGAUAUAUAUUGCGAAACUAGGUAAUGCCCCGCACGUUGAUGCAAAAGCCUUACUAAAAAUGCAUAAAUAGUUGCUACAAAAACAUCUAAAACUAAUGGAAAGAAAAUGCAAGCUCAAAAAUAAAACAUAAAAAGCAUAUAAAAAGAGAAAAAAUGAAGUGCAGUUAAAAUAAUAUCAUUUCUAACAAAAUGUGAAGGAGGAAUUCUAAUACAAAAAUGUCUUUAUGACUAAGAUGCAUGAAUUGAUGAUGUGCACCAUUGCAUGUAUAAAGUAAUGCAAAAAAGAAAAUAUAAUUUAUGACUUGCAUGUAUGACUCUCCUAUGUGGCAUGGUUGCAUGGCUGAAAAAACAAAAACAAAAUUGAGAGUAGUAGCUAUUUAGAAAUAGAAGAUGUAGCAUAGUUGCAUGGCUAGAAAAAAAAGGUAGUGAGUUAUAGCUAUUUAGGAACAGAAGAUGUAGCAUGGCUAGAAAAAUAAAUAGUAAGUCUUAGCUAUUUGGGAAUAGAAGAUACCAACAUGAAUCGUUGACAUGCAUGCCAUCAACGUGCAAAGCACGUGCCAUUUACUAUAGCCUAGAGAGCCCUACAGGCUACAGCCCUACCGUAAGACAGCUACUUUAGCAGUAGAGAAAAGAAUAGAAACGGAUAUGAGUAAAGAUGAGAGAGAGAAUGGAUGCACCAAUGCAGCGACGGUAAGGACAAAUGCACAAUUUACCAAAUUAGAUAACGGCAAGUAAAGUAAACGGUCUAAUAUGUGUUAUAAGAAAAUAGACUUUACUUUCUUUUAUAAUUUUAUUUUCAAAACAUUACGAUAUGGACAUUCCUUUGUUUUUGCCAGCAAUUUAUAUUUGUAAAAUUCUAAUAUAUUAUUUUUUAGCGUAAAAUUGUAAUCUAUUAUACGGCAAGUGUAUGGAAUUUGUUUCAAAAAUGAAAUUAACAAAUAUUGACAAUGGGAUUCUAAAUAUACUAAACCUGGCCAGGUUUAGUUUACCACGAUUUUUUUACUUUUUCUUAUCAGUCAAAAUCGGCCCAAUGGGUGGGCGACACGUGCUUUAGUGGGGGAUACAGCCGGGUACACGGUUUGGUGCACGUACUGAUUUCUGCCGGAAAACAUAAAAAAUUGAGGCCUGAACUCUCCAUUGGCUGCAUGUGCUGGUUCCUUCUCAGUUUGGGAUUGGUUGCAUGCCCUGCGCGUGGAGGGAUCGAGAUUCUGCAUGGCUGUUUGUUUUAUCUUUCCAAUCGAGUCGGUCGCCGUCCGCACCUUCUGGGUUUGCCAUGUUGUCGGUUGCCGCUUCCGAUCAGUUUUCUGGGCCCUUCUACAGCAUGUGCGCGCGGUAGCUGUUUCGAUUUUUUGCUCUUCCUCUCUGCUGUCUCCUAUAAAUACUGCCUGCUCCGUGUGUCCGUUCUUCAUUCCAACUGCUCCCGUCUGCUCUCUCUCUUCUUUCUAACUACUGGUGCCAUUGUUCGGCCGGCGAUGGUUGCUCCUGCUCCUGUUCGUUCUGGACGGCGCCGUCGGGGUCGUCCUCCUGGGAUUCGGGCAGCCGUUAUUGCCCGUGUACGCCGUGCCGGCAUGCCUAUUUCUUCUGCGGAUUCCUCGUCGGUGACGGCAGGCGCUGCUCUGCGUGGUCGGUUGGCUGGGGUCGGUUCAGGACGGCGUUCCCGCUCCGCGGCGGCUCGACGGCCGCUUAGUUCUCGCCGGGCUGGUGAGUUUAUCUACUCUUUUGUACUUGCGGUUCUGUUUGGAUUGUUCUUCUACUUGUUUGCUUGCUGUGCGGUCAGCUUAUUUGGUUACUUGAUUUUGUAGGCUGCCAGCGUUCUGACUCGCCGGCGACGUGCUCAGCUCUACACGGAGAUAACCACGUCUGCUUGGCGGUGGCUCUCCACGCCAGCGCCCGUUCCUUCUUCACCCGACGACGAUGGCAGCGCCGUGAUCGCAUAGCCUGCGGCCUUCCACAGCGAGCGGCCCGCCGAUCACGCUCGAGGUCGCCCUGGUAACCGACUUAUCGCCAACGACGUCGAUGAUUGCGGCGAGCUCGCCCACGGAGGGCACCCAGUGCAGCCCUACACCGUUCCACGGUCGUGGAGCGACGGCGUCUGCACCAGACCAGCCCAGAAUACUGCUGCUCCUCUAAGUCGCAGUUCCAGUUUCUCAGAGGGGCGCCACAGUGGGGGGAGACGUCGACGACGCGGCAUGCGGCGCAGAGCAGGGGGGUGCCGCCAGCGGAAGGAGACCGUGUUGCCGUUGUGGAUAUGGCGGUCGCACGGCAAGCAGAGCCCCACUGUUUCCGCCCGGAAGUAUACCACGGCCAGCGCGACGGAGCAUUAGCACUCCGUUGUGGGCACCAUGUCGGCGGCAACCCCUGGCACCAUGCAUGUAUUACUCCACGGAGGGAGUAUGUAAUAGGAGUAGUUUUUAUAGUAAACAGAUGAAGAAUGGCAUGUGCAUGUGGUUCUUGGCUAGAUGCCACUACACGGAGGAUGCGGUGAUCCUGUAUUUUCAUGCAGGUUCAUUGCACUCUACGCGUGCGGCAGUUGCGACACCUCGCAUCUCGAUCGAUCCUGGCAAAGCUAAUUUGUUCGCCGGCAGCCUCUAUGCUAUAGGAGCUAUGCAUAUGUUUCAUGAUUACGGCCUCUCUGAAUUCAGAAUAUAUGAAUAGACCAUGCAUGACCGGGUGUAUACAUCCGUUAGUUCAACUAGCUAGCUAGCAAGGAAAAAGGCAGAACCAAGAAAGAGAUCGCAUGCAAGCCUUUGUUCAGGUGUGUCUGUAGCUCGGUGCUUAGCACUUUUGGCUUUUCUAUAUACGGUGCAGCCGGUUUCGACUUGCAUGUGUAUUCUGAAUUUAGAAUAUAUGAAUGUUUGUCUUCUUGGGAAGUGCCUGUAGAAAUUUGGAUCUGAAGAUGCAACUCACGUACUGCAGAAAAAGUUUCUCAGUAGUCAGACUUUGUCAAGCCAAAGAAGGACCUAGGCACUCACAAUUUUGGAACUCCCUCAUGGGAUUUAAAGACCUGUUAUUUCCUUCCUAUACAAGGAAAAUUGGCAUCCCGCCAGAUUCUUGGAGGAUUUGUCGAUGGGAGUGGUUUUUCAGCCCUACACCCCAUAUGAGGCUAUGAACAGUAAAUUAGAAAAAAUCUGAAACUUUCCAACGUCAAAUAGAUUCAGUGGAUUGGCUCCGAACGUCUUGCACAUAUUAAAUUAACUGUUCUUCUGUUACACUUACAUGCUUCCACCCAUUAUUUUAAACAAAAUAAGCACAAUUACCCGAGACAGUCCAACAUACAAACAAGAAUAUGAAAAAAAUUAAAAAAACUGAACAACAAAUGAGAAAUAUCUAUACACAAUAUAAUAACAUAAACUAUACUCCCUCCGUCCGCGAAUAAAUGUACAUAUAACUUUUGUCCUAAGUCAAAGUUUUAAAAUUUUGACCAACUUUCUAGAAAAAGUAGCAUCAUUUAUGGCACCAAAUUAGCAUUGUUAGAUUCAUUUUGAAAUGUACUUUCAUAAUAUACCAACUUGAUGUCAUAUAUGCUACUAUUCUUUCUGUAAAUUUGGUCAAACUUUUAAAACUUUGACGAAGACAAAAGCUAAAUGUACACUUAUUCGCAGACGGAGGGAGUAUGCAAUAUAAUAACAUAAACUAUCAUCUACAAGCAGACACUACUACUUUGUGAUUCAGUGGAUUGGCUCCGAAUGUCUUGCACAUAUUAAAUUAAUUGUUCUUCUGUUACACUUACAUGCUUGAAACCACUAUUUUAAAUAAAAAAAGCACAAUUACCUGAGACACUUCAAUGUACAAACAAAAAUAUGAAAAAAAAUUAAAAGAACUCAACAACAACUGAGAAAUAUCUGUACACAAUAUAAUAACAUAAACUAUAUGCAAUAUAAUAACAUAAAUUAUCAUCUACAAGCAGACACUACUACUAUCACAACAAGCGCAUUGCGGUGUGGCUUAGAUCGGUUCCCUCUGAGAUUGAUUUGCUGUAUUCAAACGAUUGUAACCACACUGGUUCACUAGUAGGAAAAGGGGCUUUUACCCCGGUUUGUAAGGGCCUUUUGUCCCGGUUUUCGAACUGGGACUAAAGGGUCGUUAUUAAAGCCCUAACCCUUUAGUCUCGGUUCUUACACGAACCGGGACAGAAGGUCCUCCAUGUGGCCGCUGCUGCCAGCCCAGGCAGGGGGGCCUUUGGUCCCGGUUGGUGCCAACAACCGGGACUAAUAGGCAGGGCCUUUUGUCUCGGUUGGUGUCACCAACCGGGACCAAUAGGCAAUAGGCAUCCACGCGUCAGCAUUUCAGNNNNNNNNNNNNNNNNNNNNNNNNNNNNNNNNNNNNNNNNNNNNNNNNNNNNNNNNNNNNNNNNNNNNNNNNNNNNNNNNNNNNNNNNNNNNNNNNNNNNNNNNNNNNNNNNNNNNNNNNNNNNNNNNNNNNNNNNNNNNNNNNNNNNNNNNNNNNNNNNNNNNNNNNNNNNNNNNNNNNNNNNNNNNNNNNNNNNNNNNNNNNNNNNNNNNNNNNNNNNNNNNNNNNNNNNNNNGUUUCAUAUAUUGUGUUAGCUAGCUAAUUAAUAGAGAAGUGUCCUCUCUUAUUUCCGUGCUUGGUCGACACUACGUACUAUAUACGUAUGGAGAGGACUAGACACGCUAGCUAGUAAACAAAUGAAGGAAACAGAAGAUCGUCAUGAACAUAUGCAUGCAGAGAGAAGUGAUAUCGACCACCUCUCCUUCUCCGAGAGAUUGAUCGAACAACAAGUUCUCGUAUAUCUAUCUGACACUACCGGCUACAUAUAUACAAUAAUUAUCUCUUACAAUAUAAUCUCCUAAUUAAAUUGUAAGAACACAGGGUCCACAUAGUAUUCUCCGUUUUCAGCGAUCACGUGGUCAAGGAAGAAUGCCGCCAAUUCCUCUUGAAUUGCUCGCAUACGAUCUUCUGCUAGGAGUUCAUCCCGCAUCCAAAACAUCUAAUUUGAAGAAGGGGGUCAAUACAUAUAUAUAUGAAUAAAUGAAACUCGACACAAAUGAUGGUAAUAAAAUAAAAUUGUGAAUAUUAUUGCUUACGCACUUCAUAUUGUUCGUCAGAGUAGCCCCGCUCACAGGUCGUGUGGCGGAUAGACUCGCAAACGUAGUAUCCACAGAAAUCAUUCCCUUGUUCCUGCCACAACCACUUUACAAGAAAUAGAGGUCAAUCUAACUGAUAAGCAAGCAUGCUAAAUGGUAUUGAUGAAACUAGCGCUUGAAUCACUAGGAGAUGUGCGGAACAUGCUACUAUAGUACUUACUUUCGGGUGUCUAAAUUGCAGCUUCUUCGGCAGUCCCGGAGCUUUUGUGGUGAAUUUUCUCCAAACCCUGCCAGACAAAGAAAACAAUUACUUGAUAUCAGGAAAUGAACAAAGUUGCUGAUAUGGUGGAUAAUGAUCGAUUUAACUUACUUCUCGAGCAUUUGAGUCAUGUCCGCAUAGUCCUGGGGAUCUUUUCGUCUCGAGUCUAAGACAGUUACUACUCCCUGCUCAAGCUUAAUCUCUAGGAGAAUAUAGUGGAAGCUGCGCAUGCAUGCAUAAGUCAUCAAUUACAUUACCAUAACCUGGACUAAUAAAGGAAACCGAAUAUGCACAACACUCACUUGAAGUUGUAAGGAAAGAGUAUUAUAUCUUUGUUUUGAUUUAAUACCAACGAUCGUAGCAAGUUGGCCUCGGCUUCUUUGGGAUGUUUUUCAACCGUAUAUUCAUCUAUGAGAUUUGUGUUAAUGAACCCAAUAUCACCGAUUUGUCUUUUCUUCAAUUCGGCGAUCUUCAAUCUGCAUAAUAUAGUGAGGAUAAUUAUAAAUACAUGCAAUGAAAGAGCUGACCUAUAUAGAGAGACUUAAUGACAGAAGUAGUACUACUUACAGACAGUAGCAAGUGAUCGUUGAUUUAUCGAGGGCCUUUUGAUUGUAAAACUGGAAGAAGUCCUCAAAUGGAACAUUCAGCAGUUCAAUUCCAACGAGGUCAUGCUCCGGUUUAACUCUCAGCGUCAAAGUAUUCAUCCCAUCAGACUCUCUGCAGGUUUUCAUGUACCAAUCAUGUAAUCUUCGCAUCAUCGUUGUUAGAGAUCUUUCAUCUUUGACCAGAGGCUUCCCGUAAUGGUAUUUGUGUUCGUCCACCUCCAUGAUUUCAUAAUGUACAUCGUCGGACAGGUAAUCUCCAAGAUUGCUAUAACCGGCCACCAUCCUCGGAUCAUUAGCGACGAUGUCUUUAGACACCUUGAGCGGGGGGCACGAUUGGUUCGCUUGUUCGCCGAGCUGGGCAAUUUUUUCCCAGCUCGUCGUUCUUUUAACCUUUGAUCACUGACAGUACUUCCCGACCGCUCCGCUUCGACAAAUGUCUUUGUAAUAAUGCGCUCAUAGUUGCCUUUCGGUAGAGACUUUGGUGGUUUUGUCAUGGCAUCCAGAGUGCGCUUCGCUUUCACCGGAUCUACCUUCUCCUCCGGAGGUGGAUGUUUCUUUGCUUCCACCCCUUCAAAGAAGUUCUUCACUUCGGCUCGCACGAUCUUCGCGUUCUCCUCCUCGGUCCUCUCGUAUGGUAACUUCUCUAGAGUCUUCAGAGAAGGACCGAAUCUGUAUUGCCUCCCGCCUCUGGCAGCUGUACUUCUAGACGCCGGCAGAGCAGACGGAGCGGCUGCGGCUGUCUUCUUUCCUUGCUUACGAGGCGGAGGAGAAGGACUACGACGCUCCGGAGCAGCCGGAGCGGCGGCGGGUCUCUUCCGCCCUUGCUGACGAGGCGGAGAAGGAGGAGGCUGGCUACUCUGGCACGCCGGCGCGGGCGGAGAAGGAGGCGGAGUGCCGCCACGCGCCGGAGAAGGAGGUUGAUGAGUGCCCUGAUCACUCGCCGGAGGAGGAGGCGGAGUGCCGCCACGCGCCGGAGAAGGAGGCUGAGUGCCCUGAUCACUCGCCGGAGGAGGAGGCGGCGGCGGAGUGCCCUUACUCGCCGGAGGCGUCCAGUUCGGAAGGUUAAUGAGCUCCUUCCGCCAUAGGCACGGAGUCUUCAGAGCUAAACCCAGCCGAGUCUCCCCUUCACCGGUAGGGUGGUCAAGCUGGAGGUCCUCAAAUCCCUCCGUUAUUUCAUCCACCAUCACCCUAGCAUAUCCUUCUGGAAUCGGCCGGCAGUGGUAGGUUGCGCCGGGUUCAGGAGGUAAAACAGAGCCAACAGCCGCCUUGACUUUGAAGUUCUGCCAUUGCGCCAUAAGGUGGCAAUGUUGAGACUCCGUGAUAGCAUCCACGGGGUAGCUAGCAGGAGUCAUCAAGACAUGCUCUGGCUGAAGCAGCUCGGUGGAAGCCACGCUGCUUCUCCGCUGAGAUGGCGGGGUAGCUUCGGGGGUAGUUUCGGCAUGUCGAUUGCCGUCUCGUUCCUCUAGCGCUUGAACCCUUUCGUGCAGCUUCUGAAUUUGGGUCUGCUCCAUUUUUUUCCUCCUCUCCUGGCUUUUGUAACCGCCUACGUCCGGAAAACCAGCCUUCCACGGAACGGAGCCUGGCGUGCCUCGUGUCCGUCCAGGGUGCUCAGGAUUCCCGAGGGCCAUUGUGAGCUCGUCGUUCUCUCUGUCUGGAACGAACGUCCCUUCCUGCGCUGCAUCGAUAUAUUGCUGAAUCUUCUUGACUAGUAUUCUCAAAAGCUCGUUCGUCCAAACGCACCUCCCUGAUACAGGGUCCAAGGUUCCGCCAGCCCCGAAGAACCAAGUCCGGCAACGGUCUGUCCAGUUCAUUGUCUGUGGUUCGAUCCCUUUUUCAAGCAGAUCAUUCUUAGCCUUGGCCCACUUAGGCCGGGCUUUGAGGUAGCCACCUGACCCCAUGCGAUGGUGAAGCUUCUUCUUUGCAGCAUUCUUCUUGUUUGUCGCUGACAUCUUCUUACUCCUUUCCGAUGUCUUGUGGGCCACAAAUGCGGGCCAUUGAUCUCUGAUCUUCUCAUACCGGCCGAUGAAUUCUGGUGUCUCUUCUUUGUCGACAAACGUUUUCAGCUCAUUCUUCCACCUCCUGAAUAGGUCUGCCAUCUUCUUAAGAGCAUGAGACUUGAUUAAUUGCUCUUUAACUGGCUUCUCCGGAUCCUCCUCUGGCGGUAGGGUGAAAUUUGCCUUCAGCCCAGUCCAAAGAUCAUCUUUCUGCAUAUCAUUGACAUAAGACACCUCAGGGUCUUCCUUCUUAGGCUUAUACCAUUGCUGGAUGCUGAUCGGGAUCUUGUCCCUAACUAGAACCACGCACUGAGCAGCAAAUGCAUCCUUUGUCCAGAUGGGUUCAAUCGGUUGGCCGUCGCGCGCGAUUGCUGUGAUCUCAAACCUUUCAUCCGAGCGCAACUUUCUCUUCGGGCCUUGUCUCUUUACCGCAGUUGUGCUCGAUCCGGAGGGCUAGAAAAAAGAAGAAAGACGAGUGUUAAUUAAUAUGUGUACAUACCAAAACAAUGAAUGCAUCAAUUAGCUAGUCAGCACAGGCUUAACUAAUAUAUUUACCUGGCCGGACUCUGUUCGGUCACCGGAGCCGUCACCACGGGCUCCUUCUUGCACCAGCAUUGGGUCACCGGAGCCAUCAUAAUCAUGUCUUUCCUCCUCCACUCUUCGAUCACCGUAGCCUGCUUCUUCACCCUGUUCUUCCAGACCAUCAUUGUCGUUAAGAUACGACAAGAUAUCACCUCCGGCUAAGAUUAUGUCCCCCAACACCUCUUCUGCUUGCUCGUCUCGUCCGUGCUCCAUUGUUUCUGCAAAUAUUACAACAUGGCAAUUAUUACACANNNNNNNNNNUGCUCCCGUGGUAUAAGUUAUCAUGGUCGAGAGGGGGUAUAAAUAUCGACCGUCCAUCAUGUCGAAGUUAUCUGGGAGGGAGUUAUAUAUAUCGACAACGACGACAUACAUACAUGGGAAAAUAAUGUUAUCGGGGAGGGGGUAUAUCGACCCCCCCCACGUGUUGAAGUUAUCGGGAGGGGGUUAUAUCGACAACGACGACAUACGUACAUGGGAAAAUAAUAUUAUCGGGGAGGGGGUAUAUCGACCCCCCCUCGUGUUGAAGUUAUCGGGAGAGGGGUAUAUCGACGACGACAGACCCGAUAAAACAUAAGAAAACGAAGAAGAAAUAAAAAGAGGAGAAGAAGAAAAGGAAUAGAGGAGAAGAUCGAAGAAAAAAAAGAAGAAAAAAAAGAGGAGAAGAAGAAAGGAAUAGAGGAGAGAAGAAGAAAAAAUAGAAUUUUUUCUAUUUUUUCUUCUUCUAUUCUAUUCCUUUCUUCUUCUCCUCUUCUUUUUCUUCUUUUUUCCUCUUCUUAUUUAUUUCUCCUCUUCUUCCUCUCCUCCUCUUCUCCUUUCUUCCUAUUUCAUCAUCGUUCAUAUUUCAUUGUUCAUAUUUCAUCAUGUUCAUAUUUCGAAAAAAGUAAAGGUUUUGCCUAAUGCAUUGUUCAUAUUUCAUCAUGUUCUAUGAACAAAAAAACAUCAUAUUUCAUCCACAUCCAUGCAUACAUCAUAUAUGCGAUCAUCUAUGAAAAAAACAUCAUAUUCUAUAAAAACAAUCAUUACAUAUAUAUAUAUGAACAAAAACAAUUAUGAUAACAAGCAUAUAUAUCAUCAUAUAUAUAAAAAAACAAGCAUAUAUAUAUGAAAAAAACAAGAAAAAAUGCUAGGGAGGGCGCCGGCCGGACCAAGGUGAGGAGGACCACGGGGUCAGCGGCGAGGAUGGCGACGGGGCAGUGGGCGCGCGCUCGGGGUAGGGGCGACGGCGGCGAAGGGCGGGGCAGGGCNNNNNNNNNNNNNNNNNNNNNNNNNNNNNNNNNNNNNNNNNNNNNNNNNNNNNNNNNNNNNNNNNNNNNNNNNNNNNNNNNNNNNNNNNNNNNNNNNNNNNNNNNNNNNNNNNNNNNNNNNNNNNNNNNNNNNNNNNNNNNNNNNNNNNNNNNNNNNNNNNNNNNNNNNNNNNNNNNNNNNNNCGUCGGGGCAAACUGCAGAUGAACUCUGAAAAAUUUCCUAAGUGUUUGCUUAUAUAGCAAAGCCUUUAGUCCCGGUUCGUGGCACAAUCCGGGACUAAAGGUAGGCAUUAGUCCCGGUUGGUGCCACCAACCGGGACCAAAGCCCUCUUUUCAGCAGCCCAAAGGGCGGGAAGCGGCGGCCUUUGGUGCCGGUUGGUGCCACGAACCGGUACCAAUGCACCCCUUUAGUCCCGGUUGGUGGCACCAACCGGGACCAAAGGCCUCUUGCUGCCCGCGUCGCGGUCAAAAGUUUAGUCCCACCUCGCUAGCCGAGGGGCGCCCGCACCAGUUUAAAAGCUCCGGCGCGGCUGCUGUCUCGAACUCCUCUCUAUAGCAGGCUUCUGGGCCUAACUUUGGCGCGCUGCCCGUUGAGCCUUCUAGCCCUUCUGGGCCUGUAUUUGCAAACCCGAGGGUUGGAAGGCCCAGCGGGCAGCGCCCCAACAAUUUUUUUUGCCGUAUUUAGUUUUUUUGUUUUCUUUUUUACUUUAUUUAUUUUGUUUUGUUUCUACUUACAACAAAAAACUUAUUUAUUUUAUUUUAUUUUGUUUCUAAUUACUUAUUUAUUUUACUUUAUGAUAAUUCUUUUUGCUAUUAAAGUUUCUAUCAAAAAAAGUUCUUUAUGAAAAUUCUUUUUGCUGUAUUNNNNNNNNNNNNNNNNNNNNNNNNNNNNNNNNNNNNNNNNNNNNNNNNNNNNNNNNNNNNNNNNNNNNNNNNNNNNNNNNNNNNNNNNNNNNNNNNNNNNNNNNNNNNNNNNNNNNNNNNNNNNNNNNNNNNNNNNNNNNNNNNNNNNNNNNNNNNNNNNNNNNNNNNNNNNNNNNNNNNNNNNNNNNNNNNNNNNNNNNNNNNNNNNNNNNNNNNNNNNNNNNNNNNNNNNNNNNNNNNNNNNNNNNNNNNNNNNNNNNNNNNNNNNNNAGUUUCUAUCAAAAAAAGUUCUUUAUGAAAAUUCUUUUUGCUUUUAAUGAUUUUGAACAGAAAAUACUUCGAUAAUUUUAGUUGCAUCAAUUUUAUAUGAUUUUAGUUUCAAUAAUGCUAGAGGUUUCUUAUAAUGUUUUGAACAGAAAAUACUUUGUUAAUUUUAGUUUCAUAAAUUUUAUUAAAUUUUAUUUUAUUUUGUCGUAACACAAGAAGUUCAGAGUUGUAAUAAGUUAUUAAAAAUAAAAAAGAGGCGCAAUGCUCGUGGAUUAGCUUCAAGCCUUUCGGAAUAGUGUAGACUGCACUGCACAUAGCUCCAUGCUCGUUGAUUAGCUUCAAGGCUUGAAGCUAAGCAACGUGAAGGUGAGCAUUGCGCCUCUUCUUCAUCGUCUCUGCACUCAGGGCUUAUAAACCGCUCCUAGUGCCUCUCAGCUACCGAGGUGGGACUAAAAAACUGCUUAGUAAGAAACUCUAGUACCGGUUCGUGCCACGAACCGGUACUAAAGGUGCUCGUGGGGCCACAGCCUCAUUAGUACCGGUUCGUGGCACCAACCGAGACCAAAGGGUGGAAUUGGUCCCGGUUCGUGCCACCAACCGGGACCAAUGGCCUUGCACAGCGGCGUGGUGGUGGGAGUUUAAUCCCACCUCGCUAGCUGAGAGAGAGCCACACCUGUUUAUAAGGUGCGGUGCGCCUGAGCUGUCGAGCUCCUCUCUAAAGCAGGCUUACGGGCCUAACCUCUCUGUACAUGCCUGUGGGCCUACUGGGCCUUCUGCGGGCCUGAAUCCUGACCCAUGGAUGGGUUUCUAAUCGUAUUCAGGCCGUGGUGGCCCAGUAGGUGGCAUAAUUUUUAAUUUUUGGCCUGUUAUUUUUCAUGCAUUUACUAAUUAUUUUGAGCUAUAAGACCCUAAAAUUGAAAAGCAUUUCAAAUGAACUCUGAAAAGGUUGAAAGUUGGCAAGGUAUCAUCAUUUCAUCCACAUAGCAUGUGCAAGAAACUUGAGAGGGUUACGACAAAAACUAGAUGUACUUCGUGUACAAAACGGACAAUGGUAUCAUACUCGUCUGUUACAAAGUUGGCAUGGUAUCAUCAUAAUAGUUGCGGGAGAAAGUCUUCACUUUUUCUUCGCUUGUGUCACUUGCUUAUUGCGCCGUAACCAUGGAUAAUCUUCAUCGUUUAUCAGGAUGCUUGGAUCAGCCUUGACUUUGAAGGGAGGAAUUUCAUGAAACUUUUCAUAAUCUUCAGACAUGUCUGUCUUGCCCUCCACUCCCACAAUGUCCCUUUUUCCUGAAAGAACUAUGUGGCGCUUUGGCUCAUCGUAUGAUGUAUUCGCUUCCUUAUCUUUUCUUUUUCUCGGUCUGGUAGACAUGUCCUUCACAUAGAUAACCUGUGCCACAUCAUUGGGUAGGAUGAACGGUUCGUCAGUGUACCCAAGAUUGUUCAGAUCCACUGUUGUCAUUCCGUACUGUGGGUCUACCUGUACCCCGCCUCCUGACAGAUUGACCCAUUUGCACUUAAACAAAGGGACCUUAAAAUCAUGUCCGUAGUCAAGUUCCCAUAUGUCCAUUAUGUAACCAUAAUAUGUGUCCUUUCCCCUCUCGGUUGCUGCAUCAAAGCGGACACCGCUGUUUUGGUUGGUGCUCUUUUGAUCUUGGGCGAUCGUGCAAAAUGUAUUCCCAUUUAUCUCGUACCCUUUGUAAGUCAAUACAGUCGAAGAUGGUCCCCUGGACAACGAGUACAACUCAUCACAAACAGUGGUGUCACCUCUGAGACGUGUUUCCAACCAACUGCUGAAAGUCCUGAUGUGUUCACAUGUAAUCUAGUCGUCACACUGCUCCGGGUGUUUGGAGCGCAGACUGUUCUUGUGUUCAUCGACAUACGGGGUCACCAAGAUAGAGUUCUGUAGAACUGUGUAGUGUGCUUGAGACCAAGAGUAUCCGUCCCUGCAUAUUAUUGAGUCCCCUCCAAGCGUGCCUUUUCUAGUCAGUCUCCCCUCAUACCGCGAUUUAGGGAGACCUAUCUUCUUAAGGCCAGGAAUGAAGUCAACACAAAACCCAAUGACAUCCUCUGUUUGAUGGCCCAUGGAGAUGCUUCCUUCUGGCCUAGCGCGGUUACGGACAUAUUUCUUUAGGACUCCCAUGAACCUCUCAAAGGGGAACAUAUUGUGUAGAAAUACGGGCCCCAGAAUGACAAUCUCGUCGACUAGAUGAACUAGGAUGUGCGUCAUGAUAUUGAAGAAGGAUGGUGGGAACACCAGCUCGAAACUGACAAGACAUUGCGCCACAUCACUCCUUAGCCUUGGUAUGAUUUCUGGAUCGAUCACCUUCUGAGAGAUUGCAUUGAGAAAUGCACAUAGCUUCACAAUGGCUAAUCGGACGUUUUCCGGUAGAAGCCCCCUCAAUGCAACCGGAAGCAGUUGCGUCAUAAACACGUGGCAGUCAUGAGACUUUAGGUUAUGGAACUUUUUCUCUGGCAUAUUUAUUAUUCCCUUUAUAUUCGACGAGAAGCCUGUCGGGACCUUCAUACUGAGCAGGCAUUCAAAGAAGAUUUCUUUCUCUUCUUUCGUAAGAGCGUAGCUGGCAGGACCUUCAUACUGCUUCGGAGGCAUGCCGUCUUUUUCGUGCAAACGUUGCAGGUCCUCCCGUGCCUCAGGUGUAUCUUUUGUCUUCCCAUACACGCCCAAGAAGCCUAGCAGGUUCACGCAAAGGUUCUUCGUCACGUGCAUCACGUCGAUUGAAGAGCGGACCUCUAGCUCUUUCCAGUAGGGUAGGUCCCAAAAUAUAGAUUUCUUCUUCCACAUCGGUGCGUGUCCCUCAGCGUCAUUCGGAACAGCUAGUCUGCCGGGACCCUUUCCAAAGAUUACGUGUAAAUCACUGACCAUAGCAAGUACGUGAUCACCGGUACGCAUGGCGGGCUUCUUCCGGUGAUCUGCCUCGCCUUUGAAAUGCUUGCCUUUCUUUCGACAUUGAUGGUUGGUCGGAAGAAAUCGACGAUGGCCCAGGUACACAUUCUUCCUGCAUUUGUCCAGGUAUAUACUUUCAGUGUCAUCUAAACAGUGCGUGCAUGCGUGGUAUCCCUUGUUUGUCUGUCCUGAAAGGUUACUGAGAGCGGGCCAAUCGUUGAUGGUUACAAACAGCAACGCGUGCAGGUUAAAUUCCUCCUAUUUGUGCUCAUCCCACGUACGUACACCAUUUCCAUUCCACAGCUGUAAAAGUUCUUCAACUAAUGGCCUUAGGUACACAUCAAUGUUUUUGCCGGGUUGCUUAGGGCCUUGGAUGAGAACUGGCAUCAUAAUGAACUUCCGCUUCAUGCACAUCCAAGGAGGAAGGUUAUACAUACAUAGAGUCACGGGCGAGGUGCUGUGAUUGCUGCUCUGCUCCCCGAAAGGAUUAAUGCCAUCCGCGCUUAAACCAAACCAUACGUUCCUUGGGUCAGCUGCAAACUCAGCCCAGUACUUUCUCUCGAUUUUUCUCCACUGCGACCCAUUAGCGGGUGCUCUCAACUUCCGUCUUUCUUACGGUCCUCACUAUGCCAUCGCAUCAACUUGGCAUGCUCUUCGUUUCUGAACAGACGUUUCAACCGUGGUAUUAUAGGAGCAUACCACAUCACCUUCGCAGGAACCCUCUUCCUGGGGGGCUGGCCGUCAACAUCACCAGGGUCAUCUCGUCUGAUCUUAUACCGCAAUGCACCGCAUACCGGGCAUGCGUUCAGAUCCUUGUACGCACCGCGGUAGAGGAUGCAGUCAUUAGGGCAUGCAUGUAUCUUCUGCACCUCCAAUCCUAGAGGGCAUACGACCUUCUUUGCUGCGUAUGUACUGUCGGGCAAUUCAUUAUCCUUUGGAAGCUUCUUCUUCAAUAUUUUCAAUAGCUUCUCAAAUCCUUUGUCAGGCACAGCAUUCUCUGCCUUCCACUGCAGCAAUUCCAGUACGGUACCGAGCUUUGUGUUGCCAUCUUCGCAAUUGGGGUACAACCCUUUUUUGUGAUCCUCUAACAUGUGAUCGAACUUCAGCUUCUCCUUUUGACUUUCGCAUUGCGUCCUUGCAUCGACAAUGACCCGGCGGAGAUCAUCAUCAUCGGGCACUGGUUCCUCUUGAUCUUCAGCAGCUUCCCCCGUUGCAGCAUCAUUGGGCACAUCGUCUGGUUCCUCUUGAUCUUCAGCAGCUUCCCCCGUUGCAGCAUCACCGUAUUCAGGGGGCACAUAGUUGUCAUCGUCCUCUUCUUCUUUGCCGUCUUCCAUCAUAACCCCUAUUUCUCCGUGCCUCGUCCAAACAUUAUAGUGUGGCAUGAAACCCUUGUAAAGCAGGUGGGUGUGAAGGAUUUUCCGGUCAGAGUAAGACUUCGUAUUCCCACAUAUAGGGCAUGGACAACACAUAAAACCAUUCUGCUUGUUUGCCUCAGCCACUUCGAGAAAAUCAUGCACGCCCUUAAUAUACUCGGAGGUGUGUCUGUCACCGUACAUCCAUUGCCGGUUCAUCUGCGUGCAUUAUAUAUAAUUAAGUGUGUCAAAAACCAUUACAGAACAUCAUGAAUAGAUAAUUAAGUGACCAAAUUAAUAGAAGUUCAUCAUCACAUUAAAACCAAAGUACAUACAUAGUUCUCAUCUAACAACAUAUAUAUAGCUCUCCAGAGCAUCUAAUUAAUUAAACCAUACAUUGAAACUAUGUAAAACAUUUCAAUGCGAAAACAAAUGCGAUCAUAAUCGCAACCAAGGUAACAAUUGAUCCAACGGCAUAAUGAUACCAAGCCUCGGUAUGAAUGGCAUAUUUUCUAAUCUUUCUAAUCUUCAAGCGCAUUGCAUCCAUCUUGAUCUUGUGAUCAUCGACAACAUCCGCAACAUGCAACUCCAAUAUCAUCUUCUCCUCCUCAAUUUUUUUAUUUUUUCCUUCAAGUAAUUGUUUUCUUCUUCAACUAAAUUUAACCUCUCGACAAUAGGGUCGGUUAGAAUUUCCGGUUCAACCACCUCCUAGAUAAAUAAAAUCUAUGUCACGUUGGUCGGUAUAUUUGUCAUAAACAAUAAAUGAACCAAAUAGUUAUAAAAAGAUAAUAUAUACCACAUCCAAAUCAUAGACAGGACGAGGGCCGACGGGGGCGGAUACCAAAACCAUCGCACUAUGUAAUAAGAAGGAAUAAUAAAAGUAACAAAAUUAGACAAGUAUCUAUCUAAAGUAAGAAUUUUUUCCUUUCAGAAAGAAGAUAAGAACAAGAGGCUCACCACGGUGGUGCUGGCGACGAGAUCGGCGCGGGCGAUCGACGGCGGUGAAGACGGGGACGGGACGUGACGGACCGCUAAACCUAGACAAAUCUCGGGGAAAAUGGAGCUCGGAGGUCGAGUUUCGAGAGGAGAAAGAUUAACUAGUGUGGCUCAGACAUUUCAUCGAACACCUCAUGUGCAUAGGAGGUGAGCUAGAGCACCCAAAUGCCCUCCCCUCGCCGGCCAGAAAAAAUAGAGCACUGUGGAGUGCUCUGCUGUGGCGAUGGGGUAUAUAUAGGGAACUCAUUGGUCCCGGUUCGUGGCACCAACCGGGACUAAAGGCCUUUGGUCCCGGUUGGUGCCGCGAACCGGGACCAAUGACCCCCUUUAGUCCCGGUUGGUGGCACCAACCGGGACCAAAGGCCUUGUGCUGCCCCGCGUCAAAAGUUUAGUCCCACCUCGCUAGUUGAGAGGGGUCGAGAGUGGUUUAUAAGCGCUGCUGCACCCACCCUCUCGAGCUCCUCUCAACUGCAGGCUUUCGGGCCUAACCGUUCUCUUUGCCUGUGGGGCCUACUUGGCCUUCUGCGGGUCUGAAUCCUAGCCCAUGGAUGGGUUUCAAGUCGUAUUCAGGCCGUGGUGGCCCAGUAGGUGGCAUAAUUUUUUUCUCUAUUUUUUGUUUUCUCUUUUGCUUUAUUUGUUUUGUUUUGUUUCUACUUACAACAAAAAACUUAUUUAUUUUAUUUCUAAUUACUUAUGUAUUUUACUUUAAUUAUUUUAUUUUUAUUUAUUUUACUGCUGCUAUUUUUAUUUAAUUUAUUAAGGUUUAUUUAUUUUAGUUACUAUAGUUUAUUUUAUUUUAUUUUAUUAAGGUUUAUUUAUUUUUAUUUAUUUUAUUAAGGUUUAUUUAUUUUAUUUACUAUAAAAAAAUGAACAUAGAUGCGCCUAUAGAGAAAAUUCAACCUAAAUUCAUAAUAAAUUUCUAUGAAAUUCAAAGAAAUUUACUGUGAAUUUAGGUCAAAUUCCCUGUAUAAGGGCAUCUAUUUUCACUUUGAGAGGAGCUCAACAAGGCAGAGAGGGACGGACUUAUAAACUGGUGUGAGCGCCCUUCGGUUGGCGAGGUGGGACUAAACACUGGCCGCAACUAGGACCGGCCCUUUAGUCCCGGUUUGUGGUAUGAACCAGGACUAAAGGGCAGUGGGCCAGGAGCGUGGCCCAUUGGUCCCGGUUUGUCCCACCAACCGGGACCAAAGGGGCCGGAUGAACCGGGACCAAUGCCCCCACGAGGCCCGGCAGGCCCCUGGCCGCACGAACCGGGAACAAUGCUCGCAUUAGUCCCGGUUCGUGACUGAACCGGGACUAAUGUGAAUAUUGCCCUGUGACCAAAGCCCAGUUUUCUACUAGUGUUUAAGCAAUGAAAUCUCUUUUUUCUCGCAAAAAAAAGAAAAAGAAAAUACACUACUACUUUGUGAAGAAGAAAAAAAAUCCUUGCCAACAUAACAAUGCUCAACAAGGUCAAUUCACAAGGCAGACUAAAAUGUUGGCAACGAUAUGUGGAAAUGUUUCGAAUAUCAUACCGCUCCAUAUAAUUACCACUUCACAUGUAUCCCCAGCUCCCAGAUAGCGACGAUCCCAUUAUUACAUACACGGGCGCGCACCCUCCCGUCAGACGUGUGCAGGAAUUCGCAAAAUCACUUUACCACUUUAUCACAGGCACCAAUCCUUCAGGAGGAUAUACUAGAAUGAUCUAAUCCACUAGCAACUACUUCUAGCUUAUUUAUGUAGUGUGUUUGUGUUUGUUGGAAAUAUGCCCUAGAGGCAAUAAUAAAAUGGUUAUUAUUUUAUUUCCUUGUUCAUGAUAAUUGUCUGUUGUUCAUGCUAUAAUUGUAUUAACUGGAAACCGUAAUACAUGUGUGAAUACAUAGACCACAACAUGUCCCUAGUAAGCCUCUAGUUGACUAGCUCGUUGAUCAAUAGAUGGUUAUGGUUUCCUGACCAUGGACAUUGGAUGUCAUUGAUAACGGGAUCACAUCAUUAGGAGAAUGAUGUGAUGGACAAGACCCAAUCCUAAGCAUAGCACAAGAUCGUGUAGUUCGUUUGCUAGAGCUUUUCUAAUGUCAAGUAUCAUUUCCUUAGACCAUGAGAUUGUGCAAAUCCCGGAUACCGUAGGAAUGAUUUGGGUGUACCAAACGUCACAACGUAACUGGGUGGCUAUAAAGGUGCACUACAGGUAUCUCCGAAAGUGUCUGUUGGAUUGGCACGAAUCGAGACUGGGAUUUGUCACUCCGUAUGACGGAGAGGUAUCUCUGGGCCCACUCGGUAAUGCAUCAUCAUAAUGAGCUCAAUGUGACUAAGGAGUUAGCCACGGGAUCAUGCGUUACGGUACGAGUAAAGUGACUUGCCGGUGACGAGAUUGAACAAGGUAUUGGGAUACCGACGAUCGAAUCUCGGGCAAGUAACGUACCGAUUGACAAAGGGAAUUGUAUACGGGAUUGAUUGAAUCCUCGACAUCGUGGUUCAUCCGAUGAGUUCAUCGUGGAACAUGUGGGAGCCAACAUGGGUAUCCAGAUCCCGCUGUGGGUUAUUGACCGGAGAGUCGUCUCGGUCAUGUCUGCAUGUCUCCCGAACCCGUAGGGUCUACACACUUAAGGUUCGGUGACGCUAGAGUUGUAGUGAUAUUAGUAUGCGGUUAACCGAAAGUUGUUUGGAGUCCCGGAUGAGAUCCCGGACGUCACGAGGAAUUCCGGAAUGGUCCAGAGGUAAAGAUUUAUAUAUGGGAAGUCCUAUUUUGGCCACCAGAAAAUGUUCGGGAUUUUUCGGUAUUGUACCGGGAAGGUUCUAGAAGGUUCCGAAGUGGGGCCCACCUGCAUGUGUUGGGGAACGUAGCAGAAAUUCAAAAUUUUCUACGCAUCACCAAGAUCAAUCUAUGGAGUAAUCUAGCAAUGAGGGAAGGGGAGUGCAUCUACAUACCCUUGUAGAUCGCGAGCGGAAGCGUUCAAGAGAACGGGGUUGAUGGAGUCGUACUCGUCGUGAUCCAAAUCACCGAUGAUCCUAGCGCCGAACGGACGGCACCUUCGUGUUCAACACACGUACGGAGCAGCGACGUCUCCUCCUUCUUGAUCCAGCAAGGGGGGAGGAGAGGUUGAUGGAGAUCCAGCAGCACGACGGCGUGGUGGUGGAAGUAGCGGGAUCCCUGCAGGGCUUCGCCAAGCGCAAGCGGGGAGGAAGAGGUGUUACGGGAGGGAGGGAGGCGCCAGGGCUUAGAUAUUGCUGCCCUCCCUUCCCCUCACUAUAUAUAGGGCCAAGGGAGAGGGGGGGGCGCAGCCUUGGCCCUUCCUCCAAGGAAGGGUGCGGCCAGGGAGGAGUCCAUCCUCCCCAAGGCACCUCGGAGGUGCCUUCCCCCUUUAGGACUCUUCCUUUCCCUUAUCUCUUGGCGCAUGGGCCUCUUGGGGCGGGUGCCCUUGGCCCAUAUAGGCCAAGGCGCACACCCCUACAGCCCAUGUGGCCCCCCGGGGCUGGUGGACCCCCGGACCCCUUUCGGCACUCCCGGUACAAUACCGAUAAUGCGCGAAACUUUUCCGGCGACCAAAAUAAGACUUCCCAUAUAUAAAUCUUUACCUCCGGACCAUUCCGAAACUCCUCGUGACGUCCGGGAUCNNNNNNNNNNNNNNNNNNNNNNNNNNNNNNNNNNNNNNNNNNNNNNNNNNNNNNNNNNNNNNNNNNNNNNNNNNNNNNNNNNNNNNNNNNNNNNNNNNNNNNNNNNNNNNNNNNNNNNNNNNNNNNNNNNNNNNNNNNNNNNNNNNNNNNNNNNNNNNNNNNNNNNNNNNNNNNNNNNNNNNNNNNNNNNNNNNNNNNNNNNNNNNNNNNNNNNNNNNNNNNNNNNNNNGGGGGGGGCGCAGCCUUGGCCCUUCCUCCAAGGAAGGGUGCGGCCAGGGAGGAGUCCAUCCUCCCCAAGGCACCUCGGAGGUGCCUUCCCCCUUUAGGACUCUUCCUUUCCCUUAUCUCUUGGCGCAUGGGCCUCUUGGGGCGGGUGCCCUUGGCCCCUAUAGGCCAAGGCGCACACCCCUACAGCCCAUGUGGCCCCCCGGGGCUGGUGGACCCCCGGACCCCUUUCGGCACUCCCGGUACAAUACCGAUAAUGCGCGAAACUUUUCCGGCGACCAAAAUAAGACUUCCCAUAUAUAAAUCUUUACCUCCGGACCAUUCCGAAACUCCUCGUGACGUCCGGGAUCUCAUCCGGGACUCCGAACAACUUUCGGGUUACCGCAUACUAAUAUCUCUACAACCCUAGCGUCACCGAACCUUAAGUGUGUAGACCCUACGGGUUCGGGAGACAUGCAGACAUGACCGAGACGACUCUCCGGUCAAUAACCAACAACGGGAUCUGGAUACCCAUGUUGGCUCCCACAUGCUCCUCGAUGAUCUCAUCGGAUGAACCAUGAUGUCGGGGAUUCAAUCAAUCCCAUAUACAAUUCCCUUUGUCAAUCGGUAUGUUACUUGCCCGAGAUUCGAUCGUCGGUAUCCCGAUACCUUGUUCAAUCUCGUUACCGGCAAGUCUCUUUACUCGUUCCGUAACACAUCAUCCCGUGAUCAACUCCUUGGUCACAUUGUGCACAUUAUGAUGAUGUCCUACCGAGUGGGCCCAGAGAUACCUCUCCGUUUACACGGAGUGACAAAUCCCAGUCUCGAUUCGUGCCAACCCAACAGACACUUUCGGAGAUACCUGUAGUGGACCUUUAUAGCCACCCAGUUACGUUGUGACGUUUGGUACACCCAAAGCAUUCCUACGGUAUCCGGGAGUUGCACAAUCUCAUGGUCUAAGGAAAUGAUGCUUGACAUUAGAAAAGCUCUUAGCAAACGAACUACACGAUCUUCUGCUAGGCUUAGGAUUGGGUCUUGUCCAUCACAUCAUUCUCCUAAUGAUGUGAUCCCGUUAUCAACGACAUCCAAUGUCCAUGGUCAGGAAACCGUAACCAUCUAUUGAUCAACGAGCUAGUCAACUAGAGGCUUACUAGGGACAUGGUGUUGUCUAUGUAUCCACACAUGUAUCUGAGUUUCCUAUCAAUACAAUUCUAGCAUGGAUAAUAAACGAUUAUCAUGAACAAGGAAAUAUAAUAAUAACCAAUUUAUUAUUGCCUCUAGGGCAUAUUUCCAACAGCAUGGGGGACCCACAUGAACGUGGGUAGUGGGGGCAAGGCCCCACACCCCUGGUCAAGGCGCACCAAGAUCCCACCUUAGAAGGAAUAAGAUCAUAUCCCGAAGGGAUAAGAUCAAGAUCCCUAAAAAGGGGGGAUAACAAUCGGUGGGGAAGGGAAAUGAUGGGAUUUCUUUCCCCCACCUUUGCCAAUGCCCCAAUGGACUUGGAGGGCAAGAAACCAGCCCCCUCCAACCCUAUAUAUAGUGGGGAGGCGCAUGGGAGCAGCACCCCCAAGCCCUGGCGCCUCCCUCCCUCCCGUGACACCUCUUCCUCCCCGCUUGCGCUUGGCGAAGCCCUGCCGGGAUCCCGCUACUUCCACCACAACGUCGUCGUGCUGCUGGAUCUCCAUCAACUUCUCCUCCCCCCUUGCUGGAUCAAGAAGGAGGAGACGUCCCCGCUCCGUACGUGUGUUGAAUGCGGAGGUGCCGUCCGUUCGGCGCUAGGAUCAUCGGUGAUUUGGAUCACGACGAGUACGACUCCAUCAACCCCGUUCUCUUGAACGCUUCUGCGCGCGAUCUACAAGGGUAUGUAGAUGCACUCCCCUCUCUCUCGUUGCUAGAUGACUCCAUAGAUUGAUCUUGGUGAUACGUAGAAAAUUUUAAAUUUCUGUUACGUUCCCCAACAGUGGCAUCAUGAGCCAGGUUUAUGCGUAGAUUCUAUGCACGAGUAGAACACAAAGUAGUUGUGGGCGACGAUUUGUUCAAUUUGCUUACCGUUACUAGUCUUAUCUUGAUUCGGCGGCAUUGUGGGAUGAAGCGGCCCGGACCGACCUUACACGUACUCUUACGUGAGACAGGUUCCACCGACUGACAUGCACUUGAUGCAUAAGGUGGCUAGCGGGUGUCUGUCUCUCCCACUUUAGUUGGAUCGGAUUCGAUGAAAAGGGUCCUUAUGAAGGGUAAAUAGCAAUUGGCAUAUCACCGUUGUGGCUUUUGCGUAGGUAAGAAACGUUCUUGCUAGAAACCCAUAGCAGCCACGUAAAACAUGCAACAACAAUUAGAGGAAGUCUAACUUGUUUUUGCAGGGUAUGCUAUGUGAUGUGAUAUGGCCAAAAGGAUGUGAUGAAUGAUAUAUGUGAUGUAUGAGAUUGAUCAUGUUCUUGUAAUAGGAAUCACGACUUGCAUGUCGAUGAGUAUGACAACCGGCAGGAGCCAUAGGAGUUGUCUUAAUUUAUUGUAUGACCUGCGUGUCAAUGAAAAACGCCAUGUAAUUACUUUACUUUAUUGCUAACCGUUAGCCACAGUAGUAGAAGUAAUAGUUGGUGAGACAACUUCAUGAAGACACGAUGAUGGAGAUCAUGCCGGUGACGAAGGUGAUCAUGCCGCGCCUCGAAGAUGGAGAUCAAAAGGCGCAAGAUGAUAUUGGCCAUAUCAUGUCACUUUAUGAUUUGCAUGUGAUGUUUGUCAUGUUUACAUCUUAUUUGCUUAGAACGACGGUAGCAUAAAUAAGAUGAUCCCUCAGUAAAAUUUCAAGAGAUGUGUUUCCCCUAACUGUGCACCGUUGCGAACGUUCGUUGUUUCGAAGCACCACGUGAUGAUCGGGGUGUGAUAGAUUCUAACGUUCGCAUACAACGGGUUUUGACGAGCCUAGCAUGUACAGACAUGGCCUCGGAACACAAGCAAAACACUUAGGUUGACUUGACGAGCCUAGCAUGUACAGACAUGGCCUCGGAACACAAGAGACCGAAAGGUCGAACAUGAGUCGUAUAGUAGAUACGAUCAACAUGGAGAUGUUCACCGAUGAUGACUAGUCCGUCUCACGUGAUGAUCGGACACGGCCUAGUCGAUUCGGAUCAUGUAUCACUUAGAUGACUAGAGGGAUGUCCAUCUAAGUGGGAGUUCAUUAAAUAAUCAGAUGAACUUAAUUAUCAUGAACAUAGUCAAAAGGUCUUUGCAAAUAAUGUCGUAGCUUACGCAUUAGUUCUACUAAGAUAUGUUCCUAGAGAAAGUUUAGUUGAAAGUUGAUAGUAGCAAUUAUGCGGACUGGGUCCGUAAACUGAGGAUUGUCCUCAUUGCUGCACAGAAGGCUUAUGUCCUUAAUGCACCGCUCGGUGUGCUGAACCUCGAGCGUCGUCUGUAGAUGUUACGAAACAUCUGACAUACAUGUUUUGAUGACUACGUGAUAGUUUAGUGUGUGAUGCUAACGGUUUAAAAUUGUGGCACCAAAGACGGUUUUGAAACGUCGCAGAACAUAUGAGAUGUUCCAAAGACUGAAAUUGGGAUUUCAGACUAAUGCCCACGUCAAGAGGUAUGAGACCUCUGACAAGUUUCUUAAGCCUGCAAACUAAGGGAGAAAAGCUCAAUCAUUGAGCAUGUGCUCAGAUUGUCUGAGUACUACAAUCACUUGAAUCGAGUGGGAGUUAAUCUUCCAGAUGAGAUAGUGAUGGUUCUCCAUAGUCACUGCCACCAAGCUAUUAGAGAUUCGUGAUGAACUAUAACAUAUCAGGGAUAGACAUGAUGAUCCUUGAGCAACUCGCGAUGUUUGACACCGCGAAAGUAGAAAUCAAGAAGGAGCAUAAAUUGUUGAUGGUUAGGAAAACCACUAGUUUCUAGAAGGGCAAGGGCAAGAAGGGAUACUUCAUGAAACGGCAAAUCAGUUGCUGCUCUAGUGAAGAAACCCAAGGUUGAACCCAACCCCGAGACUAAGUGCUUCUGAAAUGAGGGGAACGGUCACUGAAGCAGAACUACCCUAGAUACUUCGUAGAUGAGAAGGCUGGCAAGGUCGACAGAAGUAUAUUGGAUAUACAUUAUAUUAAUGUGUACUUUACUAGUACUCCUAGUAGCACCAGGGUAUUAGAUACCGGUUCGGUUGCUAAGUGUUAGUAACUCGAAAUAAAAGCUGCGGAAUAAACGGAGACUAGCUAAAGGUGAGAUGACGAUAUGUGUUGGAAGUGUUGCCAAGGUUGAUGUGAUCAAGCAUCGCAUGCUCCCUCUACCAUCGAGAUUGGGGUUAAACCUGAAUAAUUAUUAUUUGGUGUUUGCGUUGAGCAUAGACAUGAUUGGAUUAUGUUUAUCGCAAUACGGUUAUUCAUUAAAGGAGAAUAAUAGUUACUCUGUCUAUUUGAUUAAUACCUUCAAUGGUCUUGCACCUAAAAUGAAUCGUUUAUUGAAUCUCGAUCGUAGUGAUACACAUGUUCAUGCCAAAAGAUAUAAGAUAGUAAUGAUAGUACCACAUACUUGUGGCACUACCACUUGAGUCAUAUUGGUAUAAAACGCAUGAAGAAGCUCCAUGUUGAUGGAUCUUUGGACUCACUCGUUUUUGAAAAGAUUGAGACAUGUGAACCAUGUCUAUUAGUAUAUAUGCAUGAAGAAAGUCCAUACAGAUGGAUCAUUUGGACUCACUUGAUUCUGAAUCACUUGAGACAUGCAAAUCAUACCACAUGGGCAAGAUGACUGAAAGGCCUCUUUUUCAGUAAGAUGGAACAAGAGAGCAACUUGUUGGAAGUAAUACAUUUGAUGUGUGCAGUCCAAUGAGUGCUGACGCACAAAGUGGAUAUCGUUAUGUUCUUACUUCACAGAUGAUUUGAGUAGAUGCUGAGAAUAUUUACUUGAUGAAACACAAGUCUGAAUUAUUGAAAGGUUCAAGUAAUUUCAGAGUGAAGUUGAAGAUCGUCGUGACAAGAGGAUAAAAUGUCUAUGAUAUGAUCAUAGAGAUGAAUAUCUGAGUUACGAGUUUGGCACACAAUUAAGAAAUUGUGGAAAUUGUUUCACGACUAAUACCGCCUGGAACACCAUAUUGUGAUGGUGUGUCCGAACAUCAUAACUGCACCCUAUUGGAUAUGGUGCAUACCAUGAUGUCUCUUAUCGAAUUACAACAAUCGUUUAUGGGUUAGGCAUUAGAGACAACCGCAUUCACUUUAAAUAGGGCACCACGCAAUUCCGUUGAGACGACACCGUAUGAACUAUGGUUUAGAGAAACCUAAGUUGUCGUUUCUUAAAAGUUUGGGGCUGCGACGCUUAUGUGAAAAAGUUUCAGGCUGAUAAGCUCGAACCCAAAGCGGAUAAAUGCAUCUUCAUAGAAUACCCAAAUCAGUUGGGUAUACCUCCUAUUUCAGAUCUGGAAGCAAAAGUGAUUGUUUCUAGAAACGGGUCCUUUCUCGAGGAAAAGUUUCUCUCGGAAGAAUUGAGUGGGAGGAUGGUGGAGACUUGAUGAGGUCAUUGAACCGUCACUUCAACUAAUGUGUAGCAGGGCACAAGAAGUUGUUCCUGUGGCACCUACACCAAUUGAAGUGGAAGCUUAUGAUAGUGAUCAUGAAACUUCAGAUCAAGUCACUACCAAACCUCAUAGGACGACAAGGAUGCGUACUACUUCAGAGUGGUACGUAAUCCUGUCUUGGAAGUCAUGUUGCUAGACAACAAUGAACCUACGAGCUAUGGAGAAGCGAUGGUGGGCCCGGAUUCCGACGAAUGGCUCGAGGCCAUGAAAUCCGAGAGGAUCCAUGUAUGAAAACAAAGUAUAGACUUUGAAAGAACUACUUGAUGGUCGUAAGGCUGUUGGGUACAGAUGGAUUUUAAAGGGAAGACAGACAAUGAUGGUAAGUGUCACCAUUAAGAAAGCUCGACUUGUCCUUAAGAUGUUUUCCGGCGAGUUCAAGGAGUUGACUGCGAUGAGACUUUCUCACUCAUAGCGAUGCUAAGAGUCUGUUAGAAUUAUAUUAGCAGUUACUGCAUUAUUUAUGAAAUCUUGCAGAUAGGAUGUCAAAACAUUGUUUCCUCGACGAUUUUCUUGAGGAAAGGUUGUAUGUGAUACAACCAGAAGGUUUUGUCAAUCCUGAAAGAUGCUAACAAGUAUGCAAAGCUCCAGCAAUCCUUCUAAGGAUUGGAGUAAGCAUCUCGGAGUUGGAAUGAACGCUUUGAUGAGAUGAUCAAAGAUUUUGGGUUUAUACAAAGUUCAUGAGAAACUUGUAUUUCCAAAGAAGUGAGUGGGAGCACUAUAGAAUUUUUGAUGAGUAUAUGUUGUUAACAUAUUGUUGAUCAGAAAUGAUGUAGAAUUUCUGGAAAGCAUCCAGGGUUAUUUGAAAAGUGUUUUUAAUGGAAAACCUGGAUUAAGCUACUUGAACAUUGAGCAUCAAGAUCUAUAAGGAUAGAUAAAAAACGCUUAAUAGUACUUUCAAAUGAAUACAUACCGUGACAAGAUUUUGAAGGAGUUCAAAAUAGAUCAGCAAAGAAGGAGUUCUUGGCUGUGUUACGAGGUGUGAGUAUUGAGUAAGACUCAAGACCUGACCACGACAGAAGAAAGAGAAAGGACGAAGGUCGUCCCCUAUGCUUUAGACGUAGGCUCUACAAUAUGCUAUGCUGUGUACCGCACCUGAAGUGUGCCUUGCCAUGAGAUAGUCAAGGGGUACAAUAGUGAUCCAGGAAGGGAUCACAUGACAGCGGUCGAACUUAUCCUUAGUAUCUAGUGGACUAAGGAAUUUUCUCGAUUAUGGAGGUGGAAAGGGGGUUCGUCGUAAAGGGUUACGUCGAUGCAAACUUUGACACUAAUCCGGAUGACUCUGAGUAGUGAACCGGAUUCGUAUAGUAGAGCAGUUAUUUGGAAUAGCUCCAAGUAGCGCGUGGUAGCUGCAUCUACAAGAUGACAUAGAGAUUUGUAAAGCACACACGGAUCUGAAUGUUGCAGACCCGUUGACUAAAAUCUCUCUCGUAAGCAUAACAUGAUCAAACCCUAGAACUCAUUGAGUGUUAAUCACAUGGUGAUGUGAACUAGAUUAUUGACUCUAGUAAACUCUUGGGUAUUAGUCACAUGGCGAUUUGAACUUUGAGUGUUAAUCACAUGGUGAUGUGAACUAGAUUAUUGACUCUAGUGCAAGUGGGAGACUGUUGGAAAUAUGCCCUAGAGGCAAUAAUAAAAUGGUUAUUAUUGUAUUUCCUUGUUCAUGAUAAUUGUCUGUUGUUCAUGCUAUAAUUGUAUUAACUAGAAACCGUAAUACAUGUGUGAAUACAUAGACCACAACAUGUCCCUAGUAAGCCUCUAGUUGACUAGCUCGUUGAUCAAUAGAUGGUUAUGGUUUCCUGACCAUGGACAUUGGAUGUCAUUGAUAACGGGAUCACAUCAUUAGGAGAAUGAUGUGAUGGACAAGACCCAAUCCUAAGCAUAGCACAAGAUCGUGUAGUUCGUUUGCUAGAGCUUUUCUAAUGUCAAGUAUCAUUUCCUUAGACCAUGAGAUUGUGCAACUCCCGGAUACCGUAGGAAUUCUUUGGGUGUACCAAACGUCACAACGUAACUGGGUGGCUAUAAAGGUGCACUACAGGUAUCUCCGAAAGUGUCUGUUGGGUUGGCACGAAUCGAGACUGGGAUUUGUCACUCCGUAUGACGGAGAGGUAUCUCUGGGCCCACUCGGUAAUGCAUCAUCAUAAUGAGCUCAAUGUGACUAAGGAGUUAGCCACGGGAUCAUGCGUUAUGGUACGAGUAAAGUGACUUGCCGGUAACGAGAUUGAACAAGGUAUUGGGAUACCGACGAUCGAAUCUCGGGCAAGUAACGUACCGGUUGACAAAGGGAAUUGUAUACGGGAUUGAUUGAAUCCUCGACAUCGUGGUUCAUCCGAUGAGAUCAUCGUGGAACAUGUGGGAGCCAACAUGGGUAUCCAGAUCCCGCUGUUGGUUAUUGACCGGAGAGUCGUCUCGGUCAUGUCUGCAUGUCUCCCAAACCCGUAGGGUCUACACACUUAAGGUUCGGUGAUGCUAGAGUUGUAGAGAUAUUAGUAUGCGGUUAACCGAAAGUUGUUCGGAGUCCCGGAUGAGAUCCCGGACGUCACGAGGAGUUCCGGAAUGGUCCGGAGGUAAAGAUUUAUAUGUGGGAAGUCCUAUUUUGGCCACCGGAAAAUGUUCAGGAUUUUUCGGUAUUGUACCGGGAAGGUUCUAGAAGGUUCCGAAGUGGGGCCCACCUGCAUGGGGGGACCCACAUGAACGUGGGUAGUGGGGGCAAGGCCCCACACCCCUGGUCAAGGCGCACCAAGAUCCCACCUUAGAAGGAAUAAGAUCAUAUCCCGAAGGGAUAAGAUCAAGAUCCCUAAAAAGGGGGGAUAACAAUCGGUGGGGAAGGGAAAUGAUGGGAUUUCUUUCCCCCGCCUUUGCCAACGCCCCAAUGGACUUGGAGGGCAAGAAACCAGCCCCCUCCACCCCUAUAUAUAGUGGGGAGGCGCAUGGGAGCAGCAACCCAAGCCGUGGCGCCUCCCUCCCUUCCGUGACACCUCUUCCUCCCCGCUUGCGCUUGGCGAAGCCCUGCCGGGAUCCCGCUACUUCCACCACCACACCGUCGUGCUGCUGGAUCUCCAUCAACUUCUCCUCCCCCUUGCUGGAUCAAGAAGGAGGAGACGUCCCCGCUCCGUACGUGUGUUGAACGCGGAGGUGCCGUCCGUUCGGCGCUAGGAUCAUCGGUGAUUUGGAUCACGACGAAUACGACUCCAUCAACCCCGUUCUCUUGAACGCUUCUGCGCGCGAUCUACAAGGGUAUGUAGAUGCACUCCCCUCUCUCUCUUUGCUAGAUGACUCCAUAGAUUGAUCUUGGUGAUACGUAGAAAAUUUUAAAUUUUUGCUACGUUCCCAACAGUGUUUUUAUAUACAGUUCUCUGUUUGCAGUGAACUGUAUGUAGUUUGAAUAACUGGUUUACUUCUGAAGUGUGCUACUUUUAAUUUGUACCUUUGUAUCCCUACGUUUGCAACAUUUCAAUAGCUUCAUAUGUUCGAUUUCUUCAAUGUCUCUAUAUAUUAUUCUGAGAUUAAAUCAGCAUGCACUGAUCCACUCUUGAAUCAGUAGAUUGCACAUUUGCGAGUGAUCAUCGAGCGCGGCGUGCCGCCGCGCGGGUUAGGCUAGUUAUAUGCUAGAUUGCAACCAAUCCUUCCAUCAUAUAUUAUUCCAGAUUCCUUGUGGUAGAUCAACCGGGUUCAAGUCCUAGACUUAGCGCAGGGUAUUUGUGUGUGCGUUCAUACUAUUGCGUCUAUGUGAGUAUUUGCCUUUAUACUGCCCUAGAAAAACUUUUACAACAUUACAACUUACAACAUUUCACAAUACUUAUAAUCUACACAUGCAUGGCACGUGACAUUUACUAGUAAUAAUAUGGAUUUGAGAUUUCUAACUGAGGUACCCGAAUGUGGAAUGCAUUUUUUGAGGGAUGACCGGUCACUGUCCACGAACGCGCUGGUCGGAUUUGCCAUGUCAAGUUGUAGAUGCUCUAAAAGCCCCAUAUUAAGAGCAACUCUAGCAAACCCCGCAAAAGUGGCAAACCCACAAAAUUCCGGCGAGUAUACGGGCUCGGCCCAAUUUUCUGGCCAGAACAGAGCCAGUAUACUCGCCCGGCCCGUAAAUUUUUUUACCGCGGCCCGCAAACCGCCCCCCUCCCGGCCAGUAUAUGUUUGGGUUCGCGUUGCAUUUGCGGGUCGAAACCCUAUCCCCCCGCCGCCGCGUCUCUCUGCAAUUCCCCACUCCACUCCUCACAUUUCUCGUCGCCGGUGAGCUGCAUUCCGCCUCCAGCCGCCAUGUGGGGACGCAUGUGGUGCUCCGGCCGCGGCUCCGGGAGUAGAUCCGGCGGCGGCGCCGCCCCGAGCGCGAGCGGUGUGUUCGCUCGGACGGCGCGAGGAAGCGCGGGGCGAGGAAGUGGACGAACCGGGGCCUCUCGCCGCCGCCAAACUUCCGCGUCCGCUAGACAGAGGAAUGCGACCAUAGGCACGGGCGUAUGCCCUCCUUCGCCGUGGGCUCGUCCUCCGCCGCAAGAUCUUCCCAGCUGCGAGCUCUUCCCACGCCGCGAGCUCUUCCUCCUCCGGCGCAAGCCUUCUCCCCGUGAAGAGGGAGUGGUCGGAGGAGAUCGAGGUCGUCGCCGUCAAGCAGGAGCCCGAGGAGAUCAUGUGGCGCGGUGUCGUCGGGCCCGAGGACUUCGUCGCCGAUGUCGACGCGGUCGUGGCCGCCAUUGCCGAACGCAGCUUGCGUGAGGAGGCGGAGCGCCGGCGCCACCACGAGGAGCUCGACGACCUCGUGUUCCAGCAGGCGGUAGCGGCGAACCUUGCCGCCAAGGAGAAGGACGACGAGUGGCGGCGCAUCCGCGAGGAGCAGAAGCAGAAGUACAUCGACCUCGACAGCUCCGACGAGGAGGAUUGAGCUCCUCCACCGCGUCGUCCAUGGCUGCUAGCUCGCCCCCGUGAGAUCUCCACCCCCUCUAGUACUAGUAAUGAAUGUAGUAUGUAGUAUGAACUAGUGUUUGUAAUGAAUUAGUGUUUCAUCAUGUAGUAUGUGAUAGUAUGUGAUGAAGUACUACGGUUGCAAUUUCUCUCGCGAAACUUUUAUUUUCAAAUUAUGCAGUUUCAUAUAUGGUUUUUGUUCGGCUGCGCACGUUUUCAACCCGCAAACGAGAUCUGCGUCGAACUGCAAACGCGUUUUGCGGGUCGGGAUUUUGCGGGGUCUGCUAGAGUUGCUCUAAGCCCGUGAAUGUAGCAUUGCUGCCUUCCGAACGGCAAGCAGACAUAUUUUUUUCCCAACUACGAUAUUCACCAAGAGGUAUUUAAACUGGAGUACUAUAAUUCCAAAGUUAAACGCAUAGUCGUGUAAACAGUAAAUUGCUGGCCAUUAAAGUUGGACUAUAUUUCGCAGGCCAAAUUGAAUGUAAUAGUUUGUAGAUUGAAUCAGAUUGUAGUUACGCGGUGAAUGCCAUCUUGAUGAUGGCUACCAAGGGCCCGAUGUCGUCACGAUAGUAGAGUGCAAAGACUUGUUACGGGAUUUUGCAAAAGUUCAGUUCACACAUUGCUUCAGAUAACCAAAUGCUGCAGCAGAUGGCUUAGCUAAAACAUUGCCAUAAUUCUAAAUACCCUAGCUUUCUGGCGUUUUUAUCCCUGAUUUUAUUUCUCACCUUCAUGUAAAUGAUCUGUCUAUUAUAUGAGAAAUAAAGUAGCAAAACAGUAAAAUCCAAAAAACACUUACUAAGCAAAAUAAAAGAAAAUCAAUUAAUUUUUUGGCAAUGUGACCUCCGUCCUAUCCUAGUCUAUAUGAAAGAAAAAUACAAACAUGAGUGCUGCAAAUAACUUUUCUGAGCCCAAAUCUUUCUGAUACGAUCCAUCAUGAAUGUCUUUUUUUUUUUGAAAAAACAAAAUUCAAGCAGUUAGAGCAUAUGUUGAUGUUUAUUAGAAAACUCUCAUUUAUUUCAAUUUUCUUUGGAUUUUGUUGUUCAGGCUGUUUGGAUUUUGACUGUUUUUGCCACAUAUUGCCAUAGUGUUUUGUCAUAUUUGCCAUACUUGAGGUGUUUUUGCCACACUUUGACUUGCCUUAGGGAAUUUUGCCACACAUUUUUUAUCUAUGACAUGUGGGACUUAUACGGCUAAUAAAAGAAAUUCUUCCCUUAGUUGUGGCAAGAACCCAACGCAUAUCUAACUUGGUCAAACUUAUCUAAAUUGAUAUGUGACAAAGUGUGGCAAAUUGUAGCUUCGAACCAAACACCCCGAAGUUUGAGCUUGGGAGCAUAAAAAUCCAUGUCUUUAAAAUUUGUACUUUUCUACCCCUUUACUUUUAAAUGUGUUUAGCGUUUCGGGCUUUAUCAUCAAUUUUACUUUCAAAAAAAUUGUUAUCGCCCGACUAAUAGGUGCGCUCCACUCAACUACCACAAGCGUCUAUCAGGUGUCCUUAUGGUGGUGAAAGAUAAAGAAAUCCAUUGAUAUUUUCUAAGUCUCUCACCAAUUUGCCUUUGUCCUUAUAAUUUUCAUUUUGUUCCCCUCUGCUCGGAUAAGUACCUUUGGCUCUCGGGUGUAGGUCCACCCUAUAUGGGAAAAAUAAUGGAAAAUUUCAAAAAAUUAUCAAAAUUCUUGGGAAACAAACUUAACCUUCAGUUGUAUUUGUAUAUAUAAUAAAAAUUUCCAAGGAAUGACUUUCAUGCUAUUUUGGGUAGAAAAAGUCAACACUAUAUACAAGUUACUAUUCAUGCAUUUUGUCCUUGAAAUUUUGUCUUUUUGCUUUGAAGUCAAGAGGAAUAUUUUCUUAACCAAACUUUUUAUAUGAGUACAAUUCAAGGUAAAGUUUGUUUUCGAAAAAUGUUUUAGAAUUUUUUGGAUAAAAAAAAUUCACAUAUAGGUUGCAUUUACACCCGAGAGUUAAAGAGUAUUUCUUUCGGAUGAAGAUACUAUUUUUAGAAUUAAGGAGUUUAUGCGCGCGCGAGAGCUAGCUUUUGCUAGAGUAGUCCAAGAUGAUGGCGAUUGAUGGGUUCUUUCAUCUCUCCCCAUAAAGGCAAAGCCUUUUUAAUUAGAGCUUAGGCUCAAACUAUGUCACCUUUAUUUUCCCAGCUAAUAAAAACACAGAAAUGAUAAAAUCCGAACGUUCGGGAUUUCCUCAUGGCAAAUCGAACGUCUUUUAUGCCAACUUUAGUUGACGUGAGAAUGGCAAAUUUAAUUGACAAGCAUGAUAAUUUUCUAAAAAAAUGCAAAGGGCGAAUUUAUCAUAUGCUUACCAAUUAAACUUAUCAUGGUCAAUAAAUAUAAAUUAUCACAAAAUAUGUUCGAUUUGCCAUGGCCAGAUCCUGAACAUUCAGGACUUAUCGACGUCCUAGAAACAAUAGCUCUCCUGUCAGAGUUUUUUUUUAAAUCCACAUGUAAAAAUUCCCAACCAUGACGGUCCAUGCGGGUUGCCGAAUAAGGCCCAAUGGAAUUUGUUUUGAACACAGUACAGACACAAGCGCUCAUAUACACGCUCAUCUCUACUACUAUUAAACAAGCAAACAUAUUCUUCACUAUGCCCACCCAAAUAAACGUACACAAAGAAAAACAAGACAAACUACAACCCCAAGAUUAUGCAUCUAACCGUCCACAUAAGAGUCAGGCCCACCUGUGUGCGUUUAGCAAUUUAGAAUAGCGGACGAAACUCUGUCAUUCGAUCGAACAGUUCACCUCCCCGCAAAAAAAGAUAAAGCCAAUCAACUACAGAAAAAAAAAGAUAAAGCCAAUCAACAGUUCGACAAACCAUGGCAUUGGGCGGGGCUUCAGGAUCUCGUCCGAGUGGAUCGAUGGAAACUGACGACGUGACAGCCCUGAUGAAGGAGCUAGGUCUUCGGGAGGAGGAUCUCGACGACGUGAUUUUUGAUGAGAAGGAGGCUCCGGUCGAGGCGGCGCGCUGGAUAGCGUUGGCUAGGGUUCACUCGCCCAAGACAUAUAGCCAGUAUUGGUUCUUCAAAAACAUGAGAGCCGCGUGGGAUCUUGCCCAAGAUGUUCAGUUCAAGCCCCCUGAGGAUAAUCUCUAUAUUGUGCAAUUCUCCUGCUUGGGGGAUUGGGAAAGAGUAACGAGGGACGGACCUGGCACUUCCGAGGAGAUGCUGUCAUCCUCAAGCCAUAUGAUGGAUUGACAAAGCCGUCCACAGUGCAGCUUGACACUAUAGAAAUUUGGGUACAGAUUCAUGAUGUACCUCCACUAUAUGCCCAUCUGAUCCCUUCUUUAGCAGCAAAGGUUGUUGAAGUCAUCUACACCGAACCCCAAUCGCAAGACUUUGCCGGCAACUUCCAUCAAGUUUGGGUCCGGAUUAAUGUUGAUAAGCCUCUGAAGAACGCAGUUUCUAUGAUAAGAGAGGGGAAGCGCCAGAUAUACAGGAUCAAGUAUGAAAAACUUCCGGACUGGUGUGCAGUUUGUGGCAUGUUGGGUCAUCAGUUCAAGGAGCAUGGUAAUGGUAUACACCCUCCGUCCGCGUUGAUCUUUAAGGAUGUUAGGGCCUCGUGGGUCAUGAGGACAGGACAGGGUCCUGGAGGGGGCCGUGGAAGAAGAGGAGGACGGCGGGGAGGCCGUGGUGGCCGUGGAGCAAACCCCCGAUCGGAUCAGGAUGAUGGUUAUGAUGGGAAAGACAAUUUGAGCUCUGAUACUGAUGCGGUCAUGGACGAUGCUGAAAACAACAGAAAGAGGGCGCAACACAUGAAGCACUCUAUGAACAACGAAUCAAACAGUUCUGGUCCUGGGUUGAUGUUAGCUCUAACCUCUUCGCCGUCUAUACCCCAGAGCCCGAGUAGCAAGCAAGACCCAAAGAGAGCCAAGAAAAACAUAGAUGCAGCGGCUGAGGAUUUGGAAAAAGGUGUCGGUCGUGGCAACAUCGUCACUUCUUUGGCGGGCUCCUUCGAGGAGCGCCGCCGAGCCCAAUGAAUGCGCUAUGCUGGAACUGCCGUGGCGCGGGUAAACCUGCGGCAGUUCAAGAGCUUCGCGAAUUCGCGAGGAAGUUUACCCCUACCCUCCUUUGUAUCGUUGAGACACAGAUAGAUGGUCGGAGGGUAGAAGCUAUGGCUAGCUCGAUAGGCUAUGAUAAUUCCUAUGCUGUCGAUAGUCAGGGAAGGAGUGGUGGAAUUGGCUUAUUUUGGAACAAUGCAAUAAAAGUUGAGAUUCUCGGUUAUUCAUGUUAUCACCUUGAUGUUUCAAUUACAGAACAGGGGGAGGACCCAUGGAGGAUGACGUGUGUCUAUGGGGAGGCGCAGACCCAUCUUAGACACCAAACGUGGACUGUACUUAAAAAUAUCAGUACUUUAAAUGGCCUUCCAUGGUUGUGCAUAGGCGACUUCAAUGAAGUGUUACGUCCAAGUGAGCAUGAAGGUGUAGGAGAACGCAGUAACGCACAAAUCCAGGCAUUCGGAGACACGGUGGACGUUUGCAUGUUGCUUGAUUUGGGCUAUAAGGGCUGUUCUGGACGUUUGAGAAGAAAGUGACUGGUGGCUCAUUUACUCGAUGCCGUCUUGACAACGCGUUGGUAAAUUUAGAUUGGUUGGCGAGAUUCCUGUUAGCCUCUAUAACACACGAGGUUGCGGCGUCAUCGGACCAUAUGGCUUUGCUUCUGGACCUUGGAAGAGUUAAGGGCGAAAGGGCAAAGAUGGGGUUUAGAUACGAGACCAUGUGGGAGACUCACGCGGGCCUAAGAGAUAUGUUGGUUCAAAGCUGGGAAACCGAAGCUCCCUGCAACUCGGUGGAAGAUAUACGACGCAAGAUCGAGAACCUGGCUAAAGGACUUGACAGAUGGAGUAAUGACACGUUCGGAAGCGUGAGGAAGGAAAUCAAGCAUCUAAAGAAAAUGCUAGAAGAGCUGCAGUCCGAUCCUUUACGGACGGGGCCGUCACAUGUUGAACUCAAAAUAAAUGAACGUCUCAUCGAAAUGUAUCACCGUGAGGAGAUAAUGUGGCGCCAGAGGGCGAGGAUAGAUUGGCUGACGUCAGGUGACAAGAACACCAAAUUCUUUCAUCUACGGGCGAGUUUGAGGAGGAAGAAAAAUAUGAUAAAAGCCUUACAUAAUUCAUUGGGAGCAAUUGUAGUAGAUCCAGAUGAGCUCAAAGCCAUGGUAAAUAAUUUUUACCAAACGUUAUAUACUUCCGAGGAGGUCCGGGGGAUGGAUGCAGUGCUUACUCACGUGCCAAGGAAAGUGUCUGAGGAGAUGAAUGCUAUGUUGAAUGCAGAUUACACUAAGGAAGAGGUGAAAACAACAUUGUUCCAAAUGUUCCCGACGAAGGCACCGGGGCCAGACGGCUUUCCGGCACAAUUUUAUCAGCGCCAUUGGGAUAUUUGUGGGGAUGAUGUAACAAGGGUGGUGUUGAAAAUAGUCCAUGGAGAAGAGAGCCCAGAAGGUAUUAAUGACACCGUUCUUGUUCUAAUACCGAAGGUAAUAAAUCCCACCCUCCUUUCCCAGUUUAGGCCCAUAAGCUUAUGCAACGUUAUGUAUAAAAUUGCCUCUAAAGUGGUGGCCAAUAGACUGAAGCUAGUUCUACCAGACAUAAUUUCGGCUGAACAGUUUGCUUUUGUUCCGGGGUGGCUUAUCACUGAUAACAUUAUAUGUGCAUAUGAGUGCUUGCAUUUCAUGAAGAGGUCUAAAGCAAAGACUAACAACUAUUGUGCUCUCAAAUUGGAUAUGAUGAAGGCUUAUGACAGAUUGGAGUGGCCUUAUUUGAGGGCUAUUAUGAUAAAGCUUGGCUUCUCUCAUCGAUGGAUUAAUACAGUUAGGGGCAUGGUCUCUUCAGUGUCCUUUUCUGUUCUUUUUAAUGGUGAGAAGCUUGAUUCUUUCAGACCAACCAGAGGUAUCCGACAGGGAGACCCAAUUUCCCCUUACUUAUUCUUGAUUGCAGCAGAGGGCCUUUCGUGCCUCCUGAAAUCCAGUACAUAGUCAUCAAUUGCAGGUAUUAAGGUGGCCCCAACUGCCCCAACUAUAAACCACCUUUUAUUUGCAAAUGACAACCUGUUGCUUUUUAAGGCUAAUGUUGAGGGAUCAGUUGCAGUGUCAAACCUGUUGGAAACAUAUUGUAAGGCUUCUGGGCAACGUAUCAAUCAUGACAAGUCAUCCAUCUUUUUUAGCCGGGGCUGUCCAAGCUCUAUGAGGGAAGCAAUAAAAAACUCCUUGCAGGUUCAUAAUGAGUCCUUAAGUGAGCAUUAUUUGGGCAUGCCAACGGACGUGGGACAUUCCAAGAAUGGAACGUUCAAGUACUUGAGAGACCGGGUAUCAGAGAAGGUAAAAGGCUGGACGAAAAAAUUACUCUCUGCUGCCGGUAAAGAAGUUUUGAUCAAGGCAAUUGCGCAAGCAAUUCCAGUCUACUCUAUGUCAUGCUUCCGUCUUCCUAGAGGGUUAUGUGACACCGUCUUCCUAGAGGGUUAUGUGACAGUAUAUCUGCCAUCAUUAGGCAAUUUUGGUGGGGGAGCAAGCAAGGCAAACGAAAACCAAACUGGGUUGCUUGGGACACUAUGAUACAACCAAAACAGUUGGGUGGACUUGGAUUCCGUGAUUUGGAGAUAUUCAAUCUAGCUCUGCCUGCGAGGCAAGCUUGGAGAAUAAUGAACGAUGAACGCUCUCUUAGUGCUCAGGUUUCGAAAGCUGUUUACUUCCCAAACAAUACAUUAUUGGAGGCAGAUUUGGGUCCUCAUCCAUCUCAGAUUUGGCGAGUGCUAUUAGAUGGAAAGGAGAUACUAGCUCAGGGAAUCAUCAGGAGAAUUGGGGAUGGGGAGAGCACGGAUAUAUGAUUACAUAAUUGGAUCCCUCGAGAUAGUUUCAAAAGCCCUAUUACAUCCUUAGUGCCAAACCCACCACGGCGAAUAUCUGAUCUUAUUGAUACUACUACAGCACAAUGGAAUGAGGAGCUGGUUCGCUCAGUUUUCAUCCCGGUUGAUGCAAACGAGAUUCUAAAAAUACCAGUGUGUAUGCGUAGGCAGCCGGAUUUUUGGGCUUGGCAUGAAGAACCAACUGGCUGUUUCACCGUUCGGUCGGCAUACCGAAUGAUAUUGCGUACGAAGACAAGUAGAGAGGGAUGGUGGAACGAGGCCGAGGGCUCAUCGACGGGGCAGAACAGCAGGUUUUGGAGCACUAUAUGGCAUAUCCAGGUACCCUCAAAACUUCGUAUGUUCCUUUGGAGACUUGCCAGACAUUCUAUGCCCAGCGGAGAAGUGCUUCAUCAUCGCCAUAUGGCCGAAACAGACACUUGCUGCUUGUGUGGAGCUAGGGAUACAUGGAGACACACACUUCUCUCUUGCGCUCUCUCAAGAAGCGUAUGGGCUCUCGCACCAGAGGAGUUGGUCGAGAAAAUCAUCACACACCAAGAGGAAGACGCUAAGGACUGGUUAUUUGCUCUACAUGAAAUGCUAGAUGCGCAUGAUUUUAUCCGUGUUGUGGUAACCAUGUGGGCAAUCUGGGCUGCACCAAGAAAGGCAAUUCAUGAGGAUAUAUUUCAAUCUCCACACGCUACAACGGCUUUCAUUAAUAAGUUUCUGUCAGAGUUGGAGUUAGUUAACAAAAGGGAGAGGCAAGUGGUACCAAGUAGAGUCACGCGGAGUGCAAGAUGGAUGCCCCCAAUCCAAGGUUGUGUCAAGAUCAAUGUUGACGGGGCAGUGGCCGUGAGAAGGAAGCAUGGUUCGGUGGGAGCAAUCUGCAGAGAUCAACAGGGCAAAGCCGGGCUUCAGGCCAUUGUUUUCAAACAUAUCACAGAGCCUCAAACGCUGGAAGCCCUAGCUAUAAGGGAAGCUCUCUCGUUGGCGGAUGAUCUAUAUGCACGAGAUAUACAGGUUGCCUCGGAUUGCAAGGUGGUUGUCGACGAGUUGCAUCAUGGCAAGCUAGCUACUUAUGGAGCUGUCCUUCGGGAGAUAUUGGAACACUCUUCUAGUUUUUUAUCUUGCAAGAUAGGUCAUGAAUUUAGGAGCUCAAACUAUGAAGCUCACAAUCUAGCGAAACAUUCUCUCUCCCUCGCGGUUGACCGCCAUGUGUGGUUAGGCCAGCCGGGAGAUCUUCAUUUCGUCCCUGUAAACAUUGUGACGGGUUAAUAAAGUUUCGCGAGAUUGUCUCAAAAAGAAAAAACUACAGAAAAAUAGCCACAAUUAUGGCAAUUGAUACGUCCGCCUCACAACAAACAGCUAAACUUACGGGAAUCAACUCGAUCUUCCUGCCUUUGCCCACCCAGACGUACGUCGCAGCCGCCCAGCCUGUCCUGCGCCAUCGCCGCCAUGCGCAGCGGAUGAUGCCCGCGCCGACGAGCUUCUAGCCAACGCAGGUUCGCCGCCAUGUGCAGAUUAUCCUCUUGUGCAGUUUGUGACCAGUUCCAUCCCAGUUAAUCUCGAUGUCUUUCUUCGAUGUCGCCGUUCAAACGCACAUUGCAGUGAGACGUCGGCGCUGCCAAGCCACUGUUGCGCCUUCGCCGUCCAGCAAGUGUUGGCCAUCGCCGCCUUCCGCAGCCGACGACGUCGGUGCCAACCAAGUCCUCAGCCAACGCACCUGCCUGCACAAGGGAAAUUCUAUUUAACAAAUAUGUGUGUACUUCAUUGCUUCCCUAAUCCCCGUCAAAUUUGCAUCUUUAUAACAAUGUUCUUCACUGUUUUGCAUAUUUACAACAGUGUGCUGAUCAAUGCAUAAUUUUUGGGCAAACCAUAAUAGAUCAUGAAUUUAAUGGUGCAUCAAACUGGACCCUCCAUCAUAUUGUUUUAACAGUAUAGUAUUCGAAUCUGUAUGACUGAAUGAAUAAAACCCUGCAUGAUCUAUUUGUAACCCAGUCCAAGAGAGGGGAGAAGAAAGUCCCAGUCCAAGAAUAUGAAACCAACUCAUUUGUUUUAACAAUAUAGUAUUCAAAUUUGUUUUAACAUUCAGGCUCUAUGGACGAAUCUGUGUCGACUUGGCAUGUAAAUGAACCUAUUCAGGACAUAGUCAAACUUAGCAUGUAAAUGAUGUAUUAAGGACAUAGUCAUUCUCUUUUUGAUAGUUCUUGGAGGGUUUUGGUCAAGGAAGUGAAAUACCUGGACUGGGUUUUUCUUCUCCACUCUUAAGUUCCCCAUGAUGUGCAUUUUGUUCCCGGGCAAGAUUGCUUGUAGAACAUCUGAAAAGGAUAGACCAACGUCUCUCAGGAAAAUAUGAUGGUAACUGAAACAAGGCAGUGUUCAAAUGAUCCGAACAAUAAAGUCAUGAUUUUCAGCACACUAAAAAGGCAACAACAGGUUUAUGACUGAAACAAGUGUAAAUCCUAGAAGACCAGGACCUCUGUUAUCUAAAUAGAAGAAGAAAAGGGCCAUAAGAGCCCUUCCGCGCAUAUGUUGCACCGGUCACAUUAUCCAAUAAUGCAUCUAACAAUGAGCUUUCUGGAAACUUGAUGGUGUUUAGGAAAUUAUACAGUGUUACAAGCCGAACGAUGUAAGAAUGCUCAGUGCAGCUCGGAGAUAACUAACAGUAAGCUGCAAUUGUUCAUGCCGUUUGUAACUACAAAAACAGUCAUCAGGUAAAUAGCAACACUCAUCAGGCACGGGAAUUAAUCGCGAAGACCUCACUGCUAUGGUUAGUUAUUAGCCCCACUGCCUCAUCUUUUGAUAAGACGAUUUAUGUUGUUUUUUGCUUGUGAUGCUAAUGCUUUGUUGCUUUGUCAUUUAUUCAUGCAACAACUGAAAGUACUGAAAAAUGUAUUCCAAUUUGCAUCGCUUCACAUGGAACUAAUAUCUGAUAAGUGGAAGGACCUAACCAUCACAACAUGGCCAAGGGAAGAGUGUAUUUAGAGCAGAUUGCAGACAUAUGGGUACACCUUCCUACCUCUGUUUUUUGUAUGUCCCCAUUAAUCGUAUUACAAAGGAAGUGUCUGCAAUUAAGAAUAGUGUAGUACCAAAUGAGAGUAGAUGACAUCAUAGUUAAGGGUCUUCGUCAUCAGGAGACUACUCAUCCAUCAUGUCAACCUACAAUAGCAAAGCACGUCUCCAAGUUGUUUUAGCAGACUUUGAACAAACACAUUAAAUUUAACAAAGUAGACAAUUUGAUGAUAGCUAAUUCUCUCAAGCAAUUAUUUCAGUCAAAGUUCAGUAUGCACACAACUAUGUUCAGUUCACGCAAGAUUUAGACAAAAGCAGUCACAUAUACUUAUCCUAAUGGGGAUCUCGGAUUCCUCACCGUCUACGAAGUACGCUGAGCAGGGGGUACCCAUGGACGGACGCGGCGGCGCUCAUUGUUGCUGGGACGGCGCGAAGUAGGAGGCAUCGAUGGCCUCCUCCAGCCGCAGUCGAGGUGGGGAGCCUCUGUCGGAUCCCUCCAAGGCUGCCCGGUGGUCGGUGCCGACGAUCCGUUGGAGGCAAAGCUCAUCCAUGGCGGCGGAGCGGAGCUGUGGCUGCGGACUAGGCUGGUGGCGGCGAACGGGUUCGUCGCGGGGCUGGAGAGCGAUGGGGAAAAGGGAAGCGAGGUGGAAGCCGUAGACGGCGAAUCCGGGCUGCGUGAAGAGAGGUAAGGGCGGCUGCCAUGGACCGGCGCAUCGGCAGGAAGGGGGGGGGGCAUUAGAUGAUCAGCGGCUGGGGAAGGGCGGCCGCCAUGGACCAAGCAGGGGUGGGUGUUCGUCUCGCCGCCGGUGGGGAUGCAGUGGAAGAGGGGCGAUCGUGUUCUGUGAGGGAGAGAGGAGCUUAUCCACCUGUGUCUGUGUAGUGAGGGAGUGGACUGUGGAGUGUUUGCUCCGAUUGUCCAAUUUCUUUGUUUUUUUAAGGCAAGUGUUUACAAAUCUGGUUCGGUCAUAUAUCAAUGGUUGAUCUUCAGGCUAACUCCAACGCACAACCCCAAACAGACGUCCGUUUUGUCCGAAUAUUCGUCCGUCUAGGGUGGCAACGGGGUUGUGUCCGUCCAAAUUUGUGUUUGCGCCGGCCGGGCACCCAACGCGGGACGCAUCCCAAACGGACAGCUCGGGCCCACAACUCACGCAGCACACGCAGUCGCGUCGCGCAGCGGAGGUCGUCGCGCCGCGCCGCCCGCAGUCGCAUCGUCGUCGCUGGCGGCCAUGAUAACUCACAGGAAUAGGGGAUCGCAACAGUUUUCGAGGGUAGAGUAUUCAACCCAAAUUUAUUGAUUCGACACAAGGGGAGCCAAAGAAUAUUCUCAAGUAUUAGCAGCUGAGUUGUCAAUUCAACCACACCUGAAAGACUUAAUAUCUGCAGCAAAGUGUUUAGUAGCAAAGUAGUAUGGAAGUAACGGUAACGGUGGCAAAAGUAAGAGUAGCAGUUUUUGUAGUAAUCGUAACAGUGGCAACGGAAAAUUAACUAAGCAAAGAUCAAUAUGUGAAAAGCUCGUAGGCAAUGGAUCAAUGAUGGAUAAUUAUGCUGGAUGCGAUUCCUAAUGCAACAGUUAUAACAUAGGGUGACACAGAACUAGCUCCAGUUCAUCAAUGUAAUGUAGGCAUGUAUUCCGAAUACAGUCAUACGUGCUUAUGGAAAAGAACUUGCAUGACAUCUUUUGUCUUACCCUCCCGUGACAGCGGGAUCCUAUUGGAAACUAAGGGAUAUUAAGGCCUCCUUUUAAUAGAGUACCGGACCAAAGCAUUAACACAUAGUGAAUACAUGAACUCCUCAAACUACGGUCAUCACUGGGAGUGGUCUCGAUUAUUGUCACUUCGGGGUUGCUGGAUCAUAACACAUAGUAGGUGACUAUUGACUUGCAAGAUAGGAUCAAGAACUCACAUAUAUUCAUGAAAACAUAAUAGGUUCAGAUCUGAAAUCAUGGCAAUCGGGCCCUAGUGACAAGCAUUAAGCAUAGCAAAGUCAUAGCAACAUCAAUCUUCGAACAUAAUGGAUACUAGGGAUCAAACCCUAACAAAACUAACUCGACUACAUGGUAAAUCUCAUCCAACCCAUCACCGUCCAGCAAGCCUAUGAUGAGAUUACUCACGCACGGCGGUGAGCAUCAUGAAAUUGGUGAUGGAGGAUGGUUGAUGAUGACGACGGCGACGGAUUCCCCUCUUCGGAGGCCCGAACGGACUCCAGAUCAGCCCUCCCGAGAGAGAUUAGGGCUUGGCGGCGGCUCCGUAUCGUAAAACGCGAUGAAUCCUUCUCUUUGUUUUUUCUCCUCGAACGUGAAUAUAUAGAGUUGGAGUUGAGGUCGGUGGAGUCCCAGGGGGCCCACGAGGCAGGGGGCGCGCCCCGGGGGGGCGCCCUGCACCCUCGUGCACAGGGUGUGGGCCCUCUGAUGCUGAUUCUUUCGCCAAUAUUUUUUAUUAAUUCCAAAACGUGUCUCCGUGGAUUUUCAGGUCAUUCCGAGAACUUUUAUUUCUGCAUAAAAAUAACACCAUGGCAAUUCUGCUGAAAACAGCGUCAGACUGGAUUAGUUCCAUUCAAAUCAUGCAAGUUAGAGUCCAAAACAAGGGCAAAAGUGUUUGGAAAAGAUACGUUGGAGACGUAUCAACUCCCCCAAGCUUAAACCUUUGCUUGUCCUCAAGCAAUUCAGUUGACAAACUGAAAGUGGUAAAGAAAAACUUUUACAAACUCUGUUUGAUCUUGUUGUUGCAAAUAUGUAAAGCCAGCAUUCAAGUUUUCAGCAAAGAUUAUGAACUAACCAUAUUCACAAUAACAUUUCGGUCUCAUGUUUACUCAUAUCAAUGGCAUAAUAAACUAGCGAGCAAUAAUAAUAAAUCUCGGAUGGCAACACCUCCUCAAAACAAUCAUAACAUAAUAUAACAAGAUGGUAUUUCGCUUGCCUUUUCUGAGACCGCAAAACAUAAAUGCAGAGCACCCCUGAAGAUCAAGGACUGACUAGACAUUGUAAUUCAUGGUAAAAGAGAUCCUGUCACAGUCAUACUGAAUGUAAAUUAAUAGCAAUGCAUGUGAAUGACAGCGAUGCUCUCCAACUGGUGCUUUUUAAUAAGAGGAUGAUGACUCAACAUAAAAGUAAAUAGAUAGGCCCUUCGCAGAGGGAAGCAGGAACUUGCAGAGGUGCCAGAGUUCGAGUUUUGAAACAGAGAUUGAAUAAUAUUUUGAGUGGCAUACUUUCAUUGUCAACAUAACAAGCAAGAGAUCUCGAUAUCUUCCAUGCUACACACAUUAUAGGCGGUUCCCAAACAGAAUGGUAAAGUUUAUACUCCCCCACCACCAACAAGCAUCAAUCCAUGGCUUGCCCGAAACAACGGGUGCCUCCAACUAACAACAAUCCCGGGGGAGUUUCGUUUGCAAUUAUUUUGAUUUGAGCAUGGGACUGGGCAUCCCGGUUACCGGCCAUUUUCUCGUGAAUGAUGAGCGGAGUCCACUCAUAGUGAGAAUAACCCACCUAGCAUGGAAGAUAUAGACAGCCCUAGUUGAUACAUGAGCUAUUCGAGCAUACAAAACAUAAUUUCAUUUGAAGGUUUAGAGUUUGGCACAUACAAAUUUACUUGGAACGGCAGGUAAAUACCGCAUAUAGGAAGGUAUGGUGGACUCAUAUGGAAUAACUUUGGGGUUUAUGGAAGUGGAUGCACAAGCAGUAUUCCCGCUUAGUACAAGUGAAGGCUAGAAAGAGACUAGGAAGUGACCAACUAGAGAGCGACAACAGUCAUGAACAUGCAUUAAGAUUAAUCAACAAUGAGUGCAAGCAUGAGUAGGAUAUAAAUCACCAUGAACAUAAAUAUCGUGGAGGCUAUGUUGAUUUUGUUUCAACUACAUGCGUGAACAUGUGCCAAGUCAAGCCACUCGAAUCGUUCAAAGGAGGAUACCACCCUAUCAUACCACAUCACAAUCAUUUUAAUAGAAUGUUGGCACGCAAGGUAAACCAUUAUAAGCUCCUAGUAAAUUAAGCAUGGCAUGAGCAACUAUAAUCUCUAAUUGUCAUUGCAAACAUGUUUCAUUCAUAAUAGGCUGAAUGAGGAACGAUGAACUAAUUAUAUUUACAAAAACAAGAUAGGUCGAGUUCAUACCAGCUUCUCUCAUCUCAAUCAGUCCAUCAUAUAUCGUCAUUAUUGCCUUUCACUCGCACGACCGAAUGGUGUGGAUAAUAAUAAUAGUGCACGUUGAUACGUCUCCGUCGUAUCUACUUUUCCAAACACUUUUGCCCUUGUUUUGGACUCUAACUUGCAUGAUUUGAAUGGAACUAACCCGGACUGAUGCUGUUUUCAGCAGACUUUCCAUGGUGUUAUUUAUGUGCAGAAACAAAAGUUCUCGGAAUGACCUGAAACUCCACGGAACGUCUAUUUGGAAAUAAUAAAAAAUCCUUGCAAAAGAUGAAGACCAGGGGGCCCACACCCUAGCCACGAGGGUGGGGGGCGCGCCCCCUACCUCGUGGGCCCCCUGGAGCUCCUCUGACCUCAACUCCAAAUCUAUAUAUUUGCUUUCGGGGAGAAAAAAAUCAGAGAGAAGGAUUCAUCGCGUUUUACGAUAUGGAGCCGCCGCCAAGCCCUAAAACCUCUCGGGAGGGUUGAUCUGCAGUCCGUUCGGGACUCUGGAGAGGGGGAUUCGUCGUCGUCGUCAUCAUCAACCAUCCUCCAUCACCAAUUUCAUGAUGCUCACCGCCGUGCGUGAGUAAUUCCAUCGUAGGCUUGCUGGACGGUGAUGGGUUGGAUGAGAUCUAUCAUGUAAUCGAGUUAGUUUUGUUAGGGUUUGAUCCCUAGUAUCCACUAUGUUCUGAGAUUGAUGUUGCUAUGACUUUGCUAUGCUUAAUGCUUGUCACUAGGGCCCGAGUGCCAUGAUUUCAGAUCUGAACCUAUUAUGUUUUCAUGAAUAUAUGUGAGUUCUUGAUCCUAUCUUGCAAGUCUAUAGUCACCUACUAUGUGUUAUGAUCCGGCAACCCCGAAGUGACAAUACUCGGGACCACUCCCGGUGAUGACCAUAGUUUGAGGAGUUCAUGUAUUCACUAUGUGUUAAUGCUUUGUUCCGGUACUCUAUUAAAAGGAGGCCUUAAUAUCCCUUAGUUUCCAUUAGGACCCCGCUGCCACGGGAGGGUAGGACAAAAGAUGUCAUGCAAGUUCUUUUCCAUAAGCACGUAUGACUAUAUUCGGAAUACAUGCCUACAUUACAUUGAGAAUUGGAGCUAGUUCUGUGUCACCCUAUGUUAUGAUUGUUACAUGAUGAACCGCAUCCGGCAUAAUUCUCCAUCACCGAUCCAAUGCCUAUGAGCUUUUCACAUAUUGUUCUUUGCUUAUUUACUUUUCCGUUGCUACUGUUACAAUCACUACAAAACACCAAAAAUAUUACUUUUGCUACCGUUACUUUUGUUACCGUUACCACUACUAUCAUAUUACUUUGCUACUAAAUACUUUGCUGCAGAUACUAAGUUAUCCAGGUGUGGUUGAAUUGACAACUCAACUGCUAAUACUUGAGAAUAUUCUUUGGCUCCCCUUGUGUCGAAUCAAUAAAUUUGGGUUGAAUACUCUACCCUCGAAAACUGUUGCGAUCCACUAUACUUGUGGGUUAUCAAGACUAUUUUCUGGCGCCGUUGCCGGGGAGCAUAGCUCUAUUCUUUGAGUCACUUGGGAUUUAUAUCUGCUUGUCACUAUGAAGAACUUGAAAGACGCUAAGACAAUAAUUUAUCCCUCAACUACGAGGGGAGGUAAGGAACUGCCAUCUAGCUCUGCACUUGAUUCACCUUCUGUUUUGAGUAAGCUUGCGACACCUAAACCUACUUCUGCUAUUCGUUCCGAUAUGUCGCAUGUUAUUGAUGAUGCCACUUCUGCUAUGCGUGAUACUUAUGAUGAAACUACUUCUAUGCUUGAUACUACUGUGCCCCUUAGUGACUUUCUUGAUGAACAAAUUGCUAGGGCUAGAGAGAAAGAAAUUAUUGAAACUGAUUAUAUUGAUGAAAGUGAUGAUGAAGACUUGCCUGUUAUUCCUGAGGGUUAUGUUUUUGGUAAAGAAGCUUCUUUAGCUAUUUUAGCUUGCAAAGAUAGAUAUGAACUCAAGAGGUUAUUAGCUAAAUGGAAGCAGCAAUCCCUUAAUGAUAUAAUGAGACCUGACCCUGCUUUUGCAACUUCACCUAUCUGUGUUACCGAUAAGGAUUAUGAAUUCUCUGUUGAUCCUGAUAUAAUUACUUUGGUUGAAUCUGAUCCUUUUCAUGGCUAUGAAUCUGAAACUGUUGUGGCACAUCUUACUAAAUUAAAUGAUAUAGCCACCCUGUUCACUAAUGAUGAGAGAUCUCGCUACUUUUAUAUCCUUAAAAUAUUUCCGUUCUCAUUAAAGGGUGAUGCUAAGAUAUGGUUUAAUUCCCUUGAUCCUGGUUGUGUGCGUAGUCCCCAGGAUAUGAUUUAUUACUUCUCUGCUAAAUAUUUCCCUGCUCAUAAGAAACAAGCUGCUUUGAGGGAAAUAUACAACUUUGUGCAAAUUGAAGAAGAGAGUCUCCCACAAGCUUGGGGGAGGCUUCUCAAGUUACUUAAUGCUUUGCCUGAUCAUUCUCUCAAGAAAAAUGAAAUACUUGAUAUCUUUUAUAAUGGACUAACCGAUGCUUCCAGAGAUUACCUGGAUAGUUGUGCUGGUUCUGUUUUCAGGGAAAGAACACCUGAUGAAGCUGAAAUUCUAUUGAAUAAUAAGUUGACAAAUGAAAAUAAUUGGACACUUCCUGAGCCAAUUCCUGAGCCAAUUCCUAAACCAACUCCGAAGAAGAGAGGUGUUCUAUUUCUCAGUCCUGAAGAUAUGCAAGAGGCAAAGAAAUCUAUGAAAGAAAAAGGUAUUAAAGCUGACGAUGUUAAGAAUUUACCUCCUAUUAAAGAAAUACAUGGUCUUAAUUUACCGCCUGUUGAAGAAACAUAUGAUCUUAAUCAUUAUCUACUGAAGAACCUCAUGGUCUUGAUAACCCGACACGGGUAGUAAAUGUAAAUUCUCUCUAUAGAUAUGAUAAAGCUGAAAUCCCUCCUACUAAAAUUGCUAGCCAAUGCUUGGAUGAGUUUGAUAACUUUAUGGUUAAGCAAGAAGAUUUCAAUGCUUAUUUUGGUAGACAAUUAAAACAAAAUGCUUAUAUGAUUGAACACUUGGGUGAUUAUAUGGCUAAUGUUAGAGGUGAACUUAAACUCAUUAGUAAACAUGCUUCUAUGGUUACCACUCAAGUAGAACAAGUACUUAAAGCUCAAAAUGAUUUGCUCAAUGAAAUGAAUAGUAACAAAAAAGAUUAUGCUAUUAGAGUGGCUACUAGAACUGGUAGAAUGACUCAGGAACCUUUGUAUCCUGAAGGCCACCCUAAGAGAAUUGAACAAGAUUCUCAGAGAAAUAAUAUAGAUGCACCUAGUCCUUCUAAAAAGAAGAAAAAGAAAAAUGAUAGGACUUUGCAUGCUUCUAGUGAACCUAUUGCUGAACCACCUGAGAAUCCAAAUGAUAUCUCUAUUUCUGAUGCUGAAACACAAUCUGGUAAUGAACAUGAACCUAGUGAAAAUGUUAAUGAUGAUGUUCAUGAUGAUGCUCAACCUAGUAAUGACAAUGAUGUAGAAAUUGAACCUGCUGUUGAUCUUGAUAACCCACAAUCAAAGAAUCAACGUUAUGAUACAAGAGACUUUGUUGCUAGGAAACAUGGUAAAGAAAGAGAACCUUGGGUUCAGAAACCCAUGCCCUUUCCUCCCAAACCAUCCAAGAAAAAGGAUGACGAGGAUUUUGAGCGCUUUGCUGAAAUGAUUAGACCUAUCUUUUUGCGUAUGCGAUUAACUGAUGUGCUCAAAAUGAAUCCUUAUGCUAAGUAUAUGAAAGAUAUUGUUACAAAUAAAAGAAAGAUACCGGAAGCUGUGAUUUCCACCAUGCUUGCUAAUUACACUUUUAAGGGUGGAAUACCAAAGAAACUAGGAGAUCCAGGAGUACCAACUAUACCAUGCUCCAUUAAAAGAAACUAUGUUAAAACUGCUUUAUGUGAUCUUGGAGCCGGUGUUACUGUUAUGCCUCUCUCUUUAUAUCGUAGACUUGACUUGAAUAAGUUGACACCUACUGAAAUAUCUUUGCAAAUGGCUGACAAAUCAACUGCAAUACCUGUCGGUAUUUGUGAGGAUGUGCCUGUUGUAGUUGCAAACGUUACUAUUUUAACGGACUUUGUUAUUCUUGAUAUUCCCGAGGACGAUAGUAUGUCUAUUAUUCUUGGAAGACCUUUUUUGAACACUGCAGGGGCUGUUAUUGAUUGCAACAAAGGCAAUGUCACUUUUCAUGUUAAUGGCAAUGAGCAUACGGUACACUUUCCGAGGAAACAACCUCAAGUUCAUAGUAUCAACUCUAUUGGAAAAAUUCCAUCGAUUAUAUUUGGAGGUUUUGAAUUUCCUCUUCCUACUAUCAAGAAGAAAUAUGAUAUUCUUAUUAUUGGGGAUGUGCAUAUCCCCAUUGAGGUAACAUAGUGUUAUUCGAAAUUUCUCCGGUUCCAUGUUAUUCGGAAUGAGUUUGUUAACAAGACUUGAUCAACCUUGUUAGUGGAUUCCUUUUGAUGAGCAUGAGAUGGAUGAAACUAGAAGGCACAACCUUCUGUACCCUCCUUCUACUUUCUGUUAUUUAGUUGAAAUAAAGUAAAAAUAGUAUUUUUCUGUCUGUUUUCUGAUUUAUCUGUGCAAUAUAAAAAUACCCCGAAAAUAAAAGUUCUCCAAAUGCCCUGAAAAUGGAAUAUGAUUUUUUCUGGAAUAUUUGAGAAUAUCUGGCACUGAGAACACAGCAGGAGGGGCAAGCACCUGGCCACGAGGGUGGAGGGCGUGCCCCCUGCCUCGUGGGCCCACGGUGGCCCUCCUCCACUUAUUCCUGCGCCCAUACACUCCUUCUUCCUCCCACAAACACCAAUAUCCAGCUCAAGCACGAGUUCUAGCUCAUUUUGCUGUGAUUUUCGAUCUCCUUGCUCAAAGCAUCUCUCACAAAACUGCUUGGGGAGAUUGUUCCUUGGUAUGUCACUCCUCCAUUGGUCCAAUUAGUUUUUGUUCUAGUGCUUUAUUCAUUGCAAAUUUGUGCUGCCUAGGUGACCGUGUUCUUGAGCUUGCAUGUCAAAUUUAUAUGGUUCCAAGUAGUUCUAAUGCAUGAUAUAGUCUCUAGACACUUGUAGGAGUAGUUGCUAUCAAUUUUAUUGAGGUUGGUUCACUUUUGUUUGAAGUUACUAAAAAUUUCAGAUUAUUUCAGAAAACAAUGAAGAGAUUUUUGAGGGGCUCAUCGAGCCGAAGCUCGAAGGAAAAGCAAAAUGAAGAAGCACAGAGGCCCAAAUAUAAUUUGCCUCGCAUCGCGGAGGUCCGGCUGUGUGAAUGGCCUUCCGAUGUUUUCUUGAGAAAAGCCGGGAUUUAUGAUGAUUUCUAUUUUAUUGGCUGAGAAUGCUGGCCUCACCGACUUCCUCCGUGACCAACGUCAUCAGUAUCUCUUACUCACCAAUACUUUUGUGCAAAACUUCUACUAUUUUCCUAAGGAAUCACCUCCUUCAGUAGAGUUUCAUUUAUAUGAUGUUGUUAAGAAGAUGCCACUAGAUGAAUUUUGCAAGGUUUGCAAAAUACCCUUCGAGGGUACCUUAGAUGAACCACAUCGCAAAGAUGUGGACGGGUUUAUUGACACCAUUACUGUGGGGGAAACCAGGAAGGUUUCCGAUGCAAGAAUCACUAGCAUACAUUUUCCUGUUUUACACUACUUUGCCAUAUUUGCUAGUCGUUGCUUGAUUGGUCGCGGAAACUGUGGAAACCUUAGUGUUCCUGAUAUUAUCAUUUUGCUCCAUGGUUUAUAUUCCAAUAACACUGUUAGUAUGGGCGGUAUUAUUGCUAAACGAUUAAGUCUGAACCGUACUAAGGGUCUCAUCUUUGGAGGUAUUUAUGCUUCACGCCUUGCUGCACAUUAUAACAUACCUAUUAGGCUCUAUGAGAAAGAAGAAAAUUGUUGCCCAAUGCUUAUUUAAAUUAUAAGAGUAUGUUAGCGCAUGAUUUUAUUGUUAAGAAUUAGGAAUGGGAGCUUAAAUACAAAUUGUUCUUUGAUAAACAUCACCCUGAGACUAUUACCUUGCCUGCUCCUUCCUUGUUUAAUUUAUCUGAAGGUCCGUAUCUCGUUCCGUGGGCGGCCAUUCGAGCCUACCGGAACCCUACACCAGCCCCGGAGCCGGAACCACAAUUUGAGCCUCCACGACAGUCUGAUUACAUUUGGGAUCCGGAGAUGACCGCCAGCCAGUGGCAGUCAGAGUCCUCUUCGUCUCAGUACGAACCCGGCUACAACUAUGGAUAUCCGCCAGGCCAUCCGUGGCAAUGAACCAACUUAGGCCAAAAGCCUAAGCUUGGGGGAGUACGUAUUUCCCACCGACAUUACAUUUAUGUUCACACACUCAUUGCUAGAUGUCGGUGCUCAUACUCUUUCACUGUAAUAUCCAUGCUAGUUUAUUUUCUUUUUCUUGCUUUCUUCUUGUGUGUUUGAUAAACUUUAAGAAAAACCAAAAAAAUUAGUGUAGCUUUUAGUUAGUUUACUUUUCUUGCUGUAGUAGUAAUAAUUAAAAAGAAAACCCAAAAAGAUUUCCCGUUCUUCUUUUGCUUGUUGGGAGCUUUCCCGUGUAAAUAGCUUUUAUUUCUUUUCUUUUCUUUGGGGGUUGAUAGGAGAAGACCAUGAUUAAAUUGUUGAAGUGGCUCUUAUAUGCAUUAUUGUUGAUUUAACCAAGAGCCCAUAUUGCCUUGUCUUCUCCUGUUUAUUGAAUGCUCGCAGAUUCCAGCUUAGUCCAAUGCAUGUGCACUCAUAUUAUUAUUCACAUCAUUCGGUCGUGCAAGUGAAAGGCAAUUAUGACGAUAUAUGAUGGACUGACUGAGAUGAGAAAAGCUGGUAUGAACUCGACCUCUCUUGUUUUUGUAAAUACGAGGAGUUCAUUGUUCCUGAUUCAGCUUAUUAUGAAUAAACAUGUUUGCAAUGACAAUUAGAGAUCAUAGUUGCUCGUGCCAUGCUUGAUUAGCUAUGAGUUAUAAUGGUUUACCUUGCAUGCCAACAUGCUAUUAAAAUGGUUGUGAUGUGGUAUAGUGGGGUGGUAUCCUCCUUUGAAUGAUUUAAGUGACUUGACUUGGCACAUGUUCACACAUGUAGUUGAAACAAAAUCAAGAUAGCCUUCACGAUAUUUAUGUUCAGGGUGGAUUAUAUCCUACUCAUGCUUGCAUCCAACGUUUAUUAAUUUUAAUGCAUGUUCAUGACUGUUGUCGCUCUCUAGUUGGUCGCUUCCCAGUCUUUUGCUAGCCUUCACUUCUACUAAGCGGGAAUACUGCUUGUGCAUCCAAUCCCUUAAACCCCAAAUUUAUUCCAUAUGAGUCCACUAUACCUUCCUAUAUGCGGUAUCUACCUGCCGUUCCAAGUAAAUUUGUAUGUGCCAAACUCUAAACCUUCAAAUAAACAUUCUGUUUUGUAUGCUCGAAUAGCUCAUGUAUCAACUAGGGAUGCCCUUAUCUUCCAUGUUAGGCGGGUUAUUCUCAAGAGGAGUGGAGUCCGCUCCUCACUCACGAGAAAAUGGCUGGUCACCGGGAUGCCCAGUCCCAUGCUUUAUGCAAACUAAAUCAAAAUAAUUGCAAACAAAACUCCCCCUGGGACUGUUGCUAGUUGGAGACACUCGUUGUUUCGAGCAAGUCAUGGAUUGAUGCUUGUUGGUGGAGGGGGAGUAUAAACUUUACCAUUCUGUUUGGGAACCGCCUAUAAUGUGUGUAGCAUGGUUGAUAUCGCCAUCUCUUGGUUGUUAUGUUGACAAUGAAAUUAUGCCGCUCAAAAUAUACAUCUACAAAUCCCUGCUUCCCUCUGCGAAGGGCCUAUCUAUUUACUUUUAUGUUGAGUCAUCACCCUCUGAUUAAAAAGCACUAGCUGGAGAGCGCAGCUGUCAUUUGCAUCCAUUACUGUUAAUUUAUAUUGGGUAUGACUAUGACUGGAUCUCUUUUACCAUGAAUUACAAUGUCUACUCAGUCCUUAAUCUUUAAAGGUGCUCUGCAUUUAUGUUUUGCGGUCUCAGAAAGGGCUAGCGAGAUACCAUCUUGUUAUAUCAUAUUAUGAUUGUUUUGAGAAAGUGUUGUCAUCCGAGAUUUAUUAUUAUGGCUCGCUAGUUGAUUAUGCCAUUGACACGAGUAAACAUGAGACCUGAGAGUUAUUGCAAAUGUGGUUAGUCAUAAUCUUUGCUGAAAACUUGAAUGCUGGCUUUACAUAUUUACAACAACAAGAGCAAACAGAGUUUGUAAAAGUUUUUCUUUAUCACUUUCAGUUUGUCAACUGAAUUGCUUGAGGACAAGCAAAGGUUUAAGCUUGGGGGAGUUGAUACGUCUCCGUCGUAUCUACUUUUCCAAACACUUUUGCCCUUGUUUUGGACUCUAACUUGCAUGAUUUGAAUGGAACUAACCCGGACGGACGCUGUUUUCAGCAGACUUUCCAUGGUGUUAUUUAUGUGCAGAAACAAAAGUUCUCGGAAUGACCUGAAACUCCACGGAACGUCUAUUUGGAAAUAAUAAAAAAUCCUUGCAAAAGAUGAAGACCAGGGGCCCCACACCCUAGCCACGAGGGUGGGGGGCGCGCCCCCUACCUCGUGGGCCCCCUGGAGCUCCUCUGACCUCAACUCCAAAUCUAUAUAUUUGCUUUCGGGGAGAAAAAAAAUCAGAGAGAAGGAUUCAUCGCGUUUUACGAUAUGGAGCCGCCGCCAAGCCCUAAAACCUCUCGGGAGGGUUGAUCUGCAGUCCGUUCGGGACUCUGGAGAGGGGGAUUCGUCGUCGUCGUCAUCAUCAACCAUCCUCCAUCACCAAUUUCAUGAUGCUCACCGCCGUGCGUGAGUAAUUCCAUCGUAGGCUUGCUGGACGGUGAUGGGUUGGAUGAGAUCUAUCAUGUAAUCGAGUUAGUUUUGUUAGGGUUUGAUCCCUAGUAUCCACUAUGUUCUGAGAUUGAUGUUGCUAUGACUUUGCUAUGCUUAAUGCUUGUCACUAGGGCCCGAGUGCCAUGAUUUCAGAUCUGAACCUAUUAUGUUUUCAUGAAUAUAUGUGAGUUCUUGAUCCUAUCUUGCAAGUCUAUAGUCACCUACUAUGUGUUAUGAUCCGGCAACCCCGAAGUGACAAUAAUCGGGACCACUCCCGGUGAUGACCAUAGUUUGAGGAGUUCAUGUAUUCACUAUGUGUUAAUGCUUUGUUCCGGUACUCUAUUAAAAGGAGGCCUUAAUAUCCCUUAGUUUCCAUUAGGACCCCGCUGCCACGGGAGGGUAGGACAAAAGAUGUCAUGCAAGUUCUUUUCCAUAAGCACGUAUGACUAUAUUCGGAAUACAUGCCUACAUUACAUUGAUGAAUUGGAGCUAGUUCCGUGUCACCCUAUGUUAUGAUUGUUACAUGGUGAACCGCAUCCAGCAUAAUUCUCCAUCACCGAUCCAAUGCCUACGAGCUUUUCACAUAUUUUUCUUCGCUUAUUUACUUUUCCGUUGCUACUAUUACAAUCACUACAAAACACCAAAAAUAUUACUUUUGCUACCGUUACUUUUGUUACCGUUACCACUACUAUCAUAUUACUUUGCUACUAAAUACUUUGCUGCAGAUACUAAGUUAUCCAGGUGUGGUUGAAUUGACAACUCAACUGCUAAUACUUGAGAAUAUUCUUAGGCUCCCCUUGUGUCGAAUCAAUAAAUUUGGGUUGAAUACUCUACCCUCGAAAACUGUUGCGAUCCCCUAUACUUGUGGGUUAUCACACGUGCAUUGGACUAAGCUGGAAUCUGCAAGCAUUUAAUACAAGAGAGAAGACAAGGUAAUAUGGGCUCUUGGUUAAAUCAACAAUAAUGCAUAAGAGAGCCACUCAACAUUUUCAUCAUGGUCUUCUCCUCUCGACCCCCAAAGUAAAGAAAAGAAAUAAAACUAUUUACAUGGGAAAGCUACCAACAAGCAAAAGAAGAACGAGAAAUCUUUUUGGGUUUUCUUUUAAUUACUACCACAGGCAUGAAAAGUAGACUAGCUAAAAGCUACAACUAAUUUUUUUGUUUUUCCUUAAGGUUUUCUUUUCAGACACACAAGAAGAAGGCUUAGAAAAGAAAAUAAACUAGCAUGGAUAGUACAAUGAAAAAGUAUGAGCACCGACAACUGGCAUGAGUGUGUGAACAUGAAUGUAACGUCGGUGAGAGAUACAUACUCCCCCAAGCUUAGGCUUUUGGCCUAAGUUGGUCUAUGCCCAUGAUCGAAGCUACUCUCUCCGGUGUACUGUGGAGGGUCCUCAUGGUGCCACUGGUUGGCGAUCUCCUCCGGAUCCCACUAAUAAACAGACUGUCAAUAAGGGUCAAGUGGUGGCUCAAGCUUAGGCUCUGGAACUUGUGUCAGCCUCCAGUAUGCAUAAAUGGCCUCGGGCAAGAUGAGGUACGUGCCUGAAAGUAUAUUAAACAAAGAGGGUGCAAGAAAGGUAAUAGUCUCACAGUGAGUUUUAUCAAAUAUCAAAUUAUACUUAAUCAUCUUCUUCUUAUUUUUAACAAUAAAGUCAUGUGCUACCAUACUCUUAUAAUCUACGAAAACAGGGGGCAGAAACUUUUCCUCUUUCUCAUAAUGCCUAAUAGGUAUCUCAAAGUGUGCAGCAAGGCAUGAAGCAAAGAUGCCUCCGAAGAUGGGGCCAUUUGUACGGUUCAGACUUAAUCGUUUAGCAACAAUAGCACCUAAGUGAUACGUCCAUUUUGCAUCAUGCUUUUAUAUCAAUAUUUGUUGCAUUAUGGGCUGUUAUUACACAUUAUGCCACAAUACUUAUGCCUAUUCUCUCUUAUUUUACAAGAUUUACAUGAAGAGGGAUAAUGCCGGCAGCUGGAAUUCUGGGCUGGAAAAGGAGCAAAUAUUAGAGACCUAUUCUGCACAACUCCAAAAGUCCUGAAACUCCAUGAAAGUCAGUUUUGGAAUAUAUUAAAAAUAUUGGGCGAAGAAAGCACCAGAGGAGGGCCACACCCUGUCCACGAGGGUGGGGGCGCCACUACAAAAAAAAGACACAUCCGUGACAUUUUGGGCCGAACGAAAUUUAUUUCUAUCAUACAUAUGACACUUCUAUGACGACAAUUGUGACAAAACCCGGUAUCAUCAUAGAUGUGGUGGGCUCCUACUUCUAUGACAAAAAAUCAUGACAGAAAAUGGGCUUUUCGCCCUGGGCGGGCCGGAGACGCAGCUGCAUGACAUUCUUUGGGCCGUCCAUGAUGGAAAAAACCGUGGUAGAAGCGAGGGGAAGGAAAAUUUCGGGGAGUUCCCGGUUACGGUGGGAGGUCGGGGGCCGAGCGAUGCGCGUUUCUCUCGUACACGUACGCGCGUGUGGGCGAGGCAUUGGCUCUAACUGAACCCGAGCGAGGCGUUGGGCUCUAACUGAACCCGAGCAAUUGCACUGCAGGCUACGCGUUACUGAACCCGAGCGAUCGAUCGAUGGCUGUUAACUGAACCCGAGCGAUCGAUCGAUGGCUGUUAACUGAACCCGAUUGAGCGAUUCCUUCGCUACUGCUGCUAACUGAAGCCGAUCGAUUGGAUGAACAGUGANNNNNNNNNNNNNNNNNNNNNNNNNNNNNNNNNNNNNNNNNNNNNNNNNNNNNNNNNNNNNNNNNNNNNNNNNNNNNNNNNNNNNNNNNNNNNNNNNNNNNNNNNNNNNNNNNNNNNNNNNNNNNNNNNNNNNNNNNNNNNNNNNNNNNNNNNNNNNNNNNNNNNNNNNNNNNNNNNNNNNNNNNNNNNNNNNNNNNNNNNNNNNNNNNNNNNNNNNNNNNNNNNNNNNNNNNNNNNNNNNNNNNNNNNNNNNNNNNNNNNNNNNNNNNNNNNNNNNNNNNNNNNNNNNNNNNNNNNNNNNNNNNNNNNNNNNNNNNNNNNNNNNNNNNNNNNNNNNNNNNNNNNNNNNNNNNNNNNNNNNNNNNNNNNNNNNNNNNNNNNNNNNNNNNNNNNNNNNNNNNNNNNNNNNNNNNNNNNNNNNNNNNNNNNNNNNNNNNNNNNNNNNNNNNNNNNNNNNNNNNNNNNNNNNNNNNNNNNNNNNNNNNNNNNNNNNNNNNNNNNNNNNNNNNNNNNNNNNNNNNNNNNNNNNNNNNNNNNNNNNNNNNNNNNNNNNNNNNNNNNNNNNNNNNNNNNNNNNNNNNNNNNNNNNNNNNNNNNNNNNNNNNNNNNNNNNNNNNNNNNNNNNNNNNNNNNNNNNNNNNNNNNNNNNNNNNNNNNNNNNNNNNNNNNNNNNNNNNNNNNNNNNNACCCCUCCCGAUCAACAGGACCCCCGUUUCGACCGUGGGAGGUCCGUUUCCUCCGUUUUGCGGUACACCACACCCCUCCCGAUCAACAGGACCCCGUUCCGAACGUAGGAGGUCCAUUUCCUCCGUUUUGCGGUAUGCCAGGACGCGUUUCCAUCGCCUGUUCCGUCCAAGCCCUCCCGAUGAACACGACCACGCAUUCCGUUCCGACCCAGCUGGUUGGCUCCCACGCGUUCCGUUGCCUCCCGAUGAACACGACCCAUUCCGUUGCCUCCCCAUGAACACGACGCAUUCUGUUGCCUCCCCAUGAACAUGACGCAUUCCGUUGCCUCCCCAUGAACACGACGACGACGCUGUUUCUCCGUUCCGACCCAGCCAUGUACACGAGCCCUGGCCGUACGUAUGCGCGAGUAGGCGUUCGAGACCCCGCCCGUAUGUACACAUACGUGGCCGUAUUUUCUUUCUUGCACCCUGGCCGCUGUACGUACGUGUACAUGCUACGUGCGCGCCUCUACUACGACACGUGCGCGCCUCUACAUCCACCAGUAUAUAUGUACGUACACGUUCGCGACCAGAAUGACAACGCUACGUACGCUUUGACCAGAUGGGUCCCGACUGUCAGGCACUUCCUUGCGUGCGAAGAUGUAGCUGGUGGGUCCUAGCAGUCAGGGGGGAAACGUUUUUUCGCAAAAUACGGUGGCCCGUCCGGUGGGUCCCCGCUGUCAGGUGGAGGAAUAAUUAUUUUGCACGUAAUAAGGAGGCACUUCCUUGCUGCGGCCGUGGAUCCAGCUGUCAGCCUCUCCACGUACAGUCCACGUCCGAUGGAAGCCGUUCCUUGACCACGUUGACCACGCCGCGCUGAGAGCACCAGGGCGGUGGACGACGACGAGGCCUAGGAAGGGGACGACGCGGAGCCGGGGAAGUCGCGGCAGUGGAUUCCCAUGCGUAGAGGAGUAUGAGGGUUCACUGGUUCGCUGCGGUGUGAGGCUGCCGUCGCCGCAGAAUAACAGGGGGUGUGGGUGAGUAGAGGGAUGGCCUGGCCAGCGGUGGGAGUAGUAGGGGGCGGUGAGGCCUCCGCCGCAUCGCAGCCGGCCACGGGAGGCAGGAGCACGAGGCAUGACCGGCGCUGGUUUGGGCGGCUGGAGCAAGAAGACCAGAGGUUGAAGAAGCACUACGGCCGUUGGAUGGACAUCAUACGGUCACUGGAGCUAGAAUCAUGCACAUUGACUAAGUUGACAAAGCCCUCCGUCCCCGUCAACUUAGUAGGCCCACAAGUCAGCCAGCCACUAUACUGGGUCCCAGCUAACAGGAGGAGUAUUCAUUUUUUUGUGCGUAAUAAGGAGGCACUUCCUUGCGUGCGAAGAUAUAGCUGGUGGGUCCGAGCUGUUAGCGGCGGUAACGUUUUUUCGCGAAAUACAGAGGCCCUUUCGGUGGGUCCCUGAUGUCAGGUGGAGGAAUCAUUAUUUUGCGCGUAAUAAGGAGGCAUUUCCUUGCGUGCGGCCGUGGACCCAGCUGUCGGCCUCUCCACGUACAGUCCACUUCAGAUGCAUGUCGGUCGUUGACCACGUUGACCAGGCCGCGCCGAGAGCACCAGGGCGGUGGACGACAGCGAUGCCUAGGAAGGGAACGACACGGAGGCAGGGAAGACUCGGCAGUUGUUUCCCACGCGGAGGGGAGUACGACUGUACGAGGGUUUACUGGUUCGUCUGCCGUCGCCGGAGAAUAACAGCAGGUGUGGGUGAGUAGAGGGAUGGCUAGGCCAGCGAUGGGAGUACGGUGGGUGGUGAGGCCUGCGUGGCAGCAGAGCCAGCCGCGAGAUGGAGGGAGCAGGCAGUCCCGCUGGCGCUUGUUUGAGCGGCUGGAGCAGGAAGAGCAGAGAUUGAAGAAGCACGACGGCCGUUGGAUGGCCAUCCAACAGUCACUGCUUGUGUGUCAACCUUUUUUUAGGAAAGCCUCAAAUCUGUGGAAAACAGCAUACAUCCCAUCUGCCAUUAUUUCUAAUAAUUUAUAGCCCAUUUGCUAAUUAUUAAGGUUUUUUUGGAGCCCAUAUUCUUUUUGUUAGCAUUACAGCCCAUAUUGUGGCCACGGUUAAAAAAUUAUACGAAAUUUUGCAUAUUUCGGUGCGGUCCGAACUGUUUUUAAUCCCGAAAUUUCGACACACAUUCAAACUGAUUUUAAAAAUAAAUGUAUAUCAAUAUAAAAUCCAACAAAUUCUCCACGCAUAAAAAUUAAUGUAAUUUAAAAUCUCGAAAUGAAAAAAAAGAUAUUUGAAACUAAUUGCCGGUUUGAUGUGUUUUAAAAAUGUACAACCCAUUUCUCAUUACUGAUAGGCCAUUUUCUCGGCCAGCCGAAUGAAAGCUCUCCUCGUCUUGAAAGAUUUGUAGCCCAAAAGGCUUGACAAAGCGACUUACUUGGCAAAUCACAAAAAAACUGGGCUGUGGCCGUGGACCCAGCUGUCAGCCUCUCCACGUACAGUACUCUUCCGAUAAAAUGUCGUUGACCACGUUGACAACGCCGCGCCGAGAGCACCAAGGCGGUGGACGACGGCGAGGCCUAGGAAGGGGACGACGCGGAGCCGGGGAAGACGCGGCAGUGGAUGCCCAUGCGGAGAGGAGUACGAGGGUUCACUGGUUCGGCUGUGGUGUGAGGCUGCCGUCGCCACAGGGCCUGGCUAGCGGUGGGAGUAGUAGGGCGAUGAGGCCUCAACGGCAGCACAGCCGGCCACUGGAGGCAGGAGCAGGCGGUCUCCCCGGCACUGGUUUGGGCGGCUGGUGCAAGAAGAGCAGCGAUUGAAGAAGCAGCAAGACCGUUCGAUUCAAAUCCAACGGUUACUGCUGCUAGAAUCGUUUGUUGACUAAGUUGACAAGCCCUGCGUACGCGUCAACUUAGUAGGCCCACAGGUCAGCCUCCCAACCGGUCCGCCCCAGAUGUCAGUGGGAGGAAUCAUUUUUUUUCGCGUAAUAAGGAGGCAGUUGAUUGCGUGCGGCCAGGCCAGCGGAGGGAGUAGGAUGGGCCGGGGAAGCCUGCACGGCAUCACAGCGGGCCACAAGAGGGAGCAGGCAGUCCCGCUGGCGCUAGUUUAGGCGGCUGGAGCAGGAAGAUCAGAGAUUGAAGAAGCACGUCGGCCGUUGGAUGGACAUCCAACAGUCACUGCUGCUAGAAUCGUGUGUUCACUGACAAAGCCUUGCGUAAACAAGUCAGCCUUGAAAUCUGUGGCGUGUACAACCCAUUUGCUAUUAUUUUUAUAAUUUUUACUCAUUUUCUAAUUCAUAUGGAGUUUAUUGCAGCCCGUUUUCCAUUUUUAGAAUUGCUGGCCAUUUUCUCGUCAGUACCAGGGUCAAAAAAUUAACUAAAUAUGCGGGAAAUUUUGAAAAUUCACAAAUUUUUGCUGGGGAACGAAAUACUCUUAAUCCAAAAAUUAAUAGUCAUACUAAAACAAAUUUAAAAAUAAAUUAGUACUAUGUCAUGUUAAAGCCAAUGAAAUACGUAUAAGAUAUCAGUGAAGAACAAAAACAAAAAAAGAAACUUAUAUCCCAUUUGCUAUAAUUUUUUUGGAGUUUUCAACCCCUUUUGAUAUUACUUUUAACAGACAUUGACCAUACUCUUAAGCCAGGCCGGAAUGCAUCCCUCCUCGUCUUGAAAGAUUUGCAGCCCAGUAAUUUGGAGAAAACAAAUAGGCCUAGCUUGGGUAUUCUUCAAAAAGAAAUACUGGGCUACCUAUUUUCCCAAAGAACUAGUGCAUGAGCAUUUAGCUUUAUUUAUUUACUUAUUUAUGUUUAGGGGACCAUGAGCAUGUACCUGGGCCGGAUUCAUGUGAGAGCCUCCCUUCCAGUUAAUUAUGGGCUUCUCUAUUGGGCCUUCAUCAGUGGGCUGCAUGUUAUCAACAAGUGGAAAAUGUGUUCCGUACGAAAAAUAGUAUGCGCUACGUACGGUACGGGGCACUAAAGGAUCGAACCAUGCAACGACUUCCAAAACAUUGUGUUUGUCGUUCUAACAAAACAUUUAUUCAACCAACGAACGAAAUAUACUACUGAUUGUACAUUGAAAACAGCAGCAGCAGCAACCAGGGCUGGGGGUGCAACAAAAGCAGUAAGCAAGCCCGAAGAGUGAAGACGCAGCUCUCUCUUCCAAACCAAACAUCAGCCAUCAUUACAAAAGGGCUACCAAAAAAAGAACAAGUGUAUGCAUCAAACUAAAUAAAGAUCCUACUACACCAAGUGUACGCAUCUAACUAACUGGCUCAGUUAGACGUUACUAUUUAUUAAGCUGUGGAGAUUGGCUGACGGCUUGAACCAGAUGGGUGCCUGACGGGGGAAACUCCAGCCAGCAGGUCGAAGUCUGAUACUUGCGACCCUCUCUCCUACUUUGGGCUGCAGAGCGUGGCGGCACAUAUCAGGGUAUGGUGCAUGCAGAGAUGCAUGGUACACUGUGUACACACAGUUUUGCCUGAUGAAUGAAACUGCGCUGCCAUCAUGAUCCUUGCCGUCGGUUAUCUCAUGGUUAAUCGGAUAAUUCAGUCCGACAAACAGAGAGCGUGUACCAAGGCUACUUACCAGCCUCCAGUCAAAAAUUCCUGAAGGCCCAGAGAAGCUGGGAUCCUGCUCAAAGACCUUGCAGUGACUGUGAUUGUAUUCCGCCGUCGUCUGAUCGAGCCAGGAACCACCUGCAACUGCCAUGCCACUUUUCUUUGAAAGGUUCUGGGAUUAGGAAGGGUAGGGACACCAGGCGGCCUACAACAUCAUAUCAAGUUGGAGUCAAAUAAAAAGGGCUCUUGAUUUAGUCAAUCUUAAGAACAACAUGUUAUGAGCAUGAAUAUUUUUUCAGCAAAUGUUGACAGUAAUAUAAGCAAGCCAUCAUGAUAUCAUAGGAAAGUAACAUAUUGCUGUAACAGCCGUUUGUAGCGAUGACUGGAGUAGGCCAGCAAUACGUACAGCUAUAGAAGGAGUCGACAGCGUAAAUGAAGCCCUUGUGUUCAAUGGCAUCAGAGAACCAUGGAGGAUGUAUGAUCCUGCGAUGGACGUGCAGAUUUAUCCACUUACCGCAGUGACCUGUCAGAUAGGCGAGACCGCGGUUGAAGAACGCAAUUAGCCUGAAGUCUUUAUAAUUCGCAGAUCUUGUGGGCACUUGGCAGAUUACAACCUUGAGCAAAUCAAACUUGGUAUCAUGUUGGCUACUGUAAGAUUCCGAGUAUUCUGGGCCGCGGUGCCAAAGCAGUGCAGUGUUAAUCGAAGGAAGGGGGAUCAAUCGCCGGGUGUAGACCUCCACGAGCAUCCAGCUGCCGCGACCGUCGACGAGCACCAUCCAAGACAUGUUCAUGCCGACCCAGUACAUACCGUUAAUGUAGUUGAGGCUGACGGGGAUCGGAUCACAGUCAAGGGGGUUGAUGCUCGCCACCCUACGAUCGUUAUGCUGCAUGACACGCCGUUUCUGAAGAUCAGGCAGCAUCAGCAAGCAAGGAGCUGGCUUAAAAAGCUCCGGCCUGAGGGCUUUGAGUAAACGGUACAGCCCCGACGAGCACGCGGCGAGCGGCAUGGUACUGAGAUUGUCCACACGCGAAACAAUGAGCUUGAUUACCUCGGUGGGGAGCGAAUUCCAGCCACUCUUUUGGUGGACGCUGCUCGGUUCUGCCAUUGUUAGUGCUUGGGUUUCGGACGAGGGGGGGAGGCGCCUUAGCGGGGAUGGAAGAUUGGACGAGAUUAUGUGCGGACAAAGAUGGAGAAGCGAAUAUGUGCUGCGGGAAGUGGACAGGUGAUGAUGACUACAGCACGCCGCUUGACUUACGAGACACAUACCAACAGCGUAGGGUCAUGUCGAUGCCAGACAACUUGCUUGAGUGAUCACAGUACUGGUACUCCCUACAGUGCUAUGCCCUAACUUGCUUGAGUAGAGUAGUAGAGUAAGACUCUGCUCUAGUACUAGCACCGGACGAGUAGUAUAUUCUAAUCUAAAAUAGUUACAAACUUCAAUGCCCGAGCAUGGAACAACUACGAACCGUGCUCAAAGACCGUGUCUACGUGGUGUUUGGACAUGGGCGACAACCUCAACGCCAACGGUGCUGCUCCCGUUGCACCGUAUGUGUUUCUGUCCUACCUGUUCGAAAUCGUGGUAGAAUUCAUGUUUCUACUCUGUAUCCUACUACUAUGCUAGUCCACAUGAUUAGUUUCAUCUCUGUUAUAUCCGUCAUGAUUUAUUUUGUGCUUAUUCGGAUUAAAUCUCGUAGUAACUUGCUCAUAUAUUCAACUGGCGCAACGUCCCCUACAGCCACUCCCGUUUCAUGGACGACCUGGUCGAUGCCUCCAAGGAGCCCUUCGUCCACUGCUAUGAGUGCCCGAUGCCGUUUCGUGGCUCGCCGACGGACAUGGUGCAUCACCUCACGGAUGCGUGCAGCGGUCACUGCUGGCCCUUGGAGGAGAACAUCAAGUACGAGACGUGCUACCCGUUCACCAUGCCGGAGUCGCUGGAGGAUCACCGCCGCCUGCUAGUCUCGGAGGAGGACGGCAGCGUCUUCCUCUUGAUCGUGGGCACCGGCGAGGCCCGCGCAGGCCGCCGCCCCGUCUCUGUAAUGUGCAUCAGGGGCGACGCCGCUGACGCUGACACUGACACGAGGCCGAUGUACGGGUGCGUGGUCAGUGUUACUACCCCUCCGGGUCGCGUGGGCAGCGACACCGGCCUCAUCGAACGGACUUGGACUCUGGGGAGCUGGGACUAUCCCGCCAAUGUGGACAUGGAAAACCCAUGGCAUCCUUUACUCGCCGACGCGGUGCACGGGGGCUCCAAGGAGGUUCACCUGGACAUACGCAUUAUCAAGUUAAAUGUUGAUCAUUAGUCUUCGCUCAAUGUAAUCCGCUGUCUAAGCAUGUGGAGACUACCAUGCAGGAUCUUGCUCUAUUGGAGUAUCGCGCAUGAAUAAAAGUGUAUCCGUUUAUGGUUUAGUCUAGAAUCUUCCAUGUAUGAAUUUUUACUACAGUACUGGUGAAAGACUUACGAUGAACCAUUUCUUACAUCUCCUCUACCCGCUUGCAAGUCAUCCCGAUUUAAUCCCUCCGUCUAGGUGUAUUAGGGCAUGGUUAAUAUUACUUAAUAGUAUAGCCAGCUGUUGACUAUAAGAAAGUGCCAUGUCAUCUGUAGCCAACAUGUAUAACAAUCGAUACUCAAAAACUAAUUCUUAAAGAUCAUUUCUUGCAAAGCACAAUAAGUGUUAUUUCUUCACAAGUUUUGGAUGCAGGUUGAACAGUUGAACACUUUUGUUUGCAAAAGAUACCUUUUUAUCUAUUUCACCCGGAUGUUUGUGAGCUCUAGAGAUGAAAUAAUAUUCGAAGAAACCUAUCGAUACCCGUUACACAUGAGAUGACCCCCACAUCCUUUGUCAAAAUAAACAACUCCCCGAUCAAUGCAUUUCACUCUUCGGUGCAACGCACGGGCAGCUUACUACUAUAGAUUAGUACGACCAAAAAUUGAACUAACAUUAUAUAUAGUACGAUAAAUGCUGAUGCAUGUCACCUAAAAUUAUAUCAUUCAAAACUAUGUUCAAAUACGAAUGCAACGAUAUAGUUUUUGUUGACAUGCACUAACAUUUUGUCAGUUAAAUCUUCAGUCAAAUUCAAUGGGGGACUAAUAAACCACGACCGAUGUAGUACAAGUGUAGAGGGCGGCGCUGCAAGGGAGUCUCACCUCUCACCCCGCUCGUGGCGCGGCAGUAAAGCCGUCAUAUCAAAAAACCCAACCACUCCCAGUAAUAAGUGGCCUGGUAAAAUAAACGGACAAGCAACCAUCACAUCCCUCCGUCUUUUUUGCAUUUCAUCUCUCUGCAUUUACUUUCUCCGGUUCAUCUCGCACACUCGAUCCCUAGCUACUACUCCUAGGGCCAGUUCUUUUGGCGACUUCCCCAGCUUUUCCCACAAGACUAGUCACAGUGGAGAGUAACAAUAAGGCACCUCACUCAUUUAUUUGGGCUUCUAAACUACUACUCCGUCCUGGUUUAUUCCUCACCAUUGUAAUUUGUGCUAAAUUUUGACCAAAGAUUUAACUAGUUUAUUCCUCACCAUUGUAAUCCCUCCGUCUAGGUGUGUAAGUCAUCUUACGAAAACCAAAUAAUCCCAAAACACUUAGGCGCGGUGCAUUAACUUCUACUCCGUACCUCGUUUCUUGUUUCUUGACAUAUCAACGAAUAAGAGAUAAAGAGUGUGCAUGCUUUUAAUGACUUGAGAUAUCAAACACGACAUGCAGUGGUUAGUUCAUUGCAUGCAAUACUAUUAAUUAGCAAAUAAACAUUAACGUUUCUCGUUUUGUCCUCCUCCUUGGUCAUGGUGCACAGCCUAAGAUGACUUACUCACCUAGAAGGAUGGAGUAGUGCAUGUGACAUGCACUAACAUUUCAUUAGUUAAAUUUAUGAUCAAAAUUUGACACAGAUUACAAUGGGGACCAAUAAACCAGGACGGAGGUAGUAGUUAUGGGAUUACUAAUCUAGAAGCCUAAAAGAACUGGCCCCUGGUACUCCUACUAGUAGUAGUACUCAAGUUGGAAUUCCAAUUGCACGGCACAACUUCUUAGGCAAAAAAUUCGAUACAGGGUGUAGGAAGCGGUUUGGGAAUUUGCAUGCCUUUCCAACCAGUGAGAUACUCCAUACAAAGUACGACAGAGAAAUAACCACAGAGAAGGAAGCUAAAAGUAAACAAUCAAACAAGCAUUUUUGCAUUUGUUUUGCAUUGAAUCGUUUCACAAGCUUGACUAGUGCUCUUUUUCUACUUUUACAAAAACCGCAUCGUAAUGUUAAAACGUGCAUUUGCACGUACAUAAGUAAUAGUAGUACUCCCUCCGUCUAGGUGUAUAAGUCUUCCCUCCUUCUUGGUCACGGUGCACAACCAAAGAUGACUUAUUGACCUGGACGGAGGGAGUAGCACAGUCUGCAAGCAUAUAUCGAGAGAGACGUGUAGUGCGAUAGUAUAUAGUAAAGUUUGUGCUAUAUGCACGUACUUGCAAAAUGCGUACGAAUACAUAAGGUUUCCAAACUUUCCCUUUUACAUACUUAAUUAAGGACGCUAAAAAUUCCUGAACGUUCGGGAUUUAUCAUUUGCGUCCCAAAACUAAUAAGAUCGCCUUACGAAACAAAAAUUAUACUCCUCCUAAAAGCGACGGCGGUCGCAGGAGCGCUUGCGGCGCACCACGAGUGCCCUGGUGCGCGGCCAUUUCCCAGCGCGCCGACACAACGCCUCUUCCUCAGCCUCGCAACUCGCGAGGUGCUGAUUGGCGGCUUGCCGGCGGGCGAGCGCGAUCUCACCGGUGUGGUGAUCCAGGGCCAACAUGUACUCCUCCUCGCUGGAAGCGUGCACCCGGUCCACGUACCGCCAAGCGUAGAUGAGGCGCUUGGGCCCGACUGCACUCAGGGCGUCAGCACGGGCGUCCUCCGCCACCCUCACGGCCCUCGCACGAACCUUCUGCCAAAGAGCCAAUUGCCUGACCCUCGCGGCCCUCGCGACAUAGGCCUCCCAGGUAGCUUGUUCCGCGGGGCGCUUCUCUUCCUCGGCCUUCUUCUCCGCCUCUAUUUUGGCGCGCUCUGUUGGAGGCAAAGCCUCCCACAGGGCGACAUCCAUUUCUUUCCAAAGCUCCUCAAGGCUGGGGGGCUCGGCGGGCGGCGCGGCAUUCUCCUCGUAGCGGGGAGCCGACGCGUCCUCCGGCGCGCGUGCUGGCGAGAUUGGGAACGCCGACGCGUCCACCUCGACUCGUCACGGUGAGGAGCGGAACGCCGACGCGUCCUCCUCGACUAGUGGCGGCGAGGAACGGAACGGCGACGCAUCGCGUCGCGGCGAGGAGCGGAACGCCGACGCGUCCUCCUCAACUAGUGGCGGCGAGGAACGGAACGGCGACACGUCGCAUAGCGGCAAGGAGCGGAAUACUGACGUGUCCUCCUCGACUAGUGGCGGCGAGGAACGGAACGGCGACGCGUGACCGUCUGCGGUGCAGCGAGGGGCUCCUAGGGCUUGGGAGGGGCGAUGCCAUGGUGGUCGACGUGAGAGGGAGGGGGAGGAGAUAGCGAUGAACGUGAACGUGAGGGGGAGGAGAUAGCGAUGUCGUGGGAGGCGCAGUAUUUAUAGCGAGCAAUGGCACACCUACGUAAGAAAUGGACUGAGCUGCACUGACUUAACUGCAGGUCCAGUUGUGUCACUGACAUGUGGGCCAGACCCCUGUUGGGCCCAUAUGUCAGUGACCCAAUGCACCUGCAGUUAAGUAACAGCUACGUGGGCAUAUUUGUUGGAGUAAAUUACGGGGGAGCGAAGGGGUGGAAAUAUUGCUGGUCACAAUGGAUUGGACGAGCGUGGGGGGAAGAGAGUCAUGCAUGCAUAUUUUUUCACAUGGGGUGGAGUGGUGGGACCGUCGGAGGGAGAAGGAGAGUUUGGCAGGCAUAUUGUUUCCACACAUGGAGAGGAAAAGAUUUGGAGACGAACGGGCUUCCUGCAGGUAUGGGGAACGGUGCAUAAUAAGUCAUCUUGCAUGCCGGGCUAGGUAUAGUCUCAAGUCAUUAAAAACAUACACGCCCCACACAUGUUCAUAUUUCAAGGUGCACUAAAUUAUUGCAUGCGAUGAUUAAGGCUGGCCAUAAUGGUGGUAUCUUAGCUGGUAUCAUGCACACGGGAAUAGCAAACAUGCUGAUGUGGCAAAGAAUUAAAGAAGAGAGAGGGGGGGUUAGAGUAACUAGUGUUCAUGCAUGCAUUGGUAAACACAUUUUUUUGUGAAGAACGACAGCACUAGUUGAGUACUUUUGCAGACUUCAAAAACUAUUCCACCGCCUCUACUAUCUUGCUAAGAGUAGGUGAAAUUUUUGAAUCGAGCCCUUUAAACUAGAAGGGAGGUAGUGGUACUCUAAGGCUGGUCAUAGUGGGGAGUAACUUAGACUAGUAACAUGCAUAUGUUACUAGUCUAUGUUACUACCUCUAUAGUGCAUAGUAUCAUAGAUUAGUAUCAUAGGUGGUCUCAUUUAUUGCCAUGCAUGACACAUAGUAGCAUCACAUUUAUUAUGUUACGGUAUCUACCUAUGUUACUAUAACCAUCUCUCUCUUCUUUAAUUGCCUACCACAUUAGCAUGUUUGCGAGUCCCAAGUGCAUCAUACUACUUAUGUUACCCCCACUAUGGCCAGCCUAAUAGCUAACCUUGUUGUGAUGACAAGAUAGGACAUGGCACGCACCUGGACGGAGGAACUAGUCUGCAUUGUGCAUUUAAGUUUUGUCUGAAGUCAAUGUACCUCUACUUUCACCAGACUUAUAGAAAAAUGUGUCAACAUUCACAAUGUCAAAUCAAUAUUUUUACACUCAUUAUAAAACGUAGUUCUUAUACUCAUUAUAAUCAGUAUUGUAGAUAUUGAUAUUUUUAGUAUAAUUUUGGUCGUGGGAUUUCAUUGAUGCCUGUCAAAGCGUGGAGGAAGCGGAGCUUAGGGCUUGCAUUGCCGGUCUCUACAUAGGUAUUUCUCUUCAUAAUCCUGUAAUUUUAGAGACUGAUUGCGCUUUUGUGGUAGCGUCUCUUGCAUCGGGGGACUAUGACAGGUCUGCUAUGCGUGACCUGAAGAUGAAAGCGUUGAGUAUCUCGAAGUUGAUCAACAAUCUUCAAUUGUCAAAGAUUAGCCGUUCGGCCAAUAAGGUGGCACACUUAAUCGCUAAGUAUAGCUUUGACAAUAGAUUAGAUGGUAUUCUUGUAAAUAACAUACCGCCCUGUGUGGUGAAUAUUGUAUCGAAUGAGUGUACUGGUGUGGCUGGUUAAUUAAUAUAAGGUGGUGUUCAAAAAAAGUAUAAAUUUGGUCAAACACUUUGCAAACGGUUGACGGGAGUAAAAAGGACCAGAGGGAGUAUCAUGCAUGCGGAGUAGGCAAAAAAAUUGCUUGUCUAAAAAAAGGCAAAAAAAUUGCUCAUUUAUAGCCGGUCGAAGUCUCAAAGGGCGCGGCCGCGCGAGGGAGGCGAAGGUCGUGGGAGGCGCGACGUUUGACGGAAUUAAGUGAAGUUACAUCCACGCGCCGGCAUGGCGUGCGAACAGGCAGAAGCUAUACCGUCAUGCCUACGAUAUGGGUCUAGUAGACAUGACAUUUAGUGGGUCCCGCAUAGUUCUUGAGAACUCUUUGGGGGCUUGCAGCCGUUUAUCCACCGGGCAAGCCAGCAACCCCACGCCGUUCGCACGCCCUACUCGUCCCCGUCUUCUACCUUACAACAGUUUGCUCCCAGUCGUCCCGUCCUUUCACAUUAGUUCACUCCCAGUUUUUUUGCGGGGUACAACAGUUCAACUUCUCCUAACCCUCCUCCAAAAUCCAUGGCCUCCCAAAUCUCCAUGGUCGCCGCUUAGUACCAGGUUAGAGCCAUCACCGACGAUUAGUUCAUCGUCAUCUACACACAUGGAUCCGAGACGGUGAAAGCAUGGCUUGCUCGCUUCCUACGCAUGUUCAACAGUUCAACGGAUGAGUGGGUCGCUGGGCUAGAUGUUGAGUACACCACAGUCCUGGGAUGAGAGAAGGAUCUAAAGGACGAAGAGAGGAAGAAGCCCGCCGUGAUCCAGGUUUGCGUACAUAACGUUUGCUUGGUCUACCACAUAUGCCGUGCCGACGUUGAGUGCCAGGAUUUUAAGAACUUCCUCAAGGAAAAAAGAGUGAAAUUCGUUACUGUAGGCUUUAAGAACGACAGGGAUGUCCUACGUCGGAUAGGUCUCGUUGUAGGCCAGUCCUUCGAUCUCCAGAAGGCAAGCCUGGUGUCCUCCUCUCAACCUUCAAUGCUGACCCUGGCAGCAGCCAUGAUUGAUCCUUCGUACGGUAAACUAAAGAAACCUCAUCACGAGUUUCAUCAUGCAUGGCAGUCGAAGACAUUAGAUGAAGAUCACAUCCUGUACGCAGCAAUGGAUGCCUACCUUUGUUUAAAUAUCUACAAGGGUUGGAUGAAGAAGCCGAGCCCAGUUUCUGGUUCAAGCAAAGAAGCGUCGGCGAAGAGGAAGAGGAAGAGGGACGAGGACGAAGUUGAGGACGUGGACUCGAACUCCGAGUAGGUGGCAGUGCCGUCGCUCAUGCUGCUUCUACUGCAGUGUCAAGCGGACUAGUUUCUUAGUUUAUUUUCAAGGGUGUGUUGUGCUGAGGCCCCAGCAGAACUAUGUUUAUGUUCUUUCUCGUUAUUUGAACUCUUUAGUACGUACAGUAGUACUAGUACUAUGUCUUACUACUGUUCUUCUUGCAGUUGGUACUACUACUCGUAUCUUCGUGUUCCUACUGUACUUAAUACGUUCAUACUAGUAGUAUAAUUUGGGUCAGUCGAUUUGUGAAAGAAGUUCGACGGAGCGAAGGAAGAAGACGACAGAAGAGGUGGAAGAAGCCCUUCUAGCCAUCCAUGUUGCAUCAAACGGCUCACAUGAGUCGACUGACCCAAAUUGCUCCUUCAGAUUGCAAGAUCCACGUGGCAUUCAAGGUCUUGAAGGUAGAUUCCGCGUCCGCACCCGGUUUGCGGGCUCGACGCGCGCGACCGGCUUCCGCCGCGAUAGGCACCAUGCGCGCCUCCUCCGCGCGGGCGGAGACGACAAUGACACGCUAGUUCCUCCUUGGCGGCGUGCUAGAGCACGCGCUCGUCCUCCUCUUCGUAUGCUGCGUGCAUAGACGCAGCUCCACUAGCUGCUCGUGUGCUUGGCAGUGUGACGGCAUCGCGAGGAGGGACUGCAGACGACGUGAGUGGGCGAGCCUUCGGCUUCAUGGCAUAGGGAUGGCGGCGACACGGCGGUGAUGGGCGAGAAAUUGUUGGCCGGAGCAGGCGGGCGCCGGCAUGCGCAACGGCGGCGGCAUAUUGAUGAGUGCGCAUGUGGGAGCUUACUUUAGUUUUAUAUAUAAGGUUGGUCAAACUUAAAAGAAAACCGUACUAGUACACGUAAACAUUAGACUUAGGCAGCGCUUUUAUUAGUUAGUACCACAGCCACGAUACGGAAUCCUGUGCAAGCGCGUGAACCGCGGCCGCGCGGUCGAUCGAACGGUGCGUCACCGUGUCGCGCUCGAAGGACAUCCACCGAACCUUUUUGUGUGUGUGAAAACAAUCCUCGAAUAUUACUCAACUUUUUUUCCUGUGAAAGUUCUUGACGCUACAAUAUUUCCAUAUAUUUGAAUUUAGCUCCAGUUCGAGUUUAUUUGGAUUUGGACGUUUUAGGUGCGCCCUAGUUUUUUUAAUACUGAUUUUGUGUGUGUGACUGAGAGAGAAUGUGUGUAUGUGUCCAUAUGUGUGUUGUGGCGGAAGGGCAAUGUGGAGACGGUGUGCGUGUGAUACAGACAUAGAGAGGUGUGAAUGUGCAAAUGAUCAUGCAUGAGUGAGACAUAGACAGAUGCCGAUACAUUGUGUAUACAUGAGAGAACAGUCUUCUAGUUUACUUGUGUGUGUGUGUGUGAGAGAGAGGGAGAGAGAGAGAGACAGAGAGAGGAGCAUCCGUAACACAACAACCAUCUCCCUCGAUUCGUCCGUCCCUCGCACGGUCGCAUGCAACACAUGCAUCAACACGCACAUUUUGACACCCUCACCCGGCCCCUGCCACCUCAAGGCCCGCACAAUCUCUUCGUGAAUACCCAUUUCUCUCCUUAGGUUUGUUAUCUCUCAAUAUCUGACACACACACACAGAGACACACGCAGCACAACACACACACACACACACACACACACACACACACACACACAGAGACACGCAGCACAACACACACACACACACUCCCCGGAGCACACAAUUCAUCCCCAUCCAAGGUUAUACGACGACCACUCUCGCUUGUGCUUCUUUGCACCCCAACAUGCACAACACCUCAAUCUUCAAAGAGGGCAUCGAGCAGAUCGAAGACGGCGACCACACCGCGCUAGAGAAUGCGGGGUCAUUUGGAAGCAGGGUGAUGUGACGACGGCUGACUGACUCCUCCCCCACCCUCUCUCUCUUGCACAAAAUUACCAAUCCCUCUCUCCCCCGCACAAAAUUGUCAAUCCCUCAACCCACGAGAUCCUUCCCCUCUCGUCCAUGUUUUUCCAGCUCUCUCAUCAAACAUGUUGUCUCUUCUCCUUCCAUGUAUACAGAAUCCAGAUGCACACGCAUCUCAUGUAUAUUACAUGUAUCCAUCUUUCUCACAGACCUAACUUCUUCCUCUCUCUUUCUCUCUCUAUCUCUCUCUCUUUGUCUCGUUAGGUUUGUCUCCUACUCUCUCGUUCACAUACAUACAAUCUUUCCCGCCCUAUCUGCUCCAUCUUCAAAAGCUCUCUCUGCACGUUUCAUUCACACAUUGGGAUAUGUCAAAAUGUUGCUUCUAUAAUGGAUGAUGUAGAGUUAUGGUUGUUUUUGUUGCAUCCUACAAAGUAAUAACUAUGAAAUGCAUUUAGAUUCUCAUUUGACUGGGAUUAUGUGAGUUUGAGCAUGUUGUGAAGUACUAUAGACCUUGUAUACAUCUUGGAAUUCGACAAUGAUUGUAACUAUUGAAUUGUAUAGACCAUUACAUUCGAAGUCAAUAGCCUAAUAUAUUUAUUUCACAAUUUCAAAAAAUGAUUAGUUCACUACAAACUAAGAAAACAAAUGUGUACUCCCUCCGUUUUUAUUUAAGUCCGCGUAUUAGCAUUGGUCAAAGUCAAGUUUUGUAAACUCUCAGAAAGCUUAUAACAAAAAAUAUUAACAUAUAGGAUAACAAAUAAAUACCAUUAGAUUCAUUAUUGAAUGUACUUUCACAUCAUACAUAUUUGUUAUGGUAAAUGUUUAUAUUUUUCUAUAAACUUGGUCAAACUUUAGGAAGUUUGACUUCGGUCAAACCUAAUAUGCAGAGUUUACUACUACUACUCGCUAGUUGCUUAGCCGAAUCACUCAACACGCCACACGGGGAGUCUAGUGUCACAAAAUUUUGAGGUCGGCGGGAAAAUCUCCCGCGACCCUGAUUCGAGCAGUGGGAAGUUACCAUCAUAGCCUUCGGAACAGGCCUAUGGAUGAUGCUUGGUAGGGGGCUGUUUUCGUAACUUCAGGUUCACCCUACCCAGCCAACCCCACCCCGGCACCCAGAGUAGUACACCUGAAUACUCCCCAUUUUCUAUCCCCACCGCAAAAUAGACUUCUCCACGGCACCGCAGCCUUCGUGCUCCUCCCCUUUACAUCGGCGCACUCGUCCACCGCAGCGCAUCUACCUCAUCGACGACCUCGUACGCCGCACUGGAGCCGGUCCACCGUCGUCGUCAUACACGGAGCCUCUUCCCUGGCAUCGUCUUCCACGGUCUCGGAUCUGCUUCCCGGAAGCCGACGCCAAGCGCAGAAGUACCACCGUCGUGGACAAUGAACUGACUCCCGUUGCCGACCAUGACUCACAGAGGCCUCCGCGACCAUCGUUCUCCUCCUCGAUUGGUAAUGUGUGUAUUGAAUCACUUAGCAGUACAUGUGCAGUUCCAAUUUUGUUCAUACCCACCCUUCAAAUUUCCUGGGUGCUGUUGUUCCCGUAAAAGUAAUUGGUUAUAGCCUCCAUUGUCCAAUAGAAUAUCAGCUUCUAAUUGUGCGUCGCUCUUGUAUCGCGCUAGUAGAGAAGAGAGUAGAGAUAGCAGAGACGUCGGGAAAGGAUCGCGCGCGCGCGGGAAAAAGCGGCCGAGCGUGCGCUAGUUUUGGCGCGUGGCGUCCGGCGCGCUUUAUAAAAUCCAACGCCCUCCCACCGCUCUGUGCCUUGCCACCGCUCUCUCCCCGCUCUGUGCCUCGCCACCGCUCUCUCCCCGCUCUUUUUCGCCUCGCCGCCGCCACGCCACCAUGCCGCCGCGUCGCCGGGAAACUUGGGGAUACCGCGGCGUCCGCGUGUGCCCCUCCGGCGGCUUCUCCGCCGAGAUCCGGUUCCGUGGGAUGCGCCUCGGCCUCGGCAAUUUCGACACCGCCAACGAGGCCGCCCGCGCGUACGACGCGGCGGUGUGGCGCCUCCGGUGGCCUCAUAGAACAUUGAACUUCCCCAACGUGCCGACGCGGGAGCGGGCGCAGGAGCUCGCGCCUCUGCCGCGGCUUAGGGCGCUGUGGCGCCAACACUUCCUGCAGGACAUCAUCAACGAGCGCGAGUUCUACGCGCAAAGGAGGGCGGAGAGGGAUAAGAGGAGGGCGGAGCGAGCCGCCUAUCGCAAGGACAAGCGUAGGCGAAAAGCGGACGCUCAAUUCAACAUGAGGCUAGGAGCAGCGUCGCCCCGGGAAUCCGACGACGAUCGGUAUCUUCACGCCUACAGUCAGACGUCGGAGGAGGACAACACCGAGGAGGAGUCGGACGACGAGGAGUAGUUGAAUUAUCUUUUUUUAUCUAUCUAUGCUGAGAACUAUCCUCUACUCUCUACUAUCUACUUCUCGAUCUCAGCACUGUAAACGCUUUUUUAAAGCGCCGCGCGUUGCGAUUCUGUUGGAGAUGAUGAGUGCUUUAAUGUUGCCCACAAGAUGCGCGAGUAUUACUAGUAGUAUAUUUUUCUUGCCAUGUUGAGAUUUUAAAACCACGAGUGCGAACAUGCAGAGGAGCAAUGAAGACCAAACACGGGAUAUUCGGGACAUCUUCAAGGAGCGUGGCAAGUUAAAGAGGAGCUGCACCAAACCUGUAAAAUGAGCUUUGGUAAGUAACACCCUUUUAAUUACUUUCAUGUAGCCUCGUGUUCUUCAAUGUGUAUAUGUUGUAGUUUCUGUUUCUCUUAAGCGUGGUGUUCUUCGAUGUGUAAUAAGAAGAGUCUUAAUCGUCCUAAUGCUUUCGUUUUUAGCUUGAUGUAGGAAGUGGGUGUUCUCACCUUGUAGUCUGUUUUUAUUUUUAUUUUCCUUUUGAAUUCACUUCUCCGAGUUCUGUUUAUCUGGCUUCUACUAAAUGGAUCUAGGUUGCUCUGAGUAUUGAUCUAAAAAAGAAGUAACUUCAUGUCAGGAUGCAGUUCCUGUGAGGAGGGAAGUAUGGUCAACCUCGAGAUCAUGUUUCCAAAAUGAGGCUGGAUUACACACAAGGUGCUAGUUCCCUAAUGAUGCUGGAUUAGACACAAGGUGCAAAUUCCCAGAUGAUGCUGGAUUACACACAAGCCAGGUGGAGUCGUCAGUUGUUCGUGUCCUCGUGGCAUUAGUAAAGGCUGAAAGAAAGCGUGCAACAACCCUUGAGAAUGUAGCUGAGUUCCUGAAGAAGCAAAAAGAGCAAUCAGAUGCUCUCUUCACCCAAGCCAAAGAAGAGAUGGAAGAAGCCAGAAAUAAGCUAGCAGAGGCAGAGCAGGCUAGGCGUCUCCUGCUAUCUAAAACUGUUGUCAAUACAAAAUUUCCUUCAUAAUAGCUAGGUUCAAAUGUUUAUCCAGUCAGCAUGCCUGUUGUGAUGUCUGUGCAUCUACUGAUGUGGCACAAAAUGUUUUUUUGGGGUCAUGUAAUAAUAGCAAUUACUUUCCAAACAAUAACAGACGAAGCAUUGGACAUGGUAUAGUUCACGCGCAAGCCCGACAUUCCAAGUUCAACUUCCACAUCAAACUCAUGUUCACAGAUAUCUGCACAUUCAUACAUAAUGUCCACGACCAUGAUUCACUUCAAAGCCAAAAAAAAGUGAGGAGAGUUAUAAAGAAAGAAAAUCCUCUACUAGUUCCUACUACCAGUGCGAGCACAACAAGUCAAGACCAUGCGUAAAUUAAUUAUAUUUUAGUCAUUUUUUGUGUUCUAAAAUUCCUGCCGGCUCGUGGAAGGACGUAUUGCCGGCACACGCGCGGAUUCAAUGAAGGCAGGUGGGGCAGUCUUAAGCUGGUUGCACGUGGCGAGGAGGCGUGCUCAGCCGGGCCUGCAGCGAGUGCGGCCCUCUUGGCCGGCGCGCCGGUUCAAUGCCUGCGCUAUGAGAGGUCGCGUCCGUGUCAGAGCAAUCACUCCCUCCAGUCCUUUUUUGUUUGGGUAUAACAAAAUCUCGUUUUCCAUUCACAUUUUACAAGUAAAAUUCGUGGACAAACUUUGACCCAAAGUAUGAUGGGGACUAGUAAACCAGAAUGGAGGUAGUAGUUUUUUUAAUCAAACAAGGGUUUCCCCUUCCGAUUUUCAUUACUGAAAACCAGCAUCUAAAUCUAAACCAUAGUAUUUGCCCUAGAACUACCAGGUUCAACAUCUCGCAACAUAAACCCAUACAACCUCCAUCGCAAAAAAAACCAUACAACCAUACGCCAAGGAGGUACGUAGUACUAUGAAUUCCAUUUUCGCUCCAUACCAAUCGUUCUAAAAACUACUUACUACUUAUAACGCGCCAUUGAAAAUUGGAACUCUUAACCCCACUAAAAACGAUAUUUUAAACGUGGCUACUCGAUCUGUGGCAACUGGCGAGCCACCGCGCUCCAAGUCGUUCACCUGUGGUCCCGACCAUCAACUCCUACUGAUCAAAUUAUCACGCGAGCUGACUAUUCCUACAAAGGUGCUCCACCAUGUACCCGGUACCCACGAAAUGAUAGGGAGAGUGUGACACUUCUCAAGGGAGACGUCGAGAGACCAUGUUUGCGAUGAUAGGAGAAACAUGAAGUGAGCGUGCGGGUGAGCUGGAGAAAAGAGAGUGAUAGCUACCUAAAGGAGCAUGCAUGCGAGAGAGAUGGGCGUGAAAGGAGUGAACAAAAAAGGGAUUCAAAUAUUUGAAUUCGAGAUGAUGAUGCAUGUAAUCCAUACUCGAACCAAAAUUGAUCUAUCAAACAUGCAUACUCAUAUGAAUUCACGCACAUCUAUGUUAUUUAAUAUGUAGAUAUUACUGAUCCAUACAUUUUAGUAGAACAUAAUUUGGUUAAUUUUUUUCAAAUUCAACCUUAAGAUUUCGAGAUCGUUGUAUUUGUAAAUCAUAUUAUACAUAUAAAGGAGCAGAAUUCUUUGUUGUGCUUUUGAAAGUAUAUAUAAAAAAUGAUGUAUAUAGAAUGUAAUUCCAAUUGAAAAUGGAUCCCGCCCGAAAAAAAAUAGAAUACAAACGGGAUUCGAAUUGAGUUGGCACGGUAAACGUGCACUCUGCAAAAUUUGAACAAAGCGGGGAAAGUCGCAGUGACCGCCCGAAACCAAAAUCUGCGAGAUGGAAAUCACUACUGCCUAUCCCUGCCACGCAAAGCCUAUCUGCUGGAUUUCUAUAGGUUUCUAUAGGGGUAGGUUUGUAAUUUCACCCAAACGUGAUGUAACCGCCUCUCACCCGGAUUCAUACACGGUGGGCGCCAAAACAUAGUGUGUCCUCGGCCGAAAUCAACUCCCUCCCCGAUUCAUAUUCAUACACGGUGGGCGCCAAAAACAAACUCUCGUCGGCAAAUAUUCGGUGUAUGCGAGAUUACUAUCCUAUCCCCAACCGACUAAUGUUGCUGUGAUGUAGUAGAAAUUUGAAACGGGGGCUAAGUUUGUAAAUUUCCUCGCAUUUGAGACAAGCCCGCCCUGAAUACAUGGUUCGCCCCUUCCUCUCUAGCUCCCUUUUCCCCAUUCGUACUCCGUGGGCGCCAAAACACCCUCUCCACCCCACGCUCCUCCGUCCGCCGCCGUCCGACACCCCAUCCACCGCCGUCCUCCUCCACCAUGCCAGAGCUGAUACCAUGACGCCGCCGUCCAUUACAAGAGAUCGACCUCUCUCAUCCACGGCUUCGGACCGGGAUCCUUGCAUCCCGUCCUCUCGCUUCAUCCCCGCCGUCAUCCACCUUGCCGGCGCUGCUCCUACAACCGUCUCGUCCACCGCGCCCCGCCACCACCGUCUACCCUCCUAGAUCUGCUUCCACGCCGCCGACAGCCAUCGCUACCGCAGCACCGUCAAAUUCUCAGCAGAUGCGUACACGACGCCGCACCAGAGGCGGCACUCUUUCGUAUCUGCUCAACUUAUUUAUCGCAGCAAGAAAAUAGAUCGCCACUGCUUUACUCUGAUUUCUUGUCUUGGUUGCGAAGUUGCCUUUGUCCGGUUUGCACCUUCAGAUCCGCCAUGGCACGCUCAACACUAUACUCCCAAUGCUUAUGGUUUUCCCCUUUUAUAUUCCACACUAGUUAAAUCACAGUAGACUAAAUUUCAAAAUUGGGUCAGUCGAUUUUUCAGAGCUCGCCGGAGUUUGCCGGUGCGAUCNNNNNNNNNNNNNNNNNNNNNNNNNNNNNNNNNNNNNNNNNNNNNNNNNNNNNNNNNNNNNNNNNNNNNNNNNNNNNNNNNNNNNNNNNNNNNNNNNNNNNNNNNNNNNNNNNNNNNNNNNNNNNNNNNNNNNNNNNNNNNNNNNNNNNUAAAUCACAGUAGACUAAAUUUCAAAAUUGGGUCAGUCGAUUUUUCAGAGCUCGCCGGAGUUUGCCGGUGCGAUUGAAGGGGCUCAGGUGGUUGUGGGGCCUCGCCGAACAAAGAAAACUCGACGCGGGUGGGGGUUGGGGCGGGGGUGGGGGGUGGGGGUGGCGGAGGAACACAGGCGGUGGGGGCCGGUGGUCCGGCCGGGGGCCCGUGCGGUGUUCUGUAUGGGAAGAAUCAGAGACGAGGAAGAAGAAGGGUUAGGAGACGUAGGAUCUUCAUCCAACCGCCUAAAAUGGUCGAGAGACAGCUGGGAGUUGCAUUCUUAAUGCGCUCUGGUUCAUCAUGUGUGGGCACCGCGCAACCAACAUUUUAUUAUCCAAAAUCUGCUUGCUCUUCUUUACCAUGUUCUUCUUCCGUUCUUCUUUAAUAUGUACUCUCUCCGUUCCUAAAUACAAGUCUUUGUAUAGAUUCCACCAUGGACUACAUAUGGAGCAAAAUGAGUGAAUCUACACUCUAAAAUGUAUCUGGAUACAUCUGUAUGUCAUCCAUAGUGGAAAUCUCUACCAAGACUUAUAUUUUGGAACAGAGUGAGUAUGAUAGUAGUACAGUAUGUUCCUUGUACUGAAGAUGAGCAGGGACAUUUGCAGUGUAGAGGUCUAUACGGUCGGUUGUGAUGGACACUUUGAGCCUCUUUGAUUCAUAGGAUCUUGUAAACAUAGGAAUAGGAUUUGUAGUGGCCUGCCCACUUGAAUCCUAUAAGAAUAGCAAGGAAAUGCGGGGAGUUGUGUCGCCUUUGAGAGUUACACUGAUAUUAACAGUACCGCACCUUCACUUGAAGAGAGCUGGUAUCCGAAGCCUUUCUAGCCGUACCGGCAAUACUAGCACAUAUAUUCCAGCAAGUUCCACUUUGCUGAUUUUACUCUGAUGCUUAAGGUUUUCCCAUUAUAUCUACACUAUGAUCUAUGUAGCUGCUUUGUGUCGCACUAGCAGCAGUCCACUCUUGAAGCUAAACACUGCAAUGACUUACAAAAUUGGCACCAAGGCAUUGAGUGCCAUUCUGGAUGCAAUGAAACUCAUACGCUCCCCACCUAUUGAUUCUUGUUCAGAAUAUGAUCCUAAUGACUAUUCUAACCUCGAGGAGUCAAAGGCAGAUGGCCUGUCCUGUUCACCCAUCAAGGUGCCUAUUCUAAUUUGGCAAUGUUUUAUUGAUUGCGGGUAUCUUGCAUAUGUUGUCUUGCAUUUCUUCUACUUUGUUGCACCGCCAUCUGCUUAGUUUACUCAUCAUAUAUGUCGAGAUGCCAUGCCCAUCCAUUAUCAAUACAUAUUCCAUCUGUCAUCAUACCAUGUCUUUCCACUCAAAUGUUGUUCUUGUGCAUCAGACAUCAAAAAGGAAGAGGGUGAUUGCCGAACCUGAAGGAGCACUAGCAAAGUUCUUGAAAAACGUGGUGGUGCCGGAGAAAUCAGACAGCACUGCACUUAUAUUGGCUGUACAUCCAGUGACACAAAACGUAGGACCGACUCCAGUAGACUGUACCCAUACUUCAUUGGCCACACCACUAGCCCCACCACACAGGACCUGCACUCCAGCAAAAGGUAUACCGAUUUCAUUUGCCAUAGCACCAGCUGUACCACAGAAAAAUCCCACUCCAGCAAAAAGUACAGCAAGUCCACCGGCCGAAGACCUAUCCCAACUACAGAGACGGCCAAUUCCUGCAGAUUGGAACCCCUUUCCAUUUAUUCACAGUUUAAAAGACAAUGCUUUCAAUGUUGUUAGGGACUACGUGCAUAUAUUCCUAUCAUGGGAAGAUUAUUGUGAAUACAAACACCAUUUUCACAUCUUCUUGUCCAACUUACGUGUAAGUGCUAUUAUUCAUGGUUAUUAUUUUCCUGUUUUCUGCUGAUUGAACACAUCAAUGAUUUACAUUACAUUGUUGUAACUAGGCGAGGGUCAAUCUGGAUAGUCAUGACGAGCAAAGCUUGCUUGUGCUUUUCAAGGAAGCAUUGCAGUAGUAUCGGUGUUACCUGAGGAAAUCACACUUUGAUGGCAAGUCUAUAAACGAAUUUCUGGUGAAGUCUCCUGUGCUAAAUUUUGAAGACAUUGAAUGGAAAAACCUUGUUAUGCACUGGUCUCGUUCCCAGGAUGAGGUACUGUCUAUGAAAUCACAUGACAAUUUGAACUUCUACUUUUCCGCAUGUGCCUUACGGAUCUUUUUUGCAGGAAAUCUGCUCGAAGAAGAAUUCCGGUUUGACAAGAACGACAGGAUAUCGCAAAUAUGCUGCCCGCUGCUUUGCUCUUGUUAGUACCUGUUGUCCUGUAUCACUGUACUUGCAUACAUACCUGGUUCAUUAUGUGACAACAGUAUGCAUGAUAGCUUGCUUAUCAAUUGUUCGCUCCAAAUUAUCUGAUCUGUAUGAAUGGUUACAUUAGUGUAGAAUAUAUCCAAUGCUAUUUUUUUUAGCUCUGCAUUGUUCUUGUAAGUACAUGCUGUCCUUUAUCAGUGUACUUAUAAUGACAGGUAGUUGUUCAUGUACCAUCACUCUGCAGCUUAUUUUCCUUUGCCCUCCAUUUUCUACACAUCAGAUCUAUAUUUACUCUUACCAUAAGGUUGGUACUGAAGAAGUUUAGCUAUGCAUUGCUCUUGGCUGUACCUUUUGCCUGUAUCGCUGCACUUACAUUUAUAGCUACUUGGUUAUGUAGCAUCACUCUUCAUCUUAUCUUAAAUAUUCUCCAUUUUUUCGUAUAUUAUCACAUCUAUAUUUACUCUUAACAAAAUGUAGAAUGAAGGCAAUGCUUUUGAAGAAGAUUCUGUGGUAAACUUCUUGAAUUGCCCCCCCAUCAGCAUGGACAAGGCCUUUAUAGAGCCUGUCUUCACCAAUAAUGUAAGUUUGUCCAUCUCAAGCCUUCAAACUUUGUUGUAUAUAUUUGGUUAGGCAUGACUGCAACAUCUGUUUAUUUUUGGUGUCUGCAUCAAAUUGCUUGUUUAAAGUUUAUUAUGUAGUUCAUAAACAAAAGUUUGUCCUUUCUCAAUUUAAGUUUUCAGUUGUACAACCAAGUUCCUUCUUCAUACCAUGUAAAUUAAACUAUACAGAGCAAGUGAUCUUCUUUUGCACUGCAUGUAUGCUUCUGUUCUUCAUCCGUAAUCCAGUGGUGUGGUGAACCUACCCACUACAGCACAAUGUCAUAUUCUGCAAUGUCUUAACUAUGAACAAUGUCAUAUCAUUCUACUAUUAUUUAAACCAUCUCUUUAUUUGCCAAUCUAAAAUGGUAUAAAUUGACAGCACACUAACCAUUGAUACUUAUGAGUUCUUGAUCUGUAAUCCAGUGAAGCUGCCAACUCCUUCACAAUGUCAUUUCCUGCCAUGUCUUGACCUGAAUAAUACCAUAUUGUGUUAAUGCAAUUUUAAACUGUGUCACUUUAUUCGUCAAUAAGAAAUGUGAUGAAUUGUCAGCACUGAUACUUUUAUGUGCAAAACCUGUCAUCUGUCUCCUUGUUUAUCUUUCAGAGUGAGGAAGAUAUAAGUGUUGAACAAGCGCAGUCUCAUCAUCUUGCUCAGCUGCUUGCGCUGCAGCUCCCCAGCAGGGCUAACCUUUCUUGAACUCUAUUGAUGUGCUGUCGGUUUUGUAUAUUAUUUUGUCGGCGUGUUUAUUUGCACUGGUGGCGAUCUUUAAUGCCCAGUGUAUGUAAUCUGCUGUCUGCUUGUGCUUUAUUAUCAUAGUGGCGAACUUUGAUGCCCAAUGGAUGUAAUAUGCCAUAAUUUAUUUAUUGUAUAGUCUAGGUUUUUUCUUAUUCACGAUGCUGCAGUUAUUUUACUGUAUAUAUAUCAUGUCUUCGCAGUAAACCGGCCAAACCGUAAAAUUACGGUACAUAAUCGGGCCGUCAUGCAAUCACGAUGUAGGUUGGGCCUGAAACGUGCCGAAUAGCUCACGGGCUGGCAGCAGCCCGAAAUGAACCCCGGCCCAUGAUUGUGCGAAUCAAAUCACAGGCUUUUAACAGGCCAAAAUUGUCUCGGUCCUUGUUUGGCUCAAUCAGAUAUCGGCUGCGAGCAGGCCGGAUGCAAACCAGGCCGUAGUUAGGCCCAACUAUAUGACGGGCUUUUAAUAGGCCGAAAUUAAUAUAGGACCGAAAUGUUAAACGGGCCCUUAACAGGCCAAAACUAAUAUCAGGCCGAAUUACUAAGUGGGCCUUUAGCAAGUGGGCCCAAAAGCAUAGUGUCCAGUUGACGGGCCGAAUCUGAUAUGGGCCAUAAUUGAGCCCAAAGCCUCUUAAAGGGCCGGACCUGAUCUGGGCCGUAAUUUGGCCCAGAACGUGGUAGGCUUUUAACGGGCCGGAUCUCAUAUGGGCCACUAUUAGGCCCGGAGCGUGGCAGGCCAUUAAUGGACCGGAUCAAAUAUGGGCCGACAUUUGGCCCAAAACAUGGCAGCCAGUUAAUGGACCGGCCUACUAGGGUCCUCAAAAUCUUGUGGGCCUACAGCUGGGCCGGCCCAUUAAUGUCGGCGAAAUCUCGUGGGCCUUUAGCUGGGCCGGCCCAUUAUGAUCCGCAAGAAUCUUGUGGGCCUUUACCUGGGCCGGCCCAUUAUGGCACACAAAAAUCUUGUGGGCCUUUACCUGGGCCGGCCCAUUAUGGCCCGCAAAAUCUUGUGGGCCUUUAGCUGGGCCAGCCCGUUAUGGUCCGCAAAAUCUCGUGGGCCUUUAGCUGGGCCGGCCCAUUAUGGUCCGCAAAAUCUUGUGGGCCUUUAGUUGGGCCGGCCCAUUUAAACUUGAUGGGCCGGUCCACGUGUCAACAUAUCAUAGGCGCGUCUCACCCAUUGGAUGAGUGACACCUGUGGCAACGCGGACCUGACACGUGUCUCCUCCAACCAAUGAUGAUUUUACACGUGGAAAAUCCCAUCGGGGCUGUUAACGGGUUACCGGAUCCAAAACCCGACCCGAUAGCUUAACGGCGUUCCGUUACGGUGGAUGCCACGUGUCGGUCACCCUUGACGAAAGCAUUUCUGUGACGCGUGAUUUAUCGUCAUGGAAGUGGACACUUCCGUGAUGAUAAUUUUGGUAAUGUCAUGGAACACUUCUACGACAGCACAUGUAUGACUAUCUUGAUUCUGUCAUAAAAUUGUCAUGGAUGUACAUGCAUGACAAAAACACGACCUACUGUGACAAACACGUAUCAUCACGGAAGUGUAUUUUUUUGUAGUGAGGGCAAGGGGAUCUCGGCCACAUCGAAGACAAUCCUCUCUGUCCUGUAGUUCAGCUCGCCUCCAAACGUCACAUGCAGGGUGACCUUACCCUUCGGCUGACUCCUUCCUGGGUUGACCCCUUGAAACGUGCCCGUCUGCUCGAGGUCUCCAUCAGGAAUUUGCAGCCUCUUGAUCACAACGGGCGAGAUCAAGUUCAGACCGGCCCCGCCGUCAACUAGCAUUUUUGUCAUCUUGAGGUUGUGUAUCGUUGGUGAAACCAACAAUGGCAAACACCCGACCGCAGUUGUGCGAUCAGGGUGGUCCUCGGUGUCAAAGAUGAUAGGCGUGCUGGACCACUUCAGCGGCUUCUGAGCGUCGAACGAUGGCUCCGCUGUUGUGAUCUCACGCGCCCACUGCUUGAGCUGGCGGUGAGAGGUAUGCAGCGAGGCGCCACCGUCGACGCACAUGGCCUCCGUAGCCUUCUAGAACUCAUGCUCGCCAGACUCGCCGUCCUCGUCAUGAUCAUCGUCUUCCUGCUUCUUGUCGCGGCCCCGAGCGGGCCUCUCUUGUUGGUUAUCCUUGCCGCGGCAGCCCCCUUGGCCGCCACGCUUCUUGCCGGAUCCUUCAGCACCAUCCUGACCCUUCUCCUUGUCCCGCCUCUCAUACUCGGCUUUUUUGCUUUUCAGCAAGCAGCUCGACUUGUCGGCAGUUCUGGAGGUCAUGGCCCUUGGUGCGGUGGAUCUUGCAAUACUGCUUGUCGGAGCCUCCUGGCUUGUCGGCAGCUGCCAAGACACGGCAAGUGGCGCACCCGGCAAUCUCCUUGCCGGGGUCGUCUGCCUUGGCCUUCUUCGCAGCGUCGGUGUCGUUGGAUCCCUCAACGGCAAGCACAACCUUGCCCUUGCGUUUCUUGUUGCGGCGCCGGCCCUUCUUCAUCGGGGCGGCGGUGUCUUCGUUAGUAGAGUCGGUUUUCGCGCCGGCGUCCUUGCCGGGGUACUUCCUCCCCUCUUUAGCUCGAGCACACCUAUCGGCCAGAACAUAAAGUUCGGCCACAUCCUUGACCUUGUUCAUUGCCAUCUCUUCACGCAUCUUGCGGGUACACACAUUCUGAUGGAAUGCGCUGAUCACGGUGGCGGGUUGAACAUCUGGGAUGUUAUAUUGCACUUGGCUGAACCUCUGUAUGUACUUGCGCAGGUUUUCACAUUCCUUUUGGGGAUGAUAUGCAAAUCACUCGGCUGGCCAUGAGCUUGGUGGCCUCCAGUGAAGGCACCAACAAACUCAUAGAUCUGACCAAGAAGAAAUGGAAUCCGCCGGCAAGUGCAUCAACCAAGACAUGACAUUGGGUUUCAGGGCCAACGGGAAGUAAUUGGCAAGCACCUUAUCGUCACGAGCUCCAGCGGCUUGCAUCGCGAUGGUGUAGAUGCUGAGGAAUUCUGACGGAUGGGUCUUGCCGUUGUACUUCUCGUUGACGUCGGGCUUGAAUGUGCGGUGGGACGGCCACUGGAACUGCUGCAGCUCACGAGUAAAGGCUGGGCAACCCACCUCAUAAGGUAGGCCGCAGGAGCCUCCCGGUGCUGGGUGGUCCAUGGCGGGCCCCGCCCACCUAUCUGACUGGUGGCGUGUGUCGCGCCAGCGCUCGAUGGUGGUUCGAGCGUCUUCGUGGGCUCGCUCUCGAAGGAAUUGGCGCUGGUCGCGGUGGGUUCGUGGGUCGGACGACGCUAUGGAGAUGUUAUCACAAGCGUCGUCACGACGGAUCGACACCCGCGGUGGCUGGCGUGGAGGAGUAGAGUGCGCCGUGGCCGCAGCACCCCCGGCCCCUCCACCGCCGGCGUGCGGUGGUUCGACGGAGCGCCGGCCUGAGGGCCCUGCUGGCCAUUGGUCGUCUUUGUUGGCGACGCCAACGAGGCUCCGGAUGGUGGCUCUCCAUUCAUCGAGCUUCCGCAGCAGGAGGGAAGUUGAGGAACAACUGCACGGGCGCCAAAGCUUCUGCCGGCGUGGGCGGCGGUGAGAGCUGCGUGGACCGUGACGCGCUCCAACUCCUAACCAUGUUAGGAGGAGCUCCAUCACGGCCCUGCGGCUGCAUGCCGUUUUCGCCAGCGCUUCGGUGGGCAUGUUGGCCUUCUUCGUCCCGUGAGUGAUGCACAUGACUCUUCCCACGACGGCGCCCGGGGUCCCCAGCGUGGUGGCGCUGCUUGUCGCGCGCACCCUGGGAGGAGCGCGUCGCGGGCGCCGGCGUGGGCGACUUGGAGAUCGCCGCGCCACCCUUGGAGGGCCCCGCGCCGCCUGCGGGGGGCCCAGCUCCGUCUUUGGAUUUGGUGGCGUGCGGCCCGUCGUCUCGCGCACGGACGACGCCGCUCGCCAGGCUUUGACUGCCAGAGCAAUGUUGGUGCUCGUGGGUCGCACCUCGGGUUCUGCCCGCGACCGGCUCGCUGCUCGCCCGCACCGGUACGGGCCGUUCGGCUCUGGAUGAACCGAUCAUCGUGGUAGUCUUCUUCUUGGGAGCCAUGGCGAUGAAGAACUGCUAGGCUAACUGCGAGACCGGAUUUUCACAACUGCACGCCCCCUACCUGGCGCGCCAGAGAUGUCGGGGGAAAUCGACACCUAUGGAAUCACUGGGAUCCUUUCUACGGUUGGCGGGCGCGGGGUUGUACAAAGAGCGGGUCUGACAGGAAGCACACAAAUCGUUUACCCAGGUUCGGGCCGCGAGGAUGCGUAAUACCCUAGUCCUGCUUUGGUGGAUGUAUUCGAGUUUUCUUGUGUUCUUGAGCUAGCUACGGGGUGUAACUUGCCCAAAAGAUCCGAAUCCUCCUCCUGGAUGCCUCGGGCCUCCUUUUAUAGGCAAAAGGGGUCGCCACAGUGGCACACAGGAGGUGGAAAGGUGUAUAGGGGAUGAGUCUAUCCUCUGGCACCGUCGGACAAACGCAUUUAAUGCGCUGCCGACGUGCCCCUCCCACUUUAUCGGGGACGACAAGGAAGCACGUCCCAGCUGUCGCCGCCUCGCCUGGCUUCGACACGCGUCCGAGCUGACGAGGCACCGUGGCGCCACGUUGGCUGGCUGCUGGGCUGGCGCGGUGGUGGAGCCUUUAGGAAGACUUGCAUGCCACCACGCAGGUGCUUGCUGAGUCGGUGUAGAGGCCGCACGUUGCCAUGCAGGCGCCUGCUCAGCUGGUUGAGAUGGCAGCUGCAUGGGGACGGCGGUGGAGUCUUGGUAGGUGCAGGCCUGGCUGUGGCCCUGCUGAUGCCCUCGGCAAGGGCCUUGCCGGGGGCCCGGCAAGGGUCUUGCCGUGGCACCGCGGCCGCCCUGGCAAGGCGCUUGCCGGGGGUCUUGUGGAUUUCCUCGGCUAGGAUCCCGUCGAGGGUCGUCAUUUCCUGGUCAACAUCUGAUCUUGUGUAUUAAUGGUCUUCACAAAGAUCUGCAUGCCACUACGGAAGUGCCUCCCGAGCCCUGGUCCAAAUGUAGCUGUUGCCGGCGUUUGGGACCCUUGGGCUCAAGGGUGGCUCGCUCCAUUGGCGUCAAGCAAGUUGCCCCUGCAAGGCUCUUGCCGGGGCUGCGGAGGCCGCUCCGGCAAGGGUCUUGCCGGGGAGUCCACCUCACCCUCUUGCUCUUUGUAUCUCUGGUCUUGGCGUUGCCUUGGUUGCCUGGUGCUUUGGCUUCUCUCCAGCUUCCCUCCUCUGCCCUGCUAAGUGCGGCCGUGGCGCGCUGCUCUGACUGCCUGUGCACAAGUAAAGGGGUCAAAAGGAGAGCCCCUACUUUUGUACACCGACACCGAUCAUCGGGCAAGUCCACCAAAGUCCACACUUUGUUCUCAUACAUGGAUCCUAUCUCAGAUUUCAUGGCCUCAAGCAAUCUAUCGGAUUCUGGGCUCAUCAUAGCUUCUUCAUAGUUUGUAGGUUUGCCAUGGUCUAGUAACAUGACUUCCAAGACAUGAUUACCGUACCACUCUGGUGUGGAACGUGCUCUGUUCGACCUACGAGGUCUAGUAGUAACUUAAUCUAAAGUUUCAGGGUCAUCACUAUUAGCUCGCUCUCUAGUUGGUGUAGGCAUCACGGGAACAAAUUUCUCUGAUGUGCUACUUUCCAAUUCAAGAGAAGGUACUAUUACCUCAUCAAGUUUCUACUUUCCUCCCACUCACUUCUUUCGAGAGAAACUCCCUCUCUAGAAAGGUUCCAUUCUUGGCAACAAAGAUCUUGCCUUCGCAUCUGUGGUAGAAGGUGUAUCCAAUUGUUUCCUUAGGGUAUCCUAUGAAGAUGCAAUUCUCUGAUUUGGGUUCAAGCUUAUCAGGAUGAAGCCUUUUGACAUAAGUGUCGCAACCCCAAACUUUAGAAACGACAACUUAGGUUUCUUGCUAAACCACAGUUAAUACGGGGUCGUCUCAAUGGAUUUAGACGGUGCCCUAUUUAACGUGAAUGCAGUUGUCUCUAAUGCAUAACCCCAAAGCGAUAGUGGUAAACUGGUAAGAGACAUCAUAGAUUGCACCAUAUCUAAUAAAGUGUGGUUACGAUGUUCGAACACACCAUUACGCUGUGGUGUUCCAGGUGGCGUGAGUUGUGAAACAAUUCCACAUUGUUUUAAAUGAAGGCCAAACUCGUAACUCAAAUAUUCACUUCCGCGAUCAAAUCUUAGAAACUUUAUUUUCUUGUUACUAUUAUUCUCCACUUCACCCUGAAAUUCUUUGAACUUUUCAAAUGUUUCAGACUUGUGUUUCAUCGAGUGGAUAUACCCACACCUACUCAAAUCAUCUGUGAAGUUCAGAAAAUAAUGAUACUCGCCGCGUGCUUCAACACUCAUCGGACAGCAUACAUCGGUAUGUAUUAUUUCCAAUAAGUUAUUAGCUCACUCCAUUGUUCUAGAGAAUAGAGUUUUAGUCAUCUUUCCCAUGAGGCAUGGUUCACAAGUAUAAAAUGGUUGAUAAUGAAGUGAUUCCAAAAGUCCAUCUACAUGGAGUUUCUUCAUGCGCUUUAUACCAAUAUGACCUAAAUAGCAGUGCCACAAAUAUGUUGCACUAUCAUUAUCAACUUUGCAUCUUUUGGCAUCAAUAUUAUGAAUAUGUGUAUCACUACGAUCGAGAUGCAAUACACCAUUCACAUUGGGUGUAUGACCAUAGAAGGUUUUAUUCAUGUAAACAGAACAACAAUUAUUCUCUAACUUAAAUGAAUAAACGUAUUGCAAUAAACAUGAUCUAAUCAUAUUUAUGCUCAACGCAAACUCCAAAUAACAUUAGGUUCAACACUAAUCCCGAAGGUAGAGGGAGUGUGUGAUGGUGAUCGUAUUAACCUUGGAAUCACUUCCAACACACAUCGUUACCUCGCCCUUAACUAGUCUCUGUUCAUUCUGCAACUCCUAUUUCGAGUUACUAAUCUUAGCAACUGAACGGUAUCAAAUACCCAGGGAUUGCUAUGAACACUAGUAAAGUACACAUCAAUAACAUGUAUAUCAAAUAUACCUUUGUUCACUUUGCCAUCCUUCUUAUCCACCAAGUAUCUGGGGCAGUUCCGCUUCGACCAUUCCCUUUGCAGUAGAAGCACUUAGUUUCAGGCUUAGGUCCACCUUUGGGCUUCUUCACGGGAGUAGCAACUUGCUUGCCAUUCUUGUUGAAGUUCCCUUUCUUUCCCUUGCCCUUUUUCUUGAAACUAGUGGUCUUUUUAACCAUCAACACUUGAUGCUCUUUCUUGAUUUCUACCUUCACCGAUUUCAGCAUCGCGAAGAGCCCGGGAAUCAUUUUCGUCAUAUAUUGCAUAUUAUAGUUCAUCAUGAAGUUCUAGUAGCUUGGUGAUAGUGACUAGAGAACUCUGUCAAUCACUAUCUUAUCUGGAAGAUUAACUCCCACUUGAUUCAAGUGAUUGUAGUACCCAAACAUUCCAAGCACAUGCUCACUAGCUGAGCUAUUCUCCUCCAUCUUGUAGGCAAAGUACUUGUCAGAGGUCUCAUACCUCUCAACACGGGCAUAAGUUUGAAAUACCAAUUUCAGCUCUUGGAACAUCUCUUAUGUUCCAUGGCAUUCAAAACGUCAUUGGAGCCCCGAUUCUAAGCCGUAAAGCAUGGUGCACUAAACUAUUAAGUAGUCAUCAUAUCGAGCUUGUCAAACGUUCAUAACGUAUGCAUCUGAUCCUGCAAUAGGUCUGUCACCUAACGGUGCAUCCAGGACAUAAUUCUUCUGUGCAGCAAUGAGGAUAACCCAGAGAUCACGGACCCAGCCCGCAUCAUUGCUACUAUCAUCUUUCAACUUAGCUUUCUCUAGGAACAUAUCAAAAUAGGGGAGCUAAAUCGCGAGCUAUUGAUCUACAACAUAGGUAUGCAAAACUAUAAGACUAAGUUCAUGAAAAUUAAGUUCAAUUAAUCAAAUUACUUAAAAACUCCCACUUAAAUAAACAUCCCUCAAGUUAUCUAAGUGAUACAUGAUCCAAAUCAACUAACCCAUGUCCGAUCAUCACGUGAGAUGGGGUAGUCAUCAAUGGUGAACAUCUCUAUGUUGAUCAUAUCUACUAUAUGACUCAUGUUCAACCUUCCGGUCUCCAGUGUUCCGAGACCAUGUCUGUACAUGCUAGGCUCCUCAAGUUUAACCCAAGUAUUCUGCAUGUGCAAAACUGUCUUACACCCGUUGUAUCUGAAUGUAGAGUCUAUCACACCCGACCAUCACGUGGUGUCUCGAAACAACAAACUCCAGCAACGGUGCAUACUCAAGGAGAGCACCUUUUAUCUUGAAAUUAAGUGAAGGGGUCAUCUUAAUUAUAAUGCUACCUCCCUUCUAAGCAAAAUAAGAUGCAUAAAGUAUAAACAUCAUAUGCAAUCAAAAUAUGUGACAUGAUAUGGCCAUCAUCAUCUUGUGCUUUUGAUCUCCAUCUCCAAAGCAUCAUCAUGAUCUCCAUCAUCACCGUCUCGCACCUUGAUCUCCAUCGUUGCGUUGGGGUCGUCUUGCCAACUAUUGCUUCUACAACUAUUGCUAACGCAUAGCGAUAAAGUAAAGCAAUUACAUGGCACUUGCACUUCAUACAAUAAAGAGACAACCCUAAGGCUCCUGCCGGUUGUCGAUAUUACAAAACAUGAUCAUCUCAUACAUCAACAUAUAUCACUUCAUAUCUUGAGCAUAUCACAUCACAAGAUGCCUUGAAAAAACAAGUUAUACGUCCUGUACUUUGUUGUUUGCAAGUUUUAGGUGGCUGCUACGGGCUUCUAGCAAGAACUGUUCUUACCUACGCAUAAAACUAGAAUGGUGAUUCAUCAAGUUUGCUGUUUUAACCUUCUUCAAGGACCGGUCGCAGUCAAAUUUGAAUCAACUAAAGUAGGAGAAACAGACACCCACCGGCCAGCUUUAUGCAAAACUAGUUCCAUGUCAGACGGUUGAACUGGUCCCAUGUGCGUGGACAUGUAAGGUUGGUCCAGGCCGCUUCAUCCCAAAAUACCGCCGAAUCAAAAUAAGACGUUGGUGGUAAGCAUUAUGACUAUCACCGUCCACAACUCUUUGUGUUAUACUCGUCCAUAUCAUCUACGCAUAGACUUGGCUCGGAUGCCACUAUUGGGGAACGUUGCAUGGAAAACAAAAAAUUUCUAUGCACACGCAAUAUCUAUGAAGGAGAUUCAUAGGAACGAGAGGGGAGAGUGUGUCUAUGUACCCUCGUAGACCAUAAGCGGAGUGUUUAACAACGCGGUUGAUGUAGUCGAACUUCUUCGCACACCAACCGAUCAAGUACCGAACGUAUGGCACCUCUGCGUUCUGCACACAUUCAGCUCGGUGACGUCCUCCGCCUUCUUGAUCCAGCAAGAUGACGAGGUAGUAGAUGAGUUCCGGUAGCACGAUGGCGUGGUGACGGUGAUGGUGAAGUGAUCUCCACAGGGCUUCGCCUAAGCACUACGAAAAAAUGACCGGGGUGUAAACGGUGGAGGGGGGCGCCGCACACGGCUAGGCCGUUGUCUGUUGUAUACUAGGCGCCCCCUCCCACAUAUAUAUAGGUGGGAGGGAGGGAGGAGCAGCCAAAGGAGACGCUCAAGUAGGAGGAAUCCUACUUGGGGUCCCUCCCAAGCCGCGCCCCCUCCCUUAUAUAGGUGCGGGGAAAAGGGACGGGAGGGUGGCGCCCCCCUUCCUUUCUCCCAUGAGAGGGAAAGUCCGGAGGGGCUAGCCCUCCCCCUUUUCUUCCCUAGGGCUGGCCGGCCAGGGAGAGGGGCGCACCAGCCCCCUAUGGACUGGUAGGUCUCUCCCUUGGCCCAUUAAUCCCAUACAAUUCUAGCAUGAAUAAUAAACCUUUAUCAUGAUUUAGGAAAUAUAAUAAUAACCAUUUUAUUAUUGCAUCUAGGGCAUAUUUCCAUCACCCCAUCGCCCAUAGCUCGCCAAACCAGCUGGAGGCGAUCCGCCGGAGUCUAAAUCGGCCCGCCGUGACCCAGAUCAGGCCCAUAUCUAGGCUUGCAGGGCACCGCCGGCCAACCCCCGCCGCCACCGCUGCCAAGGGGCCGCGCCGCCGCCGCUCCGCCACCCGAUCUACAUCGGGACGCUGCCCGCCGAGGUACACCACCGCCUGAGCCGGGAUCCGCGCCGAGUAGAGGAGGGGACCGCCACCGCCGGCUAUGAAUGGCGCUGCAGGGGCAAACGCCCCACUGCGCUAGCCGACGGCAGCAGCGGGAGGGAGAGAGGUGGGGUUGCGCUAGGCAGUGAGGGGAAGCAAGGCCGCCCGGUCGCCUCACUCGGGGAGGCGGCGCGGGGGGUACGGGAGGGAGGAGAGGCCAGAAAUGGCUCCUCCAAGGCGAUGUGAAUACCGCCAACUUCCAGGUGACGCUAAUGGGCAACGCCGGAAGUGCUCUAUCCUAUGUCUCUGGGAGGGAGACUCCCUCCUGGAACAUCCGGAUGAGAUUAGGUCCCACAUUUACUGAGCAUCGCCGAACGAGGCCGCAUGCCACCACCGGAGCCACCGCUGACCGUGGAGCACCGCCACGCGUUAGCGACGGGGAAGGAGGGAGGAAGACGAACUCGUAGUCGGCACGCCGAGCGAACACACAUGGGCGCCGCCACACCGCCACUAGGGAAGGACGCCGCCGCCCCGCAUGCCAGCCGCCAUGCUGCCAGGCUCUACGGCAGCCCGACGUCUCCACGCGUAAAUUACCUCUGCUACAAGGUUUCUGCAACAUGAUCAUUUUUGCAAAGAUGUAUCUGCAACAUUGUGGCUAUUGCAAAGGGGGAACGACACGUUCGACACGCUAGACCAUUGGAGUUGCAACAAUUAAAUUAGAGUAUGCAUGUGCUACAAAAAAGUGUUACUGGAUGAUGACAUGGCACAUUCGGUGAUGUGAAGGGCUGCAUGUUGAAAGAAUUAGAGUUUGUGUGAUCAACUAUUUAGUUAUAUACUCCCUCUAUCCCAAAAUAAAUGUCUUAACCUUAGGCUAUCUCCAAGGUGGUCCCAUAAACCUCCCGCAACCAUCUGAACCGGGUAGUCCGGACAGUGGAAGCCAUCCAACGCUGACCUGUAUCGGUCUGCGGAGCGGUCCAGACACGAUUUCUCCCGCAAACCGGACACAAAAGUGGGGGAGGUUUGCUGGAGUCUGGACCGCUCCCAAGCCCCCUUCUGAUUGCCCUGGCCCACUAAUAACCUAUCACCCGCACCACCCGUGCUUUCCUUCCGAUGCACGCGCCACUUACUUCUACUUCUUGAGGUGAUGCAGUAAAGUAGACUAAGCAUUUCCCUCAGUUGAGAACCAAGGUAUCAAUCCAGUAGGAGACAACGCACAAGUCACCGAAUACUGAAGAAAAUAUGCCCUCGAGGCAAUAAUAAAUUUGUUAUUUAUAUUUCCUUAUAUCAUGAUAAAUGUUUAUUAUUCAUGCUAGAAUUGUAUUAACCAGAAACUUGAUACAUGUGUGGAUACAUAGACAAAACAUGGUGUCCCUAGUAAGCCUCUACUAGACUAGGUCGUUAAUAAAAAAUGGUUAAGUUUCCUAACCAUAGACAUGUUUUUUCAUUUGAUGAACGGGAUCACAUCAUUAGGGGAAUGAUGUGAUGGACAAGACCCAUCUGUUAGCUUAGCAUAAUGAUCGUUAAGUUUUAUUGCUAUUGCUUUCUUCAUGACUUAUACAUAUUCCUUUGACUAUGAGAUUAUGCAGCUCCCGGAUACUGGAGGAAUACCUUGUGUGCUAUCAAACGUCACAACGUAACUGGGUGAUUAUAAACAUACUCUACAGGUAUCUCCGAAGGUGUUUGUUGGGUUGCAUAGAUCGAGGUUAGGAUUUGUCACUCCGAGUAUCGGAGAGGUAUCUCUGGGCCCUCUCGGUAAUGCACAUCAUAAUAAGCCUUGCAAGCAAUGUGACUAAUGAGUUAGUUGCAGGAUGAUGCAUUACGGAACAAGUAAAGAGACUUGCCAGUAACGAGAUUGAACUAGGUAUGAAGAUACCGACGAUCGAAUAUCGGGCAAGUGACAUACCGAUGACAAAGGGAAUAACGUAUGUUGUCAUUACGGUUUGACCGAUAAAGAUCCUCGUAGAAUAUGUAGGAACUAAUAUGAGCAUCCAGCUUCCGCUGUUGGUUAUUGACCGGAGAGGCGUCUCGGUCAUGUCCACAUAGUUCUCGAACCCGUAGGGUCCGCACGCUUAACGUUCGAUGACGAUUUUGUAUUAUAUGAGUUAUGUGAUUUUGUGACUGAAUGUUGUUCAGAGUUCCGGCUGAGAUCACGGAAAUGACGAGGAGUCUCAAAUUGUUCGAGAGGUAAAGAUUCAUAUAUAGGACGAUAGUAUUUGAACACCGGAAGUGUUCCGGGGGUACCGGGUACGUAUCGGGUCACCGGAAGGUGUUCCGGCAACCCCCGGCAAACUAUAUGGGCUUAAUGGGCCUAGGGAGGGACAGACCAGCCCACAGGGGGCUGGUGCGCCCCUCCACCAGGCCGGCCAGCUCCAGGGAAGGCAAGGGAGGAGGGCUAGCCCCUCUUUCCUUCCCCUUCUCAAUGAGAAAGGAAAGGGGGGCACCUCCUCCUUCCUUCUCCUAGUGCCAAUACAAGGAAGGGGGGCCGAGUUGGGGUGGCACCCCGAGUAGGAUUCGGCCUACAUGGGCGGCCCCUGGCUGCCUCUUCCCCCUCCAACCUAUAUACAUGUGGGGAGGGGGCACCUAGAGGACACACAAACAUCUGUUAGCCGUGUGCGGCGCCCCCCUCCACAGUUACGCCUCCGGUCAUAUUGUCGUAGUGCUUAGGCAAAGCCCUGCGCGGAUCACUUCACCAUCACCGUCACCACGCCGUCGUGCUGACGAAACUCUCCAUCGACACUUUGCCGGAUCAAGAGUUCAAGGGAUGUCAUCGAGCUGAACGUGUGAAGAACUCGGAGGUGCCCUACGUUUGGUGCUUGAUCGGUCGAAACGAGAAGAAGUUCGACUACAUCAACCGCGUUGUCAAAUGCUUCCGCUUUUGGUCUACGAGGGUACGUGGACACACUCUCCCCCUUUCGUUGCUAUGCAUCUCCUAGAUAGAUCUUGCGUGGGCGUAGGAAUUUUUUUGAAAUUGCAUGCUACAUUCCCCAACAGUGGCAUCAGAGCCAGGUCUAUGCAUAGAUGAUAUGCAUGAGUAGAAUACAAAGAGUUGUGGGUGGUGAUCAUCAUACUUCUUACCACCAAUGUCUUAUUUUGAUUCGGCGGUAUUGUGGGAUGAAGCGGCCCGGACCAACCUUACAUGACCCACGUUCAUGAGACCGGUUCCACCGAAAGAUAUGCAACUAGUUUUGCAUAAAGGUGGCUGGCUGGUGUCUGUUUCUCCAACUUUAGUUGAAUCGAAUUUGACUGCGACCGGUCCUUGUUGAAGGUUAAAACAGCAAACUUGAUAAAUCACCGUUGUGGUUUUGAUGUGUAGGUAAGAACGGUUCUUACUAGAAGCCCGUAGCAGCCACGUAAAACUUGCAACAACAAAGUAGAGGACGUCUAACUUGUUUUUGUAGGGCAUGUUAUGAUAUGAUAUGGUCAAGACAUGAUGUGAUAUACGUUAUUGUAUGAGAUGAUCAUGUUUUGUAAAAGUUAUCGGCAAGUGGCUGGAGCCUUAUGGUUGUCGCCUUAUUGUAUGAAAUGCAAACGCCAUGUAAUUGCUUUACUUUAUCACUAUGCAUUAGCGAUAGUUGUAGAAGCAAUAGUUGGCGAGACGACAACAAGCACUACAAAAAAAAGACACAUCCGUGACAUUUUGGGCCGAACGAAUUUUUUUCUGUCAUGCUUAUGACACUUCUAUGACGAUAAUUGUGACAAAACCCAGUAUCAUCAUAGAUGUGGUGGGGUCCUACUUCUAUGACAAAAAAUCAUGACAGAAAAUGGGGUUUUCGUCCUGGGCGUGCAGGAGACGCAGCUGCAUGACAUUCUUUGGGCCGUCCAUGAUGGAGAAAAUCAUGGUAGAAGCGAGGGCGAGGAAAAUAUCAGGGGAGUUCCCGGUUACGGUGGGUGGUCGGGGGCCGAGCGAUGCGCGUUUCUCUCAUACGUACGCGCGUGUGUGCGAGGCGUUGCGCUCUAACUGAACCCGACCGAGGCGUUGUGCUCUAACUGAACCCGAGCGAUUGCACUGCAGGCUACGCGUUACUGAACCCGAGCGAUCGAUCGAUCCCUUUCUGUUAACUGAACUCGAGUGAUUCCUUCACUACUGCUACUAACUGAAGCCGAUCGUCGCUGCCUCUGGAUGAAGAGUGAGCGUUGUCGGGGGGUUUGGAUGAACAGUUCCCGGUGGGGGUUUGGAUGAACAGGACCCUGUGGAGGGCUGGAUGAACAGGACCCCGAUCGUUCGAGCCGGUGGAUGAACAGGACCCUGUGGAGGGCUGGAUGAACAGGACCCCGUGGAGGGAUGGUUGAAUAGUAACCGGUGGAGGGCUGGUUGAACAGUAGCCGGUGGAGGGCUGGNNNNNNNNNNNNNNNNNNNNNNNNNNNNNNNNNNNNNNNNNNNNNNNNNNNNNNNNNNNNNNNNNNNNNNNNNNNNNNNNNNNNNNNNNNNNNNNNNNNNNNNNNNNNNNNNNNNNNNNNNNNNNNNNNNNNNNNNNNNNNNNNNNNNNNNNNNNNNNNNNNNNNNNNNNNNNNNNNNNNNNNNNNNNNNNNNNNNNNNNNNNNNNNNNNNNNNNNNNNNNNNNNNNNNNNNNNNNNNNNNNNNNNNNNNNNNNNNNNNNNNNNNNNNNNNNNNNNNNNNNNNNNNNNNNNNNNNNNNNNNNNNNNNNNNNNNNNNNNNNNNNNNNNNNNNNNNNNNNNNNNNNNNGAACAUGACCCCGUGGAGAGGGCUGGUUGAACAGUAGCCGGUGGAGGAGCGCGCGGUGGAGGCUGGAUGAACAGAGCCCGUGGAUGAAUAGUCGUAGGUGGAGGCUGGAGGAGGUCGACGGUGGAUGAACAGGAGCCCGUGGAGGCUGGAGGAGGUCGACGGUGGAGAUGAACAGUAUCCCGUGGAGUCCCGUUUUGCGGUACGCCACACCCCUCCCGAUGAACAGGACCCCCGUUUCGACCGUUGCGCUCCAACACAAGUCCGUUUCCUCCGUUUUGCGGUAUGCCACACCCUCCCGAUCAACAGGACCCCGUUUUGACCGUAGAAGGUCCGUUUCCUCCAUUUUGCGGUACGCUAGACCCUCCCGAUGAACUGGAUCCCGUUUCCACCAUGGCCGGUCGAACACAAGGCCGUUUCCUCCAUUCUGCGGUAUGCCAGGCCUCGUUUCCAUAGGCUAUUCCGUCCAAGCCGGUUGGCUCCCGAUGAACAACAUGCGUUCCGUUGCCUCCCUAUGAACACAACGCAUUCCGUUGCCUCCCCAUGAACACGACGGCGACGCAGUUUCUCCGUUCCGACCCAGCCAUAGCCAAGUACACAAGCCCUGGCCUUACGUAUGCACGAGCGUUCGAGACCCUACCCGUAUGUACGUACGUGGUCAUAUUUACUUUCUUGCACCCUGGCCGCUGUACGUACGUGUACAUGCUACGUGCGCGCCUCUACGACGACACCUGCGCGCCUCUACUACCACACGUGCGCGCCUCUACUACCACACAUGCCCUUCCUUACAUGGCCACGGUUCAUCACUGCAGCCUGCAGACAGAUUGAUCGACCAGUAUGUACAUACACGUUCGCGGCCAGAAUGACAACGCUACGUACGCUUCGAUCGGAUGGGUCCCGACUGUCAGGCACUUCCUUGCGUGCGAAGAUGUAGCUCGUGGGUCCCAGCAGUCAGGGGGCGAAUCAUUUUUUGCCUGUAAUAUGGACGCACUUCCUUGCGUGCGAAGAUGUAGCUGGUGGGUCCUAGCAGUCAGGGGAGAAAACAUUAUUUUUAGGGUAAAAAGGAUGCAGUUGCAUGCAUGCGUCCUUGGGCGUGGUGCGUCCCCACUGUCAGCCUAUCAUGUACAGUCAUCUUCCGAUGACUCUCGUUUGUUGACCAUGUUGACCACACCGUGCCGAGCGCACCAAGGCCGGUGGACCACGGCGAGGCCCCAGAUUGGAACGACCAGGAGAUGGGGAAGACACGACAGUGGAGUCGCAGAUGGAGAGGAAUGGGAAACUUGACUGGUUCAGGUGCGCGGCAGCACUGCCGCCCACGGGAGACAGGAGCAAGAACAGAGGUUGAAGAAGGAGCACAGCUGUUGGAUUAAGAUCCAAUGGUCCAGCUGCUAGAAUCAUUUGUUGAUUAAGUUGACAAAGCCCUGCGUACACGUCCGCUUAGUAGGCCCAGAAGUCAGCCACCAAAUCUGACGGGUCCCAGCUGUCAAUGGGAGGAAUAGUUUUUUCACAUAACAAGGAGGCAGUUCCUUCCGUGCGAAGAUACAGCCGGUGGGUCCCAGCUGUCAGGGGGAGGAAACAUUUUUUAGCUUAAUAAAGAGGAACUUUCCUUGCGUGCAACCAUGGACCUCGUGGGUCCCAGCUAUCAGGCUCUCCACGUAUAGUCCUCUUCCGAUGACUCUCGUUUGUUGACAACACCGCGUCGAGCGCAGUGAGGCAGUGGACGACGGUGAGGCCCCGGACGGGAAUGACCCGGAGAUGGGAAGACGCGGCAGUGGAGUCGCAGAUUGAGAGGAGUACAAGGGUUAUAAGUGGUUCUGGUGCGGCAUGGGGCUGCAGUCGGUGGAGAAUAACAGGAGGUGUGGAGGUGUGGAGGGAUAGCCUGGCCAGCGGUGGGGUAGCGCUUUGCAGCGAUGCGUGCUAAGCAGAGCCGCCGAAGGCCGAACCAAGCGGUCCCGGCGAUGCUGGAGGAAGAAGACGAGAGAUUGAAGGUGCAUGCCGACCGUUGGAUAUAAAUCCAAUGGCUGUGGAUGUUAUAAUCAUUUGUUGACCAAGUUGAGAACGCCCUGCGUAGGCUUCGACCUAUUGGCCCACAUGUCAGCCUGCAAAAAUGUGGCAUCUAUUUAACCAAUGUUUUCUAGAAUGUACAGUCCAUUUGCUGGGCUGGGUGAACAAAUAAUUUCGCGUCAAUGCGGCCCAUUUAAUAUUUUCUAAGAAAUCCCAGCCCAUUUGCACUUUCUUGAAAUACACGAAUUAGCUGGGCUCGUUCUAUAUACAGUAUAAUGUUAGGUUAGAAGGAGCAAUUAAUAUCAAAAAAUAAAGCAUUGCGACACAUUUAUUAUAUAUAAAAUUAACAAAUUAGCGAGUUAUUGCUCAAAAUAAAAAUGAGCGUGUUAUUAUUACAUUGGUCCUUAAAAUCUUCGCAAACUUUUAUACGCAAUCACCAGGAUUUUCCUACCUGUGAGUCAAAAACAACCAGGAUUUUCCUUGCCAACUUCUGUUAAACAUUUACUUUUAUAAGUUAAUAACACGUGGGAUGUUUUUAUAAUGUAUAUAUAAGUCUCUAUAAAAUAUACGAUAAUAGUAAUUAUAUAAAUAUAUAUAAUGUGGUUAGAAGGGAAAACAUAAAUUGGACACAGCAUUAGUAUUCUUAUAUAUAGAUAAAUAGAACAGAGAUCUGCGUUUUAUUAAGAAAAUACAUUGGGCUGCCGAUGUUUAAGAAAAAGUAGAACCUACGCUGGGUGGCCCAUAGGCCGGUAGGGACCUCAAAAAAUAAGUUGAAACCACUGUCUCCGUAUGACGUGGGCUACACAUACCUAGGCCUAGCUGAUACUUGUUCGCCCUCUGGAAAAAAUGGUACCAGCUAGAUCCCCGAGCGAACUGGAUUAAAGAGGGGGCCGGUGGCGCACCUGAAGAAGCACAUCAGACACUAUUUUUUUUCUUCAGUGGAUGGCUCUUGAUGGCGUUUUUUUAAUUGCCUAUGCACCAUACAACUUGUAUUUUUAGCCUCCCAGUCCGUGGUGGACCAGCAGCCCAUUUGCUGGGCGGGCCAACCUACAGAAACCAGCACUCGAUUUUUCAUCAAGCCCCAAAAGCAACGCAGUACUAUGCUUGUUUUGAGGCCGAAAACAUGACGGCAGGGGUUGAGUGGGGGAUGGGGGAAGAUAGAGCAAAAAUAUUUAAAAAGAGUUGAUGCGCCGUUGCUACCCUAACAAAGCAGGUGCAAUUUUUUUCGGGAAGAAGGUGUGCCGUUGACACCCACACGUCACAAAUCCCAUAGUAGACAUACUAACAAGUUGACACACAAGUACAACAGAACAGGUAAACAUUUGUAUCAAACUCAGGUUCAUAGGACACGUUCAUAUUUAUAGCCAACAUUCACAAUCAACAACUCAAAAGAUUCAUAUAUACACAAGUUCAGCAUGUCUAUUCAUCCAAAUGAUUGAUAGAUCACACAACAAUAUUCAUAGAUAAUUCACAAAAAGAUUCAGAUAUACACAUGUUCAGUAUGUUUAUGCAACCAAAUGAUUUAGAUCACAGCCAAUAUCAUCCAUGGACGAACUUUAAUUACCUAGGGUACAGACUGGUAAAUGGUGUUCAGUCGGAGGUACUUCUUGCUAAAAUUAGUGCUUGUACGAGUAAACUUUUGAGUACAUAAGAGGCAUCAUAGACAAUCUGAACUUUGCUUGUAGGUUUAUCCUCAAAUAGUGGCCUCAUGCCGAGGGAGGUUUGAGCAACUUGGCCACUACUUUCAUCGAACUAGUUUACUGGCUCAUCUUUGUCAUGUAGCUCGCCAAAAUUCUACAUUCCAGAAAAGAAAGGAGGCGGUUGAGAAAAUGAACCACCCAAAUUUUUUGUGCCGUUCAACCGAAUGGAGCAUCCCUGGCGUGCAGGUACUUGCUAAAAUUAAUGCUUGUACGAGUAAACUUUCGAGUACAUAAGAGGCAGCACAGACAAUCUGAACUUUGCUUGUAGGUUUAUCGUCAAAUAGUUGCCUCGUGCCGAGGGAGGUUUGAGCAACUUGGCCACUACUUUCAUCCAACUAGUUUACUGGCUCAUCUUGGUCCUGUAGCUCGCCAAAAUCCUACAUUGCAGACAAGAAAGGAGGCGGUUGAGAAAAUGAACCACCCAAAUUUUUUGUGCAGUUCAACUGAAAUGGAGCAUCCCUGGAGUGCAGACUGAUUAAGUGCCAGAUGAAUAUACGCGUCAACCAACUUGUCUGGAAUCUUUAGACUCCAUACCAUACAGUUCGCUACUGUGACGCCCGGAUAAUUAAGCUACAGUAACCAUCUACUAAUGAUGCCACGUCACCUCGAUUAUUGUUGCUAAUCUCGCGUUAGUUCAAAAUCGAUUCAAAUUCAAAAUCAAGCAAACAAUAAAAGUUUUCAAAUAUUAAAACUAAAAUGUUCGGGGUAAGCCAAAUAAUGCGUAGGUAAGUAUGGUGGAGAAACCACACUUUUAGAAAUGGUUUAAAUACUCUAAAAUAUUUUAAACAGUAGCGAAAACAAUUAGUUGAAUGCCUUUUACAAAAAAUAAAAUAUUAAACUAUUUUAUUUAGUUGCCCAAACUUAUGUGGCAGUAGCCUAUUUAUUAACACUAAAUUAGGGACUACUUUUAUAGUUUAUAAAACUAAAAUAAAAGAGGAACUAAACUAAAACAGAAAACAGAAAAGGAAAAUUAAACAAAAGUAAAAUAAAGACAAAAGAAACCCCCCCCGCUGUGCCUCGGCCCAGCUAGCCAUCGGGCCAACUAGGCCGGCCCAGCCGCCCCCUAUAACCCCCCUGAGCCACCACUGAAACCCUAGCCACCUACCGCACCACCCACGUCUUUUCCCCUCCCCUCUCGAUCCCAUCUGGAUCGGGGAGGGGCUCGACCUCGCCGCGACGACCGCGUCGCCCAUCGACCCCGACGCCCCCCUUCUCCGACGUCGCCUCACCGUCCUCCUCCUCGACACCUCGCUGGAGCUGCCCCGUCGUCCUCGCCAUCGUCGCCGUCGUCCUCAUCUUCCUCCUCGACCCCCACUGCCCCGUGCCCUACAGGCCUGCGGUGAGGCUUGCGAUCUCCUCUAUCACCCGCCCCGCGCUCACCAUGAACUGUCGCGCCCACGGCCGUGCCUUCGCGCGCGCGCACGCGCCCGUCCCUCACUCGCUGCGCCGCUCGGGACUGCGCCCGCAUCCACCCCUUUCCGGCCACCGCGCCCCUGCCCCCGCAGCGCCCUCGCGCAUGCACGCCGCCCGCCUCACCUUGCUCGCCUCCACCAUGCCCGCUCUCCGCCGGCCCCGCGCUCGCCGUCCUCACCAGCCUAGCGAGCGCACACCCCUGCUCCCCUGCCACCGCGUGCGCCCGCACGCUCGCCAGCCUGCAGCGCCACCGCUGUCGUCUCGCCCACUCGCCGGUGCCGCAGUCGGCAUUCGGCCCGUUUGCAACCGCUUGCGGCCGCAACCGCCCGAUCGCUCCGCUCGCACGCUGCACCCCACUGCUCGCCACCUGCCUCGCCCUACCCCGCUCCGGCGCCGCCCGACGCUCCUCCUGUCCUUCCCGCUCCAGCCACUAGAGACCGGCCUCGCCACGGCCCCCCUCGUGGGCCACCGCUCGAGUCCACCCUAUCCUGCAGCGCCCGACAGGGUGCCCAUAACCACGCCCAGCGCUCGCAUCCCCGGUGCCCGCUAUGGCCUUUGGCCCAAUGACAGCCGGGGCCCAGCCCACAUAACGUUUUAAAAUAAAAUAAAAAUGAAUUAAUAAAAUUAUUAAUUAAUUAAUUAGUUAACUAACUUAAUUUAACUUAAUUAAUCCUGAUUAGGUUAAUCUAAUCACCAAUUAACCGUUAGUUAAUUAAUCAGGCAAUGACAUGUGGGACCCUCACGUCAGUUUGACCAGUCAACACUUCUGUUGACUGCUGACGUCAUGCUGAUGUCAGCAUACACUAUUCUGGAUAAUGUUGAUUUAAAAUAAUUAAAUAAAUUCUAAAAAUGAUUAAAUCUUUUAAAAUUAAUAUAAAAUAAAUCGUAGCUUGGAUGGAAAAACUUUGUACAUGAAAGUUCCUCAGAACGACGAGACAAAUCCGGAUACGCAGCCCGUUCGUCCACCACGCAUCCCUAGAAUAGCAAACACGCAACUUUCCCCCUCCGGUUCAUCUGUCUGAAAACGCGAAACACCGGGAAUACUUUCCCAGAUGUUUUCCCCCUUCGCCGGUAUCACCUACUACCGCCUUAGGGCACACCUAGCACCGUUCAUUGUCAUGUCAUGCAUCGUCAUGCAUAUGUUUGCUUUAUAUUUAUUGUUUCUUCCCCCUCUUCUCUCGCUAGACACCGAGACCGACGCCACUGCUACCCAGUACAACUACGGUGUUGACGACCCCUUCUUCUUGCCAGAGCAACCAGGCAAGCCCCCCUGAUCACCAGAUAUCGCCUAUUCCCUCUCUCUACUGCUUGCAUUAGAGUAGUGUAGCAUGUUACUGCUUUCGGUUAAUCCUAUUCUGCUACAUAGCUUGUCAUUGUUGCUACAGUUGUUACCCUUACCUGCAAUCCUAAAUGCUUAGUAUAGGAUGCUAGUAUUCCAUCAGUGGCCCUACACUCUUGUCCGUCUGCCAUGCUAUACUACUGGGCCGUGAUCACUUCGGGAGGUGAUCACGGGCAUAUGCUAUAUACUUUAUACUGUUGCAUUACUAUGAUACUGUUCGGAGAUGGGGGCUGAAGGGGCAGGUGGCUCCAUCCCGGUAGAGGUGGGCCUGGUGUCGGUGUCAAAACCGGCGGAUCUCGGGUAGGGGGUCCCGAACUGUGCGUCUAAGGCGGAUGGUAACAGGAGGCGGGGGACACGAUGUUUACCCAGUUUCGGGCCCUCUCGAUGGAGGUAAUACCCUACUUCCUGCUUGAUUGAUCUUGAUGAUAUGAGUAUUACAAGAGUUGAUCUACCACGAGAUCGUAGAGGCUAUACCCUAGAAGAUAGCCUAUGGUAUGAUUGUUUUUGUCCUACGGACUAAACCCUCCGGUUUAUAUAGACACCGGAGGGGGCUAGGGUUACACAGAGUCGGUUACAAGGAAGGAGAUCUACAAAUCCGUAUUGCCAAGCUUGCCUUCCAUGCCAAGGAGAGUCCCAUCCGGACACGGGUCGAAGUCUUCAAUCUUGUAUCUUCAUAGUCCAACAGUCCGGCUGUCCGAGGACCCCCUAAUCCAGGACUCCCUCAGUAGCCCCCGAACCAGGCUUCAAUGGCGAUGAGUCCGGCGCGCAGAUUGUCUUCGGCAUUGCAAGGCGGGUUCUUCUCCAAAUUCCGAAUACUUGUUUGAGUAGUGUCCGGCUUCCCAUAAAUGUUGCACUCCUUGGCUUCCGCGCCUAAUAAUGGAUAUCCUCCACACGUCGAGCGAAUGCGAGAAGUCGGGGUAUUUUUACAAUUGCCACCCUAGCCUUGUGGGUAAAUCAUCUAUUAAAGAGACGGGGAUUCUCAUAUCCAGAUCACACCGUCCUCCCACAGCGAGUAUCCAUCGGAGUGCGCCCGGAAAAAAUUCAUUCCACCAUGGCCGGUCGUCGCAGCUCCUCCUCUCGCUCCCGUAGCCCUAAGCCCGGCAAUUGGAAGAAGUGUUCCAUCCCCCACAGCCAAUUAGUAGAGUUACAGACCCAGAGGUUUCUCCCUCCAGCAUAUAUGGUCCCCGUUCGAGCCGGGCUCGCUACCUAUAACGGCGGGGAGCAAGCGGAGAUCUUUCCCAGCCCAUCCAUGGGGGAGUGGGUAUGCCUCGUCCCUUACUUAUUAAGAGGGCUUGGAUUUCCAAUUCAUCCGUUCCUCCGCGGGCUCCUGGAGUUCUAUGGCCUCCAGCUGCAUAAUUUCACUCCCGCCUCCAUAUUACACAUAGCUGGCAAUGUCGCCCUUUGCAAGCUGUUUCUGGGUUGCGAGGCUCAUUUCGAGCUAUGGAAGAGGCUAUUCUGCCUCGUACCCCGUACUCAGGAGGGGUCACUGUACCAAGUGGGCGGAGCCGAAAUAUGGCGCAUCGCCGGGACCUGAUACCUGUCCGGUACUCCGAAGAAGACAUCCGAGGACGGGCCUUCGGAGUGGUUUUAUAUGGAGGACGUCCCCCUUCCAGACCCUAUUCGGAUGGGCCUCCCUGAGUUCGACAACGCUCCCCUGAAGAAACGCUACAGAUGGCGCCCUCAGAGCCCUCAGGAGGAAGAUAACGGAGAAGUCCUUUACCUGAUGGGCCUGAUAAAAAUGCUGGCUCAAUCAGGACUGACAAUAAUCGAGGUUAUGUCAAUAUGUAUAAUGCGGGGGGUACAGCCACUUCAGUAUCGAGGGCACCCCAUGUGGCACUUUAACGGGGAAGAUGAUGCCACCCGCUGCGGGCGUAAGGGACCGGACUCAGUUGCUGCUCUAGCAAAAAUCCUGUCCGAUUUGUACAAGGGAGAGGAAGAGGAGUUCAUCCGCAUUAAGCCACGGGAUGGAUUCUCCAUGUACAACCCUCCAAGCUGGGUGAGCUGUCACUUUUUACUCCCAACCUUGCCGCAUUCUUCGUCAUAAGUACUUACCGGAGGACCCUGACCGGGCCCUCGAUCCCGGACUCGAAGAGGAUCCGGACAUAUUUGUGGAGAUGAUCGACAUGACAUUCUAUCAAUUGAGCUGCGAUGAUGCCAUGGUGGCCAUCACAGCCGACUAUCCUGGGCUACUCCCUGCAUCACAUGUAAGUAAAACCAGAGUCCCAACUUCCAAGAAGGAUCCCCCUUUUCUGCACUUCACCUACCGUACACAUAUGGUGUCUUACAGGGAAGGCCCUCGGGACGCCAUGCCGAACCCGUAGUGACUCGCCAACAAGGGGCACCGAAGCCGGGUAGGCUAAAAAGGAAGGCGGUUAGGACUGAGACGCCGUCGCAGAGGUAUGAUACAGAACCUUGCUCCGUGGUUGUCGUCUUUCAAAAUAUAAUAACAUCCACGUUUCCUAGUAGGAAAAACGCUCGCCGGACUAUAUCCGGAGAGGUUGCCGGUCACGCCUCCACCAGUCGGGCUCCAGGGCCGGACAUAGAGGCGGAAGCUAACACGGGGCGAACGCCGGAUGUUCCUCCUACAGAGGAUGCGGAUAGAUUAUCCGCUACAAAUUCCGAAGUGCAGAGCGCCAUGAAUCACAGGCGUCGCCGGGCCGUCCUCCGUGACGCUUGUUUCUCCCAAGAGGCGUUUGAUGCCUUCAACUCAGGAGACGCGUACAUCCGUGCUGCUCAAAAUGGUCUUGCCAGAGCCACGGACCAGUAUGUAAAGGAUAUACGGGUAAGAAAAUCUGAUGAUUAUAUAUAUCAGUAGCCCCUGAGACUUGAAACAGUUGACACAACUGAUUUAAGGAUCAUUAUUUGUGCAGGUUCUUACAGAGAAGAAUACCCAAUUGUCUCAAGAGCUGGAAGAGUGCCAAGCCCAGCUACGGGCCGCAGUUGCCGCGCUGAAGGAGUCCGAGAAGGCCCCCUCUGCUAACACUUGUCUCUAUUGCAAAGAAUGACAGGUGCCAGAUAGUAUGCGGCAUGCAUGCAAAUCUAACAAUAGAUUCUGCAGAUGACCCCGGAGUGAAUCCGGAGGUCGUGAUAGGGAACGAGCCGCAUGCGCAACGACUGCUAAAGGUUGGUGAGCGCAUGCUUAAAAAGGUUAGGCAGGAGAAGAACACUCUCCAAGAUGCCAAUAUCUAGCUGAGCGUGGAACUGAAGGAUGUUCGGGCCCAGCUUGCUGACUCCGUAAAGGAGAAUAGGAGGCUUCGACGCGGCAUUUUCAGUGAGUGCUUGAACGAACUUUUUAAACAGUUCGGCGAAGAAACCGGCUAACAGGCUUAUAUUUGCAGGUAUGCUGACGGGUCGUCCAGAGAAGGAGAUGCCCGGGUCCGCGGGUGAUCUUCUUCCAGAGCUCUCACAACUGCACGAACAAGUUCGGCAGGUGAUGCAGGGCAUUGCCCAAGCCUUGUGGCCAUCCGUCUCUCUGCCCGGAGGCAUGGGGGAGCUUGUAGAGAAGCUCAAGGGAGCGCGGCGGCACUUCCGAUUAUGGAAGAUAUCAGCUUGCCGACAAGGUGCGAGGGAAGCCUGGGCCAUGGUGAAGACGCGGUAUACCAAGGCUGACCCUAACCACAUGGCCGAGGUCGGACCUGUGGGGCCUGAUGGGAAGGAGAUCCCCGUCAGUUUGGUGUAUGACCAAGUAGAAUUAGCCGCAAAGUAUUCCCAACAGGAUUGUAGGCUAGACAACCUGUUGGAUGGUAUAGAAGAAGAAUUUAGUCAGUCUAAGUGACUGUGUACUUCAAGUGACAUAUAUUGUCCCUAGUCGGAUUGUAAAUCAUUUGUCAUGGCGGACCUUUUCGCUUCAACCUCUGGACCCGAUAGUCCGGAGUGUAUCUGAAUACCCGCUCAGUUAUGUAGAAACCGGGGUACGCGUGGAAACCAGGCGUAGGGGUCAUAAGUGCUUCAACAGACAAGUACCCGACUAGCUAUGUUAUAUUACAUGGAUAGUAAGAAACAUCUUCCAGGGAGAAUAGUUCCUUUAAGGGUUCCUUUCCCUGGGUACGUAUGCCCUAAUGUGCAUGUCUGAACUGCGAAAAGAGAUGCAGGCUAUAAACAUCUGGGGGCGUGUAUUAAAAUAAAUAAAAGUCAUCUUUUGUUCACCGACCGAGUAUUCCCUUAAGAACGCUAGCUUUCGGCUUCACCCAGUCUGAGGUACACAUCCGGCUGACCCGGCAGUAACAAUCGCAGAGGUGCUCCCCUUAUGCCCUAGCCGAAUUAACGGGAACGUAGGGCAUAAACACAAGAGCCAGGCAACCCAACUUGGCCAAAACUUAAGUCAUAUCGAUGCAUAUAAUGGCGAAAAAAGGUACAUGUGGAAGGAUAACACAUGUUUGGGGCAUAGAGCCCGGAAAGGAGUUAUAUUAAGCUUCUGUAUAAGAAGCCCCCAGGUAUAAUGAGCGUGGUUAGCGCGUCAAUAUUGUGUAGUCAAGACACAAUUUAGCCUUGUAAGGCCUUGAAGAAAAGGAAAAAAGAAAGAGAUAAAAGACAGAUAACGGAUAUUUUAAAAAAUUGAUGGAGGUAAGGAGACGAACAUAGAGUCCGACACUAGGCGUAGAAUCUUCGGAGUCUAGCUGCGUUCCAUGGGUUUGGCUCGAGUCGAUUGUCCGAUGCAUCCCGCAGACGGUACGCUCCACCGGUCAGAAAUUGGUCAAUAACGAAGGGACCUUCCCAUUUGGGUUUGAGCUUGUUCUUUUUCUUCUCCGGUAGGCGUAGAACGAGUUCGCCAAUGUUAUAGGUUUUGGCCCGUACUUCUCUGCUUUGAUACCUUCGAGCCUGUGCUGAUAGAAUACGGAACGGGCUUUUCCCACGUCACGCUCCUCCUCCAGGGCGUCCAAAUUGUCCUGCCGAUCAAGCUCGGCUUCUUUCUCUUCAUACAUGCGCACUCGAGGUGAGUCAUGGAUUAUGUCACAGGGCAGUACCGCCUCUGCGCCGUACACCAUAAAAAACGGUGUGUAUCCGGUAGUGCGAUUCGGCGUGGUCCGCAGCCCCCAUAGUACGGAGUCGAGCUCCUCUACCCAGUGCGUGUUUGAUUCCUUUAAGGACCACACUAAUCUGGGUUUAAUGCCGCUCAUGAUAAGACCAUUUGCUCACUCGACUUGAUCGUUAGUUUGUGGGUGAUAGACAGAAGCAUAAUCGAGCCUGAUGCCCAUGUUGCUGCACGCGUCGGCUGUAAAGUUCGAGCCGUUAUCUGUGAUGGUGUACAACCCCAGAUAUGAAGUCUAUCACUGGUCCGGAUUCGGCCGUUUUAACUGGUUUGGCUUCUAUCCAUUUGGUGAAUUUAUCCACCAUAACCAAUAAGUAUUUUUUCUUAUGGCUUCCCCCUUUGAGGGGUCCAACCAUAUCGAGCCCCCAGACCGCAAAGGGCCAAGUAAUGGGGAUUGUUUGGAGGGUGGUAGGUGGCAUAUGGCUUUGGUUUGCAAAAAGCUGGCAACCGACGCAACAUUGGACAAGGUCCUGUGCGUCUGCUCGGGCCGUCGGCCAGUAGAAACCUAUACAGAAUUCCUUGCUUACAAGGGCCCGAGCUGCGGCGUGGUGGCCGCCAAGUCUAGCAUGAGUUUCUGCCAAAAUUUUCCGCCCUUCCUCUUCGGAGAUGCACCUUUGAAGGACUCCGGUGGUGCUUUUCUUAUAAAGCUCUCCCUCGUGGACCUUGUAGGCUUUAGACCGCCGCACAAUGCAACGUGCCCCGUUUGGGUCCUCCGGUAGUUCCUGCCUAGUUAGGUAGGCCAGGAAGGGUUCUGUCCACGGGGCGAUGACAGCCAUAAUCACGUGGGCGGAAGGUGUUAUUUCGGUGGCGGAGCCUUCGAUUACGUCAGAGUGUUCGGUAUCUGGUGUUGUGGCCAAGUCCGGACUGUUGUUGCCAGUCUCUCCUUCCCAUACCACGGAUGGCUUAAACAGCCUUUCCAAGAAGAUAUUGUGUGACACCCAAAAUUUUAUUUGGCCUUUUCAAAAAAUUUAUUUGACUUGAGGGAGGUGUUUUAAAUUUGCCUUCAAAAGAACUCUCCUUUUCAAAAUAUUUUUUUUGGCAAGGGUUUUAUUUGGAUUCACCCAAGACUUGAUGUUGGUCUUGGAGGUUCUUUCUUUUUAUUUGGACUCAAACCAAAAUGCUUUUCACUUGGGAAAAAUGCCUUUUGAAAAUUCCUUUGAAAAUGCCCUAUGGCUUUUGGAAUGAUUCUUUGCCCCUUUCAACAAAUCUCUCUUGCCAUGACCUUAGUGCAAAUCCACUCUCAUAAACCAUUCCUCAUCUUUGGAUCAUGUUUUGCAUCAAAUCCAGCAAGUUGAACCUCCCCAUAUAUUUAUUUUCCAUUUAAAUCUUAUCAAAACAAUUUCUGCCUUCUAUUCUAGCCCUUGGAGAUUUACAAAGGAGCUACCAUUUCUGUUUUGAUUUUUGCCCCCAAACCAAUUUCCCUUCCUAGUCCUUUGAACCCUCAACCAAGAUCCAUGAAGAUCCACUGGUCUUUAGUUCAAAUUUUUCAAACUAUACUUGCUGCAAGUUUGGACCAGUUUUGCCAAAUUUGAUGAAAUUCAUUCAAAUCCCUCUCCAAAAAUUCUGAGAAAAAUCAGGCAGCCCCUGGGUGCAUUGAGAGGUCACCUCACCAAGUCCCAGCCCCAGGAAAAAUUUUCUUCAUACCAAAUCAUUUCGUCGAACACCUACUGGACAUUGUUUCUAUAAGGUUCAGUCAAAUUCAGUUAACAGUGUCUGAAUCACUGUCGUUUUCUUCAGUGUCUGUUGUCGAUCUCGCCAGUGCCCGGCGUCGCCGUGUUUCCUGUCCCCUCCCCCUUGUCCUCUGCACCGCACGAGCGCCUGGAUGCUUGCGGGCGUCGGCGACGAGCUGGAGGAGGUGCGCCGCCCCGUGACCGACGCCAGCGGCGGCUUUGCAGCCGCCAGAGAGAGGCGCAGCGCAGACGACGCCACUCAGCGCCGCCCAAGCCACCGGAGAUCGCCGCGUGGUCUUCCACUCCCCAGUGCGCGCUGCCACCCUCGUCGUGAACCGCUGGGCGCGGAGCGCGCUCUCUGCCGCCGUCGUGCCCGUGCGGCCACCCCACCGUGGACCGGCACCAUUACGCCAAGACCGACCGGGAUUAGCGGGGGAACGGCACCAGCACACCUCACUGAUGCUGCCUGGGCACCUAAACUCCCUGCCAAGCCACUGCCUCGCCGUAAUUGCUCGCCGGAGCAACCCCGUUCACGGCCACCCCCUCGAGCCGCCUAUAAAUAGAGGCCCCGAGCUCCAGCUAGUACCCACACCACCUCUGCACUCCACCAAGACCCUGCCUAGCCACUGGAAGAGCCCCGAGGGAGUCUUCUUCCUCGACUCCGGCCGCCGCGACCCGCCACGGGAUCCAGCUCGAUUCGCUCCCGUGCGUGCACCUCUGCCUCCCAUCUCUUGCCAGUAGCUCUCUAGUACAUCCCUCCUUCUGACCCGCACUUCAAUUCGAAGUUUGCAGCACACCACCGGAGUUCCCCACCAUCGCCCGAGCCGCCGUCCGCCGGAGAAAGUGUCGCCAUCGACGCGGUGCUCCCUGACGCCCAAGUCCACCACCCACCGACGCGGAAGGACACGCUGAUACUCUUGGUACACUCCGAUCUCCCUGACUCGCCGUGGUUCGACGCCGACGACCUCCGCAGCCUUCGGGCGCCGGCGAGGUUUUUCAAACCUGACAUGUGGACCCCCCACGUCAGCCUCUCUUAUUUCACCCCCGAAGCGUUUUCUGUUGGCGCCUUCGGGCAGAGUACGUUUUCUCUGUGGGCUGGCGCGUUUCUAUUCGAACCGUUUUCUGUUUUCUCAGUUAAGUCCCUGGAACUUCUCUGUUUCAUUACAGAUGAGUCCCUGGACAGAAACCCUUAUAACUUUUUGAUAAAAAGUGAUUUUUGAGUGAUUCUUUUUCUGACAAUCUUAUAAUUUUGUCUAGUUUUUUAUUGGAUUUAUUUGGAAAUUUUUUGGAACAACUUUUAUGCACGCGUUGGUUUUCACGUUAGUAUGCCUUUUCGCUAUACCAUAGGUUCCGGAAGAGGUGACGGAGCUGCGAACUUCGCCGAGAUAGACUCCGACUUCUCCGAACCAGGCAAGCAUGUUUGAACCUUUGAUAUGAUAGGUGUUUUGCAUGUUUGCGUGAAAGGUUGUGCGUGACAUAUGAGUAUCGGUGAGUAUCUCGUUGCUUGUGAGGCAACUACCCGUGUGUUCCAAAGUUACCUGUGAUCUCUGAUGAGUGAUGGCCUAGUCAUGUGGUGACAUGAAGGGCAGCAAGGUGGUACUGUUGUAGCAUGCCAUCCUUGCGUCAUCCGACAAUUUCUGACGUUAACGUGGACGGAGUCACUUUAUCGUUCUUCCCCCUUCCGUGCUACCACUUGUUUUCUGCCAGAAUGCGGUUUAGUAAGUUGGUAACCUCUUUCCGUGUACACACCAAACAGAGAGGCCGGGAUGAUGGUUCCAUGGCCCUGGAUUAAAGCCAGUCAUCCGGUCAGGGGGCAUGGGUGUUUCCGGUUGGGACCGAGAGGGGGGCACCCCUUAGAGCGCGCGUAUAGAAAUUUGAUCCCAUGCUACGCGAGGUUGUAGCCUCCCCGUCUCAAGGUUUUUCUUGAACGUUGCUGAGGGUGAUUCCUGGCUUUGGAUUGUUGAAUGGGUGUGUACUGGUUAGAUGUGUUUCUUCCAAAACACCGUAAACGGAACUAGUCCCCGUGACUACUGAAAUCCGUUGGCUGUGGUUAAAGUACAACUCCGCAGAGUCAAAUCCUUCCGAGUCAUCGUAUCCAAGGUCAAGUAUCAUGAUCAGCGUAUCCAUGUCUAUGUCGUAACCUCGUGGUAUAUUCUUCUUUCCGAUAAGUGAGUUAGAGUAGAAAUCUUGGCUGAACGUUAUUCCUGUGGAUGGACUAACCCUGUUGUUUGUCUCAUGUCUGAUUAUUCUCAUGAUAUGAUUUAAAAUUCAUGAGCUGCUAAGUUAGGAAUAUAAGCCCUUUAUGUGAUGUCGCUCAGACGUCCGACUGUGGCAUGUUUGUCUCUUACUUUCAAUAUAAGCCCUUUAUGUGAUGUCACUCAGACGUCCGACUGUGGCAUGUUUGUCUCUUACUUUCAAUAUAAGCCCUUUAUGUGAUGUCGCUCAGACGUCCGACUGUGGCAUGUUUGUCUCUUACUUUCAAUAUAAGCCCUUUAUGUGAUGUCGCUCAGACGUCCGACUGUGGCACGCAUUGUCUUUCAUUUUCUGUUAUAAGCCCUUUAUGUGGUGUCGCCCCGACGCCCGACUGCGGCAUUAUUAUUCUUGCAGUUUCCUCUCGAGGAGUCAUUCAGACCCUCGUUUGGCACCCAGUAUUUAUUCUGGGAUUUCGGGAGGACUACCGCCCGACUUCUCUGUUAUUUCCCCAUGCAUUAUUGUCUCUAUGUCUGAACGCACUUGUUUUUCUGUUCUCAUGCUUCAUGUUUACAUUUGUUAUAUCUUAUGUCCGAACUGUCUUGCGAGUACUUUCAUAGUACUCACCUGGCUUGUUGAUUUUGGCAGAUGUUGACGAAGGCGAUCUCUUGGAUGAAGAGUUUGAUAGUGAGUCCGACGCCUAGACGAAUCCCAGUCAGUCCUGUGCGAUCCUGGAUAUUGGUCACUUGUAUUAUAUACGCUUCCGCCACCCGCAAUAAACCUCCUCGAGCUUCACCCCGACGCUCGAAGAGCUGUAGUUUGCAGGAGUCAUAUCACCCGCUCCGCUGUGAUUUUUCCACCACCGUUGUUAUCAUGAGUUAGUAGUUAUGCCACCCUAUCCGCUGUUAUGCCUAGUCGGCGUGCAUGUAAUAAUUUGUUGAGCAGUCCCCGCUCAACCUUGUAUUAUAUUCAGUACUCCUGGUAUUUUUCUUCUGUGACCAAGAUAUUGUCUACCAGUGAGAAGGAAUUCUUCUCUACUGGUCUGUAAAAGGGAUUGGUCUCUCAAUAAAUAUUUUAUUGAAAAACCGGUCAUGACAAGCUUGGUACCAGAGCCAGGCUGAUUGUAGGAAGCCACUAGGUGCGAUCGCUAAUCGGUUAUUAGCGUAUUUUGUGCUUUUUCAGCAUUUUGCAAUUGUAGCUAUUUUCUGUUGGUCAUCAUAAAUUUAUGACAUGACUACUCAGAACUUUUGCCUACUUUUGUAGAUGGCAGGCAGCAGCUGCGAGACUCGAGUGUUCACGAACGUGCCCGAGGGGUUUGUCAAUCUCCUCGUCUCCAUCACCAAGCUCGCGAUCGGGCCAGCAACUCGCCCGGAGUUCACACUUUACCAGCACAAGCUCAGCGACGACGUGUCUAUGCACCAAGCCGUGGUGCAAUUCAAGGGAGGACGUUCUGCGUCUCGCCACUUCCGUUUUGUGGGAAGGGCCAUGCCUACGGAGAGGCAUGCCAUGCAGAUGGCUGCCCGUGAGGCGAUAGCUCGCCUCCGGGAUAUCCUUCCUAUGAUGAAGACUCGUCGCUACCGCUACCUCCCAUGCCGUGUGCCAUACACUUGUCACUAUGCAUUCGCCUGCCAUCGGGGAGAACGAGAUGAAGCCAUCGAGAUGGUUGUGGAGUAUCUCAAGGCUCUGGAGGAAUCUUUCGACAACCUCGUGGACGAUCUUGUGGCUGCCCGCAUGGACUUAGUCCGGGGCGGUCCUGCCAGCAGGAAGGAGCUUCUCCUCACAGCACCGCCUCUGACAUUCGUCUCGUCUUCAGCCGCUUAUGCACCGGCCGUUUUGGCCACUGCUUGCCGUCUGCCUACCACUGAGGAGUUCGACCGAGCAUCGCUCCUACUCCAGUCAGAGCUGCACCGCCUGCCGCACCCGCUCUGCCGCCUGUCGCCCCCGUACCAUCACCGCAGCGCAGUGCUACGCGCGAGGAACCUACUAGAGAGGAGGUGGAGGUUGAAUCCCCUGCACCGCUGAGUCUUGCCCUCGGCAAGGGAAAGGACAUCGUCACCAUCUCCGACUGAGAGCGCCGAGUAGCCGCGCGUUAUGUCUGCUUGUAUGAUGUGUUUUAUCUGUAUGCUAGUUUGUAUUAGUGUGUUCGCUGUUUUCCGGAGGAGUAUGCUAGUCUAAAUAACAUGUCAGGAUUGUGUACGCACAUCCUGAGUGCUGUAUCGUGUGUUUGCUUUUCGCGUGUAAGAUUUGGGUUAAGCAGUUCGUCUUCAUGCAAAAAUCGUUUAUGCUUUCUUGAAAAAUCUUGAGGUCUUUUAAGUUUUUGCCUUCACAAGAUUUUCCUUGUACCACACAGUUCUUCUCAUGAGUUUUGCAAAAUAAUACCCCAGACGGGGAAAAAUGUCUCAUCCAUGGACUCGUUCCAUGCGCAAUCAGCCAGAAGAAGUUUAUGGGACACAGACUAGCAACAACUUCACUCAGGGUCAGUCCAAUCAACAGGACAGCGAAGCAGCCCUGUCUCAAGUAUGCCGUCUCUUCGAACAAAGCCAGCAACAGCACCAAGAGAUGAUGAAUCACGUCAUCAAUAUGGGAAACCACCGUGAACCCUAUCAUCCUCAUUCCAAGUUAUCUGAGUUACAGAAGACUCGCCCUUCAACGUUUGCUCACACCGAUAGGCCGCUAGAAGCCGACGAUUGGCUUCGUGACAUCGAAAGGAAGCUGAUUAUUGCUCAGUGUUCAGAUCAUGAGAAGGUGCUUUAUGCACCACACUACCUUACUGGAGCAGCUGCAGCAUGGUGGGAAAACUUCCUACACAUGCAUCCCAGUGAACACAACAUCACCUGGGAAGAAUUCAAGGAAGGCUUUCGUGGGGCACACAUCCCCAGGAGCAUCAUAAAAAUCAAGAAGAGAGAAUUUGACGAUCUCAAGCAAAGAGGCAUGUCGGUGACAGAAUACAACGGUCAGUUUACCCAGCUAUCUCGUUAUGCCUACGACGAGCACAUGACAGAGAACAAAAAGAUGGAAAAAUUCCUGGACGGCCUGGCACCAGCCCUAAGAUGCCAACUGGUGGUACACACUUUCCCGGAUUUUAAAACCCUGGUUGACAAGGCCAUUACCUUGGAGAAUGAGCACCGCAGCCUGGAGGAUAUCCGUAAGCGGAAAAGGGACAAGACGACCCUCGCUCGCAACAACCGAAGCAAGACUGAGGUUCCAAGGACAGGAGCAAGGAAAUCCACGACUACUGAUCUAAGGCCCGUCAGACAGUUUCAUGCCAGGGACAAGGAGUUCACGUACCAUCCAGGGGUCACAUGCUAUGCUUGUGGAGAAGAAGGGCACUAUGCUAAACAGUGCCCAAAACCGAGGAACUCGGCCCCCAAGCCGAACAAUGGUGGAAACAAUCCAGCCCCCAAGCGCAACAAUUUCAAUCCCAACAACAAUCACAGGAAGGGUCACCUGAACCAUGUGACCAGGGAAGAAGCGCAGAAUGCCCCAGACAUCGUGCUCGGUACAUUCCCUGUCAACACAGUACCUGCCACGGUUUUGUUUGAUUCUGGAGCUUCCCAUUCGUUCGUUUCGAAGAGUUUUGUUUUGCAACAUGGUUUUCCGAUACUUCCCUUGGAAAAAUCUAUGAUCAUCAAGUCCCCCGGGAAUAAGCAAAUCGCUCAGAGUUACUGCCAAGGAGUGAUCAUUGAAUUCGAAGGACUACAGUUCCAAGCCAAUCUCAUCGUGUUGGAAAAUAGAGGACUGGAUGUCAUUUUAGGGAUGGACUGGUUGACCACCAACAAAGGAUUCAUUGACUGUUUCAAUCGGACCGUGAUUCUCACUCACCAUCACGGCAAGACAAUAAAGGUUACAGCUCAAGAAAGGCCACGGUCACGGCAACCAAAGCUGAACAAAGUGGACAUUUCAGAACUGAGAAAAGUUCCAGUGGUAUGCGAGUUCCCAGAUGUAUUUCCUGAAGACCUACCAGGCAUGCCACCAGACCGAGAGAUAGAGUUCAGCAUCGAACUAGCACCUGGCACCGCUCCCAUCUAUAAGAAACCUUAUAGAAUGGCACCCUCUGAAUUGGUGGAGUUGAAGAAGCAGAUAAAGGAAUUAUUGGACAAAGGAUUUAUUCGAGCCAGCUCCUCGCCAUGGGGUUCGCCAGUAUUAUUCGCCAAGAAAAAGGAUGGGACACUGAGACUGUGUAUAGACUAUCGAGCCCUCAAUAUGGUCACCAUCAAAAACAAAUAUCCGAUGCCACGGAUAAAUGAUUUGUUUGACCAGCUCGCACAAGCCAAGGUGUUCUCAAAAAAUGAUUUGAGAUCGGGAUAUCACCAAUUGAAAGUACAGACAGAAGAUAUCCCCAAGACAGCAUUCACUUCCAGAUAUGGGUUAUAUGAGUUCACAGUGAUGCCCUUUGGACUAACGAACGCCCCCGCAUAUUUCGUCCACCUCAUGAACAAAGUGCUCAUGAAAUUCAUGGACAAAUUUGUUGUGGUGUUCAUUGACGAUAUUCUGGUUUACUCAAGGACACCGGAAGAGCAUGCUGAGCAUCUCAGAAUUGUUUUGGGAGAAUUGAGGAAACAUCAGUUGUAUGCCAAAUUUAGCAAGUGUGAAUUUUGGCUAAGACAAGUUGGUUUCCUAGGCCACAUAUUAAACCAAGAAGGCGUGGCCGUAGACCCAGAGAAAGUCAAAGCCAUACUUGACUGGAAGCCACCCGCCAACGUGAUAGAUGUGCGGAGUUUCCUGGGAAUGGCCGGAUAUUACAGAAGAUUUAUUGAAGGAUUCUCCACUGUGGCAAAACCAAUAACACAGUUGCUCAAGAAAGACAAGAAAUUUGUAUGGACGGAAGCAUGCGAGAAAAGCUUCCAAGAACUCAAGAAGAAACUAACAACCGCACCGGUCUUAACUGUGCCAGACAUACACAAGAGUUUUGAAGUGUAUUGUGAUGCGUCCCGAAAGGGUCUCGGGUGUGUACUAAUGCAGGAUGGCAAAGUUGUCGCGUAUGCCUCCAGGCAGCUGCAAAAACAUGAGGAAAAUUACCCAACACAUGACUUGGAGCUAGCAGCAGUCAUACAUGCACUCAAGGAGUGGAGGCACUUUCUGUUGGGAAAUCGCUGUGAAAUAUAUACGGACCAUAAGAGCCUUAAAUAUAUUUUCACUCAACCAGAGCUAAACUUACGCCAACGACGCUGGUUGGAAUUGGUCAAGGACUAUGAUGUCGGUAUUCACUACCAUCCAGGGAAAACAAAUGUACUGGUCCAAACCUCAGCCCGGACAACGACGGUCCCCAAAACUUGAGGCCUGAGUUUCAGCAAGAGUUCGCUAGGCUCAACAUGGUGUUAGUCUCUGAGGGCACCAUAUCAAAUCUGGAGAUACGAUCCACCCUAGUGGAACAAAUUAAGAAGGCUCAACAGGGACAUCCCAGCAUCGAAGGUAUAAGACAGAAAAUGAACCUCGGUAAGGCUUCAGAGUUCGUCACAGACAGCGAAGAACAUUAUGGUACGGAGACAGACUUUGCGUACCUAACAUUGAGGAACUCAAGCAACAAAUCUUAACCGAAAGCCACACCGCUCCAUACUCGAUCCACCCUGGAGGAACCAAAAUGUACAAGGACAUUCAGGAAAGAUUCUGGUGGCACGGUAUGAAAAGGGAUAUAGCCACAUUUAUUGCUUGUUGCGAUUCAUGUCAGCGCAUCAAGGCCGAGCAUCAAAAGCCAGCAGGGCUACUCCAGCCAAACAGGAUAUCGGAGUGGAAAUGGGAUGAAAUAGGGAUGGACUUCAUUAUCGGACUACCUCGAUCACAACGCGGAAAUGACGCCAUAUGGGUCAUCACAGACCGACUAACCAAGGUUGCUCAUUUCAUUCCCGUGAAGACUACCUACUCCACACAAAGGCUGGCCAAGCUUUAUCUCUCUCGUAUAGUUUGUUUGCAUGGAGUCCCAAAGACUAUAAUAUCCGACCGAGGCACCCAAUUUGUCUCCAAAUUUUGGGAUUACCUACAACAAGCUCUGGGCACGCAACUAGCUUUCAGUACAGCGUACCACCCUCAGACUGAUGGACAAACGGAACGUGUGAACCAAAUCCUAGAGGAUAUGCUGAGAGCCUGUGUGCUCACCUAUGGAUCCAGUUGGGAAGAGAGUUUGCCGUAUGCCGAGUUUGCUUACAACAACAGUUACCAAGCCAGCUUGCAAAUGGCACCGUUUGAAGCACUGUACGGACGGAGGUGUCGUACCCCACUGAAUUGGUCAGAAACAGGUGACAGUCAUAUCUUCGGCCCAGACAUGCUCAAGGAGGCCGAGGAGAAAGUUAAACAGAUCAGGGACAGACUCAAGACAGCACAGAGCCGACAAAAGAGCUACUACGAUCAAAAACAUCGUGAGGUCAGCUUUGAACCCGGUGAUUCCGUAUACCUACGAGUGUCUCCUAUGAGGGGCCUGCAACGGUUCAAAAUUAAGGGGAAACUAGCCCCGAGAUUUAUUGGACCAUUCUGUAUAAUUGCACGAAGAGGCAUGGUAGCCUACCAACUAGACCUACCCAAGGAGCUGUCAGACGUCCAUGACGUAUUCCACGUCUCACAAUUGAGAAAAUGUGUAAGUAACCCGGAGAAGCAUGUAUCUCAUGAGAGCAUUGAUGUACAACCAGAUCUCACCUACAGAGAGAGGCCAGUAAAGAUAUUGGAAGUGUCUGAACGGAGGACCCGUCAGAAAACGACAAAAUUUUUCAGAGUUCAGUGGAGCGACCACACUGAGGAUGAAGCUACAUGGGAAAGGGAAGAUUUUCUUCAGGCAGAAUAUCCAUAUCUAUUCGAGGAUCAGCUAAAAUCUCGAGGACGAGAUUAUUCCAAAGGGGGUAGGUGUUGUGACACCCAAAAUUUUAUUUGGCCUUUUCAAAAAUUUUAUUUGACUUGAGGGAGGUGUUUUAAAUUUGCCUUCAAAAGAACCCUCCUUUUCAAAAUAUUUUUUUUGGCAAGGGUUUUAUUUGGAUUCACCCAAGACUUGAUGUUGGUCUUGGAGGUUCUUUCUUUUUAUUUGGACUCAAACCAAAAUGCUUUUCACUUGGGAAAAAUGCCUUUUGAAAAUUCCUUUGAAAAUUCCCUAUGGCUUUGGAAUGAUUCUUUGCCCCUUUCAACAAAUCUCUCUUGCCAUGACCUUAGUGCAAAUCCACUCUCAUAAACCUUUCCUCAUCUUUGGAUCAUGUUUUGCAUCAAAUCCAGCAAGUUGAACCUCCCCAUAUAUUUAUUUUCCAUUUAAAUCUUAUCAAAACAAUUUCUGCCUUCUAUUCUAGCCCUUGGAGAUUUACAAAGGAGCUACCAUUUCUGUUUUGAUUUUUGCCCCCAAACCAAUUUCCCUUCCUAGUCCUUUGAACCCUCAACCAAGAUCCAUGAAGAUCCACUGGUCUUCAGUUCAAAAUUUUCAAACUAUACUUGCUGCAAGUUUGGACCAGUUUUGCCAAAUUUGAUGAAAUUCAUUCAAAUCCCUCUCCAAAAAUUCUGAGAAAAAUCAGGCAGCCCCUGGGUGCAUUGAGAGGUCACAUCACCAAGUCCCAGCCCCAGGAAAAAAUUUCUUCAUACCAAAUCAUUUCGUCGAACACCUACUGGACACUGUUUCUAUAAGGUUCAGUCAAAUUCAGUUAACAGUGUCUGAAUCACUGUCGUUUCUUCAGUGUCUGUUGUCGAUCUCACCAGUGCCCGGCGUCGCCGUGUUUCCUGUCCCCUCCCCCUUGUCCUCUGCACCGCACGAGCGCCUGGAUGCUUGCGGGUGUCGGCGACGAGCUGGAGGAGGUGCGCCGCCCCGUGACCGACGCCAGCGGCUGCUUUGCGGCCGCCAGAGAGAGGCGCAGCGCAGACAGCGCCACUCAGCGCUGCCCAAGCCACCGGAGAUCGCCGCGUGGUCUUCCACUCCCCAGUGCGCGCUGCCACCCUCGUCGUGAACCGCUGGGCGCGGAGCGCGCUCUCUGCCGCCGUCGUGCCCGUGCGGCCACCCCACCGUGGACCGGCGCCAUUACGCCAAGACCGACCGGGAUUAGCGGGCGAACGGCACCAGUACACCUCACUGAUGCUGCCUGGCCACCUAAACUCCCUGCCAAGCCACUGCCUCACCGUAAUUGCUUGCCGGAGCAACCCCGUUCACGGCCACCCCCUCGAGCCGCCUAUAAAUAGAGGCCCCGAGCUCCAGCUAGUACCCACACCACCUCUGCACUCCACCAAGACCCUGCCUAGCCACUGGAAGAGCCCCGAGGGAGUCUCCUUCCUCGACUCCGGCCGCCGCGACCCGCCACGGGAUCCAGCUCGAUUCGCUCCCGUGCGUGCACCUCUGCCUCCCAUCUCUUGCCAGUAGCUCUCUAGUACAUCCCUCCUUCUGACCCGCACUUCAAUUCGAAGUUUAUAGCACACCACCGGAGUUCCCCACCAUCGCCCGAGCCGCCGUCCGCCGGAGAAAGUGUCGCCAUCGACGCGGUGCUCCCCGACGCCCAAGUCCACCACCCACCAACGCGGAAGGACACGCUGAUACUCUUGGUACACUCCGAUCUCCCUGACUCGCCGUGGUUCGACGCCGACGACCUCCGCAGCCUUCGGGCGCCGGCGAGGUUUUUCAAACCUGACAUGUGGACCCCCCACAUCAGCCUCUCUUAUUUCACCCCCGAAGCGUUUUCUGUUGGCGCCUUCGGGCAGAGUACAUUUUCUCUGUGGGCUGGCGCGUUUCUAUUCGAACCGUUUUCUGUUUUCUCAGUUAAGUCCCUGGAACUUCUCUGUUUCAUUACAGAUGAGUCCCUGGACAGAAACCCUUAGAACUUUUUGAUAAAAAGUGAUUUUUGAGUGAUUCUUUUUCUGACAAUCUUAUAAUUUUGUCUAGCUUUUUAUGGGAUUUAUUUAGAAAUUUUUUGGAACAACUUUUAUGCACGCGUUGGUUUUCACGUUAGUAUGCCUUUUCGCUAUACCGUAGGUUCCGGAAGAGGUGACGGAGGUGCGAACUUCGCCGAGCUAGACUCUGACUUCUCCGAACCAGGCAAGCAUGUUUGAACCUUUGAUAUGAUAGGUGUUUUGCAUGUUUGCGUGAAAGGUUGUGCGUGACAUAUGAGUAUCGGUGAGUAUCUCGUUGCUUGUGAGGCAACUACCCGUGUGUUCCAAAGUUACCUGUGAUCUCUGAUGAGUGAUGGCCUAGUCAUGUGGUGACAUGAAGGGGAGCAAGGUGGUACUGUUGUAGCAUGCCAGCCUUGCGUCAUCCGACAAUUUCCGACGUUAACGUGGACAGAGUCACGUUAUCGUUCUUCCCCCUUCCGUGCUACCACUUGUUUUCUGCCAGAAUGUGGUUUAGUAAGUUGGUAACCUCUUUCCGUGUACACACCAAACAGAGAGGCCGGGAUGAUGGUUCCAUGGCCCUGGAUUAAAGCCAGUCAUCCGGUCAGGGGGCACGGGUGUUUCCGGUUGGGACCGAGAGGGGGGCACCCCUUAGAGCGCGCGUAUAGAAAUUUGAUCCCAUGCUACGCGAGGUUGUAGCCUCCCCGUCUCAAGGUUUUUCUUGAACGUUCCCGAGGGUGAUUCCUGGCUUCGGAUUGUUGAGUGGGUGUGUACUAGUUAGAUGUGUUUCUUCCAAAACACCGUAUACCGAACUAGUCCCCGUGACUACUGAAAUCCAUUGGCUGUGGUUAAAGUACAACUCUGCAGAGUCAAAUCCUUCCGAGUCAUCGUAUCCAAGGUCAAGUAUCGUGAUCAGCGUAUCCAUGUCUAUGUCGUAACCUCGUGGUAUAUUCUUCUUUCCGAUAAGUGAGUUAGAGUAGAAAUCUUGGCUGAACGUUAUUCCUGUGGAUGGACUAACCCUGUUGUUUGUCUCAUGUCUGAUUAUUCUCAUGAUAUGAUUUAAAAUUCAUGAGCUGCUAAGUUAGGAAUAUAAGCCCUUUAUGUGAUGUCGCUCAGACGUCUGACUGUGGCAUGUUUGUCUCUUACUUUCAAUAUAAGCCCUUUAUGUGAUGUCGCUCAGACGUCCGACUGUGGCAUGUUUGUCUCUUACUUUCAAUAUAAGCCCUUUAUGUGAUGUCGCUCAGACGUCCGACUGUGGCAUGUUUGUCUCUUACUUUCAAUAUAAGCCCUUUAUGUGAUGUCGCUCAGACGUCCGACUGUGGCACGCAUUGUCUUUCUNNNNNNNNNNNNNNNNNNNNNNNNNNNNNNNNNNNNNNNNNNNNNNNNNNNNNNUGGCAUGUUUGUCUCUUACUUUCAAUAUAAGCCCUUUAUGUGAUGUCGCUCAGACGUCCGACUGUGGCAUGUUUGUCUCUUACUUUCAAUAUAAGCCCUUUAUGUGAUGUCGCUCAGACGUCCGACUGUGGCACGCACUGUCUUUCAUUUUCUGUUAUAAGCCCUUUAUGUGGUGUCGCCCCGACGCCCGACUGCGGCAUUAUUAUUCUUGCAGUUUCCUCUCGAGGAGUCAUUCAGACCCUCGUUUGGCACCCAGUAUUUAUUUUGGGAUUUCGGGAGGACUACCGCCCGACUUCUCUGUUAUUUCCCCAUGCAUUAUUGUCUCUAUGUCUGAACGCACUUGUUUUUCUGUUCUCAUGCUUCAUGUUUACAUUUGUUAUAUCUUAUGUCCGAACUGUCUUGCGAGUACUUUCAUAGUACUCACCUGGCUUGUUGAUUUGGCCAAAUGUUGACGAAGGCGAUCUCUUGGAUGAAGACUUUGAUAGUGAGUCCGACGCCUAGAGGAAUCCCAGUCAGUCCUGUGCGAUCCUGGAUAUUGGUCACUUGUAUUAUAUACGCUUCCGCCACCCGCAAUAAACCUCCUCGAGCUUCACCCUGACGCUCGAAGAGCUGUAGUUUGCAGGAGUCAUAUCACCCGCUCCGCUGUGAUUUUUCCACCACCGUUGUUAUCAUGAGUUAGUAGUUAUGCCACCCUAUCCGCCGUUAUGCCUAUUCGGCGUGCAUGUAAUAAUUUGUUGAGCAGUCCCCGCUCAACCUUGUAUUAUAUUCAGUACUCCUGGUAUUUUUCUUCUGUGACCAAGAUAUUGUCUACCAGUGAGAAGGAAUUCUUCUCUACUGGUCCGUAAAAGGGAUUGGUCUCUCAAUAAAUAUUUUAUUGAAAAACCGGUCGUGACAUAUUGGGUGGGACAGGGUCGCGCUUAGCGCCGAUGCGGGCGAGGAUGUCCGCCGCUUGAUUGUUUUCUCGGACCACAUGGUGGAAUUCGAGCCCCUCGAACCGAGCUGUCAUCUUGAGGACGGCGUUGCGGUAAGCCGCCAUUUUUGGAUCCUUUGCGUCAAAGUCUCCAUUUAUCUGAGAUAUUGCAAGGUUCGAGUCCCCCCGCACGUCCAGGCAUUGAAUGCCCAUGGAGACUGCCAUCCGGAGACCGUGUAACAGGGCCUCAUAUUCUGCCGCAUUGUUGGAGUCUAUGUAUAGUAUUUGGAGUACGUACUGGAUUGUAUCUCCGGUGGGGGAUGUCAGGACGACACCAGCCCCUAGACCCGCCAGCAUUUUGGGGCCAUCGAAGUGCAUGAUCCAAUUGGAGUACGUGCCGUAUUCUUUAGGGAGUUCGGCUUCUGUCCACUCGGCGACAAAAUCGGCCAGUACUUGCGACUUAAUGGCUCGCCGUGGUUUAUAUGUUAUGUCGAACGGGAGGAGCUCGAUAGCCCAUUUAGCAAUCCGGCCCGUGGCAUCGCGGUUGUUUAUUAUGUCAUUGAGUGGUACUUCCGAGGCCACCGUAAUUGAACACUCUUGAAAGUAGUGUCAUAGUUUCCGGGAUGCCAUGAAUACCGCGUAUGCUAUCUUUUGAUAAUGUGGGUACGAUGAUUUGCAUGGCGUGUGGACCGUGGAUACAUAGUAUACCAUCUUUUGAAGUGGGAAUUUAUGUCCGUCAAUCUCCCGUUCGACGACGAGCACUGCGCUUACAACUUGGUGAGUUGCCGCUAUAUAUAACAGCAUUGGUUCGCCGACAUUUGGCGCGACCAAGAUUCGGUUGGUGGCCAGGAUGGCUUUUAUUUCUUCCAAUCCGGCCGUGGCCACAUCCGUCCAUUCGAAAUGUUCGGUGCGCUGAAGAAGGCGAUAAAGGGGUCUUGCCAUUUCUCCUAAUCGGGAGAUAAAGCGGCUUAAGGCCGCCACACAUCCAGUUAGUUUCUGAAUUUGCUUGAGGUCUGUUGGGGUAGGCAACUGUGACAGAGCUCGGAUUUUAGCCGGAUUUGCUUCGAUUCCUCUACUGGAGACGAUGAAGCCCAGGAGCUUUCCGGCAUGCACGCCAAAAACACAUUUUUUCGGAUUGAGCUUGAUGUCGUAUGUUCGCAGAUUGUCGAACGUGAGCCUCAAGUCGUCUAUUAAGGAUUCGACGUGUCUGGUUUUAACGACCACAUCGUCUACGUAUGCCUCCACUGUUUUGCCGAUCUGUUUUUCCAGGCAUGUCUGAAUCAUGCGUUGAUACGUUGCCCCGGCGUUCUUAAGCCCGAAAGGCAUGGUGUUAAAACAGAAGGGGCCGUAUGGGGUGAUAAAUGCUGUUGCGGCUUGGUUGGACUUCGCCAUCUUAAUUUGAUGGUAUCCGGAGUAUGCGUCGAGGAAACACAAUGAGUCGUGUCCUGCGGUAGCGUCGAUAAUUUGACCAAUGCGGGGGAGGGGGAAGGGAUCCUUGGGGCAAGCCAUGUUAAGGUCCUUGAAAUCGACGCAUAGGCAGUCCGGAUGUUUUAUUUCUCUAAUGAAUCCAGCCUCCAGUAACUUGGCUAGCUCCUCUCCCAUGGCUUGUAGCUUAGGUUCAGAGAAACGCCGAAGGGUCUGCUUGACCGACUUGAAUCCCUUUAGAAUGUUAAGGCUAUGCUCGGCCAGCCUGCAUGGGAUUCCUGGCAUGUCGGAAGGAUGCCAGGAAAAUAUGUCCCAAUUCUCGCGCAGGAAUUCCCGUAGUGCGGCGUCUACAGCGGGGUUUAACUGUGUCCCGAUGGAUGCUGUUUUUAAGGGUCCGUUGGGUGGACUUGGAAUUUGACUAUUUCAUCCACUGGUUUAAAAGAGGUGGACUUGGAUCUUUUGUCGAGUAUCACAUCGUCCCGGUCCACUUUGGAGCGCAGCGCAGUUAAUUCCUCGGCCGGGAGGGCUUCGGAUAAUGCCUCGAGGGCCAGUGUGGCUGUUUUGUUUUCGGCGCGGAGUGCUAUGUCUAGAUCACUAGCUAGAGUGAUGAUUCCAUCGGGCCCGGGCAUUUUGAGCUUCAUGUACCCGUAAUGGGGUAUGGCUUGGAAGAUCGUGAAUGCCUCCCGCCCUAGAAGGGCGUGCUAUCCGCUACUGAACGGGGCCACUUGGAAUGUGAUUUCUUCGGACCUAUAAUUCUCUGGCGUGCCGAAUACCACAUGCAUCUAGUGUGAUUUUCCCAGUGCAUCGUGCCUCCGAACUAGGGAUGAUUCCUCUGAAGGUCGUGCUGCUUUGCUCAAUGCGGUUUCUGUCUAUUUCCAUUUUUUGAAGAGUCUCCUGAUAGAUGAGGUUUAAUCCGCUGCCGCCGUCCAUGAGCACUUUAGUAAGCCGAAAGCCGUCCACAAUUGGACUAAGGACCAAGGCGGCUGGUGCUCGGGCUGUUCGGAAUUUAGGUUCGUCACUAGCAUUGAAGGUGAUAGCCGUGUCGCUCCAUGGAUUUAUUACUGCCACGUGGCAGACUUCGGCAAGGCUGCGGAGUGCUCGCUUACGCCUAUUAUUGGAGGCGAAGGUCUCGAAGACUGUCAAUACUGUAUUGUUGUUAUCCACGGGAUGGUGCUCUGCGGUAUUUUUAAUGAGGAGAUCCUCACUGCUCUUGGCCACCUGCCAGAGUACCCAACAUGCUCUGAGGCUGUGUGUUGGUAUGGUAUCCGCUGUAUUGUGAAUUUUGCAUGGCCCAUUAAGCCAUCCCUCCAAUACGGUUCCACGCCCUGUAGUGGGCUUUUGCUUCUUUGUAAUUGAGUCGGGCGACUUAUGAGAGUGCACCCUUUUAGUUCGGACUGGGGGUUUUGUCAGAGCCGGAUUAUCCCAAAAUUUUGUUUGGGUUUUCCAGGCGCUUUCCAUCGCACAGUACUUCCGUACUAUGGCCGCCAAGUCAGCGAAGUGUGCUAUGUCACGGCGACUUAUGGUGUUGAGGAUUCCCUUGUCCAUGCAAUUAUUGCAAAAGAAUGAAAUUGCGUCUUCCUCGCGACAGUCCUUGACCUUGUUCAUUACAAGGAGGAAUCUGGCCCAAUAGUGGUGUACUGUCUCCUGGGGCUCUUGUCUAAUGUGGGAAAGAUCGUUUAUAUCUGGGUGGCUGGGUGGAUUUAAGUCCGGACCUUGACCCGAUCUGAGACCCAGGGGCGGAGGAGUUUUCGAUCUUGGAAGUUCGGGCUCCGGGAUGUUGCCUAGUACGUCUGGCCCGCUGCCUGAUUCUAGGUUCAGGGUUUGGGCGAUGUCCUCCCGUAGACGGGUAUCCGGCUCAGAGAGCUCGGGAAUUCGGACAUAGUUUGUCCUCAGGAUAGAGGAAGAAUCUCCACAUUCCUCCUCCACCACCGCUAUCUGAUGGGUGACCGGCGGGGAGUUAAUCUCCCUUUGGUCGGGUUUAAGCCCGAUCUGAUCAUAGUCUGUAGCGACUCCCAAAGCAGCAAUGCGAUCCAAGAGCUCGUUCAAAGAGGAGAGCUCUAUUGGAUCCAACUGCUCGACGAGUCCCGAGCUGACGUGGAGGCUGUUUUCGAUGACAUGGGAAGUCAUUGUCGGCGCAGCGGCCGAACAGGCAGUCAUGACGAAACCGCCUAGUCGAAGAGUUUGGCCUACAGCCAGGGCUCCCCCAGAGGUGAUGUUGUCCUUGACAACAAGGCGAGCCAUCCAGCCUUAUGAUGACGGCACAGUGGAACUCUCAAUGAAAGCACCAAUGUCGGUGUCAAAACCGGCGGAUCUCGGGUAGGGGGUCCCAAACUGUGCGUCUAAGACGGAUGUUAACAGGAGGCGGGGGACACGAUGUUUACCCAUAUUCGGGCCCUCUCGAUGGAGGUAAUACCCUACUUCCUGCUUGAUUGAUCUUGAUGAUAUGAGUAUUACAAGAGUUGAUCUACCACGAGAUCGUAGAGGCUAAACCCUAGAAGCUAGCCUAUGGUAUGAUUGUUUUUGUCCUUCGGACUAAACCCUCCGGUUUUUAUAGACACCGGAGGGGGCUAGGGUUACACAGAGUCGGUUACAAGGGAGGAGAUCUACAUAUCCGUAUUGCCAAGCUUGCCUUCCACGCCAAGGAGAGUCCCAUCCGGACACGGGUCGAAGUCUUCAAUCUUGUAUCUUCAUAGUCCAACAGUCCGGCCAAAGGAUAUAGUCCGGCUGUCCAAGGACCCCCUAAUCCAGGACUCCCUCACCUGGGUUCCGUACGGCCCCCGACUGUUACUUUGUGGCGGAGCGACAGGGCAGGUUGAGACCACCUAGGAGAGAGGUGGGCCUGGCCCUGGUCGGCGUCCGCGGUUACUUCAUAAUAACAUGCUUAACGAGAUCUUGGUAUUUGAUCUCAGUUGGGUCGUUGACCUUAUACACACUAACCGCCACGUGGGACAAGAUAUGGGCAACCGGCGUUGGUAUCAGCCGAAGCUCUUUUUGACGUUAGCGACUAAGCAGCGCGCGCCGCAUUGGACCGUAAGCCCGCGCUUGUAUUAACGGGGCUAGGUCUGCUUCCAGCCGCGUACGCAACAUGCAGGUGUGCACUGGGCGAUGGGCCCAGACCCCUGCGCGCAUAGGAUUUAGACCGGCAUGUUGACCUCUCUGUUGAGCCUAGGUAGGGCUGCGACGUGUUGAUCUCCCGAGGCCGGGCAUGACCCAGGAAAGUGUGCCCAGCCAGAGGGAUCGAGCGUGUCGGGUAAUGUGGUGCACCCCUGUAGGGAAGUUGAUCUAUUCGUAUAGUCGUGUCCACGGUAAUAGGCGACCCGGAGUUGUACCUUGACCUUAUGACAACUAGAACCGGAUACUUAGUAAAACACACCCUUCCAAUUGCCAGAUAUAACCCGGUGAUCGCUCUCACACAGGGCGACGAGGAGAGGAUCCCCGGGUAGGAUUAUGUUAUACGUUGCUACUCGGUGAACUUACCAUCUACUCUCUUCUACAUGCUGCAAGAUGGAGGCUGCCAGAAGCGUAGUGUCGGUGGGAAACGACACCUAUGGGAUCACAAGAAUCCCUACUACGGUUGCCGGGGUGCAGGGUUGUGAGAAGAGCAGGAUCAACAGUCAGCACAAGGAUCGUUAACCCAGGUUCGGGCCUCGAGGAUGCGUAAUACCCUAGUCCUGCUUUGGUGGCUGUAUUUCAAAGAGUUCUUGAGCUCUUGAACUAGCUACGGUGGCUGCGUGGUUCAAAAGAGCCGAAUCCCUCUCCAGUAUGCCAUGGGCUUCCUUUUAUAGCCGAAAGGGGCUGCCACAGUGGCACACAGGAGGUGGAAAGGCCUACAGUGCUAUGAGCUUAUCGCUCGUAUUACAAGACAAGACGCAUUUAAUGCAUAGCAUAGGUGUCCCCUUGCUUUAUUGGGGGCGGAAACGAGGCCCGUCCCGUCCGUCACCGCUCCUCCUCGCUUCGACACGCGCCCUGGCUAGCGAUGCAUGUGGCGCCAUGUAGGCAGGCAGGCAGCUUAGGUGGCGUGGUGGUAGGGUCUUCCUGAAGAUUUGCAUGCCGCCACGCAGGCGCUUGCUGAGUUGGCCUGGAAGCUGCAUGUUGCCACGCAGGUGCCUGCCCAACUGGUUGGGCGGGCAGCCGCAUGCGAACGGCGGUGGAGACUUGGCUGGUGCGGGCUUGGCAGUGGCUCUGCUGGCGUCCUUGGCAAAGGUCUUGCCGGGGGACCCGGCAAGGGCCUUGCCGCGGCGCGCAGUUGUCCCCGACAAGGAUCUUGCCGGGAUUCUUGUGGUUUUCCUCGGCAAGGAUCCUGCCGAGGGUCAUUGUCUUCUAAUCCUCAUCUGAUCUUGAGUGUUCCUUGUCUUCACAAAGAUUUGCAUGCCACCUGGAGGUGCCUCCCGAGCCCUGGCCCAACGUAGUUGAUGGUGUUGGAGACCGUGGGCUCAAGGGUGGUGCGCUCCGCUGGUGUUGGACGAGCCGCCCCGGCAAGGGCCUUGCCGGGGCCGCUGAGGCUGCCCUGGCAAGGGUCUUGCCGGGGGAACCUUCUUCGUGCCUCUGCUCUUUGUGGUCUUGGCGUUGCCUUGGCCAUCUUGUGCUUCGGCUUCUCUUCGGCUUCCCUCCUCUGCCCUGCUUAGUGCGGCCGUGGUGCGCGGCUCCGACUGCCCGUGCACAAGUAAAGGGGUACAAAGUUGCACCCCUACUUUUGUACACCGACAGGAGCCCCCGAGCCUGGGCCACACAUAAGCUUGACACGUUGUUGGGCCAGGCCCAAAACGGUGCGCGGGCAGGCGGGGCGGAUUUUCACCGUGGUAAACUGCUCGUCCGAUGCGCUUCCCCACGAGCCGCGUUGAAUGCGCGACGUGGAGGGUCGUGCGUGACGUGGGGGUCAUUCAUGGGGCGAUUCCCGCAUGCAUGUGUCAUAUCGCGAUACAGGGGCGGCUCGCGCCUUCCCCAUGAAGAGGGAGAGGCGUAAAGGCGCGGCCCAUUUACUGAGUGGGGCCGGGUCGCGGUCUUCAAGGCGUCCACACCCCACGAUCACGGGGUGGGGAGAGGUCGCUUCACCCAUCCCCUCGGUUCUGCACGUUCGCCACGCGUCCUCCAUGCACUUGGGGUGGCAAGCGAUGGAGGCGGGAAACCGGGCCGUCGCUGGUUGGGGCAGCGGGUCGGUCUCGAUUCCCUGUGCCCCCGGUGGCUGGAUUGGCCGAACGGGGCGGCCGAGCCCCGACCCCGCCCCUUUAUAAAGAGAGGGAAGGGGGAUGGCAUCCCGCACUCUUCUAUCUUCUAUCUCCUCCUGCUUCUGCUUCUUCCUCUCAUCCGCCAUGGAGAAGGGGAACCCCGAUCCCUCGACGGUGGCGGCGAGGGUCGCCGCUCGACAGCGUGUCCCUCCUUCUCCUAAGCCCGCGGUGGUGGAGCCGGCCGCGAGGGGAAGGGGGAGGGGGCGAGGCCGUGGCAGAGGUCGUGGUGCUCGGGUUAGAGGAGGACGGGGCGGCCCGCCGGCCUCGCCCCCACCGAUGAUGCCUUUCCCGACGGAGGGCCACGUUGGAGAGCAGCCCCGUGAGUUCUUCAUCAGGCUGCGCCGGCCUCCGCGUCGCCGUCUUCUUCUUCCUGCCCCGUUUGCUCGAGAUAUGGAGCGUGACCCGCCCCAGACCCUCAGUUUGCACAUGAGGGGCUGCAGGAAUGGGGGCACGCGGGUCGACGUUGACUUCCCGACUCCUCGGGUCAUGUACCUCCGCCGUGGAUGGAAUACGUUCGCUCGCAUCCACAGCCUGGCGGCGGGGCUCGUCCUCUACUUCAAAUUAAUGGAGGACGGCCUGCUCUCCGUCAAGGUCUUCGGAGAUUUUGGAACUCGCCUGAAGUGCUGCGUGGAGAGCUCCUCCGAUGGAAGCUCUUCCUCGAGCGAAAGUGACGAGGAGGACAGCGGGGCAGAUGAUGGGGACGAGUUCGACUAGGCGUCGGACGCCCCGCGCCUGGGCGGGCGCAGCAGCAGCAGCAUCUGCACCUGGCCGCUCCUCCGGCGGAGUUUUGCCGGGGGAGGGGCCAGCUCCUUGAACUUCUCGGGGCCGUCUCCUUGGGCGGCUGGCGUCGGGAGGCUGCGGAAGAGGAAGAGGGUGGGCAGAAAGGCCGUCAACUCGGAGUACACGGACACCGACGCCUUCGUCGCGUGUUUGGCGACCUGCCGCCUCGUCUUCCAGCUCCUUUCCCGACACCGUCAUCACCGGCCCUCCCUUGGGCAGCCACUGAGGUGUUCUCUUGGUGCUUUCUGCUGCUCCUAGCUUGACUAGGUGCCCCUUUUGCCCUUUCUCCUUCUUGGCCUGCCUCCUGAGGAGAGGGAAAAGAAAGGGAUUAUGGGCAUCUUAUCUCUUUUUUAGUCUGUAAGCCUUCGGGCCUUCGUUAAAUUUAGAACUUGUAAUGCCCUUGCUCAUGUUUUUCAUUCCGUAUGAACUGUACCUGUACGGGAUGUUUUUAAUGAAAAAGGGAUGUUUGCCGGGUUUUUUGUGCGUGAGCGAGGCCCAUGCCAAGGACGAGUCCUUGUUAUUUUUAUGAUAAACAUUGUUGCCCGGCAACAGGCCUUGCCCUUUCUCCCCUUCAGUCGACCAUUUUCACGCUUUUGGUGGAGGCAGGGGCGAAGUAGAGUUAGGCUCCCUGUUUAUCACCUCGCCACCGCAACUACUACCAAAUUCCGACCCAGGAGGCAGCUCUUGGGUACAGGAAAGGGGGAGCACGGUGGUUUUAAGAAUAUAAACGAGGUUUCACAUGUCCCAGUUCCAUAUCGAAAUGCAUGACAGGGGAUAAAAGACUUAUCUGGAUCUGCAGGCCCCGGCAACCUUAUCUUGCCACGGUCGAAUCCUUGUAAUUGCAGCCCCCGGCAGCUUUGGCUUGCUGGGGUCGGGACGCCGGUCCACUCCUUUUCUUCCAAGUAGCUCAGCAGAAGUGCUCAUGUGCCCUACGAACCAAAGAGGAUAGAACAAGGACAGAGAGACGCGCACUCGACCUCUAGGCUAGGUGUUAGUCGCCGCUAUGCACCAUCAACCCUAACCAAGGAAGAGACUCGACCUAGCAUGCAUGCUAUAACUUAGGGCGCCAGCGCUUCAUUUAUUUAUGCUCAGGGUCUGCGCCUAGCUUUGUACAAAGGGUUAGAUGCCUUGCUGGCAAAGCUUGUACAAAAGGUGGCUUGCCGGGAGGCCCGACAAGCCGCGCCUUAUGGGUAAAACUUGCGAAGAUGCUCGAUGUUCCAGGAGUUGCUCACUAGGACAGCAUCUUCGGUCUCCAGGCUGACUGCGCCAGGCCUGGUGACUCGUAUUACCCGAUAAGGGCCUUCCCACUUCGGCAUCAACUUGUUGGAAUUCUUGGCUGACUGAACGCGCCGAAGAACAAGGUCGCCUUCCUCAAAGUUUCGGGCAUGAACCUUGCGGCUAUGGUAGCAGCGCAAGGCUUGCUGGUAGCAUGCCGCUCUCACAGCCGCCCGAAGACGAUCUUCCUCAAGGAGCGUUGUGUCAUCUUGCCGCAACUGCUCUUGCUCAAACUCAUCAUAAGCGAGCACUCGAGGCGACCCGUAUAUGAGUUCCGUGGGGAGAACUUCUUCUGCCCCGUAUACCAGGGCAAAGGGUGUCUGGCUGGUGGCUCGAUUUGGUGUCGUCCUGAUCGACCAAAGAACCGCCGACAAUUCAUCAAUCCAGCGCCUUCCAUCCUUGCACAGCUUGUCAAAAGUGUUUGUCCUCAGGCCCCACAACACUUCAGCAUUUGCCCUCUCCGCUUGGUCGUUGCUCCAUGGGUGUGCCACGGAAGCAAAACAGACCUUGCUGCCGAGGUCUCGAAUGUAUUGCAUGAAGGUGUGGCUUGUGAACUGCGUGCCGUUGUCGGUGAUGACUCUGUUUGGCACACCAAAAUGGCAGACUAGUCCCUUGAAGAACUUGACGGCUGACUGUGCUGUCACCUUCCUCACUGGUUCUACCCCUGGCCACUUUGUGAACUUGUCGAUUGUGAUGUACAAGUACUCAAAGCCCCCGACCGCAUGGGGGAAGGGGCCCAGUAUGUCGAUCCCCUAGACUGAGAAUGGCCAGGAGAGAGGGAUCAUUUGAAGGGCUUGGGCUGGUUGAUGAAGCUUCUUUGAAUGGAACUAACACGCUUCACACUUGGUUACUAGUGUCAUUGCAUCCUGGAGGGCUGUGGGCCAGAAGAAGCCUUGCCGGAACGCCUUGCCGGCAAGGGCCCUCGACCCUAUGUGGGAGCCACAUAUGCCUCCAUGUAUCUCCGCCAACAGCUCCAGUCCUUCCUCCCGGGGAAUGCACUUCAAUUUCACUCCAUUCGGUCUCUUUCUGUACAGGACGUCAUCGACGAACUAGUACAAGGCGGACCGACGGGCUACUUUCUCCGCUUCUUCCUGCUCUUCAGGAAGUUCCCCUUAUUGGAGGAAUCGGACAGUAUGCUGCGCCCACGCCGGAGCCUGGGGCUUGACGGCGAGGACCAAAGGCAUUUCUUCUGCCAUGGGAGCGGCUGUCUCUAUGGCCAGGGCUUGACGCCCUGCCGGAUCCAGCUGCUCCUUGGAGGGCUCAGGGUCCACGGCGAUAUCCUUGCCAGCAGCCCCAGGGGGCUCGACGGGGAAGUACUUGCCGGGGCCUGAUUUCCUCCGCUUGUUCUGCCCCGUUGAUGGUUAGACGGAUGGCUGAGUCAACCAGAGCAAAAAGGUACCUGGUUCCACAGGUAGCUUGAACGCAACAUGCUUUCUCAGGUAAUCGGUGAUGUCGUUCUCCACUCGGGGAACGUGCUCCGCUUGGAUACCGUCAAAGCGCUCCUCCAGCUUCCUCACCUCAUCUACGUAAGCCUCUAUCAAUGGGAUCCGGUAAUCCUUGUUGACCUGUCUGACAACAAGCUGCGAGUCACCCCUGACGAUGAGCUUCUUAACCCCGAGGUCUGCCGCGAUCCUGAGACCAGCAGCCCCUCAUACUCAACAGUGUCGUUGGUGGACAUCUCCCUGGGAAAGUGCAUCUGGAUCACAUACUUGAGGUUCUCUCUGGUGGGUGCGACGAGCAGCACACCAGCACCGGCGCCUUGCAGCAAGAAAGCUCUGUCAAAGUACAUGAUCCAGUCGCGAACUGUUCCCUUGCCGGGGAGAGCAGUCUCCUGGAUCUCUUCAUCAGGUGUUGAGGUCCAUUCUGCAAUGAACUCCGCCAAGGCUCUGCUCUGGAUUCUUGAGGUACUUUCAAAUCUCAGACCAAAGCUUGACAACUCCAAGGCCCACUCCACAAUCCUUCCGGUCGCGUCUGGGUUGUGCAGUAUCCGUUGCAACGGGAGGUGGGUGACGACAGUGAUCUCGUGGGCUUGGAAGUAAUGACGCAGCUUCCUCGAGGCCAUAAGGAGGCCGAAGAGAAAUUUCUGCACACCAGAAUACCUUGAUCUAGCCCCCUGCAAGAGGGAGCUGACAAAGUAAACCGGGUGCUGCAUCAUCAUCUUCUUCUGCACCACUCCACUUGACGGUGUGGGCUCUGUCCUAACGGCGUCAGAUCCUACCGGGGGCCUUGCCUUGCCGGCACUAAGCCCUGCCGGGGGAGUCUCUAACUUGCUGUCUGUUGGACCUGCCGCUGCCACUGCCUCUUCAUCGACCUCCCUCAGCGCCAGUAGCGCGGCACUGACCACUUGAUUCGUCGCCGCUAGAUACAGCAGCAACGGUUCUUGUGGUUUAGGCGCGACUAGUAUUGGUGUAGAGGAAAGGUAUCUCUUCAGGUCUUGCAACGCCGCCUCGGCCUCGGGGGUCCACUCCAUAGGGCCCGCCUUCUUCAGGAUUUUGAAAAAGGGGAGGGCGCGCUCGGUAGACUUGGAGAUGAAUCGGCUCAUGGCGGCAACGCAGCCAGUUAGCGGACGCACAUCCUUGCUCCGCUUGGGCGCCUCAAUCUGCUCGAUAGCCUUGAUCUUGUCCGGGUUUGCCUCGAUCCCAUGCUGCGACACAAAGAACCCGAGAAGUUUGCCGGAUGGAACGCCGAAGACACACUUCUCAGGGUUCAGCUUGAGGUUGAUCUUGCACAGGUUGGCAAACGUCUCUUCUAGGUCUUGUACAAGAGUUGCCCUGUCCUUGGUUUUGACCACUAUGUCAUCCAUAUAUGCUUCCAUAUUUGUAUGUAGCCGGGGUUCAAAACCAACCUGGACUGCUCUUGCGAAUGUUGAACCAGCACUCUUCAACCCGAAGGGCAUCCGUAAAAAGUAGUACGUACCACACGGGGUGAGGAAUGCCGUCUUCUAUUCGUCUUCUCUCUCAUUAAGAUCUGGUGGUAGCCCGAGUAGGCAUCGUGGAAUGAUAACAGAUCACACUCGGCCGUGGAGUCAACAAUCUGGUCGAUGCGCGGCAACGGGAAGGGGUCCUUAGGACAAGUCUUAUUGAUAUAUGUGUAGUCAAUACACAGCCUCCACUUCCAAUUUGCCUUGCGCACCACCACAGGAUUGCCCAACCACGUCGGAUGGAGCACUCCUCUCACCAAACCUGCCGCUUCCAAUUUCCUAAUCUCCUCUGUGAUGAACUCCUGUCGUUCCAAACCCUGCUUCCUGACUUUCUGCUUGAUGGGCCGUGCAUGAGGACAGACAGGAAGAUGGUGCUCAAUCACCUCCCUGGGAACGCCGGGGAUGUCAGAUGCUUGCCAUGCAAACACAUCGACAUUCGCCCGCAGGAAGGCGACGAGCGCGCUUUCCUAUUUGUUGUCAAGGGUGGAGCUUAUGGUGAAAGCCCCUCCCGUGCCAUCCUCCUUGAGGGGUACCCUCUUGGUCUCUGGUGGCGUAGCUCUGGAUUUCUUGCUCUUGCCGGUGGAGCUCUCUGGCACGUCCUCGAUGGCAGUACAACACUCCGAAGAGGUGCGCUUGCCGGCGUGGGUGCGAGAGGUCUUGCCGGUCUUCUUCUUCCCUCCCGGGGCUCCAGCAGCAGGAGCAAGUGCCUUGGCGGCAGCUGCUGCAACUGCUUCCCGGUAGAGUAGGUCGGCACAGAUCAGCGCGUCCUUCUUGUCAGAGGGGACGGUGAUGAUGUUCGUCGGCCCAGGCAUCUUCAACGUGUUGUAGGAAUAGUGUGAUGCCGCCAUGAACUUGGCCAGUGCCGGGCAGCCGAGGAUCCCGUUGUAGGGCAAGGGGAUCUCGGCCACGUUGAAAACAAUCCUCUCCGUCGUGUAGUUCAGCUCGCCUCCAAACGUCACGGGCAACGUGACCUUCCCCUUCGGCUGGCUCCUCCCCGGGUUGACCCCUUGAAACGGGCCUGUUUCUCAAGGUCUCCAUCAGGAAUUUGCAGCCUUUUGAUCACAACGGGUGAGAUCAAGUUCAGACCGGCCCCGCCGUCAACCAGCAUCUUGUUCACCUUGAGGUUGCGUAUUGUUGGUGAAAGCAACAACGGCAAACACCCAACCGCAGUUUUGGGGUCAUGGUGAUCCUCGGCGUCAAAGAUGAGGGGCGUGGUGGACCACUUCAGCGGCUUCCGGGCGUCGAACGAGGGCUCCGCUGCUGUAAUCUCACGCGCCCACUAUUUGAGCUGGCGGUGAGAGGUAUGCAGCGAGGCACCACCGUCGACGCACAUGGCCUCUGUAGCCUUCUGGAACUCUUGCUCGCCGGACUCGUCGUCCUCGUCAAGAUCAUCAUCUUCUUGCUUCCUGUCGCGGCCCCGAGCGGGCCUCUCUUGUUGGUUAUCCUUGCCGCGGCGGCCUCCUUGGCAGCCACGCUUCUUGCCGGACCCCUCUGCACCAUCCUGGUCCUUUUCCUUGUACCGCCUCUCAUACUCAGCUUUUUGCUUCUCAGCAAGCAGCUCGACUUGUCGGCAGUUCUGGAGGUCGUGGCCCUUGGUGUGAUGGAUCGUGCAAUACUGCUUGCCGGAGCUUCCUGGCUUGUCGGCAGCCGCCAAGGCCCGGCAGGCGGCGCACCCGGCAAUCUCCUUGCCAGGGUCGUCUGCCUUGGUCUUCUUGGCGGCGCCAGUGCUGUCGAAUCCCUCGACAGCAAGCACGGUCUUUCCCUUCAUUUCCUGUUGCGACGCCGGCCCAUCUUCAUUGGGGCGGCAGUGUCUUCAUCAGUAGAGUCGGUUUCCGCACUGGCGUCUUCGCCGGGGUACUUCCUUCCCUCUUCAGCCCGGGCGCAUCUAUCGGCCAGUACAAAAAGUUCGGCCACAUCCUUAACCUUGUUCAUCGUCGGCUCUUCGUGCAUCUUGCGGUUGCGCACGUUCUGAUGGAACGCGCUGAUCACGGCGGCGGGAUGAACAUCGGGGAUGUUGUACUGCACCCGGCAGAACCCCUGGAUGUACUUGCGCAGGGUUUCCCCUUCCUUCUGGGGAAUGAUAUGCAAAUCACUCGCCUGGCCGUGAGCUUGGUGGCCUCCAUUGAAGGCACCAACGAACUCAUGACACAGGUCCGACCAAGAAGAAAUGGAAUCCACCGGCAAGUGCAUCAACCAGGACAUGACGUUGGGCUUCAGCGCCUACGGGAAGUAAUUGCCGAGCACCUUGUCAUCGCGAGCUCCAGUAGCUUGCAUCGCGAUGGUGUAGAUGCUGAGGAACUCCGACGGGUGGGUCUUGCCGUUGUACUUCUCGCCAACGUCGGGCUUGAACAUGCGGUGGGAUGGCCACUGGAACUGCUGCAGCCCACGGGUAAAAGCUAGGCAACCCACCUCGUAAGGUAGGCCACCAGAGAUUCCCGGUGCUGGGUGGUCCAUAGCGGGUCCUGCCCGCUUGUCCGACUGGUGGCGUGUAUCGCGCCAGCGCUCGAUAGUGGUUCGAGCGUCUUCGAGCUUGUUCUCGAAGAACUUGGCGCUGGUCGCGGUGAGUCCGCGGGUCGGACGAUGCUAUGGAGAUGUUGUCACAAGCGUCGUCACGAUAGGCUGUCAUCCGCGACGGCUGGCGUGGAGGAGAGUGCACCGUGACCGCAGCACCCCCGGUCCUUCCACCGUCGACAUGUGGUGGCUCGAUGGAGCACCGACCCGAGGGCCCCGCCGAUCGCGGGUCAUUGUUGGCGACAGCGACGAGGCUCCGGAUGGUGGCUCUCCAUUUGUUGCGCUUCUCCGCAGCAGGAGGGAAGACGAGGAGUAGCUGCGUGCAUGCCAAGGCUUCUGCUGGCGUGGGUGGUGGCGAAAGCUGCGUGGAUCGCGGCGCGCUUCGACUUCUAACUACGUUAGAAGGAGCUCUACCACGGCCCAGCGGCUGCGUGCCAUUUUCGCCAGCGCUUCGGCGGGCAUGCUGGACUCCUUCGUCCCGCGGACGAUGCACAGGGCUCUUCCCACUGCGGUGUCCGAGGUCUUCAGCGUGGUGACGCUGCUCGUUGCGCGCACCCUGGGAAGAGCGCGCUGUGGGUGCCGGCGUGGGCGUCUUGGAAGUUGCUGCGCCGCCCGGGGGUGGCACAACGACACUCCUGGAGGGCCCCGCGCCGCCUGCGGGGGGCCCAGCUCCGUCCUUGGAUCUAGCGACGUGCGGCCCAUCGUCUGGCGCGCGAACGACGCUGCUCGCCAGGCUCUGUCUGCCAGAGCGAUGCUGGUGCUCGCUGCUACCUCUUGAGCACUGCGUUGGUUUUCCCUUGAAGAGGAAAGGGUGAUGCAGCAAAGUAGCAUGAGUAUUUCCCUCAGUUUUUGAGAACCAAGGUAUCAAUCCACUAGGAGGCUACGCGCGAGUCCCUCGCACCUACACAAAACAAAUAAAUCCUCGCAACCAACGCGAUAAGGGGUUGUCAAUCCCUUCACGGUCACUUACGAGAGUGAGAUUUGAUAGAUAUGAUUGGAUAAUAUUUUUGGUAUUUUUGUGAUAAAGAUGCAAAGUAAAAUAAAAGCAAAGUAAAAAGCAAAGGAAAUAACUAAGUGUUGGAAGAUUAAUAUGAUGAAGAUAGACCCGGGGGCCAUAGGUUUCACUAGUGGCUUCUCUCAAGAGCAUAAGUAUUUUACGGUGGGUGAACGAAUUACUGUUGAGCAAUUGACAUAAUUGAGCAUAGUUAUGAGAAUAUCUAGGUAUGAUCAUGUAUAUAGGCAUCACGCCCGAGACAAGUAGACCGACUGCUGCCUGCAUCUACUACUAUUACUCCACUCAUCGACCGCUAUCCAGCAUGCAUCUAGAGUAUUAAGUUCAUGGAAACAGAGUAACGCCUUAAGCAAGAUGACAUGAUGUAGAGGGAUAAAUUCAUGCAAUAUGAUAAAAACCCCAUCUUGUUAUCCUCGAUGGCAACAAUACAAUACGUGCCUUGCUGCCCCUACUGUCACUGGGAAAGGACACCGCAAGAUUGAACCCAAAGCUAAGCACUUCUCCCAUUGCAAGAAAGAUCAAUCUAGUAGGCCAAACCAAACUGAUAAUUCGAAGAGACUUGCAAAGAUAACCAAUCAUACAUAAAAGAAUUCAAAGAAGAUUCAAAUAUUGUUCAUAGAUAAUCUUGAUCAUAAACCCACAAUUCAUCGGUCUCAACAAACACACCGCAAAAAGAAGAUUACAUCGAAUAGAUCUCCACAAGAGAGGGGGAGAACAUUGUAUUGAGAUCCAAAAAGAGAGAAGAAGCCAUCUAGCUACUAACUAUGGACCCGAGGGUCUGAGGUAAACUACUCACACUUCAUCAGAGAGGCGAUGGUGAUGAUGUAGAAGCCCUCUGUGAUGGAUGCCCCCUCCAGCGGAGCUCCGGAACAGGCCCCAAGAUGGGAUCUCGUGGGUACAGAAGGUUGCGGCGAUGGAAUUAGGUUUUUGGCUCCGUAUCUGAUCGUUUGGGGGUACGUAGGUAUAUAUAGGAGGAAGGAGUACGUCGGUGGAGCAACAGGGGGCCCACGAGGGUGGAGGGCGCGCCCCCUACCUCGUGGCCUCCUCUUUUGUUUCUUGACGUCGGGUCCAAGUCUCCUGGAUCAUAAUCUUCCUAAAAAUCACGUUCCCGAAGGUUUCAUUCAGUUUGGACUCCGUUUGAUAUUCCUUUUCUGCGAAACUCUGAAAUAGGCAAAAAACAGCAAUUCUGGGCUGGGCCUCCGGUUAAUAGGUUAGUCCCAAAAAUAAUAUAAAAGUGAAUAAUAAAGCCCAAUAAUGUCCAAAACAGUAGCUAAUAUAGCAUGGAGCAAUCAAAAAUUAUAGAUACGUUGGAGACGUAUUAGGCAUCCCCAAGCUUAAUUCCUGCUCGUCCUCAAGUAGGUAAAUGAUAAAAACAGAAUUUUUGAUGCGGAGUGCUACUUGGCAUAAUUUCAAUGUAAUUCUUCUUAAUUGUGGUAUGAAUAUUCAGAUCCGAAAGAUUCAAGACAAAAGUUUAAUAUUGACAUAAAAAUAAUAAUACUUCAAGCAUAAUAACAAAGCAAUUAUGUCUUCUCAAAAUAACAUGGCCAAAGAUAGUUAUCCCUAGAAAAUCAUAUAGUCUGGCUAUGCUCCAUCUUCACCACACAAAGUAUUUAAAUCAUGCACAACCCCAAUGACAAGCCAAGCAAUUGUUUCAUGCUCUAUCUUCACGCAAUACAUGAGCGUGAGCCAUGGAUAUAGCACUAUAGGUGGAAUAGAAUGGUGGUUGUGGAGAAGACAAAAAAGGGAGAAGAUAGUCUCACAUCAACUAGGCGUAUGAACGGGCUAUGGAGAUGCCCAUCAAUAGAUAUGAAUGUGAGUGAGUAGGGAUUGCCAUGCAACAGAUGCACUAGAGCUAUAAGUAUAUGAAAGCUCAACAAAAGAAACUAAGUGGGUGUGCAUCCAACUCGCUUGCUCACGAAGACCUAGGGCAUUUUGAGGAAGCCCAUCAUUGGAAUAUACAAGCCAAGUUCUAUAAUGAAAAUUUCCCACUAGUAUAUGAAAGUGACAAAAUGAGAGACUCUCUGUCAUGAAGAUCAUGGUGCUACUUUGAAGCACAAGUGUGGUAAAAGGAUAGUAACAUUGUCCCUUCUCUCUUUUUCUCUCAUUUUUUUAUUUGGGCCUUUUCUCUUUUUUUUAUGGCCUCUUUUCUCUUUUUUUCCGUCCGGAGUCUCAUCCCGACUUGUGGGGGAAUCAUAGUCUCCAUCAUCCUUUUCCUCACUUGGGACAAUGCUCUAAAAGUGAAGAUCAUCACACAUUUUAUUUUCUUACAACUCAACAAUUUGAACUCGAUUCUUAGAACAAAAUAUGACUCUAUAUGAAUGCCUCUGGCGGUGUACCGGGAUAUGCAAUGAAUCAAGAGUGACAUGUAUGAAAGAAUUAUGAACGGUGGCUUUGCCACAAAUACGAUGUCAACUACAUGAUCAUGCAAAGCAAUAUGACAAUGAUGGAGCGUGUCAUAAUAAAUGGAACGGUGGAAAGUUGCAUGGAAAUAUAUCUCGGAAUGGCUAUGGAAAUGCCAUGAUAGGUAGGUAUGGUGGCUGUUUUGAGGAAAGUAUAUGGUGGGUGUAUGAUACCGGCGAAAAGUGCGCGGUAUUAGAGAGGCUAGCAAUGGUGGAAGGAAGAAGGGUGCAUAUAAUCCAUGGACUCAACAUUAGUCAUAAAGAACUCAUAUACAUAUUGCAAAAAUCCACGAGUUAUCAGAGCAAAGUAUUACGCGCAUGCUCCUAGGGGGAUAGAUUGGUAGGAAAAGACCAUCGCUCGUCCCCGACCGCCACUCAUAAGGAAGACAAUCAAUAAAUAAAUUAUGGUCCGACUUCAUCACAUAACGGUUCACCAUACGUGCAUGCUACGGGAAUCACAAACUUUAACACAAGUAUUUCUCAAAUUCACAACUACUCAACUAGCAUGACUCUAAUAUCACCAUCUUUAUAUCUCAAAACAAUUAUCAAGCAUCAAACUUUUCUUAGCUUUCAACGCACUCAUAAGAAAGUUUUUACAAAUCUUGAAUACCAAGCAUAUUAGGAUUAUUUAAGCAAUUUACCAUGCUAUUUAAGACUCUCAAAAUAAUCUAAGUGAAGCAUGAGAGAUCAAUAGUUUCUAUAAAACAAAUCCACCACCAUGAUCUAAAAGAUAUAAGUGAAGUACUAGAGCAAAACUAUAUAACUCAAAAGAUACAAGCGAAGCACAUAGAGUAUUCUAACAAAUUCCAAAUCAUAUAUGGCUCUCUCAAAAGGUGUGUAUAGCAAGGACGAUUGUGGUAAACUAAAAAGCAAAGACUCAAAUCAUACAAGACACUCCAAGCAAAACACAUAUCAUGUGGUGAAUAAAAAUAUAGCUCCAAGUAAAGUUACAGAUGGAAGUAGACGAAAGAGGGGAUGCCUUCCGGGGCAUCCCCAAGCUUUGGCUUUAUGGUGUCCUUAGAUUAUCUUGGGGGUGCCAUGGUCAUCCCCAAGCUUAGGCUCUUUCCACUCCUUGUUCCAUAAUCCAUCAAAAUCUUUCACCCAAAACAUGAAAACUUCACAACACAAAACUCAACAGAAAUCUCGUGAGCUCCGUUAGCGAAUGAAAACAAAAUACCACUUCAAGGUACUGUAAUGAACUCAUUAUUUAUUUAUAUUGGUGUUAAACCUACUGUAUUCCAACUUCUCUAUGGUUUAUAAACUAUUUUACUAGCCAUAGAUUCAUCAAAAUAAGCAAACAACACACGAAAAACAGAAUCUGUCAAAAACAGAACAGUCUGUAGUAAUCUGUAACUAACGCAAACUUCUGGAACUCCAAAAAAUCAUCCAAAAUAGGACGACCUAGACAAUUUGAUUAUUGAUCAGCAGCAAUUGGAAACAGUAUUUUAUCAUGUUCUGGUGAUUUUUCACAAUUAUUUUCGUGAACAGAAAGUUUCUGGAAAUUACAGCAAGAUCAAAUAACUAUCAUCCAAGGAGAUCCUAUAGGUUUAACUUGGCAGAAACACUAAUUAAAACAUAAAAACACAUAUAACCAGAGGCUAGAACAAAUAUUUAUUCCUAAAAAGAAGCAAAAAGCAAAAAAUUAAAUAUAAAAUUGGCUUGCCUCCCAACAAGCGCUAUCGUUUAACGCCCCUAGCUAGGCAUAAAAGCAAGGAUAGAUCUAGGUAUUGCCAUCUUUGGUAGGCAAUUCUUCAAUGAGACAUCUAUCAUCCGUAGGAAUUUCUUUCUUUUUAGUAAUUAUCAAACUUUUAGGCACAAGAUCGAAAAAUUCAUUUGUAGCAAAUGGUUCCUUAAUGAAGGCAAAAAGAUUGGGAUGAAUACUUAUAGAUUUGAGAUCCGCAGUUUUCUUACUAGAGGAUUCACCCUUAUUUUUAGGAACAUACAUAAGCUUGGGAAUUUUUGUAGGAGGAAUUGGAGUAUUCUUUACGGAAGAAAAAGCGGUUCCCAAGUUGGUAAUGAUACCCUCAAGUUUAUCGAUUCUAGUGGAAUCUUGAUUUAUUCUCUCAUUAACUAUGGGUUCCUUUUCCUUAAUAUUUUUCAAAGUGACUCCUACCUUAGAUCCAUAUUGGGUAAUUUGGUUGUGGAUCUUUUUACCCAGAUUUUCAAUUAACUCUACGGUAGCAACUUUAUUUUCAAUAAUUUCAAGUCUUUGCAUUACAUGCUCCAAGUUAACAUAGUUCCAUUAACCAAAAGAGGUGGUGAGCCAAAUAAAUCUAUCAUAGCAUUAUAAGAGUCAAAAGUAUGGCUACCCAAGAAAUUCCCUCCGGUAAUGGUAUCAAGAAUAUAUCUAUACCAAGGAUUAGCGCCUACAUAAAAAUUGCGGAGAAGAACGGAAGUAGAUUGCUUCCUGGCAGAUCUAUUUUGAGCAUUGCAAAUUCUAUACCAGGCGUCUUUUAGAUUUUCUCCCUCCCUUUGUUUAAAAUUUAGAACUUCAUUCUCGGGAGAUAACGGAGAAGAUAGAUGACUAGCCAUAACAACAAGCAAGCUAAAAAGAGGCAAACGAAAAAGAGAGGGCGAAUAAAACGGCAAGGGUGAAGUGGGGGAGAGGAAAACGAGAGGCAAAUGGCAAAUAAUGUAAUGCGGGAGAUAAGAGAUUGUGAUGGGUACUUGGUAUGUUGACUUUUUCGUAGACCUCCCCGGCAACGGCGCCAGAAACCCUUCUUGCUAGCUCUUGAGCACUGCGUUGGUUUUCCCUUGAAGAGGAAAGGGUGAUGCAACAAAGUAGCGUAAGUAUUUCCCUCAGUUUUUGAGAACCAAGGUAUCAAUCCAGUAGGAGGCUACGCGCGAGUCCCUCACACCUACACAAAACAAAUAAAUCCUCGCAACCAACGCGAUAAGGGGUUGUCAAUCCCUUCACGGUCACUUACGAGAGUGAGAUCUGAUAGAUAUGAUAGGAUAAUAUUUUUGGUAUUUUUGUGAUAAAGAUGCAAAGUAAAAUAAAAGAAAAGUAAAAAGCAAAGGAAAUAACUAAGUGUUGGAAGAUUAAUAUGAUGAAGAUAGACCCGGGGGCCAUAGGUUUCACUAGUGGCUUCUCUCAAGAGCAUAAGUAUUUUACGGUGGGUGAACGAAUUACUAUUGAGCAAUUGACAGAAUUGAGCAUAGUUAUGAGAAUAUGUAGGUAUGAUCAUGUAUAUAGGCAUCACGUCCGAGACAAGUAGACCGACUCCUGCCUGCAUCUACUACUAUUACUCCACUCAUCGACCACUAUCCAGCAUGCAUCUAGAGUAUUAAGUUCAUGGAAACAGAGUAACGCCUUAAGCAAGAUGACAUGAUGUAGAGUGAUAAAUUCAUGCAAUAUGAUAAAAACCCCAUCUUGUUAUCCUCGAUGGCAACAAUACAAUACGUGCCUUGCUGCCCCUACUGUCACUUGGAAAGGACACCGCAAGAUUGAACCCAAAGCUAAGCACAUCUCCCAUUGCAAGAAAGAUCAAUCUAAUAGGCCAAACCAAACUGAUAAUUCAAAGAGACUUGCAAAGAUAACGAAUCAUACAUAAAAGAAUUCAGAGAAGAUUCAAAUAUUGUUCAUAGAUAAUCUUGAUCAUAAACCCACAAUUCAUCGGUCUCAACAAACACACCGCAAAAGAAGAUUACAUCGAAUUGAUCUCCACGAGAGAGGGGGAGAACAUUGUAUUGAGAUCCAAAAAGAGAGAAGAAGCCAUCUAGCUACUAACUAUGGACCCGAAUGUCUGAGGUAAACUACUCACACUUCAUCGGAGAGGCUAUGGUGAUGAUGUAGAAGCCCUCCGUGAUGGAUGCCCCCUCCGGCGGAGCUCCGAAACAGGCCCCAAGAUGGGAUCUCGUGGGUACAGAAGGUUGCGGCGGUGGAAUUAGGUUUUUGGCUCCGUAUCUGAUCGUUUGGGGGUACGUAGGUAUAUGUAGGAGGAAGGAGUACGUCGGUGGAGCAACAGGGGGCCCACGAGGGUGGAGGGUGCGCCCUGGGGGGGGGGUGGGCUCGCCCCCUACCUCGUGGCCUCCUCUUUUGUUUCUUGACGUAGGGUCCAAGUCUCCUGGAUCAUAAUCUUCCUAAAAAUCACGUUCCCGAAGGUUUCAUCCCGUUUGGACUCCGUUUGAUAUUCCUUUUCUGCGAAACUCUGAAAUAGGCAAAAAACAGCAAUUCUGGGCUGGGCCUCCGGUUAAUAGGUUAGUCCCAAAAAUAAUAUAAAAGUGAAUAAUAAAGCCCAAUAAUGUCCAAAAUAGUAGAUAAUAUAGCAUGGAGCAAUCAAAAAUUAUAGAUACGUUGGAGACGUAUCACUCGCGGACUGCGGCCCGGGUCCUGUCCGCGACCGGCCCGCUGCUCGCUCGCACUGGCGCGGGCCGUUCGGCUCCUGACGAGCCGAUCACUGUGGCCAUCUUCUUCUUGGGAGCCAUGGCGACGAUGAACUGCUAGGCUAACUACUAGACCAGAUUCUCACAAUUGCGCCCCCUACCUGGUGCGCCAAAGAUGUCAGUGGGAAACGACACCUAUGGGAUCACAAGAAUCCCUACUACGGUUGCCGGGGUGCAGGGUUGUGAGAAGAGCAGGAUCAACAGUCAGCACAAGGGAUCGUUUACCCAGGUUCGGGCCACGAGGAUGCGUAAUAUUCUAGUCCUGCUUUGGUGGCUGUAUUUCAAAGAGUUCUUGAUCUCUUGAACUAGCCACGGUGGCUGCGUGGUUCAAAAGAGCCGAAUCCCUCUCCAGUAUGCCAUGGGCCUCCUUUUAUAGCCGAAAGGGGCUGCCAUAGUGGCACACAGGAGGUGGAAAGGCCUACAGUGCUAUGAGCUUAUCGCUCGUAUUACAGGACAAGACACAUUUAAUGCGUAGCUUAGGUGUCCCCUUGCUUUAUUGGGGGCGGGAACGAGGCCAGUCCCGUCCGUCGCCGCUCCUCCUCGCUUCGACAUGCGCCCUGGCCAGCGAUGCAUGCGGCGCCAUGUAGGAAGGCAGGCAGCUGAGGUGGCGCGGUGGUAGGGUCUUCACGAAGAUUUGCAUGCCGCCACGCUGCGCUUGGUGAUUUGGCCUGGAAGCUGCAUGUUACCACGCAGGUGCCUGCCCAGGAUGUUGGGCGGGCAGCCGCAUGCGAUCGGCGGUGGAGACUUGGCUGGCGCGGGCCUGGUAGUGGCCCUGCUGGCAUCCUUGGCAAGGGUCUUGCCGGGGGACCCGGCAAGGGCCUUGCCGCGGCGUGCAGUUGUCCCCGGCAAGGAUCUUGCCGGAGGUCUUGUGGUUUUCCUCGGCAAGGAUCCUGCCGAGGGUCGUUGUCUUCUAAUCCUCAUCUGAUCUUGAGUGUUCCUUGUCUCACAAAGAUCUGCAUGCCACCAUGGAGGUGCCUCCCGAGCCCUGGCCCAACGUAGUUGAUGGUGUUGGAGACCGUGGGCUCAAGGGUGGUGCGCUCCGCUGGUGUUGGACGAGGCGCCCCGGCAAGGGGCUUGCCGGGGCCGCUGAGGCUACCCUGGCAAGGGUCUUGCCGGGGGAACCUGCUCCGUCCCUCUGCUCUUUGUGGUCUUGGCGUUGCCUUGGCAAUCUUGGGCUUCGGCUUCUCUCCGGCUUCCCUCCUCUACCCUGCUUAGUGCGGCUGUGGCGCGCGGCUCCGACUGCCCGUGCACAAGUAAAGGGGUACAAACGUGCGCCCCUACUUUUGUACACCGACACGUAGUCUUCGACAGGACUAGCUAUCCCCCUCUUAUUCUGGCAUUCUGCAGUUCAGUCCACCGAUAUUGCCCCUUUACACAGAUACCCAUGCAUAUGUAGUGUAGAUCCUUGCUUCCGAUUACUUUGGAUGAGUACUCAUGGUUGCUUUUCUCCCUCUUUUCCCCCUUUCCAUUCUACCUGGUUGUCGCAACCAGAUGCUGGAGCCCAGGAGCCAGACGCCACCGUCGAAAUUGACUCGUACUACACCGGAGGUGCCUACUACUACGUGCAGGCCGCUGACAACGACCAGGAGUAGUUUAGGAGGAUCCCAGGCAGGAGGCCUGCGGCUCUUUCGAUCUGUAUCCCAGCUUGUGCUAGCCAUCUUAUGGCAACUUGUUUAACUUAUGUCUGUACUCAGAUAUUUUUGCUUUCGCUGACUCAUCUAUGAUCGAGGACUUGUAUUCGAGCCCUCGAGGCCCCUGGCUUGUAUUAUGAUGCUUGUAUGACUUAUUUAUGUUUUAGAGUUGUGUUGUGAUAUCUUCCCGUGAGUCCCUGAUCUUGAUCAUACACGUUUGCGUGCAUGAUUAGUGUAUGAUUGAAUUGGGGGCGUCACAGCUACCAUAUGUGCCGAUAACCAAAAGGCACAAGUUGGGACCAAAGACUGGAUUGCGUUUUUCUGGGCUAUGCGCCAAGCAAUAUUUUUGGCGUUCACUCUCCUAAUACUUGGAGUUUGACAACUGGUUGACGCUGGUUGAUACUCGAAUGAAUAUAGGCACUUCUUCUUGUCAACAUCGAUGCUUGUCUGAGUGAACUUUGGAGUACAUAGCAACAGCAUAAGUACCUAUCCAUCUGAUCUUUUUGUGCAGUUCUACUGAAAUCACCCAAUAUAAUGAUUUGCGUGCGAGUUCAGGCUCCAAGUUACUCCUUUAUGAAAUCGGCAAACAGUAGCACAAUACCAAAUUACCAAUACAUAUGACAAGCACAAUAAUCAGGAUAGACCAGUACCAACCUGUGUGAGGUAGCAUAUCAAUUACUAUUUCCUUUGACUGGAAGCCGAGAUAAGCCAAGCGACUAACAGCAAAGGAAGGAAGCAAGCCCAGAUUAGCGACUGACAGGAAAGGAAGGAAGCUAUCGAGGCAAUGAAGCACCCAAAGUUUUUGUGCAGUUCCACCAAAAUCGAGCAUCCCUGUUGGCACAUAUAUUGAGACUGAGAUUACUGUAAUAGUGGGACUAGUUGAUGAAACAUACACUAACAAAUAGAAGCACCCUCAUUAUCUUAAUGGGUAAAGUUAGCAACAUAGUAGUCUUGCUUAAAGAGAGGUAUUAGUUUAUUUAAUCAGUGCCAAUUAGCUCAACACUCAAAGCAUUACCAUGUAUCAUAGGUUGCAAAACUUUAACGUGCAAAGAUAAAGGAGUUUCUCAUGACAGUAGCACGAUACAAAUAGAGAUGACAGCAAACUAAUAUGGAUGAAGGCCUUAGGCCGGUACCAACCUGAGAAAAAAAACUUAUUCAUGUAGUCCCAGAAGAGAUGAUAAAGCACUCACUGGAAUCACUCAAUAGUAUAUAUUUUUGUGCACUUCAAAUGUAUGGUUGAAAUCACUCUUGUUUACCAGUGUUGAGAUUAUAUCGAAAGAUUAUCAAGAACUUCCAGCAGAGUUAAAGCACUGGCUGGGAUACAGUUCAUUGUAUUGUCUUGUGUAGUUCCACUGAAAUGUAUGAUUGACACAACAUGAUCCCUGUUUGGACAAGUAGGAACAAGGUGGAACCUUCAUUAGCUUAGUGAGAAAUGAUAGAAAGACAUUAGCAUAUUACUCUAACAGUAGCAUCAAAUUCAUCAUGGACAAUACGCAGAAGUGGAAGGGCUCCCUGGAGGAUCGUCUCACAUGUAAGGUAUACGUUGCCGGAGCCCUUGAAUGGCCUCGACUGAGGCCUCGGCUUCAGCAAGAUCACUUUGGCACUGUUUAUUCUUCUUCUUCUUCCUCUUCAUGCUCUGUUUCUCUUUCUCCUCACCAGUUGGUGAAACCAAGUACAUGAUUGGCCUUCUAUUUCAGAAUUGGUUUUGUCAGUGAGGGAGUACAAGUGUACUAGUAAACAAUAGCAUUAUUUUCUCAUGGCAGUCGCAAAAUAGAGAUGAACACAUGCAUUAAAUAUCAUUCUUACCUAAAGUAAGGUUAUGGUGCCAAUAUGGAUGAUGAGGAUUGGAACACAGAUCUCCCUUUGUGCAGUUCCACCGAAAUGAACCAACUGUUCCAUUCUGACAUUCCAGUUAAACAUCACAAAAGUCACUUCUUUUUAGAAGUGUUUUGUGCAGUGCACCAAAAGGUCACAACAGCAACCAGGUGAAAUGGAUAUCCCUGUUUGCACAAAUAGCUACAGAGGAAACAGUCAGAGUCUCAAACAAUUACAGGAAAAAACAUUUGGCUAAACUUGUCAUGGCUUAUAACAGUGGCAUGGCUUCAUUUUAACAGGAGCAUUAGAUUAAGAACAGCUAAAUAUUUGGUAUAAGGUCAUGGGAUAGUGGGUGCACCAGCAGUCCAGCACCAUGUACCUAAACCGGGGCAUAAAGUGGUGAUUCAGAGUUUGUUGCCCCGAGAAACAAACAUCCAAGAAACAUAUCUGGGUUGGUCCCAUUUUUUGUUCACUCUAGCCACCUACUCCUAUGUUUUUUUUUUGAAAUGGAGGCGUGCCCCCGGCCUCUGCAUCAUAAUGAUGCAUGCAGCCAUCUUAUGUGUGGAUAGAAAAUCUAGUCCUGGUCAUACCACUGUGUACAACGUUUCCCCUAUAUUUCCCUUUUCGACCAAGAGACCGGUUGGAUGACCAGUCUGUACUACUUUCACCCCCUAUCCUUCCUGUUUGUACCAAGUCCGAUGUACAUACUAAAUUCCCCCACCCCCACUUUAUUUCUUGUUUGAACCAAGUACAAGAUUUGACUCCAUGAAGUAGCUUUACCUCUAACAAUAGAAAGAAAAAAAUACUCCCUCCGUCCCAAAAUUCUUGUCUUAGAUUCAUCUAGAUACGGAUGUAUCUAAUACUAAACGUGACUUGAUACAUCCGUAUUUAGACAAAUCUAAGACAAGAAUUUUGGGACGGAGAGAGUAUGUGUCGUUGGACCAUCCGAUUGAGAGGGGCUGAGAGGUAGAAAAUGAUGCACAUGCAGCGACGUAGCGAGCUGGGGAAGUAGAGCUAGGGCGGUUUCAAAGGAAGAUAUACCUGAAGGUCAUCGGGAUGUGGAUAGGUGGGCGGUGGGAGGCCGGAUCCGCCCACACUAGGGCAACGAUGAAGGGUUCGGAGGACCUCCCGCGCCGGCGCUCGGCCAGAGAUGACGGUGCGGCUGGCAGUGGGUCUCCUCCCUCGCUGUCGACGACGGCCUAAAUGCUGCCCCUCCUCCCCUUCACCAGCGGAGGGGGCUGCGUCCGGAUCUGUAACCAGUGGUGAGGAUAGAAAGACAUUGUUUUUUGAAGGGAGAAAUACAGUGUUACCACCGCUAUCUUGUUUAGAUCUAGAGAGGAUGAGAGUGUGUGAAGGGAGCAACCCUAGCAAGCAAGCGCGGAGGCUCCGGCCUAUAUAUACGUAGUGGGGUAGUUUUCCUUUUUCACUCCAUCAAAACAAUUGUUUAAAAUUGUGUACGUGCUAGGUUGCCGUUUUUUGAGUUGUUGAUUGUUUUUUGAGAUAGCUACCCGCUUAUUCCAAGUGGUGUUACGGUGUGCCAGGUCACACUUUGUAUCGUUCAAGUCUGGUACAAGACCCUCCAUUAAAUGAACAACCACCCCCUCAUAAAAUUUGUGAACAAGCCCACGGCUAAAAUUAUCGGAAGCGUGGGCUGCCCAACAUGCAUUAUUAUUUAUAUUUUCUAUGUGGGAGUAUCCUCAAAACAAAAUGUGAGAGUACAAUAGGUAUUGGGCCCCUUUGUAAGUGGUGCUAAAUUUUGACCAAAGAUUUAACUGACAAAUUGUUAGUGCAUGUUAACAAAAAUUAUAUCGUUUGAUUCGUAUUUGAACAUAGUUUUCAAUUAUGUAAUUUUUUGUGACAUACAUGAACAUUUUGUUAGUUAAAUUUAUAGUCAAAAUUUCGCAAGGUGCAUUAAAUCAACACAUGCAAGUAUCAAAAGGAGAGUCAUGGCAUGCAGGCAUGCGUUGUAAUUAAUGCAUCAGUAAACAAAAAUUAUUGAAAUAUAUCGAGUGGAGUGCUUUGAUGUGUCGCGUCAACUCGUACAAGACCGACAAGUUUGAUUACUACAACGCCCUCUCCCUCGCGGACUGAGCUCCGGUGGCUGCACCUGCCUUUGGCUGCAUGACAGGUGGGCCACCCGCCUGUUGGGCCCACCUGUCAUGCACGCAUAGGCAGGAGCAGUAAGUCAAUGAAGCUGCAUCCCUCCCUCGCCCAUGAGCGUGGUGGCUGGCAAGACUAGGAGAAGCUUUCGUUUGCUACACGCUCUGCCUCCCGCACGCGAUGGACAUGCAGCAGUUCAAUCGGUGUCAGAUGGCCAGAAGCAUGCAGUAGUACUCCAUCAUUGUUCGACUUCCCGAAGAGGCGAAGAGCCAAGCGCAGCCCGUACGCUCGUGUGGCAGUUUCAUGUGUAGAGUAGUCUAGGAUAGCGUGUACCGUGCCUGUAAGCUUAAAAUCGUUGGGGUCGGCUCCAUGCUUUUUUUGAUUAAAAUAAUCUUCUGGCCCUACCUGUCAUCCUGGUGAUUGUAGUUUGCACGCUCAUGUGGUCAAGACAGGAAUAUAUAUUUUAAUUUUUGGUGGGGUAAAUGUUAGAGGUUGCAGCAAAUGGAGUAUUGUACACUGCGGGUCUCUCAGCCAAGUUUAGAGGCAACCAUGUGGGGCCAGUGCUAUGAUGUGUCGCUGUCGGCGUUUUGGGAACGGGGGUCCCCAGACUUGCCUUCCUGCGGCCCACGGCGUGGCUAAGCUAGCGGGCCGUACAGCCCGUCUUCAUCAACAAGGCAUCCAAGACCCUCGCGAGGCGGACGACGCAAGACCUCCUCAGGAGUGGCCUAGCCAGGCAUGCUCACGAGGAGCGGAGAUAUCAAGGCAGGGAAAACCUCGCGAGGCUCUCGUGAGGUAAGCCAUGAUGAUCGACACCAGGCAGGCGCUAGGCGGGCGCCAGCGCACGCAUCGUCCUUGUUUCCUCUUUGGUGCUAAGGAGGCAGGCGCAGGCGCGGAGUACCGAGGCAUCAAGCAAAGGUUUCCAUAUCGGUGCAACGAGACCAAGACCAGCAGGACGGCAAGACGGAGGUCACCGUGGAGCCCAAGACGGCGUCAUCACCAGAGCCUUUAGCAGGCGAAGACCACUUUUGUCAGGAUAGCUUGUACUAGUUGUCCCCUUUCAAAUUCGCCCGCCGUUGUUGGCUCCCUUCCCGCUCAAUAUUUGGGGAGAGGACCAGGGCCUAUAUAAGUAGAGCUAGCCACCACAGUAGAGGGGAUCGAAUAGAGACCCACGCUAGUUCACCAAGCACAAGAACACCUCAACCUGAGGAGGCUGUUCUUCCCCUUGUACUGUUCAUCAUCAGCCCAAGAGGAAAUCCACCACCACACACACUGGAGCAGGGUAUUACACCACAACGAUGGCCCGAACCAAUAUAAAUCUCGUGUCGUUCAGUGUUGCGAGUGCGUCAAGUUCGUCCGCGAGAUCUUAGUGAGCUAGGGCGUGGAUCGGUAGGAGGGGAAGAUCUUGGCGCGCACCCCAGAGUUCGAACCUUAAGGGUUUUGCCGGAACCCGAGAUCUGACAUUUGGUGUGCCGGGUAGGGGUGCGCCGUAGCUUCCCUUCCGUCGAUUCGUCGCUCCGUCGCCCCGUCGUCUCCAUGGUGGACGCUCGCCGCGCUCGAGCUGAGCACCGGGCUGCCCACACCGCCCGCGUUGCUCAGACGGAUCCCGUCGGCGGGCCACCUCGUCGUUCCCCGUCUCGUGCCGCCAACGCCGCUACCGGCCCGGCAGGGAACGAGCAGCAAGCGUCCUCGCUGCACCCAUCGGUGUGGCAGGACGGCCACACCGCCACUCCAUCGCUGACCCCGGCCAGUUCCUCGUCCCACGCACGUCGCGCUCCCAUGGACGCGCAGGCAGCGCUCCUCAUGGCGAACGAGCUCCUACGCUACCGCCCGGUCGACGACCUCUACGAGGACUGGCUCGCCCGCGUUGCCGAACUCGUCCGUGCUGCAGGGGCUCCCCGGCGCUGUCCCACUCUCUGCCUCGCCCUCCGCCAGCCACGGGCGACGUGGCUCAUGGAGCGCCUCCACCACCUCUGCCCCAAGAUGGUGCCUUGGCACCAAGGCACGCGGCCCCACGGCGUGAUCCACCAUGCCCGGUGCCCGCGCGCGAAGAGAGAAGCUACCAAGAAAUUCCUCGGCCGCCGGAAGUCGUGCAUGCGCUCCCCGCGCCACCUCGCCAAGACCGCGCGCUACCUGCCGUAGUGGCACGCGGGCCUCACCAAGACCAAGCUCCACCUCCGAGGCGGGCCCCGGCAACCACGGCCGGCUGCCGCGCCUUCACCCCCGAGCUGCGUAGCGUCGCCUAGCCAGGCAAGUUCAAGCCGGAUCUGCCUCCCCGCUACGACGGCACCGACGACCCCGCGGAGUUCCUACAGCUCUACGAGCUGAGCAUCGAAGCGGCCAACGGCGACGAGAAGGUCAGGCGAACUAGUUUCCCAUGGCUCUCAAGGAUGGUGCUCGCUCCUGGCUCCUGAACCUGCAGCACGUCUCGAUCUCCUCGUGGGAUGAGAUGCAUGACUGCUUCGUCGCCAACUUCCAUGGCACCCGCGACCGCCCGCCGGCCGCGGGUGACCCGCGCCGCAUCAAGCAACAACCAGGGGAGACCCUCCAGAAGUACAUCCAGCGCUUCAACAACACUCGCCUCAAGAUCCCCAAGGUCACGGACGAGGCCAUCAUCUCCGCGUUCUCUGACGGCAUCCGCGACGUCAAGAUGAAGGAGGAGCUCGCUAUCCACAAGGAACUGUGCACAUCUCAGGAGCUGUUCAACCUGGCAACCAAGUGCGCAAGAGCUGAGGAGGGGCGCCUUUCCAUCCUCGAGCUGCCAGCUGCGGGUGCAGAGGAGAAGAAGGCCAAGGCCAAGGACGUGAAGCGCAAGGAGGCAGCUGUGCUCGCAGCGGAACCGGACACCAAGUGGGGCAGAGACCAGCCCGAGUCAUCCAAGGGCAGCCGACCGUUCUGCGCCUUCCACAAUCUGAACACCCACAACACCCGCGACUGCCAACAGCUCAGAGCCAUCCGUGAAGGACGUUUUGGUCGACGCCCCGAGCGUAGCGACCGGCGCUACAGCCGUGGAGGCGGACGCUGGGACGACCGUGGCCCGCGCCAGGAGUGGCGUGACAGGCCUCAUGAGGACCGCUGGCAGGACCAUCCUUGCGAGGGUGCCUGGAGGGACCAGCCUUGUGAGGAUCGCCCUCAGGGCAACGCCGGCCUUCCCCCACUGCAGCCACCACCAAGAAGGAAUGACGAUCACCAUCAGGACGAAGGGGCUGGGGGCUUUCAGGAGCUGCGUGCUAUCGCGUGCAUCUUAGGCGGCGCGCAGGCCCCAGCCUCUCAGCGCAUCUUCAAAUAAUUCGCUCGUGAAGUGAACGCGGUACUCCCCAAGCUCGAGGCCACGCGCCCGCUCAAGUGGUCCCAGUGCGCCAUCACCUUCAACUCGGCAAAUCAGCUCAAGUGUGCAGCCACCGCUGGUGCUCUUCCGAUGCUUUGUUCACCAGUCAUCAACAACGUGCAAGUUACCACAAGACCCUCAUGGACGGCGGCGCAGGGCUCAACGUCCUAUCAGUCGACACGUUCGACAACCUCCAGGUCCCGUAUGAGCAGCUUCAGCCUACCAGGCCUUUCUCAGGAGUGACCGACAGUUCCACCACACCGAUAGGGCAGGUCCACCUGCCUGUCACCUUUGGAGAGUCCAAGAACUACCGCACCAAGUGUCGGUGUCAAAACCGUCAGAUCUCGGGUAGGGGGUCCCGAACUAUGCGUCUAGGAUUGAUGGUAACAGGAGACGGGGGACACAAUGUUUACCCAUGUUCGGGCUCUCUUUAUGGAGGUAAUACCCUACUUCCUGCUUGAUUGAUCUUUUUGAAUAUGAGUGUUACAAGAGUUGAUCUACCACGAGAUCGUAAUGGCUAAACCCUAGAAGUCUAGCCUAUGCGUAUAUAGUAAUGAAUCUGUCCUAUCCGGACUAUGCUCUCCGGUUUAUAUAGACACCGGAGAGAUCUAGGGUUACAUGGAGUCGGUUACAUAAGAGGGAAUCUUCAUAGUCGGUCGCCAAGCUUGUCUUCCACGCCAAGUAGAGUCCAAUCCGGAAACGGGUAUAGUCUUCGGCCUUCAUGCCUUCACAGCCCAUUAGUCCGGCCCAGUAGAUAACAGGUCGGACGCCCGAGGACCCCUUAGUCCAGGAGUCCCUCAGUAGCCCCUAAACCUGGCUUCAAUGACGAGGACUCCAGCGCGCAGAUUGUCUUCGGCAUUGCAAGGCGGGUUCCCCUUCUUCCGAACUCCAAGAUUGUCUUCGGCAUUGCAAGGCGGGUUCCCCUUCUUCCGAACUCCAAGAUAGUCUUCGGAUGUAGUAAAUAUAUCCGGACUUGUGUAUGUAAUUGCAGAAAAUACAAUACUCCACGAGUCCAAUCUGCUGACAAUGGUUUAUGACAUUGUGUCAUGCCCGCCCGGUUAUUAUUUCCAACCGUUGGCUAGCCCGUCGCCCCACGUCUUGAGGGGCGGUUUUAUUGCCACGUCUUGUCAAAGCAGAUAUCGUGCCCCCCAAUCCACGGGAUUUUCAAUAACGCAGGUGUGGGUAACCCAACCGUCCCCAGGGUACAACUCUUCGAGGAUAGGUAAGUUUCGAGACCCGGGAGGGGACGCUCGAUAUCCUGGGCCUUUAUAUAGGGGCCCAAACUUGACUUUCUCUUCCGCGCUUGCUUCUUCCUCAACCCCAGCCACCUCGAGUUCUAUCCCUCGAGUUUCAAUCACCACCAGCUCCAAUCAUGUCCGGGCCCGGCCGUUCAGGCCGGUGGGUGGCCUGUUCUGUCACAGAGGAGGAUAUUGCGAAGCUCCGGGUGGCGAGGUAUCUGACCCCAGAAAUCCUUCAUCGGCUUCCUGCCAAGGGGCAGGUUAUUCCCACCCCCAAAUCCAGUGAGAGGGUAGUAUUUGUAUCACACUUUCUCCAUGGUUAGGGUUCGCGCUUAACCCCUUCGUCCGGGGGCUCAUGUUCUACUAUGGGAUAGAUUUUCAUGAUCUGGCCCCGGUCUCCGUCCUCCUCAUCUCAACAUUUAUCGUCACAUGUGAGGCCUUCCUCCGGACUCCUCCGCACUUUGGUUUAUGGCUCAAGACUUUCGAUGUGAGGCCGCGGGUGAUGGAGGAGGAGCAGGUAGAGUGUGGCAGCGUUAUAAUAAGCAAGCUUGCCAGCGCGAUUUGGUUUGAAGGAUCUUUCGCCGUGUCUUCCGACCUAUGGCAGCAGGGGUGAUUUUAUGUCAACGAGCCAUGGGGCUCCAAGUGGGCAGCUGCGCCCGUGUUCCGACCCGGCCCUCCGACUUAGCUUGCUUCAUGGAUCAACAGGGGACUAGACUGGGGGUCCGCCAAUGAAGUGCAGACUCUGCAAAGUCGCAUCCGAAGCUUUACCAAGAAGGGCAUCGGACUCGUGAACGUUGUUCAAGUAAUGCUAGUCCGCCGGACCCUGCCAUGCCAGCGGCGGCCUCUCCGUAUGUGGGAGUUUCAUCCAGAGGGGCGGCGGACUCUUCAGCACUUCUUCGGCGCUACGCACAAUGGGAUGUGGAGACUAUAUUUCGGGGAGCGAGAACAAUGGCCGGACACCACUGAGGACGUUGGCCUUGACUGCAAUCAUCCGGACACUCCGGUAAGUAUUCAAUCUCGGAACACCUUUCGUUCACGCAUCUCUUGACAAGAUACUGAACGACCUGUUGAUACAUCCAUUUUGCAUCAUGCUUUUAUAUCGAUAUUUAUUGCAUUAUGGGCUGUUAUUACACAUUAUGUCACAAUACUUAUGCAUAUUCUCUUUUAUUUUACGAGGUUUACAUAAGGAGGGAGAAUGCCGGCAGCUGGAAUUCUGGGCUGGAAAAGGAGCCAAUAUUAGAGACCUAUUCUGCACAACUCCAAAAGUCCUGAAACUCCACGAAUGUUAUUUUUGGAAAUAAUAAAAAAUGCUGAGCGGAAGAAAUACCAGAGGGGGCCCACACCCUGGCCACGAGGGUGGGGGGCGCGCCCUACCCCCCUGGGCGUGCCCCCUGCCUCGUGGGCCCCCUGUUGGCCCUCCGGUGCCCAUCUUCUGCUAUAUGAAGUCUUUCGUCCGAAGAAAAAUCAUAAGCAAGCUUUCGGGACGAGACUCUGCCGCCACGAGGCGGAACCUUGGCGGAACCAAUCUAGGGCUCCGGCGGAGCUGUUCUGCCGGGGAAACUUCCCUCCGGGAGGGGGAAAUCAUCGCCAUCAUCAUCACCAACGCUCCUCUCAUCGGGAGAGGGCAAUCUCCAUCAACAUCUUCACCAGCACCAACUCCUCUCAAACCCUAGUUCAUCUCUUGUAUCCAAUUCUUGUCUCCAAGCCUGGGAUUGGUACCUGUAGGUUGCUAGUAGUGUUGAUUACUCCUUGUAGUUGAUGCUAGUUGGUUUAUUUGGUGGAAGAUCAUAUGUUCAGAUCCUUUAUGCAUAUUAAUACUCCUCUGAUUAUGAACAUUAAUAUGCUUUGUGAGUAGUUAUGUUUGUUCCUGAGGACAUGGGAGAGGUCUUGCUAUUAGUAGUCAUGUGAAUUUGGUAUUCGUUCGAUAUUUUGAUGAGAUGUAUGUUGUCUAUCCUCUAGUGGUGUUAUGUGAACGUCGACUACAUGACACUUCACCAUUAUUUGGGCCUAGAGGAAGGCAUUGGGAAGUAAUAAGUAGAUGAUGGGUUGCUAGAGUGACAGAAGCUUAAACCCUAGUUUAUGCGUUGCUUCGUAAGGGGCUGAUUUGGAUCCACAUGUUUCAUGAUAUGGUUAGGUUUACCUUAAUACUUCUUUUGUAGUUGCAGAUGCUUGCAUUAGGGGUUAAUCAUAAGUGGGAUGCUUGUCCAAGUAAGGACAGCACCCAAGCACCGGUCCACCCACAUAUCAAUUUAUCAAAGUAACGAACGUGAAUCAUAUGAACGUGAUGAAAACUAGCUUGACGAUAAUUCCCAUGUGUCCUCGGGAGCGCUUUUCUCCAUAUAAGAAAUUGUCCAGGCUUGUCCUUUGCUACAAAAAGGAUUGGGCCAACUUGCUGCACUUUAUUUACUUUUGUUACUUGUUGCUCGUUACAAAUUAUCUUAUCACAAAACUAUCUGUUACCUAUAAUUUUAGUGCUUGAAGAGAAUACCUUGCUGAAAACCGCUUAUCAUUUCCUUCUGCUCCUCGUUGGGUUCGACACUCUUACUUAUCGAAAGGACUACGAUAGAUCCCCUAUACUUGUGGGUCAUCAAGACUCUUUUCCGGCGCCGUUGCCGGGGAGUGAAGCGCCUUUGGUAGGGGGAAUUUGGUAAGGAAAAAUUUAUAUAGUGUGCUGAAAUUUACUGUAACUUGUUACUAUGGAAAGUUAUCCUCUGAGGGGCUUGUUCGGGGUAUCUUCACCUCGACCAGUAGAGCAAAGAGUUGCUCCUCAACCUACUGAACCUACUAAAAAUGAAAAUGUCUACUUUGAGAUUCCUUCGGGUAUGAUAGAAAAACUGCUAGCUAAUCCUUUUGCAGUAGACGGAACAAUGCAUCCUGAUGAGCACCUAAUAUAUGUGGAUGAAGUUUGUGGAUUAUUUAAGCUUGCAGGUGUGCCCGAUGAUGUUAUUAAGAAGAAGGUCUUCCCUUUAUCUUUGAAGAGAUAUGCAUUGACAUGGUAUAGGCUAUGUGAUGACAUGGGAUCAUGGAACUACAAACGAUUGAAAUUGGAAUUUCAUCAGAAGUUUUAUCCUAUGCAUCUUGUUCAUCAUGAUCGCAAUUAUAUAUAUAAUUUUUGGCCUCGCGAAGGAGAAAGCAUCGCUCAAGCUUGGGGGAGGCUUAAAUCAAUGUUAUAUUCAUGCCCGAAUCAUGAGCUCCCAAGAGAAAUAAUUAUUCAAAAUUUUUAUGCUCGACUUUCUGAUAACAAUCGCACCAUGCUCGAUACUUCUUGUGCUGGCUCUUUUAUGAUGAAGACUAUUGAAUUCAAAUGGGAUUUAUUGGAAAGAAUUAAACGCAACCCUGAAGAUUGGGACCUCGACGAAGGUAAGGAGUCAGGUAGGACACCUAAGUUUGAUUGUGUUAAAUCUUUUAUGGAUACUGAUGUUUUCUGUAAAUUUAGCACUAAAUAUGGACUUGACUCUGAGAUAGUAGCUUCUUUCUGUGAAUCCUUUGCUACUCAUGUUGAUCUCCCUAAGGAGAAGUGGUUUAAAUAUCAUCCUCCCAUAGAAGUAAAAGUAGCUGCACCUAUUAAAGUUGAAGAAAGGACUAUCACUUAUAAUGAUCCUAUUGUUCCUACUACUUAUGUUGAGAAACCACCUUUUCCUGUUAGGAUAAAAGAUCAUGCUAAAGCUUCAACUGUGGUUCGUAAAAGUAAUAUUAGAACCUAUACACCUCCUGAGCAAGUUAAAUUUGAACCUAAUAUUGCUAUUGUUAAAGAUCUCUUGUCUGAUAAUAUUGAUGGGCAUGUUAUUCAUUUCUGUAAUGAAACUGCUAGAAUUGCCAAACCUUGUGCUAAAGAUAAACAUAGACCUAUGGUAGGCAUGCCGGUCAUUUCUGUUAAAAUAGGAGAUCAUUGUUAUCAUGUCUUAUGUGAUAUGGGUGCUAGUGCUAGCGCAAUACCUCAUGACUUAUACAAAGAAAUUAUGCAUGAUAUUGCACCUGCUGAGUUAGAAGAUAUUGAAGUCACAAUUAAACUUGCUAAUAGAGAUACUAUAUCACCAAUUGGAAUUGUUAGAGAUGUUGAAGUCUUGUGUGGAAAAACUAAGUAUCCUGCUGAUUUUCUUGUUCUCGGUUCCCCACAAGAUAGCUUUUUCCCCAUUAUAUUUGGUAGACCCUUCUUGAACACUGUUAAUGCUAAGAUAGACUGCGAAAAGGAUAUUGUUACUAUUGGUUUGGGUGAUAUGUCUCAUGAGUUUAAUUUCUCUAAAUUUCGUAGACAACACCGUGAAGAGGAAUUGCCCAGUAAGGAUGAAAUUAUUGGUCUUGCUUCUAUUGCCGUACCUCCUAGUGAUCCUUUAGAACAAUAUUUGCUAGACCAUGAAAAUGAUAUGGUUAUGAAUGAAAGAAGGGAAAUAGAUGAAGUAUUCUUUAAACACGAACACAUCUUGAAACACAAUUUGCCUGUUGAAAUCCUAGGGGAUCCUCCUCCACCCAAGGGUGAUCCCGUGUUUGAGCUUAAACCAUUGCCUGAUACCCUUAAAUAUUCUUAUCUUGAUGAAAAGAAGAUAUAUCAUGUUAUUAUUAGUGCUAAACUUUCAGAGCAUGAGGAAGAGAGAUUAUUGAAAACUCUGAAGAAGCACCGCGCUGCUAUUGGAUAUACUCUUGAUGAUCUUAAGGGCAUUAGUCCCACUCUAUGUCAACAUAAAAUAAAUUUGGAGAAAGAUGCCAAACCAGUUCGUGAUCACCAACGACUGCUGAAUCCUAAGAUGAAAGAAGUGUUAAGAAAGGAAAUACUAAGGCUUCUUGAGGCAAGUAUUAUUUAUCCCGUUGCUGAUAGUCAAUGGGUAAGUCCUGUCCAUUGUGUCCCUAAAAAGGGAGGUAUUACCGUCGUUCCUAAUGAUAAAGAUGAAUUGAUCCCGCAAAGAUUUAUUACAGGUUAUAGGAUGGUAAUUGAUUUACGCAAAUUAAAUAAGGCUACUAAAAAGGAUCAUCACCCCUUACCUUUUAUUGAUCAAAUGGUAGAAAGAUUAUCUAAACAUACACAUUUUUGCUUUCUAGAUGGUUAUUCUGGUUUCUCUCAAAUACCUGUGUCAGACGAUGAUCAAUCAAAGACCACUUUUACUUGCCCUUUCGGUACUUUUGCUUAUAGACGUAUGCCUUUUGGUUUAUGUAAUGCACCUGCUACCUUUCAAAGAUGCAUGAUGGCUAUAUUCUCUGACUUUUGUGAAAAGAUUUGUGAGGUUUCCAUGGAUGAUUUCUCCGUUUAUGGAUCCUCUUUUGAUGAUUGCUUGAGCAACCUUAAUCGAGUUUUGCAGAGAUGUGAAGAAACUAAUCUUGUCUUGAACUGGGAAAAGUGCCACUUUAUGGUUAAUGAAGGUAUUGUCUUGGGGCAUAAUUUUUCUGAAAGAGGUAUUGAAGUUGAUAAAGCCAAGGUUGAUGCUAUUGAAAAGAUGCCAUGUCCCAAGGACAUCAAAGGUAUAAGAAGUUUCCUUGGUCAUUCCGGUUUUUAUAGGAGGUUCAUUAAAGACUUCUUAAAAAUUUCUCGGCCUUUGACUAAUUUAUUACAAAAAUAUGUACCAUUUGUAUUUGAUGAUGAUUGUGUAGAAGCAUUUGAAAUACUUAAGAAAGCAUUGAUCUCGGCACCUAUCGUUCAGCCACCUGAUUGGAAUUUACCUUUUGAAAUUAUGUGUGAUGCUAGUGAUUAUGCUGUAGGUGCUGUUCUAGGGCAAAGAGUUGAUAAUAAAUUAAAUGUUAUUCAAUAUGCUAGUAAAACUCUAGAUAAUGCUCAGAGAAAUUAUGCUACUACUGAAAAAGAAUUCUUAGCAGUUGUAUUUGCCUGUGAUAAGUUUAGACCUUAUAUUGUUGAUUCUAAAGUAACUAUUCACAUGGAUCAUGCUGCUAUUAAAUACCUUAUGGAAAAGAAAGAUGCUAAACCUAGACUUAUUAGAUGGGUUCUCUUGCUACAUGAAUUUGAUUUGCAUAUUAUAGAUAGAAAGGGAGCUGAGAACCCCGUUGCAGACAACUUGUCUAGGUUAGAGAAUGUUCUUGAUGACCCACUACCUAUUGAUGAUAGCUUUCCUGAUGAACAAUUAAAUGUCAUAAAUGCUUCUCGUACUGCUCCAUGGUAUGCUGAUUAUGCUAAUUAUAUUGUUGCUAGUUUCACAUACCAGCAAAAGAAAAAGUUUUUCUAUGAUUUGAGGCAUUACUUUUGGGAUGACCCACAUCUUUAUAAAGAAGGAGUAGAUGGUGUUAUUAGACGCUGUGUACCUGAGCAUGAACAGGAACAGAUCCUACGCAAGUGUCACUCCGAGGCUUAUGGAGGACACCACGCUGGAGAUAGAACUGCACAUAAGGUAUUGCAAUCUGGUUUUUAUUGGCCUACUCUCAUCAAGGAUGCCCGUAAGUUUGUCUUAUCUUGUGAUGAAUGUCAAAGAAUUUGUAAUAUCAGUAGACGUCAAGAAAUGCCUAUGAAUUAUUCACUUGUUAUUGAACCAUUCGAUGUCUGGGGCUUUGAUUAUAUGGGACCUUUUCCUGCCUCUAACGGAUAUACACAUAUUUUAGUUGCUGUUGAUUAAGUUACUAAGUGGGUAGAAGCUAUUCCGACUAGUAGUGCUGAUCAUAACACUUCUAUUAAGAUGCUUAAAGAAGUUAUUUUUCCGAGGUUUGGAGUCCCUAGAUAUUUAAUGACUGAUGGUGGUUCACAUUUUAUUCAUGGUGCUUUCCGUAAAAUGCUUGCUAAGUAUGAUGUUAAUCAUAGAAUUGCAUCCCCUUAUCACCCACAGUCUAGUGGUCAAGUAGAAUUGAGUAAUAGAGAACUCAAAUUAAUUUUGCAAAAGACUGUUAAUAGAUCUAGAAAGAAUUGGUCCAAGAAACUUGAUGAUGCAUUAUGGGCCUAUAGAACUGCAUAUAAAAAUCCUAUGGGUAUGUCUCCGUAUAAAAUGGUUUAUGGAAAAGCAUGUCACUUACCUCUCGAACUAGAACAUAAGGCAUAUUGGGCCAUUAAAGAGCUCAAUUAUGAUUUCAAACUUGCCGGUGAGAAGAUGUUAUUUGACAUUAGCUCACUUGAUGAAUGGAGAACCCAAGCUUAUGAGAAUGCCAAAUUGUUUAAAGAAAAAGUUAAAAGAUGGCAUGACAAAAGGAUACAAAAGCAUGAGUUUAAUGUAGGUGAUUAUGUAUUGCUAUACAACUCUCAUUUAAUAUUUUUUGCAGGAAAACUUCUCUCUAAUUAGGAAGGUCCUUACGUUAUCGAGGAGGUCUAUCGUUCCGGUGCCAUAAAAAUCAACAACUUCGAGGGCACAAAUCCGAAGGUGGUGAACGGUCAAAGAAUCAAACAUUAUAUCUCAGGUAAUCCUAUAAAUGUUGAAACCAAUGUUACUGAAACCGUAACCCCGGAGGAAUACAUAAGGGACACUUUCCGGAACGUUUCAGACUCCGAAAAGGAAUAGGUAUGUGGUACGGUAAGUAAACCGACUCCAAAACAGUUCUAAUGGUAAUUUUUCUCCGUUUUGGAAUAUUUAGAAAAAUAGAAAAAUAAGAAGCUGUCCGGGAAGGACACGAGGCCUCCACGCGGGUGGAGGGCGCGCCCUACCCCCCUGGGCGCGCCCCCUGCUUCGUGGGUACCUCGUGUGCUCUCCGGACUCCGUUUUCUUGCACGAUACGUAUUUUGGUCGGUAAAAAUUCAUUAUAUAAUCUCCCGAAGGUUUUGGCUCCUGUAUCAUGCAAUUGUCCUUUGUUCUUGUUUCGAGCUGCUUCUGUAGCAGAUUUGGAGCAAGAUGUCAUCUCAGGAUUCCGACGGAGAGAGCUGUGUCUCACACCUCAUUGCUGACCCAAGGACCUAGGGGGAUCUAUCUCCUUGUGGUCGAACUACAGAUGAGGAGGAGGAUGCUCAUUUGAUGAGGAUCAAUGAUUUAAGUUCGGAGGAGGAGGAUGUCCCUCUACCUCAACCUGGGGAUAUGCACAUGAAGUUCAACAAAUCUAGUUUCCCUAAGAGGGCUAAACUAUCUAACAACCGAUCUAUUCCGUCUCGUUUUCGGCAGAAAAGCAAAGGAGAUUUAUUUGAAAAGAUCUUGAAGCUGGAAUCGGAGGUCGAUGAUUUAAAAGAGGAAAUUGCCCUUCUCAAUUACAGUAUGAAGAAGCUAAAGACACAACUGUCAUCAUCAACAACUCCAUCAUCACCAUCUCCGAAGAAGGAGACAUAAUCAUAUGGGUAUGUGCACUCCCCUUGGCAACUGCCAAGCUUGGGGGAGGUGCCCCGGUAUCGUAUCACCACCACACUCCUAUCUUUACCGUUUUCUUAGUUCAAUCCUUUUAGUAAUAUCUUGAUCUAGUAGAAUAAAGUUUUGGUAUGAUCUAGUUUUGAUUUUUGCUUUAUGAUCCCUUUAUGUAAUCAAGUCUGUGAGCUAUAUAAUAAAGAUUAGUGUUAAGUCGAGGACUUGAUUAUUUUGCUAUGAUCUUGAGUGAAUAAAAGACAAGAGAAAGAAUAAAAAGAAACAAAGAGAUCAUAUUGAUCUUAUGGAGAGUAAUGACUUCACAUAGAAAGAGUAUGAUGAUUAAAAAUUGUUGAGAGUUGACAGACAUAGCUUUGGUCAUCGUUGAAAUUAAUAGGAAGUAAUAAAGAAAGAGAGGUUUCACAUAUAAAUAUACUAUCUUUAACAUCUUUUAUGAUUGUGAUCACUCAUUGAAAUAUGACAUGCUAAAGAGUUGAUGUUGGACAAGGAAGACAACGUAAUGGGUUAUGUUUUCUUAUAUCUGAAAUAAAGUAUAUUGUCAUGGAUCCAACAUGUUGAGCUUGCCUUUCCCCGUCAUGCUAGCCAAAUUCUUUGCACCAAGUAGAGAUACUACUUGUGCUUCCAAAUACCCUUAAACCAGUUUUGCCAUGAGAGUCCACCAUAUCUACCUAUGGAUUGAGUAAGAUCCUUCAAGUAAGUUGUCAUCGGUGCAAGCAAUAAAAAUUGCUCUCUAAAUAUGUAUGAUUGAUUGGUGUGGAGGAAAUAAGCUUUAUACGAUCUUGUGAUGUGGAAGAAAUAAAGCGACGGACUGCAUAAUAAAGGUCCAUAUCACAAGUGGCAAUAUAAAGUGACGUUCUUUCGCAUUAAGAUUUUGUGCAUCCAACCCUGAAAGCGCAUGGCAACCUCUGCUUCCCUCUGCGAAGGGCCUAUCUUUUAUUAUUACCUUCUACCUUAUGCAAGAGUCAUGGUGAUCUUCACCUUUCCUUUUUACAUUUUAUCCUUUGGCAAGCACAGGAUGUUGGAAAGAUCCUGAUAUAUAUAUCCAAUUGGAUGUGGGUUAGCAUGAACUAUUAUUGUUGACAUUACCCUUGAGGUAAGAGGUUGGGAGGCAAAACUAUAAGCCCCUAUAUUUCUCUGUGUCCGAUUAAAACUCCGUAACCACAAGUAUUGCGUGAGUGUUAGCAAUUGUGAAAGACUAAAUGAUAGUUGAGUAUGUGGACUUGCUGAAAAGCUCUGACAUAGACUCUUUCUGAUGUUAUGAUAAAUUGCAAUUGCUUCAAAGACUGAGAUUAUAGUUUGUUGAUUCUCAAUAAAGUUUCUGAUUCAUACUUUGCAUUGUGAAUAGAUUAUUACUUGAGCAUAAGAGAUUAUAUGACAUUACCCUUAUAUGUUGCUGUUAUGAGAAUAAUCAUGAUGCCCUCAUGUCCGUAUUUUAUUUUAUCGACACCUCUACCUCUAAACAUGUGGACAUAUUUAUCGUUAUCGGCUUCCGCUUGAGGACAAGCGAGGUCUAAGCUUGGGGGAGUUGAUACGUCCAUUUUGCAUCAUGCUUUUAUAUCGAUAUUUAUUGCAUUAUGGGCUGUUAUUAAACAUUAUGUCACAAUACUUAUGCCUAUUCUCUCUUAUUUUACAAGGUUUACAUAAGGAGGGAGAAUGCCGGCACCUAGGAUUCUGGGCUGGAAAAGGAGCCAAUAUUAGAGACCUAUUCUGCACAACUCCAAAAGUCCUGAAACUCCACGAAAGUUAUUUUUGGAAAUAAUAAAAAAUACUGAGCGGAAGAAAUACCAGAGGGGGCCCACACCCUGGCCACGAGGGUGGGGCGCCCUACCCCCUGGGCGCGCCCCCUGCCUCGUGGGCCCCUGUUGGCCCUGCGAUGCCCAUCUUCUGCUAUAUGGAGGCUUUCGUCCGAAGAAAAAUCAUAAGCAAGCUUUCGGGACGAGACUCCGCCGCCACGAGGCGGAACCUUGGCGGAACCAAUCUAUUGCUCUGGUGGAGCUGUUCUGCCGGGGAAACUUCCCUCCGGGAGGGGGAAAUCAUCGCCAUCGUCAUCACCAACGCUCCUCUCAUCGGGAGAGGGCAAUCUCCAUCAACAUAUUCACAAGCACCAUCACCUCUCAAACCCUAGUUCAUCUCUUGUAUCCAAUUCUUGUCUCCAAGCCUGGGAUUGGUACCUGUAGGUUGCUAGUAGUGUAGAGUACUCCUUGUAGUUGAUGCUAGUUGGUUUAUUUGGUGGAAGAUCAUAUGUUCAGAUCCUUUAUGCAUAUUAAUACUCCUCUGAUUAUGAACAUGAAUAUGCUUUAUGAGUAGUUACGUUUGUUCCCGAGGACAUGGGAGAAGUCUUGCUAUUAGUAGUCAUGUGAAUUUGGUAUUCGUUCGAUAUUUUGAUGAGAUAUAUGUUGUCUAUCCUCUAGUGGUGUUAUGUGAACAUCGACUACAUGACACUUCACCAUUAUUUGGGCCUAGAGGAAGGCAUUGGGAAGUAAUAAGUAGAUGAUGGGUUGCUAGAGUGACAGAAGCUUAAACCCUAGUUUAUGUGUUGCUUCAUAAGGGCUGAUUUGGAUCCACAUGUUUCAUGCUAUGGUUAGGUUUACCUUAAUACUUCUUUUGUAGUUGUGGAUGCUUGCAAUAGGGGUUAAUCAUAAGUGUGAUGCUUGUCCAAGUAAGGACAGAACCCAGGCACCGGUCCACCCACAUAUCAAAUUAUCAAAGUACCGAACGCGAAUCAUAUGAAUGUGAUGAAAACUAGCUUGACGAUAAUUCCCAUGUGUCCUCGGGAGCGCUUUUCUCCAUAUAAGAAAUUGUCCAGGCUUGUCCUUUGCUACAAAAAGAAUUGGGCCAACUUGCUGCACUUUAUUUACUUUUGUUACUUGUUGCUCAUUACAAAUUAUCUUAUCACAAAACUAUAUGUUACCUAUAACUUUAGUGCUUGCAGAUAAUACCUUGCUGAAAACCGCUUAUCAUUUCCUUUUGCUCCUCGGUGGGUUCGACACUCUUACUUAUCGAAAGGACUACGAUAGAUCCCCUAUACUUGUGGGUCAUCACCCGUCCUUGUACAAGACUGCAUAAAGAAAGCGGUGCUGAUCUGGUGUCCGGCGCCCCUUCCCGAAGACCCCGCGUCCGCCCUGCUGACGCGUAUGUUAACACCGACACCGUACCAGGUGUCUGCAGAGGGGGGUGAGAGCGGGGAGCCCAAAGGAGAUGCCUGCCCUGAGGAUGAUUCAAACGUUGUGUUCGGGGAAACCGAAACCCUUUUGCCCAAGGGCAAAGAUGUAGAGGGGGCCUUCCAUCGCAAGAAGAGGGCCGCUUUUGGAGGUCAGGAGGGGAAACCUUCUAAGAAAGGGAAAACGCAAUCGUCGGGCGGCUCAGGUCGGGCGAGCGAUGUUGCUGCAGAGCUUGAUGAUGAGGACGAACCUCCGGCCAGACCGUAAGUGACACAGGGUACUUUAACCAUACCUCAUUCCUUUCUUAUUACUGAAGUAAUCCUCCGAUAUAUGCACAUCCUCGCAGGUUAACGCCUGGUGUUUCUCAAUCGUCCUCCUCCUCGGGAGACCUUCUGCCGGAGAUGAUGGAGAGUGACACACCUUCUCCGGCCUCCUCGCCCAAUAGGGCGGAUGAUCUUGAGGUGUCGUCCCGGAGGGCUCCUCCCCACCGGCAAGUAGCGCAGGAAAUGAGGAAGGAGUUGCCCGUAGGUGGCGCCUCUGUCACUCAGGGUUCGGGGAUCAAGAUUGACGGCCCCAAACUAUCCGGUUUACAGCCGGAGGUGAUUCUGGAGGCGGGUAAGCGGAUUCCUUCAAAGGAGUGUCGUGCUCCGGCGGCGGUGUCCGAAGACCCAGGUGUGCCGGGGACGCUGACGGACAUGCUGCGAUGAGCGUCCGUUUCGGAAGAGCACCGUGCCUUAAUGGUUACGGUGGUUAAGAAGGUUCUCUUCGCGAAGAGCGGGUUGGACGAGGCCUUUAUGACCCUUCUGAGAGGUUUUGAGGUUUGUGAUGUAAUGUUGCCAAUUGAAUGAUAUUGACAGAAUGCACCUAUUGUUAUGCAGUAGCCCCUAAGACUCGGAUUGCCUUCCAAAGGAAGCAAUCGGAGGAUCAAAAAAGAUAUGCUCAGGUACUAAUUUUGAUUUAAUUUGGAAUACAGGCUACCGCCCCUCCUGCCACUACUCGAAGUACGGAGGUGGCCGAACUGCAGCGAAAGCUAGAUAUUGCGGAGGGUGACAUUGCAUUGGUCAACAAACGUCUUGACAACUCGCAAGGUAUAUAUUUCGAGCAUUCCUUACACCAAUGUGCUUGUAAUUUAAGCCUGACUCUGAAAAAGAGUUUUAUAUGAAAUGUGCAUGAAUGCAGAUGGUGCCGCCGUCGUGGAAGCCCUUCGGGCGGAGCUGACCCGGGUCAAGGAGCAGGCCCGGUUUAGUUAUGCGGCUGCCGAAAAGGCAUCGGCUGAGUUGAAAGCCGAACACGCUGCGCGGCGCCAAGACAAGGAGAAGAUGUCCACCAUGGCGCUCGAGUUAGAGAAUGCGGCUAGCCGCUGCAAACUUCUUGAGAAGGAAAAUGAAGUCAAAACGGCUGAACUUGAUAAGGCCUUACGAGAGGUAAGAGAAGCACGGUCUGAAUCCAGAGCAGCCCGAGAGGAGAUCUGGCAAGCUGGGGAGAUUGUGGCUGGCAAGCCCUUUUUGCUACAGGCUAAGUUCGGAGAUCCGAACUAUGCUCAGCUUAACCAAGUGUGGAGUUCUCCGGACAAUUUUUUAGACUUGCCGAAGAGUUCUUCCGAUGCGGCACAAUUUUACCAUGCGCAAGAGUGGUAUCAAGGGAGAACCUUUUCUGGUCACAAUGUGGCGCGUCGGAGCGCCCUCUGUUGUUGAAUGAACAGAUGUCCCAGUGGGCGGAGCUGCAUAGGAUAUCAGGCGCUGCCAUGAAGAACUUCGUAGUCCGGUUGUGGCCGACUGAACCUGUUCCGAGUAGUUACUUCGGCCUGGAGCAGCGGCUAAUUGACGCGGUGGCGCGUAUUGACAUUGUGAAGCGGUCGGCGUGCAUUGAAGGUGCACGGAUGACCUUUGCCCGCGUCAAGACAUUCUAGGGGAAGAUGAAGGCCAUCGAUGUUGCGGCGAAGAGUCCACCCAAAGGCAAGGACCGUCCGGAACCGGAGCACUAUUUUGAAGACGUCCUAGAGGCCGCCCGCUUGAUAGAGAGUCAGUGCUCGAAAGACAUAAUAUUCGAGUAAUGUGUAUAAGUGUUGUAACAGACAACUUUAUGGUUAAUCUGUUUUCAUCUUUUGCUCGAAAGCUUGUAUUCCUCCUGUGUGGCCAUUUUAUUGUAAUCUGAAAGUUUUCCAGUCGUCGGCUUCAGCCCCCUCGUAGGAAAUACGGGGGUGUUUGAUGUCUACUACGCAACCUUCUUCUUGUAGACAUUGUCGGGCCUCCAAAUGCAGAGGUUUGUAGGAAAGUAGCAAAUUUCCCUCAAGUGGAUGACCUAAGGUUUAUCUGUCCGUGGGAGGUGUAGGAUGAAGAUGGUCUCUCUCAAGAAACCCUGCAACCAAAUAACGAAGAGUCUCUUGUGUCCCCAACGCACCCAAUACAAUGGUAAAUUGUAAAGGUGCACUAGUUCGGCGAAGAGAUGGUGAUACAAGUGCAAUAUGGAUGGUAGAUAUAGGUUUUUGUAAUCUGAAAAUAUAAAAACAGCAAGGUAGCAAGCGAUAAAAGUGAGCACAAAUGGUAUUGCAAUGCUAGUAAACAAGGCCUAGGGUUCAUACUUUCACUAGUGCAAGUUCUCUCAACAAUAAUAACAUAAUUGGAUCAUAUAACUAUCCCUCAACAUGCAACAAAGAGUCACUCCAAAGCCACUAAUAGCGGAGAACAAACGAAGAGAUUAUGGUAGGGUACGAAACCACCUCAAAGUUAUUCUUUCGGAUCGAUCUAUUCAAGAGUUCGUACUAGAAUAACACCUCAAGACACAUAUCAACCAAAACCCUAAUGUCACCUAGAUACUCCAAUGUCACCUCAAGUAUCCGUGGGUAUGAUUAUACGGUAUGCAUCACACAAUCUCAGAUUCAUCUAUUCAAACCAACACAAAGUACUUCAAAGAGUGCCCCAAAGUUUCUACCGGAGAGUCAAGAAGAAAACGUGUGCCAACCCCUAUGCAUAGGUUCAUGGGAGGAACCCGCAAGUUGAUCACCAAAACAUACGUCAAGUUGAUCACGUGAUAUCCCAUUGUCACCACAGAUAAGCACGGCAAGACAUACAUCAAGUGUUCUCAAAUCCUUAAAGACUCAAUCCGAUAAGAUAACUUCAAAGGGAAAACUCAAUCCACUACAAGAGAGUAGAGGGGGAGAAACAUCAUAAGAUCCAACUAUAAUAGCAAAGCUCGCGAUACAUCAAGAAUGUACCACCUCAAGAACACGAGAGAGAGACAGAGAUCAAACACAUAGGUACUGGUACAGACCCUCAGCCCCGAGGGUGAACUACUCCCUCCUCGUCAUGGAGAGUGUCGGGAUGAUGAAGAUGGCCACCGGUGAGGGAUCCCCCCUCUGGCAGGGUGCCCACUAGUAGAAAAAGGGCCUAUUGUCCCGGUUCGUGAGGGCCUUCUGUCCCGGUUUGUGAACCAGGACUAAAAGGUCGUUACUAAUGCCCUUGUCCUUUAGUCCCGGUUCUUACACGAACCGGGACAGAAGGUCCUCCACGUGGCCGCUGCGGCCAGCCCAGGACGGAGGGCCUUUGGUCCCGAUUGGUGACACCAACCGGGACCAAUAGGCAUCCACGCGUCAGCAUUUUAGGGGCUGGGGUUUUUGUUUUUUUUGAAAGGGGGGGGUUAGGGGGUUUUGGGGGUUUAAUUUAGGUUGUUAUUAGGUAGCUAUUAGAGAGAAGUGUCCUCUCUUAUAUCUCCGUGCUUGGUUUACCAAUGCUACAUACUGCUAUGCCUAAACAUGGCUUAGAUUGAAGUGAAGGCAACAUGUGGUGCAUGUCGAAAGUAAUACUAAUCCUAACUUGAUCAAGUUUGGAUUGUACUACUUUCGACACGCACCACAUGCAUGUUGCCUUCACUUCAAUCCAAUCCAUGUUCAUUUCACCCGCUGAUAUAUAAUAACUCUUCAUGCGCGCAUCAUGCAUCAUCAUAUAUAAUAACAAGUCCUACUAAUCAUCAUCAUACAACUUCUACUCGUUAUUAAUAACAAGUCAUACGAUCAUCAUCCUCACAGUCAUCGAACCAACCCUACUUAAUUGUUCUUAGCACAUGAUCAUCAGUAUUAGGUAGGACCGAAAUACCCUCUUUAAUGUAAAAUAGCAUAAAACAAUAUAGACCCUGACUCUCCAUUAUGGAGAAUGGAGAUCAUCCUGUCUCCAAUUCUUGCGCUUCGCUUCCUUUUGCUUCCAAGAACCUCCUUGCGACUGUCCAUACAUUUUUUCCAUUCUUUGAUUUGCAUGUCUCCACUUCUUUUAGAAAUCCAGUAUGGACAGUUGAGAUUCGUAGGAUGACCUGGUUGUAUAUUCAAAACAUCAAGCCUACCAUUCUGAUACAUCAAAUGAGGCACACAAUCCUCUAGGAUUAUCUGUUGAAAAAAAUAGUAAUAACUUCAUAGUUAGCAAUGAUGUGCUAGUUUUAGAACUAUGCAAAAUAUGCGCGGAUGUCGUAAUAGUAAGAAAUCUUACCAGGGUAUCUCCAUAGUAGUUACCGUAGUUCAACACGUGCACUAGUGGCACGUAUUGACCAUAAUGUUGAGGAGUUUGAUUGUAGAUAUUGUAAUUCUCAAUAUCAGUACAAAAUCCGACCAGAUGAGUUUUCUCCUUAUAAGUUAACUCAGAGCCAUCGGUGUAGUAGGUUCUGUCUACCAUGUUCCGCACAUUGUUUGAACAAUCAAAAUAAGCUGUCAAUGAAAAUAAGCUGUCAACUAUUUUGAAAUGAACAAUAUAAAUUAGCUAAUAACUAUGUUUGAGAAACUCACAUAGCGGUAGAAUUGGAGGCGUAUCAACAAGGGCCCAAAUGUCCAUAUUGUCUUGCUCGAUGUCAGGAUCACCAAGAUCCAUGGUGACAAGCAUACCCUCAUCAAAACCAUACAUCUUGCAAAAUGCUUCCCAAUUUUUGCAACCAAAUGGGUUACGCUCUCAGAAUUAUACAGCUUUACUUCAAAAUCUAUAUCAUGAUGGGUCCUUAGGUGAAUUUUAUUUGUUUCCAUACUUUCAUGGUCUUCAAAACCCAUCCUCUCCAAGACGUAGCGUCUUGCAUGGCAUGGGAUAAGCUAGCCGAAUUGUAAAAGAUGAAAAGUACACGUUGAAAUAGUUGAAGUCGUGCUUAAUUACGAAAAAAUAACACUUGUCGUCGUUGCGUACCGUUUCAACAUCGAAGGUCUCCUCCAGCUUAAUACUGAAGCGCCGAUCUUCGUCCAGGUGAGGCCUGUCGCACUGACCUCGGUCGUCGUGGCACCAGUCGCACUCCCCCGGGAGACUUUCGUCGUCCGAGUACGACAUUUCCUAUGUUCAUAAUUCAAAUAUUAAACAUCUACAAUUAAAUAUAUGUACUAAAAAACCUAAGUUAGAUCAUUAUUAUUCAUCAUGGGUUGACUAUCGGUUUGUCGAGUCUUUUCUUGAAAACUCUCAGCUCACGUGGUGUAUACAUUCGACCGUUGGUGAUGGUCGCUCCUCCAUUUGUCCCCGUGUGCAUUACACCAAAAUGUCUAGCACACGGGAACAAAGGAAGAAGCGACCCCCACGACAACAGUCGGGAUUCUUCGUCCUCUCAUAUGUAUAUGGUGGAACUCUCCCUCACUGAUUCCUCUCUGACAUUUGCGACCGUCGGUGAUGGUAGCUCCUCCUUUCGUUCUCGAGUGCAUUACACCAAAUUGUCUAGCACACGGGAACGAAGGAGAAGCUACCCCCACGUCAACAGUCGGGAUUCUUCGUCCUCUCAUAUAUGGUGGAGACUCGACAGACUUACAGUCAACCCGAAAUAUCGUUUAAUUAUCUUUCUAAAAGAGGAUUUGGCUGGUCUCACCUCGAUGUCGGAGGGGGCGGUGACGGGGACGACGGCGGGGAUGAUGGAGGGGCCGGGGGCUCCUAGAUUUCUGCGAAAACAAAAACCCUGUAAGCUAUCAACUAAUCAUAGUGCUCUCCAAUUUUAGCAUUCAAAGUAGGAUCGGAGUAGUUUUCCACUUUGAGCAUUCAAUAAACAAAAUCAAAUCACAAAAUAAAGUAGUAUUCAAAUUAGGAUGCAUUCAAUUAUAAGCAAAACUACAUCAUCUCCAUGCGUCCGUACAUCGUCGAAUAUUAUCACUAAUACACCUCGAAUACUAUCAUACAUAUAGCAUCGCUAGUACAGCUAGAACAGUAGCGCCCGACAGGUAUCGGCGCGGGCGGUGGACACCCAAAGGGACGGAACCAUCAUAGGAUCAUAGCUCCAGUGAGAUCCGUGAAGAACCUGCCAGGUAUUGUCGAACCUGCCCUCCAACGCAACCAUGUAGCGACGGACGUGCUGGUCCUCCUCGCUGACACGGUGACGUACCACCUCCGCGGUGUCCGGAAGCCUCGGCACCGUCACUGGCCCACGCGAGCGCCACCAAACAAGGAUCGGGUCAACGACGGGCUGGUUCCUCACCAACCUACGCCCACCGGAAGGUAGCACCUCCCAAAACCAGCCCGGCGGAGCCCAGUCCCGGACAUGGCCCCUCUGAUCAAGCCGGCCUCCUACGCCGAGUCGACGACGAGGAUGCGGGAUAGGCAUCGUCGACGUCGAUGCGGGAAUAAUUGCUUUAACUAAAAAAACAAACUAGUUCUAUUAAUUUCCUUGCUAAAAAUAAACAACUUCUAUAGUAAAAUAAACUAGUUUUGUUAAAUCAGCUAGUUCAACUACUAAUUAAGAACUUACUAUAAAUAAAAUAAAGUAGUUUUAUUAAUUAAUCAACUAGUUCAACUACUAAGCACUUACUAUAAAUAAAUAAAAUAAAGUAGUUCUUACUAAAAAUAAACUACUUCUAUAUAUAGUAAAAUUUAAUAAAAUAGUUCUAUUAAUUAAUCAACUAAUUCAACUACUAAGUACUAACCUAAAAUCGAUAUGUACUAAUAAUUAACCUCAAUAAAAAAUUGUAUGAACAUUAUAUUCAUACAUACAUAGCCACAUCCAUUCAUCAUAUAGCUACCACAUACAUAUAUAUAUAUACAUUAUAUAUAUGGAAAAAUGCAAUGAACAAAAAAAUAAUACAGAUUAUAUGAAAAAGAUAAACAGAGCGGUGGCGUGGCGGCGNNNNNNNNNNNNNNNNNNNNNNNNNNNNNNNNNNNNNNNNNNNNNNNNNNNNNNNNNNNNNNNNNNNNNNNNNNNNNNNNNNNNNNNNNNNNNNNNNNNNNNNNNNNNNNNNNNNNNNNNNNNNNNNNNNNNNNNNNNNNNNNNNNNNNNNNNNNNNNNNNNNNNNNNNNNNNNNNNNNNNNNNNNNNNNNNNNNNNNNNNNNNNNNNNNNNNNNNNNNNNNNNNNNNNNNNNNNNNNNNNNNNNNNNNNNNNNNNNNNNNNNNNNNNNNNNNNNNNNNNNNNNNNNNNNNNNNNNNNNNNNNNNNNNNNNNNNNNNNNNNNNNNNNNNNNNNNNNNNNNNNNNNNNNNNNNNNNNNNNNNNNNNNNNNNNNNNNNNNNNNNNNNNNNNNNNNNNNNNNNNNNNNNNNNNNNNNNNNNNNNNNNNNNNNNNNNNNNNNNNNNNNNNNNNNNNNNNNNNNNNNNNNNNNNNNNNNNNNNNNNNNNNNNNNNNNNNNNNNNNNNNNNNNNNNNNNNNNNNNNNNNNNNNNNNNNNNNNNNNNNNNNNNNNNNNNNNNNNNNNNNNNNNNNNNNNNNNNNNNNNNNNNNNNNNNNGACGGCGAUGGGCGAUGGCGUGGGCUCGGGGGCACGGGCGACGGCGACGGCGGCGGGGCAGCCUGGCGGCGUAGAUCGAGCUCACGGCGUCGUCGGGCGGGGGGAAACUGGCGAUGGAAAUCCGAAAAUUUCCUAAGUGCUGGCUUAUAUAGCAAAGGCUUUGGUCCCGGUUCAAGGCACAAACCGGAACCAAUACCCACCCUUUAGUCCCGGUUGGUGGCACCAACCGGGACCAAAGGCCUCUUUUCACCAGCGCAAAGGGCGGGAAGCAGAGGGCUUUGGUCCCGGUUGGUGGCACCAACCGGGACCAAAGGGGAGCAUUGGUUCCGGUUGGAGCCACCAACCAGGACUAAUGUGCUGGCGCGGUGCGGUGGGAAGUUUAGUCCCACCUCGCUAGCUGAGACAGCUUAGCACCUGUUUAUAAGCUGUGUUGCAGCUCAGGUGCUGAGCUCCUCUCUAAUAUGCACGCAUUACAUGCCUACCCUUGUCACUGCCAUGUUGGGCCUAUUGGGCCUGCGGGCCUGCAUCCUGGCCCAUGUGCAGAUGGGUUUCUAGUCGUAUGCAGGCCGUGUGGCCCAUUAGGCGGCAUUUUUUUAUUUUUUUCCAGUAUUUUUUUCUUUUUUGAAUUAUUUAUUUUCUUUUGAUUUUUGCUUUAUUUUUUUAUUCUUUUGCUUUUAACUCAGAAUAAUUAUAAACUUUCUGUUACUCCAUUAGUUUCCAAAUUUGAAUAGUUUAAAUUUUAAUUCUUUACGAAAAUACUAGAGGUUUAUAAAAGCUUUUUAGUUGAUUCCUUUUGCUAUUAGAGUUUAUAAAAGCAUAUCAAAUGAACUUUGAAAAGGUUGAAAGUUUGCAUGGUAUCAUCAUUUCAUCCACAUAGCAUGUUCAAGAAAGUUGAGAGGGUUACGACAAAAACUGGAUGCACUUUGUGUACAAAACGGACAAUCUCUUUAAAAGUAUCAGGAUUUCAUCCGGAAACUCGUCUGUUACAAAGGGAUUUUAUUUUUUAAUACUUAUUUGAACUCCUGAAUUUUUGUGUGUUCAAAAUGCACCAUUCAAAGCCACAUCAUCAUUUUUCAAUCCUUUCUGACUUCAUUUGUUAUUUUUCAUGCAUUUACUAAUUAUUUUGAGCUAUAAGACCCUAAAAUUGAAAAGCAUUUCAAAUGAACUCUGAUAAGGUUGAAAGUUGGCANNNNNNNNNNUUUGAACUCCUGACUUUUUGUGUGUUCAAAAUGCACCAUUCAAAGCCACAUCAUCAUUUUUCAAUCCUUUCUGACUUCAUUUGUUAUUUUUCAUGCAUUUACUAAUUAUUUUGAGCUAUAAGACCCUAAAAUUGAAAAGCAUUUCAAAUGAACUCUGAUAAGGUUGAAAGUUGGCAUGGUAUCAUCAUUUCAUCCACAUAGCAUGUGCAAGAAAGAUGAGAGGGUCCCGGCAAAAACUGGAUGCGCUUCGUGUACAAAACGGACAAUCUCUUUCAAAGCAACAGGAUUUCAUACGGAAACUCGUCUGUUACAAAGGGAUUUCAUUUUUUAAAACUUAUUUGAACUCCUGACUUUUUGUUUGUUCAAAAUGCACCAUUCAAAGCCACAUCAUCAUUUUUCAAUCCUUUCUGACNNNNNNNNNNUUCUGACUUCAUUUGUUAUUUUUCAUGCAUUUACUAAUUAUUUUGAGCUAUAAGACCCUAAAAUUGAAAAGCAUUUCAAAUGAACUCUGAUAAGGUUGAAAGUUGGCAUGGUAUCAUCAUUUCAUCCACAUAGCAUGUGCAAGAAAGUUGAGAGGGUUACGGCAAAAACUGGAUGCACUUUGUGUACAAAACGGACAAUCUCUUUCAAAGUAUCAAGAUUUCAUCCGGAAACUCGUCUGUUACAAAGGGAUUUCAUUUUUUAAUACUUAUUUGAACUCCUGACUUUUUGUGUGUUCAAAAUGCACCAUUCAAAGCCACAUCAUCAUUUUUCAAUCCUUUCUGACUUCAUUUGUUAUUUUUCAUGCAUGUACUAAUUAUUUUGAGCUAUAAAACCCUCAAAUUGAAAAGCAUUUCAAAUGAACUCUGAAAAGGUUGAAAGUUGGCAUGGUAUCAUCAUUUCAUCCACAUAGCAUGUGCAAGAAAGUUGAGAGGGUUACGGCAAAAACUGGAUGCACUUCGUGUACAAAACGGACAAUCUCUUUCAAAGUAUCAGGAUUUCAUCCGGAAACACGUCUGUUACAAAGGGAUUUCAUUUUUUUAAUACUUAUUUGAACUCCUCACUUUUUGUGUGUUCAAAAUGCUCCAUUCAAAGCCACAUCAUCAUUUUUCAAUCCUUUCUGACUUCAUUUGUUAUUUUUCAUUCAUUUACUAAUUAUUUUGAGCUAUAAGACCCUAAAAUUGAAAAGCAUUUCAAAUGAACUCUGAAAAGGUUGAAAGUUGGCAUGGUAUCAUCAUUUCAUCCACAUAGCANNNNNNNNNNNNNNNNNNNNNNNNNNNNNNNNNNNNNNNNNNNNNNNNNNNNNNNNNNNNNNNNNNNNNNNNNNNNNNNNNNNNNNNNNNNNNNNNNNNNNNNNNNNNNNNNNNNNNNNNNNNNNNNNNNNNNNNNNNNNNNNNNNNNNNNNNNNNNNNNNNNNNNNNNNNNNNNNNNNNNNNNNNNNNNNNNNNNNNNNNNNNNNNNNNNNNNNNNNNNNNNNNNNNNNNNNNNNNNNNNNNNNNNNNNNNNNNNNNNNNNNNNNNNNNNNNNNNNNNNNNNNNNNNNNNNNNNNNNNNNNNNNNNNNNNNNNNNNNNNNNNNNNNNNNNNNNNNNNNNNNNNNNNNNNNNNNNNNNNNNNNNNNNNNNNNNNNNNNNNNNNNNNNNNNNNNNNNNNNNNNNNNNNNNNNNNNNNNNNNNNNNNNNNNNNNNNNNNNNNNNNNNNNNNNNNNNNNNNNNNNNNNNNNNNNNNNNNNNNNNNNNNNNNNNNNNNNNNNNNNNNNNNNNNNNNNNNNNNNNNNNNNNNNNNNNNNNNNNNNNNNNNNNNNNNNNNNNNNNNNNNNNNNNNNNNNNNNNNNNNNNNNNNNNNNNNNNNNNNNNNNNNNNNNNNNNNNNNNNNNNNNNNNNNNNNNNNNNNNNNNNNNNNNNNNNNNNNNNNNNNNNNNNNNNNNNNNNNNNNNNNNNNNNNNNNNNNNNNNNNNNNNNNNNNNNNNNNNNNNNNNNNNNNNNNNNNNNNNNNNNNNNNNNNNNNNNNNNNNNNNNNNNNNNNNNNNNNNNNNNNNNNNNNNNNNNNNNNNNNNNNNNNNNNNNNNNNNNNNNNNNNNNNNNNNNNNNNNNNNNNNNNNNNNNNNNNNNNNNNNNNNNNNNNNNNNNNNNNNNNNNNNNNNNNNNNNNNNNNNNNNNNNNNNNNNNNNNNNNNNNNNNNNNNNNNNNNNNNNNNNNNNNNNNNNNNNNNNNNNNNNNNNNNNNNNNNNNNNNNNNNNNNNNNNNNNNNNNNNNNNNNNNNNNNNNNNNNNNNNNNNNNNNNNNNNNNNNNNNNNNNNNNNNNNNNNNNNNNNNNNNNNNNUAAUUAUUUUGAGCUAUAAGACCCUAAAAUUGAAAAGCAUAUCAAAUGAACUCUGAAAAGGUUGAAAGUUGGCAUGGUAUCAUCAUUUCACCACAUAGCAUGUGCAAGAAAGGUGAGAGGGGUACGGCAAAAACUGGAUGCACUUCGUGUACAAAACGGACAAUCUCUUUCAAAGUAUCAGGAUUUCAUCCGGAAACUCGUCUGUUACAAAGGGAUUUCAUUUUUAAUACUUAUUUGAACUCCUGACAUUUUGUGUGUUCAAAAUGCACCAUUCAAAGCCACAUCGUCAUUUUUCAAUCCUUUCUGACUUCAUUUGUUAUUUUACAUGCAUUUACUAAUUAUUUUAAGCUAUAAGACCCUAAAAUUGAAAAGCAUAUCAAAUGAACUCUGAAAAUGUUGAAAGUUGGCAUGAUUUCAUCAUUUCAUCCACAUAGCAUGUGCAAGAAAGUUGAGAGGGUUACGGCAAAAACUGCAUGCACUUCGUGUACAAAACGGACAAUCUCUUUCAAAGUAUCAGGAUUUCAUCUGGAAACUCAUCUGUUACAAAGGGAUUUCAUUUUUUAAUACUUAUUUGAACUCCUGACUUUUUGUGUGUUCAAAAUGCACCAUUCAAAGCCACAUCAUCAUUUUUCAGUCCUUUCUGACUUCAUUUGUUAUUUUUCAUGCAUGUACUAAUUAUUUUGAGCUAUAAGACCCUAAAAUUGAAAAGCAUUUCAAAUGAACUCUGAAAAGGAUGAAAGUUCGCAUGGUAUCAUCAUUUCAUCCNNNNNNNNNNNNNNNNNNNNNNNNNNNNNNNNNNNNNNNNNNNNNNNNNNNNNNNNNNNNNNNNNNNNNNNNNNNNNNNNNNNNNNNNNNNNNNNNNNNNNNNNNNNNNNNNNNNNNNNNNNNNNNNNNNNNNNNNNNNNNNNNNNNNNNNNNNNNNNNNNNNNNNNNNNNNNNNNNNNNNNNNNNNNNNNNNNNNNNNNNNNNNNNNNNNNNNNNNNNNNNNNNNNNNNNNNNNNNNNNNNNNNNNNNNNNNNNNNNNNNNNNNNNNNNNNNNNNNNNNNNNNNNNNNNNNNNNNNNNNNNNNNNNNNNNNNNNNNNNNNNNNNNNNNNNNNNNNNNNNNNNNNNNNNNNNNNNNNNNNNNNNNNNNNNNNNNNNNNNNNNNNNNNNNNNNNNNNNNNNNNNNNNNNNNNNNNNNNNNNNNNNNNNNNNNNNNNNNNNNNNNNNNNNNNNNNNNNNNNNNNNNNNNNNNNNNNNNNNNNNNNNNNNNNNNNNNNNNNNNNNNNNNNNNNNNNNNNNNNNNNNNNNNNNNNNNNNNNNNNNNNNNNNNNNNNNNNNNNNNNNNNNNNNNNNNNNNNNNNNNNNNNNNNNNNNNNNNNNNNNNNNNNNNNNNNNNNNNNNNNNNNNNNNNNNNNNNNNNNNNNNNNNNNNNNNNNNNNNNNNNNNNNNNNNNNNNNNNNNNNNNNNNNNNNNNNNNNNNNNNNNNNNNNNNNNNNNNNNNNNNNNNNNNNNNNNNNNNNNNNNNNNNNNNNNNNNNNNNNNNNNNNNNNNNNNNNNNNNNNNNNNNNNNNNNNNNNNNNNNNNNNNNNNNNNNNNNNNNNNNNNNNNNNNNNNNNNNNNNNNNNNNNNNNNNNNNNNNNNNNNNNNNNNNNNNNNNNNNNNNNNNNNNNNNNNNNNNNNNNNNNNNNNNNNNNNNNNNNNNNNNNNNNNNNNNNNNNNNNNNNNNNNNNNNNNNNNNNNNNNNNNNNNNNNNNNNNNNNNNNNNNNNNNNNNNNNNNNNNNNNNNNNNNNNNNNNNNNNNNNNNNNNNNNNNNNNNNNNNNNNNNNNNNNNNNNNNNNNNNNNNNNNNNNNNNNNNNNNNNNNNNNNNNNNNNNNNNNNNNNNNNNNNNNNNNNNNNNNNNNNNNNNNNNNNNNNNNNNNNNNNNNNNNNNNNNNNNNNNNNNNNNNNNNNNNNNNNNNNNNNNNNNNNNNNNNNNNNNNNNNNNNNNNNNNNNNNNNNNNNNNNNNNNNNNNNNNNNNNNNNNNNNNNNNNNNNNNNNNNNNNNNNNNNNNNNNNNNNNNNNNNNNNNNNNNNNNNNNNNNNNNNNNNNNNNNNNNNNNNNNNNNNNNNNNNNNNNNNNNNNNNNNNNNNNNNNNNNNNNNNNNNNNNNNNNNNNNNNNNNNNNNNNNNNNNNNNNNNNNNNNNNNNNNNNNNNNNNNNNNNNNNNNNNNNNNNNNNNNNNNNNNNNNNNNNNNNNNNNNNNNNNNNNNNNNNNNNNNNNNNNNNNNNNNNNNNNNNNNNNNNNNNNNNNNNNNNNNNNNNNNNNNNNNNNNNNNNNNNNNNNNNNNNNNNNNNNNNNNNNNNNNNNNNNNNNNNNNNNNNNNNNNNNNNNNNNNNNNNNNNNNNNNNNNNNNNNNNNNNNNNNNNNNNNNNNNNNNNNNNNNNNNNNNNNNNNNNNNNNNNNNNNNNNNNNNNNNNNNNNNNNNNNNNNNNNNNNNNNNNNNNNNNNNNNNNNNNNNNNNNNNNNNNNNNNNNNNNNNNNNNNNNNNNNNNNNNNNNNNNNNNNNNNNNNNNNNNNNNNNNNNNNNNNNNNNNNNNNNNNNNNNNNNNNNNNNNNNNNNNNNNNNNNNNNNNNNNNNNNNNNNNNNNNNNNNNNNNNNNNNNNNNNNNNNNNNNNNNNNNNNNNNNNNNNNNNNNNNNNNNNNNNNNNNNNNNNNNNNNNNNNNNNNNNNNNNNNNNNNNNNNNNNNNNNNNNNNNNNNNNNNNNNNNNNNNNNNNNNNNNNNNNNNNNNNNNNNNNNNNNNNNNNNNNNNNNNNNNNNNNNNNNNNNNNNNNNNNNNNNNNACUGGAUGCACUUCGUGUACAAAACGGACAAUCUCUUUCAAAGUAUCAGGAUUUCAUCCGGAAACUCGUCUGUUACAAAGGGAUUUCAUUUUUUAAUACUUAUUUGAACUCCUGACUUUUUGUGUGUUCAAAAUGCACCAUUCAAAGCCACAUCAUCAUUUUUCAAUCCUUUCUGACUUCAUUUGUUAUUUUUCAUGCAUUUACUAAUUAUUUUGAGCUAUAAGACCCUAAAAUUGAAAAGCAUUUCAAAUGAACUCUGAAAAGGUUGAAAGUUGGCAUGGUAUCAUCAUUUCAUCCACAUGGCAUGUGCAAGAAAGUUGAGAGGGUUACGGCAAAAACUGGAUGCACUUCGUGUACAAAAUGGACAAUCUCUUUCAAAGUAUCAGGAUUUCAUACGGAAACUCGUCUGUUACAAAGGGAUUUCAUUUUUUAAAACUUAUUUGAACUCCUGACUUUUUGUGUGUUCAAAAUGCACCAUUCAAAGCAUAGACUGAUUUUGAAUGGUGCAUAUUCAACACACAAAAAGUCUGUAAAGAUCGCCAACCCCAACAUAAAAAAAUGAGCAUAGAUGCGCUUAUAGAGAACAUUCAACCUAAAUUCAUAAUAAAUUUCUAUGAAUUUCAGAGAAACUCACUCUGAAUUUAGGCCAAAUUCCCUGUAUAAGGGCAUCUAUUUUCAUUUUGAGAGGAGCUCAACAAGGCAGAGAGGGACGUGUUUUUUUUCUCUUUUGCUUUAUUUGUUUUGUUUUGUAGAGGUGCCAGAGCUCGAAGCAAAAAUAGAGAUGAAAAUAAUUUUGAGAGGUAUGCUUUCAUUGUCAACAUAACGACCAAGAGUUCCCAAUAUCUUCCAUACUACAUACAUUAUAGGCGGUUCCCACGCAGAAAGGUAAAUUUUUUACUCCCCCUCCACCAACAUUCACACUCCACGGCUUGUCCGAAACAACGGGUGCCGUCCAAUUAUCAACAUUCCUAGGGGAGUUUUGUUUAAAUUAUUUGCGAAUUUGUUUUUGAUCUUUUGAUCAUAGGACUGGGCAUCCCAGUUACCAGCCAUUUUCUCGUGAAUGAUGAGCGGAGUCCACUCAUCGUGAGAAUAACCCACCUAGCAUGGAAGAUGCUGCUAGCCCCUAGUCGCUACAAGAGCGUUUCAUGCAUACAAAACAGAUUAUUAUUUGAAGGUUUAGAGUUUGGCACAUGCAAAUUUACUUGGAACGGCAGGUAAAUACCGCAUAUAGGUAGAUAUGGUGGACACUCAUGGAAGAAACUUGGUUCAAGGAAUUUGGAUGCACAAGCAGUAUUCCCGCUUAGUGCAGAUAUUUUGGCUAGCAAAGGAUUCUAAAUAGCAAGCACCACAUGUUAGAGGAUCCAUAACAAUAUAACUUCUAUACAAAUACACCCAAGCAUAACUCAUUAUGUUGUCUUCCUUGUCAACUUCAACUAAUUUGCUCAGGUUUGAAAAUAAUUAAUGGGGCUCACAAUCAUAGAAUAUGUCCAAGAUAGUAUAUUUAUAUGUGAAAUCUCUCUUCCUUCAAUAUUCUUUCAUGAAUUGUUCAAGUGACCAAUACAAUGUUUGCUAACCUUCAAUAAAUUUACCACCUCUACUUCUUAUAUGUAAAGUCAUUACUCCCCAUGGGAUAAGCAUAUGAAACAUAUAUAAUUUCAUAUUUAUGACAUUCAAAUCAUUCAACCAUUUACUCAUAGGAUAUAAGUGAAGCACACGAGUAAAUGACAAACUACUCCAAAGAGAUAUAAGUGAAGAUCAAUGAGUAGUUAAAUAAUUAUGUAGCUAUGUGAAGACUCUCUCUCAUUUAAGAAUUUCAGAUCUUGGUAUUUUAUUCAAACAGCAAGCAAAACAAAAUAAAACAACAUUUCAAGGAUAGCACUCAUCAUGUGAAGAAGCAAAAACUUAGGCUCAACCGAUACUAACCGAUAAUUGUUGAAGAAGAAAGGUGGGAUGCCUACCGGGGCAUCCCCAAGCUUAGAUGCUUGAGACUUCUUGGAAUAUUAUCUUGGGGUGCCUUGGGCAUCCCCAAGCUUGAGCUUUUGUGUCUCCUUAAUUCCUCUUAUAUCACGGUUUCCUAAAUCUCGAAAACUUCAUCCACACCAAACUCAACAAGAACUCGUGAGAUAAGUUAGUAUAAACCAAUGCAAAAACCUUAUCAUUUUCUACUGUAACAAAUCACUUAAAUUGUUAUUCAACGUUGCAUACUAAAUGCCUCUGCAUAUUUAAUAGUCCUAUCCUCAAAUAGAAUCAUUAAACAAGCAAACAUAUGCAAACAAUGCAAACAUAACAGCAAUCUGCCUAAACAGGACAGUCUGUAAAGAAUGCAGCAAGAUUCAUACUUCCCUAGCUCCAAAAAUUAUGAAAUAAAAUUCCCACUGUAGUAAAUUUAUCAGAGCUUAUUAUGAAAAAUGUUUCAACAUUUUAUCACAUUCUGAAUUUUCUAGGGAAUUUUUGCAACAGCGGUAAACUUUCUGUUUUGAAACAGCAACAUGUAUACUUGCAAAAUAAGCAUGGUAAAGGCUAUCCUUGACAUUUUUAUUGAAAAUAGAGAUGCAAAAAAUUAUUCUAAAUAACAGCAAGCAAAUACUAACAAAAGAAAAUGACGCUCCAAGCAAAACACAUAUCAUGUGGUGAAUAAAAAUAUAGCUCCGAGUAAAAUUACCGAUGAACGAAGACGAAAGAGGGGAUGCCAUCUGGGGCAUCCCCAAGCUUAGGCUCUUGGUUGUCCUUGAAUAUUACCUUGGGGUGCCUUGGGCAUCCCCAAGCUUAGUCUGUUGCCACCCCUUAUUCUAUAGUCCAUCGAAUCUUUACCCAAAACUUGAAAACUUCACAACACAAAACUCAACAGAAAACUCGUAAGCUCCGUUAGUAUAAGAAAAUAAAUCACCACUUAGGUACUGUUGUGAACUCAUUCUAAAUUCAUAUUGGUGUAAUAUAUACUGUAUCCAACUUCUCUAUGGUUCAUACCCUCCGAUACUACUCAUAGAUUCAUAAAAAUAAGCAAACAACACUUAGAAAACAGAAUCUGUCAAAAACAGAACAGUCUGUAGUAAUCUGUAUCAAACGUAUACUUCUGGAACUCCAAAAAUUCUAAAAUAAACUGGUGGACCUGAGGAAUUUGUCUAUUAAUCAUAUGCAAAAAUAAUCAACUAAAUAUCACUCUCCAGUAAAAAGUUUUAGCUAAUCUCGUGAACGCUAAAGUUUCUGUUUUUUACAGCAUGAUCAUAAAGACUUCACCCAAGUCUUCCCAAAGGUUCUACUUGGCACAAACACUAAUUAAAACAAAAAACCACAUCUAAACAGAAUCUAGAUGGAUUAUUUAUUCCUAAACAUAACCAAAAAGCAAGAAACUAAAAUAAAAUUGGGUUGCCUCCCAACAAGCGCUAACGUUUAACACCCCUAGCUAGGCAUGAUGAUUUCAAUGAUGCUCACAUAAAAGAUAAGAGUUGAAACAUAAAUAGAGCGUCAUGAAACACAUGGAAAGUGCAUUUAAGUCUAACCCACUUCCUAUGCAUAGGGAUUUUGUGAGAAAACAACUUAUGGGAACAAUAAUCAGCUAGCAUAGGAAGGCAAAACAAGCAUAACUUCAAAACUUUAAGCACAUAGAGAGGAAACUUGAUAUUAUUGCAAUUCCUACAAGCAUAUAUUCCUCCCUCAUAAUAAUUUUCAGUAGCAUCAUGAAUGAAUUCAACAAUAUAACCAGCACCUAAUUAAAGCAUUCUUUUCAUGAUCUAGCAGCAUAGAAAUUUUAUUACUCUCCACAAAAGCAAAUUUGUUCUCAUGAAUAGUAGUGGGAGCAAACUCAACAAAAUAACUAUCAUGUGAAGCAUAAUCCAAUUGAAAAUUAAAAUCAUGAUGACAAGUUUCAUGGUUAUCUUUAUUCUUUAUAGCAUACGUGUCAUCACAAUAAUCAUCAUAAAUAGGAGGCAUGCUUUCAUCAUAAUAAUUUUGCUCAUCAAAAAUUGGGGGACAAAAAAUAUCAUCUUCAUCAAACAUAGCUUCCCCAAGCUUGUGGCUUUGCAUAUCAUUAGCAUCAUGGGUAUUCAAUGAAUUCAUACUAACAACAUUUCAAUCAUGCUCAUCAUUCAAAAAUUUAGUGCCAAACAUUUUAAUGCAUUCUUCCUCUAGCAAUUGAGCACAAUUAUCGGAAUCCUUAUUUUCACGGAAGACAUUAAAAAGAUGAAGCAUAUGAGGCACCCACAAUUCCAUUUUUUUGUAGUUUUCUUUUAUAAACUAAACUAGUGAUAAAACAAGAAACUAAAAGAUUAUAUUGCAAGAUCUAAAGAUAUACCUUGAAGCACUCACCUCCCCGGCAACGGCGCCAGAAAAGAGCUUAGUUGACGGGGUGUGAGUGCCGCUUACCUAGACUCCCCGGCAACAGCGCGAGAAAAGAGCUUGAUGUCUACUACGCAACCUUCUUCUUGUAGACGUUGUUGGGCCUCCAAGUGCAGAGGUUUGUAGGAAAGUAGCAAAUUUCCCUCAAGUGGAUGACCUAAGGUUUAUCAGUCCGUGGGAGGUGUAGGAUGAAGAUGGUCUCUCUCAAGGAACCCUGCAACCAAAUAACAAAGAGUCUCUUGUGUCGCCAACACACCCAAUACAAUGGUAAAUUGUAUAGGUGCACUAGUUUGGCGAAGAGAUGGUGAUACAAGUGCAAUAUGGAUGGUAGAUAUAGGUUUUUGUAAUCUGAAAAUAUAAAAACAGCAAGGUAGCAAGCGAUAAAAGUGAGCACAAAUGGUAUUGCAAUGCUAGUAAACAAGGCCUAGGGUUCAUACUUUCACUAGUGCAAGUUCUCUCAACAAUAAUAACAUAAUUGGAUCAUAUAACUAUCCCUCAAGAUGCAACAAAGAGUCACUCCAAAGCCACUAAUAGCGGAGAAUAAACGAAGAGAUUAUGGUAGGGUACGAAACCACCUCAAAGUUAUUCUUUCGGAUCGAUCUAUUCAAGAGUUCGUACUAGAAUAACACCUCAAGACACAUAUCAACCAAAACCCUAAUGUCACCUAGAUACUCCAAUGUCACCUCAAGUAUCCGUGGGUAUGAUUAUACGGUAUGCAUCACACAAUCUCAGAUUCAUCUAUUCAAACCAACACAAAGUACUUCAAAGAGUGCCCCAAAGUUUCUACCGGAGAGUCAAGAAGAAAACCUGUGCCAACCCCUAUGCAUAGGUUCAUGGGAGGAACCCGCAAGUUGAUCACCAAAACAUACGUCAAGUCGAUCACGUGAUAUCCCAUUGUCACCACAGAUAAGCACGGCAAGACAGACAUCAAGUGUUCUCAAAUCCUUAAAGACUCAAUCCGAUAAGAUAACUUCAAAGGGAAAACUCAAUCCACUACAAGAGAGUAGAGGGGGAGAAACAUCAUAAGAUCCAACUAUAAUAGCAAAGCUCGCGAUACAUCAAGAAUGUACCACCUCAAGAACACGAGAGAGAGAGAGAGAUCAAACACAUAGCUACUGGUACAUACCCUCAGCCCCGAGGGUGAACUACCCCCUCCUCGUCAUGGAGAGCACCGGGAUGAUGAAGAUGGCCACCGGUGAGGGAUCCCCCCUCCGGCAGGGUGCCGGAAUAGGGUCCCGAUUGGUUUUUGGUGGCUACAGAGGCUUGCGGCGGCGGAACUCCCGAUCUAUUCUGUUUUCUGGAGGUUUCAGUAUUUAUAGGAUUUUUUGGCGUAGGUCUCAUGUCAGGGCGGUCUCCGGGUUGUUCACGAGGCAGGGGCCCACGCCCAGGGGGGUGGGCGCGCCCCCCACCCUCGUGGGCAGCCCCGGACUCUCCUGGCCCAACUCUUUUACUCCGGGGGUUUCUUUUGGUCCAGAAAAAAUCAACAAAAAUUGGCACGUCAAUUGGACUCCGUUUGUUUUUCCUUUUUUGCAAAACUUUAAAACAAGGAAAAAACAGAAACUGGCACUGGGCUCUAGGUUAAUAGGUUAGUCCCAAAAAUCAUAUAAAAUAGCAUAUAAAUGCAUAUAAAACAUCCUAGAAGGAUAAUAUAAUAGCAUGAAUACUUCAUAAAUUAUAGAUACGUUGGAGACGUAUCAGUGUUCGGAAAAGCAUUGAAUCACUCUUUAUCCAACGUCUCGGUCCAUGAAGGAGGUGAUAAUGCGGCAAACCAGGCAAUCGGACUAUAGGGCGUUAACACUUUCACUUAGCCAUACGAGUUUUAUGGCGGGGCUACGACAUAGCCCCUAGUAUGUAUGCGGCGUAUUAUAAUUUUUGUGCCUUACAUGUUUUGAUAUGAAAAAGAUCCUUCGUGUGACACGGAGAAUCGCUAAAGAUUCGAAUAAGUCGUCAAGUGGUUGACCAGCUCUCACCACAUCAUGAUAGUCAGUUUUCGGCUUUCUCUACUGAGGCGCUCAUCCGGUCAAAGCCAGUGCAGAAUCGCAGUAGUUCUCACUUUACUACCCUAGCCGAUAGAGCGGAACAUAGGGUAGGAAGCACAGGAGCAGGGCAACCCAACUAUUGACCAAAGACAAUGAUUCGGAGCUGAUGCAUAUAGGGCCAAACUUGCGACGUCGAAGUAAGCUAUAGAGUUGUUCGGACUUUUAUUGGCGACUCAUUUGUUCCCAUACCGAGCCCCUGGCAGGUUAUGCCAAGGUGCGUCUUGUAACACAGCCGUUAGGGCCUUACUCAUUGUAGUAAGAGUACGGAGAAUUAGUUCGGAUAUAGUUUACUGGGAGUGGAGCAACAAGCCAAUGAUAAAUUCGUAUAUGGAAAGGAAAAACCACAACCCGGCUAUUUGACAUGCUCGGGGUCGGGGAUGGAGGAAAAAAGGCAUAGUACAGGCUCAGAAUAAAGAGUGCGGUCUACAAAAAGCUGUUUUGGACCUCCUGUCGCACGUCUGCGCCGCCCGUCCUCGGGGAGGGGAGUCCUUAACGGAAGUAGCCCCUUAGGUGAAUGUACGGAUCCGAACUCCGAUAGAGUCCGUUGUAGAUGUUGUCUUGUUGGUCACCUGUUUUUGAGUUAUAAUAAAGAAAAGUAAGUGAAACAGAUAAAGAACGUUACGGGAAUGCUUGCAGGGUUGUCCGUAUUGUGCUUCCGCCGAUCCCCAUGGUAUCUUGAGCGCGUAGUGAUGGACACGUGGUGUAAAUCUGGCCGGCGCAGUGGGUGGGUGGCGGAAGCCGAACUGCUAUUUCCGUUCCGGGAGUGGUCGAACUUUGGAGGGAAACUGUUUCUGGCCCCCGGCGUUCGGCUGGCGAGCUGCUCCGUCGUCUUUAUCGCUUGAUGGCCUCCUCCCCUUGUGCUCAGUGUUAAGCUUGCCUGCCUGCUUGAAGACCCAACAUUUUUUGUUGGUGUGAUUAGCUGGCUUAUCAGGGUGACCGUGAAUCUGACAAGGUCGGUCUAAUAUCCCGUCGAGGGCGGAUGGUUCAUCCUGGUUGGCCUUAAAUGGCUUCUUCCGUUGACCGGGUUUCAGAUUGUGAAAUCCGGCAUUGACCGCUAUGUCGCGUGAUCUUUCAUUAUUGCUGCGACUGUUGUGUUUGUUUAAUCGUGGCUUGUCGUUGCCGUCUCGGAUUUAGGAAGUGCCUGGGUCACUGGCGUUGUUGCGCUUACGAGUGAGCCAGUUGUCUUCUCCCACACAAAAGCGAGUCAUUAGAGUGGUAAGGGCUGUCAUGGAUUUAGGUCCUUCCUGGCCGAGGUGACGUGCUAGCCAUUCAUCCCAGACGCUGUAUUUGAAGGCCGCAAGGGCUUCCGCGUCCGGACAAUCGACAAUUUGGUUCUUUUUUACUAAGAAUCUAGUCCGUAGUUCCCUGGCUGACUCGCCGGGCUGUUGGACAAUAUGACUUAAGUCAUCGGCAUCUGGUGUCCGGACAUGUGUUCCUUGGAAGUUGUCACGAAAGGCGUCUUCCAGAUCUUCCCAGCUGCCAAUAGAAUUUUCUGGCAAACCGUUUUGCCAGUACUGUGCUGGCCCCUUAAGCUUGAGAGGCAGGUAUUUAAUGGCAUGAAGGUCGUCUCCGCGAGCCAAGUGGAUAUGGAGGAGGAAGUCCUCAAUCCAUACUGCGGGAUCUGUUGUUCCAUCGUAUGAUUCGAUGUUGAUGGGCUUAAACCCGUCUGGGAAUUCAUGCUCCAUUACCUUGUUGGUGAAGCAAAGAGGGUGUGCGGCUCCUCUAUGUUGGGCCACACUGUGAAGCACCUCCGGCGGACUCCGCUUACGGUUUUCAGACCGAGCGUGCUCGUAUUUGUUGUGUCCGAAUAGGUAUCCGUUAUUACUGGCCGGGGCAUGUCUCCGCGAUCUGUGUCUCGGUUUUGUGUGUCCUGUUCUACCCUUCGGGUCUUGUUGGAUGUCGCGAGUGUUCCCCCGAGCUUCUUUAUUCUUGCUUAGACGGCCGGAUGGGUUGGCAUGGUGCUUUGCUGGGGCUGCUGCUUUGCCCGGACCGAACUGUGGUCGGCCUACUGGCUUAUUCGAUGGUGGUGUGGGCUCCAAAGCCUUGCCAUCGUAUUGAGGGAGCCGCCUACUGUUGUGGUGGCUUUUGUCUGGGCCGCUAAGGCCGUAUUCUUCGGCGGCCAGGACCUCGGUCCAUCUAUCGUUGAGCAAAUCUUGGCUCACUUGAAGCUGCAGCUGCUUCCUCCUUAGGCUCCUUGCGGUGGCUAUGAGCCGGCGUUUAAAGCGCUCCUGUUCUAGAGGUUCCUCGGGCGCGAUGAAUUCCUCGUUGCUGAGGCUCUCUUCUUCCUCGGAGAGAGGAAGAUAACUACUAUCCUCCGAGUCACCGUAUGCGGCCUGUUCAUCAGGGCUAUCCUGCCCGCUUUCCUGGUCCUCCUGUUCGGAUCCUGUCUCAACGGGGUCUUCAUUGUCCGGAGUAUUAUCACCUCCGGUGCUAGUAUUGUUUUCUCUUGAGUGACGUGACUGAGAGUGGCGCCGGGGGCGCCGGUGUUCGGACUGUGUACCAGGAGGUUUAUCCUCGACUGGAUCUUCCUUGUCAUCGUCGAGAUCGUCGUUGGGUGCGUCUACCAUACACACGUCAUACCAGGAUGUGGUCGCCCCACUUCUAGCGGAUAGUAAGCUCUUGCUUUGCCCCUCAUCGUCGUCAAGAUAGUCAAUGUCUUCGGAGCAGGGGUCAGGCGUGUUGGUUGGGUCUUCGAGGUGGCUAUGAAGUGGGUGGCGGGUGGGAAGCGAAAUUCUCCAUCAUUCGCCGGAAGGUCGAACCGAACAUAGUUCGGUGACGAGCCGUCUGCCAGGGAUAGGCUUUUUAGUGAGUUUAGGAGGUCGCCCAUGGGCGAGCGUUGGAAGAUAUCCGCGGCGCUGAACUUUAAGAUCGAUAGCCGAUCGAGUUCGGUAUCCGCUGGCUCGCAGGGUUCGGAACUCGAUACUAGAAACAAGUCCAGGGUUCCGUUGAUGCAAGUAUCGUACGAAGUGGAACCUGCAUGCGGCUCCAACGCCGCCGAAUCGGUAGCCCCCGUGAUGGGGUUGAGUUUCCCGUCUUCGGAUGACUUGAUCUGCUCCGGGUCUAAGGCCAGAGUUGUUAUAGGAGUUAUCUCCUGGAUACGGCCCGAUGACAGGUUUAAGCCAUGUUCAUCGGGGCGAAGGGGAGCGGUUGCCGCAGUCUCGAACCCGUCGAAGAUCAAGUCUCCACGGAUGUCCGCAAUGUAGUUUAGGCUUCCGAAUCUAGCCUGAUGGCCAGGGGCGUAGCUAUCGAUCUGUUCCAGAUGGCCGAGCGAGUUGGCCCGUAGUACGAAGCCGCCGAAUACGAAGAUCUGUCCGGGGAGGAAGGUUUCUCCCUGGACCACGUCAUUACUGAUGAUCGAAGGGGCCAUCAAGUCCUUUGUCGACGGCACAGUGGAACUCUCAAUGAAAGAACCAAUAUCGGUGUCAUAACCGGCGGAUCUCGGGUAGGGGGUCCCGAACUGUGCGUCUAGGAUCGAUGGUAACAGGAGACGGGGGACAUAAUGUUUACCCAGGUUCGGGCCCUCUGUAUGGAGGUAAUACCCUACUUCCUGCUUGAUUGAUCUUGAUGAAUAUGAGUGUUACAAGAGUUGAUCUACCACGAGAUCGCAAUGGCUAAACCCUAGAAGUCUAGCCUAUAAGUAUAUGUUAAUGAAUCUGUCCUAUCCGGACUAUGCUCUCCGGUUUAUAUAGACACCGGAGAGAUCUAGGGUUACAUGGAGUCGGUUACAUAAGAGGGAAUCUUCAUACUCGGUCGCCAAGCUUGUCUUCCACGCCAAGUAGAGUCCAAUCCAGACACGGGUAUAGUCUUCGGCCUUCAUGCCUUCAUAGCCCAUUAGUCCGGCCCAGUAGAUAACAGGCCGGACGCCCGAGGACCCCUUAGUCCAGGACUCCCUCACCGAGCUCAUCGACUUCGACGUCGUGCACAUCCGCCUGCCGUACAAUGCCAUCUUCGGGUAUCCGGCCCUGGCUAAGUUCAUGGCGGUCACCCACCACGGCUACAACACCCUCGAUGCCGGGAAGCGGCGGAAUCAUCACGGUCCCAUGUGAAGAGAUAGAUGCGGUGUGCUCCCUCGAGCGCGCCUUCCAAGCUGCAGCAAUUGACGACCCCGAUAACAAAAGCGAGGGCCCUCCUGAGGCCCUCGCCAAGAAGAAGCAGCAGCUGUGCCGUGCAGGAUCUCAGGAGGGCGGUGACGCAGCUGGGGCCUCGUCAGGAUCAGCGCCCGCUGCGGGGGGACGCCUCCUUCCAUCGCAUAGGAAGGCGCGCCCGGUGCCCUCCUCGGGCAGGGCUCGAGGGCUCUCUUCUAGAGAGCCUCGGACCUUGCCAACCUCACGAGGGAGGCGCUUGGGCACCACUUGGAGGCGUGCUUCGCGGCACGUUUACCUCAGGAGAACACAGGGCAAGGAGUGCCCACCACUCAGGAGUUCAUCACCAAGACCACUCAGGAACUGCAAGAGGCAAGGGCUAUGCGCGGCGACCGCUGCUCACCAGGCGCAGCUCCCCAUCCAGGCGAGGAUGCCGGGCUGUGGGUCUGCAUCGACGUCCCGGGGCUCAACAGGGUAGCAUCUCAGGAGCGUUUUUGGCCUUCGCGUGUGGGCCGUUGCGAGGGCCCACCACACAGCUACGUUCGCAUGCCCUUCGGCUUGCCGAGCGUGGCGUUAGCCUAUCAGCGCAACAUGCGGUGUAUCCUGGCGGCUCAGGAGGCCAGGUACAACGCCGUCCUGGCAGAGAUGGAGAUGGUCUUCAGGGAACCACCUGAACCCCCGGAGCCUCCCGAGGCUCAGGGCCCUGGUGGCUCGUGAGGAGCCAUUCCUUCGCCGCACGCCUUCAGCUGCACCAACUCUUCUUCGUCGACAGAACUAGGUGACAUUUUCCAAGUUCAUUUAGCUGGGAGCGCCCCUCGGGCUGCAUUAUUCCCAGGCCGCGUGGGUCCGUCCCUGUGGCAUGUAUCCUUUGCUUAUGUCUUUAGCUAACUUGCUAGGAGCGCCCCUCGGGCUGCAUCAUCCCCAAGCCGCUCGGGCCUGACCCAGUGGCAUGUAUCUUUCUGCAUUUACCUAAGCUGGUUUGCUUUCCAUGCUUAAUCUGCCUGAUUACCACCUGCUCGAUCACCACCCACCACGGGUCCAUUCAUCCCAUGCAAUUCGCUUGCGCGUUAAAAGGGGGGCUCCUGAGCAUCGCGACUCAGGAGCUCUUACUGGCUCUCCAGCCCUCACCCCCUGGCCUUGACCAUAGCAUCGCGACCUGGCAUACCAGUGGCAGCUGAGCUCGCUCGAGGGCCGGGACCUGAGGACAUAGAGCGCUUGCACCUAACCGUCUCGCAGGAACACACAACCAUCAAAGACUCAAGACCAGGCGCAACCCGCCUUGAGGUAGGGCCUCCUGAGUCCUGCGCUGGCUCACGAGUGCCCAGAUACACUUCGCAGCCCUGCCGUGCAAGCCACGUGUCAGGGUGGGGCUGUACACGCCCCAGGGGCUCCUCCCGGAGAGGGCCCCCCCUCCCACGCACAAGUGGAAGCACCAUGCUCCGCGCUGGCCGUCGACACUACCGAGGAGCGGCUAUGCCCGUGCAAAAGCGGAAGCACUAUGCUCCACGCUAGUGAUAAACAACUGAGGGCGGCCCCACGAUCGUACCAACCUCAGGGAGCCCCAGAGCUCAGUGUCCUGCCUCACCGCAACGCCUCCCCUCAGGAGAGCCGCGCGAGGGGGCUGCGCUCGGGUCACGCCCAAGCGUACGCCACCCAACCAGGUCUUCCGGGCCUGGGGGCUGCUCUCGGGUCACGCCCAAGCGCACGCCGCCCAAACAGGUCUCCCGGACCUGGUCGUCGCACGCCCCUCCCGAGGCCUCGACGAGGGAAGGUAUGGAGAUUGUUUGCGCAUCAAGGGGGACUCCUGAGCAUCGCGACUCAAGAGCCUAACUGGUCACGUAGCCCCUCACUCCUUGGUCCGUCCUGGUCUCCGGUCAGCCCAACGGCAGUUGAGGUAUGCGCGGGGCCGGGCUCUGCCGACGUAGAACAUUAGUCUAUCCUCGCGUACUCUCCCUAUAAGCUGUUUGCGCGUCAAGGGGGACUCCUGAGCAUCGCGACUCAGGAGCCUAACUGGUCACGUAGCCCCUCACUCCUUGGUCCAUCCUGGUCUUCGGUCGGCCCAAUGGCGGUUGAGGUAUGUGCGGGGCCGGGCUCUGCCGACGCAGAACACAAAGCGGAUAGGAAGAAAAUCACAAAAUAUCGAAGCAAAUAUUACAAACAUAUUGUCCUCACAAUAUCAAAUGAAAAGUCUAAACGCCUCCACGAGGCCUGAUGCAUGUUGCAGGAACGAGACAGGAAACUAGCCACAGGUCACGCCUGAACACCGUCAUCGCCUGCAGAAGGUGCUCCGCCCCGGGUAGCGACGUCCUCACCUGCACCACCAGCCGCAGGAUCGGUGGCAUCGCCAAACAAGGGUGCGGAGGCAAAGCCGCGGAACCUCUCCAGCAGGGCCUCCACCUAGCCUUGCACGGCUGUGGCGGCGGCUUCGCAGUGAUCCUCAGCCACAGGCUCCAGCGGCUCAUCAAGACAAGCGUUGGGGUCGCGAAGGUACAGGAGGCUGAAGAUGCGAGUCAAUGCAGCUGAAGACAGGACUCGAGCUUCUGCCUCCGCCAUGGGACCGACACCAUCAACGACUUCCUCGAGCGCCUUCACCAAGAGGGGAAGCAGCCAGGCGGGGCCGUCUUCAUUGGUGGCCAGCAACUUCUCCAGGCCGUGCUUGUAGAGCGUCUUCAGUGCCUUGCGAGAUCUCUCCUCAAGGUCGGCAAAGCCCACGCGGUCUUCGGCCAGGACCCGCGCCUUGGCGUCAAGAUUGGCCUCCCUCGCCUUCACCUUCCGCUCUAGCUCUUCCAACCGGUUGCGCUCGGCGGCCUGUGUCUUCCCCAACUCCGCCAGCUCAGCGUCACGGUUCUUGACAGCGUCCUCCUGGGCCUUCACCUCCUCCUCCUUUGCCAGGCGGCCGCGCGCUUCUUCGGCGUGCUUGUCGCGCAGGCUCUGCAAUUCGUCCUCCAGCUCUUGGCGGCGGUCGCGGGCGGCCUUAGUGUCUUUCAGCGCCGCCUCACGAUCGACUGCAGCGUUGGCGGCACUCUGCUUCUCCUUCUCGGAAGAUGCUGCGGCCUGGCUUAGUGCCGCGCGAACCACCAAGUCGGAGUGAAGCCAGCCAGAGGCCAGUUCUAGGCGCCCGGCCACCAGGCGUGGAUCUGCGCUCAGGAGAUCUGCCUGCAACUGGGUCAUCUUUGAAAGAGCAUGUUCCACAGCAGCAGCAGGAGCAGAAGAACCUGGGAGUGGAGGUGCAGCAGUGGGAGGAGGCGACAUCGUCACCAAGGCCUGGGAGGCUGCGGGUUCCGGAGCAGUCGGGACCUCUCCAGCCAAGCCAGACACCGGCACCUCCGGAGCCAGUGGGGGCAUGGGGGCUGAUUCCACAUGGCGAUGCACUUCUUGGCCUCGUGAGGGCGACCGGGUUGGGGAAGUGCGAGUGCUGCUGCUGCCUCCUUUCCCUGCGGAGGGAGGCGCGGCCGUCGCGUCCUCCUUCCUUUUCUUCGCUGAAGGCACCGUCCUGAUCAACCAAGGGUGAACGUCAGGAAACAACGAGUACAAGCAGGGACAAGAUGAAGCUCAAGGCACUUACCAAUCCACCGUGACAUAUUUCCACUUGGGGAGCUUGAAGCCUGACAGAGUCGGGGCCUGAGAAGUGGGCACGCGGGCCCCGACGGCGGAAGGGCCGGAGCCGGCCUUAGGAGGCGUCAAGAUGGAGGCGGCAUCCCGAGGAACCAACGACGACCUACCCCCUGUCGGGAUGAGAGGUUGCUCCCUCUCCUCCUGGCGAGCAUCGGCCUCGGCGUCGUCAGGAAGGGCGCGGAGGACCUCGGCCUUGCUCAAGGGAGGAGUCUCCCCCGCCUCCUCCAGAGUCUUCUCUGAGUCCACCUCUUCUCCCUCCUCCCCACGGGACUCAUCAGAGGACAUCUCCACCAGAUUCGGUGCUGCAAAAGCUCCUGCGAGCGCUGGCGGCACCAGCCCGCGCGCGUCGAAGGUCGGCCUGGAAAGCACAAGCGGCUCCCAAUCCUUGCGGAGGAACAAAGGAGUGAAGGCGCUCGGCGGGUACACCUGGUUCUCCCCAACCAGGAGGCACAAGACAGCAGCCAGUUCGACACCAGGAAGGGCCCCCUGUCUCAGGCGGGUCUUGUCUUCAUCACCCCCGAACUCCCAUAAGGGACGUGCACGCGCCUGAAGCGGGGCGACGCGCAGCACCAGGAACUCCCUCAGGAGCAUGGCCUCUGUAACCUUCGCCACCUUCGUGUUGCCCGGCUUCAGGUCCACCUGCAACUGCGCCAACACCGACAAUGCCCGCUCAUCGGCAAGCUCUGCGCAGAGCCACCCCUUGUUGGAUUGGGGCGCCUCCGUCGGUAGUACUAGGCGUGGGUGGGCGUGCUUAGCGUCCAUCAUGACGCAUUUAGCCCGGAUGUUGUCGGCCCUGUUCCCGGUGCUCGAGAUUGAGUUGGCCUUGCCGGACGCGAUGAAAUUGGCGCACCCGGAGACUUGUCCAUCACUGACACGAAGGAGGAAGAAGUGGCGUAGGAGCGCCACGGACGGCAUCACGCCCAGAUACGCCUCGCAGUAGUAGGCGAAGAUGGACAGGAGGAGGACAGAGUUGGGAUGGAGGUGCAGCGCCUGCAGCCCGUAAUGGUCGAGGACCUCAUAAAAGAAAGGGACAUUUACAUCUAUGCACCUAAUUUGCGCCCACUCUCAGAUUUACCCCUAAUUUCAAAGCCUGCUCAAAUUUGCCCCUACGCCGUUAGGUGCACUUACAGAAAUACCGUUCGGUGCCGUUACCGUCCGGUCAAAGCAAGUCAAAGCCGGUCAAAGGGCUUUGACCGUCCUGGAAAAUAUAGCAAAAAAAUUCUGAAAACUUGUGGGAUCAAAGAUACUUGGUUUCGCAAGGUGCGUGCAAAGUUUCGUGUUGUUUGUACAUUCUAGGAGGUCGUGUUAGAGAAAAAACAAUAAAUAUGUAAGCCUGUGAACAGUAAAUUCAAAAAAAGUAGGAAAAUUCAAAAAAAAUGAAAUUUUUUGGCAUCAAAGAGGCUCGGGUCUGCAAGCUGCGUGCAAAUUUUUGUUGUGUUUGGACAUUGGAGGGGCUUGUGGAGAAAAAAACAAAAUUUGGCUUGGGAAAAAACAUGGGAAAAAUGACUAUUUUGUUUUUUCUUGCUAGUGCUGCUCGCAUGUCAUUUGAUCACAAAAACUUGCAAGCACCAUGUGCACCCAAGCCACUUUGAUGGCAAAAAAUUUCAUAUUUUUCAAAACUAGCUUGCUAUUUUAUUUCAAAUUUACUGUUCACAAGCAUGCAGAUUAACUGUUUUUCCUCGCCACGAGCUCCUGGAAUGUCCAAAUAGCACGAAAAUUUGCACACACCUUGGGCACAUGAGUAUCUUCGAUCUCACAAAAUUUUAGAUUUUUUUGCUAUUUUUCUCAGGAUGGUCAAAGCUGUUUGACUGGACGGUAACGACGCAGAAGGGCAUUUCUAUAAGGGCACCUAACGGCGGAGGGGCAAAUUUGAGCAGGCUUUCGAAUUAGGGGUAUAUCUGAUUAGGUGGUUCGAGUUAGGGACAGAAAUGCAAAUGGCCCUAAAAGAAAUUAGAGAAGGGGGAACCAACCUGACGGCGACGCUGCUUGAGAAGAAGGGGAAAAAGGUGCUCCCCUCAGGCUCCGGCACAUCGGAGGCGAGCCGGAGCUCCCUCUCCCCCCAUUCGUUGCUCUCCCCCGCCGUCAGCAAGCGCAUGGAGGCGAGGCUCUUCUCUGUGACGGUGGGCGCUUCAAGAGCUGGCUCAUACCAAGCCGGCGCCGAGGAGGACUGGGCCUUGCGUGGCGCCAUCUGUCGCGGGUGCAGAACAAGAUUGGAGCAGAUCUGGAGGUACCGAAGGCGAGAAGCGAGAAAGGGGAUCUGGAGCGAGGCGAGGAAGAAGCAAUGAAGGCGAGCACUGUCUGCGCCAGCCUUUUGUUGUCACAGCCCCAGAUCAGUCCUUGCUUGAUUUUUCUUGCCUCCAUGCAUCAUGUUUAAAUUCAAAUGAAAUUAGAAUUGAGGAAUUUUCAAAGCCUCAGAAACCUUUUAAAAAUGAUCAACAUUAAAAUCUUCUCAAAGAAGCCUAAGAAAAUGUUCCUGUUAAACCUUGAAAAAUAUUGGCAAGAAUAAAAUUCAAACCAAUAUUUUUGGAAGGUUUAACAUAAUUAUUUUGGGCCUUUGAAUUAAUCCAAUAAAUAUUUGAAUUGGAUCUAUAUUUGUUAUAUAAUAAAUAUAUGUUCAAUAAUUCUGGAAACUGUUGUGUAGCUUUGGAUAAGUCCAUUUGGUUUACACAAUUAUUUUCAUGAAUUUUGAAAAAUGGUUUGGUCUUUGAACUGAAUCAAAACAUAAUAGAAAAAAAUAGAAAACAGAACGAAUUAUUAACAGAGAGAGAGAGAGAGAAAGGCCAGGGGCCACUUACCUGGUGCCCACCCGCGGCCCAGCAGAGGCCCAGCCCACCUGGCACUGCCAGUCAUCUCCCUCCUCACGCCAGGAGGACAGGAGCGCGUGGCCGCGGCACGCUGGCACGCGCCUGGCCACCUCCUGCUUGCCGCCGAACGCCUAGCGCUGGCUACGAACGCCACAUACUCUCCCGCGCGUCCCUCGAUCGCUUGCUCGUCCCCAUCCCCUCUCUGCUCUCUCUCCCUCUCUGCCCGAGUGGAGCUCGUCGACGCCGCUCGCCGUUGCCGUGGCCACCGAGCCCCCCUCGCCUAGCUAGGAUGCCCAGCAGCUCCGCCCCCUCGCGCUACGCCUCUCCACCGAAAGAAGCCACUCCGGACGCCCUGCAACGACUGCAUCGUCAUCGUCUUCGAGCUUCGACCGCCGGCAACCCCACCGUCGAUUCGGCGCCGCCAGGACCUUCCCGGGCUCGCUGACCUCCUCUUCGGCAUCGCCGUGAGCCCCUGCUCCCAACCCCUAUCUCCCCUCUGUCGAUUUCCUCCUCUAGCCCCUUUGGCCACCCCGACCGAAGCUCGCUGCCGUUGCGCUUCGUCGCUGCCGUGGCUAGAGACCACCUCCGCCGCGUCUGAGAGAGUCACCGUCCUCAGCACGUUUGCAGGAGCACCUAGCACCCCACCGCUCGACCUGCCGUGCGCCACAACGCCGGUUCCGAGCGCAACCGAACUCCGGCCGCCGCCUGCCAUCGUUGCAGCCGUCGUUUCCGGCCUCCUCUCGCCCAACCGCCUGCUCCGAUGGAUGCGCGCAAGCGCCAGCAACCCGUAGCCGCAAACCGCUCGUCGAUCCGUUCCCUAUAGCGCGAACCCGAAGCCCUCCGCCGUGCUGCGUGCUCGCCGGCGACCAACCCCGGCGGCAGCCGACGUGGCAUCGUCAUUAGUACUAAUGACGGGGCUAACUAACGUCCUCUGCCACUGACAAAUGGGCCCCGCGCCCUCAAUUAAUCACAGGUUUAUCCCCUGAUUAGAUUAAGCUAAUGCCCGUGGCCCCACAGGUUAGUUUGACCUAGCCACGUCAGCAUUGACCCGGUCCCACGUGUCAGCCUCUGUUCCUGCCUUGUCACACUGACAUACGGGACCCACGCGUCAGGUUUGACCUGGACCGUGGCCCGUUGACCUGCUGACGUCACACCUAUGUCAUGCUGACGCAGUAAAACAUUUUCUGAAUUUAAGUUUAUUCAGGAAAUUCCAGAAAAUAGUAUAAACUUCUAAAAAUCAUAUAAAAUCAACCGUAGCUCAGAAUGAAAUAAUUUAUAUAUGAAAAAUUAUCAGAAAAAUGCAAUCUAUCCAUUUGUAUCAUUUUCAUGCAUGUCAAACUAAGUUAUACCUGCUGUAUAGGUGAAAACAUGAUAAUGACAUUAUAAAUGCUAAAUGUGGAGUUUGCAUAUGAACCCUUAGUUCAUAUGGACCGCAUUUAAACUGUUGCUAGAUGCAUUAGUGUAAAUCAUAACAUUCUUGACAUGUCAUGAUCAUGCAUCAUAUUGUGCAUUGCAUUGAUUGUGUUCUUCCUUGUUUGCCGGUAUUUGUCCCCUCUCGAUAGCUGUGAUUCCGACGAUGAGUUCGAUGACACCGUUGAAGAACUAUAAUAUCUUCAGAAGUGCUAGGCAAGCAAAACCCCCUCGUUCAUUCCGAUACAAUCCCACUCUCUCGCUCCUGCUCUCUUUUACUGCAUUAGGACAACAACGAUUCAAUGUUACAUGCUGCGGUAGUUGAACCCCUUAUCCUCUGCAUGACCUGUCAUUGCCAUAGUAAAUAGAUGAAACCCACUAGCAUGAGUAGGAGUUGUUUGAGCCCUGAUGUGCCUACUCAUUCAUGCUUGUUUGUCAUGCAUGCUAUUGCUUAGAGUUGUGACAGGUCUGAUUCAUCGGGGAUGAAUUGGAGUCGUGUGAACAUGUCCAACUAUGUGUUAGCUAAGUGUGUAAAUACGAUUUGGUAAAGGUAGCGGUGAGAGGCCAUGUAGGAGUACAUGGUGGGUUGUCUCAUUGAAGCCGUCCUCAGGAACUGAGUUCUGUGGUUGUGAUCCAUGAUACAGUUACUACCACGCAUUGGGCCCGAAACCAAUGGACCCUCUCGGCUUCUUAAUCACCCUUGUCCUCUGUCCAGGAGUUGCAAGUAGUUUCUGGUGUUUGUAGUAUGCUGGAGGCCGUGGGCAGCGCUGACCGGAGGGGUGGGCUGUGAUGCGGUAGGCACGAGGCACGGUGUACCGGGUGCCCGUUUGGUGUCACGGGAACCCUGCACACAUCGUUCGGGGCCGUAUGUGGAAACCUCGGCCGGACUCCCUGCGGAUGGAACCUGAAUAGGCGAUAAACCUGGACUAGAGACUUGAGUGUUUAGGUAGGCUGUGGCCGACACCCUCGCUGGGCUUCUGCUUGAAGGUUGCCGAGUACAUGUCGUGUAAACGGCGGUAAGUGGUGAGAGCGUGUGUGUCGAAGUACACCCCUGCAGGGUUAACAUCAUCUAUUCGAAUAGCCGUGUCCGUGGUAAAGGACUUCUGGGUUGCCUAUAACAGUUCAUAGACAAGUGAAAGUGGAUACUCUAAAAUGCGCAAGAUAAGCGUGAGUGCUAUGGAUGGCGUUCUCGUAGGGAGACAGGAGCGGAUCCAUAGUGGAAUAUUGAUAUGGUGAAUAUGUGGACUCGUGUGCGCCACCUCAAAAGAGUUGCUUGCAGUCGUAGUUCAGGUUAGCCACUGAGUCAAAGCUGGCUUGCUGCAGUUAAACUCCACCACCCCUUUUGUUGAUACCGAUGCAUAUGUAGAUAGUUCUGAUGUAAGUCUUGCUGGGUACAUUUGUACUCACAUUUGCCUAUUUUAUGUUUUGCAGAGAGACGUCAGUCUCGCUAGUAGUGCUGUGUGGACUUCGACGUUUAGCUUGUUACCUUAGCUACAAUCUUGUGCCCUCGGCAGGAUCUGGUAGAUAGUCAGGCUUCUCAGCCUUUUUCAUUUGUAGUUGUCUGUACUCAGACAAGUUAAGCUUCCGCAUGUGCUUGUUGCUUGUAUGCUCUGAAUGUUGGGUCAUGAGACCCAUGUUUGUAAUAUCUGGCUCUUCGGAGCCUAAUGAAUAAAUACUCUGAGUCGUAGAGUCUUGUUGUGAUGCCAUGUUGUAUUUGCACAUAUCGAGCAUAUUGUGUGUAUGAUUGAAAUGCUUGGUAUGUGUGGGAUCCGACAACCUAGUUGUUUAUCCUUGGUAGCCUCUCUUAUGGGGAAAUGUAGUCUUGUGCUUCCAUGAGCCAUAGUAGUCCGCUACAGCCCGGUUCACCGGAGUCCUGCUAGCCCAGCACUACUGCUCCGGAACACUUGACUGGCCGGCAUGUGUUUCACUUUGUUCCUGUGUCUGUCCCUUCGGGGAAAUGUCACGCGGUGACAUCCGGAGUCCUGCCUAGCCUGCUACAGCCCGGGUUCCCGGGGUCUUGUUAGCCCAGUGCUAUAGCCCGGAUUCGCACGCUGCUGACCGGCAUGCUCGAUGUUGAUUCAUGUAUGCCUGUCCCCGUACGUUAGUGCCACUUUGGGUUCACGACUAGUCAUGUCGGCCCGGGUUCUCUGUCAUAUGGAUGCUAGCGACAUUAUCAUAUACGUGAGCCAAAAGGCGCAAACGGUCCCGGGCCAUGGUAAGGCGACACCCGUGGGAAUACCGUGCGUGAGGCCGCAAAGUGAUAUGAGGUGUUACAGGCUAGAUCGGUGUGACUUAGAAUCGGGGUCCUGACAUUUGUCAAGUCGGGCAGUUGCCGAGGCAGCGUGGGGAAGCGGAGACGCCCACGUCCAAUCAACCGCCACGCGUCAACCAAAGCCGCAUGCUUUUGGGGCCCGCGGUGCUCCGUACUUGACCCUUGGCUUCGCCUCGAAGCCAAGCACGAGCGCGCCUUGGGCCCAGGGGCUACUGUCGGCGUUCUGGGAAUGGGGGUCCCCAGACUUGCCUGCCUGCGGCCCAUGGCGUGGCUAAGCUAGCGGGCCGUACGGCCCGUCUUCAUCAACAAGGCAUCCAAGACCCUCGCGAGGGGCCAAGCCUCGCGAGGCGGACGAUGCAAGACCUCCUCAGGAGUGGCCUAGCCAGGCAGGCUCAUGAGGAGGGGAGAUAUCAAGGCGGGGCAAACCUCGCGAGGCUCUCGUGAGGUAAGCCAUGAUGAUCGACACCAGGCAGGCGCCAGGCGGGCGCCAGCGCGCGCGGCGUCCUUGUUUCCUCUUUGGUGCUAAGGAGGCAGGCGCAGGCGCGGAGUACCGAGGCAUCAAGCAAAGGUUUCCAUAUCGGUGCAACGAGACCAAGACCAGCAGGAUGGCAAGAUGGAGGUCACCGUGGAGCCCAAGACGACGUCAUCACCAGAGCCUUUAGCAGGAGAAGACCACUUUUGUCAGGAUAGCUUGUACUAGCUAUCCCCUUUCAAAUUCGCCCGCCGUUGUUAGCUCCCUUCCCACUCAAUAUUUGGGGAGAGGACCAGGGCCUAUAUAAGUAGAGCUAGCCACCACAGUAGAGGGGAUCGAAUCGAGACCCACGCUAGUUCACCAAGCACAAGAACACCUCAACCUCAGGAGGCUGUUCUUCCCCUUGUACUGUUCAUCAUCAGCCCAAGAGGCAAUCCACCACCACACACACUGGAGUAGGGUAUUCCACCACAACGGUGGCCCAAACCAGUAUAAAUCUCGUGUCUUUCUGUGUUGCGAGUGCGUCGAGUUCGUCCGCGAGAUCUUAGUGAGCUAGGGCGUGGAUCGGUAGGAGGGGAAGAUCUUCGCGCGCACCCAGAGUUCGAACCUUAAGGGUUUUGCCGAAACCCGAGAUCUGACAGUCGCGUCAACUCGUACAACGAGGAGAAGCUUGAUUUUACUACUACACGCCUUCUCCCUCGCCCAUGCGCGCGGUGGCUCGCAGACGAGGACACACUUUUGCUUAGGCUGGUCGUAAUGGAAUACUAGUAUCAUGCAUAUGAUACUAGUGUAUGAUACUACACAUCCGUAGUGCAUAGUAUCAUAUGUUAGUAUCAUCGAUGACUUCAUUUAUUAGCAUGCAUGACACAUAGUAGCACAACAUUUAAUAUGAUACGGUAUCAUGAUAUGAUACUCAAACCUCUCUUUCUUCAUUUACUUCUAUGCCACCUCAUCAAAUUUGCCUAGUUGGCAUGCAUGAUACUCCCUCGUUCAUAAAUAUUUGUCUUUUUAGAUAUUUCAAAUGGACUACCACAUACGGAUGUAUAUAUACAUAUUUUAGAGUGUAGAUUCACUCAUUUUGCUCCCUAUGUAGUCACUUGUUGAAAUCUCUAGAAAGACAAAUAUUUAGGAACGGAGUACUACCUAUGAUACUCCCAUUACAACUAGCCUUAUAGAGUACUACAACAAGCUAUCCCUCCCGCACGCAGUGGACGGACAUGCAGCAGUGGAUUCGAUACUAUAGAAGUAGUAGUAACAUCAAUGUUCGUCUUCUCGAAGAGGCGAAGAGCCAAGCGCAACCCGAACGUGGCAGUUGCGAACGCUCGCCACAGUGUGUUUGGUUGCAUUCUCAUCUCAGCAUAGUUGUUCCCUCUUCGUGCAUGCUCAUCCCAGCACCCCUCUUCAUGCAUGCUCCUAGUGUAUUUGUAUUAAGCUAGUGUGUACUCAUGCACCCCUCAUACACCCUACCAAACACCCAAAAGUGGGUCGAGAAGGGCUUGGAGCACGCAUAUAGCCAGGCUCUUGCAUGAGACAAAAUUGCUAUUUGAGCCCACUAUUGUAGUACUACUUGCUAGUAUAGCCCUGUAAACGGGAAAGGAGUAUUUGCCUUUCUAGAUAUUUCAACAAGUGACUACACUACACCCUAAAUGAGUAGUACUAGAGCAAAAUGAGUGAAUCUACACCAUAAAUAAAUGCGUAGUUCUCUCAUUUUUUCUCUCCGCCUUGGUCGCGGUGCACAAUAUUGAGUACUCCUAUAUGACUAGCCGCUCUAUCUACAUGCGGGACAUCAAAGCAUCUGGGCCCGCGUGCCAUCCACCAAAUCCCAGCGAGGUGCUAUAGUCGAGACUCACCGGUCACCCCGGUGUGGCCUCGAAGUGGCCACGAAGUCGUACUGGACGAAGCAACCAUCAUUUCACUGGAACGCUCGUUGAAGCCCUUUCUCCCCUUUCUUGAAGAAAACCUCACUCCAGGCUACUCACUUCUGCCAUUUUUCUUCUGUACCGAUGAAGGAAAGGUGGGCGAAUCAGUGAUGCUACUAUAUUCUCAUUCCAAGAAUCUUCUUUUUGCGAAGCACCGACCGGUUCUCACAGCCUAUUCUUUUCUCGUUUUCAUUGCGAUUGUGGUUUCCUUUCGAUUGCUUUUUGUUUGUCAGUUCAUUGAUGGAUCCUGGAGCACUAGGCAAAGAGUUGCCGGCGGACAACCCAUUGGAGACAGCAAUCUCCAGGAAGCGAGCACCGAUCAACGAGUUGACCAUGUUGGCGGGCCAACCCAUGGAAACAAAGACCUCCAAGAAACAAGCACUGGCCAAAGAGUUGACGACGUUGGCGGGCGAACUCCUCAAAGAAAGUUGGAAGAACAACAAGGGCCCCACCGUGCCUACCCCAGAAACUCUAAUGGCCACUUAUGCGAGGCUCAAGGCCGAGUUUGAGGAGAUAGUGGCCGUUAAGAAGCAGUAUUCCCCUGGCAAGGUGAUGACCCCCAUCGAGGAUGAGGAGAUGGCCCCCCAGAGGGAUGGGAUUCCCCGGUGAGCUGCACAAGGUAAAAAAUAAUGGCUUACCAUAGUUGUGGUUUUUUGAUUAUUUGCUAUGUGCUUGCUAAUAUGUUAGGGUUGUGCAGGUGCCGGUGGACGUCCUUGAUGAUUCUGAUGUCGCCGCCCAUCAUGUGGACAACGCCCAGUGAUAGUUUUCGAUAUCGCGGUCUGUCCUGUUGACAUCGCCCCGGAGAUCGAUUCCGAUGCCGUUGUCCAUCCUGUGGACAUCGCCCCAAAUAUCGAUUCCGAUGUCGAGGUGGACAUCGCCCCAGAGAUCGAUUCCCGUGCCGCAGUCCGUGCUGUGGUCAUUGCCCGAGAGAUCGAUGACAAGAAAUAGUUGGUCGCGCUAAUCCUUCAGGGUAGUUUGCAUUGUGUUUAAUUACCAGAACGAUGUGUGUUAUCAAACCAUCUUAGAGCUAGUGCACUGUCUUGUGUGGGCGGUACUGAGGGAGUCCUGUACUAAGGGGUCCUCGGGCGUCCGGGAUAUGUGACGUGGGCCGGACUGAUGGGCCGUGAAGAAACCAGACAGAACACUUCCUCCCGUGUCCGGAUGGGGCUCUCCUUGGCGUGGAAGGCAAGCUUGGCGUUCGGAUAUGAUGAUUCCUUCCUCUGUAAACCGACUCUGUACAACCGUAGGCCCCUCCGGUGUCCAUAUAAACCGGAGGGUUUAGUCCAUAGAAGAAAUCACAAUCAUACAGGCUAGACAUCUAGGGUUUAGCCAUUACGAUCUCGUAGUAUAUCAACUCUUGUAAUCCUCAUAUUCAUCAAGAUCAAUCAAGCAGGAAGUAGGGUAUUACCUCCAUCAAGAGGGCCCAAACCUGGGUAAACAUCGUGUCCCCCGUCUCCUGUUACCAUCGACCUUAGAUGCACAGUUUGGGACCUCCUACCCGAGAUCCGCCGGUUUUGACACCGACAUUCGUGCUUUCAUUGAGAGUUCGACUGUGAUGUCGAAGACGGGAUUGAUGGCUCACCUUGUUAUCAAGGACAGUAUCACCUUCGGAGGAGCCCCGGCCUCAGGCCAAACCCUCCGGCUGGGUGACUUUACCAUGACCGCCCGUUCGGCCGUUAAGCCGAUGACAACUUCUCAGGUCAUCGAAAGUCGCCUCCGUGUUGACUCCGAAUACUCCAAACGGAUGGAUCCGGCGGAGUUGUCGUCUUUAACCGAACUCCUGGAUCGCAUCACCGCCAUGGGGGUCACUACAGACUAUGAUCAGAUUGGGAUUAAACCCGAUCAGAGAGAAAUCAAAUCUCAGCCGAUCACCCAUCAGAUAGCGGUCGUAGAGGAGCAAAACAACAACUCUUCCUCUAUGUUGAAGACGAGCUAUGUUCGGAUUUCCAAGCUCAAAGAGCCGGAUACCUGUCUGCGGAACGACACUCCCAGUCCUCCGAACCUGGAAUCGGGCAUUGGGCCUGGAAAAUCAUUUGACAUCCCGGAGCCCGAACUAAUAAGCUCGGAAGCUUUUCAAACUCCAGACUCCAAAUUGGGUCAGGGUUCGGAUUUAAAGCCACCCACCCACCACAAGCAAUAUUUGACAAGCAAUUCCAGCCCUCUGGAUAUAUGAGACCUCAUGUACAUACGACAAUAGUCUCAGGAAAUAGUCCAUCACUUUUGGGCCAGAUUCCUCCUUGUUAAAGACAAGAUUAAAGAUUGCCGCGAUGAGGACGUGAUUUCAGUAUUCUGCAAUAAUUGCACGGACGAAGGAAUCCUCAACGCCAUCAACCGGCGUCGCGUAUUACACUUCGCUGACUUGGCAACCAUAGUACAGAAGUACUGCACAAUGGAAAGCGCCUGGAAAACUCAGACAGCUCGCUGGGAACCACCGGUCUCCACUCAACCCCUCUGGCGGGCAAAAAGGAUGCACCCUCGCGAGGCACCUGACCCCAUAGUGAAGAAAACUAAGCCCACUACGGGACGCAGAACCGUUCUGGAGGGAUGGCUUGAUAGGCCAUGCAAAAUACACAUGACACCGGAUAACGUACCAACCCACAACCUUAGAGCAUGUUGGAUACUCCGGCAAGUGGCCAAGAGCGGCGAGGAUAUCCUCACCAAAAACACCUCAAAGUAAUGCACCCGGAAGAUGACGACCUCAGAGUACUAACGGUCUUCGAGACUUUUGCUUCAAACAAUCGGCACAAGAGGGCACUCCGCGACCUCGCCGAAGUCUGCCAAGUCGCAUCAAUAAACCCCUGGAAGGACACGGCCAUAACUUUCAAUGCCAGUGACGAACCAAAAUUCCGGUUAGUCCGAGCACCAGCCGCCUUGGUCCUCAAUCCAAUUGUGGAAUGCUUUCGGCUCACUAAAGUACUCAUGGAUGGCGGCAGCCGACUAAACCUCAUCUACGACGACACACUCAAUAAAAUGGAAAUAGACAGGAGCCGCAUCGAGCAAAGUAAUACGACCUUCCGAGGAAUCAUUCCUAGCCGGGAGGCGCGAUGCGCGGGGAAAAUUACACUCGACGUGGUCUUCGGCACGCCGGAGAACUAUCGGUCUGAAGAGAUAACCUUCCAAGUGGCCCCUUUCAACAGUCGAUAUCAUGCCCUGUUGGGGCGAGAUGCAUUCACACGCUUCCAAGCUAUACCUCAUUACGGGUACAUGAAGCUCAAGAUACCCGGGCCCAACGGUAUUAUCACUCUCGCCAGUGAUCCGGACAUAGCACUCCGCGCAGAAAACAAAACCGCAUCCCUGGCCCUCAAGGCACUGUCCGAGACCCUCGCGGCCGAAGAGUUAACCGCACUACGCUCCACGGUGGAUAGGGAUGACGUAAUCCUUGAUAAGCGGCCCAGAUCCACCUCCUUCAAACCAGCAGACGAAAUAGUCAAAUUUCAAGUCCACCCGACGGACCCCAAGAAGACAGCUUCCAUCGGAGCACAGCUGGACCCAACGGUCGACGCUGCACUGCGAGCGUUCCUGCGCGAGAACUAGGACAUAUUCGCCUGGCACCCUUCUGAUAUGCCAGGAAUCCCACGCAGGUUGGUCGAACAUGGCCUCAAUAUAUUGAAGGGAUAUAAGCCAGUCAAGCAAACACUGCAGCGCUUUUUCGGACCCAAUUGACAAGCUAUGGGGGAGGAGCUAGCCAAGUUAAUCAUGGCCGGGUUCAUCAGAGAAAUAAAACACCCGGACUGGCUAGCAAACCAGGUGAUGGUGCCAAAGAAGGAUAAAUCCUGGCGCCUGUGCGUCUAUUUCAAAGACCUCAACAAGGCCUGCCCUAAGGAUCCCUUCCCCCUCCCCCGCAUCGAUCAGAUUAUUGAUGCUACUGCAGGACGUAACUCACUGUGCUUUCUCGACGCAUACUCCGGAUACCAUCAAAUUAAAAUGAAGGAGUCCGAUCAAGCCGCAACGGCAUUCAUUACCCCAUACGGGCCUUUCUGCUUCAACACUAUGCCCUUUGGGCUCAAAAACGCCGGCACCACCUACCAACGCAUGAUUCAAACAUGCCUGGAGAAACAAAUCGGCAAGACAGUUGAAGCAUAUGUGGAUGACGUCGUCAUCAAGACUAGGCACGUCGAGUCAUUAAUAGACGAACUGCGUUUAACAUUCGACAACCUCCGUACAUAUGACAUCAAGCUCAAUCCGAAAAAUUGUGUUUUCGGCCUUCCCGCUGGAAAACUGCCGGGCUUCAUCGUCAUCAAUAGAGGAAUUGAGGCAAAUCCAGCCAAAAUCCGAGCUUUGUCACAAUUGGCUACACCAACAGACCUUAGACAGGUCCAAAAACUAGCCGGAUGCGUGGCAGCUUUAAGCCGCUUUAUCUCCAGACUAGGAGAAAAAGCAUUGCCACUUUAUCGCCUUCACCGAUGCACCGACCACUUCGAGUGGACGGAUGCGGCAACGGCCGGACUGGAAUAAAUAAAGGCUCUUUUAGCAAGCAACCCAAUCCUGGCCACGCCGAGCGCCGGCAAACCCAUGUUAUUAUACAUCUCAGCAACACAUCAGGUGGUGAGCGCGGUGCUCGUCAUUGAGCGAGAGGAGGACGGACACAAAUUCCCACUUCAAAACCGGUAUACUACGUAUCCACUGUCCUCACACCAUGCAAAUCCCGGUACCCUCAUUACCAAAAGAUAGCAUAUGCGGUCUUCAUGGCAUCCCGGAAGCUACGACACUACUUCCAAGAGUGCUCGAUCACGGUGGCUUCCGAAGUACCACUCAAUGAGAUAAUAAACAACCGCGAGGCUACGGGCCGGAUUGCCAAGUGGGCCAUUGAUCUCCUGCCAUUCGACAUAACGUACAAACUGCGCCGAGCCAUUAAAUCCCAAGUAUUGGCCGACUUCGUCGCUGAAUGGAUAGAGGCCGAACUCCCUAAAGAGUACGGCACAUAUUCCAACUGGGUCAUGCACUUCGAUGGCUCUAAAAUGCUAGCCAACUUAGGAGUAGGCGUUGUCUUAACAUCCCCCAAUGGAGACACAGUCCAGUACGUACUCCAAAUAUUAUACACAGACUCCAACAAUGCAGCCGAAUACGAGGCCUUAUUGCACGGUCUUCGGAUGGCUGCCUCCAUGGGCAUACAACACCUAGAGGUGCGCGGGGAUUUAAUUCUUGCAAUAUCCCAAAUAAAUGGAGACUUCAACGCCAAAGAUCCAAAGAUGGCACCCUAUCGUAAUGCCAUACUCAAAAUAUCAGCUCGGUUCGAGGGACUCGAGUUUCAUCAUGUGGCUCGAGAAAGUAAUCAAGCAGCGGAUGUCCUUGCUCGCAUGGGCGCCAAGCGUGACCCCAUCCCACCUAACAUCUUUCUGGAUAGGCUCUUCAAGCCAUCCAUGGUGGGCAGGGUGAGAGCAGCAACACCAGUUCGGAUCUGAUUAUACCCCCAGAUUCCGAACACAAUACCGAUAUCAUCGGGGGCUCAGCCACCGAAAUAACACCAUCGGCCCAUCUAAUAAUGGCAGUAAUUGCCCCAUGGACCGAACCCUUCUUGGCCUACCUUAAUAGGCGAGAGCUCCUUGAGGAUCAGAAUGAGGCUCGCUGCAUCGUCCGGCGCUCGAAAGCCUACAAGGUUGUCGGAGUAAAUGGCCACGGGUAGCCUAACCGACUCCCCCUGGCUCUUCAAAAAAUUAUUAGGCCAUUCAAGCCUUCAAGCAUACAAAGCACAGGGCCGCCUUCCCCCGGCCGGCUAUCCCCUGGGCCGACUCCCAGAAGGCGACCCAGUCUCAGAAACCUCCCCCAAGAAAGAUACGAGAUAGCCGACUCCGAGGAGCCGGCCCCAAGAGGAGCGACUCCCAGAAGCCGGCCAUGAAGAAAGCCGACUCACGAAAGCCGGCCAUGAAGAAAGUCGGCUCCCAGAAGCCGGCCAAGACUGUACCCACAUAACGGCAAUAAGAUGGGGUGUGGCCGUAGUACGACCCACUGCCCCCAAAUCCCGGAACAGGCAUGGCCACAGGGCGCCGUACGGGCCAGCCACCCCCCGACCGGCGCGGCACUGUAGCCAUGUUGGCCUCGAUGUCACCCACAACAGGCGCCAGUACGGCCUGUAGGCGGCGGGCCCCUUUUGCCAGAGAGACAUCUGAAGACGGCCCUGCCUCCUCUAGUCGGCCAGGGAUAUGGCCGGCUCCCAAUAGCCGGCUACCUCCCUCCCUCGAAGCAUGCACCCCAUUAAGGAGACAAGACGAGGUAAGGCUACAGUGAGAGCUCGCAAGACGGCGACACUGUAGCCAUGCUUACCUCGACAAAGCCCUCAUCAUCAGAGGCGAGACGACAGUAACCAGCCGCCGACAAAGCCCCCAAGCGGUGGGGCCGGCGUGCCGGCCAAGAAGCCGGCAGCCGGCGGGACCCACCAGUCGGCGGGCCCCAGUGACCGGCGGAGAAGCCGGCGAGCAUAGACACUGACGGCUGGGACCCGCGCCCAGCCGGAUUACCAUUGUACCCCUGGGGGGUAGGCCUAUAUAAACCCCCCGGGACACCCAUGCAAAGGGUUGAUCUCAUAGAGUUACACACACCCACAGAGAGAAAAGGAGAGCUAGCCUUGCCCUUCUUCUUCCUCUAGCCAGACAGCUCAAGGAGCACUUGUAGCUACUUGUCUUGAUCUCGUGAUCAUGUGGAGACCCCGCAGAGCAGGACUAGGGGUGUUAUCUCCACGGAGAGCCCCGAACCUGGGUAAGAUUCGCCGGCGUGCAUGUUUUCGCCUCAUCCCGUUUCCAGGCACCGGCGACAUCUUACUGGCUCCCAUAAUGAUAAGCCACCCGUUGGCAUAUGUCGCACCCACCACCCGACAAAGGUCCAUGACGGAGAGCUCUACAAGAAAAGUGCUACCGGAGUCCUUCAAAGAUGUAUCUCCGAAGAAGAGGGACGACAACUCCUGGCCAAAAUCCAUGUUGGUCUCGGCGGUCACCACGCUGCGGCUCGGGCCCUUGCAAGUAAAGCCUUCCGUACAAGUUUCUUUUGGCCGAUGGCCCGAGCAGAUGCACAGGACCUUGUCCAACGUUGUGUCGGAUGCCAGCUUUUCGACAAUCAAAGUCAUUUGCCGCCUACCGCUCUACAAACAAUCCCCAUUACUUGGCCUUUUGUGGUCUGGGGGCUUGAUAUGGUCGGAACCCUUAAAGGAGGAAGCCAUAAGAAAAAAUAUCUGCUAGUCAUGGUAGAUAAAUUCACCAAGUGGAUAGAGGCCAAACCAGGUAAAACGACCGAAGCCGGACCAGUGAUAGACUUUAUAUCCGGUGUCGUGCACCGUUAUGGUGACCCACACAGCAUCAUCACUGAUAAUGUCUCCAAUUUUACAGCCGAUGAAGUGAAAACCUGGUGUGCUAACCUGGGCAUUAAGCUCGAUUACGCCUCCGUCUAUCACCCACAAACAAACGGUCAAGUCGAACGAGCUAAUGAUCUUAUCAUGAGCAGCAUUAAGCCUAGACUAGUGCGGUCUUUGAAAGAAUCAGACAAGCACUGGGUUGAGGAGCUCGACUCCAUACUCUGGGGGCUGCAGACCAUGCCCAAUCGCACUACCGGAUACACACCAUUCUUCACGGUGUACGGCACAGAGGCCGUUUUGCCCUACGACAUCAUUCAUGACUCACCUCGAGUGCACAUGUAUGAAGAGAGAGAGGCCGAGCUUGAUCGGUAGGACAGUUUAGAUGCCCUGGAGGAGGAGCGCGACGUUGCAAAAGCCCAUUCUGCAUUCUAUCAACAACAGGCUCGCAGAUACCAAAGCAGAGAAGUGCGGGCCAAGACUUAUAAUGUUGGUGAACUCGUUCUACGCUUGCCAGAAAAGAAAAAGGACAAACUCAAGCCAAAGUGGGAGGGUCCCUUCAUCAUAGAUGAAGUUCUCACUGGAGGAGCGUGCCGCCUGUGUGAUGCAUCGGACAGUCGCUUAGAGCCGAACCCGUGGAAUGCCGCCAGACUCCGAAGAUUCUACGCCUAGAGCCGUACUCUUUGUUCAUCUUCUUCUCCUUUGUUUCCAUUUUUUCUUUCUUUAACUUUUUCUCUAGAUCUAUAGCUCUUGUGCGGCCAAACCGCACACCUAUGACGUACACAUCAUUAAAUGUAUACGCCCAUAAUACCUGGGGGCUUCUUUUACAGAAGCUUAUUAUUAUUUUCCGAGCAUCAAGCUCACCACAUAUGCGUCCUUUCCUCAUAUGUACCUUUUCUUCACCAUUAUAUGCACCGUUAUGACUUAAGUUUUUGCCAAGCUGGGUUGCCUGGCACCUGUGCUUAUGCCCUAUGUUCUCGUUUGUUUGGCUAGGGCAUAAAGGGAGCACCUCUGUGAUUGUUACAGCCUGGUCAUCCGGACUUGUACCUCAGAUUGGGUGAAGCCGAAAGCUAGCGUUCUUAAGGGAAUAUUCGGUCGGCGGACUAAAGACGUUAUACCCUAAUUACACUGUGAACCCUCAGAUGUUACGUAUAGUGCAAUUUUUCAAUCACAGUUCGGGCAUGCAUACUAACGCAUGUUCACCCAGGGAAAGGAACCCUUAACGGAACUAUUCUCCCUGGAAGAUGUUUCUUACAAUCAACAAGUAAUAUAACAUAGCUAGCCAGAUACAACUUGUCUGUUCAAGCAACUAUGACCCCUAUGCCUAGUUUCCAUGCAUACACCAGUCUAUAUUGCUGCUCCGGUAUUCGGAAACACUCCGCACCUUCGGGUCCAGAGGUCGAAGCGAAAAGGUCUGCCAUGACAAUCGUUUUACAAUCCGGCUAGGGACAAAUUUGUCAAUUGAAGUACAUAGUCACUUGGACUAAAAAACUUCUUCCUCUAUGCUGUCUAACAGGCUGUCUAGCUUACAAUCCUAUUGGGAAAAUUUGGCGGCUAUCUUUACUUGGUCAUAUACCAAACUAACUGGAAUUUCUUGUCCAUCUGACCCCCGAGGUCCGACCCGGGCCAUAUGAUUCGGAUCAAGCUUGGUGUACCGUCUUUUCACCAUGGCCCAGGCAUCUCGCGCACCUUCUCGGCAGGCCGAUAUCUUCCAUAAUCGAAACGCCGCCGAGCUCCUUUGAAUAGCUUCACAAGCUCCUCCAUACUUCCUGGAGGGGAGGCGGAUGGCCACAAAGCCUUGGCAACGCUCCGCAUUGCUUGCCGAGCUCGCUCGUGCACUGGGGACAGCUCUUGCAGCAGAUCGCCUUGAGAUCCGGACAUUUCCUCUUCGAGACGGCCAGUUAGGAUACCUGCAGACAUAAAUCUGUCAAUUCAUUUCUUCACUGAAUUACACGGAGGUAAGUUCAAAAGCAUACUGAAUAUGCCGCCUCAUAGCCUCCUAUUUUCCUUUACAGCAUCAGCUAGCUGGGCUCGUACAUCUUUUAGCUCUUCGCCCAGCAGGGUGUUGGAAUCCUGCAGCUUGUUCUUAUCAUCCCUGGUCCGUGUCAACACACGUUUUCCAGCGGCCAGUUGCUUUUCGGCCCGUUGUUUACCCGCCUGUGCGACCUCCAGUUCCUAUUUCAGUUGAUCUAACAAUCCUGCCAUGGGAAAUACAACAGUAUUAACAUUACUGGUAUAUGAUUAUAUUUUUCUGGGUGGAGGGGAACAUUACCAGGCGAUGCCUCCUUGGAUUUCUCCAGUUCAGCGGUAACAGUAGCUAGCUGGGUCUGACACUUUUCUAGCUCUUGAGACAGCAGGUUGUUCUUCUCCGUGAGUGCCUGGUUAUACAAUGAUCCUUAAAUCAGUUGUAUCAACUGCUUCAAGUCUCGGGGGCUACUGGUAUAUGAUUACCACAUCUGUACAAUGCGUACUUACCCGCAUAUCUUUCAAAUGCUGGUAUGUGGCUCUGGCAAGCCCAUCCCGAGCAGCUCGGAUGUAUGCAUCAGCCGAGCUAAAGGCAUUGAAUGCCUCUUUUGUAAAGCCGGGGUCGCGAAGAGCGGCCCUCCGGUGCCGAUGAUUCAUGGCACUCUCCACUUCAGAGUUCGUGAUGGAUACAUCAUCUGAAUCCUCUGCAGAAGGACAAUCCGGCGUCACUCCCGUGUCAGCCUCCGUCCUUAAGGCAGGGUCUGGAACCUGACUGGUGGAGGCGCGACCGGCAGGAUCCCCGGACAUAGUCCGGCGAACGCUCUUCCUGAUAAGACACAGCGGACAAUGUCACAGUUCGAUGUGACUGCCAGGGGGCAUAUUUAAAAAACCCAUACCUCUUUGAUGAAGGCUCGGCUGUGUUGUCAUUUGCCUUCCUCUUCGAAGACUUGCCCGACGCGGGCGCCGCUCUCUUAUGAGAUGCCUCUGGUGCAGCAUGGCGCGCCGAGAGCCUCCCCUUUGGAGCACGAGACAGUGCGGUGGGUGAGGCAUAAUGAGGAAGCUCUUUCGGAGGAGAUGUCUCCUGAUUACUUACAUGUGAGGCAGGAAGGAGGCCGGGAUUGUCGGCCAUGAUGGCCACUUCUGUGCCGUCAUAGCUCGCCUGGUAGAAUACUCCCUCCUCAAGCUCUACAAAUAUGUCCGGAUCCUCUUCGAAUCCGGGGUCAAGGUCCCAGUUAUGGUCCUCCGGCAGUGGAGCAGGGCUAUAGAUCCCCGUGGUAACCUUCCGCCAUUCCUGUUACAAAUGGACAGGUUAAUGUCAAUUCAAUGUGACUCAGGGAGAGGAUUGAGUAAAGUGGCGGGAUUAAAACUCACCCAGCUAGGAGGAUUGUACAUGGAAAAUCCCUCUCGGCGCUUAAGACGAGUGAACUCCCCUUUGUACAGAUCGGCCAAUAUUGUGGCCAGGGCGGCGGGGGUGUCCGGACCCUUCCGUCUGCAGCGUGAGGCGUCAUCUUCCCCAUUGUAGUGCCACAUAGGGAGCCCUCUGAAUUGGAGUGGCUGAACACCUUGCACUAUGGAAGUCGCCAUUACCUCGAUUAUUGAUAAUCCGGACUAGGCGAGUGUCCUUAUCUUGCCCAUUAGUUGUUGGACUUCCGCGCUAUCUUCCUCCUCGAGGCUCCGAGGGCGCCAGCUAUGGCGUUUCUUCAAUGGAGCACUGGAAAAUUCAGGAAGACCCAUUCGGACUGGGUCGGGGAGAGCGACGUCCUCAAUAUAGAACCACUCUGAGGGCCACUCUUCGGACGCCUUCUUCGGCGUGCCGGACAGGUAUUCGGUCUCGGCUAUGCGCCAUACCUCGGCACCGCCCACCUCGAAUACAGAUCCCUUUUGGGUGCGAGGGACGAGGCAGAAUAGCUUCCUCCAUAACUCAAAGUGGGCCUCACAGCCCAGGAAUAGCUUGCAAAGAGCAACAAUACCCGCAAUGUGCAUGAUAGAGGCUGGCGUGAGGUUGUGCAGUUGAAGGCCGUAAUACUCCAGGAGUCCUCGGAGGAAAGGGUGGAUUGGAAAUCCGACGCCUCUUAACAAGUAGGAAAUGAAGCACACUCGUUCCCCCUGGUUGGAUUGGGCAAAUUUUCCGCCAGGGAUUCGCCAGUGAAGGAGGUNNNNNNNNNNNNNNNNNNNNNNNNNNNNNNNNNNNNNNNNNNNNNNNNNNNNNNNNNNNNNNNNNNNNNNNNNNNNNNNNNNNNNNNNNNNNNNNNNNNNNNNNNNNNNNNNNNNNNNNNNNNNNNNNNNNNNNNNNNNNNNNNNNNNNNNNNNNNNNNNNNNNNNNNNNNNNNNNNNNNNNNNNNNNNNNNNNNNNNNNNNNNNNNNNNNNNNNNNNNNNNNNNNNNNNNNNNNNNNNNNNNNNNNNNNNNNNNNNNNNNNNNNNNNNNNNNNNNNNNNNNNNNNNNNNNNNNNNNNNNNNNNNNNNNNNNNNNNNNNNNNNNNNNNNNNNNNNNNNNNNNNNNNNNNNNNNNNNNNNNNNNNNNNNNNNNNNNNNNNNNNNNNNNNNNNNNNNNNNNNNNNNNNNNNNNNNNNNNNNNNNNNCAUUUCUCCCAAACGCCUUUUUCGGAGCCAUGAGGGUGGGAGGAAGAACUGGGGGCGCUAGCCAUGUGUUGAAUGGUUUCCCCUGGCAAGCUCGAAGGAUUUUCCGCUUGGUGUGGAAUGGGAUCUGAGAUCCAAUCCCUUUAAAUAGACGCCUUUCUUACACGGCCGGGGUGUUACGUGCAAAAAAUACCCUGACCUUUCGUAUUCGCUCGACACGUGGAGGCAGAAGCAAGGGGGGCACAGAAGCCAAAGGGAAUGACAUUAAAUCACAAGCUGAGUACAGUUCUUCGGGUCAGGUGCUCUGAAGUAAUCGAAGGAGGAACCCGCCUUGCAAUGCCGAAGACAAUCAGCACGUCGGACACAUCAUCAUUGAAGCCUGGUUCGGGGGCUACUGAGGGAGUCCUGGAUUAAGGGGUCCUCGGGCGUCUGGGCUAUGUGACGUGGGCCGGACUGAUGGGCCAUGAAGAUUUCAGACAGAAGACUUCCUCCCGUGUCCGGAUGGGACUCUCCUUGGCAUGGAAGGCAAGCCUGGCGUUCAGAUAUGAUGAUUCCUUCCUCUGUAAACCGACUCUGUACAACCUUUAGGCCCCUCCGGUGUCUAUAUAAACCGGACGGUUUAGUCUGUAGAAGAAAUCACAAUCAUACAUGCUAGACAUCUAGGGUUUAGCCAUUACGAUCUCGUGGUAGAUCAACUCUUGUAAUCCUCAUAUUCAUCAAGAUCAAUCAAGCAGGAAGUAGGGUAUUACCUCCAUCAAGAGGGCCCGAACCUGGGUAAACAUCGUGUCCCCCGUCUCCUGUUACCAUCGACCUUAGACGCACAGUUCGGGACCCCCUACCCGAGAUCCGCCGGUUUUGACACCGACAGGUACUUGCUACUUUUGUCUGAUAGUGAAUCAUGCGAACCGUCUCCGAGUUGUGGAAACAGAUGUAUCCUCACCAGCUUUUGACGUAAUAUAUGGCAUGCUUAGAUGUAAGUUUGAACUGUUUAUCAUAUCAGCGGGGCUUGUUUGAUGAUUCUUGGUGAUAGUAGGCUAGCUACUGUGUGAGCUAUAGUGCUUGCAAUACACUCACUGAAGAGAAACGUUGGGGCUGAUGAGCUCGUGGUACGCUUAUACUGAUACGUUGUCGAUCGGCCAAUAGCCAAAGCUCCUAAAAUUGUAGGCUUAGCAAUCGAUCAGACAAUAGUCGACACGGAUACAUUCAGGCCUCAUUUGGUUCAUACGGUAGGAAAAUCUUAGCAAAAGUACAGAGACGUACAACACAAAAUCAUAGCGGUACAGAGACGUACUCCCUCCGUUCCAAAAUAGAUGAGUCAACUUUGUACUACUAACUUUGAAACAGAGGGAGUACAAAUCCUAGGCGGGCUAGUUUGGCCUUGUGAGUUUCAGUGAGAUGACGUGGUACAGUGCCGUCCAGUCUUCGCGUGUGGUAGCAGUACUGCGGGUACAGUAAGUUUUCUUGAAGAAGCGGAAUUCAAUGAAGUCAUGAUGGUUCCUUCGUCCGACCAACUUACAGUGGGAAAGGUUGGGCCUGCGCUGCGACCGGGGUGGACCAGGAUAAUUUUGUGCAUGGCAGGUGGACCAGGAUGGUCGACGUCCCACAUAUCGGUGAAUGAAAGUAUUCUUUCCGAUAUGGUGGACGAGCAACGAGUAUUCAUUGUUAAUUUUUGAUGAAACCUAUUGUAUCCACUUUUACAACGGAGGAGUGUGAAACAUGGCAGCCCAGUGAACUUGACAUGUGCACCACUCCCUCCUUCCUCAUGUAAUACUACCAUAGUGUUGACUAUAAGGUUGGCUAUAAGGUUACAACUUUUUCUCACUUUCUCUCUAUCUAUUUCCUCUCAAAUGUAAUACUACCAUAGAAUUUUACUGGUACUACUUGCUAUGAAUGGGGGCAGCUGGCAUCUGAGGGGGAGCACGCACGGGGUGGUGGUGGGGUGGGGGGUUCUGGUGGGCCAGGGUGGUCAGAAGCGGGCUUGGAAGCGGUCCGGACUCCUGGAUGGCCCACCUCACAUUAUCAUCAUAUAUUUCUUAGACUCCGUGUGCGGCGGGCGGGCGAUCUCUUCUCCCUCCCCCGUCUCUCUCUUCUCAGCCGACGCCCGCCGAGCAAUUAGAUUUCGGCUAUCGACGGUUUAUUCAAGUGCAGUCCCACAUGUCAAUGAAAAUGUAAGACAACGCGUGUCCCCACUGGUGAGCGGCGUGCGAGCCGGACUGUCGGGGGUGCGAUGCGAACGCGACGCGUAUGAGUCGUAAGUGUGCCGCCUUUUCCUUUUGAACUUGCAAAGCGUAACAUUUUCGUGCGAUCGAUCGAUAUAAAUCCAGAACAAAAUGACGAGGGCGGUGCUUUCCCGCGCGUUAGGCGGCCUAGUUUGAGUGAUAUGACGUGCUACAGUGCCGUCCACUUGCGCCAUUUUUAUGUAAGCAAGGGUCUACACUGUUACGUGGGAGGAGUGCGAAACACGGCGGAUCUGAUUUUGAUCGAGGGAUAACUGUUCCCUAUGAAAUAAUGGAGCACUGUUAGCGAUUAUAGCAUGAUAGUUAGGGCAUCUCCAGCGCUGGCCCUCAAAUUUACACCAGCAUCUGUCCGAGGACACUGAUGAAUGCCAUCCAAUGCUGCCCGCAUACCUUUCGACAACUAUAUGAACUAACCGGACGAAAUUCGUGCAAACACAGCAAAUUUCAAAUUAACCGGAUGAAAUUCAUUACAUUUCGAAAACUUCUCCUAUAAACUGGAUGAAAUUCAUUACAUAUUUCGCACAAACCGUACUAAAACCUACUGUAAACCUAAUCUAAACAAUCGCCGGCGCCCGACCACCAUGUCCGGCCAUGAACCCGAGAAAGCCGGCCAUUGCCUUUGCCUCCUCCUCAUCCGCCUCGAUAACCUCCUCCUCCGGAGCACAAGGUUAUGAUGAUUUCAGCCUCCACGUCACCGUCAAGCGGCUAAUCGGCCGCCGAUGUUUAUCCCAACAAGCUUGGCGUCGACUGAGUGGAGGAGCGGUGGCCUUCCUGGGACCAGAGCGGUGGCGACCUACCGUGUACUACUCUUCCUCGCUGCCGGCUGUGCCCUCGCACGCGCGCCGGCUUCAUGGUCGUGGCGGCGGAGGGCAGCCGGGGGGGGGGCGGUGAUCUCCUUCGUCUGCUCAUGCGAUAGUACGUCCAAGAGAGCUUUGGAGCACGCCCGGAGCGGAGCCGCCGAUGUCCUUCGUCUGCUCCUGCGACAGUACGUCCAAGAAAGCUUUGGAAUGCCACGAGGCCAUGGUUGGAGUGGUGCCAACAGAAGGAAGGGACCGGCGGAGAAUGAGUGUGGGUCUUUGGCUUUGGCUGGGAGCUGGGGCUCAAGUUAAUAUAGGGGCAAAUGGCAAUGGGCCUCGGCAGACGGAUGGACAGCUGGCGUUGGAGUAGGUUCGUCGGCAGCCGCAUGUCAUUAAUGUGGGCGGCGGACAGAAGGAUGUCCGUGUGUCGUUAACGCGGAGGAGUCGCUUGCACCGGGAUGCCGCGCGGGUGGCGCUCUCUCAAUCGUCGCGCUGCUGCAAUGCCGGGGCCAGUGAGAGGUCGCGUCGGGCGUGAAUGCGGACGCUGCUUAGUGACUUAACUGCAGGUGCGCUGGGUCACUGACAUGUGGGCCCAACGGGCAUCUGGCCUGCAUGUCAGUGUAACAACUGCACCUGCAGUUAAGUCCGGUGAAUGCGGCAUUGACGUUCUGGAGAGACGGUGACCAUUUCAGGCGGGAAGCGCGCGCUAGCUAUGGAAGGGGUUUCGGUAGGCCAGGGCGGUCAGACGCUGGCGUGGUGGUAAAAUGUGAACUCAUGGAUGACGAGCCUUUGAAGUGUAUGCGACAUGUAUUGACAACCAGGCGUCCAUGCAACCGCUCUUGUCGCCAGCUAGCCUUCGACGACCACCAUUAGACACCACACAACCAUGCAUAACUUACGAAUAAUGGACGAAUCGAUCAGAAACACACUCGUGUGCAGUGGCACUAUGAUCGGUUGCUCACGAUAGUACAUACUCCGUACCAUAGUAUCCUCUCUAGCUAGGCUGUUUUAUUGUGACGCCCCGAGACCGACGCUUCAGAAGACUUCCAUAUUUUCAUGAUCACCGUGUGUUUCUUUUGAGCUAGCUCUUUUAUUUUUUUUGCAUUGCAUCAUGUCAUCAUGCCAUCAUGUCAUUAAUCUUUGCAUCUCAACUCAACUAAUAAAUUGCAUAGAUGGUUGAUCUAUUUAAAUCGAGGGAAGGGUGACUUCUCAUUAUAACAUAUCCUCCCAAUAUUAGGGAGCUAUAUUAAAUAUUUCUUUAAUUUGGAGAUCACCAUAACACACAUGCAAAUUAUCCCAAUGCCUUUGUUAUCUUAAUUCUUGGUCUCCAACCUUGCCAUAUAUUCUUUCAUCAUAUUCCGGAGCUCCACCAAAAAUCCGAACAUUUUUGGACCUUCCCAACCCUCGCUUCCUAUUCAAAUCAUUUGAAUUUAAAUCAAAUGAGUUUGAAUUUAAAUCUUUCAAUCAUGGCCUUUUCUAUUUUCUCGGAACAAGCACAUUUUUGUGAGUCUAGGAAAAUUAUCCGCGUGUCCAACUUCUUCCCCUAACCUCUCUUUCUUUUCUUUCUUAUCUCUGUCUUGUUUUUAUUUGUUUUAGAGUGAGAGAUAGCCCAGCAGGCCAUCUAGGCCCAUCCGCAGCCCAGCUCCUCCAUGGCCCAAGGCCCAGCUCGCCCCAACUCUUAACCCUAGCGAGCAUCUCCCCUCGUUCCCUCAUCUCGUUCCCCCUCCGCCGCCACCCACACGCACGCACGCAGAGGGCAGCGCUCGCGCCCGUUCCCCUCACCAGCCACCGACCGGAUUCGUCCGUUUUCGGCGUUCCCGGCGCUACCGGAGCCCCAAGGCCCUUGUACCAAGUCCGUCGCCGUGCCAUCUUCAAGCCAUCGGGCAUUGGUUCCCUGCUUGGCCCACUCGUUCUCUGCACGAGAUGCCUCGUCGCCGGGAGUUUGUCGCCAAGUUUCGCCAAGCCGUCGCCGUCCCUUCUCCUGUACCCGUCCCCGUCGGAUUUGCUCAAGCGCGCCACCCCCCUGCGCCUCAAGACUCUCCCGCCGGAGCCCCGCAGACCCGCGCCGUCGCCUCCUCUGCAUCGAGCGGGAGGACGACCAGAAGUGCCUUCUCUGCGCCCGAGUUUCCCCUGACCUGAGGCCAUCGUCCUCGACAGCGUCAAGUCCUUUGUCGCGCCGCCCUUCGCCAAGUCCCGCUCGCCAAUGCUCCUUGACUUCGUCCUUCCCGCGCGGUACCCGCCUUGCCAAGCCCCUGCAUCGCGCCGCUGUUUCCUCUCCUUCAACCCGCGUCGCCUCUGCCAGCCCUGUGCUCCUGGUUGCAUCCACCAAGCUCCUCUGCCCCGUUUCGCCUCGGCCUCGGCCGAGGAGGAGGAGCAGCGUUGCUGCCUGCUCGAUCCGCCUGCACGCGCGCCUCGCGCGUUGACCGCGACCAGCUCCAUGCCCGAGCGAGCAUGCUCCUGAUCCCGAUGCCCAGCACCGUCCAAGUUGUCGCCUCUAUGCACCAUGCAGUGUUACCGUGGACGCAUGCACCCCCGGAUCGGAACCUCAAGCACCAAGUACACCACCGACAAGUCUCGGACUCCGAACGCCAAGUACAACUACGAACCCCAAGACCUCGGAUGCAUCAAGUUCCUCUACGACCUGUGUACAGCUACCGUCGCCAAGACCGGACCGACAAGUACCCCGACAACGUGUGUACCACUACCGUCGCCGUGUACCACUACUUCCACUACCGUCGCGAGAACGUCUACUUCCAUCUACUCCGCAUUGAACUCGUUCCGCCCCAAAAACGCACGCUUCGAAGGUAUAACCGCCGAGACGACCGCCAAAUGCAUGUGUGUGUGAGAUGCUCCCUAUGUUUGCACCGUGUCCGAAUUGUCACUCGUUUCCAUGCCACUAACUCGUGGGAACCCGGUAGUCGGGAGCACCCCACCAUCUUUAGCAUGUUCUGCACAUCCGCACACUUCCUUUUGCACCGGUAUCUCCAUGAGCUACCGGAACCGAUAUGUUACCGUGGCAUCAUUUUCGGAAUCGUUGCCGUGACACCCUUUCUUUCCGCCACGAUGACAAAUGCCUCGCAUCUUGCUCAAGUCAAUAUUUUCAUUAAAUUGCAUAAAGCUUGCAUAUGUCAUCCGCAUCAUGUUAACAACUUUUAAAAUUGUUGUUUGCUUUAAAUUGCUAUAUGCAUAUGGGGGUUUUCCGGAAUUGUUGUUUGUUAUUUCCGGCCUGAUGUAAACUUGCCUAAAUAGAAAGUUUAUUUAUGCUUCACCCCUUGCCAUGUUGAAUAACAUUUAAUAUUGUCGGGUACAUAAACAAGAGCGAAUUAAAUAACUUGAAUGUGGUGUUUCGUCAAUAUGCAACUCGUUGCAUAUUGAGCUCCACUUAAUUUGUAAUAUUGUUUGUGCACUUUGCCAUGCCAUGCCUCUUUAAACCAGACAUGCAUCAUACUUGGUUGCGCAUUAUGCCAUGUUUAUGUGAUGGUUGUUUACUGUGUUGCUUGCUUCUCUCCGGGUUGCUUCUCUCGUUAGCUUCGGUUUCGUUCCGGAGUUGUGAGGAUUCGUUCGACUACGUCCGUUUGUCUUCUUCAUGGACUCGUUCUUCUUCCUUGCGGGAUCUCAGGCAAGAAGACCAUACCCUCGAAAUCACUUCUAUCUUUGCUUUGCUAGUUGUUCGCACUAUCGCUAUGCUUGCGCUACCUACCACUUGUUUAUCAUGCCUCCCAUAUUGCCAUGUCAAGCCUCUAACCCAGCUUUCCUAGCAAACCGUUGUUUGGCUAAGUUGCCGCUUUUGCUCAGCCCUUCUUAUAGUGUUGCUAGUUGCAGGUUAAGUUGAAGAUUGCUCCAUGUUGGAACAUGUUUAUGUUGGGAUAUCACAAUAUCUCUUAUUUAAUUAAUGCAUCUAUAUACUUGGUAAAGGGUGGAAGGCUCGGCCUUAUGCCUGGUAUUUUGUUCCACUCUUGCCGCCCUAGUUUCCGUCAUACCGGUGUUAUGUUCCUUGAUUUUGUGUUCCUUACGCGGUUGGGUGAUUUAUGGGACCCCCUUGACAGUUCGCCUUGAAUAAAACUCCUCCAGCAAGGCCCAACCUUGGUUUGACAUUUCCCACCUAAGCCUUUUUCCUUUGGGUUUUCGCGAGCCCGAGGGUCAUCUUUAUUUAACCCCCCCGGGCCAGUGCUCCUUCGAGUGUUGGUCCGAACUGAGCUGCCUGCGGGGCCACCUUGGGGAAACUUGAGGACUGGUUUUACUUAUAGCUAGUCUCAUCCGGUGUUGCCCUGAGAACGAGAUUUGUGCAGCUCCUAUCGGGAUUUGUCGGCACAUCGGGCGGCUUUGCUGGUCUUGUUUUACCAUUGUCGAAAUGUCUAGUAAACCGGGAUUCCGAGACUGAUCGGGUCUUCCCGGGAGAAGGAAUAUCCUUCGUUGACCGUGAGAGCUUAUGAUGGGCUAAGUUGGGACACCCCUGCAGGGUUUUAUCUUUCGAAAGGCGUGCCCGCGGUUAUGUGGCAGAUGGGAAUUUGUUAAUGUCCGGUUGUAGAGAACUUGACACUUGACAUAAUUAAAAUACAUCAACCGUGUGUGUAGCCGUGAUGGUCUCUUUUCGGCGGAGUCCGGGAAGUGAACACGGUUUGGGUUAUGUAUGAACAUAAGUAGUUUCAGGAUCACUUCUUGAUCAUUUCUAGCUUCACGACCGUUGCGUUGCUCCUCUUCUCGCUCUUAUUUGCGUAUGUUAGCCACCAUAUAUGCUUAGUGCUUCUUGCAGCUCCACCUCAUUACCCCAUCCUUCCUAUAAGCUUAAAUAGUCUUGAUCUCGCAGGUGUGAGAUUGCUGAGUCCUGGUGACUCACAUAUUCUACCAAAACAGUUGCAGGUGCCGACGAUACCAGUGCAGGUGACGCAACCGAGCUCAAGUGGGAGUUCGACGAGGAACUUGGUCGUUACUAUGUUUCGUUUCCUGAUGAUCAGUAGUGGAGCCCAGUUGGGACGAUCGGGGAUCUAGCAUUUGGGGUUAUCUUCUUUUCAUUUGGAUUUGACUGUAGUCGGUCUAUGUGUGUAUUUUGGAUGAUGUAUGAAUUUAUUUAUGUAUUGUGUGAAGUGGCGAUUGUAAGCCAACUCUCUUUAUCCCAUUCUUGUUCAUUACAUGGGAUUGUGUGAAGAUGACCCUUCUUGCGAUAAUACCUACAAUCCGGUUAUGCCUCUAAGUCGUGCCUCGACACGUGGGAGAUAUAGCCGCAUCGUGGGUGUUACAAGUUGGUAAUCAGAGCCAUCCCCGACUUAGGAGCCCUCUGCUUGAUCGAAUCGCUGGCGUUAUUGAGUCUAGAAAAAAAAGUUUUGAGUCUUAGGAUUAUAUAUAUAUCGGAGAGUAGGAUUCUUUUACUAUCAGUCCCUUCGUCGCUCUGGUGAGGCCCCCUGACGUAGAAGUUUUGACUCUCCUCUCCUCAAAUUUCACUAUUUUUUUAGGAUCACGCGGGUAUCUUGGAAUCGUUCCGAUGGUUUUGUGACGAGAACAUUGUUCUUGGUGCCUCCUGACAUUUAGGGGUUGUGGCAGUGUCCCGGGGAGUUGAGCUCCGAGGUGUUGUCGUCACAAUUUUAUCGUUGCAGUUCUGGAAUACCCGAGUUUCGCCGACAUCGAAAAUCUCUUUUAUGCAGUUGUUGGUGAGAUCACCUCGACGCCACCCAGUACUAGGGCGGGAGUUCGGGAGUAUUGCCAUAACUCAUAUAACGGAUGCUUUUCGAAGGUUGAGGUAAAUGAUUUCCGAAGGUUUCUUGGUUAUGUGUUGAAGGAUGGAUACAGCUGGAUCUAGGUAUUGUUAGUUUGGGUGGGAUAUAUUGCGUCCCCUGUAUCCCCAACACCUGAUUGCAUAACCAGAAAGUUUCGGGAGUUUAUAAGUGGGAAUUCAAGUAGCUCCUAGGAUAUCUUUCCGACAGAUGCAUGAUAUGAGAUUGGGGUUCGACGUCUAGUGGUCCGCCUAUCCACGGUUGGUUUUACAGUGGUCUCGUAGUGUCUUAAAGAGUACUUGGCUAUGCCGACUCGGGGACGCUUCAUAUGUCAUGUGCACUGCCUUGUACAUGAUGGUGCUGUACGAUCGAGCCCGUGUGGGCCCCACCACGAAAACUUCGGACGAAAUCUCUAUCAUAUGUUUGUUCCGGCUUAUUCUGCAAGCCAAUCCUUUGUUUUGUUUUGGUUUCUGGUAUUCGAGUUGCGUCGAAGUCAAGUGUUGAUUCCAUACCUUUCCUAAGCGGUGUUCUCAUACUUCUAUGUGAAUAAAAAUCCUUCUUGAUCAUCGAGAUUGUCAUGCCUAUUCUUUUCCAACCGACGUGCUCUUUUUCAAGUGGAUCCGAUCAUUUCAACAUUCGCGAGAUCAAUUCUCAGUUGUUUGCAACGGUGUUUGCUUCAUCCGUCCCAAGUUGUCUUUGUUUUCCCGCCCUCCCACCCUUUUCUUCAAGGACCCAAAUUUCUUAAUCAAGUAUCCUCUUAUGGAUGUGAAGUUUCUCCAUUCUUUUCCAUCAAUGUUCUAAUCCGGUGAUUCUCAGGAAGAUGCUAACGGAGCUUCAAGUUUAUCAUUCUUCACUUUUUUCUUCUUCUACGGUGGAUUCAAUUCAAACUUUCUCGAUCAUAUCCUUUCCUCGUUUCAAAUGCUUUAUCAUGCAGGUGCACCUCUUUAUCAUCCACUUCUCACCAUUCAUUUGUUCUGGAGUGCUGAAGAUAUCUCAGGAGAUUCGUGUUUUCAUUCCUAAUCCGUUCAAGCUAUCUCGAGGUUAUUAUCUCUUUUGAGCCAUUUAAUUCUACUAGCGCAGUCUCUCUUUUAAAUCGUUCAACGGUGUUUUCUUUUGAGUGGGCCCUAACCCACAGGUCAUUUCCCAGGAUCUUACCUGACUCUUCUAAUUUUUCCGGAGCUUCUAAAAUUCUUUUCAAAGUUUGACGUAAGAAUGGGUUAUCAUCAGUCAUAUGUCUUUCUCCAAGAUCUUUCAAAUUCUUUUCAUCGUUAGUUCAACCUUUCUAAUUUUCAUUCCAAAGUGCUUCAACAAUUCAUGGUGGUGUUUCUUGUCGUCAUUCUUGGAUUUUGAAGACCGAAGAAGAGUUCCUCUUAAAUCCUUAUCCGUUCUCUCAAAGAUGCGAAGUUCAAGCGUGAUGCCAUCCUCUCAUAAUUGUUUUCGAUCGUGAGAAUUCUUUUCACCCAUCCGGAGCAUUUCAGGAGUCUUUUCAGUUUGAUUCUUCGGAGCCCAUCAUCUCAGAAUUAUUCAUUCAAGCUUUCAGCUCUCGUUCUCUAGAUCAUACCGGUGCAUCAUUCAAGUACUAUCUAAUCAGCCCGGGAUCUCUGCGUUCACUUGUAUCUAAAUUCUCUCAAGUAUCUUCGUUCAUUUUCUAAUUCUUCCCGGUGUUUCUUUAUCUUUUCUUCGUUCAUUUUCAAUUCUUACGGUGGUUCGUUCAAGAGUUCUCUUCCUUCGUUAUCAUAUAUAUUCAUUCGUUCUUUCCAAUCCUACCGGUGGUUCGUUGAAGACCUUCCCAAGUUUGCGUCAUAUAUAUCUUAACCCUUUCUACGAGAAUAAGUAGUAUGCCAAAUCCAUUGCUUGUCAUCAAUUUAAUUGGCGAAGGAUGAGCAUAAUGUAAUUCUUAUUCUUGUUUCAUCGAGUAAAUUCAAUUCUUUAUUCCGGAGGUUCAUCAAAAUUCUUGAUUUCAUUUGUUCAUCUUUCUUUCCGGAGUUCCAAGUUUUCUCGGUUAUAUCAUUUCAAAGCUUCAUCUUAUCACUGCAAGGCUUCACCUUGUGUUUUCAACUUCUCUUUUUUUCUAUCAUCCUUUUUUUACCAGAGUUCUUCAUGGAGUUUCUUCAUGGUGGUUCAUCAAGGAUUUAAUUCAUUCUCAAAGUGUUCUCAAGAUUCUUGUUGGAAGAGCUCAAAUAUUCUUCUUCCUGCAUUCCAAAACUGCAAUUCGUUCUACCUUAUCAUUUGAGGUGGUGUUAUGUCAUUCUUGACAAUUUGAGCUCGCGUUUCAUGAUUCACAUGUUUUCAAGAAUGAGAUAUUUUAAAUCCACCAAUCUCUUCGUUGGAUUUAUCUUGUGUCAUGUUUCACCUAAAGCCUUCCCUAAGGAAUGUUGCUAUUAUGGUGCUUAUCAAUGAUCCAAGUUUUCUCCUAUUCUCUCGGCGAAUCAAGUUUUCAUCUCCGUGUUGCUCUCAAGCAAUCAAUUGUUUUCCGUAGUGGCAUGUAUUCACCUCUAAGUUUUGAGUUGUUUCCAUAAGCCCACUACAAGUUCAUUCUUUUCGUUGUUGGUUUUCCAACAAAUCCGUUCAAUCCUUCUUUUUAAGGAGGCUCUUUCAAAUUCAAUUGUGAUAGAAGUUGUUGUUCUUUUCUCUGUUCUCUUGAUUCCACUCUUUCAUAUGUCCCGAAGGCAUUGUGAUGUUUUCUUCGACCCAUCAUCUCAUUUUGUAGAUCAUGUUCUUUUCCUUGCUUAUCCAUUUAACCAGAGUGUCGUGUUUUCAUUCGAGCUCUCUCAUCUUAUCAAGUUUUGCCUCCUUCCUCAACCAGAGUGCGGUCUGAAAUCUUUCUUACCCCUUGUGCCAUUUUUCAAUAGUUCUGGAGGCAGUGUGUUGUUGAUUUCAUCAAGUAUCAUCCCAUCUUCUCAAGUUCAUGUUAAUUCCUUCCAUUUUCAGUCGGAGUGCUGUCCAAAUUAUAUCAUUCUUAAUCCUACUCUAUCUUGUUUUAACCGGAGUGGCUUCAAAAUCUAUGUUGUCCCCUAAGCUCUUGGUUCUCAUCAUGUUCUUUGUUCUUCUCUGCUAACGCAGUGUUUGCAAUCUCGUUCACCUCUAUUGUAUUCUUUCUUUCGAUUUGUUCAACCUCUCAAGGUUUGUGGGUUUCACUCGUUUGUCAAAGAAGCAACUUUGUUUUACCUCUUGCUCUUCCGUUUCUCUCCGGUGCCAUCCUAGAUCUCGGGACGAGAUAUCUUGUAAUUGGAGGAGUGUUGUGACGCCCCGAGACCGACGCUUCAGAAGACUUCCAUAUUUUCAUGAUCACCGUGUGUUUCUUUUGUGCUUGCUCUUUUAUUUUUUUUCCAUUGCAUCAUGUCAUCAUGCUAGCAUGUCAUUAAUCUUUGCAUCUCAACUCAACUAAUAAAUUGCAUAGAUGGUUGAUCUAUUUAAAUCAAGGGAAGGGUGACUUCUCUUUAUAACAUAUCCUCCCAAUAUUAGGGACCUAUAUUAAAUAUUUCUUUAAUUUGGAGAUCACCAUAACACACUUGCAAAUUAUCCCAAUGCCUUAGUUAUCUUAAUUAUUUGUCUCCAGCCUUGCCAUAUAUUCUUUCAUCAUAUUCCGGAGCUCCACCAAAAAUCCGAACAUUUUUGGACCUUCCCAACCCUCGCUUCCUAUUCAAAUCAUUUGAAUUUAAAUCAAAUGAGUUUGAAUUUAAAUCUUUCCAUCAUGGCCUUUUCUAUUUUCUUGGAACAAGCACAUUUUUGUGAGUCCGGGAAAAUUAUCCGCGUGUCCAACUUCUUCCCCUAACCUCUCUUUCUUUUCUUUCUUAUCUCUGUUUUGUUUUUAUUUGUUUUAGAGUAAGAAAGAGCCCAGCAGGCCAUCUAGGCCCAUCCGCAGCCCAGCUCCUCCAUGGCCCAAGGCCCAGCUCGCCCCAACUCUUAACCCUAGCGAGCAUCUCCCCUCGUUCCCUCAUCUCGUUCCCCCUCCACCGCCACCCACACGCACGCACGCAGAGGGCAGCGCUCGCGCCCAUUCCCCUCACCAGCCACCGACCGGAUUCAUCUGUUUUCGGCGUUCCCGGCGCUACCGGAGCCCCAAGGCCCUUGUACCAAGUCCGUCGCCGCGCCAUCUUCAAGCCAUCGGGCGCUGGGUUCCCUGCCUGGCCCGCUCGUUCUCUGCACGAGACACCUCGUCGCCGGGAGUUUGUCCCCAAGUUUCGCCAAGCCGUCGCCGUCCCUUCUCUGGUACCCCGUCCCCGUCGGAUUUGCUCAAGCGCGCCACCCCCCUGCGCCUCAAGACUCUCCCGCCGGAGCCCCGCAGACCCGCGCCGUCGCCUCCUCUGCAUCGAGCGGGAGGAUGACUAGAAGUGCCUUCUCUGCGCCCGAGUUUCCCCUGACCUGAGGCCAUCGUCCUCGACAGCGUCAAGUCCUUUGUCGCGCCGCCCUUCGCCAAGUCCCGCUCGCCGAUGCUCCUUGACUCCAUCCUUCCCGCACGGUACCCGCCUCGCCAAGCCCCUACAUCGCGCCGCUGUUUCCUCUCCUUCAACCCACGUCGCCUCGGCCAGCCCUGUGCUGCUGCUUGCAUCCGCCAAGCUCCUCUGCCCCGUUUCGCCUCGGCCUCGACCGAGGAGGAGGAGCAGCGUUGCUGCCUGCUCGAUCCACCUGCACGCGCGCCUCGCGCGUUGACCACGACCAGCUCCAUGCCCGAGCGAGCACGCUCCUGAUCCCGAUGCCCAGCACCGUCCAAGUUGUCGCCUCUAUGCACCAUGCAGUGUUACCGUGGACGCAUGCACCCCCGGAUUGGAACCUCAAGCACCAAGUACACCACCGACAAGUCCCGGACUCCGAACGCCAAGUACAACUACGAACCCGAAGACCUCGGAUGCAUCAAGUUCCUCUACGACCUGUGUACAGCUACCGUCGCCAAGACCGGACUGACAAGUACCCCGACAACGUGUGUACCACUACCGUCGUCGUGUACCACUACUUCCACUACCGUCGCGAGAACGUCUACUUCCAUCUACUCCGCAUUGAACUCAUUCCGCCCCGAAAACGCACGCUUCGAAGGUAUAACCGCCGAGACGACCGCCGAAUGCAUGUGUGUGUGAGAUGCCUCCUAUGUUUGCACUGUGUCCGAAUUGUCACUCGUUUCCAUGCCACUAACUCGUGGGAACCCGAUAGUCGGGAUCACCCCACCAUCUUUAGCAUGUUCUGCACAUCCGCACACUUCCUUUUGCACCGGUAUCUCCAUGAGCUACCGGAACCGAUAUGUUACCGUCACAUCAUUUUCGGAAUCGUCGCCGUGACACCCUUUCUUUCCGCCACGAUGAAAAAUGCCUCGUAUCUUGCUCAAGUCAAUAUUUUCAUUAAAUUGCAUAAAGCUUGCAUAUGUCAUCCGCAUCAUGUUAACAACAUUUAAAAUUGUUGUUUGCUUUACAUUUCUAUAUGCAUAUGGGGGUUUUCCAGAAUUGUUGUUUGUUAUUUCCGGCCUCAUGUAAACUUGCCUAAAUAGAUAGUUUAUUUAUGCUUCACCCCUUGCCAUGUUGAAUAACAUUUAAUAUUGUCGAGUACAUAAAGAAGAGCGAACUAAAUAACUUGAAUGUGGUGUUUUGUCAAUAUGCAACUCGUUGCAUACUGAGCUCCACUUAAUUUGUAGUAUUUUUUGUGCACUUUGCCAUGCCAUGCCUCUUCAAACCGGACAUGCAUCAUACUUGGUUGCGCAUCAUGCCAUGUUUAUGUGAUGGUUGUUUACUAUGUUGCUUGCUUCUUUCCGGGUUGCUUCUCUCGUUAGCUUCGGUUUCGUUCCCGAGUUGUGAGGAUUCGUUCGACUACGUCCGUUUGUCUUCUUCAUGGACUCGUUCUUCUUCCUUGCGGGAUCUCAGGCAAGAUGACCAUACCCUAUAAAUCACUUCUAUCUUUGCUUUGCUAGUUGUUUGCUCUAUCGCUAUGCUUGCGCUACCUACCACUUGUUUAUCAUGCCUCCCAUAUUGCCAUGUCAAGCCUCUAACCCACCUUUCCUAGCAAACCGUUGUUUGGCUAAGUUACCGCUUUUGCUCAGCCCUUCUUAUAGCAUUACUAGUUGCAGGUGAAGUUGAAGAUUGCUCCAUGUUGGAACAUGUUUAUGUUGGGAUAUCACAAUAUCUCUUAUUUAAUUAAUGCAUCUAUAUACUUGGUAAAGGGUGGAAGGCUUGGCCUUAUGCCUGUUGUUUUGUUCCACUCUUGCCGCCCUAGUUUCCGUCAUACCGGUGUUAUGUUCCUUGAUUUUGCGUUCCUUACGCGGUUGGGUGAUUUAUGGGACCCCCUUGACAGUUCGCCUUGAAUAAAACUCCUCCAGCAAGGCCCAACCUUGGUUUUACAUUUGCCACCUAAGCCUUUUCCACUUGGGUUUUCGCGAGCCCGAGGGUCAUCUUUAUUUAACCCCCCCGGGCCAGUGCUCCUUCGAUUGUUGGUCCCAACUGAGCUGCCUGCGGGGCCACCCUGGGGAAACUCGAGGACUGGUUUUACUCGUAGCUAGUCUCAUCCGGUGUUGCCCUGAGAACGAUAUUUGUGAAGCUCCUAUCGGGAUUUGUCAGCACAUCGAGCGGCUUUGCUGGUCUUGUUUUACCAUUGUCGAAAUGUCUUGUAAAUCGGGAUUCUGAGACUGACCGGGUCUUCCCGGGAGAAGGAAUAUCCUUCGUUGACCGUGAGAGCUUAUGAUGGGCUAAGUUGGGACACCCCUGCAGGGUUUUAUCUUUCGAAAGCCGUGCCCGCGGUUAUGUGGCAGAUGGGAAUUUGUUAAUGUCCGGUUGUAGAGAACUUGACACUUGACGUAAUUAAAAUACAUCAACCGCGUGUGUAGCCGUGAUGGUCUCUUUUCGGCGGAGUCCGGGAAGUGAACACGGUUUGGGUUAUGUAUGAACGCAAUUAGUUUUAGGAUCACUUCUUGAUCAUUUCUAGCUUCGCGACCAUUGCGUUGCUCGUCUUCUCGCUCUUAUUUGCGUAUGUUAGCCACCAUAUAUGCUUAGUGCUUGCUACAGCUCCACCUCAUUACCCCAUCCUUCCUAUAAGCUUAAAUAGUCUUGAUCUCGCGGGUGUGAGAUUGCUGAGUCCUCGUGACUCACAGAUUCUACCAAAACAGUUGCAGGUGCCGACGAUACCAGUGCAGGUGACGCAACCGAGCUCAAGUGGGAGUUCGACGAGGAACUUGGUCGUUACUAUGUUUCGUUUCCUGAUGAUCAGUAGUGGAGCCCAGUUGGGACGAUCGGGGAUCUAGCAUUUGGGGUUAUCUUCUUUUCAUUUGGAUUUGACCGUAGUCGGUCUAUGUGUGUAUUUUGGAUGAUGUAUGAAUUUAUUUAUGUAUUGUGUGAAGUGGCGAUUGUAAGCCAACUUUCUUUAUCCCAUUCUUGUUCAUUACAUGGGAUUGUGUGAAGAUGACCCUUCUUGCGACAAUACCUACAAUGCGGUUAUGCCUCUAAGUCGUGCCUCGACACGUGGGAGAUAUAGCCGCAUCGUGGGUGUUACAUUUAUAGAUUGUCGUUGUGAUGGACGAUAUACGUGAUCAAGGCGCCGAGUCACGAGUAUGACCGUUGGUGUUGAGCUAGGUGAAUACAUGCUCGGUGUUCGUGGAGGCCUCCAGUAAACAUCUAAAUAGUAAUGUCAGGCACCGCCGGGGCGCGAAGGUGAGGGCUCGCUGUUUGCAUUGCGCCAUGAGCAGGACUUUCAUUGAGAGGGCGACGUGCAUGCAUUAGCAUGGUUUGACAGCGUGAGUGUGAGUGUCAGGCUGUUUGCACGCGUACAUGCUAGUUGCCUCUAUGGACGGUGUGCGCUAAUGUGUGCAUCACGUAUAAUAUAAAAAAAUCCAUUUGUGCAUUUAACGCAAAGUAUUUCAUUUUCAUUUGGCUGACGAGUGUGCGUUGCGGCGACGAGUCCGUGGUUUGAUUCCUUACAUACGCAUAAUUUUGGUUUUUAUUUCUUUCUCCACUGACAGGUAGGCCCGCAUAGAUAGAUAGAUAAAGAAUACGAGCUGAUGAGGCGCAUGCGGACUGUUUGACUGGUCAACCAGACAAAUACAGAGCUAUACGCUGAGCCAGUGACCGUAUAAUCACCAUAGCUCGUAUACAAUGAUCAAAGUGAGCUAUCAAGACAAGUUCGAUGACCGCCAAUGCAUUUUAAUUGGUAAUAAAUGACCAGGAUUGAAGGGGAAUCCAAAUUUCCUUCAUCUUCUGUCCUUGAGCUCUUGACAAACCAAUGCACUAUACGGUUGUCCGGCCACUCCACCCCAGAGCUGUCGCCAAGCAUCGUUCAUGCCACCGUGCCGCACACUAACCGGUAAGUAAGCGAUGGCAUCCCGCCACGCCGAGUUCCUCGCCGCCCACGACCGCACGCAGAAUGGUAGGGAAGCAAUGGCAUCGCGCCAUGCCGAGUUCAUCGCCGCUCGCGACCUCACACCUAUGUGGGCGGAAUUUGAAGCUGGCAAGGCCGAAUGGGUGGUAGAGCAAGAGGCGGCCAAAGCCACACAGAGGGAGCGGAGAAGUCAGAAAGCACUCAAGAAAAGAGAGGCCUGCCGCCGCAAGAAAGAAGAGGAUGCAUGCGCUGCUGCAGAGAGGUCGGCGGAGAUCCAAGCACGGUGGGGUGUCGCCGACAAAGUUGGGAAGGAGAACGACGGUGUCUAGCCAGCAUGUGAGAAGUAGUAGUACUAGUAGUUAGUGUGUGUGUCUGUGUCACCCGUACGUUUGUUUAAUUAAUUACGAGCAUGUACCAGUACUACUCCCUCCGUCUAGGUGUAUAAGUCAUCUUAGGUUGUGCACUGCGACCAAGGCGGAGGGGAAAACGAGAGAACUUAAUGGUUUUGCUAAUUAAUAGCAUUGCGUGCAAUGAACUAACCACUACAUGUCAUGUUUGGUAGUCUCAAGUAAUUGAAAACAUGCACUGCCCACAUCUCUAUUGGUUGAUGUGUCCCGAAACAAGAAACGAGAAGGGAGUUAAUGUACCGUACCCAAGUGUUUUGGGAUUAUUUGGUUUUCGUAAGGUGACUUACACACCAAGACGGAGGGAGUAGUUACUACUGUAGUUUUUAGAGAAAAUUACCAGUACAUUGGCCUAGACUCAAUGGAAAAAUUCCUAUCCUAUGCAUCAAAUGGCAUCUCUUUCUCUACAGGAAUUGAGAUGCAUGUCAUCUCACUUCCUAUGAUUUUCAUAUUCCUAUAAAAUUCCUAUCCUAUGAACCAAAGGAGGCCUCUGCUAGAGUAACUACUAUAGCUAGCAGUACUGCUGGUAUAGUAGUUUUCUUCAAGAAGCGGAAUUCAACGAAGUCAUGAUGGUUCCUUUGUCCGAGCAACUUCACUAUGGGAAAGGUUGGGCCUGUGAUUUGACGGCUCAUUAGUAAUUACUGCGGCGUGACGACCGGGGUGACUCGCCCUUGGAGUUCUACGAGCAUGGCAAGUGGACCAGGAUGGUCAACUUCCCACAUGUCGGCGAGCGGGAGUAUUCUUUCCGAUAUCGAGGAGCAAGGAAACCGUGUGGUAUAGUAUCACUGCUGAUUUAUAUAUUUUUUCUGGUGAAUGCUAGCGUUUCAACUCUUACGACGAAGGAAUGCCAAACACGCACGUGCUGGAUGUCCCACACUCAGCGAAAGGAGUGGGACAUGAACAGCGUGGUAGAGCGUCUCCACUUCUGGGUCGGAGACCAAGUAGUAGUACUAGUGGUAUGAACGAUACAAAGUGCGACCCAGAGAGAAAGACACGUCUAGUUGGAACGUCUCGGGGCAUACACGUAAACAAAUAUAAAACCUAAUAUGUGCCUCCAAUUAAUAUAGUAGUAGUAGAGUAGGGACAUACUCCAUAACAUCACCGGGCAUUGUACGUACAACAUUUAGUGGUAGUAAGAGACAAAUGCCUAUAUUUCACGCAUGUUCAUACUAUUUGUUCCUUUCUACUUCACUUACUGUGCUACAUUACUCUGGUUCGUACGUCCACUCCUGGGUAGAUGUCCGUCUCGUAGUUCUAGUCCCACGUGUUCUUCAUAGAUGGAACGAUCCGUAACUGUGGGCAAUGGGAGUACAUAUUAUCGCACUUAUUAGUGUGGCUCCCCGCGAUGGAGACUCAUCCAAACUAUGGCCAGCCUCGACGUAGAGCAGUCGCGUGCACCGGGAAGCAGCGCUCUCUCGGCCGUCGCGCUGCUUCAAAGCUGGCGCCAGUGAGAGGUCGCCACCGCUCUGGCCGGGCAUUAAUGCGGCACUGACGUUCCGGGGCAACGCUGACCGAUUCACGCGGGAAGCACGCGCCGGCAAGGGAGCGGGGUUGGGUCGGCCAGGGCGGUCAGACGCAGGCGUGGUGAUGGUGCUGGUAGUUUGCAAAACUACUCAAUUAUUGCACUCAAUUUCCUAAGAAAAUGUGGUAAAACAACGUUACUCCACAGCCCGCUUCCCUUCUCCUUCCUCUUCCACCGCCCGCGCACGUCCGCGGGAAGCGACCGGUCAACCCUUAUAUAGGAGUGCUAGCACAAAAAGAUGCAUGCAUGACCACUAAAAUUUCCAGAUGAAAGCGCCGCUCCGGCAGGAGUAUGGCGUAUGUCGUUACCUUCGGCCGGGCCAUGGCUACCGAGCUACGGCGACUAGAGAAGUGGCGGAGAGAGGGGAACGAAUGCGGCUACUGUUUGGGUUCCCCGUCCGGCUUAAAUAAAUGCGCACCAUCACGUGUACCCGCGGGUGCACAAAUAUUAACAUACGCGUCUGCUUAAGUGGGCGUCACUGGUGUGUGAGAGAUUCUGAGAGACAGAGUGCGUGUGUGCAACUCUACUCUUCGGACAUGUACCCAACCUUUUGCAUCGGGAUAUAAGUAUAAUGGUAUUACACUUUAGCUAGUGAUUUACGUGGCCAUGUUAAUGUGAUUGUGUAAAAAAAAUGUCUCUUCCUGCUCGUGAUUUGCGUUAUAUAAUUACUAGCAAGAUGCUCAUGCAUUGCACGAAACAUCAAUAUGCAUUUUUUUUACAAAACACCUGUUGUAAUUGACCCAUGCAGGAGUAAUACCAUGUGUAAAAACUAAUGAUAUCUCGGGAAUUUUAUCGGAAAACUGGUAUCUCGACAAUUCAUCGAAAAAAUGAAAGAUGAGAGAUAAGGUGAGGAGGAGUGGCGCAUGGUGGUUGCUGGUGGUCGGACUGGGCGGGGGCAUGGGGAUGGACGGCGCCGGCAGACGGCAGCGGCCACCAUGCUAGAUUGUUCCAGAGACUUCCUUUUUUAAUUGCUCAGCAAUGAGGUUGUGGGAGAUAAGGACAAUGAACAAGGCAAUGCCUUGUCUGUAAAUGUGGAGAGAGGUGCGGGUAUCUUUUGUAAAAUUGUCAUAGUUUGCAUUAUAUCCAUCAGAUAUAGAUCGAACGGUCUAUAUUACAAGAUGGCAGGCACACCAUCAUCACCAACUCGUUUUUUAUAAGAAUAGAGAUGAUAAGUUUGCUAACUACUAAAGUAAAGUGGAAUUUUUCCAUGUUAUAGAAGUAAAUUAAGGUGAUUGCUUAUCAUACGGGUAAGGUUGGAUGAAGGGUGCUAGGAACAAAUGCUCCGCCUAGAGCAUGUGUGUGUGAGAUGGAGUCUUAGUGUGUGUGGGGGGAGGGGUGUGUGUGUGUGUGACGCGGGGUCCUCGAUGGCGGAUGUAAUUUAAGUGUGUGUGGCUUCAUCAUAGUGUAUGACAGAGGCCACCAACGAGGGGGUGCGAGAGAGAAAAGGCCCGUAGAGAGGGAAGAGAAGGCGUGUGCGCGUGAGAGGAGUCGACAUCGAGAGAACGUGUUUGUUCGAGAGACACCGAGGAAGACUACUAUAUAUCGAUGGUGCAUGUAGGCGGGAAUUAAACGAAGGGAUGGUCUUAUUGGUUUUGGGGAUAUUGGGGAAGAGUGAGAGAGGGGGGGUAGUUAGAAGGAGAUUGUUAAGUGUGAGUGUGUGUUUUACCCAUCCAGACGGAAGUUAUGUGCACACAAGAAGAGAACGAUUCGAUGUGGCGUUAGGGUUGAGGGUAAUUAACUAUGUAUGGAGACAUAGGAAACCUUGAACGUGCAUGUGCGAGAGGUAUACAUAUAUAUGUUGGAUGUGUGUGUGUGCGCGCGAGCAUGAUCGAGAUAAAAGAAAGAAGACAUAAGUCAUAAGAUCAACGAUAUGGGAGAGAUCGGUAUGACAAUAUGCAUGCAUGUGAGAGUGCUGGGAAGAAGGCUCGAUAAUUGAGCAUGUGUUUUUUGUCUUUAAGAUAUAGUGGCGUGGGCUGGAGCAUGCAUCUAUGGCGAGCAGAGGGAGCGAGACACAAUGAUUGUGCAAAAGAGAUCAACCUAUAAAUGCAUGUAUGGAGAGACAUAUAUAGUGUGGGUGAUAGGAAGCAAGAGUGCGUGCGACAAAGAAAUGUUGACGGAGAAACUACAAAUAGAUACAGAGAUAGAGAUGCUAGCUAGAGGGACAUCGGCUAGUUUGAGUGUUGGAGAUGACCGCCGGGUGGUUCAGAGGGUGCAGUUAUGUGUGUGUGAGAGAAAGAUAAAAUGAGGGCACUUGACUGCAUGUAGAGAGAAACAUAUAUAGUGUGCAUGAUAGGAAGCAAGAGUGAGGGCGAGAAAGAAGGUUGAUGGCGAAAUAGAUAAAUAGAAAGAUAAAGAUGCUAGCUAGUGUGUGUUAGAGAUAGGAGUCGAGUGGAUCAGAAGGCUGAGUUAUGUGUGUGGGUGUGAGAGAGAGAUAGAGAGAGUGUGCAUGUAAGUCACAUACAAACAAAUAUCAGAGAGAAAUUAGAUCCCGAGAGACGGAGUUUUGUGUAUGCGAGAGAGAAAGAUAUUUCACAACAAGAGUGAUAGCUAGAGAGACAUAUGAGGGAACGCAAGAUAUCUCUAGGGAGAGAGAGAGUGUGUGAGCGACAUACAAGAGAAUGGUGGAGAGAUAUGAGACCCUGGGAGACAGAGUUUGUGUUUGUGUGUGAGAAAGAGAUAUUUAAGAGGAAGAGUUGUAGCUUCUCAUAUCUAAGGAGCGAAAGACAUCUCUGUGUGAGAGUGGGUGUGCGAGUGGCACGCAGGGAAUAGUAGAGAGAAAUGAGACCCCGGGAGAAGAAGUUUGUGUUUGUGUGAGAGAAAGAGAUUUCACAUGGAGAAUCAUAGUUAGAGACACAUAGCAGGGAGCGAGAUAUACUUAGAGAGAGAUAGAGUGAUGAAGGUCGAGGGAGAGAGUAUCGUCAGUGUGUUGCGAAGAUAAAAUAUCAUUGUCGACAUACAGGUAGCAUGAGAGAUACCCAAGAAACGAUGAACGCGUAUAGGUCUAGAGAGAUACUCCUAUAUAAGCAUGAGUCAUAGCUAUAUGAGACGAAUAUCUGGAUUAAAGGGGAUUCAAAUAUUUAAACUGGAGAUCACGACAUCGAUAAUAUCAUGACGCAAAUUGGUGUAUCAAACAUGCAUAUUCAUUUGAAUUUGGGGACACGUGUAAUGUUAUAUAGUUUACCAAUAUUAGUGAUCCAUAGAUUCUUUAAUUAGAGACAAUGCAUGAUUUAUAUGCAAUUAAUGUCUAAACGGGAUUACGCUAUAUGUUGCGUGUGUGAAACACAUUAUACAUGUUUGAGAAGUAAAAAAACCGCAUGAAACACACAUUAAUUCGAGACAGUUAGCGAGGAAUGCAUACAUUGUAUUUCAACAUAAAGUGGUUUCAAAUAUUUGGAAAUCCAAAUUAAGAUGGAUACAGCCUUAUGAAUCUGAGAUCAUGCCAUUUGUAAAUAAUAUUUAUGUAUAAAGGGUGUUGUUCUUUUGAAAGUAUAUAUAAAAAAUGAUGUAUAUAGAAUUUUAUUCGAAUCACAAAUGGAUCCUGGCCGAACAAAAAUAGAAUACAAACUGGAUUCGAAUUGAGUUGGCACAGUAAACGUGCACUCUUGCUCUGCAAAAAUUUGAAUGAAGCGGGGAAAGUCGCAGUAACCGCCCGAAACCAAAAUCUGCGAGAUGGAAAUUACUGCCUAUCCCUGACACCCAAAGCCUAUCGGCUCGAUUUCUAUGGGUUUCGAUAGGGGUAGGUUUGUAAUUUCACUCAAACGUGACAUAACCGCCUCUCACCCGGAUUCAUACACGGUGGGCGCCAAAACACUGCGUCUCCUCGGCCGAAAUCGACUCCCUCCCCGAUUCAUACAAGGUGGGCGCCAAAAAGAAACUCUCAUCGGCAAAUACUCGGUGUAUGCGAGAUUACCGUCCUAUCCCCAACCGACUAAUAUUGUUGUGAUGUAGGAAAUUUUAAACAGGGGCUAAGUUUGUAAAUUUCCUCGCAUUUGGGACAAGCGCGCCCUGAAGACAUGGUUCCCACCUUCCUCUCUCCCUCCAUUUCCCCAUUCAUACUCCGUGGGCGCCAAAACAGCCUCUCUACCCCAGCCUCCUCCAUCCGCCACCCCAUCCACCGCCGUCCUCCUCCACCAUGCCGGAGCUGAUACCCCGAUAACGUCAUCCAUUACAAGAGAUUGACCUCUCUCACCCGCAGCUUCGGACCGGGAUCCUUGCAUCCCGUCCUCUCGCUUCAUCCCUGCCGUCGUCCACCAUGCCGGUGCCGCUCCUACGACUGUCUCCUCCACCGCGCCCCGCCGCCACCGUCUACCCUCCUUGAUCUGCUUCCACGCCGCCGACAGCCAUCGCUACCGCAGCACCGUCAAAUUCUCAGCAGAUGCAUACACGGCGCCGCACCAGAGGCGGUACUCUUUCGUAUCUGCUCAACAGCUGAGCUACCAGAACCACUUGCCUAAAGUCUCUUUUCUUCAUCUCUUAUUUAUCACAGCAAGAAAAUAGAUCGCCACUGCUUUACUCUGAUUUCUUGUCCAUCACUUACUUGCUAGUUGAAAGCAAACAUUGGUUGCGAAGUUGCCUUUGUCCGGUUUGCACCUUCAGAUCCGCCGUGGCACGCUCAACACUAUACUUGCAAUGCUUAUGGUUUUCCCCUUUUAUAUUCCACACUAGUUAAAUGACAGUAGACUAAAUUUCAAAAUUGGGUCAGUCGAUUUUUCAGAGCUCGCCGGAGUUCUCCGGUGCGAAUGAAGGGGCUCGUGUGGGGACGGUGGUUGUGGGGGGCGGUGGUGGGGCCUCGCCGAACGAAGAAAACUCGACGCGGGUUGGGGCGGGGGUGGGGGUGGCGGAGGAACACAGGCGGUGGGGGCGGUUCAGGGGAGGGCGGGGGGUCGGGGCCGGUGGUUCAGUCGGCGGCCCAUGCGGUGUUCUGUAUGGGAAGAAUCAGAGACGGGGAAGAAGAAGGGUUAGGAGACGUAGGAUCUUCAUCCAACCGCCUGAAAUGGUUGACUGUCCCAAAUGACAAAAGUCACGCGACUUGCAUGCAGACAUGCAGAAUAUGCUUCUUUAGUUCUUCUUUAGUAAGCACAGUAUGUUCCUUGUCAGGAAGGGGAGUAGGGACAUAUGCAGUCGACACCUCUACUGGGCCGGUUCUGCUAAAUGAUUUCGCACUUCGAGUUGGUCUGCCAUAAUACCCCGGAAAUGGUGGGAGCCGCGCGGUUUUUGAUAGAUUAAACUGAUAGUAGUAGCUGUGCGCCUUCAGAUGGAUAGAGCUGGCCUGUAGGUGAUCGAUAGGCUGUAUAUUAGUAGCGGCAAAACCUUAUGUUUUCCAGCCAGUUCCGCUUUCCCGAUUUAUUUAUGGUGGUUAUGGUGUACCCCUAUUAUCUACACUACGAUCUGCCUAUUGGCUCUACGCUCUCGUUAUCAUGGUUUGGCAAUAAACUUUCUAUACGGUAUGUUAUGAACCUAUCAUCUGCCAACUAUCCAUACAUCUGGGGUCGCCAACAGGGAGCUCAUUUUUGUGUGUAGUUGUGCCAGAUUAUAUUAAUCUACUCACCAUAUUACAGCACACAUGGGCUCUCUCAUCAGAAUCUAGUGAUAGCGCACAAGGGUUUACAGGGAGCCUCUAUUAUAUUACAAUAUCCUCUGAAUUACAAAGAUAAUCUCACUAAUAUUUGUGUUUUCAUGCUUUACAAAUAUUGUACGUAAUCACAAUGAAUAUAAGAAUGCGCACAUCAGAAGAAUAUUGCGGAACAGUUCAUUGGGUAACAAACUUGGCAUCAAGGGAUUGAGGUACAUUGUGGAUGCAAUGAAACCCACAUGCUCCCGACCUAUAGAUUCAUAUUCAAAAUAUGAUCCUAAUGACUAUUCUGAGCUCAAGGAGUCAAAGGCAGAUGGCCUAUCCUGUUCAACCAAUAAGGUGCCUAUUCUAAUUUGGCAAGGUUUUAUUGGUUGCACAUAUCUUGCAUAAGGUGUCUUGCAUUUCUUUUGCUUCGUUGCACCGCCAUCUGCUUAGCUUACUCAUGAUAUAUGUGAAGAUGCUAUGCCAAUCCAUUAUCAACACCUAUUCCAUUUGUCGUCAUACCAUGUUUUUCCAUUCAAAUGUUGUUCUUGUUUCAGACAUCCAAAAGGAAGAGGGUGAUUGCAGAACCUGAAGGAGUACAAGCAAAGUCCUUGAAAAAGGUGGUGCUACUGGAGAAAUCACAUAGCACCCGACGUAUAUUGGCCAUAGAACCAGCGCUGCAAAACCUAGGAUAUCGCAACUAUGUUGGUCGCUGCUUUGCUCUUGUGAGUAUGUAUUGUCCUAUCGCCGUCCUUACAUUCAUAUUAAUGCUUGUGCAUUAUAGCUUGCUUAUCCACUGUUCGCUCCAAAUUAUCAGAUCUAUAUUAAUGCUUAAAUUAAUGUAGAAUAAACCCAAUGCCUAUGAAGAAAUUUAGUUCUGCAUUGUUCUUGUUAGUAUCUGUUGUCCUUCAUCACUGUACUUAUAUUUGCCAGCUAGUUCUUCAUGUACACUUUACAACUUAUUUUUCCUUGUCCUCCAUUUUUCUACACAUCAGAUCUACAUUUACUCUUGCCAAAAUAUUGAAUGAAACCAAUGUUACUGAAGAAGUUUAGCUCCGCAUUGCUCUUGUCAUUGCCUUCUGCCUGUAUGUUGUAUUUACAUUUGUACUCUGCAUCUUAAGUUAAAUAAUUGCCAUUUGUUCUUAUAUUUUCACAUCUAUAUUUACUCUUAACAAAAUGUAGAGUAAAGGCAAUACUCUUGAAGAAGCGUGUGCGGUAAACUUCUUGAAUUGCCCCCCCCCCAUCAAUAUGGACAAGGCCUUUAUUAGGGCUGGGCGCUCGAUUAAUAUGGUUAUUACGGUUCGGUUUAUUCGGUUUUUUAUAAUUUCGGUUUUGGAGAAAUGGCAACCGAAAUAAUCACACAGAAAUUAGCCACCGAACCAUAUUAACCAUAAUAUAUCGGUUCGGUUUAUUCGGUUAACCGGAAAACUGAAGUACAUGCACCAAUCAAAGCCACGCCUUAUGAGUGGCUAUUUGCAUUGCGCAAACUACAAAUAAUAAUGACAAGAGCUAGCAACCUUAACACAAAAUAUGAUAGUCAAAAUGUCACAUCAUUGGGUGUAAUGACAGUAUAAAUGGAUAGGGAACAAAGUCUCACGUACGGACAUAUAACAAAUAGUCUCAGUUAUGUAGCAGCAAAAGCAAAUAGCAUAGUUCUUAUUUUCUCACACACAAGUGGAGGAAAAUCAAACAAAAGGCUAUCAAAUAGGUGACUGGUGACAAAAACGUGAAUAAAUGGGACUUCAUCACAGGAACAAGACUUCAAGAUCUCAGAUCUGCACUACUACUUCCAUGUCUUCAUACUGCACAUGUACACAAGAUCCAUGGAUAGAAAUCGUAUAAAUACUUGCUGAUACACUAGCUCGUGACAGCCGUUUCAUGCAAAACAAUAUUAAAAUAUUCCUAGUAGUAGUAGAUCAAUCUAAUCACUUGCAUGGAGUCAUGUUACGUAGUGUACUAGCUAAUUGUAUUGAGAUUUCACAGAUUAGAACUCGAGAAGCUAGCGGAUGGCUUACGUCCGUCACAACAAAAGGACUGCAGAACGCCGACUCGCCGGAGCCGACUCGAUGAGUAGCUGAUCGUGCGUCUAGGGUUGGAGAGGAGAGGGCACCACCUAACGAAGGGAUGUAUGGGCGAUGAUUAGGGUUUCGCGGACAUGUGAACGUGUGGUGAUUAUGUAUAUACAUUAGUUGGGCCGAAGGACAAAUGGGCUACGCUCAACUGCUCACAAGUCAUAGCCACAGUUACGUACAGGUACAGAGCACGGGCGUCCGGCCAUCUUAAAUAAUAGCGGUUUCUUCGGUGAUAUCGGCUUGUGACCGCAGGAAACCGAAGUUGCACCGAACACCGAAUAGAAAACGAAGCUGCCACCGAACCAUAAAACCAUACACCGAAUAAACACAUAAAUCGGUUAAAUCGGUUCGGUUCGGUUUGGUUUUCCGGUUUUCGGUGUGACUGUGCCCACCCCUAGCCUUUAUAGAGCCUGUCUUCACUACUAAUGUAAGUUUGUCCUCCUCCAGCCUUCAAACUUUGUUGUUUAUAUUUGGAUAUCUAUGAGUGCAAAUGCUGUUUAUUUUUGUCGUUUGCAUCAAAUUGCUUGUUCAAAGUUUAUAAAGUAGAAGUACAUAAACAUAAGUUUGUCCUUCUCAAUUUCAGUCUUUAGUUGGAAAAUCUAGUUCCUUAUUCGUACCAUGUAAAUUAAACUAAACAUAGCAAGUUAUCUUCUAAGAACUAUGUGUAUGCUUGUGUUCUUGAUAUGUAAUCCAGUGGUGUGGUGAGACUACCAACAACAGCACAAUGUCAUAUCCUGCUAUGUCUCAACUAUGAACAAUGCCAUAUUAUAUUAAUGUUAUUUAAAUUGUGUCUCUUUAUUUACCAAUCUGAAAUGGUAUAAAUUAACAGUGCACUCACCAUUCAUGCUUAUAUGUUGUUUAGAACUACAUCUAUGCUUGUGUUCUUGAUCUGUAAUCCAGUGGGCUGGUGAAGCUGGCCGCUCCUGCACAAUGCCAUUUCCUACCGUCUUAACUAUGAACAAUGCCUAUUAUGUUAAUGCUAUUUUAAACCGUGUCUCUUUAUUUUUGACAAAGAAAUGAGAUGAAUUGACAACGCUGAUGCUUAUGCGUGCAAAACAUGUUAUCUACCUACUUGUUUCUCUUUCAGGGUGACAACACUGCUGCUAGGAAGAACUGCCACAAUGAUAGUGAGACGAACCCAUUGUUUGUCCCACUAACACAUAUUCCAGAGGAGAAGGCAACACAUAUGAGGGUAGGGAUACAAUCAUGAAGUCACAUCUUGAUCUAGUGUCAAACUUACUCAGUGACACAAGCUCGAUGAAGUCGCUGCCAGAAUCUGUUCAUCUUCUUCAGUCUGAAAUUCAAGCAGAAAUACAUGCUUCCGCUCAAAUACGACUGGAACUCCAAUCUCUAUGUAAGAUUAACCAUAAGUACAUGACGUUUAUUGAUGCUAUGCAGCUUAAGUUGGUGGAUAUGAGCACCAAAGAAGCGCAGUCUCAUCAGGUUGCUAAGCUGCUUGCGCUGCAGCUCCUGGGCUGGGCUAACCUUUCUUGAACUAUGUUGAAGUGCUGUCGGUUCUGUCUAUUAUUUUGUCCGCCUGUUAACUUCCACUGGUGGCGACAUGCCCAGUUUAUGUAAUCUUCUAUCUGGUUGCCCUUUAUUAUCACUGGCGGCGAACUUUGUUGCCGAGGGUAUGUAAUAUGCUGUAAUUUCUUUGUUGUAUAGUCUAGGUUUAUUCUUGGUGGGUAUGCUGUAAUUUAGGCCGGAAGGUUCAGUGGAUCUCAGUGUUGCCGGUCUUUAGGCCGGCCCGUUACUCAUAUGGGCCAAAGCUUGGGCCUAUAAUCAUCUUGGGCCAUUAGCAGGUCUAAACCUAUAGUUGUUUCCCGCCUUUAACAGGCCAAGUAAAGUUCUGUCCAGCUGGGCCAGAGAAUACCAUGGGCUUUUAACAUGCUAAAACCUAGAUUGGGCCAGUGUUGAGCCGAAAAAUUCACGGGCCAAUACAGGCCGAAACUGCCUAAGGCCCAUGUUUGGCCCAAACAGGACGAGCAGUUAACAGGCCAAAAUAUAUCUCGGGCAUGUUUGGCCCAAUAAAAUUAUGGGCUUUAAGCAGGCCGGUAUCUACGUGGGCCAUGGGCCAAAAAGUGUCAUGGGCCAUUAUCAGAUGGGCUCUAAGCAGGCCGGAUUCAACACAAGUUGUAAUUAGGCCCAACUGUUACAUGGGCCAUUAACAGUCCGAUAUGCCAGUUGGGCUGAAAUUUAUCCACGAAGUCUACAGGCCGUUAAGAGGCCUAAAGUUACUUCGGACAAGAAUUAGCCCAGUUUCGGCAUGGGCCGUUAAAUGGCCUUUAGUUAAACUGGGCCUAACACGUCCCAGAUGCACCAUGGGCCGCUAACAGGCCGAAACUAUUAUCGAGCCGAACUGGUAAACGGGCAUUUAAUAGGCUGAAAUACAAAACUGUCUUAGUAUGGGCCCAAAAGAACAGUGGCCUAUUAACGGGCCUGAUCCGAUAUGGGUCAUAAUUUGGCCCAAAACACAGCAUGCUGUGAACGGGCCUGAUCCGAUAUGGGCCGUAAUUUGGCCCAAAACAUGGCAGGCUGUGAACGGGCCUGAUCUGGUAUGGGCCUCAAUUUGGCCCGAAACAUGGCAGGCUGUUAAUGGGCCAGCCCACUAGUGUCUGAAAAACAUGGUGGGCCUUUAGCUGGGCCGGCAUUUUCACCGGAAUGGGCCUCUGUUGGGCUGUGUCACGUGUCGACGUAUCAUAGGCUCCUCCUGUCCAAUGAGUGGAUGACAUCUGUCCGAACAUUGAGCCGACAUGUGUUUUCUCCGGCCAAUGAGAAUUUUACACGUGGAAAAUUCCCAUUGGUCCGGGCUGUUAACGGGUUAUCGGAUCCAAAACCAGACCCGGUAGCUUAACGGUGUCCCGUUAUGGUGGAUGCCACAUGUCGGUCACCCUUGACGAAAGCACUUCUAUGAUGCGCGAUUUAUCGUCAUGGAAGCGGACACUUCCGUGAUGAUAAUCUUGGUAAUGUCAUGGAACACUUCUACGACAACACAGGUAUAACUAUCUUGAUUCUGUCAUAAAUUUGUCAUGGAUGUACAUGCAUGGCAGAAAACGUGACCUACUGUGACAAACACGUAUCAUCACGGAAGUGUAUUUUUUUGUAGUGGAGGCUACGAUGGAGAUCAAGGUGUCAAGCCGGUGACGAUGGAAAUCGUGACGGUGCUUUGGAGAUGGAGAUCAAAGUGACAAGAUGAUGAUGGCCAUAUCAUGUCACAUAUUUUGAUUGCAUGUGAUUUUUAUCCUUUAUGCAUCUUAUUUUGCUUAGUAUGGCGGUUGCAUUAUAAGAUGAUCCCUUACUAAAAUUUCAAGGUAUAAGUGUUCUCCCUGAGUAUGCACCAUUGCAACAGUUCGUCGUGCUGAGACACCACGUGAUAAUCGGGUGUGAUAAGCUGUACGUUCACGUACAACGGGUGCAAGACAGUUUUGCACAUGCGGAAUACUCGGGUUAAACUUGACGAGCCUAGCAUGUACAGACAUGGCCUCGGAACACUGGAGACCGAAAGGUCGAACGUGAAUCAUAUAGUAGAUAUGAUCAACAUAGAGAUGUUCACCAUUGAAAACUACUCCAUCUCACGUGAUGAUCGAACAUGGUUUAGUUGAUAUGGAUCACCUGAUGAUUUAGAUGACUCGAGGGAUGUCUAUCUAAGUGGGAGUUCUUAAGUAAUAUAAUUAAUUGAACUUAAUUUAUCAUGAACUUAGUCCUGAUAGUUUUUGCAUAUCUAUGUUGUAGAUCAAUGGCGCGUGCUACCGUUUUGUUGAAUUUUAAUGUGUUCCUAGAGAAAGCUAAGUUGAAAGAUGAUGGUAGCAACUACACGGGCUGGGUCCGUAACUUGAGGAUUAUCCUCAUUGCUGCACAGAAGAAUUAUGUCCUUGAUGCACCGCUAGGGGACAAGCCCCCUCCCGCUAAUGUAGACGCUUUGAACGUCUGGCAGACGUGGUCUGAUGAGUACUCUAUAGUUCAGUGUGCCAUGCUCUACGACUUAGAAUCGGGACUUCAAAGACGUUUUGAACGUCAUGGACCAUAUGAGAUGUUCCAGGAAUUGAAGUUAAUAUUUCAAGCAAAUGCCCGAGUUGAGAGAUAUGAAGUUUCCAACAAGUUCUAUAGCUGCAAGAUGGAGGAGAAUAGUUCUGUCAGUGAACACAUAAUCAGAAUGUCUGGGUAUCAUAAACAUUUGACUCAGCUAGGAGUUAAUCUUCCGGAUGAUAGUGUUAUUGACAGAGUUCUUUAAUACUGCCACCAAGCUACAAAGGCUUCGUGAUGAACUAUAAUAUGCAAGGGAUGGAUAAGACGAUUCCCGAGAUCUUCGCUAUGCUCAAAGCUGCGGAGGUAGAAAUCAAGAAAGAGCAUCAAGUGUUGAUGGUUAACAAGACCACUAGUUUGAAGAAAAAGGGCAAGGGAAAGAAAGGGAACUUCAAAAAGAAUGGCAAGCAAGUUGCCACUCCGGGGAAGAAGCCCAAGUUUGGACCCAAGCCUGAAGCUGAGUGCUUCUACUGCGAAGGGACUGGUCACUGGAAGUGAAACUGCCCCAAGUAUCUGGUGGAUAAGAAGGAUGGCAAAGUGAACAAAGGUAUAUUUGAUAUACAUGCUACUGAUAUGUACCUUACUAAUGCUCGUAGUAGUGCCUAUGUAUUUGAUACCGAUUCGGUUGCUCAUAUUUGUAACUCGAAAUAGGGGCUACGGAUUAAACGAAGAUUGGUGUAACAUCCCAAAAUUCUAAAUUUUGGAAUGUUAUAUUAAAUAGAUAGUUUUGAUUGUUUGUUUGAUUAUGGUGUGGUUGCUUGUGUGAAAUGGAGUGAAAUUUGGAACUUUUUGAAGUUAAAUGAGAGGGAAUAAAAUGACUUUCCCAAAAAUUUCACUUUGCUUUCUGAUCUCCAUGAAUUCAAAUUCAUUUUGUCACAAGACCCUAGAGUGAAGAUAAUAUGACUUCUUCCAUUUAAAUAAAUGAAAGAGGUUUUGAAAAUAUAUGAAUUUCAUUUGGAAAUAUUUCAAAUUCAGAAACUAUAUGCAACUCAAUGAUUUUCAUGAGAGAAGAUAAAAUGACUUCUUCAAAUUGUAUGAAAUAUGAGUUGGAAGUUUCAAAUGAAAUAAAUUUAAAGCCCCUACGAAAUUAUUUUCAUUUUAGAGUUAUUUGAGUUUUAUUCAAAUUAUUUUUCUCCAAAAAUAAAAUAUAUGGAAAGUAGGGUAAAAUGAUUCCCUACAUUAGAAAAUUGGAGAAAAAUGGUUUUGAAAUCAUUUUGGUAUUUUAAAAUAUUUUUAUUUGAUUUUUAAAUGAAUCCGUAGCACUGUUUGAUUUAUUUAAAUGAUUGUGGAUUUUAUUUGAUGCUAGAAAAAUGUUCAUGUGGUAGAACAUCUUUUUCGGAAAAUUUUGGUAUAUUAUAUGCCUAUAGUAUAUUUUUUAUCAUUUUAUUAUUUUAUUUUCUUGUCUGUGAAAUUAUUAUUUAAAAAAACGUCAGCGCAGGCGAGCGCUAGCGGCUCAGCUCACCUGCGCUUACGGCCCAAGGCCCAGCCUCCAGCCGCGCGAGCGUCGAAGCGCUAUGCUUCGGUCGCCCGUUCCCUCCCUCUCUCUCCCGCGGACGCCGACACGCGGGCCCCGCGUUUUCUUCCUCCUCCCGCAAGCAACCGGAGUCCACCCCGAGCACGACCUCGCCAGCGCCGCACCCUUCAAACCUGGGAUUCUAUCCCUCGGCUAACCCCUCUCCCAAGAUGACCCCUAUAUAAGCCGAGACCCCAGCGUCGUUUUGCCUCAAACCACAGUGCCCAAGACCCUCCCCACGUCCCGCACCGUCUUGCCGGAAUUUCGAGAUCCGCCGGAGCUCCGCCGUCAAAGCCCCGCUCCUUCCCGUGGACUUCGAGGAUCGCCGCCACCUGCAUCAGCUUCGCCACCACGCGCCGCCUCUCCCCGACCUUGCGCCCACAACGGAGGACCACCAGAGCGGGCACCACGACCACGACCGAGCCGCCGCGAGCUUCUUCUCCGGCGACGUCGACGCCCACCACCGCGGUAAGCCGUCGCUCGGUCUCGUCCGUCCGAUCCUAAAUCUAGGGCUGAGAUUAGGUUUAGUUGUUUUUUUAUUUCCGAACUGGUAUGCUUUAGUUAGUGAACGUUCGCUCUAUUAGCCCCGCAGCGAACGGUUUUUCAGCUUGUCGUUUUCUCACACGUGUCCAGGGACUUAGUUGUAGAUAGUUUUUUUCAGUUUAGCCCCUGCCUUUCAAUCCCUCGCAACUUUUUACUCGUUAGUCCAAAUUCAAUGAAACCAACGCCAAAUUCUUUGUUAUGAUCCCCUCUAUCCAGUAAAACAACUUAAACAUGUUUUUGAAAGUUUUAAAAUUUGAAUUCAAACAGAUUUGUAUUUGAACUUCGUUUGAUCGUAACUUGAGUUUUAUAACUCCGUUUGAGUUGAUUCUUUUUGAAAAUUAAAGCUCUUGACCUAAACUUUCCGAUAAGGCCAAAUUCACUUAAUUUUGGUACUGUUAGAAAUAGUUUUCUGUUGCAAGAGUUAUUUGCUUGGUUUUGAAGUUUUCCGAAUUGUUUUUUUUGUUCUCUUCGAUUCUUUUGCAUGAGUGCUUAUGUAUGCAAUUGCUUUCUCACGAUAGAUUGAACGGAGUGUGAUGAGUAGAACUAUCAGGAGUUAUGAGUGCAAAUCAUAUUCAUCAACAGUACAAGGCAAGUUCACACUUUGAUCAUAUCCUUUUAUUACCCAGUUUUUAUGCAUUAGUUUCAACCCUCAAACAUUGCAUGGUUAGGAUUUGAUUCAUGUGGGUAUUGGGAAGUAGAUGAUGAGGUAGAACCUAUUGUCCUUUAUAUCAAACCCUGGGAGUUACUUCUACGUUAUGCUUAUACUGCUAUGAUAUGCUCGUAGACGUGGAUUGGUUGAGUGUAUCCAUGACAGAUGUGAGAGUUAUUAAUUAAUGGUUAACUUAAUGUGGCUACUUAAAUACACAUCUGGCUGGAUUAGUUGAGGCACCCUGGAGCACCAAGUGGUUGUCUGGGCACCUGGAGAAUCCAGUGUUGUCCUAGGAUAUCCCGGAGUAACCGUGUGAUCAUCCUAUGGUUCGCCACGGAGGCUCAAAGGGAUCAUAAGAUUAUUCAUGCUGGAAACUUCCAUGUGCAGCCACAAGCCAUUAUGGGCUCUGGCCAUUAUGGGCUCUGGCAUAGUUGAGUAUGUUGCAUGACCUCUUUCAGUGGUAGGCUAGCAUAUGUAGGGGAUGUAGGUGGUACUGUCUACCCAGAGUAAAGAGUUAACACUUCUGAAAGACUGUGUCUCGGUCAUCCGUUUCUCAAACAUCAUGAAGUGCGAGAAAUCCAACGGAGGAGAUCGAGUCUUGUGGGGAAAAGUGCGCAAACCUCUGCAGAGUGUACAAACUAAUCAUGGUUAGUCGUGUCCCCGGUUAUGGACAUCUUGAGUCUCUGGUACUUGGAUUAUCAUGUUGAUCUCAACACUCUAUUUAAUUAAUUUGAUUGGGUUAAUGAUUAUUAUUUUGGGAUUGAGUUGGAGGAACCUUUUCAAUAGUUUUCAACCAAUUUUGUAGUUAAAUAAAAUAUAUUCCUUUGUUGUAGGGAAAAACUAGCUUUAUGCAAAAUUAAACCCAGAGCCUCCACCAGCCAAAUAUGCAUGUAGUGAUAGCCAUUAUACAACAUUGCUCUACAGUGUGAAAUUGCCUGUACAUUCAAUGUACUGACCCUUUGUGGCUGCAACGUCUCAUGUUGCAGGAAUCUUACAACGAGUAAGUGAUACGUUAGGGUGACGAUUUCUACACUCAACUUUGCCGUUGGUGUUGAUGGGAAUCCACAACCUUGUUGUUACUUCCGCUAUAUGGAUUGAGGUAAUAGUAUUUACGUUACUUUAUACAUGUGAUUUACCUCUAUUAUAAAUCCUCGAGUACUGUGUGUGUCAGCAUACCGAUCUAGGGAUGACACUUAAGCACAGAGACUUGACCGUCUGAGGUCGGGUUGCUACAAUUGGCUAAGGACGAGGUGACGAUGCGCGUCGGGAAUGGUUACAAGGUCGAUGUGACUGCCAUCGGCACGCUACUUCUACAUCUACCUUCGGGAUUAGUUUUAGACCUGAAUAAUUGUUAUUUGGUGCCAGCAUUGAGCAUGAACAAUAUAUCUGGAUCUUGUUUGAUGCGAGACGGUUAUCCAUUUAAAUAAGAGAAUAAUGGUUGUUCUAUUUAUAUGAGUAAUAUCUUUUAUGGCGAUGCACCCUUGAAGAGUGGUCUAUUUUUGUUGAAUCUCGAUCGUGGUGAUAGACAUAUUCAUCAUAUUGAUGCCAAAAGAUGCAAAGUUGAUAAUGAUAGUGCAACAUAUUUGUGGCACUGCCGUUUAGGUCAUAUUGGUGUUAAGCACAUGAAGAAACUCCAUGCGGAUGGACUUUUGAAAUCACUUGAUUAUGAAUCAUUUGAUGCUUGCGAACCAUGCCUCAUGGGCAAGAUGACUAAGACUCCGUUCUUCGGAACAAUGGAGCGAGCCACUGACUUAUUAGAAAUAAUACAUACCGAUGUAUGCGGUCCAAUGAGUGUUGAGGCUCGCAUCGGGUAUCGUUAUUUUCUAACCUUCAGAGAUGAUUUGAGCAGAUAUGGGUAUAUCUACUUAAUGAAACACAAGUCUGAAACAUUUGAAAAAUUCAAAGAAUUUCAAAGUGAAGUGGAGAAUCAUCGUAACAAGAAAAUAAAGUUUCUACGAUCUGAUCGCAGAGGCGAAUAUUUGAGUUACGAGAUUGGCCUUCAUUUAAAACAAUGUGGACCAGUUUCACAACUCACGCCACCUGGAAACACCACAGCGUAAUGGUGUGUCCGAACGUCGUAACUGUACUUUAUUAGAUAUGGUGCGAUGUAUGAUGUCUCUUACCGAUUUACUACUAUCGUUUUGGGGUUAUGCAUUAGAGACAACUACAUUCACGUUAAGUAGGGCACCGUCUAAAUCCGUUGAGAUGACGGCGUAUGAACUGUGGUUUGGCAAGAAACCUAAGCUGUCAUUUCUUAAAGUUUGGGGUUGCGAUGCUUAUGUGAAAAAGCUUCAGCCUGAUAAGCUUGAACCCAAAUCGGAGAAGUGCACUUCAUAGGAUACCUAAAAUAAAUUGUUGGGUACACCUUUUAUCACAUAUCCGAAGGCAAGAUCUUUGUUGCUAAGAAUGGAUCCUUUCUAGAGAAGGAGUUUCUCUCGAAUGAAGUCAGUGGGAGGAAAGUAGAACUUGAUGAGGUAAUUGUACAAUCUCUUGAAUUGGAAAGUAGCUCAUCAUAGAAAAUCGUUCCGGUGAUGCCUACACCAACUAGUGAGGAAGCUAAUGAUAAUGAUCAUGAAACUUCGGAUCAAAUUACUACCGAACCUCGUAGGUCAACUAGAGCAUGUUCCGCACCAGAGUGGUACGGUAAUCCGGUUCUUGAAGUCAUGUUACUAGACUAUGACGAAUCUAUGAACUAUGAGGAAGCGAUGACGAGCCCAGAUUCUGUGAAAUGGCUUGAGGCCAUGAAAUCUGAGAUGGGAUCCAUGUAUGAGAAGAAAGUAUGGACUUUGGUUGACUUGCCCGAUGAUCGGCAUGCCAUAGAGAAUAAAUGGAUCUUCAAGAAGAAGACUGACGCUGAUGGUAAUGUUACUGUCUACAAAGCUCGACUUGUUGUCAAAGGUUUUCAACAAGUUCAAGGAGUUGACUAUGAUGAGACCUUCUCACCCGUAGCGAUGCUUAAGUCUGUCCGAAUCAUGUUAGCAAUUGCCACAUUUUAUGAUUAUGAAAUCUGGCAAAUGGACAUCAGAACUGCAUUCCUUAAUGGAUUUCUUAAAGAAGAGUUGUAUAUGAUGCAACCAGAAGGUUUUGUAGAUCCUAAAGGUGCUAACAAAGUGUGCAAGCUCCAGCGAUCCAUUUAUGGACUGGUGCAAGCAUCUCGGAGUUGGAAUAUACGCUUUGAUGAGGUGAUCAAAGCAUAUGGUUUUAUACAGACUUUUGGAGAAGCCUGUAUUUACAAGAAAGUGAGUGGGAGCUCUGUACAAUUUCUAAUAUUAUAUGUGGAUGACAUAUUGUUGAUUAGAAAUGAUAUAAAAUUUCUAGAUAGCAUAAAAGGAUACUUGAAUAAGAGUUUUUCAAUGAAAGACCUCGAUGAAGCUGCUUAUAUAUUGGGCAUCAAGAUCUAUAGAGAUAGAUCAAGACGCUUAAUUAGACUUUCACAAAGCACGUACCUUGAUAAAGUUUUGAAGAAGUUCAAAAUGGAUCAAUCAAAAAAAGGGUUCUUUCCUGUGUUACAAGGCGUGAAGUUGAGUCAGACUCAAUGCCCGACCACUACAGAAGAUAGAGAGAAAAUGAAAGUCAUUCCCUAUGCCUCAGCCAUAGGUUCUAUCAUGUAUGCUAUGAUGCGUACCAGACCUGGUGUGUGCCUUGCUAUAAGUCCAGCAGGGAGGUACCAAAGUAAUCCAGGAGUGGAUCACCGGACAACGGUCAAGAACAUACUGACGUACCUGAAAAGGACUAAGGAUAUAUUUGUCGUUUAUGGAGGUGACAAAGAACUCAUCGUAAAUGGUUACGUUGAUGCUAGCUUUGACACUAAUCCGGAUGACUCUAAGUCACAAACCGGAUACGUAUUUAUAUUGAAUGGUGGAGUUGUCAGUUGGUGCAGUUCCAAGCAAAGCGUCGUGGUGGGAUCUACGUGUGAAGCGGAGUACAUAGCUGCUUCGGAAGCAGUGAAUGAAGGAGUUCAUACCCGAUCUAGGUGUAAUACCUAGUGCAUCGGGUCCAAUGAAAAUCUUUUGUGACAAUACUAGAGCAAUUACCUUGCCGAAGGAAUCCAGAUUUCACAAAAGAACCAAACACAUCAAGAGACGCUUCAAUUCCAUCUGUGAUCAAGUCAAGGAGGGAGACAUAGAGAUUUGCAAAAUACAUACGGAUCUGAAUGUGGCAGACCUAUUGACUAAGCCUGUUCCACGAGAAAAACAUGAUCAACACCAAGACUCCAUGGAUGUUAGAUUAUUGACUCUAGUGCAAGUGGGAGACUAAAGGAAAUAUGCCCUAGAGGAAAUAAUAAAGUUCUUAUUUAUAUUUCCUUGUAUCAUGAUAAAUGUUUUUUAUUCAUGCUAGAAUUGUAUUAACCGAAAACUUGACACAUGUGUGGAUACAUAGACAAAACACAGUGUCCCUAGUAAGCCUCUACUAGACUAGCUCGUUAAUCAAAGAUGGUUAAGUUUCCUAACCAUAGACAAGUGUUGUCAUUUGAUGAACGGGAUCACAUCAUUAGGAGAAUGAUGUGAUAGACAAGACCCAUCUGUUAGCUUAGCAUAAUGAUCGUUAAGUUUUAUUGCUAUUGCUUUCUUCAUGACUUAUACAUAUUCCUUUGACUAUGAGAUUAUGCAACUCCUGGAUACCGGUGGAAUACCUUGUGUGCUAUCAAACAUCACAACAUAACUGGGUGAUUAUAAAGAUGCUCUACAGGUAUCUCCGAAGGUGUUUGUUGGGUUGGCAUAGAUCGAGAUUAGGAUUUGUCACUCUGAGUAUCGGAGAGGUAUCUCUAGGCCCUCUCGGUAAUGCACAUCAUAAUAAGCCUUGCAAGAAAUGUGACUAAUGAGUUAGUUGCGGGAUGAUGCAUUACCGAAUGAGUAAAGAGACUUGCCGGUAAUGAGAUUGAACUAGGUAUGAAGAUACCGAUGAUCGAAUCUCGGGCAAGUAACAUAUCGACUUGUCGGGAAGAACGUAUGUUGUCAUUACAGUUUAACCGAUAAAGAUCUUCAUAGAAUAUGUAGGAACUAAUAUGAUCCAGGUUCCGCUGUUGGUUAUUGACCGGAGAGGUGUCUCGGUCAUGUCUACAUAGUGAUCGAACCCGUAGGGUCCGCACGCUUAACGUCCGAUGACGAUUUUGUAUUAUAUGAGUUAUGUGAUUUGGUGACCGAAUGUUGUUCGGAGUCCCAGAUGACAUCACGGGCAUGACGAGGAGUCUCGAAAUGGUUGAGAGGAAAAUAUUCAUAUAUAGGACGAUAGUAUUUGGACACCGGAAGUGUUCCGGGGGUACCGAGUACGUAUCGGCUCAGCGGAAGGGGUUCCGGGCAACCCCCGGAAGCUAUAUGGGCUUAAUGGGCCUAGGAAGGGAUAGACCAGCCCAGAAGGGGCUGGUGCGCCCCUCCACCAGGCCUGCCAGCCCUAGGGAAGGAAAGGGAGGAGGGCUAGCCCCACUUUCCUUCCCCUUCUCAAGGGAGAAAGGAAAGGGGGCACCACCUCCUCCUUCCUUCUCCUAGUGCCAAAAGAAGGAAGGGGGCCGAAUUGGGGUGGCACCCCGAGUAGGAUUUGGCCUACUUGGGCGCCCCCUAGCUGCCUCUUCCCCGACCAACCUAUAUAUAUGUGGGGAGGGAGGUGCCUAGAGGACACACAAACAUCUGUUAGCCGUGUGUGGCGCCCCCCUCCACAGUUUACGCCUCCGGUCAUAUUGUCAUAGUGCUUAGGCAAAACCCUGUGCGGAUCACUUCACCAUCACUAUCACCACGCCAUCGUGCUGACGAAACACUCCCUCGACACUUUGCUGGAUGAAGAGUUCAAGGGAUGUCAUCAAGCUGAAUGAGUGCAGAACUCGGAGGUGUCGUACGUUCGGUGCUUGAUCGGUCGGAACAAGAAGAAGUUUGACUACAUCAACCGCGUUGUCAAACGCUUCUGCUUUCGGUCUAUGUUGGUACGUGGACGCACUCUCCCCCUCUUGUUGCUAUGCAUCUCCUAGAUAGAUCUUGCGUGAGCGUAGGAUUUUUUUUGAAAUUGCAUGCUACAUUCCCCAACAAAUACCUACACAAACAAACACCAACUUGCACCCAACGCGAUAAAGGGGUUGUCAAUCCCUUCACGGUUAUUUGCAAAGUGGGAUCUGAUAAAGAUGGAUAAACGGUAAAGUAAUAUUUUUGGUAUUUUUGGUUUAUGGAACGGAAAGUAAAAGAUUGCAAAGGAAGUAAAUAGGAAACUGAAAUUAUAGAUCGAAAACUUAUAUGAUGGAAAGUGUACCCGAGGGCCAUAGUUUCACUAGAGGCUUCUCUCAAGAUAGAAAAUAUUACAAUGGGUGAACAAAUUACUGCCGAGCAAUUGAUGGAAAAGCCCAAAGUUAUGACAAUAUCUUAGGCCAUGAUCAUGAAUAUAGGCAUCACGUUCGUAUCAAGUAGACCGACUCCUGCCUGCAUCUACUACUAUUACUCCACUCAUCGACCGACUCCUGCCUGCAUCUAGAGUAUUAAGUUCAUGAAGAACAAAGUAACGCAUUAAGUAAGAUGACAUGACGUAGAGGAAUAAACUCAAGCAAUAUGAUGUAAACCCCAUCUUUUUAUCCUCGAUGGCAACAAUACAAUACGUGCCUUGCUGCCCCCAAUGUCACUGGGAAAGGAUACCGCAAGAUUGAACCCAAAGCUAAGCACUUCUCCAAUUGCAAGAGAAACCAGUCUAGUUGGCCAAACCAAAUCGAUAGUUCGAAGAGACUUGCAAAGAUAUCUAAUCAUGCAUAUAAGAAUUCAGAGGAGAUUCAAAUAAUAUUCAUAGAUAAGCUGAUCAUAAAUCCACAAUUCAUCGGAUCUCGGCAAACACACCGCAAAAAGUAUUACAUCGAAUAGAUCUCCAAGAACAUGGAGGAGAACAUGGUAUUGAGAAUCAAAGAGAGAGAAGAAGCCAUCUAGCUACUAGCUAUGGACCCGUAGGUCUAUGGUGAACUACUCACGCUUCAUCGGAAGGGCAAUGGUGUUGAUGUAGAAGCCCUCUGUGAUUGAAGGCCCCCUCCGGCAGGACACCGGAAAAGGCCCCUGGAUGGGAUCUCACGGGUACAGAAGGUUGCGGCAGUGGAAAAGUGUUUUCGUGGCUCUCCUAGUAGGUUUUGGAAUAUUUAAGAAUAUAUAGGCGGAAGAAAUAGUUCGGUGGAGUCACGAUGGGCCCACAAGGGUGUGGGGUGCGCCCUACCCCCUGGGCGCGCCCUCCGUCCUUGUGGCCGCGUCGUGGCUUCCCUGACGUGUACUCCAAGUCCUCUGGAUGUCUUCUGGUCCAAAAAAAAAUCAUCGCGAAAGUUUCAUUCCGUUUGGACUCCGUUUGAUAUUCCUUUUCCGCGAAACUCUAAAACAAGGGGAAAAACAGGAACUGGCACUGGGCUCUAGGUUAAUAGGUUAGUCCCAAAAAUAAUAUAAAAUAGCAUAUUAAUGCAUAUAAAACAUCCAAAACAGGUAAUAUAAUAGCAUGGAACAAUCAAAAAUUAUAGAUACGUUGGAGACGUAUCAGGCAUCCCCAAGCUUAAUUCCUGCUCGUCCUCGAGUAGGUAAAUGAUAAAAACAGAAUAUUUGAUGUGGAAUGCUACCUAACAUAUUUAUCCAUGUAAUUUUCUUUAUUGUGGCAUGAAUGUUCAGAUCCGUAUGAUUCAAAACAAAAGUUUAAUAUUGACAUAAAAACAAUAAUACUUCAAGCAUACUAACAAGAUAAUUAUGUCUUCUCAAAAUAACAUGACCAAGGAAAGCUUAUCCCUACAAAAUCAUAUAGUCUGGCUAUGCUCCAUCUUCAUCACACAAAAUAUUCAAAUCAUGCACAACCCCGAUGACAAGCCAAGCAAUUGUUUCAUACUUUUGAUGUUCUCAAACCUUUUCAACUUUCACGCAAUACAUGAGCAUGAGCCAUGGACAUAGCACUAUAGGUGGAAUCGAAGGUGGUUGUGGAGAAAAAAGAGGGAGAUAGUCUCACAUCAACUAGGUGUAUUAACGGGCUAUGGAGAUGCCCAUCAAUAGAUAUCAAUGUGAGUGAGUAGGGAUUGCCAUGCAACGGAUGCACUAGAGCUAUAAGUUUAUGAAAGCUCAAAAAGAAAACUAAGUGGGUGUGCAUCCAACUUGCUUGCUCAUGAAGACCUAGGGCAAUUUGAGGAAGCCCAUCGUUGGAAUAUACAAGCCAAGUUCUAUAAUGAAAAUUCCCACUAGUAUAAGAAAGUCACAAAAUAGGAGACUCUCUAUCAUGAAAAUCAUGGUGCUACUUUGAAACACAAGUAUGGAAAAGGAUAGUAACAUUGCCCUUCUCUCUCAUUUUGUUUCUUUUUUUCUCUUUUUUUCUUUUUUCUUUCUCUUUUUCUUUCUCUUUUUUUCUUCUUUCUUUCUUUCUUUUAUUUCCUCACAUGGGACAAUGCUCUAAUAAGGAAGAUUCAUACUUCUAUUUACUUACAACUCAAAAAUUACAACUCGAUAGUAGAACAAGAUAUGACUCUAUAUGAAUGGCUCCGGCGGUGUACCGGGAUGUGCAAUGAAUCAAGAGCGACAUGUAUAAAAAAUGAUGAAUGGUGGUUUUGCCACAAAUAUGAUGUCAACUACAUGAUCAUGCAAAGCAAUAUGACAAUGAUGAUGCAUGUCAUAAUAAACGGAAUGGUGGAAAGUUGCAUGGCGAUAUAUCUCGGAAUGGCUAUGAAAAUGCCAUAAUAGGUAGGCAUGGUGGCUGUUUUGAGGAAGGUAUAUGGUGGGUUUAUGGCACCGGCGAAAGUUGUGUGGUAAAAGAGAGGCUAGCAAUGUUGGAAGGGUGAGAGUGCGUAUAAUCCAUGGACUCAACAUUAGUCAUAAAGAACUCACAUACUUAUUGCAAAAAUGUAACAGUGAUCGAAACAAAGUACUACACGCAUGCUCCUAGGGGGAUAGAUUGGUAGGAAAAGACUAUCGCUCAUCCCCGACCGCCACUCAUAAGGAAGACAAUCAAAAAAAUAUCUGAUGCUCCAAUUUCGUUACAUAACGGUUCACCAUACGUGCAUCUACGGGACUCACAAACCUUAACAUAAGUAUUUCUCAAAUUCACGACUACUCACUAUGAUGACUCUAAUAUCACCAUCUUCAUAUAUCAAAACAAUCAUAAGGAAUCAAACUUCUCAUAGUAUUCAAUGCACUUUAUAUGAAAGUUUUUAUUAUAUCCCUCUUGGAUGCAUAUCAUAUUAGGACUAAAUUACCAUGCUGUUUUAAAGACUCUCAAAAUAAUAUAAGUGAAGCAUGAGAGUUCAUCAAUUUCUAUUAAUUAAAACCACCGCCGUGCUCUAAAAAGAUAUAAGUGAAGCACUAGAGCAAAAUUGCCUAGCUCAAAAGAUAUAAGUGAAGCACAUAGAGUAUUCUAAUAAAUCAUGAUUCAUGCGUGUCUCUCUCAAAAGUUGUGUACAGCAAGGAUUAUUGUGGCAAACUAAAAAGCAAAGAAUCAAAUCAUACAAGAUGCUCCAAGCAAAACACAUAUCAUGUGCUGAAUGAAAAUAUAGCCUCAAUUAAAGUUACCGAUAGACGAAGACGAAAGAGGGGAUGCCUUCCGGGUCAUCCCGAAGCUUAGGCUCUUGGUUGUCCUUGAAUAUUACCUUGGGGUGCCUCAGGCAUCCCCAAGCUUAGGCUCUUGCCACUCCGUAUUCCAUAGUCCAUCAAAUCCUUACCCAAAACUUGAAAACUUCACAACACAAAACUCAACAGAAAAUCUCAUAAGGUCUGUUAGUAUAAGAAAAUAAAUCACCACUUCUGGUACUGUUGUGAACUCAUUCUUUAUUUAUAUUUGUGUAAUAUCUACUGUAUUCCAACUUUUCCAUGGUUCAUACCCACCGAUACGAGCCAUAGAUUCAUCAAAAUAAGCAAACAACACAUAGAAAACACAACCUGUCAAAAACAGAACAGUCUGUAGCAAUCUGGAUAUUUUGAAUACUUCUAUACCUCCAAAAUUCUGAAAAAUUAGGACACCCUAAGAAUUUUUUUUAUUAAUUUUCUACAAAAAGAAUCAGUAUUUUAUCACGCUCCUGUGAUUUUUAACAAUUCUGGGACUCAGCGCAAAAGUUUCUGUUUUUCAGCAAGAUCAAAUCAACUAACACCGUAAGCUAUCCCAAAGGUCUUACUUGGCACAAACACUAAUUAAAACACAACCUAAAAAGCAAAAAAAAUUGGGUUGCCUCCCAACAAGCGCUAUUGUUUAACGCCCUUAGCUUGGCAUAAAACACAAAUAGAUCUAAGUGUAAUCAUCUUUGGCAUGCAACCCUUCAAUUGUGCACUUACAAUUCUUAGGAGAUUCUUUAGUUUUAUAAAUGAUCAAACUCCUAGGCAAGAAAUCAAGAAAUUCAUUCGUGGCACUAGGUCCCUUAAUAAUAUCCAAAAAAAUCAGGGCAAACACUUAUGGAUUUGAGAUCUUCAUUAUCUUUAAUAGAAUAUUCACCCUAAUCCUUAGGAACAUAAAUAAACUUGGCAAUUUUAGUAGGAGGAAGCUUUUGAGUAGUUUUGACGGAGGAAAAAGCGGAACCCAAGUUGGUAAUAGUAUCUUCUAGUUUGCCAAUUCUAGUAGAAUCUUGAUCUAUCUUUUCGUUAACUAGGGGUUCCUUUUCCCUAACAUUCUUUGAAGUAACUCCUACUUUAGAUCCAUAUUGAGUAAUAUGAUUAUGAAUCUUUUUAUCCAAAUUUUCAAUCAACUCAACGGUGGCAAUCUUAUUUUCAAUAAUACCAAGCCUUUGCAUUACAUGCUUAAAGGUUAAAACAGUUCCAUUAACCAAAAGAGGUGAUGUGCCUAAGAAAUCUAUCAUGGCAUUGUAAGAAUCACAAGUAUGGCUACCCAAGAAAUUCCCUCCAGUAAUGUAUCUAGAACAUAUCCAGUCCAAGGAGUAACGCCCACAUAAAAAUUGCAAAGAAGAACAGCAGUAGGUUGCUUUUGAGUAGAUCUAUUUUGAGCAUUGCAAAUUCUACACCAAGCAUCUUUUAAGUUUUCUCCCUCUUUUUGUUUAAAAUUGAGAACUUCGUUAUCGGGAGUGCUAACAAUGAUGGGAGGACUAGCCAUAGGAGCGAGACAAGAACACAAAAGGUAAACGAAGAAGACGAACGGAAGAGGAGCGAAGAAAAGGCAAAUCUUUUCAAAAAUCGUUUUAGAAGUGGGGGAGAGGAAAACGAGAGGCGAAUGGCGAAUAAUGUAAUGCAAGGGAUGAGAGUUUAUGAUGGGUACUUGGUUUGUCUUGACUUGGCGUAGAUCUCCCCGGCAACGGUGCCAGAAAUUGGCAAGUUGACGGGAGAUCAAAUCUUGACUUGACUUGGCGUAAACCCCCCCCCCCCGGCAAUGGCGCCAGAAAUUCUUGCUGCUACAUCUUGAGCUUGCGUUGGUUUUUCCCUUGAAGAGGAAAGGAUGAUGCAGCAAAAUAGAGUAAGUAUUUCCCUCAGUUUUGAGAACCAAGGUUCAAUCCAGUAGGAUACAACGCACAAGUCACCGAAUACCUGCACAAAUAAACACCAACUUGCACCCAAAGUGAUAAAGGGGUUGUCAAUCCCUUCACGGUUAUUUGCAAAGUGAGAUUUGAUAGAGAUGGAUAAACGGUAAAGUAAUAUUUUUGGUAUUUUUUGUUUAUGGAAUGGAAAGUAAAAGAUUGCAAAGGAAGUAAAUAGGAAACUAAAAUUGUAGAUCGGAAACUUAUAUGAUAGAAAGUAGACCCGGGGCCCAUAGGUUUCACUAGAGGCUUCUCUCAAGAUAUAAAAUAUUACGGUGGGUGAACAAAUUACUGCCGAGCAAUUGAUAGAAAAGAGCACAUUUAUGACGAUAUCUAAGGCAAUGAUCAUGAAUAUAGGCAUCACGUCCGUAUCAGGUAGACCGACUCCUGCCUGUAGCUACAACUAUUACUCCACACAUGGACCGACUCCUGCCUACAUCUAGAGUAUUAAGUUCAUGAAGAACAGAGUAACACAUUAAGUAAGAUGACAUGAUGUAGAGGAAUAAACUCAAGCAAUAUGAUGUAAACCCCAUCUUUUUAUCCUCAAUGGCAACAAUACAAUACGUGCCUUGCUGCCCCUACUGUCACUGGGAAAGGACACCACAAGAUUGAACCCAAAGCUAAGCACUUCUCCCAUUGCAAGAAAAACCAAUCUAGUUGGCCAAACCAAAUCGAUAGUUCGAAGAGACUUGCAAAGAUAUCAAAUCAUGCAUAUAAGAAUUCAGAGGAGAUUGAAAUAAUAUUCAUAGAUAAGCUGAUCAUAAAUCCACAAUUCAUUGGAUCUCGGCAAACACACCGCAAAAAGUAUUACAUCGAAUAGAUCUCCAAGAACAUCGAGGAGAACAUGGUAUUGAGAAUCAAAGAGAGAGAAGAAGCCAUCUAGUUACUAGCUAUGGACCCGUAGGUCUAUGGUAAAGUACUCACGCUUCAUUGGAAGGGCAAUGGUGUUGAUGUAGAAGCCCUCCAUGAUCGAAUCCCCCCUCCGGUAGGACGCCGGAAAAGGCCCCUAGAUGGGAUCUCACGGGUACAGAAGGUUGCGGCCGUGGAAAAGUGUUUUCGUGGCUCUCCUAGUAGGUUUGGAAUAUUUGAGAAUAUAUAGGCGGAAGAGAAAGGUGGGUGGAGUCACGAGGGGCCCACAAGGGUGGGGGGCGCGCCAUCCGUCCUUGUGGACGCCUCGUGGCUUUCCUGACGUGUACUGCAAGUCCUCUGGAUGUCUUCUGGUCCAAGAAAAAUCAUCGCGAAAGUUUAAUUCCGUUUGGACUCCGUUUGAUAUUCCUUUUCUACAAAACUAUAAAACAAGGAAAAAACAAGAACUGGCACUGGGUUCUAGUGAAGGAAAUAUGCCCUAGAGGCAAUAAUAAAGUUCUUAUUUUAUAUUUUCUUAUAUCAUGAUAAAUGUUUAUUAUUCAUGCUAGAAUUGUAUUAACCGGAAACUUGAUACAUGUGUGGAUACAUAGACAAAACAUUGUGUCCCUAGUAAGCCUCUACUAGACUAGCUCAUUAAUCAUAGAUGGUUAAGUUUCCUAACCAUAGACAUGUCUCGUCAUUUGAUGAACGGGAUCACAUGAUUCAGAGAAUGAUGUGAUGGACAAGACCCAUCCGUUAGCUUAGCAUAAUGAUCGUUAAGUUUUAAUGCUAUUGCUUUCUUCAUGUCAUAUACAUAUUCCUUUGACUAUGAGAUUAUGCAACUCCCGGAUACUGGAGGAAUACCUUGUGUGCUAUGAAACGUCACAACGUAACUGGGUGAUUACAAAUAUGCUCUACCGGAAUCUCCGAAGGUGUUUGUUGGGUUGUCAUAGAUCGAGAUUAGGAUUUGUCACUCCGAGUAUCGGAGAGGUAUCUCUGGGCCAUCUCGGUAAUGCACAUCAUAAUAAGCCUUGCAAGCAAUGUGACUAAUGAGUUAGUUGCGGGAUGAUGUAUUACGGAACUAGUAAAGAGACUUGCCGGUAACGACAUUGAACUAGGUAUGGAGAUACCGACGAUCGAAUCUCUGGCAAGUAACAUACCGAUGACAAAGGGAAUAACGUAUGUUGUCAUUGCAGUACGACCGAUAAAGAUCUUCAUAGAAUAUGUAGGAACCAUCCAGGUUCCACUAUUGCUUAUUGACCGGAGAGGUGUCUCGGUCAUGUCUACAUAGUUCUCGAACCUGUAGGGUCCGCACGCUUAACGUUCGAUGACGAUUUUGUAUUAUAUGAGUUAUGUGAUUUGGUGACUGAAUGUUGUUCGGAGUCCGGGAUGAGAUCACAGACAUGACGAGGAGUCUCGAAAUGGUCGAUAGUUAAAGAUUCAUAUAUAGGACGAUAGUAUUCGGACACCGGAAGUGUUCCGAGGGUACCGGGUACGUAUCGGGUCACCGGAUGGGGUUCCGGGCAUCCCCCGGCAACUACAUGGGCCUAAUGGGCCAAGAAGGGGACAGACCAGCCCCUAGGGGGGCUGGUGCGCCCCAUGUAGGCCAAAAUGGGGGGGGGAGGAAAGAGGAGAAGAGGGAAAGGAAGGGAUUCAGCCUCCCCCUUCCUUCUCUCCUCCCUUCUCCUUCCUUCCCCCUCCGGAUGAAUAUGGAAGGGGGGAGGCCGAAUUGGGAGGCGCCCAAGUAGGAUUCCUCCUACUUGGGGUGCCCACUUGGCUGCCUCUCCUCCCCUCCAACCUAUAUAUAUGAGGGGGAGGCACUAGAACACACAACAUUGAUUCCCAGCCGUGUGCGGUGCCCCCUCCACAGUUUACGCCUCCGGUCAUAUUCACGUAGUGCUUAGGCGAAGCUCUGCGCGGAUCACUUCACCAUCCCCUUCACCAUGCCAUCGUGCUGACGUAACUCUCCCUCGACACUUUGCUGGAUCAAGAGUUUGAGGGACGUCAUCGAGCUGAAUGUGUGCAGAACUCGGAGGUGUCGUACGUUCGGUGCUUGAUCGGUCGAAAUGAGAAGAAGUUUGACUACAUCAACCGCGUUGUCAAACGCUUCCGCUUUCAGUCUAUGAGGGUACAUGGACACACUCUCCCCCUAUCAUUGCUAUGCAUCUCCUAGAUAGAUCUUGCGUGAGCGUAGGAAAUUUUUGAAGUUGCAUGCUACGUUUCACAAUAGUGGCAUCCGAGCCAGGUCUAUGCAUAGAUGAUAUGCACGAGUAGAACACAAAGAGUUGUGGGCGGUGAUCAUCAUACUGCUUACCACCAAUGUGUUAUUUUGAUUCGGCGGUAUUUUUGGAUGAAGCAGCCCAAACCAACCUUACAUGACCACGUUCAUGAGUGUCGGAGUAAUGGGCCACGGGUAGCCUAACCCGAGUCCCUGAGCGUUUCAAGACAUUGGGCCAGCUGCGCCCCUCAAGCAUCAAGGAUGAAGCGCCGCCUUCUGGGGGCCGGCUGACUCAAGCGGCCGGCUGCCAGAAGGCGGCCAUGCACCAGAAGACGACCCCAAGACGGGCCGACUCCUAGCAAGCGGCCUCCAGAGAGGCCGGCUCCUAGCAGGCAGCCGACAACGCCUUCAAAGCCUGCGCCCCCAUUAAGAAGACAACACAGGAUGUGGCUAUAGUGCAGCCCAUCACCCCCGUAUCCAGGGCAAGGCGCGGCCACGGUGCCCCGUACAGGCGGAGAUCUCCGCACGGCGUGGCACUGUUGCCACUCCACCCUCGACAUCAACCCUGACAGGUGGAACCCUGUUCCCACGACGGCCUGUCGGUACGGCCUGCAGGCGGCGGGCCCUACCAGGCAGCGAGAGCCCGGAGGGCGGCGGAGCCUGGCCAGUCGGACUCGAGGGAGGCCGGCCUAUUGCAAACGGCCUACUCUUCCCUCGGAGUCCGCGCGCCAUUAACCAGAUGAGACAUGGUGUGGCUACAGUGAUCUCCCACCAGACGGCGGGACUGUAGCCAUGCCUCCCCCGACCAAGCAUGUGUCAUUACCAUUGCGGCUACAUUAACAAGCAGCCGGCCGGACCCGUAAGCGGCGGAGGCGGCCUGUCGGCUCCGUACUGGACCAGUCGGCAGGGCCCUCCAGGCGGCGGGCCCCAGCAGCCGGUGGAGAAGCUGGCGACCAGAGACACUGACAGCCGGGUCCUACACUCGGCCAGAUUACCAUUGUACCCCUGGGGGGUAGGCCUAUAUAAACCCCCCUGGGCACCCAUGCAAAGGUUCCCAACCUGUUAGACCUAGACUCACUCAUAGAGAGAGGAGAGAGCAAGCCCUGCCUUCUUCUACCUCUAGCAUACAGCUCGAGGAGCACCAUUGUACUCACUAGUGCCUUAGUGAUCAUGCGGAGACCCCGCAGAGCAGGACUAGGGGUGUUAUCUCCGAGGAGAGCCCCGAACCUGGGGUAAAGUGCACCGGCGUUCGUGUCUAUGCCUCAUCCCGCUUCCAGGCACCGGCGACGUUCUACUCGCUCCCACCAUGAUAAGCCAUCCAUUGGCAUAUGUCGCACCCAACCCCCGACAUUUGGCGCCCACCGUGGGGCGAGGUGCACCGUCUCCCGAAGACCUGUUCUGGAUGGGAACCUUGUUCCUUCCUGGCGAGCGCAACCAGCACGGCAUGCGAGACGGCGUCUGCGCCGACAUGCCGCACGACGCGGAGGUCGUCUGCGUGGUGAGCUGCCUCGCUGAUCUUGUUGGCGAGAUUCGCCUCUUUGACGAGCCCGUAUCGAACGUGGGCACAGAAGGCCCCGAGAGUCACCUCGUUAGCCUCCUCGAUCAACUCCACGUCGCUAGCGAGCCUGCUGUGGACUUGGAGUUGGUUGGUUCCACCGCCCGAUGCUUGUCGACUCCGACACGGCGUCGCUUGACGCGUUCCCCACCAACGUGGUGGUCUACGACGAACUGCUUCCUCGCGCGGAUAGCGGCGGCAGCACCGUCAUGGAGGUGCUCGUCAUCAGCCACAGCGAGCACUCUGGUGGAGGUGGCCAGGAUCCGCUGCAAGCGGCAUUGCGAGACCUGGCCGCACCCAUACCCGAAGACGUUGAUGGCGAAGCACUGGAGGAGCACCGCAAGGUGCUUUUCGACAGCGCACAGAAGCUGGGCACGAUGAGACGCCUCUCUGAGGCCUACCAGCGCGAAGUUGAUCGUGCCAUCGGCGGUACGCCGGCUGGUGGUGAGCCCAGCCGCGUGGGCAUCGUCCGGCAACGCGGGGCCGCCAUCGCCGGCAUGCUGGGGGCCGACCGCCCGACUUACGCCACGCCCCAGGAGAACAUAUGAGCCACCCAGGCGGCGACAGAAGAGCUGGAACACCUGGACGGCCACGAGCGUCGCUGCAUGAUGGGCCACGUGCAGCAGCUCCUUGACGCAGCCACCAUGCAGCAAGAAGCCGGCCGCCGAGUGGCGGAGCCCGGCCUGCAGGCUGAGAAUCAGCCGCCUCGCCGAGAGCACGAUGCGACCUCCCGGCCGCCGAUAAGCCGCCACCGAGAGCGACGAGACAAGGAGCCGGCUGCCAGCCGCAGUCGGACGCACAGCACCAUCGAGCGCGACCAGGAUGGUCGUCCACGAGCGGUGGAGCGACCGGGCGACUACCAGCCUCCCCAGCGCAGAGAGAGGCGUGUGUCUCCGCCGCUUGUUGAUCAUCCGAGUCUUGGAGGCCGGCUUGGCCCCCGAGAAGGAAUCGGAGAGAAUGACGCACGCCAUCGGAUCGAUCGCCUCAACCGAUCCCUGGCGCUAGAAGAAGAGGACGCAUUGGGCCCGCCUUGCUUUGGCCCCCGCAUCCGUGAUGAGCCUUUCCCCAAAGAGGUGACGCUCCCAAGAGAUACGCCCAAGUACGCUGGCUCCGUGAAGCCGGAGGACUGGCUGGUCGACUACUCUACAGCUAUCAGCAUAGCAAACGGCAACAAGCGUGUUGCUGUGAAGUACGUUCCGCUCAUGCUCCAGGGCACUGCCCGGACAUGGCUGAACAGUCUGAAGCACCGCAGCAUCAACAACUGGGUUGAUUUCACCGAGGCCUUCGUCCGCAACUUCACCAGCGCAUACAAGCGGCCUCCCAAGCCUCGCCAGCUCUCCUUGUGCGUCCAAGGCCUCAACGAGUCAACUCGCGACUACCUCACGCGCUGGGCUGAGCUACGCAACUCCUGCGAGGGCAUGCACGAGGUGCAGGCCAUCGAGUAUUUCAUUGCCGGGUGCCGAGAAGGCACCCUCCUCAAGCAUCGGCUUCUCUGCGACGAGCCGGCGACCCUCGACGAACUGCUGACCAUAGCAGACAAGUACGCUACGGUCGACUCCUCCAUGAAGGCAGAGAUCCAAGUUGACGCAUCUGGCAAGGUGGCUCCCCAAGCUCCUCGGACCCCGGCUGGUGACACCAGUUGGCGCCAGCACCAAAGCGACAACAAGCGCAAGGCCACGCAGCCGGCUUGCACAAGCCGGUAGGUGGCGACAGUUGAAGAUCAGCAGCCGGAAGGGCAGCCUCCUCCCAAGCAUCAGAAGGGCGGCAAGCCCAACUGGCUGCCCGUCUUCUCAUACGAGCAAACUCUCGAUGCACCCUGCAAGUUCCACAACGGCGCGAAGCCGUCCAACCACACCACUCGGACAUGCCACUGGCUCACCAGGAUCGCCAAGGGAGACGGACUACAGCCUCCUCCGCAUGUCGGCCCGCCGCCUCCUCCUCCCCAGCAGCCGGCGGUUCAGCCAGUCGGCGCAAUACAAGAUGAAUAUCCUGAAGAGCAUGGAGCUUAUGUCGUAUUCACCAGCGUGGCCGACGAUAAGCACAGCAGACGGCAGCGGCAACAAGAAGUACAUGCAGUAGCAUCAGAGACCCCCGAGUUCAUGCACUCGUCUGAGAAGCCUAUCGGUUGUAGCAGGGCAGACCACCCGGAGGUGAUGCCCUCCCCUAGUUCUUAUGCCCUGGUCUUGGAUGCCACCUUUGCAACAGAGAGGCGGGCUGCUCGCUUCUCCCGAGUUCUGAUAGAUGGUGGCAGCAGCAUCAACAUCCUAUACCGAGACACUAUGGAGAAGUUGGGAAUCAAGCAGAGGUAGCUUCAGCCCAGUCGGACUGUAUUCCAUGGCAUAGUUCCUGGCCUUUCCUGCUCACCAAUCGGCAAGACUCGGAUAGAUGUCCUCUUCGGAGAAAAAGAUCACUUCUGCCGAGAGCCAGUAUGGUUUGAGGUGGUGGACCUUGAGAGCCCCUAUCAUGCGCUACUUGGCCGGCCUGCUCUGGCGAAGUUCAUGGCGGUCCCCCACUAUGCUUACCUCAAGAUGAAGAUGCCGAGCUCCAAGGGAAUCCUGACCAUAGCAGGGGACUACGGGAAGUCGUCCGCCUGUGCGGCAGACAGCAGCCGGCUAGCCUAGUCCCUCGUGAUCGCAACGGAGAAGCGGCUCCUUGACCGGGUUGUGGCAAUGGUAGGCAAGCAGCCGAAAAUGUUGCCAAACCCCAAGGAGUCGGAAGCCGAGGGCUCGUUCAAACCGGAGAGGCACGCUGUCAUAGGCGCAAACCUUGAAAGCAAAUAGGAAAGCGAGCUCAUCGAUUUCCUCCGUGAGAAUCGGGACAUCUUUGCAUGGUCUCUUAAGGACAUGCCGGGUGUUCCGACGGAUUUCGCCGAGCACAAGCUACAUGUCCGACCUGAUACCAAGCCCGUCAGGCAGCCCUUGUGCCGCCUGUUAGAAGAGAAGAGAAGAGUUUUGGAGAAGUGAUAACCUGGCUUCUAGCAGCCGGCUUCAUUAUGGAAGUGUUCUUCCCCGAGUGGUUAGCCAACCCAGUCGUUGUACUGAAGAAGAAUAAGCAGUGGAGCAUGUGUAUUGAUUAAACCAGCCUCAACAAGGCUUGCCCCAAAUAUCCAUUUGCUUUGGCAAGAAUCGACCAAGUGAUAGACUCCACAGCCGGAUGCAAGCUGUUGAGUUUUUUGGAUGCAUACUCGGGGUAUCAUCAGAUCAAGCUGAACCCGGCCGACAGGCUGAAAACUGCCUUCAUCACACCAUUCGGAGCCUUCUGCUACCUGACCAUGACGUUCGGCUUGAGGAAUGCCGGCGCCACGUUUCAGCGUUGCAUGCAGAAGUGUCUCCUCAAGCAACUCGGCAAGAACGCCCACGUCUAUGUGGAUGACAUUGUGGUGAAGACGGAGAAGCGAGUCACUCUGCUUGAGCACCUCAAGGAAACCUUUGAAAACUUGCGUCAUUUUCAAAUCAAGCUCAAUCCGGAGAAAUGUGUCUUGGGAGCACCAGCCGGCUAGCUUCUUGGCUUGCUAGUCUCGGAGCACGGCAUUGAGUGCAACCUGUGAAGAUCAAAGCCAUUGAGAGGAUGGAGGUACCCACCCGACUACUAGAUGUGCAAAAAUUCACCGGCUGCUUGGCAUCCAUCAGCCGUUUCAUCAGUCGGCUGGGCGAGAAGGCUCUUCCCCUGUAUCAACUCAUGAAGAAGACCACUUUUUUCGAGUGGAACGACAAGGCGGAUGAAGCUUUUCUCCAACUCAAGAAGAUGUUGACCACUCCGCCUGUCCUGGCGGCUCCGGCUGCUAACGAGCCCAUGCUUCUCUACAUCGCCGCCACCAGCCGGGUGGUCAGCACAGUCAUAGUUGUGGAGCGCAAGGAAGACGGCAAAGCACUACCAGUUCAGAGGCCAGUGUAUUACCUGAGUGAAGUAUUGUCUGCCUCCAAGCAAAACUACCCACACUAUCAGAAGAUGUGCUAUGGCGUGCAUUUCGCCGCCAAGAAACUGAAGCCAUACUUUCAAGAGCACGUAAUCACUGUUGUCUGCACUGCUCCACUUGCCGAGAUCAUUGGAAGCCGAGAUGCUUCGGGCCGAGUGGCCAAAUGGGCCAUAGAUUUGGCCCCCUACACCAUCUACUACCAGCCUCGCGCCGCCAUUAAGUCCCAAACACUGGCCGACUUCCUCAUCGACUGGGCCGAGACCCAGUACCUGCCACCAGCGCCGGACUCCACCCAUUGGCGGAUGCACUUUGAUGGUUCCAAGAUGCGCACCGGUCUGGGAGCCGGCAUCGUCCUCACCUCUCCCAAAGGCGACAAGAUCAGAUAUGUGUUGCAAGUCCAUUUUGCUGCUUCCAACAAUGUAGCUGAAUACGAGGCACUCAUACACGGGCUCCGGCUUGCCAAGGAACUCGGCAUUCACCGGAUCCUGUGCUAUGGUGACUCCGACUUGGUGGUCCAGCAGUUGUCAGGCGACUAGGACGCCAAGGAUGCAAACAUGGCAAGUUGCCGCUUCCUCGUCCAGCAACUCAGUGGAUACUUUGAAGGGUGUGAGUUCCUCCAUGUGCCAAGAAAUGACAAUGAACAAGAAGAUGCCUUGGCACGAAUCGGCUCCACCCAGCAAGCAAUACAAGACGGCGUCACACUACAGCGCCUCCUCAAGCCGUCUGUCAAGCCGUCACCAGAAUCAGAUUCCAUCUUCGUGCCGGCUCCUCUAGAAGUAGUUGGAUCCGACUUGAGGGUCCUAGCAGUCGGCACGGAGAUUCCAGCAGGCGGCUCGGGGGUUGCGGCAGUCGCACCCGGCCUGGGGACUUCAGAACCCGGCCUGGGGACUGCAGCAGUCGGCCGGGGAACUUCAUCGACGCAACAAGCGGCAGCCGACUCCAACCCGCCACCUCCCGGCCCAACUGCCCUCGUGCAAGUUGCAGUUUUGGCAGUCGAAGAAAUAGUAGCACCUUCAUGGGCGCAGCCCAUCCUCAACUUUCUGGUGAACAAAGAGCUGCCGACUGAUGAGAUCUCGGCCAGCCAAGUGCAACGUCGGGCAGCAGCAUACACCAUUGUCAACAGAGAACUGGUGAGGCGCAGUGUCACUGGUGUAUACCAGUGAUAUGUCUCCAACGUAUCUAUAAUUUUUGAUGGCUGCAUGCUAUAUUAUCGUCUGUUUUGGACAUUAUUGGGCUUUAUUAUUCACUUUUAUAUUAUUUGUGGGACUAACCUAUUAGCCGGAGGCCAACCCAGAAUUGCAGUUUUUUUGCCUAUUUCAGAGUUUUGCAGAAAAAGAAUAUCAGACGGAGUCCAAGCGGAAUGAAACCUUCGGGAACGUGAUUUUCGGAACGAACAUGAUCCAGAGGACUUGGACCCUACGUCAAGAAAUCAAGCAGGAAGCCACGAGGUAGGGGGGCGCGCCUACCCCCACCCCCACCGGGCGCACCCUCCACCCUCGUGGGCCCCACGUUGCUCCACCGAAGUACUCCUUCCUCCUAUAUAUACCUACGUACCCCCAAACGAUCAGAUAAGGAGCCAAAAACCUAAUUCCACCUCCGCAACCUUCUGUACCCACGAGAUCCCAUCUUGGGGCCUGUUCCGGAGCUCCGCCGGAGGGGGCAUCGGUCACGGAGGGCUUCUACAUCAACACCAUAGCCUCUCCGAUGAUGUGUGAGUAGUUUACCUCAGACCUUUGGGUCCAUAGUUAUUAGCUAGAUGGCUUCUUCUCUCUUUUUGGAUCUCAAUACAAUGUUCUCCCCCUCUCUCGUGGAGAUCUAUUCUAUGUAAUCUUCUUUUGCGGUGUGUUUGUUGAGACCGAUGAAUUGUGGGUUUAUGAUCAAGUUUAUCUAUGAACAAUAUUUGAAUCUUCUGAAUUCUUUUAUGUAUGAUUGGUUAUCUUUGCAAGUUUCUUCGAAUUAUCAGUUUGGUUUGGCCUACUAGAUUGAUCUUUCUUGCAAUGGGAGAAGUGCUUAGCUUUGGGUUCAAUCUUGCAGUGUCCUUUCCCAGUGACAGUAGGGGCAGCAAGGCACGUAUUGUAUUGUUGUCAUCGAGGAUAACAAGAUGGGGUUUUUAUCAUAUUGCAUGAAUUUAUCCCUCUUCAUCAUGUCAUCUUGCUUAAAGCGUUACUCUGUUCCUAUGAACUUAAUACUCUAGAUGCAUGCUGGAUAGCGGUCGAUGUGUGGAGUAAUAGAAGUAGAUGCAGGCAGGAGUCGGUCUACUUGUCUUGGACGUGAUGCCUAUAUACAUGAUCAUACCUAGAUAUUCUCAUAACUAUGCUCAAUUCUGUCAAUUGCUCAACAGUAAUUUGUUCACCCACCGUAAAAUACUUAUGCUCUUGAGAGAAGCCACUAGUGAAACCUAUGGCCCCCGGGUCUAUCUUCAUCAUAUUAAUCUUUCAACACUUAGUUAUUUUCAUUGCUUUUUUAUUUUACUUUGCAUCUUUAUCAUAAAAAUACCAAAAAUAUUAUCCUAUCAUAUCUAUCAGAUCUCACUCUCGUAAGUGACCGUGUAGGGAUUGACAACCCCUUGUCGCGUUGGUUGCGAGGAUUUAUUUGUUUUGUGUAGGUGCGAGGGACUCGCGCGUAGCCUCCUACUGGAUUGAUACCUUGGUUCUCAAAAACUGAGGGAAAUACUUACGCUACUUUGCUGCAUCACCCUUUCCUCUUCAAGGGAAAACCAACGCAUUGCUCAAGAGGUUGCAAGAAGGAUUUCUGGCGCCGUUGCCGGGGAGGUCUACGCAAAAGUCAACAUACCAAGUACCCAUCACAAACCCUUAUCUCCCGCAUUACAUUAUUUGCCAUUUUCCUCUCGUUUUCCUCUCCCCCACUUCACCCUUGCCAUUUUAUUUGCCCUCUCUUUUUUGUUCGCCUAUUUUUCGCUUGGUUUUUGUUUGCUCGUGUGUUGGAUUGCUUGUUUGUCACGAUGGCUCAAGAUAAUACCAAAUUAUGUGACUUUACCAAUACCAACAAUAAUGAUUUCCUUAGCACUCCGAUUGCUCCUCUUACCGAUACUGCAUCUUGUGAAAUCAAGGCUGCUUUGUAGAAUCUUGUCAUGAAAGAUCAAUUCUCCGGCCUUCCUAGUGAAGAUGCCGCUACUCAUCUAAAUAGCUUCGUUGAUUUGUGUGAUCUGCAAAAGAAGAAAGAUGUUGACAAUGAUAUUGUUAAGUUGAAGCUAUUUCCUUUUUCGCUUAGAGAUCAUGCUAAAGCUUGGUUUUCAUCUUUGCCUAAAAAUAGUAUUGAUUCUUGAAAUAAGUGCAAAGAUGCUUUUAUCUCUAAGUAUUUUCCUCCUGCUAAGAUUAUCUCUCUUAGAAACGAUAUUAUGAAUUUUAAGCAACUUGAUCUUGAACAUGUUGCACAAGCUUGGGAGUGGAUGAAAUUAAUGAUACGUAAUUGCCCUACACAUGGUUUGAAUUUGUGGAUGAUUAUACAAAUUUUUUAUGCCGGAUUGAUUUUGCUUCUAGAAAUCUUUUAGAUUCGGCCGCGGGAGGCACUUUUAUGGAAAUCACUUUAGGAGAAGCUACUAAACUCCUAGAUAAUAUUAUGGUUAAUUAUUCUCAAUGGCACAUUGAAAGAUCUACUAAUAAAAAAGUGCAUGCGAAAGAAGAAAUUAAUGUUUCGAGUGGAAAGAUGGAUGAACUUAUGAAAUUAUUUGCUACUAAGAGUGUUUCUUCUGAUCCUAAUGAUAUGCCUUUGUCUACUUUGAUUGAGAAUAAUAAUGAAUACAUGGAUGUGAAUUUUGUUGGUAGGAAUAAUUUUGGUAACAACGCGUAUAGAGGAAACUUUAAUCCUAGGCCUUAUCCUAGCAAUUCCUCUAAUAAUUAUGUUAAUUCCUACAACAAUUAUUAUGGAAAUUUUAAUAAGAUGCCCUCUGAAUUUGAGACUAGUGUUAAAGAGUUUAUGAAUUCGCAAAAGAAUUUCAAUGCUUUGCUUGAAGAGAAAUUGCUUAGAGUUGAUGAAUUGGCUAGGAACGUUGAUAGAAUUUCUCUUGAUUUUGAUUCUUUAAAACUUAGAUCUAUGCCUCCUAAGCAUGAUAUCAAUGAGUCUCUCAAAGCCAUGAGAAUUUCCAUUGAUGAGUGCAAAGAAAGAAACGCUAGGAUGCGUGCUAAGAAAGAUUGCUUUAUAAAAGCGUGUUCUUCUAAUUUUUAUGAAAACAAAGAUGAAGAUCUAAAAGUUAUUGAUGUGUCCCCUAUUAAAUCUUUGUUUUGCAAUAUGAAUCUUUAUAAUGAUCAGACUGAAUAUGAUCCACCUUUACCUAGAAGGCGUUCCAAAAAUUCGGAGUUUUUAGAUCUUGAUGCUAAAAUUGAUAAAAGUGGGAUUGAAGAAAUCAAAACAUUAGAUGUUAAUGAACCCACUAUUUUGGAUUUCAUGGAAUUUAAUUAUGAUAAUUGCUCUUUGAUAGAUUGUAUUUCCUUGUUGCAAUCCGUGCUAAAUUCUCCUCAUGCUUAUAGUCAAAAUAAAGCUUUUACCGAACAUAUUGUUGAUGCUUUGAUGCAAUCUUAUGAAGAAAAACUUGAGUUGGAAGUUUAUAUCCCUAGAAAACUUUAUGAUGAGUGGGAACCUACUAUUAAAAUUAAAAUUAAAGAUCAUGAAUGCUAUGCUUUGUGUGAUUUGGGUGCUAGUGUUUCCACGAUUCCAAAAACUUUGUGCGAUUUGUUAGGUUUCCGUGAUUUUGAUGAUUGCUCUUUAAACUUGCACCUUGCGGAUUCCACUAUUAAGAAACCUAUGGGAAGAAUUAAUGAUGUUCUUAUUGUUGCAAAUAGGAACUAUGUGCUCGUAGAUUUUAUCGUUCUUGACAUAGAUUGCAAUCCUUCAUGUCCUAUUAUUCUUGGUAGACCUUUCCUUAGAACGAUUCGUGCAAUUAUUGAUAUGAAGGAAGGGAAUAUUAGAUUCCAAUUUCCAUUAAAGAAAGGCAUGGAACACUUCCCUAGGAAGAAAAUAAAACUACCAUAUGAAUCUAUUAUGAGAGCCACUUAUGGAUUGCCCACCAAAGAUGGCAAUACCUAGAUCUAUCCUUGCUUUUAUGCCUAGCUAGGGGCGUUAAACGGUAGCGCUUGUUGGGAGGCACCCCAAUUUUAUUUUUUAGUUUUUUGCUUUUUGCUUCUGUUUAGGAAUAAAUAUUUGAUCUAGCCUCUGGUUAGAUGUGUUUUUAUGUUUUAAUUACUGUUUGUGCCAAGUUAAACCUAUAGGAUCUUCUUGGAUGAUAGUUAUUUGAUCUUGCAGAAAAUUCCAGAAACUUUCUGUUCACGAAAAUAAUUGUUAAAAAUCACCAGAACGUGAUAAAAUAUUUAUUCCAAUUGCUGCUGAUCAAUAAAAAAAGUUUCUAGGUCUUCCUAUUUUAGCUGAAUUUUUGGAGUUCCAGAAGUUUUAGUUAGUUACAGAUAACUACAGACUGUUCUGUUUUUGACAUAUUCUGUUUUUCGUGUGGUGUUUGCUUAUUUUGAUGAAUCUAUGGCUAGUAAAAGAGUUUAUAAACCAUAGAGAAGUUGGAAUACAGUAGGUUUAACACCAAUAUAAAUAAAGAAUGAGUUCAUUACAGUACCUUGACGUGGUCUUUUUUUUCUUUCGCUAACGGAGCUCACGAGAUUUUCUGUUAAGUUUUGUGUUGUAAAGUUUUCAAGUUUUGGGUAAAAGAUUUGAUGGAUUAUGGAACAAGGAGUGGCAAGAGCCUAAGCUUGGGGAUGCCCAUGGCACCCCCAAGAUAAUCUAAGGACACCAAAAAGCCAAAGCUUGGGGAUGCCCCGGAAGGCAUCCCCUCUUUCGUCUACUUCCAUCGGUAACUUUACUUGGAGCUAUAUUUUUAUUGACCACAUGAUAUGUGUUUUGCUUGGAGCGUCUUGUAUGAUUUGAGUCUUUGUCUGAUAGUUUACCACAAUCAUCCUUUCUGUACACACCUUUUGAGAGAGACACACAUGAUUCGGAAAUUAUUAGAAUGCUCUAUGUGCUUCACUUAUAUCGUUUGAGCUAUAUAGUUUUGCUCUAGUGCUUCACUUAUAUCUUUUAGAGCACGGUUGUGGAUUUUUUUUAUAGAAACUAUUGGUCUCUCAUGCUUCACCUAUAUUACUUUGAGAUCCUUAAAAUAGCAUGGCAAUUUUCUUUAAUUAAUAUCAUGAGAAAUUUGAUGCUUGAUAAUUGUUUUGAGAUAUAAAGGUGGUAAUAUCAUAGUUGUGCUAGUUGAGUAAUUGUGGAAUUGAAAAAUACAUGUGUUGGAGUUUGUGAUUCCCGUAGCAUGCACGUAUGUUGAACCGUUAUGUAACGAAGUCGGAGCAUAAAGUAUUUGUUGAUUGUCUUCCUUUGUGUGGCGGUCGGGAUCGUGCGAUGGUUAACUCCUACCAGCCCUUCCCCUAGGAGCAUGCGUAGUAGUACUUUGCUUCGAGAGCUAAUAAAUUUUUGCAAUAAGUAUAUGAGUUCUUUAUGACUAAUGUGAGUCCAUGGAUUAUACGCACACUUACCUUUCCGCAAUUUUCUAGCCUCUUCGGUACCGCGCAUUGCCCUUUCUCACCUUGAGAGUUGGUGCAAACUUCGCCGGUGCAUCCAAACCCCGUGAUAUGAUACGCUCUAUCACACAUAAACCUCCUUAUAUCUUCCUCAAAACAGCCACCAUACCUACCUAUCAUGGCAUUUCCAUAGCCAUUCCGAGAUAUAUUGCCAUGCAACUUUCCACCGUUCCGUUUAUCAUGACAUAGUCCAUCAUUGUCAUAUUGCUUUGCAUGAUCAUGUAGUUGACAUUGUAUUUGUGGCAAAGCCACCGUUCAUAAUUCUUUCAUACAUGUCGCUCUUGAUUCAUUAUAUAUCCCGGUACACCGCCGGAGGCAUUCAUAUAGAGUCAUAUUUUGUUCUAAGUAUUGAGUUGUAAUUCAUGAGUUGUAAGUAAAUAAAAGUGUGAUGAUCAUCAUUAUUAGAGCAUUGUCCCAAGUGUGGAAAGGAUGAUGGAGACUAUGAUUCCCCCACAAGUCGGGAUGAGACUCCGGACUAAAUAAAAAAAAGAGGCCAUAAAAAAAGAGAAAAGGCCCAGAUAAAGAAAAAGAAAAAAAGGAGAGAAAAAGAGAGAAGGGACAUUGUUACUAUCCUUUUACCACACUUGUGCUUCAAAGUAGCACCGCGAUCUUCAUAAUAGAGAGUCUCUCAUUUUGUCACUUUCAUAUACUAGUGGGAAAUUUCAUUAUAGAACUUGGCUUGUAUAUUCCAAUGAUGGGCUUCCUCAAAUGCCCAAGGUCUUCGUGAGCAAGCAAGUUGGAUGCACACCCACUUAGUUUCUUUUUGAGCUUUCAUACACUUAUAGCUCUAGUGCAUCCGUUGCAUGGCAAUCCCUACUCCUCGCAUUAACAUCAAUUGAUGGGCAUCUCCAUAGCCCGUUGAUUAGCCUCGUUGAUGUGAGACUUUCUCCUUUUUUGUCUUCCGACAUAACCCCCACCAUUAUACCUUAUUCCACCAUAGUGCUAUAUCCAUGGCUUGCGCUCAUGUAUUGCGUAAGAGUUGAAAAGGCUGAAGCGCGUUAAAAGUAUGAACCAAUUGCUUGGCUAAAACCGGGGUCGUACAUGAUAUGAAUAUUUUGUGUGGGGAAGAUGGAGCAUAGUUAGACUGUAUGAUUUCGUAGGGAUAACUUGCUUUGGCUAUGUUAUUUUGAUAAGACAUAAUUGCUUAGUUAGUAUGCUUGAAAUACUAUUGUUUUUAUGUCAACAUUAAACUUUUAUCUUGAAUCAUAUCAAAUCUGAACAUUCAUUCCAUAAUAAUAAGAAUUAUAUUGAAAUUAUGACAAGUAGCAUUCCACAUCAAAAUUUUUGUUUUUAUCAUUUACCUACUCAAGGACGAGCAGGAAUUAAGCUUGGGGAUGCUUGAUACGUCUCCAACGUAUCUAUAAUUUUUGAUUGCUCCAUACUAUAUUAUCUUCUGUUUUGGACAUUAUUGGGCUUUAUUAUUCACUUUUAUAUUAUUUUUGGGACUAACCUAUUAGUCGGAGGCCUAGCCCGAAAUUGCUGUUUUUUGCCUAUUUCAGAGUUCCGCAGAAAAAGAAUAUCAAACGGAGUCCAAACGGAAUGAAACAUUCAGGAACGUGAUUUUCGGAACGAACAUGAUCCAGAGGACUUGGACCCUACGUCAAGAAAUCAAGCAGGAAGCCAUGAGGUCGGGGGCGCGCCUACCCCCCUGGGUGCGCCCUCCACCCUCAUGGGCCCUACGUUGCUCCACCGACGUACUCCUUCCUCCUAUAUAUACCUACGUACCCCCAAACGAUCAGAUAAGGAGCCAAAAACCUAAUUCCACCGCCGCAACCUUCUGUACCCACGAGAUCCCAUCUUGGGGCCUGUUCCGGAGCUCCGCCGGAGGGGGCAUCGAUCACGGAGGGCUACUACAUCAACACCAUAGCCUCUCCGAUGAUGUGUGAGUAGUUUACCUCAGACCUUUGGGUCCAUAGUUAUUAGCUAGAUGGCUUCUUCUCUCUUUUUGGAUCUCAAUACAAUGUUCUCCCCCUCUCUCGUGGAGAUCUAUUAGAUGUAAUCUUCUUUUGCGGUGUGUUUGUUGAGACCGAUGAAUUGUGGGUUUAUGAUCAAGUUUAUGUAUGAACAAUAUUUGAAUCUUCUGAAUUCUUUUAUGUAUGAUUGGUUAUCUUUGCAAGUCUCUUAGAAUUAUCAGUUUGGUUUGGCCUACUAGAUUGAUCUUUCUUGCAAUGGGAGAGGUGCUUAGCUUUGGGUUCAAUCUUGCGGUGUCCUUUCCCAGUGACAGUAGGGGCAGCAAGGCACGUAUUGUAUUGUUGUCAUCGAGGAUAACAAGAUGGGGUAUUUAUCAUAUUGCAUGAAUUUAUCCCUCUUCAUCAUGUCAUCUUGCUUAAAGCGUUACUCUGUUCUUAUGAACUUAAUACUCUAGAUGCAUGCUGGAUAGCGGUCGAUGUGUGGAGUAAUAGUAGUAGAUGCAGGCAGGAGUCGGUCUACUUGUCUUGGACGUGAUGCCUAUAUACAUGAUCAUACCUAGAUAUUCUCAUAACUAUGCUCAAUUCUGUCAAUUGCUCAACAGUAAUUUGUUCACCCACCGUAAAAUACUUAUGCUCUUGAGAGAAGCCACUAGUGAAACCUAUGGCCUCCGGGUCUAUCUUCAUCAUAUUAAUCUUUCAACACUUAGUUAUUUUCAUUGCUUUUUUAUUUUAAUUUGCAUCUUUAUCACAAAAAUACCAAAAAUAUUAUCCUAUCAUAUCUAUCAGAUCUCACUCUCGUAAGUGACCGUGUAGGGAUUGACAACCCCUUAUCACGUUGGUUGCGAGGAUUUAUUUGUUUUGUGUAGGUGCGAGGGACUCGCGCGUAGCCUCCUACUGGAUUGAUACCUUGGUUCUCAAAAACUGAGGGAAAUACUUACGCUACUUUGCUGCAUCACCCUUUCCUCUUCAAGGGAAAACCAACGCAGUGCUCAAGACGUAGCAACCAGCGCUGCGUGGAGCCGGAGAAAGGCCAAGCAAUCCUCAAAGAUAUCCACCAAGGCGAGUGUGGUCACCACGCGGCUUCAAGAGCAGUUGUUGCCAAAGCUUUCCGCCAUGGGUUUUUCUGGCCGACUGCUCUAGAAGACGCCAAAGACUUGGUCCAGAUAUGCAAAGGCUGACAGAAGUUCCGCUCCGAGCCACAUCAGCCAGCUUCUGCACUCAAGACCAUCCCCAUUGCCUGGCCCUUUGCCGUCUGGGGGCUGGAUAUGGUGGGACGAUUCAAGACAGCACGCGGCGGCAUGACUCAUUUGCUUGUCGCCGUGGACAAAUUCACCAAGUGGAUAGAAGCAAAGCCUAUCAAGAAACUGAAUGGCCCGACUGUUGUGACUUUCAUUGCAGAUAUCACCACUCGGUAUGGCAUACCACACAGCAUCAUCACCGACAACGGCAUAAACUUUGCCAAAGGCGCCUUGGCUCGUUUCUGCGCGACGCAGGGCAUCCGACUGGACUUAGCAUCCGUUGCCCAUCCGCACUCAAACGGCCAGGUGGAGUGAGCAAACGGCCUCAUCAUGUCCGGCAUCAUCAUGCCCAUCCGUCGAGCCUCUGGAGCAUUCGGCCGGCUAUUGGCUCGACGAGCCACCGGCCAUCCUCUGGAGCCUGCGCACAACUCCAAACAAGUCAACCGGCUUCACGCCUUUCUUCCUCGUCUACGAUGCCGAAGCCGUCAUCCCGACGGACAUAGAAUUCGACUCCCCCCGAGUCACCAUGUACACCGAGGAGGAGGCAAAAGAAGCACGAGAGGACAGCGUCGAUCUACUGGAAGAGGGCCGGCUGUUGGCACUCAGUCGGUCCACCAUCUACCAGCAGAGUCUACGCCGAUACUACAAUCAGAAGGUCAAGCCAAGAUUCUUCCAAGAGGGAGACCUUGUGCUCCGGCUGAUCCAGCGAACAGCCGGCCAGCACAAGCUCUCGACACCUUGGGAAGGCCCCUUCAUCAUCAUCAAGGUUUUGGGCAAUGACUCCUACUACCUGAUCGAUGCUCAGAAGCCUAGAGCACGCAAGAGAGACGAUUUCGACAAGGAGAUGGAGCGGCCAUGGAAUGCAAACCUCCUUCGAAGAUUUUACAGUUGAUGCAGUAUGUACCACGCUACCUUUUGUAUUAAGUACGAAGACUCCUGGUCCCCUGAGAAGAGCUUGGGGGCUACCCUCUUUUAUCUAUAUGAUAAGUAUUAUGCCUAUGAGUAUGUUAUUUCAUUACUCCGCCUAGCACCGGGUUCGAACAGUCGGCCCGCGGGCUCGCCGCCUUGCACUAUGAGAUGCUUCCUGCAGCCGGACAAGUAGUGUGUUGGCACCUCAACAUUCUCCUGCCAAAGCCGCAGCUCGCAAAGCAACUAUCCAGUGGGCAAGAGCUAAGGGCAGAAAGGGUGUCCGCAUGAAAAAUGGCUAAGGACCCAAAGCAUGCACAUAGUUCAAGCCGGCUUCUCGCCUCAUCGACCGGCUGCUGAGCAGCCGGCCGGCCGGCUUCUACUUAAAUUGCUAAACACUCUAGUCGGCUAAGUACUUGCCCUCCCGAAAGUAGCUAAGUACUUGACCCAGCCGCAGUUCGCAGAGCGGCUGUUUGGCUGGCAAGACGGCAGCCAAGGGAGGGCGGCAAAGGAAAAAAGCCAAGGAGCAGAAAGCAAGAAAAGGCAGAACUCGGCAAAAAUAUUUACAUACCAAAGGCCCUUGGCCAGCAUUCAGCAGAAGUUUGAAAUACACCCCGUGGGUGGAAUUGUGCAAAUUUCACAAAGUUUGUCAAAACUAAUAAAGCAGGAAAAUAAGAUAAGUCGGCAGCCUAGGAAGCAGCUGAGGGGUCCGACUGGUUGGCGGAGUCGGUGGUGCCGGUUGCUGGAGAGGAUGGCUGGUCAGUCUCCGCUUGGUCGCCUCCAGCAGCAGUUGGUGCACUUGAGCAUGGCUCGUUGUUCGAGGCAUGGUCAAGCUGAGGCUGGCCGUCCGCUCCGACCUCUGGCGCUUCCUCUCCACCUUCCUCGUCCUCCUCGCCUUCUCCCUCGUCGCUGGAGUCGAUCAUCUCAGCCAAGUCCUCGUCGUCCUCCGAGUUCAGCCCAAACCACUCUGGUGGCGCCUCGGCACCGUUCUCGGCCAGCUCAGGAACGAAGAUGCUGGUGUUGGUGUACUCGGCAAUCGCCGCGGCCCGCCUGACAAGGUCAUGCUCCACCGCCACCAGCUCCUCUUGGGCCUCCUGUCGAAACGUGGUCAACUGGGCUAGAUUUAGCCCAGGGUACCACGCCUUGACAAACUCCAAGGCCCGGCGCUCCAGCUCGGGCCGACGAACCCUUCCAAGCCUCAAGGCGGCCGGCCAUCACCUCCAGCUAGUCGGCAGUCCGACUAGGAGUGCGCGGAGCCGGCAUGUCUGGCCAAAGGGCGGAGAUCGCUUGGGCCCCGACACGCUGAAGACGAUGCAACAUCCGAUGAGCUAGCCGAAGGCGGGCCUGGAUGCUGAGAAGCUGUUCGCUAAGGGUCCGGGGGUGUCGGCAGCGAUCUCUGCACCUCCCGCCCUCUGUUCUUCACAAUAGGACUCAAUAGCCUGGUUGGCUGCGCCAGAAUGGCCAAGGAAGAAGUCUGCUCAGGCAGAAAGCAAGUAGGGCAGAAGUCAGAAGCUAGAAGCCGACCUGAUCAGCAGCCGGCGGCUCGAGGAAAGGAAAAAGAAGAAGCUUACCAUCAACCAUGUCUUCAAUGCUACCGAAGCCGGCAAUCAGCAGCGCCUCCUUGUUGGUCCAGGCGGAGCGUUCAGUCUCAAACUCGGCGAGGAGAUUGGACUCUUUCUCCUCCGCCUCCUUCUGGGCCGUCUGGAGAAGCUUCGCCUGCUCCGCCAGCUGCUUGACCAGUCGGUCGCGUUCCUGGGCCAGCUCAUUGCACUCCGCCUCGUUGGCACGCAACGCAGUGUUGGCUUCACCCAGCUGCUGCUGAAGGGUAGCGUUGGCCUCUGCAAGAAUAGAGAAAGAAAAAGACAUUAACGAUCAACAAAGGAGAAGUACAGUUGCCGGGGAGAUCCGGCCCGACUGCUCAGCAGUCGGCCCGAAUCUCGGGGACUACGGCCCGCGGAUGCGCUAGCGCGCCCCCGCGGAGAAAGAAAACAAAGACUUACUCCGGCUUUCCGACAAGUCGGCAGUCCGUCGGUCCAGCUCCUGGAUGUUGGAGUUGAAGGUGGUCGCGCGGAGGUUAUGAUAGUCCUAUAAUGAAGAUGCCAGAUAAAGUUAGCACUUGGAGCUUGUCAAUUAAAAGUUCCGAGCCGUCUUCUCAGCAGUCGGCCCGAAACUCGGGGACUAGACCCAGUGGGUGCGCUGGCGCGUCCCCACAGAGAAGUACAAGAAUCAAAGAUGAAGAAAUAAAAGGCAUACCCAAAUGGCUGCUCGCGAGUCCAAGAAUGCCCGGUUGCACAGCUUAAGAGCGUCGGCCUCUGCACGGAGUUUGGCCUGGACGUCCAGGAUCGUCUGGUUCAAGGCUCCCAUCCUGCCUCCACGCACCCAGUCAGUGGGGGCGGCACUGGUCGCUUCGGCAUCUAGGAUUGACGAACUCGCGACGCCGGUUUCCAGCGGUCGUGGCGCCGAAGUCGCCUUCGCAAGACGACGGCGCGUUGGUGUGCGGGCCUCAGGAGUCGGGCCCGUCACCACCUCGUUUCCGGCUGGUGGCACCAGUGGGGCAGCCGGUUGCUUGUCUCGUGCUCCUCCAGACGGCGGUGGCGGAGGCACGGCCGCAUACAGCAUGACGACAUCGCCUCCUGCCCUCUCCAUGAUCAGGUGCUCGUCGCCGGCUUCCCCAGUCGGCGCCGUGAACUCUGGUGGCGGCGGCGCGGAGUUCAAGGGAAAAACGAAUAGCGGCUCCUGGCGGCGCGCGGCUUCUUCAAGCCGCUUCUUCGCUGCGGCAUCGGCCUCAGCCUCCGCCAGCUUCUUCAACGCGGGAGCCUCCGCCUUGUCCGCCUCCGCCUUCUCCCUGCGGGCGGCUUCUUGCUCCUCGCGCGCCUCCCGCGCGUUUCGCUCCUGCGCCUCCCGGAGGUCGGCAGCCGGAUCGAUUCGCCGGGUGGUGGUGGAAGUCUCCGCCGACCCAACGACGGAGGCGGCGGCCGACUUCUCAAGAGAGAGCGGGGCCCUAAGUCAAGAAGAAUAAAGCAAGGAAGCUCAGAUGGAGCCAACAAGAAAGGAAAGCUCAAGAAAAAUAUACUUACGCCGACAUCAUGGGAGGCGCCUUCGGAAGCUUCUGAAACUUGGCCGCCUUCGCGGCGGCCUCCUUCCACCUGGUCACAGCAGUAGGAUUCUUGGUCUUCUUCGGCGCGCUGCCAAACAAGAGGAUGCCUUGUUUACGCUUUCACGUGCCGCCUCGAGCAACCGGCUCGGUAGAAGGGCCCACAUCCGCCUUGCCGGCGCCUCGCGUAGGGCGCGGCUCGUCCUCUUCAUCAUCAUCAUCGGGCCAAGUCUCGAUGCCGCCUCCUUCUUCGGAGCCGCCUGCUACGUCGCCGCCGCCUAUGGCGUCGUCCUCCAGGGCGGCCGCCCCCAAGUCGGGGUCGUCUACGUCGCUCACCUCCCGGUCCGGCUGGUAGUUACCAGCCGGCCCCACGAUGGCGGUGGUCGCCGGAGACAUAUGGAUCUGCGUUCAAAGGACCGACUGUUCAAGACCAAGAUCAAGACCAAGACAAGUACUAAAAAGAAAGAGUUGAAGAACUUACAGCGGGCGGCGGGUUGGCGUGGGAGUAUGGCCGCUUGCCGAACCUCCAAGACCCCUCCGACAGCUUGAGGUCGGAGAUCUCAUUCACCAUCCGGGCCACCUCGGCAGUCGGCAUGUCCCUCGUGCACAUCCGGCUCAGGUCGCGGUGCCCGCUCAUCCGACAGAUCAGAUGAGGCCGGCCUUGGAGCGGGAGAACCCAGCGCUUGACAAAGGCGACCAGCAGGUCGGACGCCUUGAGGCCCUCCGCCUCUGUCAGCACCCGGAGCCGGUUGAUGGCGGCGGUGGCAUUGGCAGAUAUGGGCUUCGGCUUGUAGCCCCAGUUGGCCCGAGGCUCAGCCGGAGGGCCAACUUCGUAGGAAGGCAAGUUGAUGAAGUCGAUUGCCGGGUCGACGUUCUCCAGGUAGAAAUAUGAUUUUUGCCAUAGUUUCACCGACUGUGACAGCUUGAUGGCGGGGAAGGCGUUCUUCACCGACGGCCGGCGCACCGCGACGAAGGCACCACACGGGGCUGCCUUCUCCUUAGCGGAGGUGCCCAGUGUUGGGAAUCGUAGCAUAAUUUAAAAUUUUCCUACGCUCACCAAGAUGCAUCUAUGGAGUAUACUAGCAACGAGGGGAAAGGAGUGCAUCUACAUACCCUUGUAGAUCGCGUGCGGAAGCGUUCCAAUGAACAUGGAUGACGGAGUCGUACUCGCUGUGAUUCAAAUCACCGAUGACCGAGUGCCGAACGGACGGCACCUCCGCGUUCAACACAUGUACGGUGCAGCAACGUCUCCUCCUUCUUGAUCCAGCAAGGGGGAAGGAGUGGUUGAUGGAGAUCCAGCAGCACGACGGCGUGAUGGUGGAUGUAGCGGGAUGUCUGCAGGGCUUCGCCGAGCUUCUACGAGAGAGAAAGGUGUAGCAGGGGAGGAGGGAGGCGCCCAAGGCUGAGAUAUUGCUGCCCUCCCUCCCCCCCCUUUAUAUAGGCCCCCUGGGAGGGGGGGCGCCGGCCACAACCCAUCUAGAGGGGGGGCGGCGGCCAAGGGGGGUGCCUUGCCCCCCAAGGCAAGUGGGGCGCCCCCCACCCUAGGGUUUCCAACCCUAGGCGCAGGGGGAGGCCCAUGGGGGGGCGCCCAGCCCACAAGGGGCUGGUUCCCUUCCCACUUCAGCCCACGGGGCCCUCCGGGAUAGGUGGACCCCCGGGACCCUUCCGGUGGUCCCGGUACAAUACCGGUAACCCCCGAAACUUUCCCGGUGGCCGAAACUUGACUUCCUAUAUAUAAUUCUUUACCUCCGGACCAUUCCGGAACUCCUCGUAACGUCCGGGAUCUCAUCUGGGACUCCGAACAACUUUUGGGUUUCCGCAUACACAUAUCUCUACAACCCUAGCGUCACCGAACCUUAAGUGUGUAGACCCUACGGGUUCGGGAGACAUGCAGACAUGACCGAGACGCCUCUCCGGUCAAUAACCAACAGCGGGAUCUGGAUACCCAUGUUGGCUCCCACAUGUUCCACGAUGAUCUCAUCGGAUGAACCACGAUGUCGAGGAUUCAAUCAAUCCCGUAUGCAAUUCCCUUUGUCAAUCGGUAUGUUACUUGCCCGAGAUUCGAUCGUCGGUAUCCCAAUACCUUGUUCAAUCUCAUUACCGGCAAGUCUCUUUACUCGUACCGCAAUGCAUGAUCCCGUGACUAACGCCUUAGUCACAUUGAGCUCAUUAUGAUGAUGCAUUACCGAGUGGGCCCAGAGAUACCUCUCCGUCACACGGAGUGACAAAUCCCAGUCUCGAUCUGUGCCAACCCAACAGACACUUUCGGAGAUACCCGUAGUGCACCUUUAUAGUCACCCAGUUAUGUUAUGACAUUUGGCACACCCAAAGCACUCCUACGGUAUUUGGGAGUUGCACGAUCUCAUGGUCUAAGGAAAAGAUACUUGACAUUGGAAAAGCUCUAGCAAACGAAACUACACGAUCUUUUAUGCCAUGCUUAGGAUUGGGUCUUGUCCAUCACAUCAUUCUCCUAAUGAUGUGAUCCCGUUAUCAAUGACAUCCAAUGUCCAUAGUCAGGAAACCAUGACUAUCUGUUGAUCAACGAGCUAGUCAACUAGAGGCUUACUAGGGACACGUUGUGGUCUAUUUAUUCACACAUGUAUUACGAUUUUCGGACAAUACAAUUAUAGCAUGAACAAUAGACAAUUACCAUGAACAAAGAAAUAUAAUAAUAACCAUUUAUUAUUGCCUCUUGGGCAUAUUUCCAAUAGUCUCCCACUUGCACUAGAGUCAAUAAUCUAGUUACAUUGUGAUGAAUCGAACACCCAUUGAGUCCUGGUGUUGAUCAUGUUUUGCUCUAGGGAGAGGUUUAGUCAACGGAUCUGCUACAUUCAGGUCCGUAUGUACUUUACAAAUAUCUAUGUCUCCAUUUUGAACACUUUCACGAAUGGAGUUGAAGCGACGCUUGAUAUGCCUGGUCUUCCUGUGAAAUCUAGGCUCCUUCGCAAGGGCAAUAGCUCCAGUGUUGUCACAGAAGAGAGUCAUCGGGCCCGACGCAUUGGGAAUCACCCCUAGGUCGGUAAUGAACUCCUUCAUCCAGACUGCUUCCUGUGCUGCCUCCGAAGCUGCCAUGUACUCCGCUUCACAUCUAGAUCCCGCCACGACGCUUUGCUUGCAACUGCACCAGCUUACUGCUCCUCCAUUCAAAAUAUACACGUAUCCGGUUUGUGACUUCGAGUCAUCCAGAUCUGUGUCGAAGCUAGCGUCGACGUAACCCUUUACGACGAGCUCUUCGUCACCUCCAUAAACGAGAAACAUAUCCUUAGUCCUUUUCAGGUACUUCAAGAUAUUCUUGACCGCUGUCCAGUGUUCCAUGCCGGGAUUACUUUGGUACCUUCCUACCAAACUUACGGCAAGGUUUACAUCAGGUCUGGUACACAGCAUGGCAUACAUAAUAGACCCUAUGGCCGAGGCAUAGGGGAUGACACUCAUCUUUUCUCUAUCUUCUGCCGUGGUCGGGCAUUGAGCCGUGCUCAAUUGCACACCUUGCAAUACAGGCAAGAACCCCCUUCUUGGACUGAUCCAUAUUGAACUUCUUCAAUAUCUUGUCAAGGUAUGUACUCUAUGAAAGACCAAUGAGGCGUCUUGAUCUAUCUCUAUAGAUCUUGAUGCCUAAUAUAUAAGCAGCUUCUCCAAGGUCCUUCAUUGAAAAACACUUAUUCAAAUAGGCCUUUAUACUUUCCAAGAAUUCUAUAUCAUUUCCCAUCAAUAGUAUGUCACCCACAUAUAAUAUGAGAAAUGCUACAGAGCUCCCACUCACUUUCUUGUAAACACAGGCUUCUCCAUAAGUCUGUGCAAACCCAAACGCUUUGAUCAUCUCAUCAAAGCGAAUGUUCCAACUCCGAGAUGCUUGCACUAGCCCAUAGAUUGAGUGCUGGAGCUUGCAUACUUUGUUAGCAUUCUUAGGAUCGACAAAACCUUCCGGCUGCAUCAUAUACAACUCUUCCUUAAGGAAGCCGUUAAGGAAUGCCGUUUUGACGUCCAUCUGCCAUAUCUCAUAAUCAUAGUAUGCAGCAAUUGCUAACAUGAUUCGGACAGACUUCAGCUUCGCUACGGGUGAGAAAGUCUCAUCGUAGUCAACCCCUUGAACUUGUCGAUAACCCUUAGCGACUAGUCGAGCUUUGUAGAUGGUCACAUUACCAUCCACGUCCGUCUUCUUCUUAAAGAUCCAUUUGUUUUCUAUGGCUCGCCGAUCAUCGGGCAAGUCAGUCAAAGUCCAUACUUCGUUUUCAUACAUGGAUCCUAUCUCGGAUUUCAUGGCUUCUAGCCAUUUGUCGGAAUCCGGGCCCGCCAUCGCUUCUUCAUAGUUCGAAGGUUCACCGUUGUCUAACAACAUGAUUUCCAGGACAGGGUUGCCGUACCAUUCUGGUGCGGAACGUGUCCUUGUGGACCUACGAAGUUCAGUAGUAACUUGAUCCGAAGCUUCAUGAUCAUCAUCAUUAACUUCCUCCCCAGUCGGUGUAGGCACCACAGGAACAUCUUCCCGCGCUGCGCUACUUUCCGGUUCGGAAGGGGUGACUAUCACCUCAUCAAGUUCCACUUUCCUCCCACUCAAUUCUUUCGAGAGAAACUCCUUCUCUAGAAAGGACCCAUUCUUGGCAACGAAGAUCUUGCCUUCGGAUCUGAGGUAGAAGGUAUACCCAAUAGUUUCCUUAGGGUAUCCUAUGAAGAUGCAUUUUUCUGACUUGGGUUCGAGCUUUUCAGGUUGAAGUUUCUUGACAUAAGCAUCGCAUCUCCAAACUUUUAGAAACGACAACUUAGGUUUGUUCCCAAACCAUAAUUCAUACGGUGUCGUCUCAACGGAUUUCGACGGAGCCCUAUUUAAAGUGAAUGCGGCAGUCUCUAAAGCAUAGCCCCAAAAUGAGAGCGGUAAAUCGGUAAGAGACAUCAUAGAUCGCACCAUAUCCAAUAGAGUGCGAUUACGACGUUCGGACACACCAUUUCUCUGAGGUGUUCCAGGCGGCGUGAGUUGUGAAACUAUUCCACAUUUCCUUAAGUGUGCACCAAACUCGUGACUUAAAUAUUCUCCACCACGAUCUGAUCGUAAGAAUUUUAUUUUUCUGUCACGUUGAUUCUCAACCUCACUCUGAAAUUCCUUGAACUUUUCAAAGGUUUCAGACUUGUGUUUCAUUAGGUAGAUAUACCCAUAUCUACUUAAGUCAUCAGUGAGAGUGAGAACAUAACGAUAUCCUCCGCGAGCCUCAACACUCAUUGGACCGCACACAUCGGUAUGUAUGAUUUCCAAUAAGUUGGUUGCUCGCUCCAUUGUUCCGGAGAACGGAGUCUUGGUCAUCUUACCCAUGAGGCAUGGUUCGCACGUGUCAAUUGAUUCGUAAUCAAGAGACUCCAAAAGUCCAUCUGCAUGGAGCUUCUUCAUGCGCUUGACACCAAUGUGACCAAGGCGGCAGUGCCACAAGUAUGUGGGACUAUCGUUAUCAACUUUACAUCUUUUGGUAUUCACAUUAUGAAUAUGUGUAACAUCACGUUCGAGAUUCAUCAAGAAUAAACCAUUAACCAGCGGGGCAUGACCAUAAAACAUAUCUCUCAAAUAAAUAGAACAACCAUUAUUCUCGAAUUUAAAUGAGUAGCCAUCUCGAAUUAAACAAGAUCCAGAUACAAUGUUCAUGCUCAAAGCUGGCACUAAAUAACAAUUAUUGAGGUUUAAAACUAAUCCCGUAGGUAGAUGCAGAGGUAGCGUGCCGACGGUGAUCACAUCGACCUUGGAACCAUUCCCGACGCGCAUCGUCACCUCGUCCUUUGCCAGUCUCCGUUUAUUCCGUAGUUCCUGUUUUGAGUUACAAAUAUGAGCAACCGCACCGGUAUCAAAUACCCAGGAGCUACUACGAGUACUGGUAAGGUACACAUCAAUUACAUGUAUAUCACAUAUACCUUUGGUGUUGCCGGCCUUCUUGUCCGCUAAGUAUUUGGGGCAGUUCCGCUUCCAGUGACCACUUCCCUUGCAAUAAAAGCACUCAGUCUCGGGCUUGGGUCCAUUCCUUGGCUUCUUCCCGGCAACUGGCUUACCGGGCGCGGCAACUCCCUUGCCGUCCUUCUUGAAGUUCUUCUUACCCUUGCCCUUCUUGAACUUAGUGGUUUUAUUCACCAUCAACACUUGAUGUUCUUUGAUGAUCUCCACCUCCGCUGAUUUCAGCAUUGAAUAUAUCUCAGGAAUGGUCUUUUCCAUCCCCUGCAUAUUGAAGUUCAUCACAAAGCUCUUGUAGCUUGGUGGAAGUGACUGAAGGAUUCUGUCAAUGACCGCGUCAUCCGGGAGAUUAACUCCCAGCUGAGUCAAGCAGUUGUGCAACCCAGAAAUUCUGAGUAUGUGCUCACUUAGAGAACUAUUUUCCUCCAUUUUACAACUGAAGAACUUGUCGGAGACUUCAUAUCUCUCGACCCGGGCAUGAGCUUGGAAAACCAAUUUCAGCUCCUCGAACAUCUCAUAUGCUCCAUGUUUCUCAAAACGCUUUUGGAGACCCGGUUCUAGGCUGUAGCGACCAGACCUCAAAUGGCCUGUGCUGCUGUGCUCCAGUGUCAUCCCUGGAUCAGUAAUGCUGACACGCACAGUACAAAUGGAGGAUUUAUAACAGAGUAGCAAUCACACACUUAUUACAUCGAAUAUCUCCAAGGAGAUUAAGUAUGAAAACAUGGCUUAAGGCCAUCUAAUAACGAUAACAGCGGAAGACUUGGAAGAUAAGUGAGUCCAUCAACUCCAGCGGCAUCACUGAGUAUAAGACCACGACCUAAGGCACCAUACUCGUCGUCUGAAAAGUCUGCAACAUGAAACGUUGCAGCCCGAAAACGGGUCAGCACAUAGAAUAUGCUGGCAAAGUAGCACAAGGAGAACAAUGAACAAUGAAAAUGCUAUACUAUAUGCAUUUAUGGCUGGUGGAAAGCUCUAUGGUUACAGUUUUGCGGAAAGCCAAUUUUAUCCUACUUCAAAGGAAUAAAUUUUAUUUAACUAUCAUGGUGGUUGUGAAACAUUGAGAAGGUACCUCCAACUCAAUCCCAAUUAGGUGUCAUCAUUAACCCAACAAAAUUAAUUAAAAGUAACAUAGUGAUGAGAUUCAAAUGAUAAUCCAGGUACUAGAUACUCAAGUUGUCCAUAACCGGGGACACGGCUAAUCAUGAUCAGUUUGUACACUCUGCAGAGGUUUGUGCACUUUUCCCCUACAUCUGCUAGUCCACCUCUUCAAGAGAUCCUGUAACCUACUCAGCUAUGCUAGAGCCCAUAAUAGCUUGUGGCUGCACACGGAAGUUUCUAGCAUGAAUAAUCUUAUGAUCCCUUUGAGCCUGGGUGGCGGACCUUAUACAUACAGACAACACUGGAUUCUCCAGGUGCCUCAAUCCACCCAGAUGUGAGUUUUAGUUGCCACCUUAAGUUGAACCAUUAUUAACAAUCUCACAUCUGUCAUGAAUAUCACUCAAACCCAAUCCACGUCUACGAGCAUAGCAUGGCAAUAAUAAAAGCAACGUAGAAGUAACUCCCAAGGGUUUGAAUAGAAAACAGGUAAUAGGUACUACCUCAACUACUUCCCAGAUACCCACAAUUUAAUUAGAUCCUAAUCAUGCAAUGUUUGAGGAAUAGAUCUAAUGCAAUAAAAACUGGGUAUGAAUGGGGUAUGAUCAAAAGUGUUACUUGCCUUGCUGAUGAUCCGCAAAACCUAGCGAGUCGAAGUAACAAGCGGCACACUCCUGGUACUCUAUCGCAAACAAACAAGCAUACAAUCAGUACUCAACUAAUGCACAGGUAAAACUCGAAUGAAAGAUCCAACCAGAAAGUUCAACUUAAGAACUCCGGUUUGCAAAAAGAAUCAACUCGAAAGAAACAACGAAAGUCAAACGGCGAAAGAAAGAAACUUUGUUUGCUAAUCUGGAUCUAGGUCAAAUUUUACUGUAGCAAAAACUUGUUUGAGUAGGUUAAACGGAAAAAGAAUUUCGAGACGAAACUCUAGGCGCUUGAAUCGCCUGAUUCCGAUAAACGAGCGAGAAGUUAAACAGAUUCGAAAAUUCGAUCAGAAAUCGAAUCUGAGAAAAUAACGAGAAAAUCCGAUGAAAAAGAAAAACGGGCGAACGGUUAAAUAACGGACGUUCGUUAACAGAGAAAAACCGACGAACGCGUUCGUUAAAACGAACGGUUCGGUGAACGCUCGCAAAUUAAGAAAACCGAAAAAAAACGAUCUAGGGUUUUUUUUUAAAACGAAGGGGUUUUUUUUACAGAAAACCGGUCAACGACGGGAAAACGGCUGGCGGCAGUACCUCGACGGCGGGCUCCGGCGAGGGGCUUUGGUGGGGCGGGGCUCGGCGGCGGGUGCGGGGCUCGGGGAGGCGGCUCCGGGGCUCCCGGCNNNNNNNNNNNNNNNNNNNNNNNNNNNNNNNNNNNNNNNNNNNNNNNNNNNNNNNNNNNNNNNNNNNNNNNNNNNNNNNNNNNNNNNNNNNNNNNNNNNNNNNNNNNNNNNNNNNNNNNNNNNNNNNNNNNNNNNNNNNNNNNNNNNNNNNNNNNNNNNNNNNNNNNNNNNNNNNNNNNNNNNNNNNNNNNNNNNNNNNNNNNNNNNNNNNNNNNNNNNNNNNNNNNNNNNNNNNNNNNNNNNNNNNNNNNNNNNNNNNNNNNNNNNNNNNNNNNNNNNNNNNNNNNNNNNNNNNNNNNNNNNNNNNNNNNNNNNNNNNNNNNNNNNNNNNNNNNNNNNNNNNNNNNNNNNNNNNNNNNNNNNNNNNNNNNNNNNNNNNNNNNNNNNNNNNNNNNNNNNNNNNNNNNNNNNNNNNNNNNNNNNNNNNNNNNNNNNNNNNNNNNNNNNNNNNNNNNNNNNNNNNNNNNNNNNNNNNNNNNNNNNNNNNNNNNNNNNNNNNNGCCGGCGGUGUCAUGCGGCGGCCGGACUCGGGCGGCGAGCUCCCGUGCGGGAAGAGGAGAGGCCGCGGGCGGGCCGUCGGCUGGGCCUGUGGCCCAGUCUGCGCGGGCGUUUUUUUUUUUAAUAAGUUCCGCGUAAAAUAUUGCGUAGCAAAAUACAUAAAAAUAAGAAAUAAAUUUUCCCCGUCUAGUUAGAAAAUCUAGAAUAGGGUGAACAUUUUUAAAAUCAAAAAUAAAUAUUUUGAAAACAUGCAAUAUUUUUAAUGCAAUAAAAAUUGCAAAUAAAAUCCAAAUAAAUUCCAAAUAAUGUUUUUAACAUUUUUCCUCCAGUAUUUCAAUUGUUUUGGAGAAUUCAUAUUUUCUCCUCUCAUUUAUUUAAAAAGAAAUAUUUUUCCGGAGAGAAAAAUAAUUAAAACCAAAAUCCUCGUUGGAAAUAUUAAUUUGAAAAAUUCGGGAAAAUCCCCAACUCUCUCCGAGGGUCCUGGAGUUGCUUAGGAUUUAUCGAGGAUUUGUCAAAAUGCAACAAAACAUGAUAUGCAAAUGAUGAUCUAUGUAUAACAUUCCAAAUUGAAAAUUUGGGAUGUUACAUAGGCUGUAAAGCAUGCCGCACUGAACGAGGGAGUAAUCAUCAGCACGCUGCUGCCAAGCGUUCAUAACGUCUUGGUUCUCUGGGAUUGGUGCAUCACCUAGCGGUGCUUCUAAGACAUAAUCUUUCUUGGCUACUAUGAGGAUGAUCCUCAGGUUCCGGACCCAGUCCGUAUAGUUGCUGCCAUCAUCUUUCAGCUUGGUUUUCUCUAGGAACGCAUUGAAAUUGAGGACAACGUUGGCCAUUUGAUCUACAAGACAUAGUGUAAAGAUUUAAGACUAAGUUCAUGAUAAUUAAGUUCAUCUAAUCAAAUUACUCAAUGAACUCCCACUCAGAUAGACAUCCCUCUAGUCAUCUAAGUGAAACAUGAUCCGAGUUAACUAGGCCGUGUCCGAUCAUCACGUGAGACGGACUAGUCAAGAUCAGUGAACAUCUCCAUGUUGAUCGUAUCUUCUAUACGACUCAUGCUCGACCUUUCGGUCCUCCAUGUUCCGAGGCCAUGUCUGUAGAUUCUAGGCUCGUCAAGUCAACCUAAGUGUAUUGCGUGUGUUCCGAGGCCAUGUCUGUACAUGCUAGGCUCGUCAACACCCGUUGUAUUCGAACGUUAGAAUCUAUCACACCCGAUCAUCACGUGGUGCUUCGAAACAACGAACCUUCGCAACGGUGCACAGUUAGGGUGAGCACUUUCUUGAAAUUAUCAUAAGGGAUCAUCUUACUUACUACCGUCGUUCUAAGCAAAUAAGAUGCAAAAACAUGAUAAACAUCACAUGCAAUCAAAUAGUGACAUGAUAUGGCCAAUAUCAUCAUGCUCCUUUGAUCUCCAUCUUCGAGGCACCAUGAUCAUCUUCGUCACCGGAUGACACCAUGAUCUCCAUCAUUGUGUCUUCAUGAAGUCGUCACGCCAACGAUUACUUCUACUUCUAUGGCUAACAUGUUUAGCAACAAAUUAAAGUAAUUUACAUGGCGUUUAUUCAAUGACACGUAGGUCAUGCAAAAUAAUAAAGACAACUCCAAUGGCUCCUGCCGGUUGUCAUACUCAUCGACAUGCAAGUCGUGAUUCCUAUUACAAGAAUAUGAUCAAUCUCAUACAUCACAUAUAUCAUUCAUCACAUCUUCUGGCCAUAUCACAUCACAUAGCACUUGCUGCAAAAACAAGUUAGACGUCCUCUAAUAGUUGUUGCAAGUUUUUACGUGGUUUGUAGGUUUCUAGCAAGAACGUUUCUUACCUACGUAUGACCACAACGUGAUUUGCCAAUUUCUAUUUACCCUUCAUAAGGACCCUUUUCAUCGAAUCCGUUCCGACUAAAGUAGGAGAGACAGACACCCGCUAGCCACCUUAUGCAUCUAGUGCAUGUCAGUCGGUGGAACCUGUCUCACGUAAGCGUACGUGUAAGGUCGGUCCGGGCCGCUUCAUCCUAAAAUGCCGCCGAAUCAAGAAACGACUAGUAGCAGCAAGAAGAAUUGGCAACAUCAACGCCCACAACUUCUUUGUGUUCUACUCGUGCAUAGUAACUACGCAUAGGCCUGGCUCAUGAUGCCACUGUUGGGAAUCGUAGCAUAAUUUAAAAAAUUUCCUACGCUCACCAAGAUGCAUCUAUGGAGUAUACUAGCAACGAGGGGAAAGGAGUGCAUCUACAUACCCUUGUAGAUCGCGUGCGGAAGCGUUCCAAUGAACGUGGAUGACGCAGUCGUACUCGCCGUGAUUCAAAUCACCGAUGACCGAGUGCCGAACGGACGGCACCUCCGCGUUCAACACACGUACGGUGCAGCAGCAUCUCCUCCUUCUUGAUCCAGCAAGGGGGAAGGAGAGGUUGAUGGAGAUCCAGCAACACGACGGCGUGAUGGUGGAUGUAGCGGGAUGUCUGCAGGGCUUCGCCGAGCUUCUACGAGAGAGAAAGGUGUAGCAGGGGAGGAGGGAGGCGCCCAAGGCUGAGAUAUUUCUGCCCUCCCUCCCCCCCUUUAUAUAGGCCCCCUGGGAGGGGGGGCGCCGGCCACAACCCAUCUAGAGGGGGGCGCCGGCCAAGGGGGGUGCCUUGCCCCCCAAGGCAAGUGGGGCGCCCCCCCACCCUAGGGUUUCCAACCCUAGGCGCUGGGGGGAGGCCCAUGGGGGGCGCCCAGCCCACUAGGGGCUGGUUCCCUUCCCACUUAGCCCACGGGGCCCUCCGGGAUAGGUGGCCCCACCCGGUGGACCCCCGGGACCCUUCCGGUGGUCCCGGUACAAUACCGGUAACCCCCGAAACUUUCCCGGUGGCCGAAACUUGACUUCCUAUAUAUAAUUCUUUACCUCCGGACCAUUCUGGAACUCCUCGUGACGUCCGGGAUCUCAUCCGGGACUCCGAACAACUUUCGGGUUUCCGCAUACACAUAUCUCUACAACCCUAGCGUCACCGAACCUUAAGUGUGUAGACCCUCCGGGUUCGGGAGACAUGCAGACAUGACCGAGACGCCUCUCCGGUCAAUAACCAACAGCGGGAUUUGGAUACCCAUGUUGGCUCCCACAUGUUCCACGAUGAUCUCAUCGGAUGAACCACGAUGCCGAGGAUUCAAUCAAUCCCGUAUGCAAUUCCCUUUGUCAAUCGGUAUGUUACUUGCCCGAGAUUCGAUCGUCGGUAUCCCAAUACCUUGUUCAAUCUCGUUACCGGCAAGUCUCUUUACUCGUACCGCAAUGCAUGAUUCCGUGACUAACGCCUUAGUCACAUUGAGCUCAUUAUGAUGAUGCAUUACCGAGUGGGCCCAGAGGUACCUCUCCAUCACACGGAGUGACAAAUCCCAGUCUCGAUCCGUGCCAACCCAACAGACACUUUCGGAGAUACCCGUAGUGCACCUUUAUAGUCACCCAGUUACGUUGUGACAUUUGGCACACCCAAAGCACUCCUACGGUAUCCAGGAGUUGCACGAUCUCAUGGUGUAAGGAAAAGAUACUUGACAUUGGAAAAGCUCUAGCAAACGAAACUACACGAUCUUUUAUGCUAUGCUUAGGAUUGGGUCUUGUCCAUCACAUCAUUCUCCUAAUGAUGUGAUCCCGUUAUCAAUGACAUCCAAUGUCCAUAGUCAGGAGACCAUGACUAUCUGUUGAUCAACGAGCUAGUCAACUAGAGGCUUACUAGGGACACGCUGUGGUCUAUGUAUUCACACAUGUAUUACGAUUUCCGGACAAUACAAUUAUAGCAUGAACAAUAGACAAUUACCAUGAACAAAGAAAUAUAAUAAUAACCAUUUAUUAUUGCCUUUAGGGCAUAUUUCCAACACCGAGUUUGGUGUAGAAGAAGGCUCCCGACAACUUGAUGGUGCGGAGGAUGCCAAGGUAGCCCUCGCACGCCGUGACGAAGGCGGACAACAGCGUCACGGUGUUGGGCGUCAAGUCAUGCGGCUGAAGACGGUAGAACUCCAUGAAGGAGCGGAAGAAUCCGCUCGCCGGUAGGCCGAAGCCGCGGAGGAAGUGCAAGCGGAAGAUGACCCGCUCGCCUCCUUGCGGCACCGGCGAGAUUUCCUUCUCCGGCGGCACGCGCACCUUGACGAAGCCCGGGCCGGGCAGCCGUCGUGUCGCGCGGAGGAAGGUGAGAUGGUCGUCAAUCACCACUGAGCCAUCCCAGUCUCCUCCCUUCUCGUGCGCCAUGGAGACCGAGCGAGAAGCUUGGGGCGAAGGAGCCUGGCGGCAGCAAGCUGCGGCGGCGCCUCGGCGGAGCGCGGAGGUGCGGCAGCGGGAAGGAAGGAAGAAGAUGAAAAUGGCGAAAGGAGCGGAGGGCGCGCGUGCUCCGCCGCUCCGCCGCUCCCCCUCUUCCCCCUACUUAUAGCCCUCAGGCUACAAAGCCGAGGGGGCGGGGCGUGGGAUCAUGGGAUUAACUGCGCCCACGACCCCGCAUUUAUUUCGCAAGUUACUACGCAGUAACUCCCCCCGGAAUCGCAACCGUUUGCCUCGGCCGCAGCGGAUCCGCCCGCGCGCCAAGGCCCGGUAGUGGCGGGCCCGGCCUGCUGUCAUGUCCCAUCGUGAGCAUGGGUUGGCAGGCUGGCACGGCUGGCUGGUGCCGCAUGCCGUACUUGCAGCGGGUGAGGGCCUAGAGGCUUAGCAAGCACGCCACCUGGUUCCCGCCUUGACAUUUCGAAAUCAUCAUUCAAAGCCGCCUGGUCGCAUCCGACUCCCGACAGGCGGCACGCCAGGAGACGGAUGGAGCAUUAAGCAAGAACACUCGGAGGAGGAAACUGCUGAGGCCUCUCGACUUAUCAGCCGCGACGCCUAACCAGCUUCGGGGACUACUGUCGGAGUAAUGGGCCACGGGUAGCCUAACCCGAGUCCCUGAGCGUUUCAAGACAUUGGGCCGGCUGCGCUCCUCAAGCAUCAAGGAUGAAGCGCUGCCUUCUGGGGGCCGGCUAGCUCAAGCGGCCGGCUGCCAGAAGGCGGCCACGCACCAGAAGACGGCCACAAGAUGGGUCGACUCCUAGCAAGCGGCCUCCAGAGAGGCCGGCUCCUAGCAGGUGGCCCACAACGCCUUCAAAGCCUGUGCCCCAAUUAAGAAGACAAGACAGGAUGUGGCUACAGUGCAGCCCAUCACCCCCGUAUCCAGGGCAAGGCACGGCCACAGUGCCCCGUACAGGCGGAGAUCUCCGCGCGGUGCGGCACUGUAGCCACUCCACCCUCGACGUCAUCCCUGACAGGUGGAACCAUGUUCCCACGACAGCCUGUCGGUACGGCCUGCAGGCGGCGGGCCCUACCAGGCAGUGAGAGCCCGGACGGCGGCGGAGCCUGGCCAGUCGGACUCGAGGGAGGCCGGCCUCUAGCAGACGGCCUACUCUUCCCUCGGAGUCCCCGCGCCAUUAACCAGAUGAGACACGGUGUGGCUACAGUGGUCUCCCAACAGACGGCGGGACUGUAGCCACGCCUCCCCCGACCAAGCAUGUGUCAUUACCGUUGCGGCUACAGCAACAAGCAGCCGGUCGGAUCCGCAAGCGGCGGAGGCGGCCUGUCGGCUCCGUACUGGACCAGUCGGCAGGGCCCACCAGGCGGCGUGCCCCAGCAGCCGGCAGAGAAGCCGGCGACCAGAGACACUGACAGUCGGGUCCUACACUCGGCCAGAUUACCAUUGUACCCCUAGGGGGUAGGCCUAUAUAAAACCCCCAGGGCACCCAUGCAAAGGGUUCCCAACCUGUUAGACCUAGACUCACUCAUAAAGAGAGGAGAGAGCAAGCCCUGCCUUCUUCUACCUCUAGCAUACAGCUCGAGGAGCACCACUGUACUCACUAGUGCCUUAGUGAUCAUGCGGAGACCCCGCAGAGCAGGACUAGGGGUGUUAUCUCCUAGGAGAGCCCCGAACCUGGGUAAAGUUCGCCGGCGUACGUGUCAACGCCUCAUCCCGCUUCCAGGCACCGGCGACGUCUUACUAUCCCCCACCAUGAUAAGCCAUCCAUUGGCAUAUGUCGCACCAAAACCCCGACAUCGUGUCGUCGUCGGAGGGGGAGCACGGCCAAGGCGGCCGUGCGGCCGCGACGGACCUUGAAUGGGAGGUCGUGGUCGUUUGGGACGACACCCCGCCGUAGACCAACGUGGUCGAGCGGGCGGGGACCGACGGAGGGGGCGGUGACGCCAUCUUGGGGGAGGCGUCGCGGAUGGCGCCGGAGGGGGUGGCUUGGACGUCGACGAGCCAGGCACCGCCGGUGGGGGAGCCUCAAGCUACUCUGCCCGCUGAGCCGGCGUUGGUGCCGGAGAGGGCGCCGGCCUCAGGGGAGGCGGCCGGCGGGGAGCACGCCCUGGUGCUCAGGCCCGGAGGUCGCCGGGUUGCCGGGCCGCAGUCAUCAUGGAGCGGGACCAGCGAGGUCCCCUUCGGGCCUCUGACCCAGCAGGAGGCGGCGCUGGCCGCCGUGACCUAGCGCCUACGAGGGCGGACGGACCGGAUCCAGGCCUUUGCCCAGGCCGAGGUCGAGGCGACGCAGGAGCUGGAGCGCGCCGUGUUUGUAAGUUUUCUAUUGCAUUUUGCUCUUUCUCUUUUCGUUGCUUCUUCUUUGUGGGGGCACGCCAGCACACCCACUGGGUGUAGCCCCCGAGAUUCGGGCCAACUAUGUAGCAGUUGGGUCGAAUCCUAUCUUGCUGGCUUGUAUUGAUUGUUACUUUCUGCAGCAACUAGACUCCUACCUGGUCGGCGUCUUCAACCGGCUCCUCGCACUACAAAAAAAAUACACUUCCGUGAUGAUACAUGUUUGUCACAGUAGGUCGCGUUUUUUGUCAUGCAUGUACAUCCAUGACAAAUUUAUGAGAGAAUCAAGAUAGUCAUACCUGUGCUGUCGUAGAAGUGUUCCAUGACAUUACCAAAAUUAUCAUCACGGAAGUGUCCACUUCCAUGACGAUAAAUCGCGCGUCACAGAAGUGCUUUCGUCAAGGGUGACCGACACGUGUCAUCCACCGUAACGGAACGCCGUUAAGCUAUCGGGUCGGGUUUUGGAUCCGAUAACCCGUUAACAGCCCCGACCAAUGGGGAUUUUCCAUGUGUAAAAUCAUCAUUGGCUGGAGGAGACACGUGUCAGGUCCGUGUUAGCACAGGUGUCACUCAUCCAAUGGGCGAGACGCGCCUAUGAUAUGUUGACACGUGGACCGGCCCAUCAAGUUUAAAUGGGCCGGCCCAACUGAAGGCCCACAAGAUUUUGCGGACCAUAAUGGGCCGGCCCAGCUAAAGGCCCACGAGAUUUUGCGGACCAUAAUGGGCUGGCCCAGCUAAAGGCCCACAAGAUUUUGCGGGCCAUAGGGCCGGCCCAGGUAAAGGCCCACAAGAUUUUUGUGUGCCAUAAUGGGUCGGCCCAGGUAAAGGCCCACAAGAUUCUUGCGGAUCAUAAUGGGCCGGCCCAGCUAAAGGCCCACGAGAUUUCGCCGACAUUAAUGGGCCGGCCCAGCUGUAGGCCCACAAGAUUUUGAGGACCCUAGUAGGCCGGCCCAUUAACUGGCUGCCAUGUUUUGGGCCAAAUGCCGGCCUAUAUUUGAUCCGGUCCAUUAAUGGCCUGCCACGCUCCGGGCCUAGUAGUGGCCCAUAUGAGAUCCGGCCCGUUAAAAGCCUACCAUGUUCUGGGCCAAAUUACGGCCCAGAUCAGGUCUGGCCCUUUAAGAGGCUUUGGGCUCAAUUAUGGCCCAUAUCAGAUUCGGCCCGUCAACUGGACACUAUGCUUUUGGGCCCACUUGCUAAAGGCCCACUUAGUAAUUCGGCCUGAUAUUAGUUUUGGCAUGUUAAGGGCUCGUUUAACAUUUCGGCCCUAUAUUAAUUUCGGCCUGUUAAAAGCCCAUCAUAUAGUUGGGCCUAACUACGGCCCGGUUUGCAUCCGGCCUGCUCGCAGCCGAUAUCUGAUUGGGCCAAACAAGGAUCGAGACAAUUUUGGCCUGUUAAAAGCCCGUGAUUUGAUUCGCACAAUCAUGGGCCGGGGUUCAUUUCGGGCUGCUGCCGGCCCGUGAGCUGUUCGACACGUUUCAGGCCCAACCUACAUCGUGAUUGCAUGACGGCCCGAUUAUGUGUCGUAAUUUUACGGUUUGGCCGGUUUACUGCGAAGACAAGAUAUAUAUAUAGUAAAAUAACUACAGCAUCGUGAAUAAGAAAAAACCUAGACUAUACAAUAAAGAAAUUACGGCAUAUUACAUCCACUGGGCAUCAAAGUUCGCCACUAUGAUAAUAAAGCACAACCAGACAACUGAUUACAUACACUGGGCAUCAAACAUCGCCACCAGUGCAAAUAAACACGCCGACAAAAUAAUAUACAAAACCGACAGCACUUCAAUAGAGUUCAAGAAAGGUUAGCCCUGCUGGCGAGCUGCAGCGCAAGCAGCUGAGCAAGAUGAUGAGACUGCGCUUGUUCAACACUUAUAUCUUCCUCACUCUGAAAGAUAAACAAGCAGACAGAAGACAGGUUUUGCACAUAAAAGUAUCAGUGCUGACAAUUCAUCACAUUAGUAACUGACGAAUAAAGUGACACCGUUUAAAAUUGCAUUAACACAAUAUGGUAUUAUUCAGGUCAAGACAUGGCAGGAAAUGACAUUGUGAAGGAGUUGGCAGCUUCACGACACCACUGGAUUACAGAUCAAGAACUCAUAAGUAUCAAUGGUUAGUGUGCUGUCAAUUUAUACCAUUUCAGAUUGGCAAAUAAAGAGAUGGUUUAAAUAAUAGUAGAAUGAUAUGACAUUGUUCAUAGUUAAGACAUUGCAGAAUAUGACAUUGUGCUGUAGUGGGUAGGUUCACCACACCACUGGAUUACGGAUGAAGAACAGAAGCAUACAUGCAGUGCAAAAGAAGAUCACUUGCUCUGUAUAGUUUAAUUUACAUGGUGUGAAGAAGGAACUUGGUUGUACAACUGAAAACUUAAAUUGAGAAAGGACAAACUUUUGUUUAUGAACUACAUAAUAAACUUUAAACAAGCAAUUUGAUGCAAACACCAAAAAUAAACAGCUGUUGCAGUCAUGCCUAACCAAAUAUAUACAACAAAGUUUGAAGGCUUGAUAUGGACAAACUUACAUUAUUGGUGAAGACAGGCUCUAUAAAGGCCUUGUCCAUGCUGAUGGGGGGGCAAUUCAAGAAGUUUACCACAGAAUCUUCUUCAAAAGCAUUGCCUUUUUUCUACAUUUUGUUAAGAGUAAAUAUAGAUGUGAUAAUAUACGAAAAAAUGGGGAAUAUUUAAGAUAAGAUGAAGAGUGAUGCUACAUAACCAAGUAGCUCUAAAUGUAAGUGCAGCGAUACAGGCAAAAGGUACAGCCAAGAGCAAUGCACAGCUAAACUUCUUCAGUACCAACCUUAUGGUAAGAGUAAAUAUAGAUCUGAUGUGUAGAAAAUGGAGGGCAAAGGAAAAUAAGCUGCAGAGUGAUGGUACAUGAACAACUACCUGUCAUUAUAAGUACACUGAUAAAGGACAACAUGUACUUACAAGAACAAUGCAGAGCUAAAAAAACAUUGGCAUUGGAUAUAUUCUACACUAAUGUAACCAUUCAUACAGAUCAGAUAAUUUGGAGCGAACAAUUGAUAAGCAAGCUAUCAUGCAUACUGUUGUCACAUAAUGAACCAGGUAUGUAUGCAAGUACAGUGAUACAGGACAACAGGUACUAAUAAGAGCAAAGCAGCGGGCAGCAUAUUUGGGAUAUCCUGCCGUUCUUGUCAAACCGGAAUUCUUCUUCGAGCAGAUUUCCUGCAAAAAAGAUCCGUAAGGCACAUGCGGAAAAGUAGAAGUUCAAAUUGUCAUGUGAUUUCAUAGACAGUACCUCAUCCUGGGAAUGAGACCAGUGCAUAACAAGGUUUUUCCAUUCAGUGUCUUCUAAAUUUAGCACAGGAGACUUCACCGGAAAUUCGUUUAUAGACUUGCCAUCAAAGUGUGAUUUCCUCAGGUAACACCGAUACUGCUGCAAUGCUUCCUUGAAAAGCACAAGCAAGCUUUGCUCGUCAUGACUAUCCAGAUUGACCCUCGCCUAGAUACAAAAAUUUAAUGUAAAUCAUUGAUGUGUUCAAUCAGCAGAAAACAGGAAAAUAAUAACCAUGAAUAAUAGCACUUACACGUAAGUUGGACAGGAAGAUGUGAAAAUGGUGUUUGUCUUCACAGUAAUCUUCCCAUGAUGGGAAUAUAUGCACGUAGUCCCUAACAACAUUGAAAGCAUUGUCUUUUAAACUGGGAAUAAAUGGAAUGGGGUUCCAAGCUGCAGGAAUUGGCCGUCUCUGCAGUUGGGAUAGGUCUACGGCCGGUGGACUUGCUGUACUUUUUGCUGGAGUGGGAUUUUUCUGUGGUACAGCUGGUGCUAUGGCAAAUGAAAUCGGUAUACCUUUUGUUGGAGUGCAGGUCCUGUGUGGUGGGGCUAGUGGUGUGGCCAGUGAAGUAUGGGUACAGUCUGCUGGAGUCGGUCCUACGUUUUGUGUCACUGGUUGUACAGCCAAUAUAAGUGGGGUGCUGUCUGAUUUCUCCGGCACCACCACGUUUUUCAAGGACUUUGCUGGUGCUCCUUCAGGUUCGGCAAUCACCCUCUUCAUUUUUGAUGUCUGAUGCACAAGAACAGCAUUUGAGUGGAAAAACAUGGUAUGAUGACAGAUGGAAUAUGUAUUGAUAAUGGAUGGGCAUGGCAUCUCGACAUAUAUGAUGAGUAAACUAAGCAGAUGGUGGUGCAACAAAGUAGAAGAAAUGCAAGACAACGUAUGCAAGAUACCCGCAAUCAAUAAAACAUUGCCAAAUUAGAACAGGCACCUUGAUGGGUGAACAGGACAGGCCAUCUGCCUUUGACUCCUCGAGGUUAGAAUAGUCAUUAGGAUCAUAUUCUGAACAAGAAUCAACAGGUGGGGAGCGUAUGAGUUUCAUUGCAUCCAGAAUGGCACUCAAUGCCUUGGUGCCAAUUUUGUAAGUCAUUGCAGUGUUUAGCUUCAAGAGUGGACUGCUGCUAGUGCGACACAAAGCAGCUGCACAAAUCAUAGUGUAGAUAUAACGGGAAAAUCUUAAGCAUCAGAGUAACAUCAGCAAAGUGGAACUUGCUGGAAUAUAUGUGCUAGUAUUGCCAGUAUGGCUAGAAAGGCUUCGGAUACCAGCUCUCUUUAAGUGAAGGGGCGGUACUGUUAAUAUCAGUGUAACUCUCAAAGGCGACACAGCUCCCCGCAUUUCCUUGCUAUUCUUAUAGGAAUCAAGUGGGCAGGCCACUACAAAUCCUAUUCCUAUGUUUACAAGAUCCUACGAAUCAAAGAGGCUCAAAGUGUCCAUCACAACCGACCGUAUAGACCUCUACACUGCAAAUGUCCCUGCUCAUCUUCAGUACAAGGAACAUACUGUACUACUAUCAUACUCCCUCCGUUCCAAAAUAUAAGUCUUGGUAGAGAUUUCCACUAUGGAUCACAUAUAGAUGUAUCCAGAUACAUUUUAGAGUGUGGAUUCACUCAUUCUGCUCCAUAUGUAGUCCAUGGUGGAAUCUAUACAAAGACUUGUAUUUAGGAACGGAGAGAGUACAUAUUAAAGAAGAACGGAAGAGGAACAUGGUAAAGAAGAGCAAGCAGAUUUUGGAUAAUAAAAUGUUGGUUGCGCAGUGCCCACACAUGAUGAACCAGAGCGCAUUAAGAAUGCAACUCCCAGCUGUCUCUCGACCAUUUCAGGCGGUUGGAUGAAGAUCCUACGUCUCCUAACCCUUCUUCUUCCUCAUCUCUGAUUCUUCCCAUACAGAACACCGCACGGGCCGCCGGCCGGACCACCGGCCCCCACCGCCUGUGUUCCUCCGCCACCCCCACCCCCCACCCCAACCCCCACCCGCGUCGAGUUUUCUUCGUUCGGCGAGGCCCCACAACCACCUGAGCCCCUUCGAUCGCACCGGCGAACUCCGGCGAGCUCUGAAAAAUCGACUGACCCAAUUUUGAAAUUUAGUCUACUAUGAUUUAACUAGUGUGGAAUAUAAAAGGGGAAAACCAUAAGCAUUGGGAGUAUAGUGUCGAGCGUGCCAUGGCGGAUCUGAAGGUGCAAACCUGACAAAGGCAACUUCGCAACCAAGACAAGAAAUCAGAGUAAAGCAGUGGCGAUCUAUUUUCUUGCUGCGAUAAAUAAGUUGAGCAGAUACGAAAGAGUACCGCCUCUGGUGCGGCGCCAUGUACGCAUCUGCUGAGAAUUUGACGGUGCUGCGGUGGCGAUGGCUGUCGGUGGCGUGGAAGCAGAUCUAGGAGGGUAGACGGUGGCGGCGGGGCGCGGUGGAUGUGACACCGAAGUUUUUAUUUGGAUUUUCAAAGGAUUUUAUUUGACUUGACGGGAGUGAUUUAAAAAAAAAUUCAAGAGAACUCUCCCUCUCAAAUAUUUUUCAUUUGGAUUCACCCAAGAUCUGUCUUUGGUCUUGGAGGUUCUUGCUUUUAUUCUUUGGCCUCAAGACAAAAUGUUGUUCAUUUGGGGAAAAUAACUUUUGAAAAUCUUUUUGGAAAUGCACUAUGGCUUUUGGAAAACUCCUUUGCCACUUUCCACUUUUCUCUCUUACCUUGGCCUUAGUGAAAAUGCUCACUCCUAACUCCUUCCCUCACCUUUGGAUCAUGAUUGGCAUCAAAUCCAGCAAGUUGAACCUCCCCAUGUGAUUAUUUCCAUUCAAACUCCAUUCAAAUAAAUUUCUGUCUUCUCUUCUAGCACUUGGAGAUUUACAAAGGAACUCCAUUUUAUGUUUUGAUUUUUGCCCCCAAACCAACUCUCCUCCCUAGUCCUUUGAACCCUCAACCAAGAUCCAUGAAGAUCCCCUGGUCUUCAGUUCAAAAUUUUCAAACUACACCUGCUGCAAGUUUGGACCAGAUUUGCCAAAUUUGGUGAAAUUCAUUCAAAACCUUCUCCAAAAAUUCCAAGUAAAAUCAGGCAGCCUCUGGGUGCAUUGAGUGGUCAUCUCACCGAGUUACAACUCCAGAAAAAUUCAUCUCAUUGCAAAAUCCUUCUGUCGAACACCUGCAGUGCACUGUCUAUGUCAAGUUCAGAAAGUUCAGAGAUUCAGUCAGUGGCCUGCUGUCGUUUUCUUCAGAGAAGGACGUCGAUCUCGCCAGUGCCACCGCGUCGCCUUGCUCCUCGUCCCCUCCCCCUUGUUCCUGCACCGCACGAAUGCAUGGCGCCUUGUGGGCGUCGGCGACGAGCAGCAGAAGGUGCGCCGCCCCGUGACCGACGCCGGCGGCAGCUUUGCGGACGCCGGCGGGAGACACGGCGCCAACGACGCCACCCAGCGCCGCCCAAACCACCGGAGCUCGCCGCGUGGCCUUCCACUCCCCCGAAUGCGCUGCCGCUCUCGUCAUGAACCGCAGGGCGCGGAGCGCGCUCUCUGCCGCCGUCGAGCCCGUGCGGUCACCUCACCGUGGACCGACGCCAUUACGCCAAGCCGACCCCAUUUAGCUGUGAAACGACUCCAGUAACCUCCACUGAUGCUGCCUGGCCACUCAAACCACCUGCCAAUCCACUGCUCCGCCGUAAUCGCUCGUCGGAGAUUCUCCGUUCACGGCCACCCCGUCGAUCUGCCUAUAAAUAGAGGCCCCGAGCUUCAACUCGAGCACCCACCAUCCCUACACUUCCCCUAGAGCACGCCUAGCCACUGGCAGAGCCCCGAGGAGGUCUCCUUCCUCGACUCCGGCCGCCGCGACCCGCCACGGGAUCCAGCCCGAUUCGCCCCCGUGUGUGCUCCUCCGCCUCCAUUCUCUUGCCAGUAGCUUCACCUUGCAUCCCUCGUUCUGACCCACGCCUCAAUUUGUAGCUUGCAGCCCUCACCGGAGUUCCCCAUCCUCACCCGAGCCGCCGUCCGCCGGAGAUAGUGUCGCCGUCGACGUGGUGCUCCCCGUUGGACGAGUCCACCACCCACCGACGCGGAAGAAGACGCUGAAGCUCUUGGUACCCUCCGUUUCACCUAACUCGCCGUGGUUUGACGCCGGCGUCCACCGCAGUCUUCGGGCGCCGGCGAGCUUUUUAAACCUGACAGGUGGACCCCGCCUGUCAGCCUCUAUUCUAUUCUCCUGCGAACCGUUUUCUGUUGGCGCCUUCGGGCAACUACGUUUUCUCCUUUGCGCUUGCGCAUUUCCAACUGAAGCGUUUUCUGUUUUCUCAAUUAAAACCCUGGAACUUUUCUGCUUCAUUAUAGAAAGGUCCCUGGGCAGAAACCUUUAUAACUUUUAAAUAAAAAGGUAUUUUUGAGUGAUUCUUUUUCUGAAAAUCUUCAAUUUUGUCUAGUUUUUUAUGGGAUUUAUUUGAGAAAUAUUUGGAAAAGUUUCUGUGCAUGUGUUGGUUUUCACGUUAGUGCCCGUCUCGUGAUUGCCGUAGGUUCCGGAAGAGGUGACGGAGCCGCGAACUUCGCCGAGCUAGACUCCGACUUCUCCGAACCAGGCAAGCAUGUUUUGAACAUUUGAUAUGACAGGUGUUUUGCAUGUUUGCGUGAGAGGUUGUGCGUGGCAUAUGAGCAUUGGUAAAUACCUCGUUGCUUGUAAGGCAACGACCCGGUUGUUCCAAAGUUGCGAUGAUCUCUGAUGAGAGAUGGCCUAAUCAUGUGGUGACAUGAAGGGCAGCAAGGUGGUACUGUUGUAGCAUGCCAGCCUUGCGUCAUCCGACUUUCUCCGACGUUAACGUGGUUGGAGCCGCGUUACCGUUCUUUCCCCUUUCCGUGCUACCACAUGUCUCAUUGCCAGGAUGCGGUUUAGUAAGUCGGUAACCUAUUUUCGUGUACACACCAAAUAGAGAGGCCGGGAUGAUGGUACCUUGGCCCAGGAUUAAAGCCAGUCAUCCGGUCAGGGGGCAUGGGUGUUUCCGGUUGGGACCGAGAGGGGGGGCACCCCCUUAAAGCGCGCGUAUAAAAAUUUGAUCCCAUGCUACGCGAGGUUAUAGCCUCCCCGUCUCAAGGUUUUUCUUGAAUGUUGCCGAGGGUGAUCCCUGGCUUUGGAUGGUUGAAUUGGGUGUGUACUGGUUAGACGUGUUUCUCCCAAAACACCGUAGACGGAACUAGUCCCCGUGACUACUGAAAUCCGUUGGCUGUGGUUAAGUACAAACUCUGCAGAGUCAAUUCUUUCCAAAUCAUCGUAUCCAUGAUCUAGUAGUGUAAGCAUUAUAUCCAUAUCUAUCCGUGUGGAAAACUUGUCCCCGGUGAACAAGCUCGAGUGGUAAAUCCAGAUUUAUUGUUAUUCCUGUGGAUGGACUAACCUUAUAAUUAUCUCAUGCUUGUGAUAAUUUAUGUUCCCGAACUAUUGUAUUAUUGAGCUGUAUUACUAGCCCUUUAUGUGGUGUCGCCUCGACGCCCGACUGUGGUAUUAUUAUUCCGCAUUUUUCCGCUCGAGGAGUCUUUCAGACACUCGUUUGGCACCUGUAUUAUUAUUCCGCAUUUUUCCGCUCGAGGAGUCUUUCAGACACUCGUUUGGCACCUGUAUUAUUAUUCCGCAUUUUUCCGCUCGAGGAGUCUUUCAGACACUCGUUUGGCACCUGUAUUAUUAUUCUGCAUUUUUCCGCUCGAGGAGUCUUUCAGACACUCGUUUGGCACCUGUAUUAUUAUUCCGCAUUUUUCCGCUCGAGGAGUCUUUCAAACACUCGUUUGGUAGCCGUAUUAAUAUUCUGCAGUUUCCGCUCGAGGCGUCAUUCAGACCCUCGCUUGGCACCCAGUAUUUAUUAUCUCUAUGUCUGAACGCACUGGUUAACUUGUUCAUAUGCUUCAUGUUUGCAUUUGUUAUAUCGUAUGUCCAAACUGUCUUGCGAGUACUUUCAUAGUACUCACCUGGCUUGUUGAUUUGGCCAGAUGUUGACGAAGGCGAUCUCUUGGAUGAAGAGUUUGAUAGCGCGUCCGACGCCUAGAGGAGUCCCAGUCAGUCCUGCGCGAUCCCGGAUAUUGGUCACUUGUAUUGUAAACGCUUCCGCCACCCGCAAUAAGUCCUCUCGAGCCUCACUCCGACGCUCGAUGAGCUGUAGUCGUCUGGAAUCAUAUCACUCGCUUCGCGGUGAUAUUUCCACCACCGUUAUUAUCGUAAGUUAGUAGUUUGCCACCCUAUCCGCCGUCUUGUUUUAUCGGCGUGUAUGUAAUAAAUGGUUGGGCAGUCUCUGCUCAACCUUGUAUUAUAUUUAGUACUCCUGGUAUUUUUCUUCUGUGACCAAGAUAUUGUCUACCAGUGAGAAGGAAUUCUUCCUCGCUGGUCUGUAAAAGGGACUGGUCUCUCAAUAAUUAUUUUAUUGAAAAACCGGUCGUGACAAGCUUGGUAUCAGAGCCAGGCUGACUGUAGGAAGCCACUAGGUGCGAUCGCUAAUCGGUUAUUAGCGUCUUUUGUGCUUUUUCAGCAUUUUGCAAUCGUAGCUAUUUUUUGUUGGUCAUCAUAAAUUUAUGACAUGACUACUCAGAAUUUUUGCCUACUUUUGUAGAUGGCUGGCAGCAGCUGUGAGAAUCGAGUGUUCACCAACGUGCCCGAGGGGUUUGUCAAGCUCCUCGUCUCCAUCACCAAGCUCGCGAUCGCGCCAGCAGCUCGCCCGGAGUUCACACUCUAUCAGCACAAGCUCAGUGACGACGUGUCUAUGCACCAAGCCGUGGUGCAGUUCAAGGGAGGAUGUUCUGCUGCUCGCCACUUCCGUUUUAUGGGAAGGGCCAUGCCUACGGAGAGGCAUGCCAUGCAGAUGGCUGCCCGUGAGGUGAUAGCUCGCCUUCGGGACAUUCUUCCUACGAUGAAGACUCGUCGCUACCGCUACCUCCCAUGCCAUGUGCCUUACACCAGCCACUAUGCGUUCGCCUGCCAUCGGGGAGAGCGAGAUGAAGCCAUCGAGAUGGUUGUGGAGUAUCUCAAGGCUCUGGAGGAAUCUUUCGACAACCUCGUAGAUGAUCUUGUGGCUGCCCGCAUGGACUUAGUCCGGGGCGGUCCUGCCAGCAGGAAGGAGCUUCUCCACACGGCGCCACCCCUAACAUUUGUCUCGUCUUCAGCCUCGUAUGCACCGGCCGUUUUGGCCACUGCUUGCCGUCUGCCUACCACUGAGGAGUUCGACCGAGUCAUCGCUCCCACUCCAGUCAGAGCCGCACCGCCUGCAGCACGCGCUCUACCACCAGUCGCCCCCCGCACCAUCACCACAGCGCAGCAUCACGCGCCAGGAGCCAGCUAGAGAGGAGGUGGAGGUUGACUCUCCUGGACCGCUGAGCCUUGCCAUCGGCAAGGGGAAGGAGAUCUUCACCAUCUCCGACUGAGAGCACCGAGUAGCCGCGUGUUAUGUCUGCCUAUAUGAUGUGCUGUUUAUUCCUGUAUGCUAGUUUGUAUUGGUGUGUUUGCUGCCUUCCGGAGUAGUACGCUAGUUUUUAAUAACAUGUCAGGAUUGUGUACGCGCAUCCUGAGUGCUGUAUCUUGUGUUUGCUUUUCGCAUGUAAGUUUUAUGUUAAGCACUUCUUCUCCAUAAAAAAAAUCAUUUGUGUUUCCUUGAAAACCCUGAAGCCUUUUGAUUAUUGCCUUUGCGAGUUUUUUCUUGUGCUACACAGUUUUUCUCAUGGGUUUUGCAAAUAAUACCCCAGACUGGAAAAAUGUCUCGCCCGUGGACUCGCUCCAUGCCCCAUCAGCCAGAAGAGGUUUACGGGACAUAGACCAGCAACAAUUUCACUCAGGGUCAGUCCAGCCAACAAGACAGCGAAGCAGCACUGUCUCAAGUAUGCCGUCUUUUCGAGCAAAGUCAGCAACAGCACCAAGAGAUGAUGAAUCAUGUCAUCAAUAUGGGAAACCACCGUGAACCCUAUCAACCACAUUCCAAGUUAUCCGAAUUACAGAAAACUCGCCCCUCAACUUUUGCUCACACUGAUAGGCCGCUGGAAGCCGAUGAUUGGCUUCGUGAGAUUGAAAGGAAACUGAUUAUUGCUCAGUGCUAAGAUCAUGAGAAGGUGCUUUAUGCACCACACUACCUUACUGGAGCAGCCGCAGCAUGGUGGGAAAACUUCCUACACAUGCAUCCCAGGGAACACAACAUCACCUGGGAAGAGUUCAAGGAAGGCUUCCGUGGGGCACACAUCCCCAGGAGCAUCCUAAAGAUCAAGAAGAGAGAGUUUGAUGACCUGAAGCAAAGAGGCAUGUCAGUGACAGAGUAUAAUGGUCAGUUCACCCAGCUGUCUGGUUAUGCCUACGACGAGCACAUGACAGAAAGCAAGAAGAUGGAAAAAUUCCUGGACGGCCUGGCACCAGCGCUAUGAUGCCAACUGAUUGUGCACACCUUUCCAGAUUUUAAGACGCUGGUGGACAAGGCCAUCACCUUGGAGAAUGAGCGCCGUAGUCUGGAAGAUAUCCGUAAGCGGAAGAGGGACAAGACGACCCUUGCCUGCGCAACCGAGGCAAGACUGAGGUCCCAAGGACAGACGCAAGGAGAUCCACGACUACCGAGCCAAGGCCCGUCGGACAGUUUCAUGCCAGGGACAAGGAGUUCACAUACCGUCCAGGGGUCACCUGCUAUGCUUGUGGUCAACAAGGGCAUUAUGCUAAACAGUGCCCGAAGCCAAGAGACUCGGCACCCAAGCCAAACAAUGGUGGAAACAACCCCGCCCCCAAGCGCAACAACUUCAACCCCAGCAACAACCACAGGAAGGGUCACCUGAACCAUGUGACGAGGGAAGAAGCGCAGAAUGCCCCAGACAUCGUGCUCGGUACGUUCCCUGGCAACACAGUACCUGCCACGGUUUUGUUUGAUUCUGGAGCUUCCCAUUCGUUCGUUUCGAAGAGUUUUGUUUCGCAACAUGGUUUUCCGAUACUUCCCUUGGAAAAAUCUAUGGUCAUCAAGUCCCCCGGAAAUAAGCAAAUCGCUCAGGGUUACUGCCAAGGAGUGGUCAUUGAGUUCGAAGGACUACAAUUCCACGCGAAUCUCAUCGUGUUGGAAAGUAAAGGACUGGAUGUCAUUUUAGGGAUGGACUGGUUGACCACCAACAAGGGAUUCAUCGACUGUUUCAAUCGGACAGUAAUUCUCACACACCAUCACGGCAAGACAAUAAGAGUCUCCGCUCAAGAAAGGCCACGAUCACAGAAACCAAAACUGAACAAAAUGAACAUUGCAGAACUGAGAAAAGUUCCAGUGGUAUGCGAAUUUCCUGAUGUGUUCCCUGAAGAACUACCAGGCAUGCCACCAGACCGAGAGAUCGAAUUCAGCAUCGAACUAGCGCCUGGCGCCGCUCCCAUCUAUAAGAAGCCUUAUAGAAUGGCACCCUCAGAAUUGGUGGAGUUGAAGAAGCAGAUAAAGGAAUUGUUGGACAAAGGAUUUAUUCGAGCCAGCUCCUCACCGUGGGGUUCGCCAGUGUUGUUCGCCAAGAAGAAAGAUGGGACACUGAGGCUGUGUAUAGACUAUCGAGCCCUCAAUAUGGUCACCAUCAAAAACAAAUAUCCGAUGCCACGGAUAAAUGAUUUGUUUGACCAGCUCGCACAAGCUAAGGUAUUUUCAAAGAUUGAUUUGAGAUCGGGAUACCAUCAACUGAAGGUACGGACAGAGGAUAUCCCCAAGACAGCAUUCACUUCCAGAUAUGGGUUAUACGAGUUCACAGUGAUGCCUUUUGGACUAACGAAUGCCCCCGCAUAUUUCGUCCACCUCAUGAACAAAGUGUUCAUGAAAUUCAUGGACAAAUUUGUGGUGGUAUUCAUUGACGACAUUCUGGUUUACUCAAGGACACCAGAAGAGCAUGCUGAGCACCUCAGAAUUGUUUUGGGGGAAUUGAGGAAACAUCAGUUGUACGCCAAAUUUAGCAAGUGCGAAUUUUGGCUAAGACAAGUUGGCUUCUUGGGCCAUAUACUGAACCAAGAAGGCGUGGCCGUAGACCCAUAAAAGGUCAAGGCCAUACUGGACUGGAAGCCGCCCGCCAACGUCACAGAUGUGCGGAAUUUCCUAGGAAUGGCUGGAUAUUACAGGAGAUUUAUUGAAGGAUUCUCCACUAUGGCGAAACCUAUGACCCAGCUACUCAAGAAGGACAAGAAAUUCGUAUGGACGGAAGCAUGUGAGCAGAGCUUCCAAGAACUCAAGAAGAAGCUGACAACCGCACCAGUCUUAACUGUGCCCGACAUACACAAGAGCUUUGAAGUGUAUUGUGGCGCGUCCCGAAAAGGUCUCGGAUGCGUACUAAUGCAGGAUGGCAAAGUUGUCGCAUAUGCCUCCAGGCAGCUGCGAAAGCAUGAGGAAAAUUACCCAACGCACGACUUAGAACUAGCAGCAGUCAUACAUGCACUCAAGGAGUGGAGGUACUUUCUGUUGGGAAAUCGCUGUGAAAUAUACACGGACCAUAAGAGCCUCAAAUAUAUUUUCACACAGCCAGAGCUGAAUUUACGCCAACGACGCUGGUUGGAACUGGUCAAAGACUAUUACGUCAGCAUUCACUACCACCCAGGGAAAGCAAAUGUAGUAGCCGAUGCCCUUAGUCGAAACCCUAGCCCGGAAAAUGACGGUCAGCAAAAUUUGAGGCCUGAGUUUCAGCGAGAGUUUGCUAGGCUCAACAUGAUGUUAGUCUCCGAGGGCACCGUAUCAAAUCUGGAGAUACAACCCACCCUGGUGGAACGAAUUAAGAAGGCUCAACAGGGACAUCCCAGCAUCGAAGGCAUAAAGAAGAAAAUGAGUCUUAAUAAGACUUCAGAGUUCGUCACAAACAGUGAAGGAACAUUGUGGUACCGAAACAGACUUUGCGUACCUAACAUUGAGGAACUCAAGCAACAGAUCUUGACGGAAAGCCACACCGCUCCAUACUCGAUCCAUCCUGGAGGAACCAAAAUGUACAAGGACAUUCAGGAAAGGUUUUGGUGGCACGGUAUGGAAAGAGAUAUAGCCACAUUCAUUGCUUGUUGCGAUUCAUGUCAGCGCAUCAAGGCCGAGCAUCAAAAGCCAGCAGGGCUACUCUAGCCAAACAGGAUACCGGAGUGGAAAUGGGAUGAAAUAGGAAUGGAUUUCAUUGUUGGGCUACCCCGAUCACAACGUGGGAAUGACGCCAUAUGGGUCAUCACAGACCGACUAACCAAGGUUCCUCAUUUCAUUCCCGUGAAGACUACCUACUCCACACAAAGACUGGCAAAACUUUAUCUAUCUCGUAUAGUUUGCUUGCAUGGAGUCCCAAAGACUAUAAUAUCAGACCGAGGCACCCAAUUCGUCUCCAAAUUUUGGGAUCACCUACAACAAGCUCUGGGCACGCAGCUAGCUUUCAGUACAGCAUACCACCCUCAGACUGAUGGACAAACGGAACGUGUAAACCAAAUCCUAGAAGAUAUGCUAAGAGCCAGUGUGCUCACCUAUGGAUCCAGUUGGGAAGAGAGUUUGCCAUAUGCCGAAUUCGCUUACAACAACAGUUACCAAGCCAGCUUGCAAAUGGCACCCUUUGAAGCAUUGUACGGACGGAGGUGUCGUACCCCACUGAAUUGGUCAGAAACAGGUGACAGCCGUAUCUUCGGCCCAGACAUGCUUAAAGAGGCCGAGGAAAAAGUGAAACAAAUCAGGGACAGACUCAAGACAGCACAGAGCCGACAAAAGAGCUACUAUGAUCAGAAGCAUCGUGAGGUCAGCUUUGAACCUGGUGAUUCCGUAUACCUCCGAGUAUCUCCUAUGAGGGGUCUGCAAUGGUUCAAAAUUAAGGGGAAGCUAGCCCCAAGAUUUAUUGGACCAUUUUGUGUGAAGGCACGAAGAGGCACGGUAGCCUACCAACUAGACCUACCCAAGGAGCUGUCAGACAUCCAUGACGUAUUCCACGUCUCACAGUUGAGGAAAUGUGUGAGUAACCCGGAGAAGCAUGUACCCCAUGAGAACAUCGAUAUGCAACCAGAUCUCACAUACAGAGAAAGGCCAAUAAAGAUUUUAGAAGAGUCUGAACGGAGAACCCGUCAGAAAACGACAAAAAAUUUCAGGGUUCAGUGGAGCAACCACACUGAGGAUGAAGCUACUUGGGAAAGGGAAGAUUUCCUUCGGGCAGAGUAUCCAUAUCUAUUUGAGGAUCAGCAGAAAUCUCGAGGACGAGAUUUUUCCUAAGGGGGUAGGUGUUGUGACACCCAAGUUUUUAUUUGGAUUUUCAAAGGAUUUUAUUUGACUUGAGGGGAGUGAUUUAAAAAAAAAUUCAAGAGAACUCUCCCUCUCAAAUAUUUUUCUUUAUGGCAAAAGUUUCAUUUGGAUUCACCCAAGAUCUGUCUUUGGUCUUGGAGGUUCUUGCUUUUAUUUUUUGGCCUCAAGACAAAAUGUUUUUCAUUUGGGGAAAAUAACUUUUGAAAAUCUUUUUGGAAAUGCACUAUGGCUUUUGGAAAACUCCUUUGCCACUUUCCACUUUUCUCUCUUACCUUGGCCUUAGUGCAAAUGCUCACUCCUAACUCCUUCCCUCACCUUUGGAUCAUGAUUGGCAUCAAAUCCAGCAAGUUGAACCUCCCCAUGUGAUUAUUUCCAUUCAAACUCCAUUCAAAUAAAUUUCUGUCUUCUCUUCUAGCACUUGGAGAUUUACAAAGGAACUCCAUUUUAUGUUUUGAUUUUUGCCCCCAAACCAACUCUCCUCCCUAGUCCUUUGAACCCUCAACCAAGAUCCAUGAAGAUCCACUGGUCUUCAGUUCAAAAUUUUCAAACUACACCUGCUGCAAGUUUGGACCAGAUUUGCCAAAUUUGGUGAAAUUCAUUCAAAACCUUCUCCAAAAAUUCCAAGUAAAAUCAGGCAGCCUCUGGGUACAUUGAGUGGUCAUCUCACCGAGUUACAACUCCAGAAAAAUUCAUCUCAUUGCAAAAUCCUUCUGUCGAACACCUGCAGUGCACUGUCUAUGUCAAGUUCAGAAAGUUCAGAGAUUCAGUCAGUGGCCUGCUGUCGUUUUCUUCAGAGAAGGACGUCGAUCUCGCCAGUGCCACCGCGUCGCCUUGCUCCUCGUCCCCUCCCCCUUGUUCCUGCACCGCACGAAUGCAUGGCGCCUUGCGGGCGUCGGCGACGAGCAGCAGAAGGUGCGCCGCCCCGUGACCGACGCCGGCGGCAGCUUUGCGGACGCCAGCGGGAGACACGGCGCCAACGACGCCACCCAGCGCCGCCCAAACCACCGGAGCUCGCCGCGUGGCCUUCCACUCCCCCGAAUGCGCUGCCGCUCUCGUCGUGAACCGCAGGGCGCGGAGCGCGCUCUCUGCCGCCGUCGAGCCCGUGCGGUCACCUCACCGUGGACCGACGCCAUUACGCCAAGACCGACCCCAUUUAGCUGUGAAACGACUCCAGUAACCUCCACUGAUGCUGCCUGGCCACUCAAACCACCUGCCAAUCCACUGCUCCGCCGUAAUCGCUCGCCGGAGAUUCUCCGUUCACGGACACCCCGUCGAUCUGCCUAUAAAUAGAGGCCCUGAGCUUCAACUCGAGCACCCACCAUCCCUACACUUCCCCUAGAGCACGCCUAGCCACUGGCAGAGCCCCGAGGAGGUCUCCUUCCUCGACUCCGGCCGCCGCGACCCGCCACGGGAUCCGGCCCGAUUCGCCCCCGUGUGUGCUCCUCCGCCUCCAUUCUCUUGCCAGUAGCUUCACCUUGCAUCCCUCGUUCUGAGCCACGCCUCAAUUUGUAGCUUGCAGCCCUCACCGGAGUUCCCCAUCCUCACCCGAGCCGCCGUCCGCCGGAGAUAGUGUCGCCGUCGACGUGGUGCUCCCCGUUGGACGAGUCCACCACCCACCGACGCGGAAGAAGACGCUGAAGCUCUUGGUACCCUCCGUUUCACCUAACUCGCCGUGGUUCGACGCCGGCGUCCACCGCAGUCUUCGGGCGCCGGCGAGCUUUUUAAACCUGACAGGUGGACCCCGCCUGUCAGCCUCUAUUCUAUUCUCCUGCGAACCGUUUUCUGUUGGCGCCUUCGGGCAACUACGUUUUCUCCUUUACGCUUGCGCAUUUCCAACCGAAGCGUUUUCUGUUUUCUCAAUUAAAACCCUGGAACUUUUCUGCUUCAUUACAGAAAGGUCCCUGGGCAGAAACCUUUAUAACUUUUUAAUAAAAAGGUAUUUUUGAGUGAUUCUUUUUCUGAAAAUCUUCAAAUUUUGUCUAGUUUUUAUGGGAUUUAUUUGAGAAAUAUUUGGAAAAGUUUCUGUGCAUGUGUUGGUUUUCACGUUAGUGCCCGUCUCGUGAUUGCCGUAGGUUCCGGAAGAGGUGACGGAGCCGCGAACUUCGCCGAGCUAGACUCCGACUUCUCCGAACCAAGCAAGCAUGUUUUGAACAUUUGAUAUGACAGGUGUUUUGCAUGUUUGCGUGAGAGGUUGUGCGUGGCAUAUGAGCAUUGGUAAAUACCUCGUUGCUUGUAAGGCAACGACCCGGUUGUUCCAAAGUUGCGAUGAUCUCUGAUGAGAGAUGGCCUAAUCAUGUGGUGACAUGAAGGGCAGCAAGGUGGUACUGUUGUAGCAUGCCAGCCUUGCGUCAUCCGACUUUCUCCGACGUUAACGUGGUUGGAGCCGCGUUACCGUUCUUUCCCCUUUCCGUGCUACCACAUGUCUCAUUGCCAGGAUGCGGUUUAGUAAGUCGGUAACCUCUUUUCGUGUACACCAAAUAGAGAGGCCGGGAUGAUGGUACCUUGGCCCAGGAUUAAAGCCAGUCAUCCGGUCAGGGGACAUGGGUGUUUCCGGUUGGGACCGAGAGGGGGGGCACCCCCUUAAAGCGCGCGUAUAAAAAUUUGAUCCCAUGCUACGCGAGGUUGUAGCCUCCCCGUCUCAAGGUUUUUCUUGAAUGUUGCCGAGGGUGAUCCCUGGCUUCGGAUGGUUGAAUUGGGUGUGUACUGGUUAGACGUGUUUCUUCCAAAACACCGUAGACGGAACUAGUCCCCGUGACUACUGAAAUCCGUUGGCUGUGGUUAAGUACAAACUCUGCAGAGUCAAUUCUUUCCAAAUCUUCCUAUCCAUGAUCUAGUAGUGUAAGCAUUAUAUCCAUAUCUAUCCGUGUGGAAAACUUGUCCCCGGUGAACAAGCUCGAGUGGUAAAUCCAGAUUUAUUGUUAUUCCUGUGGAUGGACUAACCUUAUAAUUAUCUCAUGCUUGUGAUAAUUUAUGUUUCUGAACUAUUGUAUUAUUGAGCUGUAUUGCUAUCCCUUUAUGUGGUGUCGCCUCGACGCCCGACUGUGGUAUUAUUAUUCCGCAUUUUUCCGCUCGAGGAGUCUUUCAGACACUCGUUUGGCACCUGUAUUAUUAUUCCGCAUUUUUUUGCUCGAGGAGUCUUUCAGACACUCGUUUGGCACCUGUAUUAUUAUUCCGCAUCUUUCCGCUCGAGGAGUCUUUCAGACACUCGUUUGGCACCUGUAUUAUUAUUCCGCAUUUUUCCGCUCGAGGAGUCUUUCAGACACUCGUUUGGCACCUGUAUUAUUAUUCCGCAUUUUUCCGCUCGAGGAGUCUUUCAGACACUCGUUUGGCACCUGUAUUAUUAUUCUGCAUUUUUCCGCUCGAGGAGUCUUUCAGACACUCGUUUGGCACCUGUAUUAUUAUUCCGCAUUUUUCCGCUCGAGGAGUCUUUCAGACACUCGUUUGGUACCCGUAUUAAUAUUCUGCAGUUUCCGCUCGAGGCGUCAUUCAGACCCUCGCUUGGCACCCAGUAUUUAUUAUCUCUAUGUCUGAACGCACUGGUUAACUUGUUCAUAUGCUUCAUGUUUGCAUUUGUUAUAUCUUAUGUCCGAACUAUCUUGCGAGUACUUUCAUAGUACUCACCUGGCUUGUUGAUUUGGCCAGAUGUUGACGAAGGCGAUCUCUUGGAUGAAGAGUUUGAUAGCGCGUCCGACGCCUAGAGGAGUCCCAGUCAGUCCUGCGCGAUCCCGGAUAUUGGUCACUUGUAUUGUAUACGCUUCCGCCACCCGCAAUAAGUCCUCUCGAGCCUCACUCCGACGCUCGAUGAGCUGUAGUCGUCUGGAAUCAUAUCACUCGCUUCGCGGUGAUAUUUCCACCACCGUUAUUAUCGUAAGUUAGUAGUUUGCCACCCUAUCCGCCGUCUUGUUUUAUCGGCGUGUAUGUAAUAAAUGGUUGGGCAGUCUCUGCUCAACCUUGUAUUAUAUUUAGUACUCCUGGUAUUUUUCUUCUGUGACCAAGAUAUUGUCUACCAGUGAGAAGGAAUUCUUCCUCGCUGGUCCGUAAAAGGGAUUGGUCUCUCAAUAAUUAUUUUAUUGAAAAACCAGUCGUGACAGUGGACGAGACGGUCGUAGGAGCGGCGCCGGCAAGGUGGACGACAGCGGGGAUGAAGCGAGAGGACGGGAUGCAAGGAUCCCGGUCCGAAGCCGUGGAUGAGCGAGGUCGAUCUCUUGUAAUGGACGGCGGCAUCGGGGAGCUCCGGCAUGGUGGAGGAGGAUGGCGGUGGAUGGGGUGGCGGGCGGCGGCGGACGGAGGAGGGUGGGGUGGAGAGGGUGUUUUGGCACCCACGGAGUACGAAUGGGGAAAAGGGAGGUAGAGAGGAAGGGGGGAACCAUGUAUUCAGGGCACGCUUGUCUCAAAUGCGAGGAAAUUUACAAACUUAGCCCCCGUUUCAAAUUUCUACUACAUCACAGCAACAUUAGUCGGUUGGGGAUAGGACGGUAAUCUCGCAUACACCGAAUAUUUGCCGAUGAGAGUUUGUUUUUGGUGCCCACCGUGUAUGAAUAUGAAUCGGGGAGGAAGUCGAUUUGGGCCGAGGACACACUGUGUUCUGGCGCCCACCGUGUAUGAAUCCGGGUGAGAGGCGGUUACGUCAUGUUUGGGUGAAAUUACAAACCUACCCCUAUCGAAACCUAUAGAAAUCCAGCAGAUAGGCAGUAGUGAUUUCCAUCUCGCAGAUUUUGGUUUCGGGCGGUUACUGCGACUUUCCCCGCUUCGUUCAAAUUUUGCAGAGUGCACGUUUACCGUGGCAACUCAAUUCGAAUCCCGUUUGUAUUCUAUUUUUUCGGGUGGGAUCCAUUUUCAAUUGGAAUUACAUUCUAUAUACAUCAUUUUUUCAUAUAUAUACUUUCGAAAGCACAACAAAGAAUUCUGCUCCUUUAUAUGUAUAAUAUGAUUUACAAAUACAACGAUCUCGAAAUCUUAAGGUUGAAUUCGAAAAAAAUUAACCAAAUUAUGUUCUACUAAAAUGUAUGGAUCAGUAAUAUCUACAUAUUAAAUAACAUAGAUGUGCGUGAAUUUCAUAUGAGUAUGCAUGUUUGAUAGAUCAAUUUUGGUUCGAGUAUGGAUUACAUGUAUCAUCAUCUCGAAUUCAAAUAUUUGAAUCCCUUUUUUGUUCACUCCUUUCACGCCCAUCUCUCUCGCAUGCAUGCUCCUUCAGGUAGCUAUCACUCUCUUUUCUCCAGCUCACCCGCACGCUCACUUCAUGUUUCUCCUAUCCUCGCAAACAAGGUCUCUCGACGUCUCCCUUCAGAAGUGUCACACUCUCCCUAUCAUUAUACAUUACACGGUUUUCAUUAUCUCUCACAUCUCUACUGUUCUCUGGUAUCACUCGGUACCUAAGCUUUCUUUUUCACUGCCACACACACAGUCUCCACUCGUCUUUCACUUUGUCUUUCUCUCUAUGGGAUUCUCUCACACACCCUAUAUGUCUCUACAUAUGACUCAUACCACUAAAAUUACUCUCUCUCUCUCCUGUAGACACAACAUUUGUCGCGGUCUCCUUUUCGUCUCCAUCCCAGACUGACAUUAUUCAUUUGUUUACCGAUCAGACAACCCCGACUACCGUCUCCUCUCUCUCUCUCUCACAGACACACACACACAACUCCUGCUUCCACUCCCCUUCCUGACUACCGCCUCUCUCUCACACACACAAAACUCUCGCUUUCGCACCCCGACUCGUAUUUCUCUCACAAACAUUUAUCGACUAGCUAGCCUCUAGAUAGGUUUAUACACCCGCACACUCGUGCUUCCACCAUCGCAUACAUGUCUCUCUCCCGCUCCUUGUAUCUAUGUAGAUUUUUCUUCCCUUCUUGAGACACGCCCUCUCGAUCGUGCGCACACACACACUAUCGCCUCAUUUUAAGCUGAUACCUAUCGCACACACACUCCUUGUGUCUUUGUCACACAUGCACUCCGUCCUCCUCCACUCUCCCUCUCUCUCUCACACACAUCGGCUUUUUGCAACAACUAGCAAGAUGCCCAUGCGUUGCAUGGAACAUCAAGAUGCAUUUGUAUGAGUAGUUUAUCUUGUGGGGGAAAAGGAUGAACGAGGGAAGGCCUUAUUUGCAAAUGUGGAGAGGGGUGUGGGUAUCUUUUUGCAAAAUUGCCAUAGUUUCCUUCCUAUCCGUCAGAUAUAGAUCGGACGGCCUAUAUUGCAGGAUGGCAGGCACACGAUCAUCACCGACAAUGCUUUUUAUAAGAGUCGGGAUAAAAAAUAGAGUUGGUGAUGAUGGUGGGCCUGCCAUCCUGCAAUGUAGGUCAUCCGAUUUAUAUCUGACGGAUAGGAAGGAAAAUAUGGCAAUUUACCCGCACUCUUCACCACAUUUGCAGAUAAGGCCUUCCCUCGUUCAUCCUUUUCUCCCACAAGAUCUUGAUGUUCCGUGCAACGCACGGGCAUCUUGCUAGUAAGAGUAGAAAUUAGACAUAUACCACUUCUCGAAUCUUGAAACCAACAACAUUCCUCCCUUAUCUCAUCAAAACCGCCAAAGGAAUAUAUUUUGAGUGAAAGAUAACAUAUUUUUAGUGAUAUACGUAUUUCAAAACUAGACUUUUUCUAUCAAAUCGGUGAAUACGUAUUAAUCUACUUUGAUCGUGUGGUAACGCAUUGGCACAUUGCUAGUAGUUAUUAUAAUUUUUUGGACACCAGACAAACGGUGGAGUACAUAUACGAAGAGAAGACGCGCACGCACGCAGUCGGCAUGUCGCUGUCUCGCACACAUGAGUGUUACGUAAAGGCGACGUUAACAAAUAAACCCUAAAACCCUAGGUGCACAAUUGCUGCAUUCGCGGGUACCGGGUACGUGGUGGAGCACCUUUGUAGGAAUAGUCAGCUCGCGUGAUAAUUUGAUCCGUAGGAGUUGAUGGUCGGGACCACAGGUGAACGACUUGGAGCGCGGUGGCUCGCCAGUUGCCACAGAUUGAGUAGCCACAUUUAAAAUAUCAUUUUUUAGCGGGGUUAAGAGUUCCGAUUUUCAAUGGCGCUUUAUAAGUAGUAAGUAGUUUUUAGAACGAUUGGUAUGGAGCGAAAAUGGAAUUCACACUACUACGUACCUCCUUGGCGUAUGGUUCUAUGGUUUUUUUUGCGAUGGAGGUUGUAUGGGUUUAUGUUGCGAGAUGUUGAACCUGGUAGUUCUAGGGCAAAUACUAUGGUUUAGAUUUAGAUGCUGGUUUUCAGUAAUGAAAAUCGGAAGGGGAAACUCUUCUUUGGUUAAAAAAAACUACUACCUCCAUUCUGGUUUACUAGUCCCCAUCGUACUAUGGGUCAAAGUUUGUCCACGAAUUUUACUUGUAAAAUGUGAAUGGAAAACGAGAUUUUGUUAUACCCAAACAAAAAAGGACUGGAGGGAGUGAUUGCUCUGACACGGACGCGACCUCUCAUAGCACAGGCAUUGAACCGACGCGCCGGCCAAGAGGGCCGCACUCGCUGCAGGCCCGGCUGAGCACGCCUCCUCGCCGCGUGCAACCAGCUUAAGACUGCCCCGCCUGCCUUCAUUGAAUCUGCGCGUGUGCCGGCAACACGUCCUUUCGCGAGCCGGCAGGCAUUUUAGAACACAAAAAAUGACUAAAAUAUAAUUAAUCUACGCAUGGUCUUGACUUGUUGUGCUCGCACUGGUAGCAGGAACUAGUAGAGGAUUUUCUUUAUUUAUAACUCUGCUCACAUUUUUUUGGCUUUGAACUGAAUCAUGGUUGUGGACAUUAUGUAUGAAUGUGCAGAUAUCUGUGAACAUGAGUUUGAUGUGGAAGUUGAACUUGGAAUGUCGGGCUUGCGCGUGAACUAUACCAUGUCCAAUGCUUCAUCUGUUAUUGUUUGGAAAGUAAUUGUUGUUAUUACAUGACCCGAAAAAAACAUUUUGUGCCACAUCAGUAGAUGCACGGACAUCACAACAAGCAUGCUGACUGGAUAAACAUUUGAACCUAGCUAUUAUGAAGGAAAUUUUGUAUUGAUAACAGUUUUAGAUAGCAGGAGACGCCUAGCCUGCUCUGCCUCUGCUAGCUUAUUUCUGGCUUCUUCCAUCUCUUCUUUGGCUUGGGUGAAGAAAGCAUCUGAUUGCUCUUUUCGCUUCUUCAGGAACUCAGCUACAUUCUCAAGGGCUGCUGCACGCUUUCUUUCAGCCUUUACUAAUGCCACGAGGACACGAACAGCUGACGACUCCACCUGGCUUGUGUGUAAUCCAGCAUCAUCUGGGAAUUUGCACCUUGUGUCUAAUCUAGCAUCAUUAGGGAAAUGGCACCUUGUGUGUAAUCGAGCCUCACUUUGGAAACAUGAUCUCGAGGUUGACCAUACUUCCCUCCUCGCAGGAACUGCAUCCUGACAUGAAGUUACUUCUUUUUUAGAUCAAUACUCAGAGCAACCUAGAUCCAUUUAGUAGAAGCCAGAUAAACAGAACUCGGAGAAGUGAAUUCAACAGGAAAAAUAAAAAAAACAGACUACAAGGUGAGAACACCCACUUCCUACAUCAAGCUAAAAACGAAAGCAUUAGGACGAUUAAGACUCUUCUUAUUACACAUCGAAGAACACCACGCUUAAGAGAAACAGAAACUACAACAUAUACACAUCGAAGAACACGAGGCUACACGAAAGUAAUUGAAAGGGUGUUACUUACCAAAGCUCGUUUUACAGGUUCGGUGCAGCUCCUCUUUAACUUGCCACACUCCUUGAAGAUGUCCCGAAUAUCCCGUGUUUGGUCUUCAUUGCUCCUCUGCAUGUUCGCACUCGUGGUUUUAAAAUCUCAACAUGGCAAGAAAAAUAUAAUACUAGUAAUACUCGCGCAUCUUGUGGGCAACAUUAAAGCACUCGACUGCCAUGUUAGAGCAUCUCCAACAGAAUCGCAACGCGCGGCGCUUUAAAAAGCGUUUACAGUGCUGAGAUCGAGAAGUAGAUACUAGAGAGUAGAGGAUAGUUCUCAGCAUAGAUAGAAAAAAAAAAGAUAAUUCAACUACUCCUCGUCGUCCGACUCCUCCUCGGUGAUGUCCUCCUCUGACGUCUGACUGUAGGCGUGAAGAUACCGAUCAUCGUCGGAUUCCCAGGGCGAUGCUGCUCCUAGCCUCAUGUUGAAUUGAGCGUCCGCUUUUCGCCUAUGCUUGUCCUCGCGAUAGGCGGCUCGCUCCGCCCUCCUUUGCGCGUAGAACUCGCGCUCUUUGAUGAUGUCCUGCGGGAAGUGUUGGCGCCACAGCGCCAUGGCUUCCUUGUCCAUCUCGGCGAUGCCGAGACGGUGCUCCCACCUCUGGUUGUCGUGGCGAUCCUCGUCGGUGCUAAGCCGUGGCAGAGGCGCGAGCUCCUGCGCCCGCUCCCGCGUCAGCACGUUGGGGAAGUUCAAUGUUCUAUGAGGCCACCGGAGGCGCCACAGCGCCGCGUCGUACACGCGGGCGGCCUCGUUGGCGGUGUCGAAAUUGCCGAGGCGCAUCCCGUGGAACUGGAUCUCGGCGGAGAAGCCGCCGGAGGGGCGCACGCGGAUGCCGCGGUAUCCCCAAGUUUCCCGGCGGCGCGGCGGCAUUGUGGCGCGGCGGUGGCGAGGCGAAAAAGAGCUGGGAGAGAGCGGUGGCGAGGCACAGAGCGGGGAGAGAGCGGUGGCAAGGCACAGAGUGGUGGGAGGGCGUUGGAUUUUAUAAAGCGCGCCGGACGCCGCGCGCCAAAACUAGCGCACGCCCGACCGCUUUUUCCCGCGCGCGCGCGAUCCUUUCCCGACGUCUCUGCUAUCUCUACUCUCUUCUCUACCGUUAUAUUUAUUUUAUAUUUUAUAUUUAAUAUUUAUCUCUACUUCCUUUACUGUCUAAUUUUUUUCUCUAUACUUUUUUUCUUGCAAUAUAGGCCGUCUGAUUUAUAUCUGACAGAUAGGAAGGAAACAAAUGGGAAUUUUGCAAAAAGAUACCCAUACCCCUCUCCAGAUUUGCAAAUAAGGCCUUCCCUCGUUCAUCCUUUUCUCCCACAAGAUAAACUACUCAUACAAAUGCAUCUUGAUGCGUGCAAUGCAUGGGCAUCUUGCUAGUUCUAAAAACCUUUCCAUCAUUUGCCACACUACUGGUUGCAGAUGAAAAACCUACCCAAGCACAGCGCGAUACAGGAGUGACGCACAAUUACAAGCUGAUAUUCUGUUGGACAAUGGAGGCUAUAACCAAUUACUUUUACGGGAACAAUAGCACCCAGGAAAUUUGAAGGGUAGGUAUGAACAAAAUUGGAACUGCACAUGUACUGCUAAGUGAUUCAAUACACACAUUACCAAUCGAGGAGGAGAACGAUGGUCGCAGCGGCCUCUGUGAGUCAUGGUCGGCAACGGGAGUCAGUUCAUUGUCCACGACGGUGGUAGUUCUGCGCUUGGCAUCGGCUUCCGGGAAGCAGAUCCGACACCGUGGAAGACGAUGCCGGGGAAGAGGCUCCGUGUACGACGACGACGGUGGACCGGCUCCAGUGCGGCGUACGAGGUCGUCGAUGAGGCAGAUGCGCUGCGGUGGACGAGUGCACCGAUGUAAAGGGGAGGAGCACGAAGGCUGCGGUGCCGUGGAGAAGUCUAUUUUGCGGUGGGGAUAGAAAAUGGGGAGUAUUCAGGUGUACUACUCUGGGUGACGGGGUGAGGUUGGCUGGGUAGGGUGAACCUGAAGUUACGAAAACAGCCCCCUACCAAGCGCCAUUCGUAGGCCUGUUCCGAAGGCUAUGAUGGUAACUUCCCACUGCUCGAAUCAGGGUCGCGGGAGAUUUUCCCGCCGACCUCAAAAUUUUGUGACACUGGACUCCUCGUGUGGCGUGUUGAGUGAUUCGGCUAAGCAACUAGCGAGUAGUAGUAGUAAACUCUGCAUAUUAGGUUUGACCGAAGUCAAACUUCCUAAAGUUUGACCAAGUUUAUAGAAAAAUAUAAACAUUUACCAUAACAAAUAUGUAUGAUGUGAAAGUACAUUCAAUAAUGAAUCUAAUGGUAUUUAUUUGUUAUUGUAUAUGUUAAUAUUUUUUGUUAUAAGCUUUCUGAGAGUUUACAAAACAUGACUUUGACCAAUGCUAAUACGCAGACUUAAAUAAAAACGGAGGGAGUACACAUUUGUUUUCUUAGUUUGUAGUGAACUAAUCAUUUGUUGAAAUUGUGAAAUAAAUAUAUUAGGCUAUUGACUUCGAAUGUAAUGGUCUAUACAAUUCAAUAGUUACAAUCAUUGUCGAAUCCCAGGAUGUAUACAAGGUCUAUAGUACUUCACAACAUGCUCGACUCACACACACACACACACACAAAGUAAACUAGAAGACCGUUCUCUCAUGUAUACACAACGUAUCGGCAUCUGUCUAUGUCUCACUCAUGCAUGAUCAGUUGCACAUUCACACCUCUCUAUGUCUGUAUCACACGCACACCGUCUCCACAUUGCCCUUCCGCCACAACACACAUAUGGACACAUACACAAGUUCUCUCUCAGUCACACACACAAAAUCAGUAUUAAAAAAACUAGGGCGCACCUAAAACGUCCAAAUCCAAAUAAACACGAACUGGAGCUAAAUUCAAAUAUAUGGAAAUGUUGCAGCGUCAAGAACUUUCACAGGAAAAAAAAGUUGAGUAAUAUUCGAGGAUUGUUUUCACACACACACAAAGGUUCGGUGGAUGUCCUUCGAGCGCGACACGGUGACGCACCGUUCGAUCGACCGCGCGGCCGCGGUUCACGCGCUUGCACAGGAUUCCGUAUCAUGGUUGUGGUACUAAUUGAUGAAAGCGAUGCCUACGUCUAAUGUUUACGUGUACUAGUAUGGUUUUCUUUUAAGUUUGACCAACCUUAUAUAUAAAACUAAAGUAAGCUCCCACACGCGCACUCAUCAAUAUGCCGCCGCCGCCGUUGCGCAUGCCGGCGCCCGCCUGCUCCGGCCAACAAUUUCUCGCCCAUCACCGUCGUGUCGCCGCCAUCCCUGUGCCAUGAAGCCGAAGGCUCGCCCGCUCACGUCGUCUGCAGUCCCUCCUCGCGAUGCCGCCGCGCUGCCAAGCACGCGAGCAGCUGGUGGAGCCGCGUCUAUGCACGCUGCGUACGAAGAGGAGGACGAGCGCGUGCUCCAGCACGCCGGCGAGGAGGAACUAGCGUGUCAUUGUCGUCUCCGCCCGCGCGGAGGAGGCGCGCAUGGUGGCUGUCGUGGCGGAAACCGGUCGCGCACGCGUCGAGCCCGCAAACCGGGUGCGGACGCGGAAUCUACCUUCGAGACCUUGAAUGCCACGUGGAUCCUGCAAUCUAAAGGAGCAAUUUGGGUCAGUCAACUCAUGUGAGCCGUUUGAUGCAACAUGGAUGGCUAGAAGGGCUUCUUCCACCUCUUCUGCCGUCUUCUUCCUUCGCUCCGUCGAACUUCUUUCACAAAUCGACUGACCCAAAUUAUACUACUAGUACGAACGUAUUAAGUACAGUAGGAACACGAAGAUACGAGCAGUAGUACCAACUGCAAGAAGAACAGUAGUAAGACAUAGUACUAGUACUACUGUACAUACUAAAGAGUUAAAAUAACGAGAAAGAACAUAAACAUAGUUCUGCUGGGGCCUCAGCACAACACACCCUUGAAAAUAAACUAAGCAACUAGUCCGCUUGACACUGCAGUAGAACUAGCAUGAGCAACGGCACUGCCACCUCCUCGGAGUCCGAGUCCAUGUCCUCGACUUCGUCCUCGUCCCUCUUCCUCUUCCUCUUCGCCGACGCUUCUUUGCUUGAACCGGACACUGGGCUCUGCUUCUUCAUCCAACCCUUGUAGAUAUUUAAACAAAGGUAGGCAUCCAUUGCUGCGUACAGGAUGUGAUCUUCAUCUAAUGUCCUCGACUCCCAUGCAUGAUGAAACUCGUGAUGAGGUUUCUUCAGUUUAGCGUACGAAGGAUCAAUCAUGGUUGCUGCCAGGGUCAGCAUUGAAGGUUGAGAGGAGGACACCAGGCUUGCCUUCUGGAGAUCGAAGGGCUGGCCUACAACGAGACCUAUCCGACGUAGGACAUCCCUGUCGUUCUUAAAGCCUACAGUAACGAAUUUCACUCUUUUGUCCAUGAGGAAGUUCUUAAAAUCCUGGCACUCAACGUCGGCAUGGCAUAUGUGGUAGAUCAAGCAAAUGUUAUGUACGCAAACCUGGAUCACGGUGGGCUUCUUCCUCUCUUCGUCCUUUAAAUCCUUCUCUCGUCCCAGGACUGUGGUGUACUCAACAUCUAGCCCAGCGACCCACUCAUCCGUUGAACUGUUGAACAUGCGUAGGAAGCGAGCAAGCCAUGCUUUCACCGUCUCGGAUCCACGUGUGUAGAUGACGAUGAACUGAUCGCCGGUGAUGGCUCUAACCUGGUACUCAGCGGCGACCAUGGAGAUUUGGGAGGCCAUGGAUUUUGGAGGAGGGUUAGGAGAAGUUGAACUGUUGCACCCCGAAAAAAAACUGGGAGCGAACUAAUGUGAAAGGACGGGACGACUGGGAGCGAACUGUUGUAAGGUAGAAGACGGGGACGAGUAGGGCGUGCAAACGGCGUGGGGUUGCUGGCUUGCCCGGUGGAUAAACGGCUGCAAGCCCCCAAAGAGUUCUCGAGAACUAUGCGGGACCCACUAGAUGUCAUGUCUAGUAGACCCAUAUCGUAGGUCUGACGGUAUAGCUUCUGCCUGUUCGCACGCCAUGCCGGCGCGUGGAUGUAACUUCACUUAAUUCCGUCAACCGUCGCGCCUCCCAUGACCUUUGCCUCCCUCGCGCGAUCGCACCUUUUGAGACUUCGACCGGCUAUAAAUGAGCAAUUUUUUUGCCUUUUUUUUAGACAAGCAAUUUUUUUGCCUACUCCGCAUGCAUGAUACUCCCUCUGGUCCUUUUUAUUCCCGUCAACCGUUUGCAAAGUGUUUGACCAAAUUUAUACUUUUUUUUGAACACCACCUUAUAUUAAUUAACCAGCCACACCAGUACACUCAUUCGAUACAAUAUUCACCACACAGCGCGAUACGUUAUUUACAAGAAUACCAUCUAAUCUAUUGUCAAAGCUAUACUUAGCGAUUAAGUGUGCCACCUUAUUGGCCGAAUGGCUAAUCUUUGACAAUUGAAGAUUGUUGAUCAACUUCGAGAUGCUCAACGCUUUCAUCUUUAGGUCACGCAUAGCAGACCUGUCAUAGUCCCCCGAUGCAAGAGACGCUACCACAAAAGCGCAAUCAGUCUCUAAAAUUACAGGAUUAUGAAGAGAAAUACCUAUGUAGAGACCGGUAAUGCAAGCCCUAAGCUCCGCUUCCUCCACGCUUUGACAGGCAUCAAUGAAAUCCCACAACCAAAUUUAUACUAAAAAUAUCAAUAUCUAUAAUACUGAUUAUAAUGAGUAUAAGAGAGAGAUGAUUAUAGUAACAUAGGUAGAUACCGUAACAUAAUAAAUGUGAUGCUACUAUGUGUCAUGCAUGGCAGUAAAUGAGACCACCUAUGAUACUAAUCUAUGAUACUAUGCACUAUAGAGGUAGUAACAUAGACUAGUAACAUAUAAGUUACUCCCCACUAUGACCAGCCUUAGAGUACCACUACCUCCCUUCUAGUUUAAAGGGCUCGAUUCAAAAAUUUCACCUACUCUUAGCAAGAUAGUAGAGGCGGUGGAAUAGUUUUUGAAGUCUGCAAAAGUACUCAACUAGUGCUGUCGUUCUUCACAAAAAAAUGUGUUUACCAAUGCAUGCAUGAACACUAGUUACUCUAACCCCCCUCUCUUCUUUAAUUCUUUGCCACAUCAACAUGUUUGAUAUUCCCGUGUGCAUGAUACCAGCUAAGAUACCACCAUUAUGGCGAGCCUUAAUCAUCGCAUGCAAUAAUUUAGUGCACCUUGAAAUAUGAACAUGUGUGGGGCGUGUAUGUUUUUAAUGACUUGAGACUAUACCUAGCCCGGCAUGCAAGAUGACUUAUUAUGCACCGUUCCCCAUACCUGCAGGAUAACAAGGUUUUCCAGACCUAAUAAACGUUCAUUGCAAAGAAAUGUUGACCCCGUUCGUCUCCAAAUCUUUUCCUCUCCAUGUGUGGAAACAAUAUUCCUGCCAAACUCUCCUUCUCCCUCCGGCGGUCCCACCACUCCACCCCGUGUGAAAAAAUCUGCAUGCAUGACUCUCCUCCCCCCACGCUCGUCCAAUCUGUUGUGACCAGCAAUAUUUCCACCCCUUCGCUCCCCCGUAAUUUACUCCAACAAAUAUGCCCACGUAGCUGUUACUUAACUGCAGGUGCAUUGGGUCACUGACAUAUGGGCCCAACAGGGGUCUGGCCCACAUGUCAGUGACGCAACUGGACCUACAGUUAAGUCAGUGCAGCUCAGUCCAUACCUUACGUAGGUGUGCCAUUGCUCGCUAUAAAUACUGCGCCUCCCAUGACAUCGCUAUCUCCUCCCCCUCACGUUCACGUUCAUCGCUAUCUCCUCCCCCUCCUUCUCACGUCGACCACCAUGGCAUCGCCCCUCCCAAGCCCUAGGAGCCCCUCGCUGCACCGCGCGGACGGUCACGCGUCGCCGUUCCGUUCCUCGCCGCCACUAGUCAAGGAGGACGCGUCGGUGUUCCCCUCCUUGCCGCUACGCGACGUGCCGCCGUUCCAUUCCUCGCCACCACUAGUCGAGGAGGACGCGUCGGUGUUCCGCUCCUCGCCGCGACGCGUCGAGGUGGAAGCGUUGGCGUUCUCCAUCUCGCCAGCACGCGCGCCGGAGGACGCGUCGGCUCCCCGCUACGAGGAGAACGCCGCGCCGCCCGCCGAGCCCCCCAGCCUUGAGGAGCUUUGGAAAGAAAUGGAUGUCGCCUUGUGGGAGGCUUUGCCUCCAGCAGAGCGCGCCAAAAUAGAGGCAGAGAAGAAGGCCGAGGAAGAGAAGCGCACCGCGGAACAAGCUGCCUGGGAGGCCUAUGUCGCGUCAGAGAGAGUCAGGCAAUUGGCUCUUUGGCAGAAGGCUUGUGCGAGGGCCGUGAGGGUGGCGGAGGAUGCCCGUGCCGACGCCCUGAGUGUAGUCGGGCCCAAGCGCCUCAUCUACGCUUGGCGGUACGUGGACCGGGUGCACGCUUCCAGCGAGGAGGAGUACCUGUUGGUGCCGGAUCACCACACCGGUGAGAUCGCGCUCGCCCGCCGGCAAGCCGCCAAUCAGCACCUCGCGAGUUGCAAGGCUGAGGAAGAGGCGUUGUGUCGGCGUGCUGGGAAACGGCCGCGCACUAGGGCACUCGUGGCGCGCCGUAAGCGCUCCUGCGAGCGCCGUGGCUUUUAGGAGGAGUAUAAUUUUUGUUUCGUAAGGCGAUCUCAUUAGUUUUGGGACGCAAAUGAUAAAUCCCGAACGUUCAGGAAUUUUUAGCGUCCUUAAUUAAGUAUGUAAAAGGGAAUGUUUGGAAACCUUGUGUAUUCGUACGCAUUUUGCAAGUACGUGCAUAUAGCACAAACUUUACUAUAUACUAUCGCACUACACGUCUCUCUCGAUAUAUGCUUGCAGACUGCGCUACUCCCUCCGUCCAGGUCAAUAAGUCAUCUUUGGUUGUGCACCGUGACCAAGAAGGAGGGAAGACUUAUACACCUAGACGGAGGGAGUACUACUAUUACUUAUGUAUGUGCAAAUGCACGUUUUAACAUUACGAUGCGGUUUUUGUAAAAGAAAAAAAUAGCACUAGUCAAGCUUGUGAAACGAUUCAAUGCAAAACAAAUGCAAAAAUGCUCGUUUGAUUGUUUACUUUUAGCUUCCUUCUCUGUGGUUAUUUAUCUGUCGUACUUUGUACGGAGUAUCUCACUGGUUGGAAAGGCAUGCAAAUUCCCAAACCGCUUCCUACACCCUGUAUCGAAUUUUUUGCCUAACAAGUUGUGUCGUGCAAUUGGAAUUCCAACUUGAGUACUACUACUAGUAGGAGUACCAGGGGCCAGUUCUUUUAGGCUUCUAGAUUAGUAAUCCCAUAAGAGCAAGUACAAUAGAGCUGAGUCAGCGGGCUAUAAAAAAUAAACUAGUAUAUUUCUGCUUAGUUGGAGGAAAGAGAAGAGGAGAGAGAAGGUAAGCGGGCUCUUCGUGAAGAGCCAGCUCUAGCACGUGCUCCUAGGCACUUUGUGAGAAUGAGAAGUGGGCCACAUAAUAAAAAAGUAGUACACUCUUUUGAUCUAUUAUUGUACAUGUUGGCUAUAAGAUGGGCUGUAGAUGACAUGGCACUGGCUUAUAGCCAGCAGAUGGCUAUAUUAGUAACCAUGCUCUAACUACUACCUCCGUCCUGGUUUAUUGGUCCCCAUUGUAAUCUGUGUCAAAUUUUGAUCAUAAAUUUAACUAAUGAAAUGUUAGUGCCUGUCACAUGCACUACUCCAUUCGUCUAGGUGAGUAAGUCAUCUUAGGCUGUGCACCGUGACCAAGGAGGAGGAGAAAACAAGAAACGUUAAUGUUUAUUUGCUAAUUAAUAGUAUUGCAUGCAAUGAACUAACCACUGCAUGUCGUGUUUGAUAUCUCAAGUCAUUAAAAGCAUGCACACUCUUUAUCUCUUAUUGGUUGAUAUGUCAAGAAACAAGAAACGAGGUAGAAGUUAAUGCACCGCGCCUAAGUGUUUUGGGAUUAUUUGGUUUUCGUAAGAUGACUUACACACCUAGACGGAGGGAUUACAAUGGUGAGGAAUAAACCAGUUAAAUCUUUGGUCAAAAUUUAGCACAAAUUACAAUGGUGAGGAAUAAACCAGGACAGAGUAGUAGUUUAGAAGCCCAAAUAAAUGAGUGAGGCGCCUUAUUGUUACUCUCCACUCUGACUAGUCUUGUGGGAAAAGCUGGGGAAGCCGCCAAAAGAACUGGCCCUAGGAGUAGUAGCUAGGGAUCGAGUGUGCGAGAUGAACCAGAGAAUGUAAAUGCAGAGAGAUGAAGUGCAAAAAUGACGGAGGGAUGUGAUGGUUGCUUGUCCAUUUAUUUUACCAGGCCACUUAUUACUGGGAGUGGUUAGGUUUUGUGAUAUGAUGGCUUUACUGCCGCGCCACGAGCGGGGUGAGAGGUGAGACUCUCGUGCAGCGCCGCCCUCUACACUUGUACUACAUCGGUCGUGGUUUAUUAGUCCCCCAUUGAAUUUGACUGAAGAUUUAACUGACAAAAUGUUAGUGCAUGUCAACAAAAACUAUAUCGUUGGAUUGGUAUUUGAACAUAGUUUUGAAUGAUAUAAUUUUAGGUGACAUGCAUCAGCAUUUAUCGUUCUAUAUAUAAUGUUAGUUCAAUUUUUGGUCGUACUAAUCUAUAGUAGUAAGGUGCCCGUGCGUUGCACCGAAGAGUGAAAUGCAUUGAUCGGGGAGUUGUUUAUUUUGACAAAGGAUGUGGGGGUCAUCUCAUGUGUAACGGGUAUCGAUAGGUUUCUUCGGAUAUUAUUUCAUCUCUAGAGAUCACAAACAUCUGGGUGAAAUAGAUAAAAAGGUAUCUUUUGCAAACAAAAGCGUUCAACAGUUCAACCUGCAUCCAAAACUUGUGAAGAAAUAACACUUAUUGUGCUUUGCAAGAAAUGAUCUUUAAGAAUUAGUUUUUGAGUAUUGAUUGUUAUACAUGUUGGCUACAGAUGACAUGGCACUUUCUUAUAGUCAACAGUAGGCUAUACUAUUAAGUGAUAUUAACCAUGCCCUUAUACACCUAGACGGAGGGAUUAAAUCAGGAUGACUUGCAAGCGAGCAGAGGAGAUGUAAGAAAUGGUUCAUCGUAAGUCUUUCACCAGUACUGUAGUAAAAAUUCACACAUGGAAGAUUCUAGAAUAAACCAUAAACGGAUACACUUUUAUUCAUGCGCGAUACUCCAAUAGAGCAAGAUCCUGCAUGGAAGUCUCCACAUGCUUAGACAGCGGAUUACAUUGAGUGAAGACUAAUGAUCAACAUUCAACUUGAUAAUGCGUACUUCCAGGUGAACCUCCUUGGAGUCCCCGUGCACCGCGUCGGUGGGUAAAGGAGGCCAUGGGUUUUCCAAGUCCACAUUGACGGGAUAGUCCCAGCUCCCGAGAGUCCAAGUCCGUUCGAUGAGGCCGGUGUCGCCGCCCACGCGACCCGGAGGGGUAGUAACACUGACAACGCACCCGUACAUCGGCUUCAUGUCAGUGUCAGCGUCAGCGGUGUCGCCCCUGACGCACAUUACAGAGACGGGGCGGCGGCCUGCGCGGGCCUCGCCGGUGCCCACGAUCAAGAAGAAGACGCUGCCGUCCUCCUCCGCGACUAGCAGGCGGCGGUGAUCCUCCAGCGACUCCGGCAUGGUGAACGGGUAGCACGUCUCGUACUUGAUGUUCUCCGCUAAGGGCCAGCAGUGACCGCUGCACGCAUCCGUGAGGUGAUGCACCAUGUCCGCCGGCGAGCCACAAAAUGGCAUCGGGCACUCAUAGCAGUGGACGAAGGGCUCCUUGGAGGCAUCGACCAUGCCGUCCAUGAAACGGGAGUGGCUGUAGGGGACGUUGCGCCAGUUGAAUAUAUGAGCAAGUUACUACGAGAUUUAAUCCGAAUAAGCACAAAAUAAAUCAUGACGGCUAUAACAGAGAUGAAACUAAUCAUGUGGACUAGCAUAGUAGUAGGAUACAGAGUAGAAACAUGAAUUCUACCACGAUUUCGAAUAGGAAGGACAGAAACACAUACGGUGCAACGGGAGCAGCACCGUUGGCGUUGAGGUUGUCGGCCAUGUCCAAACACCACGUAGACACGGUCUUUGAGCACGGUUCGUAGUCGUUCCACGCUCGGGCAUUGAAGUUUGUAACUAUUUUAGAUUAGAAUAUACUACUCCUCCAGUGCUAGUAGUAGAGCAGAGUCCUACUCUACUACUCUACUCAAGCAAGUUAGGGCAUAGCACUGUAUGGAGUACCAGUACUGUGAUCACUCAAGCAAGUUGUGUGGCAUCGACAUGACCCUACGCUGCUGGUAUGUGUCUCAUAAGUCAAGCGGCAUGUUGUAGUCAUCAUCACCUGUCCACUUCCAGCAGCACAUAUUCGCUUCUCCAUCUUUGUCCGCACAUAAUCUCGUCCAAUCUUCCAUCCCCGCUAACAAUGGCAGAACCGAGCAGCGUCCGCCGAAAGAGUUGCUGGAAUUCGGUCCCCACAGAGGUAAUCAAGCUCAUUGUUUCGCGUGUGGACAAUCUCAGUACCAUCCCGCUCGCCGCGUGCUCGUCGGGGCUGUACCGUUUACCCAAAGCCCUUAGGCCGGAGCUUUUUAAGCCAGCUCCUUGCUUGCUGAUGCCGCCUGAUCUUCAGAAACAGCGUGUCACGCAGCAUAACGAUCGUAGGGUGGCGAGCAUCAACCCCCUUGACUGCGAUCCGAUCCCCGUCAGCCUCAACUACAUUAACGCUAUGUACUGGGUCGGCAUGAACACGUCUUGGAUGGUGCUCGUCGACGGUCGCGGCACCUGGAUGCUCGUGGAGGUCUACACCCGGCGAUUGAUUCCCCUUCCUUCGAUUAACACUGCACUGCUUUGGCACCGCAGCCUAGAAUACUCGGAAUCUUACAGUAGCCAACAUGAUACCAAGUUUGAUUUGCUCAAGAUUGUAAUCUGCCAAGUGCCCACAAGAUCUGCGAAUUAUAAAGACUUCAGGCAAAUUGUGUUCUUCAACCGCGGUCUCGCCUAUCUGACAGGUCACUACGGUAAGUGGAUAAAUCUGCACGUCCAUCGAAGGAUCAUACAUCCUCCAUGGUUCUCUGAUGCCAUUGAACACAAGGGCUUCAUUUACGCUGUCGACUCCUUCAAUGGCUAGACAUAUUGCUGGCCUACUCCAGUCAUCGCUACAAACGGCUGUUACAGCAGUAUGUUACUUUCCUAUGAUAUCAUGAUGGCUUGCUUAUAUUACUGUCAACAUUUGCUGAAAAAAUAUUCAUGCUCAUAACAUGCUGUUCUUAAGAUUGACUAAAUCAAGAGCCCUUUUUUAUUUGACUCCAACUUGAUAUGAUGUUGUAGGCCGCCUGGUGUCCCUACCCUUCCUAAUCCCAGAACCUUUCAAAGAAAAGCGGCAUGGCAGUUGCAGGUGGUUUCUGGCUCGAUCAGACGACGGUGAAAGAUUGAUGAUCGUUCGCACGUACCGGACUUGUUGUUUCGUGGAAUACAAUCACAGUCACUGCAAGGUCUUUGAGCAGGAUCCCAGCUUCUCUGGGCCUUCAGGAAUUUUUGACUGGAGGCUGGUAAGUAGCCUUGGUACACGCUCUCCGUUUGUCGGGCUGAAUUAUCCGAUUAACCACGUGAUAACCGACGGCAAGGAUCAUGAUGGAAGCGCGGUUUCGUUCAUCAGGCAAAACUGUGUGUACACAGCGUACCAUGCGUCUCUGCAUGCACCAUACCCUGAUAUGUGCCGCCACGCUCUGCAGCCCAAAGUAGGAGAGAGGGUCGCAAGUAUCAGACUUCGACCUACUGGUUGGAGUUUCCCCCAUCAGGCACCCAUCUGGUUCAAGCCGUCAGCCAAUCUCCACAGCUUAAUAAAUAGUAACGUCUAACUGAGCCAGUUAGUUAGAUGCAUACACUUGGUGUAGUAGGAUCUUUAUUUAGUUUGAGGCAUACACUUGUUCUUUUUUGGUAGCCCUUUUGUAAUGAUGGCUGAUGUUUGGUUUGGAAGAGAGAGCUGCAUCUUCACUCUUCUGGCCUACUUACUGCUUCUGUUGCACCCCCAGCCCUGGUUGCUGCUGCUGCUGUUUUCAAUGUACAAUCAGUAGUAUAUUUCGUCUGUUGGUUGAAUAAAUGUGUUGUUAGAACGACAAACACAAUGUUUUGGAAGUCGUUGCACGGUUCGAUCCUUUAGUGCCCCGUACCGUACGUAGCGCAUACUAUUUUUCGUACGGAACACAUUUUCCACUUGUUGAUAACAUGCAGCCCACUGAUGAAGGCCCAAUAGAGAAGCCCAUAAUUAAUUGGAAGGGAGGCUCUCACAUGAAUCCGGCCCAGGUACAUGCUCAUGGUCCCCUAAACAUAAAUAAGUAAAUAAAUAAAGCUAAAUGCUCAUGCACCAGUUCUUUGGGAAAAUAGGUAGCCCAGUAUUUCUUUUUGAAGAAUACCCAAGCUAGGCCUAUUUGUUUUCUCCGAAUUACUGGGCUGCAAAUCUUUCAAGACGAGGAGAGAUGCAUUCCGGCCUGGCUUAAGAGUAUGGUCAAUGUCUGUUAAAAGUAAUAUCAAAAGGGGUUGAAAAUUGCAAAAAAAUUAUAGCAAAUGGGAUAUAAGUUUUUUUUUGUUUUUGUUCUUCACUGAUAUCUUAUACGUAUUUCAUUGGAUUUAACAUGACAUAGUACUAAUUUAUUUUUAAAUUUUUUUUAGUAUGGAUAUUAAUUUUUGGAUUAAGAAUAUUCCGUUCCCCAGCAAAAAAUUGCGAAUUUUCAAAAUUUCCCACAUAUUUAGUUAAUUUUUUUACCCUGGUACUGACCAGAAAAUGGCCAGCAAUUCUAAAAAUGGAAAACAGGCUGCAAUAAAUUCCAUAUGAAUUAGAAAAUGAGUAAAAAUUAUAAAAAUAAUAGCAAAUGGGUUGUACACGCCACAGAUUUCGAGGCUGACUUGUUUACGCAAGGCUUUGUCAGUGAACACACGAUUCUAGCAGCAGUGACUGCUGGAUGUCCAUCCAACGGCCAACGUGCUUCUUCAAUCUCUGAUCUUCCUGCUCCAGCCGCCUAAACUAGCGCCGGCGGGACUGCCUGCUCCCUCCUCUUGUGGCUCGCUGUGAUGCCGCGCAGGCUUCCCCGGCCCACCCUACUCCCUCCGCUGGCCUGGCCGCACGCAAUCAACUGCCUCCUUAUUACGUGAAAAAAAAUGAUUCCUCCCACUGACAUCAGGGGCGCACUGGUUGGGAGGCUGACCUGUGGGCCUACUAAGUUACACGUAAGCAGGGCUUGUCAACUUAGUCAACAAACAAUUCUAGCAGCAGUAACCGUUGGAUUUGAAUCGAAUGGUCCUGCUGCUUCUUCAGUCAUUGCUCUUCUUGUACCAGCCACCCAAACCAGCGCCGGGGAGACCGCCUGCUCCUGGCUCCAGUGGCCGGCUGUGCUGCCGUUGAGGCCUCAUCGCCCCCUACUACUCCCACCGCUAGUCAGGCCCUGCGGCGACGGCAGCCUCACACCGCGGCCGAACCAGUGAACCCUCGUACUCCUCUCCAUGUGGGCAUCCACUGCCGCGUCUUCCCCGGCUCCGCGUCGUCCCCUUCCUAGGCCUCGCCGUCGUCCACCGCCUUGGUGCUCUCGGCGCGGCGUGGUCAACGUGGUCAACGACAUUCCAUCGGAAGAGUACUGUACGUGGAGAGGCUGACAGCUGGGUCCAUAUCCACAGCCCAGUUUUUUGUGAUUUGCCAAGUAAGUCGCUUUGUCAGGCCUGUUGGGCUGCAAAUCUUCAAGACGAGGAGAGCUUUCAUUCGGCUGGCCAAAAAAAUGGCCCAUCAGUAAUGAGAAAUGGGCUGUACAUUUUUAAAACACAUCAAACCGGCAAUUAGUUUCAAAUAUCUUUUUUUUCCAUUUCGAGAUUUUAAAUUACAUUAAUUUUUAUGCAUGGAGAAUUUGUUGGAUUUUAUAUUGAUAUACAUUUAUUUUUAAAAUCAGUUUGAAUGUGAGUCGAAAUUUCGGGAUUAAAAACAGUUCGGACCGCACCGAAAUAUGCAAAAUUUCGUAUAAUUUUUUAACCGUGGCCGCAAUAUGGCCUGUAAUGCUAACAAAAAGAAUAUGGGCUCCAAAAAAACCUUAAUAAUUAGCAAAUGGGAUGUAAAUUAUUAGAAAUAAUUGCAGAUGGGUUGUAUGCUAUUUUCCAUAGAUUUGAGGCUUUCCUAAAAAAAACGUUGACACACAAGCACUGACUGUUGGAUGUCCAUCCAACGGCCGUCGUGCUUCUUCAAUCUCUGCUCUUCCUGCUCCAGCCGCUCAAACAAGCGCCGGCGGGACUACCUGCUCCCUCCUCCCCGCGGCCAGCUCUGCUGCCGCGCAGGCCUAACCGCCCCACCGUACUCCCAUCGCUGGCCUAGCCAUCCCUCUACUCACCCACACCUGCUGUUAUUCUCCGGCGACGGCAGAUGAACCAGUAAACCCUCGUACAGUCGUACUCCCCUCCGCGUGGGAAACAACUGCCGAGUCUUCCCUGCCUCCGUGUCCUUCCCUUCCUAGGUCUCGCCAUCGUCCACCGCCCUGGUGCUCUCGGCGCGGCCUGGUCAACAUGGUCAACGACCGACAUGCAUCUGAAGUGGACUGUACGUGGAGAGGCCGACAGCUGGGUCCACAGCCACACGCAAAGAAAUGCCUCCUUAUUACGCGCAAAAUAAUGAUUCCUCCACCUGACAUCAGGGACCCACCGAAAGGGCCUCUGUAUUUCACGAAAAAAACAUUACCGCCGCUGACAGCUCGGACCCACCAGCUAUAUCUUCGCACGCAAGGAAGUGCCUCCUUAUUACGCACAAAAAAAUGAAUACUCCCCCUGUUAGCUGGGACCCAGUAUAGUGGCAGGCUGACUUGUGGGCCUACUAAGUGGACGGGGACGGAGGGCUUUGUCAACUUAGUCAAUAUGCACGAUUCUAGCUCCAGUGACCGUACGAUGUCCAUCCAACAGCUGUAGUGCUUCUUCAACCUCUGGUCUUCUUGCUCCAGCCGCCCAAAGCAGCGCCGGUCGUGCCGCAUGCUCCUGCCUCUCGUGGCCGGCUGUGCUGCCGCGGAGGCCUCAUCGCCCCCUACUAUUCCCACCGCUGGCCAGGCCCUGCGGCGACGGCAGCCUCACACCGCUGCCGAACCAGUGAACCCUCGUACUCCUCUCCGCGCGGGCUUCCACUGCCGCGUCUUCCCCGGCUCCCCGUCGUCCCCUUCCUAGGCCUCGCCGUCGUCCACCGCCCUGGUGCUCUCGGCGCGGCGUGGUCAACGUGGUCAAGGAAUGACUUCCAUCGCAGCAAGUAAGUGCCUCCUUAUUACGCGGAAAAUAAUUAUUCCUCCACCUGACAGCUGGGACCCACCGGACGGGCCACUGUAUUUCGCGAAAAAAAUGUUCCCCCCUGACUGCUGGGACCCACCAGCUACAUCUUCGCACGCAAGCAAGUGUGUCUGGGCAAAAAAACGAUUCGCCCCCUGACUUCUGGGACCCACCAGCUACAUCUUUGCAGGCAAGGAAGUGCCUGACAGUCGGGACCCACCUGGUCGAAGCGUACGUAGCGUUGUCAUUCUGGUCGCGAACGUGUACGUACAUAUAUACUGGUGGAUGUAGAGGCACGCACGUGUCGUAGUAGAGGCGCGUACGUGUCGUAGUAGAGGCGCGCAUGUAGCAUGUACACGUACGUACAACGGCCAGGGUGCAAGAAAGAAAAUACGUCCACGUAUGUGUACAUACAGGCGGGGUCUCGAAUGCCUACUCGCGCGUACGUACGGCCAGGGCUCGUGUACAUGGCUGGGUCGGAACGGAAUGCAUCGUCGUGUUCAUCGGGAGGGCUUGGACGGAAAAGCCGAUGGAAACGAGGCCUGGCAUACCGCAGAACAGAGGAAACAGCCUUGUGUUCGACCGGCCAUGUUUGAAACGGGAUCCUGUUCAUCGGGAGGGGUCUGGCGUACCGCAAAACGGAGGAAACGGACCUCCUACAGUCGAAACGGGGGUCCUGUUGAUCGGGAGGGGUGUGGUGUACCGCAAAACGGAGGAAACGGACUUGUGUUGGAGCGCUACGGUCGAAACGGGGGUCCUGUUCAUCGGGAGGGGUGUGGCGUACUGCAAAACGGGACUCCACGGGAUACUGUUCAUCUCCACCGUCGACCUCCUCCAGCCUCCAUGAGCUACUGUUCAUCCACCGUCGACCUCCUCCAGCCACCACCUGCGACUGUUCAUCCACGAGCUCCUGUUCAUCCAGCCUCCACCACGCGCUACUCCACCGGCUACUGUUCAACCAGCCCUCUCCACAGGCUCCUGUUCAACCACCCCUCCACGGGCUACUGUUCAUCCAGCCCUCCACCGUCUACUGUUCAUUCUGCCCUCCACGGGGUGGUCCUGUUCAUCCAGCCCCAACCGGCUCGAUCGAUCGGGGUCUUGUUCAUCCAGAGGCAACACCACGGGGUCCUAUUCAUCCAACCCCACCGGGAACUGUUCAUCCAAACCCCCCCCCCNNNNNNNNNNNNNNNNNNNNNNNNNNNNNNNNNNNNNNNNNNNNNNNNNNNNNNNNNNNNNNNNNNNNNNNNNNNNNNNNNNNNNNNNNNNNNNNNNNNNNNNNNNNNNNNNNNNNNNNNNNNNNNNNNNNNNNNNNNNNNNNNNNNNNNNNNNNNNNNNNNNNNNNNNNNNNNNNNNNNNNNNNNNNNNNNNNNNNNNNNNNNNNNNNNNNNNNNNNNNNNNNNNNNNNNNNNNNNCCCCCAGCAACGCUCACUGUUCAUCCAGAGGCAGCAUCGAUCGGCUUUAGUUAGCAGCAGUAGUGAAGGAAUCGCUCGAUCGGGUUCAGUUAACAGCCAUCGAUCGAUCGCUCGGGUUCAGUAACGCGUAGCCUACAGUGCAAUCGCUCGGGUUCAGUUAGAGCCCAACGCCUCGCUCGAGUUCAGUUAGAGCCAACGCCUCGCACACACGCGCGUACGUGUACGAGAGAAACGUGCAUCGCUCGGCCCCCGACCUCCCACCGUAACCGGGAACUCCCCGAAAUUUUCCUCGCCCUUGCUUCUACCACGGUUUUUUCCAUCAUGGACGGCCCAAAGAAUGUCAUGCAGCUGCGUCUCUGGCCCGCCCAGGACGAAAAGCCAAUUUUCUAUCAUGAUUUUUUGUCAUAGAAGUAGGAGCCCACCACAUCUAUGAUGAUAGCGGGUUUUCUCACAAUUAUCGUCAUAUGUAUGACAGAAAAAAAAUUCGUUUGGCCCAAAAUGUCACGGAUGUGUCUUUUUUUUGUAGUGUCGAGACGCACCGGCGUCUCAAGGAAAGGCUCGCCACCAAGGAGGAGGAGCUCCGUGCCGCGGCAGGUACUUUUCUUGCAUGCUCUUUUAUAGUGGGGGCGCGCUAGCGCACCCACUUGGUGUAGCACCCGAGAUUCGGGCCAAUUACGUAGCAGUUGGGUCGAAUCUUAGAGUAGUACUUUGUUUCUGAGUUUCUCUUCUGCAGCCGAGGUGCUAUCUUGGAGGACCCGGCUGAUUUGGGCCGGCUUUCAUUACGACCGGCUUGUAGCAAACGUCGGUCGACUUGGAGCCGAGGUAGAGAGGGCAAGGGCAAAGGCGACGGGUGCCCGGCGAGUGCUCGACGAAGCCAGCCAGCUGCAGGAGCAGCUGGCGGGUGACAAGGGCCGCCUCAAGGCCAAGGUGGAGCGCCUCAAGGCGGAGGUCGCCAAGGUUGUGGAGGCACAGCAGGCCCUUGCCGAGGCGGACCAGCAAUGUGGCAAGCUGGCCGACGACAAGGGGCAGCUCCAGGCCGAGGUGGAGCGCCUAAAGGUGCUGGUGGCCACGGGGAAGGAGACCCGGCAGGUGGAGACCAGGCGCCGCGAGGAGGCCGUGAAGGUGGCCGAGGACAAGGACGUCGAGCUGAAGGCGACCCUUGCCAAGGUCGCCGAUCUGGAGAAGACGCUCCAGGAGCAUGACCGCACCAUCGUCCGGGUGCGGCGCGGUACGUUGCUCGAAGCGCAGCACCUGGAAGAGUCCUUCUCCAAUAAGUGCUUUCCUUUGGUUUUGUUGUUGCCGAGUUGGGACUCCGGCUUCUUGUUCUUGGUGACUUUUCUUCUGACUUGCUUUUCUUUUCGACAGGGGCCUUCCCGGAGACCCGCCAGCUGGCGGAGAAGGCGGUCCGUUUUUAGCGCGACCCACAGGGGAUCGUCAGUUCCGGGACUGACCCGCGGGUGGCCUGGACCUUCUCGGAGAUCGUGACAGCCGCCGAGGCCCGUCUGCGAGUCUUGUGCGAGCAGAUGGGGCGGUUUUCUGAGGCUGGUGCGGCGAUGACGGCGGCCCUCUGGCCGGGUUCCGUUGCGCCGAACAGCUUCAUGCGGCUGGCGCGGUGGUUGGAGGCGAGGUCGGAUCGUCUCCAUGACUGGCGGGUUUCCGCCGCUCAUGCUGGCGCCGAAAUGGCGCUCAGGUUCGUGAUGUCUUGGCAUCUGGACCUGUCGCUGGACGCGUUGAUGGGCCAGUGAGCCGGCUCGAAGAGCCAGCUGCAGGCGGAGGCCGGCCGGAUUACUGCUCGGGCCAGCUUCAUCGUCGGGUUUGCCUUCCACGACGAGUUCCGGCCAGAGCGGGCGGAAGAUGGCGGAGUCGUGCCUGCUGACGACUACGGCUUGCUUCUGGACGACCCGGAGGGCAGCUCUGAGGAGACGGACGUCUACCGCGACGCGGACGCUGGGGAGGAGGAUAGCGGCACCUCAGUGGACCCGGGAGCUGCGUGAUCCGGCGACGGGAAUGCCUGAUUUUUAACUUAGUAAAAAUUUCUGUUCGGUAGGAGGUCCACCCGCCCACUGGGGGUUAACUGGGUGUAAUGAACUCCGGCCUUGGGCCUGUUUCUGAAUUUAUGAUGUACGAGCAUCGUGAAUGUUUGCGCCUUUGCUUUUCAUUUUUUGGAGCCGUUUUCUUGCAGCUUUCCCCCUUUGGGUUUCCCCCGCGAGUCUGACGGCCGAGGCUCCGGUCCGUGACAAGGGGUUCGGCCUUUGAGAGGAGCAUACAAUACUUAGGCUUUCGAAACGUUGAGCGCGAGCGAAACACCCACUGGGCCAGCUGGCGGCAAUCCGGCGGGGCCGGGUUGGCGAGCAGCCGGUCGUGUGGCAACUUAAAGUGGUGAGGCCGGGUUGAGUGACCCGGCGGUAUGCAGAAACUUUGUGGAUGUCUGCCCCUUUGCUUUUCGUCUUUGGAGCCGUUUUCUUGCAACUUUCCCCCUUUGGGUUUCCCCCCGCGAGUCUGACGGCCGAGGCUCCGGUCCGUGACAAGGGGUUCGGCCUUUGAGAGGAGCGUACAAUACUUAGGCUUUCGAAACGUUGAGCGUGAGCGAAACACCCACUGGUCCGGCUGGCGGCAAUCCGGCGGGGCCGGGUUGGCGAGCAGCCGGUCGUGCGGCAACUUAAAGUGGCGGGGCCGGGUUGGGCGACCCGGCGGUUCUUGACUUAUUGUUCCCGGCGUGCUGGUGCUUUGGUCUCAUGUGCUUGCCGGCCAGCAGCCGAAGCCGGUUCUGCGGCUUAGGGCGAAGCGAGAAGCCGUGGCGAUCCAACGCGUCAGGAGCUGCUAAGGGGAAUGGCGGGUGGCCAAGCCGGCCAGCCCCCGAGCUCCCGGGUCGAGCGAGCCAGCCCGGUGGUCGGGAUGGUUUAAGAGGAAAGUAAUGCACAAAUGUAGGAGACACAAUAGCUUUGUCGGGAAAGGGUAGCCCCCGAGCGGCGUUCGGGGGUCCCAUGGUUUUUAGAUGAUUACAAAAGGCAGCGAUACAUACGUGCAUAUGGCUAACUGUAAAACACGUGGAGGAGUUCUGCGUUCGACGGCCGGGUUGUUUCUUCGCCGGCGGUGUCUCUCUUGCGCUUGUUUGACUUGCGGGCGUCGAUGAGGUAGUACGUGUUGCGAUCGCACAAGGCCUUGCUGACGAUGAAGGGGCCCUCCCAUGGGGGGACCGCUUAUGUUGGCCGGUCUGCUCUUGGACGAGCUGGAGGACGAGAUCUUGUCGGAGUAAAUGGCCACGGGUCCCCCUAGCUCUUUGAAAAAUUAUCAGGCCGAUCGGGCCUUCAAGCAUCCAAAACACAGGGUCGCCUUCCCCUGGUCGGCUAUCUCACAGGCCGACUACCAGAAGGCGACCCGACCUCAAAAGCCUUCCCGAAGAUAACCAUAAGAUGGCCGACUCCCAGAAGCCGGUCAUAAGAAGACCGACUCCUAGAAGCCGGCCACAAGAUAACCGAUUCCCAGAAGCCGGCCGCAAGAAGACCGACUCCCGGAAGCCGGCCAAGACUGCACCCUCAAGGGCUGCACCCACAUAACGGUGAUGAGACGGGGCGUGGCCACAGUACAGCCUGCCACCCCCGAAUUCCGGAGCACGCAUGGCCACAGAGCGCCGUACGGGUCAGCCAUCCCCCGUCCGGCGCGGCACUGUUGCCAUGUUGCCGUGACGCCAUCCACGACAGGCGCCAGUACGGCCCGCGGGCGGCGGGCCCCUUCAGCCAGAGAGAUGCUCGAAGGCGGCCAGGCCUCCCCUAGUCGGCCUGGGGCAUAGUCGGCUCCCAAUAGCCGGCUACCUCCCUCCCUCGAAGUAUGUGCAUCAUUAAGGAGACAAGACGAGGUAAGGCUACAGUGAAAGCCCGCCAGGCGGCGGCACUGUAGCCAUGCUUACCUCGACAAAGCCCUCGUCAUCAGGGGCGAGGCAAUAGUAACCAGACACCGACAAGACCCCCGGGCGGUGGGCCGGCCUGUCGGCCAGGAGGCCGGCAGCCGGCGGGACCUACUAGUCGGCGGGCCCCAACGGCCGGCGGAGAAGCCGGCGAACACAGACACUGACGGCUGGGACCCGCGCCCAGCCGGAUUACCAUUGUAUCCCUAGGGGGUAGGCCUAUAUAAACCCCCCCAGGGCACCCAUGCAAAAGGUUGAUCUCUGAGAUAGUUUUACACACCACAUAGAGAGAAGAGGAGAGCUGCCUUUCUUCCUCCUCUAGCCAAACAGCUCAAGGAGCACUUGUAGCUACUUGUGUUGAUCUAGUGAUCAUGCGGAGACCCCGCAAAGCAAGAUUAGGGGUGUUAUCUCCACGGAGAGCCCCGAACCUCGGUAAGAUCCGCCGGCGUGCAUGUCUUCGCCUUAUCCCGUUUCCAGGCACCGGCGAUGUCUUACUGGCUCCCACAAUGAUAAGCCACCCGUUGGCAUAUGUCGCACCUACCACCCGACAUUAGGCGCCCACCGUGGUGUGGUACUACUACUAUGCUACCACGCUGCCGCUGGUUUCGCAGUCCGGGUGGGACCAUCUUCGCCAUCACCGCCCUGGCGUCGCGCCGUCUCUCCGGUAGCGCUCGGGGGCUCGACUUCGACCCGCCCCCAGAGCGGCCGCGCGGGACGACGCGUCCUCGUCACCGGCCUCACCGCCUUCGUCAUCAUCACCGUUGCAACACCGAUCGUCCGUCCGCGCACGCGCUGCGCGUGCGGUGCCUCGCUUCGGUCGGCCGCAUCCGUGCGCGUGUCGUGCCGCGUCACUCGCGUCUGCUCCCCUCCGCGUUGUGCGUUGCUCCGGCUGAAGCGCGCGUUUGCCACUCCAUAUCUCAUCUAUGCAAGCAAGCUAGAUACAAGUCAAACCAUGGUCAAACCAUUAGCCAAACACCACCUAUGCAUUACUCAGACGAUGCCCAUGCACUGCUUGUACACUGGCCAGAGGCAAAGCCAGACAAUGCUUAUACGAUGGCCAGAGGCAAAGCCAGACAAUGCUUAUACGAUGGCCAUCCACCACCCAGAUAUUGCUCGGAUAAUAGUCAGAUACCCCCACACAAUGCCUAGACUAUGGCGUUGCUUGUUGCUCACUAUGCCUCGUGCAUCUCCAGCCAUCCUCGCACGCGCUGGCUCCCUCCUCGCGCGCCUCCAGCCUCCUCUACGCUCGGCCCGCCCGGACCGCGCUGUGCUCUGCGUCCGGCUCCACGCCUCCGUCCCGCUCCGCGUGCCGCGCCUCCAUCCGGCUUGAGAUGCGCUGGCUCCGCUGCGCCACGCCUGCGUGUCGGCCUCGCGUCGCUGAGCCCCGCUCACGCCCGCAUCCCUGACGCCUCCGUUCCCUGCCUCCAUGUUGCUACGCCCUUGCGCACGCGCCGACUCGCCAGCUCCCGAGCGCGCUCGCCCCGCUCCGCCAUCCGUGCGACGCGGCCGCCGCCUCCCCGCGUGACCCGGCCCCUUGCUGGCUCCUCCCGCCGGCUUCCGCGCCGGCUCCUCCCUCCGCCUCCCGCGUGACCCGGCCGCUCGGCCGCCUCGGCUUCACCCAGGCCCAUCGCUCCUCGAGUCGCCGAGUCCUCCUCCCGCCGUCUCCCAUGCUCCGCCGUCCGCGCGACCCGGCCGCCGCCUCCCGCGCGACCCGGCCGCCCGCUCGUCGUCCCCGUGCUCGCCUCUACCGCUCUUGCGCCCAGCUCCUGCGCUGCCGCGCCCCAUGGCUGCCUUCGCCGCUAUCGCGCCCCGCCGGCCCCUCCGCGUCCCAGCCACCGGCUCGCCCGGGUCCCCGGCGCCGCCCCGCGCCUGGCCGGGUCCGGAUUCGCUCGCCCCAAGCCGGCUCCGGGUCGCCGCCCGCGCCUGGCCGGGUCCGGCUCCGCCCGCCCCAAGCCGGCUACGGGUCGCCAGCCGCGCCUCAUCUGCGGUUGCCCUGCUGCUCGGGCUGAAGAAGAAGCAAAGAAACAAGGACAGAAGAAAGAGCCGGAUCCCGCUCGAGCCGCCUGCUAUGGCCGGCACCUGGAGAAAAAAAGAAAAAAAAGAGAGAGAGAAAAGAGAGGGGCCGGUUGGUUCAGCACAGUGCGUCGGCUGAAGCAAAGAGAAAAGAAGUGGCCGGGUGCCCAGCCGGCUGACUGGAGAAAAAGAAAAAAAAGAAAUAAAAAAUGUGCGUCCGAAUGCCAGAUGUGCGUCCGACCUCUGGCUGCAUGGCCGGCUGCAAAGAGCCCGACUGUUGUGCCGGGGUUCGCCCGCCCAGCCGGCUGAAGAAGAAAAAGAAGAAGACAAAGUAGUUGCCGGGAGAUCCGGCCCGACUACUCAGCAGUCGGCCCGAAUCUCGGGGGCUACACCCAGCGGGUGCGCUGACGCGCCCCCGCGAAGAAGAAGACAAAGUAGUUGCCGGGAGAUCCGGCCUGACUGCUCAGCAGUCGACCCGAAUCUCGGGGGCUACACCCAGCGGGCGCGCUGACGCGCCCCCGCGAAGAAGAGGACAAAGUAGUUGCCGGGAGAUCCGGCCCGGUUGCUCAGCAGUCGGCCCGAAUCUCAGGGGCUACACCCAGCGGGUGCGCUGACGCGCCCCCGCGAGGAAGAAGACAAAGUAGUUGCCAGGAGAUCCGGCCCGACUGCUCAGCAGUCGGCCCGAAUCUCUGGGGCUACACCCAGUGGGUGCGCUCGCGCGCCCCCAUGGAAGAUUGCAAGAAACAAAAACAAAAGAAAGAAAAGGGCGCUGCCAGACGCCUCGCCGCCUGGCCGGUCAGGCCCGACCGGCUGGACCCUCCUCAAGCGCCUAGAGGCUCGAGGGCUACACCCAGCGGGUGCGCCGACGCGCUCCGCGAGCGCCGGCUAUCUUCAACGACCUCCGCCUCGGCUACACGAAAAUCAAUGUGAGCUCCUCACCCGCAUAUUUUUUUCACCGCGAGAGCACGGAUAACCCUGAGCGAUGCUCGGGGGCUAUCUCCGCAUUUUAUUACAGUUGCAGCACUGUUCGCCCCGGCGCCAGCCAGAGUUGGCCCGGGGGCUGGCCGCUUGGCCUGAGACGUUUGUUCCCGCAGACGGCUUAGUAGCGUGCGCGGUACCAAAGGCCCACUCUUAGUCAUAGACCGCAGAGCGGCUGUCCGGCUAGCAAGAGUGAACGCUGGAGGCCACCACGCGAAAGACGUCAGGGAAGAAAAAUGGUUCGGGCGACCCGGCCGUUUCCUUUACAAGUAUCUGCUCAGUCGAAUCUGCCCUCAGACUCUGAGUACUGUACACUCCACUCCGCGGCCACGGGUAGCCUAACCGACUCCCCUGCCUCUUUGAAAAAUUAUCAGGCCUUCAAGCAUCCAAAACACAGGGCCGCCUUUCCCUGGUCGGCUAUCUCAUAGGCCGACUACCGGAAGGCGACCCGACCUCAAAAGCCUUCCCGAAGAUAACCAUAAGAUGGCCGACUCCCAGAAGCCGGCCAUAAGAAGACCGAUUCCCAGAAGCCGGCCACAAGAUGACUGACUCCCAGAAGCCGGCCGCAAGAAGACCGACUCUCGGAAGCCGGCCAAGACUGCACCCUCAAGGGCUGCACCCACAUAACGGUGAUGAGACGGGGCGUGGCCACAGUACAGCCUGCCACCCCCGAAUCCCGGAGCAUGCAUGGCCACAGUGCGUCGUACGGGUCAGCCAUCCCCCGUCCGGCACGGCACUGUUGCCAUGUUGACCGUGACGCCAUCCACGACAGGCGCCAGUACGGCCCGCGGGCGGCGGGCCCCUUCAGCCAGAGAGAUGCUCGAAGGUGGCCAGGCCUCCCCUAGUCGGCCUGGGGCGUAGCCAGCUCCCAAUAGCCGGCUACCUCCCUCCCUCGAAGUAUGUGCAUCAUUAAGGAGACAAGACGAGGUAAGGCUACAGUGAGAGCCCGCCAAGCGGCGGCACUGUAGCCAUGCUUACCUCGACAAAGCCCUCAUCAUCAAGGGCGAGGCAACAGUAACCAGUCACCGACAAGACCCCCGGGCGGUGGGGCUAGCCUGUCGGCCAAGAGGCCGGCAGCCGGCGGGACCUACUAGUCGGUGGGCCCCAACAGCCGGUGGAGAAGCCGGCGAACACAGACACUGACGGCUGGGACCCGCGCCCAGCCGGAUUACCAUUGUAUCCCUGGGGUAUAGGCCUAUAUAAACCCCCCAGGGCACCCAUGCAAAGGGUUGAUCUCUGAGAUAGUUUUACACACCACAUAGAGAGAAGAGGAGAGCUAGCCUUGCCUUGCUUCCUCCUCUAGCCAAACAGCUCAAGGAGCACUUGUAGCUACUUGUGUUGAUCUAGUGAUCAUGCGGAGACCCCGCAGAGCAGGAUUAGGGGUGUUAUCUCCACGGAGAGCCCCGAACCUGGGUAAGAUCCGUCGGCGUGCAUGUCUUCGCCUUAUCCCGUUUCCAGGCACCGGCGAUGUCGGGCGUGCAUGUCUUCGCCUUAUCCCGUUUCCAGGCACCGGUGAUGUCUUACUAGCUCCCACAAUGAUAAGCCACCCGUUGGCAUAUGUCGCACCUACCACCCGACAGAUAUCCUUCCCGAAAAUCGAGGGGCUUGACCUUCUUGCUGUGGUAGUGCCUCGGGCCUUGCUGGUAGAUGGCUAAGCGGUUGAGCGCUAGGAGACGUGCUUCUUCGAGCAGGUCGACACCGUCUUUGCGGGCUUCCUUGGCUUCGGCUUCCGUGUACAUCAUGACGCGCGGCGAGUCGAACUCGACGUCGGUCGGGAUGACGGCUUCUGCUCCGUAGACGAGGAAGAACGGGGUGAACCCGGUCGACCGAUUCGGCGUUGUUCGGAGACUCCAGAGCACGGCCGACAGCUCGUCGAGACAGCUGUCGGGCGACCGGAUGAGCGGCUCGACAAGCCAUGGCUUGAUGCGGGAUAGGAUGAGGCCGUUGGCCCCUCGACCUGGCCGUUGGACAGUGGGUGCGCAACGGAAGUCGGGUCGAGGCGGAUGCCGGAGACGGAGCAGUAUUGCGCUAGCGCGCGUUUGGCGAAGUUGGUGUCGUUGUCCGUGAUGAUGCUGCUCGGCAUGCCGUAGCGUACUGCGAUGUCCUUGAUGAGUCGGACGGCCGUUGGCUCGUCCAAUUUCUUGAUUGGCCUCGCCUCGAUCCAUUUGGUGAACUUGUCCACCGCCACCAGCAGAUGCGUCAUGCCGCCUCGGGCAGUCUUAAAGGGCCCCACCAUGUCGAGUCCCCAGACCCCGAAGGGCCAGGUGAUCGGGAUGGUCUGGAGUGCCGACGCCGGCUGGUGGCUGCGCUUGAUGAAGUGCUGGCAUCCCUCGCACGUGAGGACGAGCAACUCUGCGUCGUCGAGAGCCAUGGGCCAGUAGAAACCGUGGCGGAAAGCUUUGGCCACCAAGGACCGCGAGGCGGCGUGGUGCCCGCACUCACCCUGGUGUAUGUCGAGGAGGAUCUCGAUGCCCCUAUCUUGCUCGACGCAGCGCUGGAACACGCCUGUGGAGCUGCGCUUGACAAGCUCAUUAUUGAUGAUGCUGUAAGCGGGUGCUCGGCGCUGCACUUGCCGAGCUUCGGUCUCGUCCAUGGGGAGGACCCCGUUCUCCAGGAACUCCGAGAUGGGCAGGGCCCAUGAUGGUGUUGUCACCACGGUGAAGACGGCCACCACGGCGGGUUCCGGGGCGGCAGCCCCCGGGUCGGGGACGGCGGCGGCCGGGUUGGUGGAGGCAGCCCUUGGGCCGGGUUCGGCAGUCUCCGGGCCGGGAUUGGUAGCCUCUGGGCCGGGUUCGGCAGCCCCCAGGCCGGGUUCAGCAGUCCCCGGGCCGGGCUGAGGUGCAGCCGGGUCGCUCGGGACGUAGAUGGACUCGGAGUCCGGGGACGUCUUGAAGGAUGGCUUGUGCAGGUGCUCGAGGGAGAUGCCAGACGGGAUGGAUUGUCGGGACGAAGCGAUCUUGGCGAGCAUGUCGGCAGCCUCGUUUUCCACAUAUGGGACGUGGAGGAACUCGCAGCCUUCGAAGAAUCUGGACAGCUUUUGGACGAGGAAGGGGUUACUUGCCAUGUUGGGGUCACGGGCGUCCCAUUCCCCGGAGCACUGUUGCACCACCAAAUCCGAGUCGCCGAAGCAUAGGAUGCGUCGGAUGCCGAGUUCCUUGGCAAGCCGGAGGCCGUGCACAAGGGCUUCAUAUUCGGCGACGUGUUGGAGGCGGCGAAGUGGAUCUGGAGCGCGUACUUGAGCCGGUCGCCCUUCGGGGAAGACAGCACGAUGCCGGCCCCUAGGCCGAGACGCAUCUUCAAGUCGUCGAAGUGCAUGCGCCAGUGCGUCGAGUUCGGCGGCGGUGGCAGGUACUGGGUCUCGGUCCAGUCAACGAGGAAGUCGGCCAAAGCUUGUGACUUGAUUGUUGUGUGGGGCUCAUAGAGGAUGGUGUGGCCAGCUAGCUCGAGCGCCCCUUGGCGACCCGGCCAGAGGCGUCACGGCACCCGAUGAUCUCGCCGAGGGGGGCCAUGCUCACCACGGUAACAACGUGUUCUUGGAAGUACUGCUUCAACUUCUUGGCGGUGAAGUACACGCUGUAACACAUCUUCUGGUAAUGUGGGUAGUUUUGCUUCGAGGCGGAGAGCACCUCGCUCAGGUAGUAGACAGGGCACUGGAUAGCUUGGACCUUGUCCUUCUCUGGUCGCUCGACCACCGUCACCGUGCUGACCGACCGCGAGGUCGCGGUGAUAUAGAGCAACAGUGGCUCCUUCUCGGCCGGUGCGGCCAGGACCGGUGCGGUGGAGAGCAUGCGCUUGAGAUCCCGGAAAGCCUCGUCCUCCUGAUCGUUCCAUUCAAACGGUGUCAUCUUAUUCAUCAGCUGAUAUAGGGGCAAGGCCCUCUCGCCCAGCCGACUGAGAAACGGGCUGACCGAGGCCAAGCAGCCGGUGAACUUCUAGACAUUGCGCAGCUGAGCCGGCUUGCGCAUGCGUUCGAUGGCCUUGAUCUUCUCUGGGUUUGCCUCAAUGCCGCGCUCCGAGAUGAGGAAGCCGAGUAGUUUUCUGGCCGGGAUGCCGAAAACGCAUUUUUCUGGGUUGAGCUUGACCUUGUACUCGCGCAGGUUGGCGAAGGUCUCCUUUAGGUCAUGGAGUUGCGUGAGGUGCUGCUUGGUCUUCACCACGAUGUCGUCCACGUAAACAUGGAUGUUGCGGCCGAGUUGCAGCAGCAAGCAUUUCUGCAUGCAGCGCUGGAAGGUGGUGUCGGCGUUCUUCAAGCCGAACGACAUGGUGAUGUAGCAAUACGCCCCAAAGGGCGUGAUGAAGGACGUCUUCAGGGUGUCGGCCGGGUCCAGCUUGAUCUGGUGAUAGCCGAAGUAAGCAUCCAGGAAGGACAGGAGCUCACACCCGGCAGUGGAGUCGAUGACUUGGUCGAUCCGCGGGAGGGCGAACGGGUCUUUGGGGCAGGUCUUGUUCAGGCUGGUGUAGUCGAUACACAUGCGCCAAGUCUUGUUCUUCUUCAGGACGAGGACUGGGUUGGCCAGCCACUCGGGGUGAAAUACUUCCAUGAUGAAGCCGGCCGCCAAAAGCUUGGCGACCUCUUCACCGAUGGUCCUUCUCUUCUCUUCGGAAAAACGUCGUAGGGGUUGAUGGACAGGCUUGGCGUCCUUGCGGACGUGGAGUUUGUGCUCGGCGUACUUCCUCGGGAUACCCGGCAUGUCCUUUGGGGUCCAUGCAAAGACAUCCCAAUUCUCACGGAGGAAGUCGACGAGCUCGCCUUCCUAUUUGCUGUCGAGGCGGGUGCCCACAACAACGUACUUGCUACAGCUGGGGUCUUUCGGGUUCAGCUUCACCUUCUUGGUCUCCUUGGAGGGCUUGAACGCGGCCUCAUCGGCCGGCUCCUCGCCCGAGAUCUGUGCAGCCAAUGCCUCUUGGGCCAGGGCGACGAUCUGGUCGAGUUGGUGCCGCUCCUCGGCUAUGACCAGCGACUCGGCUAGUUUGGCGCCGUCUCGGGCACACUCCAGGGACGUGUGGUAGUCGCCGGUGACGGUGAUGAGACCCUUUGGACCCGGCAGCUUCAUCUUCAGGUAGGCAUAGUGGGGGACCGCCAUGAACUUGGCGAGUGCGGGCCGGCCCAGCAGUGCGUGGUACGCGCUGGAUAGGUCCACCACCUCGAACCAGAUCGGCUCGCGUCGGAAGUGGCUGCUGUCGCCGAACAGGAUCUUGAGCCGGAUCCGGACAAUCGGAGAGCAGUAGAGGCCGGGAACGAUGCCGUGGAAGAUCGUUCGGGUCGGCUCCAGGUCUUUGGCCUCGAGGCCGAGCUUGGUCAGGGUGUCACGGUAGAGGAUGUUGAUGCUGCUGCCGCCGUCAACAAGAACCCGGGAGAACUUGCAUGUGUGCCGGGGCGCGACGAUGGUGGGGUCGAGGACGAGGGCGUAACCACCCGGGUUCGGCAUGACGGCCGGGUGGUCCUCCCGGGUCCAGGUGACCGGGCGUUCCGACCAAUGCAUGUAUUCCGGCCUGGCCAGGAUGACGGUGUUCACCUCCUGCCGAAGGAUGCGCUCGCUGCGUUUGUCGUCGCCAAGGCUGGUGAAGAUGACGUAGGUCACAUUCUGGGCCGGGUAGGCGUCGUCACGCAUCACGCCGCCGGCCGGUGGUGGCGGUGGAGGCGGAGGCGGCUGCCCCGCUCCUGGAGCCGGGGUCGGAGGCGGCGGGAUGGUGCCCCUCAUGAUGCGCUUGGUGAUGGCGCACUGUCAGAGCGUGUGCGUGGACGGCCUUGCGCCGCUAUGGUGCUUGAAGGGAGCGUCGAGCAUCUCCUCGAAGCUCAUGGCGGGCUGCCACGUCGUCUUGCCGGUCUGCCGGCGUUUGGCGGCUGGGUUGACUGCGGGUCGGCUGCGGGCGCCUGCUCGGCGGCCGCGACGAGCCGAUUGUCAUAGCGUUGGGCCGGUUUUUCGGCCUUGCGCUUGUUGUUCUGCUGGUUGUGCUGCUGCCGGCUUCCUUCGCCGGCCGGCUUCGGAGGGGGAACCGUCUUUGCUUUGCCGGCUUCAUCCAGUGCCACCUGGAUCUUCAUGGCGGAGUCGGCAUUGGCGUACUUGUCCGCCGUCACCAUGAGCGCGGCCAUGGUGGCUGGCUCGGAGCACAAGAGCUUGUGCAUGAGGAGGGUGCCAUCCAGGCACCCAUUGACGAAGUACUGGAUCGCUUGGACUUCGUGGACGCCCUCGCAGCCGUUCCGGUGCUCUGUCCAGCGUGCGAGGUACUCGCGGCCGGUUUUCGCCGGCCCCUAUACGCACAUGGCGAGCUGACUGGGGUGGCCGGGUCAUUUGUAGGUGCCGGUGAAGUUGCGUACGAAGGCCCGCUCAAAGUCGACCCACGUGUUGAUUCUGCCAGCCAGCAGACUGUUCAACCAGGUGUGGGCUGACCCCUGGAGCAUGAGGGGCGCGUAGCGCACGGCGAGGUGGUGGUUACCGCUGGCGAUGCCGAUGGCGGUGGUGUAGUCGGUGAGCCAGUCCUCCGGCUUCACGGUGCCGUUGUACUUGGGGGUGUCGCGGGGGAGCAUGAACCCUUUAGCAAAGGGCUCGCCCCGGGUGCGUGGUCUGAAGCACGCCGGCCCGACCGGGCAGGUCUCCUCUAGCUCCUGGGAGAGGGCGAGUCGGUCGAGGCGGUGACGAGCGUCGGUGUCAUCGAUGGCGCGUGGGCCCAGCCGGUCGGCGACCGUGCCGCGGGGGGCGGGUCGACCGCAGUCUGACGUCGGCCGGGUUAGAGCAGGGGGUCGAGGCGGCGCCAGACCUCCAAGGCCGGCUCAUCGCCCAAGCCGCCGGCAGUCGUCGGGGCGAGAUUGCACCGGGUCCGGGUGCAGCCGGAGUGCGCCUCGCCGGGUGGUGAAGACGUCAAGUGCUGGUUGUCGUCGGGUCCAGCGACACGGACGGAGCCGGAUCCGGCCGGCCUGGCGAGCUGGUUGAGGCGGUCCUGCUGCGCGUUGGCCGCAGCGAGGAGGUCGUUCACCCUUUUGAGGCGAUCCUGCAGCUCCUUGCCUGCGAGCUGAUCCAGGCCGACCGCGGUUGCCUGGGCAGCGCGCAUGUUCUUCACGGGAGUCUCAUAGACGGGAGGAAGAGCGCCGAAGGCGCGCCCGAUUGCGCCACCCCGGGUCCGCAUGUCGGCGACCCAUCUUGGCUCAGGCGCGGUAGGCAUGAAGCCGUAGGCGGCGUUGCGCUCCAGCUAAGCGGAGUCGAGGCGACGCUUUGUGGCAGCGAGCAUCUUGGUGAGGUCCAGCAGGCGCUGGCGGUCCUCGUCGAGUCGUGUCCAGGCCUCAGCGAUGUUGGAGGCGUCGAUGUCGAUGCCGAUGGGAACGCGGAGGCUCUGCAUCAUGGCGCGCAGGGGGUUGGGCAAGCCGGCACUGUCCGCUGCGGCCUUAGCUUUGGCGGCCUUCCUCGUCGCGCUCGACGAGGAGGAGGCGCCGGUGUCGGUGACGAAAACUUCCAUGCAGAGGUCCAUCGCUCCGGCGGGAGCGCCGUCGUCGAUGGAGAGUGGGAAGUCGGAAAAGCUAAGUACCUCGCUGGGGUACUCGUCGGCUGUAGGCGCAUCAAAGAUGCACAGCGCGACGAAGGAGGCGGUCAGUGCGUCGACGACGUCGUCCGCCAGCAUGAUGGGCUCGUUGGAGUCAGAGAAGAGCCCCGUCUGAAGCAUGCUCCCUGCCAGGACUCGAGCUCCCCCACGGUGGGCGCCAACUGUCGUGGUGGGCGCAUUGCAGAUGCCAAGGGAUGGCUAAAGAUAGGAGGAGGCUCGAGGGCACUGGUGGGCUCCAGAGGCGAGGUCGGCAUGAGCGAGCGCGAGACGCAAGACAUACCCAGGUUCGGGGCUCUCCGGAGAAAUAACACCCCUAGUCCUGCUGAGUGUAGUUCAUAUGUAUGAGUACAAAGUUGCUCCUAGAGUUGUAUGGAGGAAGAAGGGAGGCUGGCCAAGGCUUAGGCAGCUCCCUUUCCUCGGGUGUUGCUUGCUAGGUGUGUGAGUGGGUGGAGGGGUGAGAGCAUUGCCCGUAUGCAUGAGGGCUCCUGGGGGUUUUAUAGGUCGACCCCCUAGGGGUACAAGGGUAAUGUUACAAGGCCGUAGGGCCGGGUUGUCAGUGUCCAGGAACCCGGUGCUGGGACCUGCCGGGUGCCAGGUCUCGCCGGGUUCCCUGGGCGCGGGCCCCAUGCGCCUAGGGGCACUGUGCGCCAUCUUGUCGAUCGUCAGGGCAUGGCCGAGUCGAGUCGGCUACAGUGGCGUUCCGUCAGGUCGCCGCUUGCUGGCGUCAUGGGUGAUGAUGAUUGCACUGUUGCCACGCCGGCCCUGGUCAGCGAGUAGGUGGGGGCACUGUUGCCACGCCCGGCUGACCAGAGGCAUGGGCGGGGCACUGUGGCUUUGGUCAUCAGUUGGUGGAGACUCGUCCCAUCGUACGGCCGGGAUGGGACGGCCGCUGACCCUCGGCCAGGUUGGAGAAUAUGCCAAGGGUGGAGUUGGCUUGUUGGGGAAGUCUUGAGUUAGUUGUUGGGGCCGAGUUGAGGAAUCUGGCCGGGUUGGAGAGUUUGGCCGGGUUGAGGGACUUGGCCGGGUUGAGUGACCUGGCCGAGUGCGAGCCGGAUUGAGGGGCGAUGUUGGCCCCAUUGUUUUCGACAAGGAUCCAGGUUCCAUUGCCUGCCUGGGGUUCAUCCCCCCGACAAUAUGUGAAUGACAUAUUGUUGAUUGGAAAUGAUGUAGAAUUUUCUGGAAAGCAUAAAGGAGUGUUUGAAAGGAGUUUUUCAAAGAAAGACCUCGGUGAAGCUUCUUACAUAUUGGGCAUCAAGAUCUAUAGAGACAGAUCAAGACGCUUGAUAAGAUUUUUCAAUGAGUACAUACCUUGACAAGAUUUUGAAGUAGUUCAAAAUGGAAGAGUCAAAGAAGGAGUUCUUGCCUGUGUUGCAAGGUGUAAAGUUGAGUAAGAUUCAAAACCCGACAACGACAGAAAAUAGAAAGAGAAUGAAAGUCAUUCCCUAUGCCUCAGUCAUAGGUUCUAUAAAAUAUGCUAUGUUGUGUACUAGACCUAUUGUGUACCUUACCAUGAGUUUGGCAAAGGGUAUGAUAGUGAUCCAGGAAUGGAUCACUGGACAGCGAUCAAAGUUAUCCUUAGUUACCUAAGAGGACUAAGGAAAUAUUUCUUGGUUAUGGAGGUGACAAAGAGAUCGCCGUAAAGGGUAAUGUCGAUGCAAGCUUUGACACUGAUUCGGAUGACUCUGAGUCUUAAUCUAGAUACAUAUUGAAAGUGGGAGCAAUUAGCUAGAGUAGCUCCAUGCAGAGCAUUGUAGACAUAGAAAUUUGCGAAAUACAUACGGAUCUGAAUGUGACAGACCCGUUGACUAAACUUCUCUCACAAGCAAAACAUGAUCACACCUUAGUACUCUUUGGGUGUUAAUCACAUGGCAAUGUGAACUAGAUUAUUGACUCUAGUAAACCCCUUGGGUGCUGAUCACAUGGCGACGUGAACUAUAGGUGUUAAUCACAUAACGAUGUGAACUAUUGGUGUUAAUCACAUGGCGAUUUGAACUAGAUUAUUAACUCUAGUGCAAGUGGGAGACUGAAAGAAAUAUGCCCUAGAGGCAAUAAUAAAGUUGUUAUUUUAUAUUUCCUUAUAUCAUGAUAAAUGUUUAUUAUUAAUGCUAGAAUUGUAUUAACCAGAAACUUGAUACAUGUGUGGAUACAUAGACAAAACACUUUGUCCCUAGUAAGCCUCAACUAGACUACCUCGUUAAUCAAAGAUGGUUAAGUUUCCUAACCAUAGACAUGUGUUGUCAUUUGAUGAACGGGAUGACAUGAUUAGGAGAAUGAUGUGAUGGACAAGACCCAUCCGUUAGCUUAGCAUAAUGAUCGUUAAGUUUUAUUGCUAUUGCUUUCUUCAUGUCAUAUACAUAUUCCUCUGACUAUGAGAUUAUGCAACUCCCGGAUACCGGAGAAAUACCUUGUGUGCUAUCAAACGUCACAAAGUAACUGGGUGAUUAUAAAGAUGCUCUACAGGUAUCUCCAAAGGUGUUUGUUGGGUUGUUAUAGAUCGCGAUUAGGAUUUGUCACUCCGAGUACCGGAGAGGUAUCUCUGGGCCAUCUCGGUAAUGCACAUCAUAAUAAGCCUUGCAAGCAAUGUGACAAAUGAGUUAGUUGCGGGAUGAUGUAUUACGGAACGAGUAAAGAGACUUGCCGGUAACGAGAUUGAACUAGGUAUACCGACGAUCGAAUCUCGGGCAAGUAACAUACCGGUGACAAAGGGAAUAACGUAUGUUGUCAUUGCGGUACGACCGAUAAAGAUCUUCGUAGAAUAUGUAGGAACCAUCCAGGUUCCGCUGUUGGUUAUUGACCGGAGAGGUGUCUCGGUCAUGUCUACAUAGUUCUCGAACCCGUAGGGUCCUCACGCUUAACGUUCGAUGACGAUUUUGUAUUAUAUGAGUUCUGUGAUUUGGUGGCCGAAUGUUGUUCGGAGUCCCGGAUGAGAUCACAGACAUGACGAGGAGUCUCGAAAUGGUCGAGAGGUAAAGAUUCAUAUAUAGUACGAUAAUAUUCGGACACCGGAAGUGUUCCGAGGGUACCGGGUACAUAUCGGGUCANNNNNNNNNNNNNNNNNNNNNNNNNNNNNNNNNNNNNNNNNNNNNNNNNNNNNNNNNNNNNNNNNNNNNNNNNNNNNNNNNNNNNNNNNNNNNNNNNNNNNNNNNNNNNNNNNNNNNNNNNNNNNNNNNNNNNNNNNNNNNNNNNNNNNNNNNNNNNNNNNNNNNNNNNNNNNNNNNNNNNNNNNNNNNNNNNNNNNNNNNNNNNNNNNNNNNNNNNNNNNNNNNNNNAAUGGGCCAAGAAGGGGACAAACCAGCCCCUAGGGGGCUGGUGUGCCCCAUGUAGGCCAAAAUGGGGGGAAGGAAAGAGGAGAAGAGGGAAGGGAAGGGAUUCAUCCUCCCCCUUCCUUCUUGUAACACCCCCAGUUUCAUGCUACACCAACCCUCCGUGAUUAAGCUAAUAAUUUUGCUAAACAGGAGUUGGUCACCUUUGGUUAAAAUCUCAUUUGAAAUCCCACUUUGAGAUCAAAUUCAAUUUGCAAGUGAAUUUUGAAGUUGCACAAAAGUUGCUUCAAAAUAGUUCAUCAUUUAGCCAAAAUUCCAUAACAAAUGAUUGUUAAGGAAAACAACAUCACCUCCAAGCCAAGAUGGACUAUAGCAAUUAAAACAGUGCCAUUUCAGCAUUUUAAAAUGCUAUUCUAUUGGUGCAGAAUCCAAAUGGGUACAGCUGUCCCUCAAACUUUUUGUGGCAGUGCCAAAUACUAGAAGGAAUUUAAGUGGCCUAGUCCCACAUUUUUUUCAAAGUCUUUUGGUAGCCCAAACCUUUCCCUAGCCAUCUAUGUUUUGAAUAAAAAGAGAAAAGCAGAAAAUCAGAAAAGUGAAAGGGCCUACCUGGCCUCCGGCCUAACGCCCAGCGCGGCCCAGUCCACCAGGUGCCACUGUCUCCCUCCACCUCUGUUCAUGGGGGCACCGUGGACGCCGUGUGGCCGCACAUGGCCGGGAUGGCCACGUGUCGGCCAUCCGCUGCCGUCCCGCACAGAUAAGGUCACCGGCGACGCCCCUGCAAACCCUAGAUCGCCCACUCGCCCCCGGCUCCCCCAUCUCCUCCUCUCUCUCCCUCCCCACCAGAUCCCCUCUUCCUUCCCCUUCUGCCAACGCAUGUCGUCGCCAUUCUUCUCGCACCGCCACGGCGACCGUCGACCCCGAGCUUCACCAACGCCUCCACGAGCUCUGCUGUUCUCAGCUCCUUCAUCUCCGACCAUCCACAGGAGCUGGGAGGCCCUGCUGAGGGCGUUCUUCUCUGCCCCCUUCUGCCUCUGUCGCCGAUGAUCCUCAUCGUCUUCGGUGAACCCUACAGCUACUAAUCCGUCGAGGGCUUUUCUUGGCCGCACGGUGAGCUCCUCUCUCCAUCCAUUCCUUCUUUUGCGGCCGCAUUCGUUCCUAGCUAGUUCGCCACCGUUGUCGUGCCUCUGCUUCCGUCGGCGUGCUCGUAGUUGUGCUGUUGCUACCCGUCGAGCUCAAAUGAGCUCAGAAUCGUGCUCAGCACGUCCGUGCGAGCCCGUUGCACCCCUCCCUCGCGCUUUGUCAAGCCCCGUACGGCGCCCCCUGGCCACGUCCCCCGUACGCGCCCCCUGGCCGCGACCGGCCGCGUGCCGGCCGUCCCCUAGCCGCACCCCGCCGCUCCCGUCGUCGUGCGCUACGCCCGCAGCUGCCCUUGCCCGUGCGUGCCGACAACUGCUGCUGCUCGCGGCCGCUGCCUGCUGCUUUGCCGCUGUUGCCGCUAGCUUCUGCUGCUGGUUGCUGCUGCGCUGCCAUAGCUGCUGCCUGCUUCCUAUGCCGUUUUGCCGCCCCCUCUCGCGUGUACGCCCGCUCCGCCCGGCCUCGUCCGCCUCGCCGUGCGCCGGCCCCGCGCCUAGCCCGCGCACCCGCUUGCUGCUGGCGCUGCUCGUCCCCGUUGCGCCCUGCAACGCUCGCCUCCUGCACCCGUCGCUCGCUGUUGCCCCAUGAGCCGCUAUUGCUUCUUGCUGCACCACCUCCGACCGCGCCUGCCCCGCGCCGGUGUCGGCCGAAGCCCGCCACUGCCCUCUAGCCUGGCCGCCGGUGCUACGAGCGUGCGAGCCCAGNNNNNNNNNNNNNNNNNNNNNNNNNNNNNNNNNNNNNNNNNNNNNNNNNNNNNNNNNNNNNNNNNNNNNNNNNNNNNNNNNNNNNNNNNNNNNNNNNNNNNNNNNNNNNNNNNNNNNNNNNNNNNNNNNNNNNNNNNNNNNNNNNNNNNNNNNNNNNNNNNNNNNNNNNNNNNNNNNNNNNNNNNNNNNNNNNNNNNNNNNNNNNNNNNNNNNNNNNNNNNNNNNNNNNNNNNNNNNNNNNNNNNNNNNNNNNNNNNNNNNNNNNNNNNNNNNNNNNNNNNNNNNNNNNNNNNNNNNNNNNNNNNNNNNNNNNNNNNNNNNNNNNNNNNNNNNNNNNNNNNNNNNNNNNNNNNNNNNNNNNNNNNNNNNNNNNNNNNNNNNNNNNNNNNNNNNNNNNNNNNNNNNNNNNNNNNNNNNNNNNNNNNNNNNNNNNNNNNNNNNNNNNNNNNNNNNNNNNNNNNNNNNNNNNNNNNNNNNNNNNNNNNACACUAAUUAAAACCUGUUAUUAUUAAUAACAAUUAUAUUUAGGCCAUGGGUCACUAACACGUGGAUCCCACCGGACCAGUUGACUGGUCAACCGGGACUAGUCAACCGCUGAGUCAGCAGUUGACUGGACCCACUGCUCAGUCACUCUGGUGUAUCUUUGGUGCACUGCACUGGGUGCACCUAGCCUUUUCGCUCUCUUUUUUAAUUAGAUUAAAUUCCAGAGAAUGUUUAAUUCUUAGAAAAUUAAUAUAAAAUAAACCAUAAGUCGGAUGAAAAUGUUUUCUAUAUGAAAGUUGCUCAGAAAAAUCCAAUGAAUCCGAAUACGCGGUCCGUUCAUUUGUCACAUGCCCCUAUCAUGCUGAACAUGGAACUGUCCCCCUCUUUUCUUCUGUCCUGGAAAUACCAAACGCCGGGAAAGGCUCUCCGGAUGUUUUCCCUCUCCGUCUCCAACGUGUAGUACUGUGUUAAGUCACCCCUAGCACCAUGUAUUGCCAUGUUAUGAAUUGUGAUGCUAUGUUUGCUUUAUAUUUAUUGUUUCUUCCCCCUCUUCUCUCCGGUAGACCCCGAGACCGUUGCCGGUGCCACUGUCAUCGGCUACGUCACCGACGACCCUUCUUCCCUUUCAGCGGAGCUUCCAGGCAAGCCCUCCCUUUGAUCAUCCCGAUAUCGCCCAUUCCAUUCUCUCAUGCUUGCAUUAGAUUUUCCUACUGUUAUUGUUUGCUCCUAUUCUGAUGCAUAGCCUGCUUUUGUAACCUGCUCAUUGUACCUUAUCGUCUUAUCCUAAACUGCUUAGUAUAGGUUGGUUAGAGAUCCAUCACUGACCCCCCCCCCCUUGUCCCAGUUGCCCCGCUUUAUGUUCGGUGACUCGAUCAACGUGAUCGACGUCCAGGCNNNNNNNNNNNNNNNNNNNNNNNNNNNNNNNNNNNNNNNNNNNNNNNNNNNNNNNNNNNNNNNNNNNNNNNNNNNNNNNNNNNNNNNNNNNNNNNNNNNNNNNNNNNNNNNNNNNNNNNNNNNNNNNNNNNNNNNNNNNNNNNNNNNNNNNNNNNNNNNNNNNNNNNNNNNNNNNNNNNNNNNNNNNNNNNNNNNNNNNNNNNNNNNNNNNNNNNNNCUACAGAGUUACUAUCAAGUGCCGAGGGUGAUACCUCAUCAGCACUUCUGAUGUUAACCCUAUAGUGUAGCUAUUUGGUCCUGGUCAUCGAGGGUGAUUCCUCCUUAACCACUUUCUAUACGACUCUGUCGUGCAACCCCUCAAGUGUGAACCUCGAGGGUGGUUCCUCCUAUGUUCACCUUGAUGAUUACAUCGAGUGGAAUCCACCGAGGGUGAUUCCUCGGGGUUCCCCUGGUGUUUGGACACACGGAUACUUGGACUUUACAACUGUUACUUGGAAAGGCGGGUCGCCCCUGAGGGGUACCCACGAGUGAUGUGGAGACGGGUUGACCUGGAAGGUACCCGAGAGUUGAAUACGAGAUGUGUCCGGGCAUUCUUAGCCCUUGCCGCAAGUCCUCGAGAUGGGUCGACGGGGUCACAUCUUUCGUGAGUCUCUGCUCGUGACCGCACUACCAACACACUAAUGGUUUGGAUAUUUGAUCCUAGGUGCCUCUGGCCUGAUAGCACUAACCAUCAUGUGGGCAUAGUAUGGGCGUUCUGCGUCGUAUGCAUCAGCUCAAGCUUAAUAGACGUCAUGCGACUGAGCGGCGCACGCCGGGUUGGACUGCGUAAACACCUGCCUUUUUAAGCAGGUAGCUAGGUCUGCUCACCGGCCGCAUACACAACAUGCAGGAGCGUCCGGGGCGAUGGCCCAAGACCCCUGGGGGCAUAGGUUUAGUCCGGCGUGCUGACCUCUCUAUUAACCCUAGGUCGGGUUGCGGCGUAUGAUACGUCUCCGUCGUAUCUAUAAUUUUUGAUUGUUCCAUGCCAAUAUUCUACAACUUUUACAUACUUUUGGCAACUUUUUAUACUAUUUUUGGGACUAACAUAUUGAUCCAGUGCCCAGUGCCAGUUCCUGUUUGUUGCAUGUUUUUUGUUUCGCAGAAAAUCCAUAUCAAACGGAGACCAAACAGGAUAAAAACUGACAGAGAUAUUUUUGGAAUAUAUGUGAUUUUUUGGGAAGAAGAAUCAACGCGAGACGAUGCCCGAGCGGGCCACGAGGCAGGGGCGCGCCCCAGGGGGGUCAGGCGCGCCCUAGACCCUCGUGGCCACCCCGUAAGGCGGUUGGUGCCCUUCUUUCGCCGCAAGAAAGCUAAUAUCCGGAUAGAGAUCGUGUCCAAAAUUCAGCCCAAUCGGAGUUACGAAUAUCCGGGAAUUUAAGAAACGGUGAAAGGCCAGAAUCGGGGAGCGCAGAAACAGAGAGAGACAGAGAGACGGAUCCAAUCUCGGAGGGGCUCUCGCCCCUCCCACGCCAUGGAGACCAUGGACCAGAGGGGAAACCCUUCUCCCAUCUAGGGAGAAGGUCAAGGAAGAAGAAGGAGGAGGGGGGCUCUCUCCCCCUCGCUUCCGGUGGCACCGGAGUGCCGCCAGGGCCAUCCUCAUCACCGCAAUCUACACCAACAACUUCACCGCCGUCAUCACCAACUCUUCCCCCCUCUAUGCAGCGGUGUAACCCCUCUUUUACCCACUGUACUCUCUACUUAAACAUGGUGCUCAACGCUAUAUAUUAUUUCCCAAUGAUGUAUGGCUAUCCUAUGAUGUUUGAGUAGAUCCGUUUUGUCCUAUUGAUUAAGUGAUGAUCGUGAUUGGUUUGAGUUGCAUGUUUUAUUAUUGGUGCUGUCCUAUGGUGCUCUUCAUGUCGCGCAAGCGUGAGGGGUCCCUGCUGUAGGGUUUGCAAUAUGUUCAUGAUUUUCUUAUGGUGGGUGGCGUGAGUGACAGAAGCACAGACCCGAGUAAGUAGGUUGUUUGCGUAUGGGAGUAAAGAGGACUUGAUGCCUUAUAAUGCUAUGGUUGGGUUUUACAUUAAUGAUCUUUAGUAGUUGCGGAUGCUUGCUAGAGUUCCAAUCAUAAGUGCAUAUGAUCCAAGUAGAGAAAGUAUGUUAGCUUAUGCCUCUCCCUCAUAUAAAAUUGCAAUAAUAAUUACUGGUCCAGUUAUCGAUUCCCUAGGGACAAAUAACUUUCUCGUGACAAAAAGCUCUCUACUAAAACUAAUUUAGUUGUGUCUUUAUCUAAACAGCCCCUACUUUUUAUUUACGUGCUCUUUAUUAUCUUACAAACCUAUCCAACAACACCUACAAAGUACCUCUAGUUUCAUACUUGUUCUAGGUAAAGCGAACGUUAAGCGUGCGUAGAGUUGUAUCGGUGGUCGAUAGAACUUGAGGGAAUAUUUGUUCUACCUUUAGCUCCUCAUUGGGUUCGACACUCUUACUUAUCGAAAGAGGCUAGAAUUGAUCCCCUAUACUUGUGGGUCAUCAAGACCUUUUUCUGACGCCGUUGCCGGGGAGCAAUAGCGUGGGGUGAAUAUUCUCGUGUGUGCUUGUUUGCUUUAUCACUAAGUAGUUUUUAUUUUUUGUUCUAAGUUGUUCUCUAUCUCUAGUUAUGGAUAUGGAACACGAAACACCAAAAAAAUUAGUGGUACUUGCUACUCAUGGAGAUGGGGAACCUCCUAAAACCCUCGAUGCUGGUUAUGUGAAAAAUAUUAUGUACUACUUUGAUAAUCCUGAGAAAACCCCAUUCAAUUCUGUAAUGGGAGACACGUUGGAUAAACGUGAAUACUUUAGGGAUUAUCGCUUGACUCAAAAAGGGAAACUAUUAUGGGAUCAAAUUCAUAUGUGGCAUUGGUAUGCUCGGGAGCUUUGCUUGAGAUAUGAUUAUACUUGUUGCUCUAGGAUGAAGGCUCCACACCUUCCCUUUUCAUGCAAAUUUAAUGAUAAUGAAACCUUGGCUUCUUAUGCUAAAGGUAUAUAUGAUUAAUAUGAUGUGGAACAAAUAUAAGAAUUCGUUGCUUUUAUGGGUGCUUAUGAAAUCGAAUAUUUGUUUAAAGAGUGUGAAAAUCUUUAUGAUGAUGUUUACAGACCUGAAAAUUUUGCUAUAUUUAAAUAUUGCUAUGAGAAUUAUGAAUAUAAUGCCGAUAUUGAUGCGUUUAUUGAGAAAGUCUCCGCUGUCCAAGAAGAGACUAAUAUUUUGCAGGAGUCUAUGGAGGAAGAAAUUGAUGAAACUGUGAUCUCAUUGGAUGAAAAAGAUGAUGAGGAGAGCGAAGCACAAAAGAAGGAAGAGUGGAUUAGCUACCCGUGCCCACCUUCUAAUGAGAGUAACUCUUCAACUCAUACAUUGUUUAAUUUCCCUUCGUGCUUACCGAAGGAUGAAUGCUAUGAUGAUUGCUAUGAUCCCGUUGAUUCUUUUGAAAUAUCCCUUUUUGAUGAUGCUUGCUAUGCUUGUGGCCAAGAUGCCAAUAUGAAUUAUGCUUAUGGAGAUGAACUUGCUAUAGUUCCUGAUGUUAAACAUGAAAUUGUUGCUAUUGCACCCACACAUGAUAGUCCUAUUAUCUUUUUGAAUUCUCCAAACUACACUAUAUCGGAGAAGUUUACCCUUAUUAAGGAUUAUAUUGAUGGGUUGCGUUUUACUACUACACAUGAUGAUUUUGAUAGAUAUAAUAUGCAUGUGCUUGCUGCUCCUACUUGCAAUUAUUAUGAGAGAGGAACUACAUCUCCGCCUCUCCAUGUUUCCAAUAUGAUAAAAUUGCAAGAAACUGUUUAUACUAUGCAUUGGCCUUUACUAUGUGUGCAUGAAUUGUUCUUUUAUGACAUGCCGAUGCAUAGGAAGAGAGUAAGACUUCAUUGUUGCAUGAUAUAUGUUACUUUGUGCUCACUACUAAAUCACAAAUCAUUGUUAAUUAAAAUUGGCUUUGAUAUACCUUGGGAUCCGGGUGGAUCAAUUACUUGAGCACUAUAUGCCUAGCUUAAUGGCUUUAAAGAAAGCGCUGCCAGAGAGACAACCCGGAAGUUUUAGAGAGUCAUUUAUUUCUGUUGAGUGCUUUUAUAAAGUUUUAAAAAAAGAGGGGAACCUAAAACUUUUUCAAAAAGAAAAGCGAAAGUGAGAAAGACGAGCAUUGUUAAAAUGGGAGCUAGCCUUGAACUUUGUUCAUGCCCAUGGAAACUUUGUGACCCUUGAUUACAGAAACUUUUCAACAAAAAUAAUUAUCCCCUUGUACAAUUCCAUUGUAUUAUAAAAAUAAUGUGCCAAGAUUUGCCUUUAGGAUGUUUACAUUGCUUGUUGGUUUGUGCGGUGCAGAACAGAAACUUUGGCUGUAGUGCGCGAUUUUACGUUUUUUACUGGAACGUCAAACGGUUCUGAAACUUUUUGCACGGUCUUUCUACACAAAGUUUUUAUUUUUCCUAAUUUUUGCAGAAUUUUUGGAGUACCAGAGGUAUGGUGAAUGUUCAGAUUACUACAGACUGUCCUGUUUAAAACAGAUUCUGUUUUUGAUGCAUUAUUUGCUUGUUUUGAUGAAACUAUCGAUUUCUAUCAGUGGAUUAAGCCAUGGAAAAGUUAUAUUACAGUAGCUACAGUGCAAAAACAAAAUAUGAAUUGGUUUUCAAUAGUAUUAGAGUAGUGAUUUGCUUUAUUAUACUAACGGAUCUUACCGAGCUUUCUGUUGAGUUUUGUGUGGAUGAAGUGUUCGAAGAUCGAGGAGGUCUCGAUAUGAGGAGGAGGAGAGGCAAGAGCUCAAGUUGGGUAUUCCCAAGGCACCCCAAGUAAAUAUUCAAGGAUACUCAAGCAUCUAAUCUUGGGGAUGCCCCGGAAGGCAUCCCAUCUUUCUUCAACAAGUAUCGGUAUGUUUUCAGAUUCGUUUCGUUCAUGUGAUAUGUGCAAAUCUUGGAGCGUCUUUUGCAUUUAGUUUUCACUUUUAUUUUAUGCACCAUGCUGGUAUGAGAUAGUACUUGGUUGAUUUAUAGAAUUCUCAUUGCACUUCACUUAUAUCUUUUGAGUAUGGCUUUAUAGAAUGCUUCAUGUGCUUCACUUAUAUCAUUUGAAGUUUGGAUUGCCUAUUUCUCUUCACAUAGAAAACCGCCAUUUGUAGAAUGCUCUUUUGCUUCACUUAUAUUUGUUAGAGCAUGGGCAUAUCUUUUGUAGAAAGAAUUAAACUCUCUUGCUUCACUUAUAUCUAUUUAGAGAGAUGACAGGAAUUGGUCAUUCACAUGGUUAGUCAUAAAAUCCUACAUAAAACUUGUAGAUCACUGAAUAUGAUAUGUUUGAUUCCUUGCAAUAGUUUUGCGAUAUAAAGAUGGUGAUAUUAGAGUCAUGCUAGUGGGUAGUUGUGUAUUGUAGAAAUACUUGUGUUGAAGUUUGUGAUUCCCGUAGCAUGCACGUAUGGUGAACCGUUAUGUAACGAAGUUGGAGCAUGAGGUAUUUAUUGAUUGUCUUCCUUAUGAGUGGCGGUUGGGGACGAGCGAUGGUCUUUUCCUACCAAUCUAUCCCCCUAGGAGCAUGCGCGUAGUACUUUGUUUCAAUGACUAAUAGAUUUUUGCAAUAAUUAUGUGAGUUCUUUAUGACUAAUGUUGAGUCCAUGGAUUAUACACACUCUCACCCUUCCAUCAUUGCUAGCCUCUUCGGUACCGUGCAUUGCCCUUUCUCACCUCGAGAGUUGGUGCAAACUUCGCCGGUGCAUCCAAACCCCGUGAUACGAUACGCUCUAUCACACAUAAGCCUCCUUAUAUCUUCCUCAAAACAGCCACCAUACCUACCUAUCAUGGCAUUUCCAUAGCCAUUCCGAGAUAUAUUAACAUGCAACUUCCAUCAUCAUCAUAUACAUGACUUGAGCAUUUAUUGUCAUAUUGCUUUGCAUGAUCAUAAGAUAGCUAGCACGAUAUUUUCAUGGCUUGUCCGUUUUUUGAUGUCAUUGCUACGCUAGAUCAUUGCACAUCCCGGUACACACCCGGAGGCAUUCAUAUAGGGUCAUACUUUGUUCUAGACAUCGAGUUGUAAUAUUGAGUUGUAAGUAAAUAAAAGUGUGAUGAUCAUCAUUAUUAGAGCAUUGCCCCAGUGAGGAAAGGAUGAUGGAGACUAUGAUUCCCCCACAAGUCGGGAUGAGACUCCGGACUUUAAAAAAAUAAAAGAGGCCAAAGAAGCCCAAAUAAAAAAAGAGGCCAAAGAAGCCCACCAAAAAAGAAAACAAAAAGAAAACAAAAAAAGAGAGAAAAAGAGAUAAGGGGCAAUGUUACUAUCCUUUUACCACACUUGUGCUUCAGAGUAGCACCAUGUUCUUCAUAUGGAGAGUCUCUUGAGUUAUCACUUUCAUAUACUAGUGGGAAUUUUCAUUAUAGAACUUGGUUUGUAUAUUCCGAUGAUGGGCUUCCUCAAAUGCCCGAGGUCUUCAUGAGCAAGCAAGUUGGAUGCACACCCACUUAGUUUCCAGUUUGAGCUUUCAUACACUUAUAGCUCUUAGUGCAUCCGUUGCAUGGAAAUCCCUACUCCUCGCAUUGACAUCAAUUGAUGGGCAUCCCCAUAGCCCGUUGAUUAGCCGCGUCGAUGUGAGACUUUCUCCUUUUUUGUCUUCUCCAUACAACCUCCACCAUCAUAUUCUAUUCCACCUAUAGUGCUAUGUCCAUGGCUCACACUCAUGUAUUGCGUGGAAGUUGAAAAGGUUUGAGAACAUCAAAAGUAUGAAACAAUUGCUUGGCUUGUCAUCGGGGUUGUGCAUGAUUUGAAUAUUUUGUAUGGUGAAGAUGGAGCAUAGCCAGACUAUAUGAUUUUGUAAGGAUAACUUUCUUUGGCCAUGUUGUUUUGAAAAGACAUGAUUGCUUUAUUAGUAUGCUUGAAGUAUUAUUGUCUUAAUGUCAAAUGAUAGACUAUUGCUUUGAAUCACUCGUGUCUUAAUAUUCAUGCCAUGAUUAGAUUAUGUGAUCAAGAUUAUGCUAGGUAGCAUUCCACAUCAAAAAUUAUCUUUUUUAUCAUUUACCUACUCGAGGACGAGCAGGAAUUAAGCUUGGGGAUGCUGAUACGUCUCCGUCGUAUCUAUAAUUUUUGAUUGUUCCAUGCCAAUAUUCUACAACUUUUACAUACUUUUGGCAACUUUUUAUACUAUUUUUGGGACUAACAUAUGGAUCCAGUGCCCAGUGCUAGUUCCUGUUUGUUGCAUGUUUUUUGUUUCGCAGAAAAUCCAUAUCAAACGGAGACCAAACGGGAUAAAAACUGACGGAGAUUUUUUUUGGAAUAUAUGUGAUUUUGGGGAAGAAGAAUCAACGUGAGACGAUGCCCGAGGGGGCCACGAGGCAGGGGGCGUGCCCCAGCGGGUCAGGCGCGCCCUGGGCCCUCGUGGCCACCCCAUAAGGCAGUUGGUGCCCUUCUUUUUCCGCAAGAAAGCUAAUAUCCGGAUAGAGAUCGUGUCCAAAAUUCAGCCCAAUCGGAGUUACGAAUCUCCGGGAAUUUAAGAAACGGUGAAAGGCCAGAAUCGGGGAGCGCAGAAACAGAGAGAGACAGAGAGACGGAUCCAAUCUCGGAGGGGCUCUCGCCCCUCCCACGCCAUGGAGACCAUGGACCAGAGGGGAAACCCUUCUCCCAUCUAGGGAGAAGGUCAAGGAAGAAGAAGGAGGAGGGGGGCUCUCUCCCCCUCGCUUCCGGUGGCACCGGAGUGCCGCCGGGGCCAUCCUCGUCACCGCAAUCUACACCAACAACUACACCGCCGUCAUCACCAACUCUUCCCCCCUCUAUGCAGCGGUGUAACCCCUCUUUUACCCCUUGUACUCUCUACUUAAACAUGGUGCUCAACGCUAUAUAUUAUUUCCCAAUGAUGUAUGGCUAUCCUAUGAUGUUUGAGUAGAUCCGUUUUGUCCUAUGGAUUAAUUGAUGAUCGUGAUUGGUUUGAGUUGCAUGUUUUAUUAUUGGUGCUGUCCUAUGGUGCUCUCCAUGUCGCGCAAGCGUGAGGGAUCCCCGCUAUAGGGUUUGGAAUAUGUUCAUGAUUUGCUUAUGGUGGGUGGCGUGAGUGACAGAAGCACAGACCCGAGUAAGUAGGUUGUUUGCGUAUGGGAGUAAAGAGGACUUGAUGCCUUAUAAUGCUAUGGUUGGGUUUUACCUUAAUGAUCUUUAGUAGUUGCGGAUGCUUGCUAGAGUUCCAAUCAUAAGUGCAUAUGAUCCAAGUAGAGAAAGUAUGUUAGCUUAUGCCUCUCCCUCAUAUAAAAUUGCAAUAAUGAUUACCGGUCUAGUUAUCGAUUGCCUAGGGACAAAUAACUUUCUUGUGACAAAAAGCUCUCUACUAAAACUAAUUUAGUUGUGUCUUUAUCUAAACAGCCCCUACUUUUUAUUUACAUGCUCUUUAUUAUCUUACAAACCUAUCCAACAACACCUAAAGUACCUCUAGUUUCACACUUGUUCUAGGUAAAGCAAACGUUAAGCGUGCGUAGAGUUGUAUCGGUGGUCGAUAGAACUUGAGGGAAUAUUUGUUCUACCUUUAGCUCCUCAUUGGGUUCGACACUCUUACUUAUCGAAAGAGGCUACAAUUGAUCCCCUAUACUUGUGGAUUAUCAGCGUAUCAUUUGGCCGAGGCCGGGCAUGACCCAAGAAAAUGUGUCCGGACGGAGUUAAUCGAGCAUGGUGGGUAAGUUGGUGCACCCCUGCAGGGAAGAAAACAUCUAUAUAUAGCCUGUCCUACGGUAACAGACACUCGGAGUUGUAUCCCGGUCGAUACAACUAGAACUGGAUACUGGAUGAUGAGGCAUGUAAUGGAUAUGAUGGCUCCGGGUUUGUAUUCUCGCAGGGAGUCGAGGAAGUGAUCUCUGGGCGAUGUUACAACAUACUUACUAAUAUUAUAAUAUGCCACUCUUAUCUCUUCUAAUGCUUGGAGCUGCUUGAAGAUGCUAGUCUUCGAUAAGCUAGGCUUUCCCCUUCUCUUCUGGCAUUUUGCAGUUCAGUCCACAGAUACUACCCAUUUCAUUGACACAGAUGCAUAUGUAGUGUAGAUCCUUGCUUGCGAGUACUUUGGAUGAGUACUCACGGUUGCUUUGCCCCCUCUUUCCCCCCCCCCCUUUUCAUUUCUUUUCAGAUGUCGCAACCAAAUGGUGGAGCCCAGGAACCAGACGCCACCGUCGACGACGACUACUACUACCACGAGGGUGCUUACUACUACGUGGAGGCCGCCGACGACCAAGAGUAGUUAGGAGGCUCCUAGGCAGGAGGCCUUGCCUUUUCGAUCGAUGUUGCUUUUGUGCUAGCCUUCUUAAGGCAAACUUGUUCAACUUAUGUCUGUACUCAGAUAUUGUUGCUUCCGCUGACUCUUGUGUAUUCGAGCUUAUGUAUUCGAAUCCUCGAGGCCCCUGGCUUGUAAUAUAAAGCUUGUAUUAUCUUAAUUUGUGUCUAGAGUUGUGUUGUGAUAUCUUCCCGUGGGUCCUUGAUCUUGAUCGUACACAUUUGCGUGUAUGGUUAGUGUACGAUUGAAUCGAGGGCGUCACACUUCUCUCCUCCCUUCUCCUUCCUUCCCCCUCCAGAUGAAUAUGGAAGGGGGAGGCCGAAUUGGGAGGCGCCCAAGUAGGAUUCCUCCUACUUGGGGCGCCCCUUUGGCUGCCUCUCCCCCUCCAACCUAUAUAUAUGAGGGGGAGGCACUAGAACACACAACAUUGAUUCCUAGCCGUCUGCGGCGCCCCCCUCCACAGUUUACGCCUCCGGUCAUAUUCACGUAGUGCUUAGGCGAAGCCCUGCGUUGAUCACUUCACCAUCACUGUCACCACGCCGUCAUGCUGACGGAACUCUCCCUCGACACUUUGCUGGAUCAAGAGUUCGAGGGACGUCAUUGAGUUGAACGUGUGCAGAACUCGGAGGUGUCGUACAUUCGGUGCUUGAUCGGUCAGAACGAGAAGAAUUUCAACUGCGUUGUCAAACGCUUCCGCUUUCGGUCUACGAGGGUACGUGGACACACUCUCCCCCUCUCGUUGCUAUGCACCUCAUAGAUAGAUCUUGCGUGAGCGUAGGAAAUUUUUGAAAUUGCAUGCUACGUUUCCCAACAUCUAGGUUAAUAGGUUAGUCUCAAAAAUAUUAUAAAAUAGCAUAUUAAUGCAUAUAAAACAUCCAAAACAGAUAAUAUAAUAGCAUGGAACAAUCAAAAAUUAUAGAUACGUUGGAGACGUAUCACUUACCGCGCUGCAUUCAUGCCGACCCAGAGUACGCGGAGCCUCGCAAUCUGACCGGAGGGAGGGAGGGCGGCGCUGACCGACACGAUGAUACGUCUCCAACGUAUUUAUAAUUUUUGUUUGUUCCAUGCUAUUAUAUUAUCAAUCUUGGAUGUUUUAUAUACAUUUACAAGCAACUUUAUAUCAUUUUUUUUGGACUAACAUAUUAACUUAGUGCCCAGUGCUAGUUGCUGUUUUUUGCUUUUUUUUACUUUGCAGAAUAUCAGUACCAAAUGAAGUCCAAAUGCCACUUGGAGAUUUUUUUCUGGCAAUAAGAGACCCUGGAAGCUUUGGGAGGCCAUGAGUAGAUGAUGGAGUGGCCCACUAAGCACCAGGGCACGCCAGGGGCCUCUGGCGCACCCUGGUGGGUAGUGGGGCUCACAAGCCUCCGUUUGACCUACCUCCGCCUCUAUAAAUACUCUAAAAUUAGGAAACCUACCAGGGAGUCCACGAAAUACUUUUUCCGCCACCGCAAGUUUCAGAACCACGAGAUCCCAUCUAGAGGCCUCUUCCGGCACUCUGCCGGAGGGGGAAACGAUCACGGAGGGGUUCUUCAUCAUCCUUGUUGUCCCUCCGAUGAUGUGUAAGUAGUUUAUCACGGGCCUAUGGGUCUAUUGUUAGUAGCUAGAUGACUUCUUCUAUCUUUUUGAUCUUCAAUACAAUGUUCUCCUCGGUGUUCUUGGAGAUCUAUUUGAUGUAAUGACUUUUUGCAGUGUGUUUGUUGGGAUUCGAUGAACUGUGAAUUUAUGAUCAGAUCUAUCCAUGAAUAUUAUUUGAGUUUUCUCUGAACUCUUUUAUGCAUGAUUGUUAUAGCCUCGUAUUUCUUCUCCGAUUUAUUGGUUUGGUUUGGUCAACUAGGUUGAUUUAUCUUGCCAUGGGAAGGGGUGCUUUGUGAUGGGUUUGAUCUUGCGGUGCUCAAUCUCAGUGACAGAAAAAGACAUGACACGCAUGUAUCGUUGCUAUUAAGGGUAACAAGAUGGGAUUUAUUUCAUCCGUGAGUUUAUGUUAUCUACAUCAUGUCAUUUUUCUUAAGGAGUUACUUCGUUCUUUCGUGAACUUAAUACACUAGAUGCAUGCUGGAUAGCGGUCAAUGUGUGUAGUAAUAGUAGUAGAUGCAGAAUCAUUUCGGUCUGCUUGUCUCGGACAUGAUGGCUAUAUACAUGAACAUUGCCUUGGAUAUCAUUAUAAUUAUUUUCUUUUCUGUCAAUUUCCCAACAGUAAUUUGUUUACCCUCUGUAUGCUAUUUUUAUGAGAGAAGUCUUUAGUGAAAACUAUGGCCCCUGGGUCUAUUUCUAUCAUAUAUUAAAACCGAAAAUACAUUGCUGCAAAUUUCUUUUAUUAAUUUUAUUUUGUAUUUUUUUCAGUCUAUCUAUCAAAAUCUAUACAAUUUAAUCUUGCUCGUAACCAUUGAGGGAUUGACAACCCCUCGACGUGUUGUGUUGCAAUUAUUUGUUGUUUGUGUGCAGGUGUUGUUUACAUAGUGUUGCUUGGUUCUCCUACUGGAUUGAUAACCUUGGUUUCAUAACUGAGGGAAAUACUUAUCUCUAAUGCACUGCAUCAUCAUCUCCUCUUCGAGGAAAUCCUAAUGCAGCUCACAAGUAGCACAUGACCUCUGGGCAGUCACCCCUUCAAUGCGGACGCAGGUUUCCGAGGAACCAACUCCAGCUGCUGCGCCGCAUUGAAGCGGCUGACCGGCCCUUCGCAUGGCCUGGACGCGGAUAUUUAAGCCGUGCUCCGGCGCCGUCCACAUCGCAUCCUCCUCCUUCCUCCUUCCUCCUCCUCAUCCUCCUCCUCCUCGCCACACCCCCUCCACAUCUCCGGCGAUGGGCAAGUCCUGGGCGUCGGCGCCCGCAGGCGGGAUCUGGCGGCUUGUGGAGACGCUGCCCUCAGACUCCGGGGUCGUCAUCCUCGUCGGCUAGCGGUGACUCGACGCGGGCGGAGAUCAUCAUCUCCUCCAGCGACGAGGAGGACCAGCAACCGUCGUUGCCGCCGCCACAGUCCGCGUCAGCGGUGCCGGGCCAGGUCUACGCCCGCACCGACACGGAGUUCGAGGAGCAGAUGGAUCUGAUGCUCUAUCGCUCCUUCGUCAACACUAACGGUCCAGCUCCAUCACUGGGGCGCUCCUCCCUGUGAAGCCGGAGCCGGCGUCCCCUCCACGCUCUUCACCGCCGCGCAGCAGCGGCGUCCAAAUCGGACAUUCCAUCAAGGAAGAGCGGCUCUUGCCUCCACAGCCUCGGCGCACCAUGUAGGAAGAGCGGCUCUCGCCAUAGCACCGCGCACCAUGAAGGUGGAGUGGCUUUCACUGCCGUCCCUCUACGUCGUGAAGGGGGGGCGCCACUCGCCGCCGCCCCGCUGCAUCGUCAAGGAGGAGUUGUUUGGGAAUGUUGCAUGCAAAUCAAAAAACUUCUUACGAAUCACCCAAGAUAUAUCUAUGAGAAGAAUAGCAGCAAGAGGGAAGAGUGUGUCUACGUACCCUCGUAGACCGUUAAGCGGAAGCAUAUAUUACGCGGUUGGUAGUCGUACUCUUCGCGAUCUGAUCACGAUCCAAACCGAUCUAGCAUUGAACGGACGACACCUCCGAGUUUAGCGCACGCGCGGCUCGGUGACGUCUCCGACUCCUCGAUCCAGCAAGCGAGGGCAGAGAUGUAGAUGGGAUCACAACCAGCAUGACGGCGUGAUGGUGGUGGAAUUUCGGCAACGCUUCGCUAAGCGAAAAACUGGGGACAAGGAUUAUGCCGAGAGGAAAAACGGGGCAGCAACCAAGUCCAAUCUAUUAGGGGGCUUUGUUGCGCCCCUUCCCCUUUAUUUAUAUGCGUGGGAGGGCUAGGAGUCCAUCCCCUCCACCCCAUAUGGCUGGCGCACCAAGGGGAGAAGAGUUGGACUCCUAGUCCUUCUCCCCUUGGCCUCAUGGGUCUUUGGGGCUGGUGCACCCAGCCAAAAGAGGCCGAGCUCCUCCCCUUACCCCAUGAUGGCCCUCGGGACAUGGUGGACCCAUUUUGUGGACUUUCGCCCCCCCUUCCGGAAUCCUCAGAAGCUUCUGGAAGCUUCCCAGUACAAUACCGAAAAAUAGUUUUUUCCAGAAUCCCAAAAAAUCACUUUUCAUAUAUAAAUCUUUACUCUAGACUAUUCUGGAGCUCCUUGUGAUGUCCUGGAUCUUAUUCGGGACUCCGAACAACUUUCGGUCACCAAUACAAAUAUCCCAAUUCUACUCUAGUGUCAUCGAACGUUAAGCGCGCGACCCUGGAGGUUCGAGAAUCAUGUAGACAUGAUCGAGACACCUCUCCGGUCAAUAACCAACAGCAGGACUUGGAUGCCCAUUGGUUCCUACAUAUUCCACGAAGAUCUUCAUCGGUUGAACCACGAUGUCAAGGAUUCAGUUAAUCAUGUAUGCAAUUCCCUUUGUCUAGUGAUAUGUUACUUGUCCGAGAUACGAUCGUCGGUAUCUGCAUACCUAGUUCAAUCUCGUUAUCGGCAAGUCUAUUUACUCAUUCCGUAAUACAAGAUCCCGUGACUAACUCUUUAGCCACCUUGCUUGCAAGCUCUUUACGAUGUUGUAUUACCGAGAGGACCCAGAGAUAUCUCUCCGUCAUAUGGAGUGACAAAUCCCAGUCUCAAUCCAUGCCAACCCGACGGACACCUUCAGAGAUAUCUGCAGAGCAUAUUUAUGAUCACCCAGUUACGAAGUGAUGUUUGAUAGCACACAAGGUAUUCCUCCGGUAUAUGGGAGUUGCAUGAUCUCAUGGUCUUAGGAAUAGAUACUUGACAUGAAGAAAGUUGUAGUAAUAAACUUAAGUGAUACGAUCGUAUGCUAAGCUUACAGUUUGGUCUUGUCCAUCACAUCAUUCUCCUAAUGAUGUGAUCUCAUUAUCAAAUAACAACUCAUGUAAAUGGAUAGAAAACCUUAACCAUCUUUGAUCAACGAGCCAGUCUAGUAGAGGCUUGAUACGUCUCCAACGUAUCUAUAAUUUUUGAUUGUUCCAUGCUAUUAUAUUAUCCUUCUAAGAUGUUUUAUAUGCAUUUAUAUGCUAUUUUAUAUGAUUUUUGGGACUAACCUAUUAACCCAGAGCCCAGUGCCAGUUUCUGUUUUUUUCGUUGUUUUUGAGUAUUGCAGAAAAGGAAAACCAAACGGAGACCAAUUGACCUGAAAAUUGACGGAGCUUAUUUUUGGACCAGAAGAAGGCCACGGAGUCAAGGAGUUGGGCCAGAAGAGUCAUGGGCUGCCCACGAGGGUGGAGGGCGCACCCACCCCCUGGGCGCGCCCCCUGCCUCGUGGAUAGCCCGGAGACCCCCCUGACUUGUUCCCGACGCCAAAACCUCUCAUAUAUACCCAAACUUCCAGAACAUAACCUAGAUCGGGAGUUCCGCCACCGCAAGCCUCUGUAGCCACCAAAAACCAAUCGGGACCCUGUUCCGGCACCCUGUCGGAGGGGGGAUCCCUCACCUGUGGCCAUCUUCAUCAUCCCGGCGAUCUCCAUGACGAGGACGGAGUAGUUCACCCUCGGGGUUGAGGGUAUGUACCAGUAGCUAUGUGUUUGAUCUCUCUCUCUCGUGUUCUUGAUUUGGCACGAUCUUGAUGUAUCGCGAGCUUUGCUAUUAUAGUUGGAUCUUAUGAUGUUUCUCCCCCUCUACUCUCUUGUAAUGGAUUGAGUUUUCCCUUUGAAGUCAUCUUAUCCGAUUGAGUCUUUAAGGAUUUGAGAACACUUGAUGUAUGUCUUGCAUGUGCUUAUCUGUGGUGACAAUGGGAUAUUCACGUGAUCCACUUGAUGUAUGUUUUGGUGAUCAACUUGCGGGUUCCGUUUGUGAACUUAUGCAUAGGGGUUGGCACACGUUUUCGUCUUGACUCUCCGGUAGAAACUUUGGGGCACUCUUUGAAGUUCUAUGUGUUGGUUGAGUAGAUGAAUCUGAGAUUGUUUGAUGCAUAUCGUAUAAUCAUACCCACGGAUACUUGUGGUGACAUUGGAGUAUCUAGGUGACAUUAGGGUUUUGGUUGAUUUGUAUCUUAAGGUGUUAUUCUAGUACGAACUCUAUGAUAGAUUGAACGGAAAGAAUAGCUUCGUGUUAUUUUACUACGGACUCUUGAAUAGAUCGAUCCGAAAGAAUAACUUUGAGGUGGUUUCGUACCCUACAAUAAUCUCUUCGUUUGUUCUCCUCUAUUAGUGACUUUGGAGUGACUCUUUGUUGCAUGUUGAGGGAUAGUUAUAUGAUCCAAUUAUGUUAUUAUUGUUGAGAGAACUUGCACUAGUGAAAGUAUGAACCCUAGGCCUUGUUUCCUAGCAUUGCAAUACCGUUUACGCUCACUUUUAUCGCUUGUUACCUUGCUGUUUUUAUAAAUUCGGAUUACAAAAACCUAUAUCUACCAUCCAUAUUGCACUUGUAUCACCAUCUCUUCGCCGAACUAGUGCACCUAUACAAUUUACCAUUGUAUUGGGUGUGUUGGGGACACAAGAGACUCUUUGUUAUUUGGUUGCAGGGUUGCUUGAGAGAGACCAUCUUCAUCCUACGCCUCCCACGGAAUUAUAAACCUUAGGUCAUCCACUUGAGGGAAAUUUGCUACUGUCCUACAAACCUCUGCACUUGGAGGCCCAACAACGUCUACAAGAAGAAGGUUGCGUAGUAGACAUCAAGCAGUUUCUGGCGCCGUUGCCGGGGAGGUUAGUGCUUGAAGGUAUAUCUUUAGAUCUUGCAAUCGAAUCUUUUUGUUUCUUGUUUUAUCACUAGUUUAGUUUAUAAAAGAAAUCUACAAAAAAAUGGAAUUGAGGGUGCCUCAUAUGCUUCAUCUUUUUAAUAUCUUUCAUGAGAAUAAGGAUUCUGAUAAUUGUGCUCAAUUGCUAGAGGAAGAAUGCAUUAGAAUGUUUGGCACUAAAUCUUUGAAUGAUGAACAUGAUUGCAAUGUUGUUAGUAUGAACUCUUUGAAUAUUCAUAGUACUAAUGAUGAUUGCACUAGUCAUGAUGAAAAUGUCUCUUAUAAGCAUGUCAAUUUUUGUGGAGUGCAUAGAGUUUGCAAGUACACACCAAAUAGGGAAGAUAGAUUUUGCAAGAGGCAUAAGUAUUUAGAAACCAAAUGGUUGCAAGAGAGGCUAGAUGUUUGUGCUGAAAAUUUAAAAUUUCUUUACCAUACUUGUGAACUUUGCAAUGAACAUGGUUAUUUAAAUCUCUAAUGCAAAUUGUUUCAUGAUCGUAUCGUGUCCAAAAAUUGUGAUGACUUGAUUUCCCUUGCACAUCAUAAUGAACUUAGUUUGCUUUUGGGUUAUGAAGAAAUGAAACGUAUAACUAAGCAUAUUCCAGAAUAUAACCUUGAGAAAUUCCUCGAUAUUGAUCUAGAAGAAAUUUUUAUGUAUUGCGCGGUGAAUUGCAUUGAAAAUCCUUAUAUUGCCAAUUACAUAAAGAAAAGAAAACAAAUAGAAGAUGAAGAGAAUACUAAUGAAAGGGAAGAGACUUCCCAAUAUCCUCCUAUUAUUUCUUAUGAUGAAUCAGGCAACGAGGAGGAGCUUUGUAUUCAACCCAUCUCAUUAAUAAGGAGCUCGAAAAAGAGGGUUAAACCCACACAUGAUGUGAAGAAGAAAAAGGAAAGACGGAGAAGCAAAGGUAGAAAGGUAUCCCUCCCAAAUGAUGUUGCUCCUAUUACUCAUUGUGAUGAUGAUAAUUGCUAUACUAUUGGUGUUAUCUAUACUAUUAAUGAUGAGAGUGAUUAUGCUUAUGAUAUGAAAAGACCCAAGCUUGGGGAUGCUAUGUUUGAUGAGAAUGACAUGUUUGAGAAUAUAUUUUCUGCAAUUAAUGUUUGUCCCAAACUUGGGGAUGCUAUGUUUAAUGAAGAUGAUAUUUUUAGCCUCCCAAGUUUUGAUGAGCAAAUUUAUUAUGAUGUUAGCAUGCCUCCUACUUAUGAUGAUUAUUGUGAUGAUACUUAUGCUAUAAAGAGUAGUGAUGAUUAUAUUUAUAAAACUUGUCAUGAUUAUGAGUACCCUUUCUCUGAACAUUACUCUUUUAAUGUGGAAACAAUUUGUAGUAUUCGAGUCUCUUAUGAUACUCCCACUAUUCCGAAUGAGAAGAAUUUUGCUUAUGUGGAGAGUAAUAAAACUUCUAUGCUUGUAGAUCAUGAAAAUAAUGCUUUAUGUGAUGGUUAUAUUGUUGAAUUCAUUCAUGAUUCUACUGAAAAUUAUUAUGAGGGAGGAACAUAUGCUUGUAGGAGUUGCAAUAAUAUCAAGCUUCCUCUCUAUGUGCUUAAAAUUUUGAAGUUAUGCUUGUUUUGCCUUCCUAUGCUAGUUGAUUAUUGUUCCCAUAAGUUGUUUCCUCAAAAAAAUACCUAUGCAUAGGAAGUGGGUUAGACUUAAAUGUGCUAGUCAUAUUCUUCAUGAUGCUCUCUUUAUGUUUCAAAUCUUAUCUUUUAUGUGAGCAUCAUUGAAAUCAUCAUGCCUAGCUAGGGGCGUUAAACGUUAGUGCUUGUUGGGAGGUAACCCAAUUUUGUUUUUGUUCCUUGCUUUUCGUUCCUGUUUAGUAAUAAAUAAAUCAUCUAGCCUCUGUGUAGAUGUGGUUUUAUGUUUUAAUUAGUGUUUGUGCCAAGUAAGACCUAUGGGAUAGUUAAUUUGAUCUUGCUGUAAAAACAGAAACUUUGCGCUCAGUCCCAGAAUUGUUAAAAAUCACCAGAACGUGAUAAAUUACUGAUUCUUUUUGCAGAAGAUGAACAAACAAAUUACCUAGGACUUCCUGUUUUAUCAGAAUUUUUGGAGUUCCAGAAGUAUACGUUUGAUACUGAUUACUACAGACUGUUCUGUUUUUGACAGAUUCUGUUUUUCAUUGUGUUGUUUGCUUAUUUUGAUGAAUCUAUGAGUAGUAUCGGAGGGUAUGAACCAUAGAGAAGUUGGAAUACAGUAGAUAUUACACUAAUAUGAAUUUAGAAUGAGUUCACAACAGUACCUAAAGUGGUGAUUUAUUUUCUUAUACUAACGGAGCUUACGAGUUUUCUGUUAAGUUUUGUGUUGUGAAGUUUUCAAGUUUUGGGUAAAGAUUCGAUGGACUAUUGAAUAAGGAGUGGCAAGAGCCUAAGCUUGGGGAUGCCCAAGGCACCCCAAGGUAAUAUUCAAGGACAACCAAAAGCCUAAGCUUGGGGAUGCCCCGGAUGGCAUCCCCUCUUUCGUCUUUGUUCAUCGGUAACUUUACUUGGAGCUAUAUUUUUAUUCACCACAUGAUAUAUGUUUUGCUUGGAGUGUCAUUUUAUUUUAUUUUGUUUUGCUUGCUGUUUGAAUAAUAUCCCAAGAUCUGAAAUUCUUAAAUGUUAGAGAAUCUUCACAUAGUUACAUAAUUAUAUAGCUACUCAUUGAUCUUCACUUAUAUCUUUCGGAGUAGUUUGUCGUUUGCUCUAGUGCUUCACUUAUAUCUUUUAGAGCACGAUGGUAGUUCUAUUUUGAAGAAAUAGAUGAACUCUCAUGCUUCACUUAUAUUAUUUUGUGAAUCUUUAGAACAGCAUGGUAAUUUGCUUUGGUUAUGAAUUUAGUCCUAAUAUGAUGGGCAUCCAAGAGGGAUAUAAUAAAAACUUUCAUAUAAAGUGCAUUGAAUACUAUGAGAAGUUUGAUUCCUUAUGAUUGUUUUGAGAUAUGAAGAUGGUGAUAUUAGAGUCAUGCUAGUUGAGUGGAUGUGAAUUUGAUAAAUACUUGUUCUAAAGUUUGUGAUUCCCGUAGCAUGCACGUAUGGUGAACCGUUAUGUGAUGAAGUCGGAGCGUGAUUUAUUUAUUGAUUGUCUUCCUUAUGAGUGGCGGUCAGGGACGAGCGAUGGUCUUUUCCUACCAAUCUAUCCCCCUAGGAGCAUGCACGUAGUACUUUGUUUCGAUAACUAAUAGAUUUUUGCAAUAAGUAUAUGAGUUCUUUAUGACUAAUGUUGAGUCCAUGGAUUAUACGCACUCUCACCCUUCCACUAUUGCUAGCCUCUCUAAUACCGCGCAAUUUUUGCCGGUAUCAUACACCCACCAUAUAUCUUCCUCAAAACAGCCACCAUACCUACCUAUCAUGGCAUUUCCAUAGCCAUUCCGAGAUAUAUUGCCAUGCAACUUACCACCGUUCCGUUUAUUAUGACACGCUCCAUCAUUGUCAUAUUGCUUUGCAUGAUCAUGUAGUUGACAUCGUAUUUGUGGCAAAGCCACCGUUCAUUAUUUUCAUACGUGUCACUCCUGAUUCAUUGCAUAUCCCGGUACACCGCCGGAGGCAUUCACAUAGAGUAAUAUUUUUUUCUAAGUAUUGAGUUGUAAUUCUUGAGUUGUAAGUAAAUAAAAGUGUGAUGAUCAUCAUUAUUAGAGCAUUGUCCCAAGUGAGGAAAGGAUGAUGGAGACUAUGAUUCCCCCACAAGUCGGGAUGAGACUCCGGACUAAAAAAGAGAGGCCAAAAAAAGAGAAAAGGCCCAAAUAAAAAAAAUUAGAGAAAAAGAGAGAAGGGACAAUGUUAUUAUCCUUUUUCCACACUUGUGCUUAAAAGUAGCACCAGGAUCUUCAUGAUAGAGAGUCUCCUAUGAUAUCACUUUCACAUACUAGUGGGAACUUUACAUUAUAGAAUUUGGCUUGUAUAUUCCAAUGAUGGGCUUCCUCAAAUUGCCCUAGGUCUUCGUGAGCAAGCAAGUUGGAUGCACACCCACUUAGUUUAUUUUGUUGAGCUUUCAUACACUUAUAGCUCUAGUGCAUCCAUUGCAUGACAAUCCCUAUUCACUCACAUUGAUAUUUAUUAAUGGGCAUCUCCAUAGCCUGUUGAUACGCCUAGUUGAUGUGAGACUAUCUUCUCCUUUUUGUCUUCUCCACAAACCACCAUUCUAUUCCACCUAUAGUGCUAUGUCCAUGGCUCACGCUCAUGUAUUGCGUGAAAGUUAAAAAAAGUUUGAGAACAUCAAAAGUAUAAAACAAUUGCUUGGCUUGUCAUCGGGGUUGUGCAUGAUUUAAAUAUUUUGUGUGACGAAGAUAGAGCAAAGCCAGACUAUACGAUUUUGUAGGGAUAACUUUCUUUGGCCAUGUUAUUUUGAGAAGACAUGAUUGCUUUAUUAGUAUGCUUGAAGUAUUAUUGUUUUCAUGUCAAUAUUAAACUUUUGUUUUGAACUUAUGGAUCUGAAUAUUCUUGCCACAAUAAAGAAGAUUACAUUGAUAAAUAUGUUAGGUAGCAUUCCACAUCAAAAAUUCUGUUUUUAUCAUUUACCUACUCGAGGACGAGCAGGAAUUAAGCUUGGGGAUGCUAAUACGUCUCCAACGUAUCUAUAAUUUUUGAUUGUUCCAUGCUAUUAUAUUAUCCUUCUAAGAUGUUUUAUAUGCAUUUAUAUGCUAUUUUAUAUGAUUUUUGGGACUAACCUAUUAACCCAGAGCCUAGUGCCAGUUUCUGUUUUUUUUCGUUGUUUUUGAGUAUCGCAGAAAAGGAAAACCAAACGGAGACCAAUUGACCUGAAAAUUGACGGAGCUUAUUUUUGGACCAGAAGAAGGCCACGGAGUCAAGGAGUUGGGCCAGAAGAGUCCCGGGCUGCCCACGAGGGUGGAGGGCGCGCCCACCCCCCUGGGCGCGCCCCCUGCCUCGUGGACAGCCCGUAGACCCCCUGACUUGUUCCCGACACCAAAACCUCUCAUAUAUACCCAAACUUCCAGAACAUAACCUAGAUCGGGAGUUCCGCCGCCGCAAGCCUCUGUAGCCACCAAAAACCAAUCGGGACCCUGUUCUGGCACCCUGUCGGAGGGGGGAUCCCUCACCUGUGGCCAUCUUCAUCAUCCCGGCGAUCUCCAUGACGAGGAGGGAGUAGUUGUGACGCCCCAAGACCGGUGAUUCAGAAGACUUCCAUAUAUUUCGUGAUGUCCGUGUGUUUCUUUUUGCUUGCUCUAUUUAUUUUGCAUUGCAUCAUGUCAUCAUGCCAUCAUGUCAUUUAAUUUUUUAAAACUCAACUAAGUAAAUUGCAUGGAUCUUCGAUCCAUUUAAAUCGAGGGAAAUGCACAUGGUGAUUUCUCUUUAUAACAUAUAUCCUCCCAAUAUUAUUAGGGAGCUAUAUUAAAAUAUUCCAUUAAAUUGGAGUACACCAUAACACACUUGCAUAAUAAUUCCGUGCCUUUUUUGCUUCAAGUUUGGUCUGCAAACUCUGCCCUAAAUUCUUUCUUCACUUUCCGGAGCUCCACAAAAAAUCCGAACAUUUUUGGACCUUCCCAACCCUCACUUCUUAUUCAAAUCAUUUGAAUUUAUAUCUUUCAAUCAGGCCACUUCUAUUUUUCCUGGAUCAAGCGCAUUUUUAUGAGCCCGGGAAAAUUGUCCGCAUGCGCAAAUUCUUUCCCUAACCCUCUCUUUCUUUUCUUCUCUCUAAUUCUUUUCUUCUAAAGAAUAAGAGGGAGAAGAGAGCCCAGGCCUCUGGCCACUUCCUUCUCUACCGGGCCGGCCUCUAAGGCCCAGCCGCACCCCGCUGUUAACCCUAGCCCUGACCCCCCUCCUCUCGAUCUCUCCCUCUCGUACUCCCACACCGCCGCCACACACACGCAUCGCACAGGAGAGGAGCGCACGCGCCCGAUCCCCAUGGCGCCCCUGUUCCCGGUGCCCGUGGCCCUCGACGCUCGCCGGCGCUGCAGUUCUUCUCCAGUUCGUCGUCGUCCUCGCCUCGCCUCUGCCCUGACCCUGCCGCGGCCACCUCUCCUCGCCGCCGUCGCGCCCCCUUCCAUCUCCAGCCGCUCCUCUGCAGCUCCUCCCCUGCCUCGUCCUCCGGUUGGGGUGCUCCAAGAUCGCGCCCGCCGCUGCAGUUCGCCGCGCCUCCGCCUCCAGCCAUCACCAACGUCCGGCCACGUCCUCGCCUUGUACCCCGCCACCGCCGGAGCUGCUCCGUCCGCCUCGCGCUAGAGCCGUCGUUCCCGCGCCGCCGCCGUUCCCGUGCCAUCGACCUUCCCUUCGGCCUCUGUUGUCGCACCUCUGCGGUUCACGAUUGCCCUCUGCCUCGAGUCCGAGCUCGAGCCCUGCCCGACGCUGCCAUGGACAGCCACCUCGCCUGCAUCCUCUCGUCGGCCCUCUCUGCCUGCUGCCGUUCUGCCAUCUCCGGCCAACUCUACUGCCACCGCUGCUGCCUUGACCUCCCCUGGUUCAGCUUGUUUUGAAUGAACAGCAGCCCGAUGGCUUCUCUGCUCCAAGAUCCUUCUGCACGCCAAGGCCCGGUGCACCCCUCGAUUCGCCAAGUACCACGACACCCACGUUCGCCUGCAGAAUGUGUACCACUACCGUCGCAAGAACCGAGACCGGCAAGUCUGGAGACCGCCAAGUACACCUUCGGUUCACCAAGUACCUCACCGGACGUCUACGACCCGUGUACAACUACCGUCGCCAAGACCGGACCGACAAGUACCCCAACAACGUGUGUACCACUACCGUCGACCUCGAAGACUCCGUGGACGUCAAGUUCCUUGACGUGACCCCGAACAUCUACGGAGUGUGUACAACUACGAAACGUGUACAACCACUUCCCCUACGACCCGUGAACGACUACUUCCCUCGACGAUUUUGAACCGCCCCGAAAUGCACGCUUCAAAGGUAUAACCGCCGAGACGAUGACCCGUGGACGAAUGCAUGUUGUAUGAGAUGCUCGUGUUUGCACCGUGUCCGAGAGAGGUCUUUGCACGUUCCUCGAUUGCCAUGCCGCCGUACCGUGGGAACCCGGAAUCCGGGAGCACCCCACCAUCCUUGCAUGACACGCUCACGCCCACUUCUUUUGCACCGGUAUCUCCAUGAGCUACCGGAACCGAUAUGUUGCCGUGGCAUCAUUUUCGGAUUCGUUGCCGUGGCACCCCUUUCUUCCACCACGGUGACAAAUGCUUCAUAACAUGCUCAUGUCAACAUUUUCAUAAAAUGGCAUAAAACUUGCAUUUUCAUCCGCAUCAUGACAACAACAUUUAAAAUGUUUAUUAUUGUUGUUUCCUUUAAAUUGCUAAAUGACAUAUGGGGAUUUUCCGGAAUUGUUGUUUGUUAUUUCCGGCCUCAUUUAAACUUACCUAAAUAGUUAGUUUUCAUAUGCUUCACCUCUUGCCAUGUUAAUCUACAUUUAAUAUUGAUGAGUACCAUAAAUGAGAGCGAACUAAAUGAUUGAAUGUGGUGUUUCGUCAAUAUGCAACUCGUUGCAAAUUGAGCUCCACUUAAUUUGUAGAAUUGUUUGUUGCACUUUGCCAUGCCAUGCCUCAUUAAACCGGACAUGCAUCAUACUUGAUUGUGCACCGUGCCAUGUUGAUGUGAUGGUUGUUUACUAUGUUGUUUGUUUCUUUCCAGGUUGCCUCUCUCGUUAGCUUCGGUUUCAUUCCGGAGUUGUGAGGAUUCGUUCGACUUCGUCUGUUUGUCUUCUUCAUGGACUCGUUCUUCUUCCUAGCGGGAUCUUAGGCAAGAUGACCAUACCCUCGAAAUCACUUCUAUCUUUGCUUGCUAGUUGUUCGCUCUAUCACUAUGUUGCGCUACCUACCACUUGCUAUAUCAUGCCUCCCAUGUUGCCAUGUCAAGCCUCUAACCAUCCUUUCCUAGCAAACCGUUGUUUGGCUAAGUUACCGCUUUUGCUCAGCCCUUCUUAUAGCGUUGCUAGUUGCAGGUGAAGUUGAAGUUGGUUCCAUGUUGGAACAUGGAUAUGUUGGGAUAUCACAAUAUCUCUUAUUUAAUUAAUGCACCUAUAUAUUUGGUAAAGGGUGGAAGGCUCGGCCUUAUGCCUGGUGUUUUGUUCCACUCUUGCCGCCCUAGUUUCCGUCAUACCGGUGUUAUGUUCCUUGAUUUUGCAUCCCUUACGCGGUUGGGUGAUUUAUGGGACCCCUUGACAGUUCGCUUUGAAUAAAACUCCUCCAGCAAGGCCCAACCUUGGUUUUACCAUUUGCCUAUCACCUAUUUCUUUUCCCUAGGGAGUCGCGCUCCCGAGGGUCAUCUUUAUUUAACCCCCCCCCCCCGGGCCAGUGCUUCUCUAAGUGUUGGUCCGAACCGAGCAGCCUGCGGGGCCACCUCGGGGAAACUCGAGGCCUGGUUUUACUCGUAGCUUGACUUAUCCGGUGUUGCCCUGAGAACGAGAUAUGUGCAGCUCCUAUCGGGAUUGUCGGCACAUCGGGCGGCUUUGCUGGUCUUGUUUUACCAUUGUCGAAAUGUCUUGUAAACCGGGAUUCUGAGACUGAUCGGGUCUUCCCGGGAGAAGGAAUAUCCUUCGUUGACCGUGAGAGCUUAUAAUGGGCUAAGUUGGGACACCCCUGCAGGGUAUAAACUUUCGAGAGCCGUGCCCGCGGUUAUGUGGCAGAUGGGAAUUUGUCAAUGUCCGGUUGUAGAGAACUUGACACUUGACUUAAUUAAAAUGCAUCAACCGUGUGUGUAACCGUGAUGGUCUUUUUCGGCGGAGUCCGGGAAGUGAACACGGCUUUUGGGUUAUGUUUGACGUAAGUAGGGGUUCAGGAUCACUUCUUGAUCAUUGCUAGUUGACGACCGUUCCGUUGCUCCUCUUCUCGCUCUUAUUUGCGUAUGUUAGCCACCAUAUAUGCUUAGUGCUUGCUGCAGCUCCACCUCACUACCUUUUCCUACCCAUAAGCUUAAAUAGUCUUGAUCUCGCGGGUGUGAGAUUGCUGAGUCCGCGUGACUCACCAGAUACUUCCAAACAGUUGCAGGUGCCGACGAUACCAGUGCAGGUGAUGCUACCGAACUCAAGUGGGAGUUCGACGAGGACCUUGCUCGUUACUAUGUUUCGUUUCCUGUUGAUCAGUAGUGGAGCCCAGUUGGGACGAUUGGGGAUCUAGCAUUUGGGGUUGUCUUCUUUUCUUUUGGUUCCGUAGUCGGACCUAUGUGUGUACUCUGAUUGAUGUAUGUUUUAUUUAUGUAUUGUGUGAAGUGGCGAUUGUAAGCCAACUCUUUAUCCCAUUCUUGUUCAUUACAUGGGAUUGUGUGAAGAUGACCCUUCUUGCGACAAAACCACAAUGCGGUUAUGCCUCUAAGUCGUGCCUCGACACGUGGGAGAUAUAGCCGCAUCGUGGGCGUUACAGUAGUUCACCCUCGGGGCUGAGGGUAUGUACCAGUAGCUAUGUGUUUGAUCUCUCUCUCUCUCUCUCUCGUGUUCUUGAUUUGGCACGAUCUUGAUGUAUCGCGAGCUUUGCUAUUAUAGUUGGAUCUUAUGAUGUUUCUCCCCCUCUACUCUCUUGUAAUGGAUUGAGUUUUCCCUUUGAAGUCAUCUUAUCGGAUUGAGUUUUUAAGGAUUUGAGAACAUUUGAUGUAUGUCUUGCAUGUGCUUAUCUGUGGUGACAAUGGGAUAUUCACGUGAUCCACUUGAUGUAUGUUUUGGUGAUCAACUUGCGGGUUCCGUUUGUGAACUUAUGCAUAGGGGUUGGCACACGUUUUCGUCUUGACUCUCCGGUAGAAACUUUGGGGCACUCUUUGAAGUUCUAUGUGUUGGUUGAGUAGAUGAAUCUGAGAUUGUUUGAUGCAUAUCGUAUAAUCAUACCCACGGAUACUUGUGGUGACAUUGGAGUAUCUAGGUGACAUUAGGGUUUUGGUUGAUUUGUAUCUUAAGGUGUUAUUCUAGUAUGAACUCUAUGAUAGAUUGAACGGAAAGAAUAGCUUCGUGUUAUUUUACAACGGACUCUUGAAUAGAUCGAUCCGAAAGAAUAACUUUGAGGUGGUUUCGUACCCUACAAUAAUCUCUUCGUUUGUUCUCCUUUAUUAGUGACUUUGGAGUGACUCUUUGUUGCAUGUUUAGGGAUAGUUAUAUGAUCCAAUUAUGUUAUUAUUGUUGAGAGAACUUGCACUAGUGAAAGUAUGAACCCUAGGCCUUGUUUCCUAGCAUUGCAAUACCGUUUACGCUCACUUUUAUCGCUUGUUACCUUGCUGUUUUUAUAAAUUCAGAUUACAAAAACCUAUAUCUACCAUCCAUAUUGCACUUGUAUCACCAUCUCUUCGCCGAACUAGUGCACCUAUACAAUUUAGGGCUUAUUCCAUCUGUGCCCCCAAUUCCUUAGUUGUGCUCAGUUUUCCCCACGCUUCAAACUUUUGCUCACUUUUCCCCACUCCCUUAGCUGAAACUCUCACAAAUGUUCAUAACAGACGUUUGCCGUCUUGGCCGUUAACUGACUUGUGGGGCCACGUUGGACUCUGUUGACUGUGGUUGUGGCUUCGCUGGUUGGGCCGUGUUUGUGUUCAUAGGACGGGCCCGUUAGUUUGUUGGGAAUAAAUUAAAAAAGCCUUCUAUCGAUGGAUGCAGCCUGCUAUGCAUGCCCGGCUUUGGCAUCGAUUUAGCCUGCUAUGCAUGCGAACACCGCCACGCACACAUCUAGUGACCUAGACCUAAACGCAUGCAUGCACGCCGAGACGCACGCAUCGAUCCUUGCCGCCCGGUUGCCGGUGAAUUUAGUCGCUCCGCAGCGUCGUUUCACGCGUCGCAGGCAUAAGUGCCGGUGGCAGAAGGGGCAGGCUGCACGCACGCUCGCGUCUAUGUCGAGGCAUCGGUUCACGCCGCACGAGUGCCGCUCGAUUCAGUUGUGGGAGGCAGGCAGCCGCCAACGCAGAGCACGCAGAAGGGGGAGGCAGGCAGCCGCCAACGCAGAGCACGCAGAAGGGGGAGGCAGGCAACUGCCAACGCAGAGCACGCAAAGCACGUUCGCAUGGAUUCACGUUCACACAUUUAUGAUCGCAUCGGUUCACGCAGGCACUGAGUCACGAUCUACGCCGUUUGCGCGUGUACCCACUUCGUCUCUCCUGGCUAUUUAAACUGCCCUUCAUUGCCUCUUCUUCUACAGAUCCAUCUGCGCCUCCCACUUCUCUUCUUCCCCCAAAAGCCAAAGCCGUUCCACUCAGCGAAGCGUUUCAAGAUGCAGUACAACGGGCCGACGUUCCAAGUGCCGCCCACCGUGCCGGAACGGCGGUACCCCGCCAACGUCGUUGUCGAGGGAUCGCUCCGCGUGUGGGUGAUCUCACGCUGGAGGGGUAGCACUGAGCUUGCACGGGGGUUCCUCCGUGCGGGCUUCCACCACCUCCCGCCGGGCUCGCCGCCCAUGUUCAACCUCGUGGAGCAGCGUCCCCACGCCAACGCUCCAGUGGUAGGGCUCGUCGUCCACUUCACCAACAGGUUCGAUGCCUACUACCUGCUCGGCAAGGUGUAUUGGUGUGGGUGCGAGUUCAUCGCAUUCACCACCCAUAACAUCUUCACGGACUUCGAGAGCGUCUUCCCCGCUCGCAACCGCAUGCACAGCCUCCCGUACUACGUCGGCAACAACGGCCUUGAGGAGGAGGAGUACUGAAGCCGACGGCGAAGAAGACGGUGAAGCCGGCGGUGUGCGUGUUGCCCUAGCUACCCUAUCCCUAUCUACUAUGUAGUGUGAGUGUGAGUUUGGUGUGCGUGUUGCCCGACCUAGCUAUGUAAGAACUUGGGAACUUAUGUUGCCCUAGCAACCCUAUCUAUUUAUGUGUGUUAUAUUAAUGUUUUGUUAUGUUUGUUGCCCUAGCAACCCUACUAUCUAAGUUAAUUUAUGUGUGUUAUAUUAAUGCUUUGUUAUGUUUUUAUUUCCCUUUGUAUUUUGUUUGUCCCAAGUUUAGACACGGCUAAUUGGCGUGGGGAAAAUUAACCAAACUAACUAAAAAUGAUGUGUUCAUAGAUGCCUUCUAAAAAUAAGAACAUAUUGUACAUUUGUACACGGCUUUGGUUUGUGAGCUCUGUAUUUUUUAGGUAUUCCAAGAAUACUUUGGUUUUCAGAAAUAUUGAAGUAUCAAAUACUUUGAGAUGUUUGGCUUUAGUCAAAAGUGUAGUUUUAUAUACUUUAAUAUGUAGAAAACUACACUAUGUUUGAAGUAUAUAAAAAAGAGGGUUGGACCUCUUUUUCCAAUCAUGAAGUAUUGGUUCUCUAGGCAUAAUAAUACUGCGGUUUGCAAAUACUUUGAUUCUAAAAAAUGAAGGGACCCAUAAAGGAAAGCAAAAAAAAUCCUCAAUGAGAUAGAAGAGAUUGGGCAAUCAAAUUAAUUAAAAAAGCAAUCAGAAACAAAAAAGGACAAAGCAAUCGUUCCUAAACAAAAAAAAGAAACAUCGCUUGUUUCUGGGCCUCAUUUAUCCUUUGUGGGCCUAUUGCAGCUUGAUUCUCUUUGGGCCCGCGAACUAGGUUUCUAGCAGAACUGACGAACUCGAGGACAAAAGUUUGGCAAGUGCGAGAGAGAAGAGAUGAACUUGAUGUAUAUCCCUUGUGCUGCUCAAGUACUGCUUACUGUCAUCUGACGAGCUAGGGUAUGAUCCAACACUCAAGGUUAUUUGCUAACAAAAUAAUCCUAUCACUGAACUGGUACUUGUCUUCUGCCGAAACUGAAAGUGUCGAAACUUAACAGUAAACUGCAUACAUUCAGAGAUCGACAGUUGCACUAAACAGAGUUGCAUUUGAGAUAAACAGACUUGGAUUGCUAAACAGUGGCAACAACAGUAGACAAACAUCUCUAAUGAGAGAUGGCCAUCAAGUAAAAAAUUCCUAGAGAAAGUAUUCCUAAAGCUAUCAGAUUGGAUUGCUUCUUCAACUCAAUCAGCUGCUUGAAGUUCUUGUUCAUCUUCUUCAAUUCCGUCUUCAGUUCGACAUCUACCACCGUCGGGUAUUCCGGACGCGCUGCUGCUGCCGGAGCGGCACUGUCAUGGGGCAGAUUGAACUCGCGGAUUGCAUUCCCCCUCGAAUCCAGCAAGCCCAACCCUUGAAGCCUCUGGAUGUAAUCAUCCAUCCACUCGAAAUGGUGGCAUUUCUUCACGAUCUAAAAACGAAAUGUGAUAGAUUUUUUGAGAAAUUAGAGAUAAAGGAUGCGAGGAAAACUCAGAUCUAACCUGCCCCUCCGGCUUGCUCUCGCAUUUGACGAACUCGUGCCCAAAGUUCCCAUUCUUCUCCUCCUUCGAAGUCAACCGCUUCAGUGGCGCAGUCCGUGGGCAGUCAGUGCAUCGAGUCAUCGGCACUGGACCAUACACCGGCCACGUGGAACGGGGGGCUGACGAGGAGGUCGACAUAUCGCCCGAGAGGAAGAAACAGAGGAAUUGCUCGAGAGGAAGAAGAACGAGAAGAUGGGGAAAGAAAUAGAGGAAUUGCUCGAGAGGAAGAAGAACGAGAAGAUGGGGAAAGAAACAGAGGAAUUGCCCUAUCUGCUCGAUGCCUUUGUCUGUCAGAUGGAGAAGAGGAGAAGGGGAAGCUAUAUUGACAAUUUGCCACAUUGUAUUUUGUAGUUUGAAUAUUUGAACCAACUCUUAACACUGACAUGUGGUGGUCAUGUGCGAAAAAUACAAUUUCAUAUGUAAAGUGGGGCAGAUCGUAAAAACCCGAGAAGGACAGUGCAGUAGCCAAUCAGGAUGCAUCACGCGGAUCGCGCAUGCCUGCCCACAUCUGACGGGUGGUGUUUGGUGCUUGGUAGGAUCCGACGACGGACGUUCGACGCUAGGGUUUGGAGCAUUUCUGCGGGGUUAUGAGCGAGUCAACGGGGUUAUUAGGGUUUGACCAGAUUUCAAAUGGCCAUAACUAAAUUAGAAAAAAUCGCAAAAAUAUAAAACAAACGUAGUUCGUCCGUUUAUGAGACCUAGUUACCAUAAAAAAUAUAAACUCGGUAUAGGGGCAUUUUUUUGAAAAAUCAUUUUUUGAAGUGAUCUGUCAAAAUCAAGUUCAAAUGUUUUUAAAAAAUUCAAAAAAACUCAAAAUGUUGUAAUUCUUGUGCACAUAGCCGUCAUAUGUGACAAGGUUAUGAGAAAAAUAUAUAAACUUGGUGUAGGUCAUUUUCAUGAAAAAAGGCUUCACACAAAUGAGCUAUCACCUAUGAACAUGUUCAGAGUUCGUAUAAUAGGGAGAGAGGGUUUAGGGUUUGAAAAAAAAUCAAAAAAUUCAAAAAAAUCAGAAAAAAUCUCCAUAGCUUCAUUUUCGAGUGAAUAAGAAGGAUCUGAACUUACUUUUUCAUUUUCAUAUCUAAAACGUGUUAUUUCACGGUUUUGAAUUAAAAGCAUAUUUUUUCAAAAAAAAUGUAGUAAUAUGAAUAUUAAUCAAUAAAUAGUGAGACUUCGUUUUUACCAUAUAUAUAUGGAACAAGUGUUCAUAAAAAUAUAUAUGCCUCAUUUAGCCAAGGUAAAAAAAACUUGAUUUCAAAUAGGGCUGUUUACCCUAGCUUUCGAGCUUGUUUCUAGCACAUUUCUCAUUCGGACUGUUCACCUACGAAUAUUGGGCUUCAAAUGCUCGAUCAAAUACACCACACAGAGCAAUGAACCUCCAAUGUUCAACUUCAACUUUGGCUCGAAUCCAAAUUUUGGCCCAAAUUAAAAUAUUGAUUUAAAUUCAAAUUUUGAUGGAAAUUUGAAUUCUGACACAAAUAAGAAACCAAAGUAGAAGCAACAUUAUUACAAGGGAUCCCUUAUUACAACUGAUAAGUUUUCACAGUAGCUCAAAUAUACCAAGUUUUAAGAUGCCAACAUCUUAAUACAAAUCUACCAAGUUUUAAGCGAUCGACUCGCCCUCAAAUUGACAACACAAACAUUUCCCAACAACUUAAUUUAAAUUUUCGACUUGCUCCUUGUGUUUGUAGCUGGCUUCACCGUCUUGCUCCUGGUUUCCCUAGUUGAGAUGCUCUUUUCUUUCAGACUCUUGUUCCUUUUGAUCUUGGGCUUUACUUGGGGUUUUCCCCGUGGAGGUGUUGAUGGAGUAGUUCCACUCGCCGAGCACUUGACGACCAUUUGACGGUCAUCUAUGGGUUCAAUAAUCUUUAAAGGCACAGUUGGAAAAAUUACCCCCUCCUCUUCCUCUCUUAUAGCUUCAAAACAUCAAAGGCCAUGGUUUCAAAAUCUUCUGCUUCUUCAUCUCUUGGCCUUUUCUCCCUAGAGCUGGUAAAUAAAAUUAUAAGCCAUAGGCAAAAAAGACAACAAAUGCAAACAAAAGGGUAGCUGCAUUCUACAAAGGGUGCAAACACAUACCAAGAUGCUUCAUUUGCUGCUGCAUUCUCCGCUGCUUCAAUUGCUGCUGCAUUCUCCACUGCAUCUUCAGUCUCCAUUGCUGCUGCAUUCUCCUCAGCAUUGGCUGCUGUCCAUUUUUCCUCCUCUCCAAAUGAUGCAUCCACUGCAUUGGUACAAAGCCUAGCAAUAUGCCCCAGAACUCCACAUUUUUUGCAAGCACGCUUCUUUGGUAGACGACCCUCCUCACCUGCUCUAAUCCUUUGGUUCCUUGGUCUUCCUGGUGGUCUAGUAAUGACAGGAGCGUGGAGUUUGAACCCUGGAUCUACUAUGUUCCAUUGAUCUUUCCCCAAUAGUGCAGGCACAUUGUCAGCAUAAGCAGACAUAAAUUUGGCAACAGAGAAAUACUCAGAGCAAUAUUGAUCAACUUCACCAUCUGCACCCCCGAUAACGGUCAUCAGAUGUAGGGCAUGUAUGCAUGGCUUCCCACGGAUCUGCCAUUGCCUACAAGUACAUUCUCUAGUACUUAGGUUCACAGGAUACCUCCAUACCCUAUUUUUAGUGUCAGUAUAUGUAACCUUUCCCUCAUAUGUACCAGAUCGAAUACAUUUCAUCUUCAGUCCUCUUGCCUUCAAGUGCAAUGCCUUAAUCAGUGAUGGGAGCAUGUGAUGACCAACAUAUUGUGUUUCUGCAAUUCUUUUGCGAAGAGCCAUCUUUAUCAUGAUCAUUUGCCUCAUCUUGUCAAAUGCUUGCCACAACAAGAGCCCUUUCACUGACUUGAACUUUGAAUUGAAGCAUUCUGCAAGGUUACUGGUCACAUAAUCUACUUUGCAGAUUUCGUUGAAUUGGCUUCUUGACCACACCUUACCAUGAUGUGCAUCCAUGUACUCCUUCACAAGAGGAUUUUGAGCAUACAACACUCUCAAAUGGUGUUCAUGCUUCCUUUUGCUGCAUGUGUAUGAUGCUGGCCAUAAGUUCUCAUCAUAAACUUUACCUUUGAACUUCUUUUUGAAAUUAUGCGCUAGGUGUCGCAUACAUUCCCUAUGCUCCACUCCAGGGAAUACAAUUUCCACUGCACUCUCUAAACCCUUGCAAGCAUCUGUGUGUAUAGCUAAACCUGGGGGUGUGCCUAUAAUGUUGCGCAACUGCUGUAGAAACCAGACCCAACUUUCCUCAGACUCUGCCUCCACCACACCAAAUGCAACUGGGAAUAGCCAGUUGUGUCUAUCAACUGCAGAAGCUGCUACUAGCUGUCCUCUCCAUCUUCCAGUCAAAUGUGUAGCAUCUACAGCCAAAUAGGGCCUGCAACCAUCUAGAAACCCCUGCCAGCAAGCCUUGAAACAAACAAAAGCCCUUCUGAAGCACUCCUUCUGAAAUGACUUCCCUUUUAUUUUGAAUGGAACUGUAUGCUUGUCAAUCUCUACAACACUCCCUGGACUUGCCAUCUCCACUUCAGCUUUGAAAGUGUAAAGCAGCUGAAAACUGUCAUUCCAUUGACCAUUAAUUCUGUCAAGAGCCCUUUCCCUAGCAUUGAAAAUUCUCAUGUAAGGAAUUUCUAUCUUGUACUUCUCAAACAGCUUCCCAUGGAGUGCUGUUGGACCAAGUCCAGGUUCUUCUCUCAGCCAAUCCAAUAUAGCAUCUGCCACCCACCUAGUUUUUGCUAGCUUGGUUUUGGCCUUCCCCCCUCCCCCUCCAGGUGGACAUGUGUGCUUGUGUGGGUUUUUCUUUAUCUGAAACAAAAUAAAAGGGUAAAAAACAGUUGAGAAACCUUACUCAACGAUCUGAAACUAAAUUACUAACUGAACUUGGAUUACCUGAAUAUAUUUGCUCUUGAUCAUAUGAGAUGCAUGCAACUUCCACCUACACCUAGGAUAUGGACAAAAUACUCUGAACCUUGCUGGCUCACUCCUUUUAAUCUUAUAGGUGUUUUCAGAUAUAAUACACCAUGUUGUCACUGCAUUCCGACAGUCCACCAUUGAUUGGAAAAUGGUACCUACACUAAGCUCAGGUUUUCCCCUGUUCCACUCAAUUGUUGGCAUGUCAUCACCAUCGUAUUCAUCCUCGAUUAAGCUCUCCAUGUUCUCCACCUUCUCUUCAUCGUCAGUGUCAUCAAACCUAGCUUGGCUGAUGGGCUCCUCCAUAUAUUCGUCAUCCACUGCUUGCUGACUGGCUACAUCGACCAGUUCAGGAAACAUCAUCUCGUCUUCAUCAUCAUUUGUAGGCACUGCCUCGUCAGGUUCUGCAUCUUCUUCUACACCAACUGCAGAAGGUACACGAGAAGCAGCAGCUGAAUCGGAACCAGAAUUGGCAGCAGGCAUGUUCUGGCUCCAUGAAUCGGCACCUACAAGGAGUGCCGGGGUGCUGGCUAUUAGCACAGACAGAUGAUGUCUGAACUCCCUUCCCCUUCGCCCGUUCUGCGCGUGGCUGAAGCACAUCGAUUUGGAGUUUACCAAAUCGGCAGCCAGCAAUCCCAGCAAAAAGCAACGGCAUAUGAUCGUCGCAAGUUAGUGGGAGAAAUCUUUGCUCGUCACUGCUGAAGUAAUUCAGUUCAACAGCAUCGGCAUCACUCCAGGGAUAGGUGUUUCGGAGCUCAGCUCGCAAAUCUUUGAAAGAUAUGCUGGUUUCUACCACUUUGGGAUAGAAAAAUGAUGAAAUCAAAUGCGGUUUAGUACCACGCAGCACACUAGUUUCCAUUCUAAUCGCCAGCCGGAAAGCCAGCGCGGGAUCAAUCCUAUUUUGUUGAAGGAAACAAAGGCUUCAGUUAGCCGGGUAAAAUCGAGCACAAAUUCAAACGAUUCAAGCAAACAGAAGUCAAAUACGGCCUACAAUACGACUUAGAACGUCAAUUCGAGAGGAAACAAUGCUUACCCAGGUUUAAUCCAUGAAUUAUCUGCCACAGAUUCCACCCAAUCCUCUCCACGGUCGACUGCAUUCCGGCCAUCCUCACUCAACAUCGCUAUGUAAUCCCAGGUGGGGAGGUGGGCUAUAUCUGGCGGAGACGCGGCGUCGCCGACGAACUGAAUAGGGGCAUAGGGUGGAGGAAACAACUGUCGUGGACGCGGCACGGCGCCGGCGGAGGGGGAGGGGCGGCGCGGUGCAGUGCGGCCUAUCUAGAUUGUGUUUCAGAUUCAGACAAGCUGCCCAAUACGUGUCUCCUUGCGGUCCCACCCGUCAGCAAGCAACAGUCAGACGAAGACUCGGCCCCACUCGUCAGCAAUUAACGGUCAAUGGACGGUCAAGACGGCAAACGCCCGCUAUGAGCAUUUGUGAGAGUUUCAGCUAAGGAAGAGGGGAAAAGUGAGCAAAAGUUUGGAGCGUGGGGAAAAGUGAGCACAACUAAGGAACCAGGGGCACUAAUUUAAAUAUCCCUACAAUUUACCAUUGUAUUGGGUGUGUUGGGGACACAAGAGACUCUUUGUUAUUUGGUUGCAGGGUUGCUUGAGAGAGACCAUCUUCAUCCUACGCCUCCCACGGAAUUAUAAACCUUAGGUCAUCCACUUGAGGGAAAUUUGCUACUGUCCUAGAAACCUCUGCACUUGGAGGCCCAACAACGUCUACAAGAAGAAGGUUGCGUAGUAGACAUCAAGGAUCACUAGGGACACGGUUUUGUUUAUCUAUUCACACAUGUAUUUAAGUUUCCGGUCAAUACAAUUCUAGCAUGAAUAAUAAACAUUUAUCAGGAAUAGGGAAAUAUGGUAAUAACCAAUUUAUUUUGCCUCUAGGGCAUAUUUCCAACAGGACCGCCGCUCGCCGCGACCCCUGCCCAAGGCGCGGACGCAUUCUGCACUACCUCCACGGUGCCUCCUCGUCAUCGUCGUCGUCCUGGAGCGCCAUGACAGCGCGGGAGUACGCCGACCGGGAGCAGCGUCGACGAGACAGGUGCAACGCCGCGCGCCGAUCCCAGUUCGCGGACUCCGGCGUCCCGCCACCACACAUCGUGGCGGACCCAUACCUGUCGUAUGCCUGGGCCCUAGACCGCUCCGUGACGACAUCGAAGACGGCCAAGCACCGUCUCCGCCGCCUCAAUGAGGAAAUGGCUAGGUACGGCGAGGAAUGGUCCCUCGUCGAGAUCGCUGCCGCCGAAGUCGACGCCUCCAACGGCAGCCGCCCUCUCCCCCAGCCCACGUCCUCGAUGGCCGAGGCCGCACUGCGCAUGGCGCAGGAGGCGGCGGAGAGGAUUAUCCGUGAGCGUUAGGCGGACGCCGGAAAGCCCUACCGCGACGCCACCACCUUCCGCCGCCCCAAAGCCCGACGACGACGGCGGCGGCGGGUCGGGCGACGAUGACGAAGGAGGAGUUGCCGACCAGCCCGGCAUUGGCUACGAGGUCACCGUGAAGUAUUAGGAUAGUUUAGGGAUUUAGUUUUAGGGUUUUAGUUCACCGGGCGAAAUAUCGUCCAGUUUUAUGUCCAAAGUAUCCUACUUUCAAUGAAAUCCGUUGUGUUUAUAUCUAAUCUGCACUUGUUUGCACGAAUUUCGUCCGGUUGAUUUAAUUUGUUGUGAAAAUGUAUGCGGCUAGCGUUGGAUGUUACCUCCCGCAGUGUCCACGGACUGGACCCUCCCUCUCCGCGGACGGAUGGGAGAGAUUUUUUGUGGGUUGCUGUUGGAGAUGUGCUUAAUACAACUUUGUACUAAAAUUAGUACAAAGUUGAGACACUUAUUUUAGGACGGAGGGAGUAGAAUUCAGAAUAGAAGUCCCUUUGCACCUAAAAAAUAUCUCGGCGUGCGCUUUUUCAGAAAGAAAGAAAACCUAUCUUUGCGUAUUCUAUAGGAAAAAAUUAUCUCGCUCUCUGCUGCCACGAAUGACAUGUGGGGCCCAAAGCCACCGCACAACAAUUCCGAAGGUCGAACCUCUAGAACAUUCGCCAUCAGCGGUCGAAAGACCCCCUUUCAGAAGUUUCCAUCGCCUUCCAGACUCGCCGCUCCAGCCACCUACAUAAACUCCCUCGCCAUCUCAUCCCCACCAAAGCAUUCGACAAAAUUCAACCAGCAAUCCAACGCAAGACCAACCCGAGGAGAUCGACCGAGCUCAAGAUCCGCGAGCGAGAAUGGCGGGCAUGGUGUUCGGCUUGGAGAACCCGAUGAUGACGGCGCUGCAGCACCUGCUGGACAUCCCGGACGGCGAGGCCGGCAACACCGCCGGCGGCGAGAAGCAGGGCCCGACGCGCGCCUACGUCCGGGACGCGCGCGCCAUGGCGGCCACCCCGGCCGACGUUAAGGAGCUGCCGGGCGCGUACGCGUUCGUGGUGGACAUGCCGGGGCUGGGGUCCGGCGACAUCAAGGUGCAGGUGGAGGACGAGCGGGUGCUGGUGAUCAGCGGCGAGCGCAGGAGGGAGGAGAAGGAGGAAGCCAAGUACAUGCGGAUGGAGCGCCGCAUGGGGAAGCUGAUGCGCAAGUUCGUGCUGCCAGAGAACGCCGACAUGGAGAAGAUCUCCGCCGCGUGCCGCGACGGCGUGCUCACCGUCACCGUCGAGAAGCUGCCGCCGCCCGAGCCGAAGAAGCCCAAGACCAUCCAGGUCCAGGUCGCCUGAGCUGAGAUGCAUGGUGUGCGGGUCGAAUCGAAGCAGAGUGUGAGUGAGUAGCGAGUUUCCUGUGAUGAGUAAUGGAUGGUUUGCUGUUUCGUUAAUGGAAAUGGGGAAUUGGGGAUGUUCUCUGGUUUCGCCUGAAUAAAACAUGCGAUUCUCUCGGCCACAUUUUCGAUUGAAAAAUCCAAGAUACCCGUGUUCAGAAAAUUCAGAAACAUGUAAUUCAGGAAAACUGGAUAAGACCACAACAUGUGGAAUAGCAAAAAUUAGGUGGAAAACGAACUAGCUCUGACACCAGGGAGAAAAAUCCUGGAUGUCUUGCAUUUUCAUCUUGACAAAUGGCUGCCUGGGAAGAUAGAAAAAAUAAAUUCUAAUUAGAAUUAAGAAUUCAGAAAUGUUAUUCUGCUUUGCGUGAAAGAAACAUGUGACAAUCUUUUUUUCUUGCACAAGAAACAUGUGAGAAUCUCCAAAUUCGAUUAAUCGAGGUAUGAGGAUAUGUGAGAUAACCGAUUCAGUGUAUUAUGAACUGAUUUUCAAAUACAUUUAUUUUGACACAACGAAAAAUAAAGCAGCCAUGAUUGUGUGGGGGCUAAAAGAGUGAUGUGUUAUAUGCACAAACUUCUUUAUCUUGACAGAACUUGGGAAAUGCCGUGGUACUCUCGGGUGUGAGUACAUAUGUGGGAGGUAAUUCCAAACAAAAACAUAAAAAAUCUGAAACAUUUUCAAAAACAAAUUUGACCUUCUGUUAUGCCAAGAAAAAAAAAGGUCCCGUCAACUUCGGAAAAUAAAAAUCAGACGACGAAAAACGUGAAUAAUAACUUGUAUAUAUUGUUGAUCUUUUUCACCGAAAAUAUUGUGAAAGUCAUUUCCCGUGAAAGCAAUUUCUUGGCCAAAGUUUUUAUACAAAUACAACGAGAGUAGGACAUUUUGGAGACCAAAUCCAAUAGAGGCCUUAGUUAAAAAAACAUUUUUUAAUUUAAAAAACUAAAAAAUCAGUAUGCUUGUAUACAAGGAGUCAAGGAUAUAAUGUGUAUGUGUGUAAAAAUAUAGGAUGAUAUACCUUAAAAUUUGAGCUUCACAAAAAAGGUGACGGCCUUUGAGGAUCAACAAUACAUAUGCUAAAAAUGCACAAAAUUGUCUUUUUUGUAGCCAUCAUAUUUGACCAGAAAAUUAACACAAAUGUAUAUUAUGUCUCUAGGUAUAUGUGUAUUUUUUCAGAAUUUUUUAAAGCUGGAAAGUUUGAAUUUCAAAGUUUUCAAAUUAAGACCUCCAUGGAGCUCGGGCUCCAUUUGAAAUUUUCAUACAACAGAAGGUCAACUUUGUUUACCAAAAUGUUUUGUCUUUUUUGACUCUUUUUGGAAUUACUAAAAAAAUAUCAUAUCAGGUGCACUUGCACCCCAGAGCUGGGACAAGCACCUUUGGCUCUCGGGUGUAGGUGCACCCUAUAUGGGAAGAAAAAUAGCAAUUUUGAAAAAAGUGAUAAAUUAGGAAACUUUUUGUUAAUGAAUGACUUUCAUUCUAUUCUAGGUGGAAAAAUCAGCACUAUAUACAAGCUAAUAUUCAUGCUUUUGUCCUUGAUUUUUCUUUGCACUAAAGGCGACGGGAGUUUUUUCUUAAUGAAACUUUUUAAACAAGUACAAUUGAACGUCAACUUUGUUUCUAAAAAUAUUUAAGAGCUUUUUGACCUUUCCUGGCCCCAUAUAGGUUGCACCUACACCCAAGAGCCAAAAGGUAUUUCUUCGGAUUGAAAAUGAUAUUUACAGAAUUAAAGAGUUAAUGCGUGUCUGAGCGAGCUUUUGCUAGGGCAGUCCAAUAUGAUGGUGACUAAUGGGUUUUUUCACCACUCCCCACAAAAGGUGUAAUUAGAGCUUAGCCUCAAACUAUGUUACCUUUUUUUCUCUGCUAAUAGAAACAAGAGUGGUCCUCGCAGUUUGGAAACAAGAAUGGUCUUAUUAAUAGCAAGGUGUACCUUAAGAAAAUUGUUUUAAUUCAUUUAUCUUUUCUUAGUGGACGUGAAAUCUUUUCGUGGCCUUUUUCCUGAAUGGCUUUAUUUGAUUUAAUCCCUUUUGCAUAAAAUGUAUAACUCUAUAGUUUUGUGUGCGUCCCAAGCCGAAGGAUGUAAUGAGGGAUUUGGUAAUUUGACAUCUCCCCAAAAGGGCAGAAGUUGUACAAUUUGUGAAAAAACAAAAAAUCACCUAGAGAGGUAUGGUGUGAUAGCUUCCUUGUAUGCUCUUUUUUCUUGGUUCUUGUUUGUAAUCUCCUAUUUCUAUAUGAAACUGUUGGUUCAUAAUCAACCCUUGGAAAAGUCAACAUCCUGAUCUACGAAUUUUAUAGCGAGGGUGUCAUUAAAUUCUUUUGAGACCCUUCCCCUAUAGAAGUGAAGUUAUUUCGUGUAAUUAUAAUUGUGUUUGCUAUUUAUCAGCUGACUGGAAUUUUCAGCCACGUCAGUCAACAUGUGACUGAGAAGUAGGUGAGACGACGCUAAGGCCGAGAUGGAGGUGACACUGCCUGUCGCGGUGUCUCCAAGAUGUAGAGCCAGGUCCUAGACGGAGGCAGGGACGACGCAAGUUGUCAUGGCAUCGUCGACGGAGGACAUGUAGGAUGCUGCGAGUUGUGGGGUUCGGGUGGAGGUGGGUUAGAGGAAUGACCGGCGACGGUGGCGGCGGCUCGGGCUGAUAAGGGCGGUGAGGCUGCAGUGUGGGCGUUCAUGUGUGAUGGCAUUGGGCAUGGAGGAAGAAAAAAGGUUACGGGCCUGUUGGAUGCAUAUCGAACAGUGGAGGGAAAACUGACCGAAGAGAAACCUUUUCGAGCCUGAAAUAGUCGUUCUCAAUUGUAACCUUUGAAACUUGGCACGGUAUUGAAGAACCAGAGUUGCAUGUGUGUUGUAUGACUAAGGCCUUUGUGGCAAUUUUAAGGCCUUUGUUUACUCUAUCUUGAAGACCUUUGUUCUACACGUCUUCGUAUGGAUUUUGAAGAAAUAGAGUUCCAUUGUAUGACAUGUGAAAAAGAAAAGGUGCACAUGAUGAGAUAGAAUCGCACUAUGUUUUUUUUAUCGUGGUCCUUAAACCUACAUCCAAGAUAUACAUAUCUAUUCCCUCCGUUCUAAAAUAGAUGACUCAACUUUGUACCAACUUUAGUACAAAGUUGGGUUAUCUAUUUUGAAACGGAGGGAGUAUGUGGUAAUUCAGAAAUUCAAUUCAGCUCCAAGGAGCACGUGCUCCCGGGCCCAAAAUAAUUUUUGAAAUGUCAAAUAAGUGAAGACAAGAAAUUUAUGUGUUCUUAGUCACAUCCAAAUGCUACCUGUAAAUUUUCAGGGCAAAAGGUUAAGCAAAUUGAACACCAAAUGUUACGCCUAUGUCACCCCAAAUUUGUUUUCCCCGUUUCGCAUGAAAAUUGUCAAGUAUGCUUGCGACACUAACACGAACAUCCAUAAAAAAAAUUCAGAAUUUUUUGAAAACAUUUACUAUUUUUUCACAUUACUGUUCAUCUAAGGGCACAUGCUCCCGGGAGCCAAAACGCCUCUCCCCACCAAACCUUCUCUUCUAUCUGUAAGUAGCUGCUACCUCCAUUUCAAAAUAUAAGAAAUAUAAGACAUUUUGGUAGGCUAGUUUAACCUACCAAAAUGAGGUAGUACUAGGUAGUAUAAUUAUUUGUGUAUCACUACAUUGUCCAAAUCAUCACAUUAUUAUUGCUAAGUCUCAAUCGACUGAGACAUAAGUCUCAGUCGAUGCUAUAUUCAUUCGAUCUUGCGUGAAGAUUUAUGCAAAAAAAAAAAGCUUUUUCUUGUUUCUUCUUAUAUUCUAUGUUACUUCUUAGUCACCUGAUAUCUAGCCACACCCACAUGAUUAUUGUUCUGAACACGUGUGUGGCGCACAAGCAACAUUUACUACUUCCUUCGUUCUAUGAUGUAAGCCUUUUUUUUAAAAAAUGUCUUACAUUAUUACAUCAUGGAACAGAGAAGUAGUUCCGUAGUUCUGUACUAGCUUACCCCUGUGCGGCGGCACGCCGCGCCCGUCGAUACGGUGCGGUUAUAUGGAUUAUGUUUCUUCUAUGUAAUAAGUGUUGUUAUUUUAGGAUGCCAGAUGAUCACAUGAAAAACUAUGGAUGUAGGGAAAAAAAGAUGGAAGGGUGAUGCAUGUGAACAAAGAGGGGAAUAUACGAUGACACAUCUCUUGUAGGGAUGAUUUAUUUUGCCGAACGUGGUGCGAGUCAUUGCCAGAUUAGAUCAUCUGAUGUAGCCUCCCAUUGGAUUAGCUCCUAUGAUAAAGUAGUAAAGAGACGCAAAUAGUCAGACGUAUGUAGUUAAUAAUUUUUUCCUUCUUUCAUACAUUUUUUUACUAUCACCAAGAAAUGACCGAGGCCAAUCUCGUGCACCAUCGCCGACUACUCCAGGGAAGCGAUCGUGUCCAGCGACGCCAGGGACACGUCGCCGGCGGUCACCCAUGCCUUUGAGGCGUCCAAGUGGAACCAGCUCGCUGGCGUGCCCGUCGACCGUCGAACACCUCGCUGUCCCGUGCUGGACGUCGACAAUCUCCACAUGGUAGCGACAAUGAUGCAGUUUCUCGCUCGGCGGAGUAGCAGCGACGGAGGCUGGAUGCAGCUCCUCCCCAGCAAGCCCGGAGGUGCAGCGUGGGGAGAGCCCGCGGGAAGCCACUCUGAACCUUGGAGCGCGGCUCCACAACUCGCGAUGUCCGAGCUUGCUCCGUACUGCACGUCGAAGAAAGGAGGGGCCUAGGAGGGAGGGGCAUGCCCGACGAGGCGGUAAACGAAGCUCCUUUCCAUCCCACACGAGAGAAUCGGAGAGAGGCUCGAUGUUUUGCGCUGAUGCUAUUUCUCGGUGGUACUUCGGUCGAGAUGCGAAAGCGAGUGAUGACCACAGAGAAGAGGAAGGAGAUAUUUAUAGAUGCUUAUGGCGGUGGACGAUUCAACCGGAAUCUUCCGGAAAACACCUCGAUCAUCAUGGGCGGUAAACCGUAGAGGCAUCCAGAAGAAGAAGAGAUAAGGAAGGAGAAGUAAGCAGUGAGGCAGAUAAGAAAGCAACGAAAGCGGUGGAUUGGAUGGGAUGCAUGUAGCGCACAUGCGAGGGAGACAGAAGGAAUGUCCCGUAUCUAGCCUAGAAUCGCGCCCGAGCGGUGCGGUGGCUGUCUUGGCCAUAUCCCUCUGUCGUCUUGUAAUUGGUUGUAGUUGCCCAUCCCGCUGCCUGCUCAUGUGCCUUGUAACUGGACGUAGUUACCCAUCCCCCGAUCACCGCUUCGUCAGACUGCUAUAGGUCGGCCGCAUAUCCAAGCAAUGUGUUCCGAUUGGUCUGCAUGCAUGCGGUGACUAAUUUGCCAACGUUCCUUUGCUAAGCAUCGAUUUGCUUGUUUCUUAUCUGUUCCCGACGACGAAAGCAAAACUAAAAACCAACACGCCACAUGGCCGACUUAAUUACAACAUAAACGGCUAGAAGCAAACGUCAGUAAAGCAAGCACGUUCAAAAAAUUUAGCCGAUGCAUAUACGCCCACACAUGCAUUUGUACACAGCCACAUACCCAAAAAAAAUGCACGUGUCAACAGCCCAAACGCCAAUAGGUUGCUUUCAAGAUCAAACAAUUAUCUGAACCAAAAUCGCUAAAGACACCCAAAUGCACACGGAAAAUGCGAACCAGUUAACAAAAUUUUCAUCGAAGGCCAACGGCCAUCGCGUGAUUCUACAAGGUAAUCCACCAAAAUAAUACACGUGUUGCCAUCCAGCUGAUCAAGAAGUCACUUUCACAUAAGUGGGUAAAAAACCUGGAGGCAAAAACUUUUCGAGAUAUAGUGGUUUUGGUAUAAAAGCCUUUGCCCCUAAAAAAAUAUAUGUAUGCACUUUUUUCACAACGAAAAUCUCUCUAUGCGUAUCCUAGUCCUAGAAAAAGACAUCUCUCUGCUGCACCGAAUGACAUGUGGGCCCAAGGCUACUGCACAACCAAUUCUGAAGGUCGAACCUCUAGGGACGUGUUUGGUUGCCCGCAUGAGGCCCAGCCUGGCCCGGGCGGGAAGAAUUUGGCCCGUUUGGUUUUCUGCAUUCACUGUGCGGCCCGCAUCGCACGAAGCUUAAAGCACGUCCAGGCCAGGCCCAGGGGCAACGCACGAAUCGGCAGUAGCUCGCGAGCCUGGCCAGGACGAGGCAGGGGAGGGCGACGCGCUUCUCCCCUCGUGCGAGCAGGGGAGAUGGCGCGAGCUCGCCCGCGUCGCCGAAAAAUCGGCGGGAGGAUUUCGGCUCACCUCCCGCCGCUCCACCCCCUAUUUAGCCCCUCCCUCACCGCCCCAACUCCCGCCGCCAUUCUUCCUCCGUUCGCGCUUUCCCGCCGACGCGCAUCGGCACCGACGAGCAGGUAAGCGGCGCAUCUUCAUCGGCCGGCUGUCCACGGCGUCGGAGCUCCUUCGCCGGCCGACGUUCAUCUUCCACCACCGUCCCCCCUCGUCCUCAAGCUGCAGCCAUGGCCUCUGUGAAUUCAAUCCCCCUUUCUCUCUGUUCCUUCUAGCUAGAUCUGAGCUGCAGCUAGGGUUUGAUCUAGAUGCAUGGUUGAUUAGUGGUCUGAUCUGUGAGCUGAUAUGGUUGGUUGCUAUGAUGCGGUUACAAUUUGUGGUAGGGCUAGAUGUUCAAGCAUGUGGUAGGCUAGAUUAGUAGUAGAGUUUGAAGUUGAACCUUGUGCUUGUGUUGAAUCAUGCUCAGAUCUGUGAUUUGUAGCUAUUGGUGGUCCAUUUGUAGCAUGCUGUUUGUUUUAGAUGUAUGUUCCUGCUCAUAGAUUGUCUAGUAUGCUUAGUAUGAUAGUGAUGAAGCAUGUGCUUGCUAUGAUAGUGAUGAACCAUGUACAUGUAUGCUCCUGCUUUCAUGGAUUGUCCGGUAUGUUGUGUGCUAUGCUCACUGUUAAUGUGUGCUACGAUUGUAGGACAUGACCACGCAGACGCAAGAUCUUAGUCAGGUCCUUGUCGUGUCCGACAGCCAGUUUGCUCCAUCGUUUGUCGAGGACUCGCAGCCUAUGUCCGAGAUGGCACCUGAUUCAGAGGUGUUCGAGUCUGAUUCCCUCUAUGUGCCAGUAGUGCUCGUUGAGCCAACUACUGUUGCUGCUGCUGCUGCUGCUGCCGCUGCACUCAAGCUAGCAGCAGCAAAGGCAAAGAAGGAUAGUAGGUCGAACAACAUGAAGUGGCAGCCGUUCAUGUCCACGUUCGUGCUGAACAAGAUGUGUGAGCUCAUCUCUAGUGGAGUUAGGACUGACAAGGGCUUCAAGGAGGUGCACUUGAACACCGUUGCGAAGCAGGUGUUCGAGUUCUGUGGGCAAGAGGUGUCUGCCACCCAGGUGUACAACCACCUGAGGAAGUGGAGAAGUCGAUGGAUCCAAGUGUCCAAGCUGAGAGACCUUAGCGGUGCCUCAUGGGAUGAGAACACUUGCUCCAUAGUUCUGGAGGCAGAGCACUACGCCGGCCAUGUCGCGGUUAGCUCACAACCCUCUUCAUUUUCAUACUGUCCACCAUUACCUACUCCUAAUCGCAACUAACAACACUUGUGUUUCAUUCUUAGGACCACCCAAGGGACGCUGAGUUCCUCAACACACUCAUCCAGAACUACAACCAGAUGCAGCACAUCUUCUCCUUCAGGGCUGGCAACUGGGAAGCAUGCCAUGGGCUCGGGGGAGCCUCUUGGUUCUCCCAUGCCUAACUUCCCUGGGACCCCGGACGUCGAGAUCCUUGAUGGCCCUGACAAGCCCCCUGCGAAGCCCUUCGACAAGCCAUUUGACCCCGUUGAUAGGAAGAGGAAGAGAGGAGGCCUGAUGGAGGAGGAGAUCAAUGUCUUCUGCAGCAUGACUGGGGCGGUGAAGGAGGUGGCAACAGCCACCAGGGAGUGCAAGCCCCUCGACGUCCACCCUGACCUGUAUGCCGCUGUCAUGACCCAGGGUGGCUUCAGCGACGAGGCUCUCAUGGCAGCUCUCAGCCACCUGCUUGACAACAAGGCCCAGGGUGUUGGGUACGUUGCCAUGGCCGACGCUCACAGGGUGCUGUGGCUCAGGAGCUGGCUGGGCAAGCACUACUACUAGAGUAGUGCUGCCUGUGAGCGUGCAUGAUCCCCGACGGCGAUGGUGGUGGCGACGACGACGACGGUGACGGUGAUGAUGACGACGUACAUUUUGUGUAGCUAGGGCUCAAAAACUAUUUGAUGGUCUGUAUAUUUUGGUGAGGUGGUAUAUACUAACCCCUCACGGUGACGGUGAACUUGCGGUGGUAGGACGACACCCUCUUUUGGAUGUGGUGGUAGGUUAACACCAAGGUGGUGCUAGGAAGAACUUGCUAUGCCGUAUGAUCAUGCAUGCAUGCUUUACUUCUCUUCUGCUCCAUUGUUGUUUGUGUGCUACUUUGCUUGCUACUUGUGCUCCAUUGAUUUGCUGCUUCAACUCUUGCUGUUGUGCAUUGCUAGGGCAAGUGGUAUGCCGUGUUCAUUGGUGAGAUUCCAGGGGUUUAUAGUUCAUGGGAAGAAGCCAAUGCACAAGUGCCAUCGUAUAGCAACAGCAAUUAUAGAGGGUUCAAGACUAAGCAGGCAGCAGAACAAGCUUACUCCGCCUGGGUGCGAAAGGACGGAGGCAGCAGUGUCGACAGUGCCAAGGUUGGAGUUGUCAAAGUGGAAGCUGCUAAAGUGGAUCGUCAGUUCGGCCUGAAGCUGAAGAACUUCAUCAUCUUCGCCCAGUUCGUCACCAUUACUGUGUUGUGGCGUUGGUGUGCUAGGUAUGGGUAAGCUCACCAACUAGGAUACAAGGUAAGCACAACAUAUACGCCGUAUGCAACCAAACGCCAUGUUCAUGUGCCGCUAGGGCCAAUGCAGCCAACCAGACAAAGUGCACUUGCGUAUUACCUAAUGCAGGGACUAGGAUGCACGCAACCAAUCAAAUUGUAUAUGGCGUAUUAGGACCUGUUUUUUCUUAACCAGAUUGGAUUGAGAAGGGCAUGCAACACGACUGCUAUUCCAAACUGGAACCAAACACGCCUUAGAACUUUCUCCAUCGGUGCCCGAAAGACUCCCCACUGCUUCGCACUCGUUCCACCACCUUUCAGAAGUUUCCAUCACCUUCCAGACUCCCCGCCCUCCCUCCUCCUCGCCAUCGCAUCCCCACCAAAGCAUUCCACAAAAUUCAACAAGCAAUCCAACCCGAGGAGAUCGAUCGAACGAGAAUGGCGGGCAUAGUGUUCGGCUUGGAGAACCCGAUGAUGACCGCCCUGCAGCACCUGCUGGACAUCCCGGACGGCGAGGCCGGCAACACCGCCGGCGGCGAGAAGCAGGGCCCGACGCGCGCCUACGUCCGGGACGCGCGCGCCAUGGCGGCCACCCCCGCCGACGUGAAGGAGCUGCCGGGCGCGUACGCGUUCGUGGUGGACAUGCCG